rnacentral:lncRNA from 1 species
GGAGGGAUCAAAACCCAAUUGGAAUUGUGAAGAAUGCAAUAUAUGAUUAUUUCGAUGCCAAUUACUCAAACAAAUUUGAUAAGUUUGACGACCUUUGCCCAAUAGUCUCCACAAAAGAGGUUUGACCAUUAAGAAAUAAAAUAGAAAUUGCAUGCAUGUUUUUUUUUUCACUGUUUUGAGCCAUACAUUGCACUAUUUGGAACUUGCAUUAUCUUGCUAUGACUGGUGCUUGACAUUUUGUUGCUGUUUUUAUUUAUUUUGCUGCCCAUUUCCUGUUGGUUUUUGUCCUGUCCUAGGUGUUUUAACAUUUAAGAAUCCAUGUAAGUGGUAUUUGCAUAUGUUGCCAAUUAUUCCAUCGACGAUGUUCUAACCUAGUAUCCAAACUUACAUAUAAAAAAAAGUCCAGAACAGGCAUUCAGUUUACCAGGUUUAUCAGUUCUCUCCAUCGUUUAUUCAACUCUUAAAAGCAGUAUUCUGAACAUACUCCAAAUUGAAAUUCCCUUGGUACUUGUAGUGGUCUAUUAAGGAAAAAGUUUGUUUGACCUAGCUUUUGUACAAAAAAUUCAAGGAUAGUCUUGCAGAUAUGUAUUGUAUGGGUGUAUAUUUCUCUAUCAUGAUACAAGUGAGAAAAAAAUUCAGGAAAGUUGUUUUGUUUAAAAAAAAAAAAUUGAAAGUUAAUUUAUGUUUUGAGAGGGACAUUAGACAACCUAGGAUUCAAAGGGACAUGUUGUCUCUUAGGAAAAUAUAAUUCAUAGCAUUCUCAAUCACUUACAGGUUAUUUUAGUCCUUUUAAAUUGUUUUAUUUAAUUUUCUUCUUUGUUGUAGGCAAGCAAAAAAUAUAUUUACAACACCUACUAUUAUCAUUAUUUUGGUAAUUAGCAUUGAUGGAGAUUGUAAAAAUUCUCUAAUAGUAUUGCAGGAGAAAAAUAAUAUUUAUGAAUUUUUGUUAAAUGCAAUUGUCAUAAUGAUAAUAAUUAAUUAGAAUAAUAUAAGUUUGUAAUUGGAAAAAUUUUGAAAAAUAAAAGCUUUUGGAAAUGGUUUGAAUAGGAGUAGAAAAUUCUUGGAUUUCAUGGAGAGCUUAGGUGGGAUCUAAAGCAUGGGGCUGUUUGCUAUCUAUUUUAGUAUUUGCUGCUCUUCUCUCUUAUAGGUGUUCAGUUGCAGCUUGUAUUCUCUGAGCGUACUUGGGUUGUGCCCCCUUUUGUGUACUUCAAUAUAAUCUUCAGGCUCAUGACUAGUGCAAUUUCUACUAAUUGAACACUUUUCACUUCAAAUAAUAUUCAGUAAUCUAAAUAGCAUUUAUCAAAUUAUUUCUAACUCGCCAUUAGAUUUAUAAAGAACCCAAAAAUGGAAUUUUCUUCUUAGGCAUGAGAAAUUGUCAUUGUUAUAAACCCUAUGUUUGUCUUGUACUUACAAGCAUAAUUAUAAAGCAUGAUUUGCAUGUCUUAUCAUGAAAUAUAAUAAUGUCAUAAAAUAGAUGAUUGAUAAAACAUUAGAAGUCCAUUGCAAAUGCUUAAUGGAACUCAAAAUUAUUAUGGAGCAAGUGCAUAUUUCACUCAAACUUUUAUGCAGUAGUGGUAGCUUAUAAACUCACAACUUUGUAAUCAUGUGCUUGAAUUAAGUAAACUUAAUGGAUCUCAGCUACAACUGCUCUACAUUUUAACCAUUGUUUUAUGUUAUGGGAAUAGUGACUGAAUUUCACUGUCCCAUCAUUAUAAUUUAUGCAUUGUAAUUUCAUUUGUGGGACUUAGUUUUCACAUGUGUUCACAUGUCAUAACUGUAAUUUCCCUAAUUUUAUGAGUAAGAAAAACUCUUUAAUUUUCCCUAUUUUGACUGAAACUUUAGGAACUUGGACUUUAUAUGGUGCAAAUGUAUGUUAUCAGCUGUUGCUUUUGACCAGUCAUGAGUAGAUACUAUUUAUAAAAGGACACAAAGGAGGAUAUAAUCCAAGUGCACUUGUAGUCGACAAGUUACUCUGGGCAUCAAAAUUGAAAGAAACAACAAUGAAGAAAAGCAGCAAGAAAGUGCCCCUACCUCCCAAACUCUCAAUGAACUACUGGAAGGAUCUACUACUAUUCAAGAUAACUUCUUCUAAGCACAACUACAUGUAACAGUACUUAGCCUGUGCUAUGGUCUCAAGAGGUAGGCUCAUUGGAACAUGCCUAUUUUGAUGGAUUUUAGUUUGUGGGGAUAGUUAAAGUGUAAAGUGUUUGAUAAAAUAAAUUUGCUAGUUUUAAUAAAUUGAAAUUACUACUGAAUGAAAUGUGAAGCUAGGUAUUAGGAGGAGAAAGAAAGAUUAAUUUAUUUGUAUGACACUAUGACUUACACAUUGUGAAGCUUACUGGUUGGGAAUUGUUGAACAGGGGAACUUAAUAGGGGAGACAGAACCACACAUAUUACUUGAUGAGAAAAUAUAAUUACAUUAGCCAAAGGCCAAAAAUAUAUGAGUAGUUCACUGAUUGCAUAUUAUUGGAAAGAGAGCUGAGCAAUAUAUGAUUCAUAAACUUUUUACAAUUUAAAGGCCUGGGUCCAAUGAGAUAUGUUGCAUCAUAUUACCUAAUGAACCAAUGAAGUUUAUGGAUUUCCAAAACUUCUUGGAGAGGUUCAUUAUUUUAUGGUUCUUUUUUUUUUAGGGUUCUUUAUUUUCUCUUUGCCGAGAUAUCUAGAAUAUGACAUGGUAGGUACUUUUUGCUCCAUACCUCUUUGGAGCUCAAUUCUUUGGCAAAGCAGGAAGAAAACAAAUUAGCAUCAACUUUAGCUUGACUUGAGAUCACAAAUCCGACUAGAGAUUUUGCAGUAGUGUGUUGAGGUCUUAUCCGAAUCCAGGUUGUGAUGUGUGCAUCAAAGAGUCUUUCCAUAAGCCAUGAAGUUUUGAGGUGUUUUGUAAUGGCAUGACUAGAUAAUGAGCUGCAUUUUGGUCUGGAAUUUGGAGUUCGGUUAUGCAUUUCUGUAUCUAUAUCUCCAAAAUUAUUAACUAAUUUUAAUCAUUUUAUCUAUUUUUCAAAAUAAACAUUCAAAAUUGAAAGUUUCUGUCAUGAGUCUUCAAGCUUAUCUGGAAUAGAAUGCCCUGCAUUAACUCUUGCUGUUAAUGCAUAUAAUACCAGGUCAGUCAACACAGCCAUUUGCUUGCUUAUGUUGACUUUCAAUGGCUUAAAAUUUAUGGCUUCAAUGGUUAUUACCAUGCUAACACUCAAACUAAUUUUUUUUUUUUGAUAGGUAAAUAAGAGCUUGUAUUAGAAGUAUCUAGAAGUGGCGAAAAUAGUACACAUGAAGUAUACAAACAGAUCGCCCAAGAAACUAGGCAAAGAAGACAAAAAGCCUUUCCCCUAACUUGACAUAUGGCCACUCUAUAAAAUCAAUCAUAGACAAAGUAUGAUCCUCUAUAAACACCCUAGCCCAAUUUACAAGAGUAUACAAAAGGGAAUGUUAUAAAGCUUGGUCGGACUGUUCGAUAUCAUUUAAUGCUCUUUCGUUUCUUUACUUCCAUAAAGUCUACAUUAAGCAUAAAGGGGCAACCCUCCAAGACUUCCCCCUUCUCUUACCCACAAAGGCACCAUGCCAUCCAAGCAAAUUCCUUUAAAUCGAAGAAUGCAAAAUCCACUGCACACCAAAUAGGGAAAAAAUAAAACUCCAAAGCAUUGUAGCCUUUCUGCAAAACAAGAUUAAAUGGUCACUGGUUUCCUAUUUCUCUUUACACUAGCAUAAUCAAACUAAUAACUAAUAGUUAUUGGAUUUAAAGCUUCUUUGUUAAUGUUCUUCAUGGUUGUGCUUCUAUUUUUAAUCGAUUCUCUUGGCCAUCACCGUUCCCCCCUUAUUAAGAUUGGAUAUUUAAGUUUCAACGAAACAACCUAAUAAAUCCUCAAGAUAGAUCCUAUUUAUAAGGCAUGGGAGUUUUGGUUUAUGUCUGCUUCCAAAAUUCUUAUCCAUAUUUCUAUGAAUUCUUAUGCCAGAAAGUCUACUUCUUGCAGAAUUUUGAUGAUGUCUUGGUUCCUCUUGAUCACGUCAGUAGGAGUUACAAUGAUACAUACUACAUCGACUCUCAAACUGUCUUGAGGUGCCACACUACUGCUAAUCAAGCAGAGCUGUUGAGGAGGGGACACACUCAUUUCCUUGUGACUGGAGAUGUUUAUCGUAGAGAUUCCAUUGAUUCAACUCACUACCCUGUUUUUCAUCAGGUUUCUUAUCUCUGAUUUUAUCAAUGAUUAUUUUCUAUUAACAAGUUUCUUAACGUUUUCUUCAGUUCAAUAACUUUGCUUCCUGAUCAUGCAGAUGGAAGGCGUUAGUGUCUUCUUUCCAGGUGAUUGGGAGACAUUUGGACUGGAUGGCACGUCUUAUGCGGCUGAGGAUUUAAAGAAAUGUCUUGAGGGUUUGGCGCAGCACUUGUUUGGUAAACUUAGAUCAGGAGAUUGUCUUAAUCAGAUGCAAACUUAAUACUAUCAGUUGAUGCUGCAGUGAGAAAUAUGGGUUAAGGAAUUAUUUACCAGGUCUAAUAAUUCAAAAUCUGGGAAAUACUGCAAGUAAAAGGGGGCAAAAAAUAAUGAAAUAAUAAAAUAAUAAAUUUAAGUGGGGAAAGCAAUUCAUGUUAUGCAAAAGCAGUACAGGUUGGUCAUUUAGAAGACAAAUCAAGAUAGUCCAGAAUAAUAUAGGGAAUUAUUUGUGAUUCUCAAGGUACUUGUUAAGAAUCAUUGACAAAUUACCUCAAGAAACAUUUAAGAGUGCUAUUAUUCUUGAAAUUUCUGAAAUCUAUCAGAAAGGUGGUUUUCAUCUUGGGGUUUACCAAAUACUGUAUAGAAUCUGCGUGGGCUAAAUCUAUUGAAAUUUGCAGGUAAUGUGGAAAUGCGCUGGAUUGAUACAUAUUUCCCUUUCACCAACCCAUCAUUUGAACUUGAGAUGUAUUUUCAGGUGUGCUUUUGAUCUGGCUGGUGGUUACAUUUUAGCACUAUGUAUUUUGAAUUUCUUUAAAACUUUGUUUUUGAACUAAUUCUAGUAGAAACAGGCUCCAUUUCAUUUUUCUGUUUUCGCCUUUUGCAAGAAAGGGUAAAAAUCAUUUCAAAAAUGUGAACUUCAGUUUAUUCCAUUGCUGGCAUGUGUGGCUUUCAUCUGUUAUUGAAGACACUAAGAUUCAUAGACUGAUAAUAUUCCAAUGCUUAUACUAACAGUAAUGUUGAUGAUAAAAUAAUAUAAAAGUAGAAACAAAAUUAGUUGUCUCCCUUUUUUUUUUUCUUUUAGUUUCUUUGUUCUUCUUACCCCUCUUAUGUGGGGAGGGGGUGUGGGGCUCUUUGUUGUUGCCAAAUGUGAAAAAGAAGAUGCAUUAUGUCCUUUUAUUUUGGACUUAGAGGACCUAUUAUGAAGGCAUUGCUUUCUUCAAUGUAUAUUUAUGACUUCAAGACAUUUUUGUAUUUUAUUUUAUGGCAGCAUUUUUUAGCGUCACUAUUGAAGGAGAAAUUCAUAAACAUAUAUACACACAUGCUAGUGGGCAUACACAAACACUGAUGUUCCACACAGUAAUUAAAAAAUUAUUGCUUUGAGGAGUAUCUUUUUCCAAUACUCAUGUCCAUGUCAAAUGGCAACAUGCCAAUGACUAUUUGCCAGCAUUGCUGGCAACUCUUUUAUGGAUUGUGUGAGUGUUUAGCUAGGUUGGCAAUUCCGGACAAAAUUUCCAAUUCCUCUUCGGACUACUUGACUUUGAAGACUAAGACUUUGCUAAGAGGUCGAGGUAUGUAGCCGAGUGUGUGGUGAUUGAAUGUGUAUCAACCCGGUUUUUAAUCUUUAAAUGUGUUAGAAAGUUGGGAAAAAUGGUUUUUGGUGCAAGACUUUCAUUCUCCUAUUUCUGGAUCGAUCUAGGUGCAGGGGUGGAUUGAUCCAACUAAUUAUUUUUUGAUCAAAUCUUAGCCAUUAGAUUAAGGGCUUCUUUUUACACUUUAAAAAGCAAUCUUCUCUCAUUUUUUGGACAGGGACUGCAGAAAACGUGGAGAGAGCAUCCACUCCAUGUGUUCUUCAUUUUCUCAUAUUGUUUUCCUAAUUUGGGGUUUUUGAUUGCAAAGAAAAUCCACUUCUCUUAAUGUUUUCCAAACUAGUUUUUAAUGGAUUUUCUUGAGCAAUAAAUGAGUUGAUUCAUUCCUUCAUUCAUAUCUCAAUCUCAUUCUAUUUGGGUUUGUGCAAAAACCCAUUUUCUUCUUGUGUGGAUUCAAGAAGAGGCCGAGAUUGAGCUUGGUGUGGACUCCAAGUGUGCUCCGAAAGAAGAAGGUGAGAAGCUGAAAGUGAAGGUAUUAGUCAUGUAGUCCGGGAAGGAUUGGUUGGCUUGAGUUAGGUAAAACCUUGUACUCAGUUUUUAUUCUUCAUAAUGGAGUUUUUCAAUCAGUGAAAGGCCCGUGGUUUUUGAUCUCUUCGGAGGUUUUCCACAUUAAAAAUCCGGUGUUCAUUGUCUCUUUCUCUCACUCUACACUUUGAUUUAUUUUCUGUUUUUGCUAUCAUUGAUUACUUGGACAUACAUGUUGAAUGGAAGAAAUAUGAGGUGAUAUAAGUGUGAUGAUCCAUGGAAUAUCUUUAAUAAUUUUUCUGUUCAUUUUGUUUAAUGAUAUCAUGGAGUCAAUUGAUAUGAGUUGAGGAGUGUUGAAGCAUUUGCAUGUGUUUUGCAUUUAUAAAUUGUCGGGAGAGUGUUGAUGCAUACAUUCUUGCUUGUGGAUGUUAUGCUUUGUUGAAAAGUUGUUGGAAGAGAAGUUUCUUGACAUUGAGAUAGUCUAAGGUUAGGUAAUCUUUGUUGGGAGAAUUUUUAAAUUGUUUUACAACACUUAUUCACCUCCCCUCUAGGUGUAGUCCAUUAUUGAGAUUCACCUUUUCAGAUUGAAUGUUUUCUUUUCCCUUUUCCUUGUAGUGAGUACACUUUAGUUGCUCUUACAUAUCUGAUGCAUUGUGCUUCAUGCCCUAACUGAUGCAGAACAGAAAAGUACCAGAAAAAAUGAUGGGAGUCUAGGAAUUACUUCCAAAAACCUUAGGCUUCGCACAUAGGUUUAGUUUGCAUCACACAAAAAAGAAAACAUUGAAAGCUGGAAGGUUUUGUGUUUUCAUUCAUUGAUCCUUUUAGAAGAUAGAGUGAUCAACUUUGUAAACUACAACCCUAAGACCCCUAAGACUCUUAAGACCCCUAACACUCUUUGGAACCAAUCACAGUAAUAAUAAAGCUGAGAAAUCAGAAACUUGAACUGAUAAAUAAAAAUUAAAGGGCACUUGCAAAUAUAAAGCAUUAAUGACUUUGGAAAUAAGAACACUCCAAUACCCCCCACGCCCUUCGGAAAACUCAACCUUGACAAGUUAAAGGCAUGAAAUUUCUCAUAAAGAUCACAAUUCAACUGCUGAAAUUCAUUGCUUGUGAUCCACAUACAAUCUCAAAGUGGCCUUUCUCUCUAUUCCACAAGAUACUUUUGAUAACCUCCUCUACUGGUUGAAACAAUUUAGUGACCAACAACUUUUCAAUCUUCUCUUUCAAUCAAGGGGCUGGUAGAAGAUGACCAUUUGGAUCAUUAAUUGAUGUAGCAGCUUUAGGAUUAGGAUAAAGGGUGUGGUCUUCAAUAUUAGAGAUCUUAUUAAUGCCCAUAUUUUCUGGCAAGUCAAGUACAUAAGCGUUGGGACUUGUUUUCAUGAGAAUUUUAUAGGGACCAACAUUCUUUGAGUGGAGUUUCUUAUAGGCACCUCUAGGAUAUUGUUCAGGCCUUAUUCACACAAUAACCAUAUCACCUUCAAUAAGUUCAGCAAAUUUUCUUUUCACAUCAUCGUAUGACUUAUUUAUUUAUUUGAUAGGCAAGUGGGAAAAACAUGUAAUCAUACAACUUAUAAUUUCAUUGAUGAAAACAAUUUUCAUUGAACAUGAUAAUGUGUGUCAUCUAUAUGCUCACUAAAAGCAUCACUUCAAUGCUAGGUCAUGCAUCCAUUGGUAAAGGAACCAAAUCCAUAGGCUUUCUAGGAAGCAAUUCAGUCACAAUCUCAAAUGGACUGUGACUAAACCUGUUCAGGGAGCUAUUAUUUGCAAAUUCAGCCAUUAAUCUGAUCUCCAGCUAGGCAGUGAAGUAAAGAUCCAAGCUUCAAUUAACAACUUCUAUUUGGCCAUCUGUUUGAGGGUGAAAAGCAAAAGAAAACUUUAGUUUGGCAUUCAGUAUUUUCCAUAAAGUUCACCAGAAGUAACUCAUGGACCUACCAUCCAGUUUAGGAAAAUCAUGAAGGUGAACAAUUUCCUUGAAGAAGAGUUCUUUUUUUUGUUUUUUUGAUAGGUAUUCCUUGAAGAAGAGUUUAACAAUCAGGCAACAUCUUUAGUCCUUAAGCAUGGGAUAAAUUGUACCAUCUUGGAUUAAUGAUUUACCACUACAAUUAUGCAAUCAUGUCUCUGAUAGUUUUCGGCAAAUCAGGGACAAAAUCCAUGCAUAGGUCUAGCCAUGGCUCAUGUGGCACAGAAGUGGCAUGUAUAGACCUGUAUUCUUCCUUUUUCUCUUUGAUAAUUUGCAGGUUCGAUGUCUGGAGACAUUCUUAGCCACAUCUUUUUUCAGACUUGGUCAAUAAAAAUGAUUUUCCACCAUUGUAAUGGUUUUAUCUCUUCCAAAAUGACCAGUUGUUUCUCCAGCAUGAAGUUCCAAUAUUACUUGCUUAUGAAAUGAUGUUUUGGGUAAGCAAAGCCGAGUCCCUUUGAAGCAAUAUCAAUCAUGUAAAAAAUCACCAUAUUCUCCCGAAUUUCUAGGCACUACAGCAACACAUAUAGUGCUAAAAUCUUUGCUAGAAGGAUAAGGUCUCUUGAACAAGUCAAAUCCAACAACUUGUACGUCAAUAGAAGAAAGAGUGUAUGCCAAUUUGCUAAGAGCCGCUGCAAAGAAUUCUUUGUCAUAGGUACAAUAUUUCUGCUUUGCUUCAUUAAGCUUUUUGCUGAGAAAUGCAGUAGGGACACCUCUAACUCUUAUGUUUGAUGCAUUGCAUGCCGCUUCUAACACCUCCCGGAAAAUUUGGAAGCUGCAAAACCAGUGCUUCAAUUAACGUUUUCUCAAUUUCUUUGAAAGCCUGCGAUGUUGCCUUGGUCCAAUUCAACUGAUUUUUCUUCAUACAAUAAGUUAUAGGGGCUGUAACAUUGCUGAAACUUAUGAUGAAAUGUCCAUGGAACAUUUCUAGCCCAUGUUAACUUUGUACUUGUUGUGAUGUGUUGGGAAUUAGGAUGGCUUUUACUUCAUUCAUACUUCCAAUCCUUUUGGCAAAACAAUAAGCCUAAGAAUACUACUGCUGAGAUCAUGAAAGAGCAUUUCUUCAAAUUUAUGUAGAGCUUUUCUUGGUGAACAACUGUCAUAACUUGCCAUAGAUGGGGAGAUGUGAUCUCCUUUGGUCUUGCUGUAAUUAAGAUGUCAUCAAAGUAAACAACCAGGAAUUUUUCAAUAAAUGGCUGAAGUACUUGAUUUAUGAAGCACAUGGAUGUGCUAGGGGCAUUUGAAAGGCCAAAAGGCAUAACUAGCCACUCAUAGAGGCCAUCUUUUGUUUUAAAGUCCGUCUUCCAUUCAUUUUCUAGUCUACUGCUUAUUUGAUGAUAUCCGCUCUUUAAAUCCAUCUUUGAAAAUAUGCAAGAGCCAGCCAUCAUGUCAUAUCUAACAUAUGAUUGAAUCAAGGGAUAGGAAACUGAUACUUGAUGGCUAUCUUGUUAGUAGUGUGACUGCCAACUACUAUCUUUUUUUGGUGUUAGCAAGGCAGGGACAGCACGAGGGUUUAAACUUUCAUGAAUGGUUCCCUUGGUCAGCAGUUACUCCACUUGUCCUUUUAGUGUGUCAUGCUCACUUGGAUUCAUAUAAUAGGCUGGAAGAUUAGGCAAUUGAGGCCUUGCCAUAAAAUCUAUAAGCAUGCUGAAUGUUGCGCAGAGAGGAAAGUUUUUGAGCAACAUCUAUGGUAGGUCUUUUUGAGCAACAUCUAUUGUAGGCCUUUUCGAGCAACAUCUAUAGUCAUCAGGAUCAUGGGCUCUAUAAUCAAAUGAAUUUCGGUUUCUUCAUCUUUUUGUUGUUCUUGUUCUUCUUCAUGCUCCAUUCUGAUGUACAAAUUCUUGUUUGGACAAUUUAGGUUAUUUGGCCGGGUUGUUGACACUUAAAACACCUAUUAACCUUACUCUUAGGAUUAAUGGCAUUAGAAGAAUACAACUUAGACCCUGUAGGUUGGAUAAAUGGCUCGAAUUGGUCUAUUCUUGCACUGCAACCUAUAUCAGUGAACCUUCUCUGCACUGGUUCUAUGGAUGAAACUCACAUCCCAAGUACUCCAUAUCUAAUGCAAAUUGAAAAGCAUGUUCUAGGCUGUAAUGGCUGAUGCAUCAACUCUCUUCUCAUUUUAGGUCUCAAUCCAGCUUUGAAUCAUGCAAGAGUUUGCCCUUGGGUCUUCUACUAUUUGACUCCAAGUCUUUAGGUCAUGAAAUCUUUGCAUGUACUUUGGUCUCUGCAACUGAUAUGUUGUUCUGAUUCAUGGUAAUGAGGUGAUUACAUAACUUAUUACAAUAAUUGGUCCUGCAUGUAUUUUUCACAUAGCUUAUCCUUCAUCACCUGCCAUGUGCUGACAGGUGGUAGCCUCAUCUUCCCAUCUUCCUAGUAUCUCUUUCAACACCUGUCCACUAAUCUUUUGCUAAGCCUACUAGUUUCAUUUUAGUAAACCACCCUCUCUGUUCAUCAUUCAUACAUACCAAUCAAAACAGUCCUCAAUUGUAGCUAGCCAAUCAACAAAUUGAGUAGCAUCACCCUUCCUUCAAAUUAGGAACUUCUCCUUUUACUUUCCUUGUGAUAUCUUCAGCAGUUUCACAAGGUUUACACCUUGUUUCAGGUAGUCCUCUAGCCCAUUCAGAUAUAGGAUAUUGUGGUGCAUGUCCGAUGUUCCUCCAAGUUUUUGUUGUUAUUAAUUUGAGAUAAUUCUCCUUGUACAACACAUUCUAAAUCAUUAGUGGGCUGAGAUAUUUGUGUCUCAAUGUUGCUUAGUCGAAUAUGCAGGCUAUCAAGCUGUUCCAUCACCAAAAUAGUAUCUCAUCAAGUUGACUAUUAGAUAAAUCUAUUUUGAAACUCCUCCUAGGUCUUGUAAUCAUGAUCUCUGCUUGCUCUGAUGCCAAAAUUGAUGCCGAACAGAAAGGUAACAGAAAACAUGUUGGGACUCUAGGAAUCACUUCCAAAUCUUAGGCUUCACACUUAAGUUCAGUUUGCAUCACACAAACAAGUUGAACUAUCACAGUACGAUUGGUUCAUAAUAAGGUGUCAUCUGAUUGGUUCUUGUGGAGGGAACCUGUGAUCGUUCAAACUGGAGGCUGCACCUGAUUGAUUACAUUGAAAGUUGGAAGGUUUUGUAUGAGAUAAAUGAACCAACUUUAUACACUAACUCUAGACCUUAGACUCUUUGGGAGCUAAUGGCAAUACUAAUGAAGUUGGAAAAUCAACAAUGUGAACUGAUAAAAAAAAAUUUUGAAAGACUCUUGAAAAUGUAAAGCAUUAAUGAUUUUGGAAAUAAGAACACUUGUAAUCCUUUGACUAGACUCAUAAACAAAACUUAGACUGAAAUCCACAUUGAAGUAUAUAAAAUCCCAACUGGGCCUAUUAUCAUCCAAAGUAUGCCAAAUCAUAAUUUGGGCCUUAAGAGUCCAAUCUCUAUGCAUUUGUUAACCUUUCACAGGUGAUUGCCACUAGUCUUGAUCACUAAUAAACACGAUUAUAGCAUCAGAGAAGAGCCAUGUCCCCAAUUCUGGCAGUAAAAAGUUCUUUUUACAAGCUAACCUCAGGGAUCCAAUUACUACAUUAUUGUGUUAACCAUGAGCAUUGGUGCUCCUGUUCUGCUUGCAUGGUUACACUGAACCUGCUAUCCAAAUGUGUUGGUUGACCAAAUGAGAAACUCUAGGAAAAUGAAUGAAGUCAUAGUGACAUAGCUACAUUGAAUGCAACUUGUGUGUUUGUGUGAACAGGAUUGGGCGAGUUAAAGAGUUUUUAGAAGGGAGAAUACCUUUUUAAUUGGUCUUAGUGUUCAGUAUGCAGCUGGUUCAGUGAUCAUGAGGCCAGUUUAUAGUACAAUUUUCUUGAGAUUUUUAUUGAAGUGAUCCCUUGAAAAGUCAGGCUACUUUUUCAAGAAGUAAAUGUUUUAUCUUGUAGGUUGUAAAAGAUGCAUUCUCAGAAUAGGUGCCUUGAUUAUGUUUCUUCAGCAGAAGAACCUACAAUUAGGGUCCUGUGUAUAUCCUUUCUUGGAAUUUUCAUAAAUUUACCAGUAUUAACUUUCUAUUUUAGGACUAACUGUUCAGCAAAUCUAUGGAAAAGACUAAAGAGUGAGUACUAAGUGGUUCCUCCAAGGGCUGCUAAAAAGCACUUCCCAGGGUCAUGAGCCAAAACUGGGCCACUUGGAAAGAGGUUGUAACAAGUCACUUGACUAGGGGUUGUCAGAGGCCAUCAUUAGUCAAGAUUGGUUUUAGAUUCAACUUUAGGAAUUUAUUAAUUUUUCCUGAUUUCUCUUUUAUUUUUAGUUACAUAAUCAUAUUUGACUCUUGUUUUCCACUCUAAAUUCACAAUACCUUAUGAUAGAAAUUUUUAACUUCAGAACAUGAGUUGGGAUGUAUCAGAGAAGAAAGUUUCAAAUCCCUGGACUAGCAUUUCUGUAAUGCCUCAGUGAAAUUUUAUUGUAUGAUUAUCUACUUGAAGUAGCAAACCAUUAUCCUUUUAUUGCCAUUGAAUUGUGAAACCAUUAUGCCAUUACAUUGACAUCUCCAAAUGAAUGGUUUUAAUUUGAAUAGUUUUGUAUUAACUUAUUAUUUGACAAUUAUUGCCAUAGUUUUUUGGCGGAACUGCUAUGAUCUCACUAAGCAACAUCCAUUGAUAAUUUAUCAGGAGAAAUGGUUGGAAGUUUUAGGUUGUGGGGUGACAGAGCAAGAAAUAUUAAAGAAAAGUGGGAAAACAGGUAAUGUUGCUUGGGCUUUUGGGCUUGGAUUGGAAUGGCUAGCAAUGGUUCUGUUUGGGAUACCUGAUAUUCGGCUUUUCUGGUCAACUGGAGCGGUUCACCUCUCAAGUAAUUCCCUAAUUCAGUAAAUGAUACUGUAUUUUAUUUUAUUCUCCUUUUCUAUGUCUUUGUGGUUAAGCAAUCAUUUCCAAAAUUGAUAUCCUUAGGAAAAUAAAGCAUGCUGAAAAUUGACCUUGUUGACAUUCUUAAUGUCUGAUUUAGGUUCCCUGAAUGUUUAAUUUAAACACUUUGUAUGCAGUUCUCAAAGGGCCAGCUUGGGGUCAAGUUCAAGCCAUUUUCAAAGGUAUUGCUUAUAUUUUUCUCAGUUUGAUAAUAGUAGUAUCUUCUUCUGAUGUUGUGUUAAUUGAAACUGUUGCAUAAUUUUCAUGCAAAAGGAUCCAAGACAUUUUGGGGACCUGCAUUUUUAAGUAUAAUCAGAAAAAGUCCUUUAUGCAAAUUUGUCUUUUACAUUCUGAAAUCAAAAAGAUUAAUUACACACAACAUAAUAACUAAAUAUUUAUACCUGUUAGAGCCCCUUGUAACCUUCUCUAUUGGCUGCUAGAAACUGACUAUCGUCUUUUUGCAGUAUCCUCCUCGUUACAAGGACAUGAGUUUUUGGAUUAAUGAGUCGUUCACAGAAAACAAUUUAUGUGAGGUUAUAAGAGGAGUUGCUGGAGAUCUUGUAGAGGAGGUAUGCCUUUUUAUGUUUCUUCUUGUAAAUUGUUCAUUAGCUAUACAUCUCUUCAUGGUUCACUUGGUAGAAUUUUCCUAACCAUUUGUAUAGUUACACUGAAAGCACCAUACCAAUUUGUGUUUUAAUUAGGGGUGUUCAGGGUUUGGUUUGUUUAGUUUCAAACUUUAAAAUAAAAUCAAACCAGUCUAAUUGGUUUUAUGUAUUAGGAACCCAAACUGGCCUAAUCGGUUUUAUGUAUUAGGAACCAGACUAAUUGAACUAAAAGAGGGAACUGAUCGGUUGAGUUCAGUUUAAUAACAAUAAUUGAUAUAAGUUAAAAAUUGAUUGGUUCAACCCAGUUUGGUUCAGUUCUAUCAUUUUUGUCCAUUUAAUUGGUUUUUUACACACCCCUAGUUUUAUUUCACUUUUCAGUUCUUGGACUUUCUAUGAAAAUUAUAUUGUUGUCAUGAAGCUACUGAGGCAGUUGUGGACCAAUUCCAUCCUCUGAAGCUGUUCAUAGAAGAGAUCCUCUCUCUUCUUUUCUAUCUACCAUCAGUUGCAAUAAUAGAUCCAGUUUGCACAAAGUCAAGCUUAGAAAAUCUGGUCAUUGACAACCUGAAUAGUCUCUGGGAGCAUCCGGUAUCUUUUCUCCUUUGUGAGGGUGGAUAUGCUAACAUGUUCUGGGUCCCCUGCAUAAUUUUUCAUAGGUUGCAGAGCUGCUGUGUCCGAAUAGGAAAUAACAUGUUCUUCCUUCAUAGCUUUAAGUGCCAUCAGGAAUUGGAUAUGCUAAUAUGAGUGGGAGGACUCCAGAUGGGGGACUUAUGAGGACUCCAGAUGGUAGAAGCUACUUCUAAUAGGAGAUUGGAGAGGCCUAAAGCUUUUGCUUGCAAAAAACUCUCUAAAAAGGUUAGGAUCUUUGCCUCAAUGGCUAAACUCUGACUUGCAUAUAUAGAGAAUUCUCUUAUUAUUAUACCAAAGUGGUCAUCGAGUAACUCUGUAAUCCCCAACUCCCCUAGUUAUCCAAAGAACCCCAUUAACAAUUAGCAUAUAACUUAUGCAGCACAUGCUACACUGAUGGAGCCUUUAGGAACUAUUUUCAUGUUUUUUAGGCUAAUUCAUCCUCAAUAUUAUGUCAAUGCCAAUUUUUAGCUUGAGUUUGAAUUGCCUAUAUUAUGGAAAGGACAUAAGAUAGGAAGAAACAUGAAAUUCUCUUGUUUGAUUUACUAUGAAAAAUAUGACGAAAAAUAAAAUAUAGUAGAAAUUACUUAAAACCAUUAUACGUUCUUUUUCUAUGAUAGAAAAAUAAAUUUGAAGAAGCGAGUAACUUUAUUGGGUUUGAACUUGUUUCUUGUAUUGCCCUUCACAUUUUAUUUCUCUCUUUUUCCUCCCAAUUUUCUUUUUCACAUACUUUCCUUAAUCUAAUUCAAGCCUUGAGGAGUCUAGUACAGCUCAUAGCAAAUACCUAAAUACUAAUGCCCCCAUAUCCCAAAUGCAAUUAGCAAGACUAAUGGGUUAAACCAAUUCUAGAACCUGCACUAAAACAUUUGAAUAAAGCUUUAUUUGAGAAAGCUUCCUCAACACUUAAAAGGAGAGUUUGAAGGUCAUAGUUCUAGACUGUUUGAAAUAGAAAUCUCAAAAGUAGACCCUACAUUUCCUAAAGAGACCCCCAUUUUUCCUAAAAUAUGAUAUGGAAAGCAGAUUCUUAUUUACUUCAAUUUUUGGAAUUGUUAAUAUGAAGUAUUUUAUGAAUAAAUGAAAACAAUUUUAAAAAGCAGAUGUUAAACUUAAAACAAAUCACACAACACCAGUAGCUUGUGGAAGAAUCAGACAUUCCCAACCUUCCUUACAUUCAAGCCAUUGUUAGGGAAACACUAGGGCUUCACCCCGGCUUUACUGUACUCAGUAGACAAUCCUCCCAAGACUGCACUGUUGCGGGUUAUCACAUUCCUGCAAACACAGAGCUCUUAGUUAAUGUGUGGGCUAGGACCCAAACUAUUGGGAGAACCCACUCGAGUUCUCCCCCAGCAGGUUUCUUAAUGAGGACGGAAGUAUAAAGAAGGGGUUGGAUGUAAAGGGACAGCAGUUUCUUCUGCUGCCGUUUGGGAGUGGAAGAAGGAUUUGCCCCGGAGCUUCUCUAACACUGCAAAUUGUCCCCUCAACCAUUGCUGCUGUAAUCCAGUGCUUUGAUUGGAAGGUCGGUGAUGGAGGAAAUGGUAGCAUUAAUAUGGAAGAGGGACAUGGUUCGUCCCGGGCACAUCCCUUGGUUUGUGUUCCAGUGGCCAGGUUCAAUCCGUUUCUGACACGUGCAGGUUGAAGAAAGCCUAAGAUGAUUGAGUACUAUCUGGGAUUUGACACUGUUUGAAUAAUGUGCUGAUGCGGCAGUGCUCCUUCAGCAUAUAUGUAAAGAUGUGAAUGUGCGUGCGUGUGUGUGAAAGUUGAAUCAUAUACUUGGUCGUUUCUAAGGAUGAAAAAAUAUAUAUAAAAAAUCAAAAGUAAAUGUUUCCCCACCGUGUAUAGAAACUGAUACAGUUGAAUGACACUUCUACACAAAAAUAUAUAUUUGUGUAGAAUAUUUUAAUAAAUAAACUAAUUUUAAUCAUUUUAUUUUUAAAUUUCAUUUAAUUGAUUAUAAAAAAAUAUAAAAAAUCAUGACAAUUUUCUUAAGAAGUUUUUCUUUAUAUUAUUUCUAUAUUAAUUUAAAAAAAUCAUAUAUCAUAAUUUAUUUUAUAUCAUGGAAAAUAUUUGAAUUAGAUGGAUAAUUAUUUUAUUUUCAAGUUCGACGUAUUAUUAUCAAUUAUCACAAAUUUUAUUAUAGUGUCAUUUCUUUAAAAAAUUUCAUACAUUUUUAUAAGUUUUUAUUAAUUUUUAUUUUAUUGAUAUUUUUUUAUCAAAUUUUUUAUUAAUAUUUUUUUAUAUCGAUAUAUUCGUAAAAAUCGAUAUUUCCAUCAUUUAUUAAAUAAACAUUCUAUUUUUUUAAUAGUGCAACUAGCACAUCAAAAUUUAGAUAUAAUUAUUCUCCAUUAAAAAAAUAUGCAAAUUCGACACCAAUUGCAAAUACAAAUUGAAAUAAAAUAUAAAAAAUUUGCUAUACUUUUCAAUAAUUGAUGAGAAGUAAGAAAUGACCAUUUCAAUGCAAAACUUGAUACCUAAUAAAAUCUCUAAGAAUAGUAAUUUGGCCAAGCAUGGGCAGGAGAAGUGGCGUAGUUGGUUUGUAAGGAACAUCCAUAAGAACCGAGGAGCUGCAAUAUCAAAAUCAAACAAGAACAUAUAUAGCAGCAAAUAACCAUCAAAUGUAAUUAGACCAUUUACAUAUAUACAAUAACAAAAUGUUAUAAAUUAAAUAACCAGUGAAAAUCAUAAACCAAAAAAGUUAUAAUUUAAUUAAAAAAUAUAACAAAAAAGAGGAAGCAUAAAAGGAACUUGCCUUAUCAGAAGAGCAGACAUGUCGGGUUGUACCUAGUUAAUGAAAGGAAGGGUUGGUAACAACAACCUAAUAACAACAUUGAUUCAUCAGUCAUAAAAAUGAAUUUAGAAAGACAAAAAAAAGUGUAUAGUUCAAUACAAAAUAAAGUAAAAAGAAACUCCACCUAUUGGGAUUCAUGGAUGAGGUUGAGAAAGUCCCGAGACAAAAGUGACAAAAUCACCAAUAUGGUAGCAUAAUGCAGAAAAGUUUUCUUGAAUUUGGGUAUCUACGCACAAAUUUCAUAAAUUUUGGUCAUGCAAAAUUAGUAAAACAAAUAGAAAAAUAAUGUGAAUAAAAUAUUUAUUAAAAUUGAAAAUAUUGUGGGUACAAUUUCAAAAAAUAAUAUUCUUUCUAAAAUAAUAUUUUCCCCCUGAUUCUCUUACCUUGAUCACACUUUGGAAGACAACAAUGACAUUUUCUUGAUUUCGAAGAUCAGUCGAGGGCAACAAGUGACUUAUUCCCGAAUGAACUCGUUGAAUGGUGAAGAACACAUGUAGCAAUUCUUUUGCUGUUUACCGAACUUGUAGGGAGAUUUGAUGAAGUUUUUUCUUUUAUUGUGAAACCUCUUUUCCUGUACGAAGUCACCUUUGAAUUUUAUCCUUAAGAUUUUUCUUUAUAGAUUUUUCUGAUUUCUGAAUUUCUCCCCCUUCUUGAUAGAAAGACACCUCUAUUUAUAGGUGAAGAUAGAAAAUUUAAAUUUCAAAUUCCCAAAUUUUAGUUGUUUAAUUCAAGGGAUUUAGUUCCUUGAUUUUAGCAAAUUUUCUUCUCCUGAUAGGUUUUACGAACAAGAUUAUUGUUAUUAUUAUUAUUAUCCUUUUUAUUGUUGGAGAUUAGGGAAACUUAUCCACAAGAGGAAUGUUUUUUUUUUAAGACCAAAUUAGUGGUAAUUUAAUCCACUAAUUUUUUAUGUCUACAAAAUGCCCUCACUUCAAGACACAUCAUGUACAUGCAUUGUCAUGUGGAUGGGAUGAGUCUUGAAGUAAUUUUUUUUUUCAAAGAAAUAUUUUAAUAGGAAGUUUCCUAUUUUUUCCAAAAAAAUAUUUAUUUUCCACUUUUUUAGAAACUCCACUUCGUUUUCCUACUUGCUUUACACUUUGAAUCCUCUUCCAAUUCGUUUUCCUUCUUACUUUAUACUUUCAAUUCUCUUCCAAUUUGUCAUCCCUAUAUACAUUUUGUUUUUAUAUAAAGGGGAUAAUAGUUGAGAAACUUGACUUGAAUUUUUUUAGAGAGCUCUUUUAAUCUUUGGGUGUUCUUCAACCCAACUUAAGAAACUCGACUUGAAUUCACCGCGAGAAAUCUUCACCACUUCAAACUUGUAAGUGUUUUUUUUUUUUUUUUUUUUUUUUUUUUUUUUUUUUUAUGGAAAAAAAAGUUAAACUUUACCAUGGAGAAAUGUGGGUGUAGCAUAUGGCUUGUGGGUCUUUGAUACCCACUUUCUAGUUUUAUAUAUAUAUAUAUAGUUGACACGCGAACCCACUUUCCAAUUUCCAUGUACAUAUAUAUACAUGUUGACAAGUGUUCUCCUUAUUUAUUGAUUUUUUUUUUAAGGAAGAAAAAGACUUACCUUUUUUGAACACGUGUCGACCUUCAUUAUUCGCAAAGACGAAUUUGAUUUUAGAUAAUUUAAUUAAUUAAUUUUUUAAUUACCUUAAUAUUUGGGGGGAAUUUUUUUUAAUAAAAUCAAAUAUCCAUAAAAAAUAUGAAUAUUUAAAAUUUGACUCUCGUGCAAUUAAGUCGUAGCCUUGACGCAAAGCGGUGUCGUAUUUUCGACACUUAUGUGCUACAGUCUUCACCCAUGUAAAUUGGCUUGACUUGAAUGCAUAGUGGUGUUCAAGUAUCUAUGCAAACAAGUUAUAGCCCUAAUGCUACGCGGUGUUGUAUUUUCGGCACUUAUGUGCUAAAGUCUUCACCUAUGCAAAUUGGCUUGACUUGAAUGCAUAGUGUUGUUUUCAAGUUUUAACAUUUAAUUAAAACUAGAAUAAUACUUGGUAUCUAUGCAAACAAGUUAUAGCCCUGAUGUUAUGCGGUGUUGUACUUUCAACCCUCAAUAUGACUUAAGUGCUAAAGUCUUCACUCAUGCGAAUUGGCUUGACUUAAAUGCAUAGUGGUAUAUAAAUCUUAUACCCAUAUUUUAUUCAUCUCUCUUUCUACCUUCCUUUUUUUUGUGUAGGAUGUCGUUCUUCAAAUGUUUCAAAGAGAAGAUCGUAACCAUUCUUGAGGAUGAUAGUGAAGAUUUUGAGGGGUCUACUUUGUCAGUGCAUAAGUCACUUACUGACCUUCAAUAUUUGUCAGUGCCAGUGACAAAGGACCCAUUACACGUUUCUUCCUGGUCCCAAGUUGCAUCUGGCAAGCUCACAAAUAUCAAUAAUUCAAAACUUAAUAAAGUGAAACUUGUUUCUAAUGUUCUCUUGCUAAAUUCCUCUCAGCCAACUACUACUGAAGUUCAUGAUGAAUUUAGAUUGUUAGGUUCUCGUGUUCGUGAUGGAGAAGCCAAAUAGGGAAGCUCAUUCAAAGUACUUGGGGAAUCCUUCUUUACCGAAGGAUAUUGGGAAUGGGUUGAGGAGGUAUGGGGUCAGCAUGAACCAAUUAUUAAAGGAUGUAAGCUUUAGAAGUUAUUUUUGUAUCCUUAUUCAACUAUGAUUGUCAUGCCUCUGUGAUUAGGGCCUUUUGCGAACGUUGGUGUCUUACCACCAACACCUUGCAUACUUCCAUUGGAGAGGUUUCCAUCUCUUUUUGGGACUUGUAUCGUAUUGUUGGAAUACCCAUCAUUGGAUCUUUUUAUGAUGAGAUGGUACCAAGCACAAAAAAUUUAUCUAAAGAUGCAACAAAAUCCUCACUCCCACUAAGUUGUCGAAACUUAUUCCUUGCAUAUCAUUGAAUUUUCUCUGAGAUGAAAAGGAGGUCUUCAAUCAAGUUAGCCUCUUGGGUGUCAUUUUGGUACAAAGGCUCCAUGAAGUAUGCAAAACCUCCAAAGAAAAGUACAAGGAAUAAGGCGUAGAGGCCUAAAGAGACUCAUAACCCCUUUGGGGAAAUUGAUCUUGUUAAAUCUCGUACUUAAUCGAAGAUGGAAGUUUUUGACAACCUUGGCGUAGCCGAGGCAGAUGUUAAAGAGACUUACUUGGCCACUUUCUUGGCAUGUUAGUUAUGCAAGUUCGUUAUUCCUUAAAGGGGUGUCAAUUUGAUUCGUCCUGAAAUCUUCAAGGUAGCUAGUAGAAUGGCUCAAGGUGAAACAUUUAGCCUUGUUAUUCCGUUGUUAGCAAGCAUUUACAAUGGCUUAAAUGAAAUCGCUUGUUCUUCGAAGCUUGGGACUAAUUCAUCUAUUUUCCCUAUUCAUUAUUUAUACGGAUGGUUAGGUGAAUAUUUCGAUACCCAUUUCAUUUCUCCUUCUUAGAACCAUCCCCCACAGAUGACUUAUUAUGCUGACGAGUUUUCUGCUAAGUGUUUUAAUGAUUUGUAAACUCAGGCUUUGAUCAUGUCUUGCAAAGGCAUAAAGCUGGACUACUUGACGUUGCGCCACAAAGAGCGUGUGCAUUGGAUUGAUAAUGAAUCUAUUAGUGUUAUCAAAGCUUCUUAUCUAAUAAGUCUUUGCUCUAGCUAUUUAUCUUUGCGAUAAGAUAACCAUCGGGUGAUCCAAUCGUAUUAUUCUCAUCGGUUUUCUAGGCAAUUUGAGUAUCCUUAAGACCUUUCGAGGGGUCUACCAGAGAUUUUUCGCAUUGGAAUUUUAGAGGCGGUGUAUCAACAUUGGGAGUCAUGCAUUAGACUUGGUACCUACUCCAAAGUUAUUAUACUAGACUAUCAUAGUCUUGAAGAGUUUUCAAUCACCAAGGCUUAUGCGGAUUAGUGGAUCAGAGUUCGUAAUCCUGAUGAGGAAAUUCUUAUUGUUGCUUGUAUGGAGCCCCCUCUUGAUUAUCCUCGAAAAAUACUGAUGCGACUCAUGGUAGCUUAGCUUUAAAGGCGUAUCAACAAAAUUUAUACCUUGAACACUAUUACUAAAGUAGCCAAGCUACUAUAGCAUAGUGGUUCUAGGAUCGUUCACUGGGAAGGGUUUUCGCAAACACAAGUGAUAUUCAAAUUAGGAAAAUAGGUGAUUUUCUUAUGGAUGUUAGCUUUAAAAGAAGAUAUAAAUGUUUUAGAAAGAUUUAAACUAAUCUAAGCUAACAUUAAAGACUAAAAUGAAAGGGUGUAAAAACAAGUUUCUCAAAGAUAGGAUAGCUAUACUCUGGCUCUUAUGCAAAUUGGAAAUCUCAGGAUAGGCUCCUCGAGUUGGGGUUGCAACUAUGGUGAUGCUUGCUUCUCGAACCGGUAUGGAUUUAGCAAAUCAAGUUUUAAUCCUUUAAAAUGGCAAAACAGAUGGUAGUGAAUUUCAUCAAUGGUUAUUCACCUUAAACUUCCUUUGAAUGGCUCGUAAGAGAUAACUAAUGGUCUAAAGUCAAAAGCUUACCAAAUAUUGGCAACUCAAAGUCAUUCCAAGUGAUAAACUCACAUUUCAAUGGCCAUUGAAAUUGGUUCUAACGGAUUAAUGCAAAACUUGGAAUUGAAAACCUCACCUUCCAAUAGCUCGUAGGAGAUAACUAAUGGAUAGAAAUCCAAAAGCUUAUCAAGUAUUGGCCGUUGGAAGUUGUCCAAAGGAAAUAAAAACCAAACUUUGCAUUAAUGAACCUUUAAUGAAAAACGACUACCUUACCUUCCGGGUGCGAGAAAUUUCCAUGGGAUUGCAUCCAAGCCAUCACAUAACAUCCAUACUUUGAGAAACUAAAAGUUUUAGCCAAUCAUCCUCUGAGGAAAAGCCCUCAGAGGCUGUUUGGCUUCCAAGAAAAUAAAAUAGUAAAGAGAAAAAGAGAAACGAGAGAGCUCUGUAUCUAUUCUCUAAGUGUCAAACGUAAUAUGUAUUCUAUAUAUUCCAAGAGGUGAUUUCCACCCCUUAUAUAGUCUUUACAAAAGCAAAAGCUUGUGAUUGGUUAGUUACAAGGAUAAGAAAGGAAAUUACAUCACAAAAUACAAAGGAAAAUAUCUAAAGUGGAGUCGGCAAAAGCAGAGGAAAAUUCGCAACACGCAUGGGUUAUGUGAAUUUUGAAGGUGUUAUGCGAAUUUCGCAUAACACCUUGUGUUAUGCGAAAUUUUCGCAUAACGUGGAGCAGUUGGCUUCCGAAGGCCAUAUCUUCCUCAUUUCAGCUCCAAAUCGUACACGGUUUGAAGCGUUGGAUUCUUGACUUCCAGAGCUUUGAAAUGGUAUAUAGUAUGUAAAAAAUUGACUUCGGGAAGUACUCCAAAAGUGCGAAAGAAGACUGCAGCUGCUGUCCUCUUUGCUUCUCUUCACUUUGCUUGCUUUUCCUCUUUUCCAUUGUUCUUUCCUUGCAUACUUUGAACGACUUUGGCAAAGGGCUAUGGAGCUCCAAAGCUUGGUUCUUCAUAAAUUUGAGCUUCCAAAAGCUUUGCCUUGCCAUAACUUGUCCAAGUAGCUCCUCCAUCAUUUGGCAUGCUUGAAUUGAUUCAUAAGCUGAUAAAAACAUGUAAACUUGCCACAAAAUGGUUAAAACUAAUUACUAAGGACCUUAAUGAAUUAAUUGGGUUAAAUGAAUAUGAUUACUACUCAAAGGUGCUUAAAACCAUUAUAAUUAGGUCUACAAAAUAGCACUUUUUGGUAGUAAUCAAAUACCCUUAAAAUCUUUAAAGAGUAGAACGUGCAAGGUCGACUCAAGUGUUUUCACUAAGGAGAAUGUUAGAGAUAAUGUUGAAAAAUAUUUUGAUGAUUUACCUAAUGAUUCAAGAGCUUCUUCUAAGCACUCAAUGGGUGGACAUCAAACUAAUACCUCCACACACUCAAAACACGAGGAAACUAUUUUCACUGGUGGUAGUACUCACUGUCACAAGACUUUUAAGCAACAUAACAAUGCACAAGGUCUUUAUGUAUCACACGACAACUCUGAAAAUACAAGUGAAUGUCACUUCAAGUGCCGAAAGAUUAUAACCAACCCUAUGUACUAUGAUGAGACUAACUCUCAUCCUCUUGAUGUAGAUGUCUUCUUUGCUGACGUCCCAACUUUUACUCAGCCGAUGAAACUUGAUGGUGAAGAGGUAAAUUUUUUUUUUAAUACUAACAAAAAUAAAUAUUUUCCUUAGGUGGCAGGUGACAACCAAUUUUUCGAUGAAUGGGAUGAGUCCUCUCCUAAGGAUCGGUUCGAAAGUAUUGUUGCUACUAAGGAGUCAAUGCCCUUUACCUUGACCCUACAAUGAGAUAAUCACUCUAUCAUCUCAUUACCUUUGUCUCAUUCUCAUUUGGGUGAUGAAGGUAUUACUAACAUCUUAAGUGAUGUUUUGAUUGAAUCUCAAGGUCAAAAGACCACAAUUGGAGAUAUAACAUAUGAUGAAUUGACACUUUUAGUAGUUGCAGGUUUAAUUGUUGAACAACAAUCUCCAUGCCCUACUGUGGUUGCUCCUUCUAUUUCCAUUCACACAUUCGACGUCGAACAAAUCAUUCUUAAUGCCUAACGCCAAGCAUCACUUAUAAUAGGAGAAGACAUUGAGGAGAUGAUUAUCAAAACUUUCAAUGAGUAUCUCCCAUUAUUGAGAGGAAAAAUUGAUGAGCUUUUCAAUGCUAUCACGAAGAUUGGAGUGGACCCUUCACCAUUAAAGUCUCAAAUUGAGAAGUACAAGGAAAGUGUAGAUCACCUUGAUGCAGUGCAAUGCACCCAUUCUAUGAAGAUCUCAGGAAGUACAAAGCGAACGUUUAGCUAUUGUUGCGUCUUAGAUUAUGGAUGCUCUAAACUUUGAGGGUCUAUAGGCAAACCGUCGUCAAUCAUUAAAAGUUGACUUAGCUACUCUCAAUGCUAAACAAGAAGCACUUAAGAAGGAAUUGGAGCAACUAGGUAUACAAAAAGAGCGCCUUCACAACUUAAUCUUGGAGAUCGAUGAGAUUAUAACCAAUAAACAGAACGAUGUUUCUCGCUUGAGGAAAUAACACAUCAUUAUCGCCCAAACCCCCGUGCUUACUGAUGUCGAUGUCAAGACUUUAGAGACACUUCAAGAAGCCUUAAGGACUCAACGUGAGGAGCUUGCAUACUUGGUGUGGAUGUGAUCGUUUUACCUUUUUACUUAGUUUUAGCUUUCAUUCUUUUCCUUCAUUCAUUUAUUUAUUUUUAUUAAGAUAUAAUAAAGUCUAGCAUUUGUUAGUCAUAUUUAUUUAUUAAUAAAAAUAAGACUUUUUUUUUUUUUUUGGUAGUGACUGAACUUAAGUGGUUUCCCUGAGUUACCUACGUACUCUUCAAAGAGAGAGGAUCAAGUCAAAUGUAGUUCCAUUUUUUUUCAUGCUCUAACUUUUUCCAAGACUAGAAGAAAAAUUUAAUCUUACAAGCAUAUGUCCUAAUUUUUGCCUAAGUUGCCUUUUUAGGUUUUCAACUUAGCGGACUUUUUUUUUUUUUUUUGGUGUGCCAUACGCAAUUUAUGCUCAUGCAAGCUAGGAGCAUCACUUGUCUUGAGUUUGAUUGAAGGAUGAUAAAUUCACAUCCUUGGAACAAAGUUUAAUUGAGGGUCAAAGAUGACUUAUUCUCAACCAAACUUGUGAAGACCUUUCUUAAGCAUUUUGGAGAAUAAAAGAAGUCCUUUGAAUUCGUCUUGAUUUUCUUCAGCCUUAAAAGUGGAUGAAUGACACUUUUGUAUUGUGUUUGAUAUUCUUCCACGAAUUUGUUGAAGAAUGUGUCAAGCUUGGACUUGAUUUUAAUCCAAGGGUGGUAAACACGUGUUCUUGGAGCAAAAUAUAAUUGAGGGUCAAUGAUGACUUGAUCUCAAGUAAACUUAUCAACAAUUUCCUUAAGUGUUUUGAAAAACCCAACCUUGUCUUCUUUAGCUUUGAAGGUGGAUGAAUGACACUUUUGUUUGUGUUUGAUAUUUUUCCACGAGUUUGUUGAAAAAUGUUUGGAGUUUGAUUUUAACUUUUGAAGCUUCAUUUUUGGAUUUAGCUUCUAGGUUGCAUCGCCCUUUUGAGAACGUGUCAUGCUGAAAAAAAAAAACGCUUGUAUGUAGAGAAGCUGGAGAUUUUAGUUUAUAAUAUCUGAAUUUGACUUCUUUAAUACAAAGAGUUUAUUCCUCGGUUUAAGAAGUUUGCCAAGAAUGAUUUUUUUUUUUUUUAAGUUCUUGUAGGAUAAGAGCAAUAUGUAGUUUAUGCUCAUGCUUUAAGGAGCAUCAUUGGAAUGCUGAGGUUUGAAAACAAUUGUGGUAAAAUUUGAUGUCAUGCUCUCUUCAUCAUCACUGGUGAAAGUGAUGGUUGCACAACAUGUUGCAUAAUUGUGGCAUUUGUUCUCAAAUUGUUUUACCCCCUUUAUUAUUGUAGCAUAGAGUGAUGGAUUCCUAUGUAUCUAGAUCAAAGCAAUUUGUGUUUUCUCAGAAAGUUGUAGCAUUUCAUAGAUACCAAAGAAUGAGAGUAAGCAUUGUAGAUUUGCUACUACCUCAUCCUCUUCCUUGGUUUUGCUUGACUCUAUACCAAAAGUGUUUUCUUCAUUUUCACUUGGUUUAUCUUCUUUCGAAUUUUCAUGACAAGGGACCAUAUGGGUUGAUGUCAUUAUCCUCUAUUGAAGAACUCUAGAGGAAAGUAUUCUCCUAAGGUAACGGGGUGAUGAGCUUUUGUACCAAGAGGUCAUCAACUUGUACAAUCGCUUGUUUUCUUUUAGGUUUCUUUUCUUCUUUUUUCUUCGCAUGUCGAUGAAUAUUUUUCUUACGUUGCUCCUUCCUAGGAAGAUUUGGGUAUGGAUGAGAUUCUUGCUUCUUACAAGGUCUUCUUUGUGUCACUAAUGUCCAAUCUCCUUCAUUAUACGAUAUUGAUUCAUUAUCAAAAUAGAAGUGAAGAAGGGUGUCUUAACAUGACACUUGUGUUUGCUUUGGUUUUGGUGACUUGCAUUGGAUAGUACCGGUGCAUGACCCCAGUGUCUUAGGUGGAACAUUUAACGGAACAGGAUCAAAUGACCCAAAUGUGACUGUAGCAUGAUUUGACUCUACUACUUCAUCCAGAUCUAAAUGAAUUCUUUCUUGCUUUGCAAGUUUCAUUAUGAGAUCUUUUGAAAUGAAACAUUUCUCCAUAGGAUGACCGACAAUUCGAUGGUAAUGAUAGUAGUUUGGAUCAUUAACAUGACCCAUUUUUUUUGGACACUUUGUGGACCCGCAUUUUUCACGUGCGCCCCCACUCGAUUCGGCGAGACUCUCUUUUUUAUUUGUGAAAAAUUGAUUUUUGAAAAAAAAGUUGGAGUCGCCACUUAUUUUAUUUUUAUUUUAAAGGGAAAAUAAAACAAGAAAGAAAAACCCUAAAAAAAGUGACUCCAUAAUUUUUGGAAAAGCAUGUCUUUGAAAACCCAAGUCUUGGUCCGGGGAUCAGGUUACUUAUUGGGAAGGUACCUCUAGGAGGCAGCACCCCUCUAAGCCCUCUAAAGGUCUCUACUGACAAAGUUAAGGGAAGUGUGGCCAUUAAUUAGUUAAUUAUGGAUACCUAAGUAGACUAGAUGAUUUCGAAUAUUGCAUGCCUAACAAGAUCAAAUAACAAUGAAGGAAAGUUAAGGAUGCGUACCUAGACGGCUUCCCAAGCGCUAUCAUAAAACAUAAAAGUUAGUGUAGAAAUGUAGCACACAACAUUUGUUUUAUUCAAGCAAGUCAGGCAUAUAUCAAGUCAUCCAAGAAUCACGUCAAAUAUGGAUAUGGUCAUCAAUGGCAUACGAGUCUAUAGAGUUCUAAAAAAUAGAUGAGAAGAGAGCGUACUUGGAUAGCAAGCUAGUACUCCUCUAUGGGAAUCAAGAGCAUCUCAACAAUAAAUAUGAAACAAAUUCAUGUAUAUCAUCAAGAAGAAUAAAAAAUCAAAAUAUCAAGCAAACAAUAUUGAAGAAGGUAUCAUGAAUGUCGGGCCCCCACCAAAGCCCUAAUUAAUUUUGCAUGAAUUGAUUCCAUAAAAUCCAUGAUUUGGAAUUAUGAAGUUUAUUCAUGCUUGUUGAAAAUCAAGAAAAAUCAAGAAAAUAGUUAAAAAUCAAAGAAAACAGUGAAAGUGCAUACCCGAAAUAAAGUGGCAGCAAAUUGCAUGUUAAAAUCUGGAUUUUGUACCUAAAUGCUUCUAAGGAACCUUAGAGAAACCAAAUUCAUUUUUGAUAGAAAAUGGUUUUGAAAUCCGGCUUUAAGACGUAUAAGAUCAUAAAAAGAAGAAGAAACAAUAGGAGGAGUACGAUGUGAGGCAAGGCGGCCAAGCUGGAUUAGUGUCUAGGCUGCUUUUGAGACUGAGUUACUUAGGUUGCCUGAUGGAGUGGAGUUCGGGAUAGAAAGACCCAAUUCGUUGCCAAAGUAUUCAGUGAUCAGAAGCAUUUCCAUUUAUAAGAUAACUUGGUUCAUAAGCUCAGAUGGAUUCUCCCCAACGCUGGUCAAACACUGAACAUAAAGCUCAAAAUUCUUACUUUUCUGUAUUGCUAUUAUUUCCUGCAUUUUGUGCUAUUUUCUCAUCAUCAAGGCUUGAUUCAUCAGCUCCUCUAGAAUACAUACCCUUGUCGUUGCCUUUUUCUACCUUUUCAAUAUUUUCAGCUUGCUGCAUCCUUAUGAAUUCUCCUUAUUUUUGGAAUCUCCAUAUCUGACUUCUCAGGGCCAUUUUCUUGAACAUAUAAGCUCCUUGUUGCUCAUUGUUGUUAAUGCUCUUGUCUUCACUGGUGAAGUUAGCAAGCAAUGAAAUUCUGGGUUUUGCAUCAUUUUCCUUAGUUCAGGGUUGGAAUAAAGGGGGAGGAGUAUUGAAGCAUUUUUAGCAUGGUUGACGCUACCAAAAUAACCACCAUUUUGCCAACUGAUUUUAAUAUUGGAGAGAGUAGAAGCUGAAGCUUUUUGGUCUUCUGUGGUCAGAAGAAGGAUGCCUGCAUUUCAGGAAUACAACUUUAAACAAUUCCUAAUGAGACCUUCUUGUACCAGCCACUGUUUCAUUUUUUUAAUAUCUUCUUUCCCCAUAUUUCUGAAUUUAAAUUCUGGGAUCCCAUGCAAAGUUUCAUUGGAUACGAAUAUUUCUGACAGGUAGCCUAACUCCGACAUGUAAUAACUUUGAUGAAUUCUGGGUUCGCAUCUGGUGUGGAAAUGUAUAGAAGAAAGAAUCUCUUAUAUUAACAUCUAGAUUUUGUUUCUAUUGUCAACUUGCUCGUAGUUAAAUUUCUUCAACUGAAUACUCGCAUCCUGAUUGAUAUUCUGAUGUUCGAUUUCCCGAGUAACUUUUCAUUCUUCAAGCAUAUCAAUUUGCCUAUGAUCAGAAAUUAACCUUCAGCCAAUAGGUUUCAAUAACUUAUUCGCAUGGAUGAAGGUAAAUGAGCAGUAAGUUAGAGACUUUCUGAUGUAUCCUGCAUUUCUGGACUUUCAUGAGUGGCUGUCAAGAAGAUACCAAGCUCCACCAUCCUCUUGCUUCUCUUGUGGUUUCUUCUUUGCUAUUUAGAUUUGCUCAGACAUUUUUUGUUCUCCUUGAUUCUGCGAAUUUAACUUUUUGAGCAUUUGGAACAUGAAUCGUGACCUUCAAAACCCUUAUCAUGACAAAGAUCACCAUCCCCUCUGUUACCUCUUUCAUUGCAUAUCUCGUUUAAUAAUUGAUGUCGACAUCUUUCUGAACAAAAUCAGAAAUGAUGGUAGUCCAGGAGACUACAUUGCAGAUUGUCAUUCACAAAAAGUUCUUCACAGAUUGUUCAUUAUCCUUGCAUUUGGCAUACAAUACAAAUUGGAGUGGAGAGCAAGUUGAAUUCUUUUAAAUUCCAUCUUUCUCAUCAAUAAUCGUGACUGCAUUCUGAAUCUUAUGCAAGACAAUUCCUAAAUCCUCCAUUUUGAAAUAUAAUGCUUGCUUCAUAAUACUUUUCUGAUUAAGCAACUCCUUCAAUAGGCUUUCAAAUCUUUAGAGCGGUUGGAUAAGCAUCGUCUAACAUAGUGGCUUUGGCUUCGAAGAUUUCGGCUCCAAAAUUUACCGUGUCUAAUACUCCCAUGUAUAUCAUUGCACCAAGUCCUAAAAGAAUUAAGGACCUCAACAAUCUGGUCUACAGAAUCAUCAAUAGAAAGUGUGACUUCAUCAAAGCUGCUGGGUCCAAAUUUUGCAGUAGAUGAAGAGACCGUAUUCCUGUGAGCAUCAGACUCUGAAUUGUAUGAAAACUGGAUUGGACCUUUUCUUUAAUUGUAUAGACGAUGUGACUAAAGUAUCCUCCCUACUCCAUUGAAAUCCUUAGUCAGUUGAAGCUUUUGAGAGGUGUCCUUCAAAAAUAUUUUUGACAAUUGAACCUGGGUACUGGUCUAAUUGCUGCUGCCUUGAAAUUCUGGUUGUCAUUUCCAUGGGCUGAAUGCAGAGAUUUGCUUGAAGAAUUCGAAUGAAAUCCAACACUGCAGGCGACUAUAAUGGUAAGCGAAAUCAAACAGGAGGAGAACUUUUGACGAGAGGUCUUGAUGGGAUUCCGAGUCUUAGUGAUGAAAUUAUUCUCUCAGUGUGAACCUUGGCGAAGAUCCCUGCUUCCAUGUCAUGUGUCAUGGAUCCAUCAAUAGAAUCUGUAUCUUUAAACUUGGUAUUGUCCAAUCUAAUUGUAUCAAAAGAUGUAGAAGGAAUAAUAACUGGAUGCAAAUGUAGCUUAUAAAGAGUAGACAUAGAAACUGAAUUCGCGUUGGUUUGGAACUCGGAUUCCUUGUAUUUAUGUGAAUGAACCAAACAUGACAAAGCCAAAUCCUCUGGCCAAAAACAUAUGCGGCUGCUGGUCAAUCAGUGGGAGGAGAUUCCCGACACUUAUCCAAUGCAUGCCGAAGAGGAAGUGAUACAUCAGCAGGCAGUGAAUCCAGCUGUUGAAGUCCAAAUUCUUCCUCAACCAUUGCCAAGGCUGUCGACUCCUCAGAACUGGAAGAUGCUCCUGUAGCAAGGUUACCAUAAACACCAGAUGAAGGUUUUCUCCCCACUGGUUUCGCACCAGAUAACAGACUUUGGAAGGAAACUAUCUCUCGGGCCCAGAUAACUGAAUGGUCAUCUUUACGAAUCAGAGGUGAAAGGUCAUUUAUAUUAGCAGAAUUACAUCCUCACUACAAGCAGUGUUCAAGCCAUCUGAAUAGACGAGGAGGAGUUGUCUGGGAAAGACAGUCUUUACACAUCUCAAGUUUCUUAGGAAUACCAGGAAAAUCAUGAACAUAAUGGUCCAAAUAACUUCCCUCUCCUAGAAAAUUAGCAACAUUACAUAAUAGAACCACUAGAAGUCCCAAGUCCUUUUUGCGAAGAUAAUCUAAUUUCGAACUUUCAUAUACCGCAUGGAGGGGAUCCAAAGUCUCCUUCAAAGGCUCGGAAUAGGAUAAUUUUUCUGGGCUUCAUCUACCAUCCGAAUACGAUUUAGAAGAAUCUGAUUCCUGCAACUCAAGUGACAUUUUGGAAGAAAUCCCAGUGAUCAAAUUAAGUUCAAAGUAGUUCUUGUGUAAGUUGCUGUUAAUAAGAAACUCCCAGGAUGUGUGUGGCUCUAUAUCCAUGAGCUUUGGAGGAAUUAAUCUCGACUUUUUGCACAUAUACAUUUUGAUACUACUAAAAGACCCCCAUUCUGAAUCAACAUUAAAGUCACUGGCAGUGAUCUUUUGUAUUAUUAUCCAACAAGAAUUACCCUCUUUGUGAGACUUUGGGAAGGCGGGUUGAGAGUGGAUUGUCCACAAAUUUUCUGGUCUCUUACUGAGUUAGCAUCAAGAUAUUCUCGAACAGCUUCAUCGACAUUUUCUGCAGUAGCUUUGACCAGCUUAGCACUUUAUUACUCGGUUUGCUCUGAUAGGCGAUUUCGGAGGGGUUCCUCACGGUCAUUUCCAAUCUAAUUGGACACCAAUGAAGUAUUUGAAGUUCACUCUUUUGGUCACGCCUGGGCUGCAAGUGGAAUAAGUUCCAUAAUUUCUUUCCUCUCUUUGUGUAAUUGAUCAACCGAACAGUGAUUUCAUAAACUGUAAUUCACGGUAUUUUGGCCAGCUUUCAAUCCAAGGGCCAUAGCUUUUUGAGGGUUGAAUUUCUCCUUAAAUGAUGAUCCCAUACUAGACACCUCUGCCCCUCCCUUCAGACCUGUUGCCCUCAUCAGCACCUUUUCAGAUAAAGGCCCACAAUGAUCUCAAGCAUACUGCCGCGCAUGCAUCCGUCGUAGAAUAAGGUGAAAAUUCUGAUGCUUCUCGUCAGACGCUAGUUUGAAAUCCAAGAAAGAUGGGAAUUUCUGUAAAAAAAGAUUUAAGCCCGCUAGACUCAUCAUGUUGUAAUACCUCUGCUUUGUGAUCAUAUAUUGCUGAUUGCCUCAAGUCAACUAACUGAACAGAACCUCCUGAGAUCUCCAUACAACCCAAUUGCUCUGUUCGCAGCAAUAUCCUCCUUAGACAUGUCUUCCGCAGCCCCAAAUUUUCUUCCUCGCUUCCCUUUGAAAAAUUGAAGGGAACGAGCCAUCUUCAAAUUUACCUUCGAAUGAGCAUCGAGCACAAUUGUGUAAGCGAUAACAUCAGGUUUAAUACCUCGCUCCUUCAUAUCACUGAAAAUAUCACGGGCUUUUCGCAAGCAAUUCACCCUGCAAUAGCCAUUUAUCAUCAUUGUGUAGGUGAUGACAUCAGGAGUUAUUCUUCUCUCAACCAACAUAUCAAACACCAAUUGAGCCCUUUUCAUAUCUCUAUCCCAACAAGAGGCACCUAUAAGUUUACCAUAUCAAUGAAGACGACCUCUGCUCCUUUUAAUUUUAUUUCACUACAGAACCCACGAAUGACUGCUGCAUAAGCAAAGGCAUCAAUUGGCCACUUUGCUGCUCUUAAUGCUCGGGGGGCUUCAUAAUCCAAAUCCGACCCCUUAUGGGAACAAAACCUUUCAAUAUAUGUACUGCACAUUAGGGCAGUAGGGUUCACUCCAACUUCUUCCAUCUCCCUAAACGCAUCAACAACUUCUUCAAAAUUCCUCUUCCUACAAAGCGCCUUUAUGAAAAGGCCAUAAGUAUAAUCAAUUGGGUUCAAGCCCAACCUCUUCAAAUGUCGAUAAAUUGCCACCGCCAUAUCAAUCUUCCCAUAUUCAAUCAAACGAUUCAUCAAAAAAAAAUUGCAAGACAUUAUAUGAGGAACAAACCCUUGUCUUCUUGUUUGAAACAGAGCAUCAUUGGCUUUAUCAAACAUACCAACCCUAACAUAGGCCUUAGCCAACAUAUCAAGCACCAGAAUCAACGCACUCGAAUGCUCAUCCUCAACUUUUGCCCUUAUAUGCAGCCUCCGUAGAACUAAUUCGAAUUGCUACUGAAGGGAAACGGCCCAGAUUGUUUUUCAGAUUCUGACACAUCCUCUGUGAGAGCUCUUGAUGCAGGAAAAGAGUAUCCUUUUUUUUUAUUUUCAAUUUUUAAUUCCAAAACAGAGACCAAAUCUUGAAGACCGGGAAUAGAGCUUGUUGAGGUGUGGGCCAAAAUAGAAGAAAACAACAAAAACGUAUGGAAAGAGGAGAAGGAUGACCAACAAAAGUCACAAUUUUACAUUUCAAUCUAUUAGCUCAGAAUAGGGGAGUGAUUCAGGAUAAGAUUUGAAAAAAAAAAAGGGAGUGGUUUCUACCAUCCAGUCCGAAGAUGGACAUGUAUGCAAUUUAUUUUCAGAUGGGAUUAAUGACAUUAACAGAAUGAAGAACAUACCAAACAAACAAAGAUUUAAUUUCAACACAGCAAUUUGUGGCCCUUUCUGUCCACACCAAUCAGCAAAAUAAACACCCAGAACCGUCAAAGGAUCCUCAAGAAUGGAAUAAGAUAAAGCAUAGGUAAAUAGUCGCAAAACAUACCUGGGUGGUCUUGGCUGCAAUGGUUCUUUUUUCCUCUCCUUGCUUCCGCUGUGCUUCUCCGCAAAAAAUCCUCCAAUGCGUGCUGCUCCAAAAAGAAUCUCCUCCCUCAAUCGAAAAAAAAGCUCUCUUUCCCUCUUUUACCUCUCUCACGUAUAUCAUAUAUAUCACCUCCCAAAUCCUAAAUUUGUUCCGAAAAGAAAAUCCCCUCUUUUCUCUCCUCUUUUCUCCUUAUCAUUUUUUAAAUCUUCCAAUUCAAAAGCAAUCUUCUCAAUUUCAAAUUCCUCUCCAAAACCUUCCAAGGAGAGUCCCACCUUCCUUAAACUCCAAUAGUAAGUUUCCUUGCAAAAGCAUGAAAUUUUAGAAGUUAAACAAUUGCAUGAAUAGAUAAAUAAGUAAAUAAAUUAGAAAAUGGUAAAAAUAAUAAAUAAAUAAAUAAGUUAAGGAAAAUAAUAUAAAGAGGAAGAUAACCAAUAAAAAGUGACUGAUAAUCAUAAAACUAAAACUAAAAAUAAAAAAAUAAUAAUAAAAAUAAAAUAAAAUAAAAUAAAAAUAAACAAAUUAACAAAAAAUGGGCCCCACGAGCCAUGCAAACACGCAAGUCAUAUAAGUCACGCUAAAAAAAGUCUUAAUAGACCCAGUAUACCUAAACGGGCCUAAGGUGAGACUAAGUGGGCCUAAGGUGGUGCCUAAUGGGCCAAGUGUAUCUAAAAGCUAUCCUAAAAAAAACAAGAAAAGCCUAAGUCUAAGUUAGGGCUGCCAAGGGUCACAAUAAGGGACCAAAUAAUCCAUCAACAAAAGUCUCCAAGGUGACUCAGAAAAAGGUAAGUGGUGAGUAGUAUUGGGCCACCAAGGAACUACUGUGGAGCAUUGAAAACGAACUUAAAGACAUGUGUUAAAGGGACAAAAUUGAGGGUCUACACACUUGCACUCAGGUAACUCAAUAACUUUUUUCUGGAGCAAGUCUUCCAAUAUGUUCGGCACAUUAGAGUCAGGAAAAGGAUACUUCUUUUCCUCUAAUUCCUUCAAGGUGAACCGAUGCCUCUCAUUUUUCUAGGUUGGUCUAGCCUUUUUUACUUCCUUUUUUUUUAUCUAUUGCUAAGAUUUUGGCAGGAGCCGUAUUUAUCGUCAUUGUCUCUUGGAUAGGUUUCUUUGAGGUCUUGUCACUCUUUUUCCCAUCAUGUCUCUCUCUUUGCUGAUCAAUGGUAAGGUCUUUCUUAGAACCAUGGUUGGCUAUGCUGAGUUCCAUAUCAUGUGCUCGAGUAGCUAAUUUUUCAAAGGUACGGGGUUGUAUCCCUUGGAAAAUGUAUGAGAGACCCCAAUGCAUUCCUUAUAUGCACAUCUCCAUGGCUGAUACCUCAGAUAAUCUAUCUUUGCAGUCAAGGCUUAAGGAAUGCCAAUGGUUGAUAUAGUCUACAACUGGCUCGUCUUUCCAUUGCUUAGUGUUAGUAAGUUCCAUCAUGCUUAUAGUUUGUCGGGUGUUAUAAAAACGGUUGAAGAAUUCACAUUCCAUUUGGUCCCAACUAUCGAUACACUCAGGGGCAAGGUCUAUGUACUAAUCGAAAGCAUUCCCUCAAAGAGAACGAACGAAUUGUUUAACUAAUAAGUCACCAUAUGUACCUGCAUUAUUACAAGUUUCGACGAAAUGGGCAACAUGUUAUUUUGGAUUUCCACUCCCGUCAAAUGAUUCAAAUUUUGGAGGUUGAUAACCCACAGGUAUACGUAGGUUAUCAAUCCUCUUAGUGUAAGGUUUAGAGUACACAAGUGUACUCUGUGAGGGUCCACCGUACUGCGCUUUAAUGGUGUUAGUUAUCAUGUCCUAAAGUUGUUGGACAGAUAAUGAUGCCACUGAGGCAGAUUCCGCCGUUUGUCUCUCAACUUGCAUUGUCCUAUACGUAUGUGGUGCAUCAUCGAGAGGAGAUGCAACAUUCAAAAUGUGGUUGAGUCCUUGACUUGACUCACCCAUAUUUUGUAUUUGUGCCUCAACCUUGUUUAUGAAGGAGACUAUUUGCAUAUCCUUCUCUUCAACCGUCUUGGUGAGUUUGGCGAUGGUGCGAGCCAUCUCUACUAAUUAUUCCUUUAUGGAUGUAGUGUCGGAUACUAUUACUGGCAUAGUCAUCGAUAAGUGAGAAGUAAAAAAGUCGAAAUGAUUGGAGUAGUUUUCCUUAUUUGGCAUUCUGGUUGGCGAUCCGGAGUAUAAGCCGGUGCUAGAGUUGGCAUCGGGUAAUAGAGCAAGGAGAUUUAUCCCCAAAGUCCUGUAGUGUUGAAGGGAGUUUUUCCUUGCUACGAGGACUAUGACUCUUUGCCCCCAGAGAUCAAGGUGAUGAGUGGUUAGUGCUCAUCACAUGUCCUUACUGGUUUUAGCAAACAAGUAGACUCACUUGUUUGUUUUGUUGAGAGUGAAAUGUUGAUUUUACUUUGCUAUGAGUCGUGGGGCCCGUAGAGGCGUCAUGUGUCGAUUGUGCAAUGACAAUCUUGUCAUUGCCGUUGUUGACAUGCACAACUUGAGUUCUUUUGGGUAUCAUCGACGUAGUAGAGAUCAAUCUUCUAACAAAAGAGAUGAGAGACAGAGAGGUUCCACCGGGUGUGCAAAAAAUUUGUACACACAAGUUUCGUAAAUUUGGUCUUGCAAAAUGAGCAAAACAAAUAGGAAAAUAAUGCAAACAAAAUAUUUAUUAAAAUUGAAAAUAUUGUGAGUACAAUCUCAAAAAAUAAUAUUCUUUCCAAAAGAAUAUUUUCUCUUUGAUUCUUUUGCCUUGAUCACACUUUGGAAGACGACAAUGACGCUUUCUUGAUUUCGAAUAUCAAUCGAGGACGAAAAGUGGCUUAUUCUCGAAUGAACUCGUUGAAUGGCGAAGAACGCGUGUAGCAGUUCUUUUACCUUUUACCAAACUUGUAGAGAGAUUUGAUGAAGUUUUUUCUUUUGUUGUGAAGCCUCUUUUCUCGUAUGAAGUCACAUUUGGAUUUUCUCCUUCAGAUUUUCCUUUCUAGAUUUUUCUGAUUUAUGAAUUUCUCCCCAUUUUGAUUCCUUUCUAGUUGCUUAAUUCAAGGGAUUUAGUUCCUUGAUUUUAGCAAUUUUUCUUCGCCCGACAGGUUUUACCAACAACAACAACAACAACAAUAAUAAUAAUAAUAUUCUUCUUAUUAUUAUUAUUCUUUUUAUAGUUGGAGAUUAGGGAAACUUAUCCAUAAGAGGAUAUAUACAUUUUUUUUCGGAGACCAAGUUAGUGGUAAUUUAAUCCACUAAUUUUUUAUGUUUACAGGGUCAGUCUAAUUCCAAGGCCCAAUAGUAGCAAUUAGUUUUGUUGAAAGAGAUGGGUGUCAAGAUUAAUGCAUCAUGUGCUAUCAGAGCUUUCUUAUCUUACAAAUUUGACCAAAAAUAAUUUAUGUUUUUAAAAAAAAAUUCUACAAAGUAAAUCAUCUCGCAAAAUAAUUCUUAAACUAGUACUUCUCAUCUAUGUGGAUAUCCAUGUCAUAAAACUGUAAUUGAUAUUUACAGUUUUAAAUUUAUUUUAAAAUGGUUAAAACUAUAGUUACCAACUAUAGUUUUAAAUUUAAACUUAAAACUAUGGUUAAUGGUGAUGAUUUUAAAGAUAAGUAAAAAUAUUUAAAAUUGUAGUUACUAAUUACGGUUUUGUGAUGUACAAAAAAUUAAAUAACAAAUUCUUAGGUGACCAUAUGGAUGCCUAGGUGGUUGAUUGAGAUUCAUUAGUUUGGAAACUAUUUUGAUAAGAAAUUUAUUUUGUAGAUUUUUUUUAAUAUAUUAUUUUUGUUCAAAACUCAAUUUUAAAUUUUAAGCCACCAUAUCCAACCACUAGCCAUCAACCUCCACAUGUCUCCUUCCAUUUAUUGUAGAAUGAGGUGUUUCUAAAAUAGUUUUCUAUUCUUAAAAACUAAAAAUUGUUUUCAAGACUCAAAAACAUGUUUUGUAUUUUUUUUUUUUUUUGAUGAAAAACAAUUUUAUGAGAACUUGUUCUAGAAAUAGGGUAUUUCCUAAGAACAAAUUUUGAUUGUUUUUCAUAGAUUGUUUUAAAAAAUAUUCAUAAUAAUUUGUAAAAAUAUAGAGAAUGAUUGAAAAUAAAACAUUAUGAAUAAAAGACAUUUUAGAAAAUAUAAACAUAGAAAAUAGAUUAGUAACAUUUUAAAUUCUUAAAUAGAUCAAUCACAUCCUAAAUUCAUUGUCACUUUUUAUUCAUUAGUAUCAAAUUUUGUCUAGUGUUUUUUCAAGAGCCACCUCUCAUGUUACCUUCAACUUUAUUACAUCCCACUAAUAUUGACAUAAAACUUGAACAAUAGGCUGCUUGAUUAAAGUGCAAGUGUUUUGAGUAUCGGUUGACCAAGAAAUUCAUAGGGGAGACAAUAAGGCCUGAUAUAUAAGGCAAAUGUGUUAGUCUAGGUACCAUUAGAUGCACAUCAUUAUUGGGAGUCAAGAUGUUGAUAUAUAUUUUCAUAACCCUAUCUAAUUCAUCUUUUUAUAGAGGAUUUUGAUGUCUUCCUCCUCUAUAGAGAAGUAAAUUGUUUGACUAUGCUAAAUUAUGCUCUUAUUGGAUAAUUGUUUACUUGUACUUAUAUUCACUAUCAUUGGACUGCUCUAGUUUAGACCCGACAAAAUAGCAAAGAAUGAACACUUGCUUUCUUGUUGCAUGUAUUUUGAUCAAAUCAAGUUUUAGUAGUAGUUGAAUCUAUGUCUCUGAAACCAGGUUCUCUGACUUGAAAAUGAUAUUGAAUUGGCUUUACUUGAAUAUUUUAUGAGCAUAAAUUCCAUUGGCAUUGACUGAACAUUACAUGGAAAUUAUACAAGAAUUUAGUGGCCAACAACUUCGCAUUUGAUGGCUCAAGCAGAAGGUGAGUUAUAGUAUUUUUAAUAUAAUUUAAGUCAAGGAAUAGCAUAGAUGAGAAGCAUAAUAGAUUCUAAAAUUGUUGAGACAUACUUAUUCUUUGUGUUUGCCGUCUUUUGCCAGGAUUGAAUUGUCUUCAAAUAAACUUUCCAUGCAAUAAGAAUAUGUACACUAGCUGUAAGUCUCUUUUCUCUUGCAUAAAUAAUAUAAAAAUAAAUAUAGAAGCAAUCAUUUAGAAAACAAUAAGAUAUAAGUAAUGGCAGACACCAACUUCUCGAUCAAGUGUGGUGACUUAGAGAUGAGAACUGCUGAAGGCAUACUAUAUGAGUCUAAAAACUCAAUUCUUAAAGCAACAUCUAUUGGGAUUGAACACUUAAAAGUAUGACAUGAUGUAAUUGAUUGAAAUUCAUUUAUAAAUUUAUUAUUUAUGUUUUUUAGCUUCCCUUUAUUAUCCCAUUUGCAAUAAUUUGUUAUCUGAGCAUAUAUACUCAUAUAUCUCAUAUUGUACAUGACUUAGGUGCAUUAGGAGUUGUAUAGAUGAUACAAGUCAUGGGUUCCUUAUAAGUAAAUAAGUUAUCCAUAGUUAGUUUAUGGAUUUGGGAAAUCUAAUAGAGAUUGUAGAGUACUACCUCCAAAUCGGAGAGAUGACUUGUCUUGGCCAUUAAGAUGAGUUUUCCAUGAUAUGAGUACACUAGUGUGUAUGGUUAUAAAUUGGACAGGAUCUAUGAUGAAUCAUAACGUAAGGCUAUUGAUUGUUAUGAUUCACCAAACUACUAUACUGCAUGAACUCCUAUCCUUAAGAGAAUAUUGAGCCUAUACCAAAGUCAAUAAGAGACUUUGACCUAUGGUGAGAUCCUAAUGUGGUCACAUAUCUCUAUGGAUUAGGUCACUGUUGAUGAAGGUAGGUGGUAACAAGUAUUCUCAAUGGAGGCACCAUGAUAUCUCAUGGUAUUGAGACAAUGUGUCCCUUUGCGUAAUCCAAAGAACUUGUGAUCUAAAAGACUAUAGCUAUAGCUAUUCCUUCAGUGGAAUUUUUACACAUGCUUCUUGAAACUAAAGUAUGUCAAUUGAUCACAUAAUAAGUAAGAUUUGUAACUCAAUGAUUGUAGAAAUGAUCUUGAUAGGUAAAAACACUACCUUAUUAGAUUGUACACACCACUUCAUGGGGAGUCUUCACGUAGUGAAUAGUAGGUACGAACUUGAGCUUUAUCUUAUUGUUAUUUACAUAAGGUACUAGAAUGCAAUUGAUUCUCUAUAAUGGGAUAUUGUAUCAGCUUCAAAAUUAGAUUUUGAGGGAGUCAAUACUCUUAUGGGUUCCAAUGGUCAUUGCUUGAACUCAUAUACCUUGAUGACACGGUUUAUGAUGAUUGGAUUAACUCUAAGUUCACUUUUAUGUAUAAAGGCAUUUUGGUAAUUAUGGAAAAUUGCAUAAGGGUUAGUGAACAAAGUCUUUGGAUUUGGCUAAUUAAUUAAUUAAUUAGAUGAUCCUGUGAGGUUAAUUAAUCAAUUAAGACUAAAUUUAAGUUAGAUUAAAUAAUCCAAACCCUUGGUAGACUUAAGUAACUUAAGCCUAGUUGGAGAACCCUAUAAAUACCCCUUUAGGGGUUAGGAUUUCCAUAGAGUUGUCUUCCACCUUUAAAGAGAAAAGAAAGCUAUAGUCUCCAUCUUCCCAAACCUCCUCAUUGGUUGUGUGCCAAGAUUAAGUUCAAGCCAUCGGGUAGAAGAUCUAGGGUUUAUGAGACUUCCUGUAACUACAUGUUAGGAUAGAGCCCUUAAAAGCAUGACAUGAUGUAACAAAUUUAGGAAUUCAUUAUUUAUUUAAUGGAAUUUCCGUUUCACUUUUAUCUAUCUUUAUUCCAUGCAUUGUACUUUAUAAGCAUUCUUGUCUAGCAUCUCUUGAAUUGUACAUGACUUAGGUACAUUAGGAGUUAUACAAAAGAUUAAAGUCAUGGGUUCUUUACAAGUAGAUUACUUGUUCACAGUUGGUUCAUGAACUUAGAUAAUCCAUUAGAGGCUGUAGUGCACUACCUCCUAAUUAGAGGGAUGAUUGGUCUUGACCAUCAAGAUGAGUUUCCCAUGAUGAGUGCAUAAAUGUGUAUGGUUACACAUUGGACAUGACCUAUGGUGAGUCAUGACUUAAGGCUAUCAAGUAGACCGUGACCUCACCAAGUUACUUUAUUUUGUUGUCUCUCAACCUUGAGAGAAUAUUAAGUUUGUGUUAAAGUUAGUAGUGACUUUGACCUAUGAGUUAGAUUAUAAACUAAUCAUAUAAAUAAACUAAUCAAAAAAGGUACCAUGAUAUCUCAUGCGAUUGAGAUAGAGUGUCCUCUUGGGUGAUCCUAAGGACGCGUGUUCAUGAAAACUAUGGUCAUAGUAAUUCCUUAAGUGGAACUUGACAUAAAAUUUUGGAGGGCUAAGAUAUGUUAAUUAAACACACAAUAGGAGAAUAUGUAACUCAAAGAUAGUUGAGAUAGUCUUGAAAGGUUGAUAGCUUUCACCUUGUUAGACUAAAAACGCCAGUUCACAGGGAGAUUGAAUGUAGUGAAUAGCAGGUCACAGAUUUGAACACUUAGCGUCUUGUUGUUAUUUACAUAGGUUACUGGAGUGCAGUUGAUUCUCUAUAAUGGGAUGUUAGAUCAACUUCAGAAUUAAAUUUUACGUCCAGUACUACUAUGGUCCCAAUAGUCCUCACUUUAAGCUCAUAUACCUUGUUGGCACGGGUUAUGAGGGUUGAAUUGACUUUAGGUUCAGUUUUAUGCAUAAGAGUGUUUUGGUAAUAAUGCAAAAUUACAUAGGGGUAAGUGAACAAGGUCUUUAGAUUGGGUUAAUUGAUUAAUUAGUGGGUCCCGUUAGGUUAAUUAAUCAAUUAAGACCCAAUUUUGGACUAGAUUAAGUGACUUAAGCCCAUGUGGGCUCAAGUUAUUUAAGCCUAGUUAGAAACCCUAUAAAUACUUCUUAGGAGUUAGGAUUUCCAUAACUUUUUGUCUUCCACCAAUUAGAUAGAAGAGAGAGUCCUAACCUUUGCCAUCCCAAGCUGCCUAUCAUUUGUGUGCUAAGAAAUGAGGUUGAGAUAUCGGGUGGAAGAUCAUGGGUCUACGAGACUUCCAAUGGCAUCGAUUUGAUUUUUCAAUACUUGUAUUCAAGGUUUUGAAACAUCCAAACUUAAAGGCUAAUAUUUUAACCCUAGAGGUUAAUUUUUUGAAAAAUUGGUAUUGCUUCCAUUACUUAGAUCUAAGAUGCCAACACUACGAAACUAUUCUUCAUCAAAAGAGUUGAUUUAGGAACAUCAAAAUUAGAGGUAAAGUUUUUUAAUGCACACAUCUAGAUUUUUUUUUUGUGUUAAAAACGUAAUUUUUGUUUUCGUUGUAUAGGAUUUAAAUGCCCUAGGGAGUAUUCAUGUACCCAACUUGAGCUUAGGAUAGAGAAUAGAGAUAUCUAGGAUUCCCUAUAACAUGGUAUUAUGUAAUGAGUAUAGAAAAAUGGUCACUUGGCAAUAUAGGACCUUACAUUGUAAGUUUGGAAUUUGCAAAAACAGUGUUUAAGAAUCAUGAUACACAAACAUGGGAGAGUCUAGGAAGGUGUGUUUUGAUAUUUACCUUCAGGUAACAAUUGUAAAAGCCGAAAAAUCUAACAUCCUCAUUUGUACUUCAACAAUCCUAUGAAAUAUCUUUCAUUUACAAUCCCAUUUGAUUAUUUUAAUCUCUUUUCUUAUUUUUUAGGGAGCCCUUUAAUUCAAAGACUUUGACAUGUUGAAAGAACUUGGUGGGGUUGCGAGAGCAAUUGACAAAAAAAAUUUAUUGCUACUGUAUCAGAAAACAAUCUUAAAGGUCAUUUGCCUUGAGUUGGUAAGGAAACUUACUGCAAUUCAAUCUAGGGUUAUUAUAGACCAUCCAUUUCAAUUCUCAAUGUUGUUUCAGGUAACAUAUUUGAAUGAUAUUUUAUGGAUUUCAUUUAAUACAAUAUGUGUUCUAAAUAAUGCUUCUUUUUUAUAAUUAGAGUUAAUCCCUAUUUACUUUUCUUAGAUUUUACCAACUGUAACUAGAAUUCCACCCAUUCCUCUUUUAAAGAAAAAACAACAUUGGGUUGAUUGUGGGUGUUGCAAUUUCUAUUAGAUGUGUGAGAAUCAUACUAAUAUGUGAAGUUUUUUUACAUAAAAAGGAAUUCUUUAGAUGUUAAUGAGGAUGAAGGCACUUCUUUUGCUCAACAUUACUAAAUUUAAGCUUUAGAUGUCAAUGGGCUCUUUUCGUCAGAUGUCAUGGUAGCAUCUUUAGUUAGUAUUAUUUGUUGCCCAGUUACAGAAGACUCAAGAAGUUGGAUGGGCUUAAGAUGCAUGGAGUGGUAGUUGAGUGAUUUAUCUUAAUGUUGUUGAUUCAACUUUUUGUAUAUAAUGUAGCAAUGACAUUUGCCUAAGAAUAACAUCAGAGUUGAUUCAACACAACAUAAUUAAGCUUAAGCUUCUAUAUUAGGCUCACACAGAUCAUGUAUAUUCUUAUAUUUAAUAAAAAGGGGUCAUAUCACGACCAUGUAUUGUUCAACAAAUCAUUUUUCACCUAUGAAAGUGAUAAUCAUUUUAAUGGUUACUUGGCUAUGUUUGAGUAACAUUCUUCACCUAGCCAUUACCUUGUCCACAUGAUAACCUAUAGUAGCAACUAAGAAAAAUUUGCAUCCAUAUCAAGACUUAUAGUAGCAGCCAAAGCAUAUCCAUCUCCAUAUUAGCACAUAUGGUUGUGACCAAAAUUAACUCACACUUUUAAGCAUUAUAGGCUCAAACUUUUUAUAUUUUUACAACCUUAUAGUUGUAGCCACUCUUAACUGCAACUAUACACUACCUUUAGUUGCAAGUAAAAUGAGGUUGUGGUCAUAGUUUUAAUACUUAUGGCCACACUUUUACAUGUGGCCGCAACUAUAACAUUUCUCUAUACCCCCAUAUGAUCACACCUUGUUGUGGUCUAUUUUGUUCGCACCCAUAUCUUUUAGCUGGGCUAAAUUUUUCUUUUAGCCAUGGUUAGUGGCAACGACCAAGAAAGUGAUUUAAGAGUUUUGAGAUUAUAAUAACUCCUUUGAUCUUCUCUCCUUAUGGAUAUAAGUGUAUUUUCGUUAAAUCCCAUGAUUCUCAUUUAUUUAUUUAUUUUUAUUUUUUGUUUAUUGUUCCCUUAAUUGAGCAUAACAUAUUGAGAUGAUUGUAUUUUAGAGUUUUCAAUAAUAUAUAAUAGGCCUAAAGGAUAUGGAAGUUUAUGAUAUAUACAUGAAUAAAAAUACUCUUUGACUUAUAAAUGAUCUAAAUAUGUAAAAAAAGAAAAAUUGGAAUAAUUAAGUGUGUUUAAAAGGGAUAAAGAUUCCGUAGAUUUUUUUUUCUUCUCUUUUCAUAAUAUAAGCAAUAUAUGUGUAUUCUCUUCCAUGGACAAAUUAGUUGAUUAAGAAUAUUAAACAACAUGCAAAAUAUUUAUUAAAGAAAAAAAAUGCAUUUCUUGAAUAUUCAAUAUUUAAAAAAAAAUUGAACAAAAUAAAAAACUCUCUUAUUGCUAAUUAAUGUCUAUGUUAAGCACUACAGAAUUCAAAUUUUAAUUUCUCACUAACACUUAUUUUUUUCUCAUAUUAUGUGUAUAUACUGGAGGAGGAGAUAACUACCUAUCCAUAUCUUAUUUAUCUUCUUUAAUGGGAAAAAGAUGUUAGAGAGUGAAAAAUAUAUGAACAACUGAGGGGUAAAGGUUCUCUAGUCUACAAGUGAGUAUGUGAUUUUAUCCAUUUGAUAUAUAUAUAUCGUGAAUUUGGUUGCUAUGGUUGGAGAUAUGAUCUAUGACUUUUGCUUUUAUAAUUUCAUGUUUUUGAAAUAUGGAGAUUUUAAUAUUUAUUAUUAUAUAUAUUUUGCAUACUCUAGUAAGGUAAUAUAUUAUUAUUAUACAAAGGCAAAUUAAAUUUUAAAUGUAUUUAUUAUAUUUUGAAUUAUAAAUUUAAAUGUAUUUUCAAAUUCAAACCCAAGUUGAUUUUAAUUACUUUAAAAAACAAGUUGUUCUUACAACCUACAUUAACUUACAGGAAAUCAACUGUCUAAAUUGAAUCAAACUGACCUUAAACAAGAUUGAUUUUAUUGUCGAUGUAGCACAACUUGAAAUAGGAGUCAAUUUAUAGGAAGCUUUUGAAAACAUAGUGCACCACACCCAGGGAAAAAAGAAAUGUGGGUUUUUCACUCAUCACUAAAAAAUUAGUUUGAUUUUGAUUCAAGUAUAAACCGAUCAUGUUAAUUUAGUAUUUUUUUUCCUAGUUAUGUAAAUUUUUCAUCCAUUAAAACCCAUAAGUCUCAAUCUAAUGGCUGGAUUUUAUAAUCUUAAUGAUAAUAGACUUACAAAUCAAUUAUAUAUAAAGAUGGUUAGUGAAUUGAAAAAGUUGUUGGCUCAUAGUUCAUAACCAAUAAAACUAGUGGUUCAAUUGUAAUCAAACUAUCAUAUCAUCAUAAAUAUUUAACUUAUAUAUUAUUUAAAUUAAAAUAACUAUAAAAAGUUAAAAAUCUGUAAAUAAUUAAAAAUUUAAACAUAUUUUUAUUAUAAAAUAUGAGAAUUUAUUAUUGUUGUCGCCUCGCGUAUCCGGUGGUCCACGUUGCUGCUAGAUGGAUGGACACGCGAUUCUCAACACACAAAGGGUUCUUGAUUCAGCGGUUGUACCUGCAAAAGGCAUCCGGACAGGGUGUCCGGACACACCCUCCGAUGGUUUUGUUAGCCAUGGUAAGAGAGGAAGAUAUAUGAGGCAGUUGGCUUUUUACUAGGUAUCAGGAGGUUACUCAGAGAGGGAGAGCCAGAGUUCUUCUUCGUGUGAAGACUUAUAUAUACAGCUUUAAGGGUACUGUUCCUCUCAUUAAUGGUGAGGAGAUGUUUUAUGUUGUCAUGAUGACAUUAAGUAGCAGUAGGGACAUCAUCACCCUACGAGCGGCUGUCAGGAACCAUGGUAGGUGACGCGACUGUCAGAGAUCGUGGUAGGUGAUCAUGUAGAAUGAUCGUGGGAAGUGACUUGCUAUCACUUCAUCUUGUCUUCUCACUUUGCAGGUGACAAGAUGUGGGCCAUGGCUGCUUGUUGUGAUUGCGUGUAAGACUCGCUUUACUUUAAUUGACCAUCCAGACGAUUUAUAUCCGGAUGGCUCAUGCUGAUUAUCCGGAUGUGUUGUGGAGACUAUCCGGAUGUCUACGCUCUGCCAGCGUCGUUUGCUCUUCCUUGGAUAGGAGAAGCUGAAACGUCGUUUGCCUUUCCUUGAGGCGGUUCGGAUAGGAUAACUGCACCAUGCAUAUCCUUAGGGGAAUCCGGAUGAUGAUGGUCCGGCUGAUAACACGUGCCACGCGUCACCAUGAGCUGCGUGCCACGUGUUUCCCAAGGGGAGGGGUCCCUACAUUGCCCCCCUUUUUAACUUGCCUAUUUUGCCCGAAAAAUGGGCGGGUUAAAAAUAACUGGCUUUUGAAAAUUGAAGAGGUCCCUUCGUCUGACUGGGCCACGUGGCGAGUGGGGGUGCGGAAGCCAAAAAGGCAUUUAUGACGAGCCGCCGACCCUGUGUAUCCCCAGGCAAUAUGUCGUUUCAAUGAUAACAUGGCUGUCCUGCUAUAAAUAGGGCACUGUACCUCUUUUUGCAUUUUUUCCUACUGCAUUCUCUUGAGAUCCUUUCUUCUUCUUGCUUUUUUCUGCGCCCUUUGCUUCUCUGAGAAAAAACUUUGAAAGCUCUUUUGUACCGGUGUUUUUGUAUCGCGACUUCGUUUGUUUGCUGCUGGUGAUUUUGUACCGAGACAGUAACCGUUCUUCUUCUUCAGAGCUUUAUUUGGUACGUACCUCUUUGCUACUGUCAUUCCUUUGGUUGCGUUUGCUGGUUCUUUAAACUUGGUUUCUGGCUUGCUUGGGCAUUGUUUUGGACAAGUCGCUCGCAAUUGUUGUUGAAUGUUGGUAUUUUGAUGGUGCUCGGGGGGGNNNNNNNNNNNNNNNNNNNNNNNNNNNNNNNNNNNNNNNNNNNNNNNNNNNNNNNNNNNNNNNNNNNNNNNNNNNNNNNNNNNNNNNNNNNNNNNNNNNNGGGGGGGGGGGUUUUGAGGGGUUUUUCUGACUGCUUUGGGUUAGGGUUUGUGUAUUUUCUGACUGCUUGGUUUGAACCGUUGCAUUGCUUUUGUAUGUAGAUUUUGGUUUGGCUUUGUGGUAAGAAAUGACUUCAAAAAAUACUGUUUCAUCUGCCCGGGUUAGCGAGGCUGGCGAAAAGGCGAUAGACAAAUUAGAUGUGAAGGAAUUCCGGGAGCGGUUCUGCAUCCCAAAUGGCGUAUCUAUAGACUUGGUGAACGAGGAGGCGGCUAUGCCUACUGAGAAAGGUGAAGAAAACGUUAUCCUCUUCACAAAGGAACAAUUCAACGCAGGGCUCCGGUUCCCUCUGCCGGCGUUGUUCAAGGAAUUCCUCCACUUCUCUCAGAUUCCACCCAUCUUCAUUCAUCCCAACCUUGUCCGGGUGCUGAUGGGAUGCAGCAUCAUCAACAUGCUGUACAACCUCGACCUUACGCUACUGGAAGUGUUCUUUGUCUAUUCCCUGAAGAAGGCAAAAAAUGAUAUCUUCAGUGUGUCCGCGCACCUGCCCUCCCUUCAAGUGGUGACAGAGCUGCCAGAUUCGAUAAAGGGAGAGGCGAAAGGGCUGGUGGCGGUCCGGGGUGGAUGGGCGGGGCUAUCGGAGCGUGCGUCGAGGCCCUUUUCUCCAAAUUAUACCUUAAAAAUUCCGGGUAUUCUUGUUUUGCGAUUCUUUGUCCGGAUUUUACUUUGCUGUUUUUUUGCUGAUUUUUCCGGACGGAAUUCUCACCUUUUGUUGCUGUCAAUGCAGGUCUGGAAUUGAGGGGCCACCUUGUGGAUUGGGUAGAAAAGGCGUCCUUCGCCUGUGUCUGCAAAUUAUUCGAGAUAAAUCCCAAGGAGAGGGCCUGCAAGACAUUGCUUUCCGCGCGGAAUUUGAUGGCGGUCGUCCGGGAGUCCCAAGAAUAUGUUAUCAAUAUUCUCCCUAGGAAACUGCCAAAAGAUGAGGUAGUGCCUGGGGAGCAUUAUACUGUGAAGGAGCUCCCCCUCUAUUAGGAAGCUAAAGAGGCUGAUGCUGAAAGACGGCGAAAGCUCCUGGAGGAUCGAGAUCAGAGAAAAAAUGAAGGCACUAUCCGGAAGGCUCCCGGACAGAAGCGGGGUCCGGACUCUCCUCCAAAGAAAACUCCAGCAAAAAGGAGGAAGCUGGUGAAGAAGAAUGGGAAGGAUGUGAAGGAACCCACUCCUCCCAAGGAGUUUCCUCCUCCGCAAAUUACCUAUGAGGGGGAAGUAAUGAUAGAGGAGCCAGUAAACGCCGCUCCGCACUCUAUCUCAAGCGGCCCCAGACGCAUCUCGGGGUUGAACCAUUCGGGCACUUCCUUGGCCGCGGUUGCGCGUCUGGCUAACGUGGCUGAGGAAGCUGCAUCUAUCAACCAUCCGGGCAACCUUAAUUCGGAUGCUGAUGCAGCUGAAACGAUCCUGUUGGAGGAAGCGGGGGCAGAAAGCCAAAGUCAGCCUUCCGACGACCCGGAUCGCUUGGCCAUAAUCCCGGUGAAAGGGCCUCCUUCAAAGAAGCCGCGUUCGACGCGCAAUCUACUGUCCGGACUCCUUGGGCGGCUUCAAGAGCGGCAGCAAGAGAUUGAAGUUAGCUGCGCUUCUGCCCAUGACGCUCAUCCGGAUGGAGGCGAGGUGGAGAUGGCAACUGAGACUUCAGCCGCCCCUGCAAUAAUUCCGGCUGAAGAUGCAUCCGGACAGAUGCGUCCGGACGAAGAUGUGGGGGUCCCGAAUCCGGGACAAGAGUCACCUUCUGUUUCCUCAUCUGAGGAGGAACCUGCUGACGAUGCAGCUCCUGCUAGCCCUUUCAGCUACGCGGAGUUGGAAGUUAAGCUAAAACAGAUUACACCUGGCUGGACUGCCAUCAAGCCCUCUGCUAAGAUGUUUGAUAUGAUGGAAACGGUAUACCGUUGUCUUGUGCUUUUGCUUUUUGAUUCUUUGUUGCGCUGAUGUGUUUGUUGUAGUAUGAUUUAUGUCUUUGCUUUUCUUGUUUGCGUGUCAGCUGGUGAGGGGCCUCCGCGGCAUGGCUCAACAACACGAUCUUUUUACUCACCUGCUGCAGACUGCAGACUAUAUGAAGACCUUCUCCUCUCGGCGUCGAGAGAUUGAAAAUCAGCUGCGUCUGAGAAUGGAGGAGGCUGAGGCCAGUCUAUCCACCAUGCGAGAGGAAAAUGAAGCCCUCCGAGUGGAGUUGGCUGAGGCGAAGAGUCGAGAAGAAUCGACUGCGGGCCGCCUACAUGAGGCAGAAGGUGAGGCAGCCCGGCUGAGGGAUGAAGUGAGUCAACUCCGGACAGAAGUUUCGAAUGAAAAGAAACAGAAGGAAGACUUGCAGCUGCGCCUGGAUGUGCAAAAAGAAGAACUUGAACGGGAGUUUGCUGUGGAAAGGGAGGAACUUGCAGCGGAUUACCAGCAACAAGUGGAUGAUACGUUUAUCUUUGGGUAUCGCUGCUGCAUGAAGAAGAACGGUAUCAAGCGAGAUACCCCUUCAAUUCCUCCGGGUGAANNNNNNNNNNNNNNNNNNNNNNNNNNNNNNNNNNNNNNNNNNNNNNNNNNNNNNNNNNNNNNNNNNNNNNNNNNNNNNNNNNNNNNNNNNNNNNNNNNNNNNNNNNNNNNNNNNNNNNNNNNNNNNNNNNNNNNNNNNNNNNNNNNNNNNNNNNNNNNNNNNNNNNNNNNNNNNNNNNNNNNNNNNNNNNNNNNNNNNNNNNNNNNNNNNNNNNNNNNNNNNNNNNNNNNNNNNNNNNNNNNNNNNNNNNNNNNNNNNNNNNNNNNNNNNNNNNNNNNNNNNNNNNNNNNNNNNNNNNNNNNNNNNNNNNNNNNNNNNNNNNNNNNNNNNNNNNNNNNNNNNNNNNNNNNNNNNNNNNNNNNNNNNNNNNNNNNNNNNNNNNNNNNNNNNNNNNNNNNNNNNNNNNNNNNNNNNNNNNNNNNNNNNNNNNNNNNNNNNNNNNNNNNNNNNNNNNNNNNNNNNNNNNNNNNNNNNNNNNNNNNNNNNNNNNNNNNNNNNNNNNNNNNNNNNNNNNNNNNNNNNNNNNNNNNNNNNNNNNNNNNNNNNNNNNNNNNNNNNNNNNNNNNNNNNNNNNNNNNNNNNNNNNNNNNNNNNNNNNNNNNNNNNNNNNNNNNNNNNNNNNNNNNNNNNNNNNNNNNNNNNNNNNNNNNNNNNNNNNNNNNNNNNNNNNNNNNNNNNNNNNNNNNNNNNNNNNNNNNNNNNNNNNNNNNNNNNNNNNNNNNNNNNNNNNNNNNNNNNNNNNNNNNNNNNNNNNNNNNNNNNNNNNNNNNNNNNNNNNNNNNNNNNNNNNNNNNNNNNNNNNNNNNNNNNNNNNNNNNNNNNNNNNNNNNNNNNNNNNNNNNNNNNNNNNNNNNNNNNNNNNNNNNNNNNNNNNNNNNNNNNNNNNNNNNNNNNNNNNNNNNNNNNNNNNNNNNNNNNNNNNNNNNNNNNNNNNNNNNNNNNNNNNNNNNNNNNNNNNNNNNNNNNNNNNNNNNNNNNNNNNNNNNNNNNNNNNNNNNNNNNNNNNNNNNNNNNNNNNNNNNNNNNNNNNNNNNNNNNNNNNNNNNNNNNNNNNNNNNNNNNNNNNNNNNNNNNNNNNNNNNNNNNNNNNNNNNNNNNNNNNNNNNNNNNNNNNNNNNNNNNNNNNNNNNNNNNNNNNNNNNNNNNNNNNNNNNNNNNNNNNNNNNNNNNNNNNNNNNNNNNNNNNNNNNNNNNNNNNNNNNNNNNNNNNNNNNNNNNNNNNNNNNNNNNNNNNNNNNNNNNNNNNNNNNNNNNNNNNNNNNNNNNNNNNNNNNNNNNNNNNNNNNNNNNNNNNNNNNNNNNNNNNNNNNNNNNNNNNNNNNNNNNNNNNNNNNNNNNNNNNNNNNNNNNNNNNNNNNNNNNNNNNNNNNNNNNNNNNNNNNNNNNNNNNNNNNNNNNNNNNNNNNNNNNNNNNNNNNNNNNNNNNNNNNNNNNNNNNNNNNNNNNNNNNNNNNNNNNNNNNNNNNNNNNNNNNNNNNNNNNNNNNNNNNNNNNNNNNNNNNNNNNNNNNNNNNNNNNNNNNNNNNNNNNNNNNNNNNNNNNNNNNNNNNNNNNNNNNNNNNNNNNNNNNNNNNNNNNNNNNNNNNNNNNNNNNNNNNNNNNNNNNNNNNNNNNNNNNNNNNNNNNNNNNNNNNNNNNNNNNNNNNNNNNNNNNNNNNNNNNNNNNNNNNNNNNNNNNNNNNNNNNNNNNNNNNNNNNNNNNNNNNNNNNNNNNNNNNNNNNNNNNNNNNNNNNNNNNNNNNNNNNNNNNNNNNNNNNNNNNNNNNNNNNNNNNNNNNNNNNNNNNNNNNNNNNNNNNNNNNNNNNNNNNNNNNNNNNNNNNNNNNNNNNNNNNNNNNNNNNNNNNNNNNNNNNNNNNNNNNNNNNNNNNNNNNNNNNNNNNNNNNNNNNNNNNNNNNNNNNNNNNNNNNNNNNNNNNNNNNNNNNNNNNNNNNNNNNNNNNNNNNNNNNNNNNNNNNNNNNNNNNNNNNNNNNNNNNNNNNNNNNNNNNNNNNNNNNNNNNNNNNNNNNNNNNNNNNNNNNNNNNNNNNNNNNNNNNNNNNNNNNNNNNNNNNNNNNNNNNNNNNNNNNNNNNNNNNNNNNNNNNNNNNNNNNNNNNNNNNNNNNNNNNNNNNNNNNNNNNNNNNNNNNNNNNNNNNNNNNNNNNNNNNNNNNNNNNNNNNNNNNNNNNNNNNNNNNNNNNNNNNNNNNNNNNNNNNNNNNNNNNNNNNNNNNNNNNNNNNNNNNNNNNNNNNNNNNNNNNNNNNNNNNNNNNNNNNNNNNNNNNNNNNNNNNNNNNNNNNNNNNNNNNNNNNNNNNNNNNNNNNNNNNNNNNNNNNNNNNNNNNNNNNNNNNNNNNNNNNNNNNNNNNNNNNNNNNNNNNNNNNNNNNNNNNNNNNNNNNNNNNNNNNNNNNNNNNNNNNNNNNNNNNNNNNNNNNNNNNNNNNNNNNNNNNNNNNNNNNNNNNNNNNNNNNNNNNNNNNNNNNNNNNNNNNNNNNNNNNNNNNNNNNNNNNNNNNNNNNNNNNNNNNNNNNNNNNNNNNNNNNNNNNNNNNNNNNNNNNNNNNNNNNNNNNNNNNNNNNNNNNNNNNNNNNNNNNNNNNNNNNNNNNNNNNNNNNNNNNNNNNNNNNNNNNNNNNNNNNNNNNNNNNNNNNNNNNNNNNNNNNNNNNNNNNNNNNNNNNNNNNNNNNNNNNNNNNNNNNNNNNNNNNNNNNNNNNNNNNNNNNNNNNNNNNNNNNNNNNNNNNNNNNNNNNNNNNNNNNNNNNNNNNNNNNNNNNNNNNNNNNNNNNNNNNNNNNNNNNNNNNNNNNNNNNNNNNNNNNNNNNNNNNNNNNNNNNNNNNNNNNNNNNNNNNNNNNNNNNNNNNNNNNNAAAACUUUCUAAGUAUAGCGUACCAUUUUUGAAGUUUCUGGGCCUGACUUUUCGAUUGUAAUGCGAUGAUGCCCUUUGUUGAUAAUCUGCCAUCCGGAUGGCCGCGCUUUCUCUGACUUCGUCUGCCCAGUCCAAAUUUCUUCCUAGUUCCAUGUUGGCAUCUUCUUGUUUUGCUGCAUCGGUCCGGAUAGUAGGAAGACCUAUUUCAGUGGGAAUGACUGCAUCCAUUCCAUAUGUGAGGGCGAAAGGAGUGUUUCCUGUCGGUCGUCCGGGUGUGGUUCGAUAGGCCCACAGGACGCCGGGUAGCUCCUCCACCCACUUCCCUUUGGCUUGCUCAAGCCUUUUCUUUAAGGCAUUGAUUAGAGUUUUGUUUGUGGCUUCCGCUGCCCAUUGCUUUGAGGAUAACGCGGCGUGGAGUAUGAAUUUCGGAUAUUCAGUUCCGAACAGAAAUUCCUGAAUGCAAUGCUGUCAAAUUGUGGACCAUUGUCAGCUAUGAUGAUUUGGGGAAUUCCAAAGCGGCAAACAAUGUUCUUCCAUACGAAUUUGGUGAUAUCUUUAUCUUUGAUGCUUGCAUAUGCUUCAGCUUCUACCCAUUUACUGAAGUAAUCAGUGGCGACAAGGAGGAAUUUCUUCUGGGCAGGUGCUGCUGGGAGGGGUCCCACUAUGUCCAUGCCCCACUGCGCGAAAGGCCAUGGGCCUGAGACCGAUUUCAAUGCUGCCGAUGGCAUAUGUGGAAUGGGAGCGUAUCUUUGACAUUUAUCACAUUUUUGGACAUAUGCUGCCGCGUCUUUCUUCAUUGUUGGCCAAUAGUAUCCUUGUGAAUGAGCUCUAUGUGCCAGGGAUCGUCCUCCCGUAUGAUUUCCGCAUAUUCCUUCAUGUAAUUCAGCUAGCACAUACUGGGCCUCUGAAUGCCCAAGACAGCGAAGAUAAGGCCCUGUGAAGGAUCGCUUGUACAGGUGCCCCCCAAUCAGGGUGAAACGGGCAGCUUGCACCCGGAUUUUGUGCGCUUGUUUAGGAUCUUCGGGCAAAGUGCCUGUCCGGAGAUAUUCUGCAAUAUCAUGCGUCCAUUCUUGAUCAUCCGCUUGGUUUGCCUCAACGGUGUUGCAAGUGGAAUUUUCUACGAUAGAGGGAUUGGCUUGUACAUGGAUAGGCAAUAGAAUAGCUUCUCUGAUGGGGAGGGAAGCAGCUAUACCGGCCAAGGCGUCAGCGCGCCCGUUGUCAGCUCGCUUAAUUUUUUCGAUUGUCCACUCGGUGAAUUGCUGUAAGGUGCUUCUUAUUUUGGCCAAGUAUCGCGCCAUGCGUGCGUCCUUAGCCUCAUAUUCUUUCUGGACAUGCCUUACCACUAGUUGCGAGUCGUUGUAGAUCCGGAGUUUGGAGACGGAUAGAGCAAGGGCGAGGUCCAAUUCGGAUAGGAUGGCCUCGUAUUCUGCUUCAUUGUUAGACGCGGAGAAUCCCAGCCGGAUGGCUUGCUCCAGAUGUUCCCCAGUUGGGGACUGUAGUAAGAGCCCAACUCCAGAGCCUGAUGAGCGUGAGGCUCCGUCAACUCGUAGAGUCCACCACUCCUGUUCACUUGAUUCGUGGUGCUGGUUGGGUCUUCGUGAAUAUUCGAGCACGAAGUCGGCCAUUACUUGGCCUUUUUUGGAUAAUUUGGGUUGGAAUUCGAUUCCAAAUUCGCUCAAUUCGAUGGCCCAUUGUAGCAUUCGCCCAGUUAAAUCUGGUUUGUGCAGAAUGCUACGAAGGGGUUGGUCGGUCAGUACAAUCACUAGGUGGGCUUGAAAAUAGGGGCGGAGCUUUUGGGCAGCACUUCGAAGAGCUAAGGCUGUUAGCUCCAUUUUUGAAUACCUGGUUUCUACAUCUGCCAAUGCCCUGCUGACAUAGUAGACAGGUUUUUGCUCCUUUGGUGAAGGGCAGCGGAAUAGAACGGCGUUGAUUGCCCAUUCUGAGACAGCCAGAUACAUGUAUAGCUUCUCCUUUGGGAUGAGGCUGCUUAGGAUGGGUGGCUGCAUAAGACAAUGCUUAAUUUUUUCGAAAGCACUUUGACAACUGUCCGUCCAUCCUUGUGCUCCAGCUUUUCGUAUUGCCAAGAAGAAGGGUCGCAAUUCUUCAGUGAAGCGGGCUAUAAAGCGCCCUAAUGCGACGAGCUUGCCUGUGAGUCGUUGUAGCUCCUUCUUGUUCCUGGGAGGGGGUGUUUCCAUGACUGCCUUGACUUGAUCCGGGCUGACUUUUAUGCCUCUCUGGCUGACCAUAAAUCCCAGGAACUUGCCAGCACUUACUCCAAAGGCGCAUUUAGAAGGAUUUAGCUUCAUGCCAUACCUUCGUAAGAGGUGAAAAACUUCUUGUAAGUGAAGAUCAUGCUGCUCUCGGGUUUUGCUUUUAACCAGAAUGUCAUCAAUAUACACUUCUACCGUGUGGCCUAUUAGAGGUUUGAAGAUUUUAGUCAUUAAUCUCUGAUAAGUGGCGCCAGCAUUUUUGAGUCCGAAUGGCAUGACUUUGUAGCAGUAGAGGCCAUGUGGUGUUAUGAAUGCUGUCUUUUCUUCGUCAUCCGAAGACAUGGGAAUCUGGUGAUAUCCGGAGAAGGCAUCCAAGAAAGAGAGCAUUCCUUGCCUGGAAGUGGAAUCCACAAUUUGAUAUAUUCGUGGUAAGGGAAAACUGUCUUUUGGACAUGCGUUAUUGAGAUUGGUGUAGUCAACACAGACUCGCCAUUUGCCCUCUUUCUUUGGUACCACCACUACAUUUGCCAACCAAUCCGGAUAAGAUACUUCUCUGAUGAAUCCGGCUUCCAGCAAUUUGUCAAUUUCAUUUCGGAUAACUUUUUGUCUAUCCGGAUGAAAGCGUCUAAUCUUCUAUCGAACGGGUCUGGCUGCUGGAAAGACGUUAAGCUUGUGAGAGGCAAUAGAGGGAUGAAUUCCCUUCAUAUCCGAAUGUGUCCAUGCGAAGAUGUCAUGGUUGCUUCGAAGGAUAUUUUGUAUGCUCUGAGUUUCUUCUUGUGUCAUGAGGGAACUGAUGUUCAUGAGGUGAUCAUUCUCUUCUGAGAUUUGGAUUGUUUGUAAGGGAUCUGCUGCCGGGGGAUCCUUGUCCGCCAGACCCAAUAAUUGCUAUUGGUCAUGCGUAUGGCUGGGUUCAGGGGGAGAUGCAUCCUCCUGGCUAGUUCCCGCUUCUCGUGCUAUUUGAUAGCACUGUCGAGCGGCCAACUGGCUGCCAUACAAGUCAGUUUGCCCUUCGUUGGUGAGGAAACUCACCAUUUGAUGAUAUGUGGAAGGGAUGACUUUCAUGUAGUGAAGCCAUGUGCGUCCCAAGAUGACAUUGAAGGGUGAUAACUCUUGUACCACUGAGAAUUGCACGUUGAGAGUGACUGGGCCAGCUUGGACCGGCAGUAUAAUGUCUCCUAAGGAUGUGGUUGAUGACCCGUUGAAUCCGGAUAAGAUUUGUCCGGGGUUUUCGAGACCCGCGAGACUAUGUCCCAUAUGGCCAACGACUGAUGCUUGCACCAGAUCGGCUGAACUGCCUGGGUCGACCAAGAUACGUCUUACAUCGAAAUCUCCUAUUUCUAGGGAGAGGAUGAGGGCGUCGCGAUGUGGCUGUAGCGUCCGGGUGGGAUCUACUGGUGGGAAAAUGAUUGUCCCAUCUAUGGGGCGAGGGCCCUCUCCAGUGAGACCCGGCCGGAUGGAAUUAAUGCGUUCGCGUAUUGACGCGGCUCGCAGCAAUUUCUGCCUUUUCCGCCUGGAAUCGUAUUCCUCGUCAGAUGGGCCCCCGUUGAUAUAGUUUAUGACAGCCUUGGGGGCGACUGGGGCCCUCGGGGCCCCAGAGUUAUGAUGUUGAGAUGCGUCCCUUCCUCCAGUAUCUGAGCGGAGGUACUGUUUUAAAUGUCCUGCUUUGAUGAGCCUUUCAACUAGAUACUGGAGGGACCGACAUGUCUCUGUUGUAUGACCAUGGUCUUUGUGGAAGGCGCAUUUCUUGCUGCGGUCUCUCAUGGAUGGGUCCGUUUCGAGGGGUCUAGGCCACCUGAAGUCGGACAACCCUUGGAUCAUUGGGAGAAGUUUUUCGUAUGACACGGAUAGGGGUGUGAUGGGCGGCCUAUCCGGACGACUCGGCCCGUCCUGCCUCCGGUCAACUAGUUUUGGCCGGUCCGGAGGUUUGGCAUGUCUGUCCGCGUCAUCUCUAGAAGCCCGUCCGACAACCAAAACUUGCUGAGUGGCUGCACGUACGUCAUCUUCGAGCAUUGAAUAUUUGUUAGCACGUCUGAACAAAUCGUCCAUCGUUGUAGGAGGCUUUUUGGCCAGCGAUUCGAAAAAUGGAGUGCCUGGACAGAUGCUUCUCUUGAAGAUCUGUAGGACAGCAUCCAUGCUGCAAGCCUCUAUUUGAAGUACGGCUUGGCCAAAUCGUUUCACAAAUUCCCUCAAGGAUUCGUUGUCUCUCAUUUUUAUGUUCUGGAGGGUGCUGAUAUUCUGCUUGUGUCGAGCAGAGCACAAGUACUGUCCCACGAAAGCUUCAGAGAGGUCCCUGAAAUUGUUAACAGAGUUAGGAGGUAGGCGAUGAAACCAUGAGAGGGCCUGCCCUUGAAGGCUGGCGGGGAAUACUUUGCAUAGCAAUGCAUCGUUGCCAAUAUCGAGCGUCAUAAGCUGUCGAUAGUGCAUGAUGUGAUCGAAGGGAUCGUUGGUCCCAUCGUAUGUGGAAAACUUUGGUAUGAGGAAUCCCCUUGGGGGCUCGUAAUGGGUGAUAUGAGAGCAAAAGGGCGUGGAGAGCAUGUCAUCCAGCCUUUUGCUGAUGGAGCCAAUGGGUGGCUCGUUUGGGAGGUUUCUCCCAGCUGGUCGUUCCGCUAGGUGUGAGUGAACGUUCCGCAUUGCUGGGGUGACCAUGGGGUCACGAUGCGGAGGUACAUUCUGCACCAUGGGAGCGAUCAUAGGAUCGGGGCGUGGUGCCCGGGUUGUGGCUACUGGUGGCCUUGAUCUCCCAGGCUCUUGUGGGCCUAGUCUUGCGCGCAUAGAACUUGACAACUGUGAUUUUCUAUCACGUUGUCUUUUUGCUGAAAAAUGAGUGGAAUCUGAGCUUUCCUCACGGGGAGCUCGAGGCAUAGGUGUACGUGGCUCAUGGGGCCUUGCGUUGUAUGCUCCUGGGACAGCUCCUGUUGACCCAGGAUAUAUUGAUUCUGGCUCUGGCCUUGAGUUUGCCACCUGGCCUCUUGAACGCUGACGACGAGGAGGACUUGACGUUGAGGCUUGAACGCGUAACACAGCGUUUUCUUCCCUUAACCUCUCCGUCUCCUGGAGGAGAGCUCUUAGCUGUUUUUCGCUCGCCAAUUGUCUUUUUUCGAUGGCCUGACGCCAUUCGAGAUUAUCUUCCUCCCCUCUACUAGAUGAUCGACUUUGGGAAGGUGUGGCCAUCUUUGCUAGUGACUGAAUCAAAAUAAAAAGUAAAGUUUCCCACAGACGGCGCCAAUGUUGUUGCCUCGCGUAUCCGGUGGUCCACGUUGCUGCUAGAUGGAUGGACACGCGAUUCUCAACACACAAAGGGUUCUUGAUUCAGCGGUUGUACCUGCAAAAGGCAUCCGGACAGGGUGUCCGGACACACCCUCCGAUGGUUUUGUUAGCCAUGGUAAGAGAGGAAGAUAUAUGAGGCAGUUGGCUUUUUACUAGGUAUCAGGAGGUUACUCAGAGAGGGAGAGCCAGAGUUCUUCUUCGUGUGAAGACUUAUAUAUACAGCUUUAAGGGUACUGUUCCUCUCAUUAAUGGUGAGGAGAUGUUUUAUGUUGUCAUGAUGACAUUAAGUAGCAGCAGGGACAUCAUCACCCUACGAGCGGCUGUCAGGAACCAUGGUAGGUGACGCGACUGUCAGAGAUCGUGGUAGGUGAUCAUGUAGAAUGAUCGUGGGAAGUGACUUGCUAUCACUUCAUCUUGUCUUCUCACUCUGCAGGUGACAAGAUGUGGGCCAUGGCUGCUUGUUGUGAUUGCGUGUAAGACUCGCUUUACUUUAAUUGACCAUCCAGACGAUUUAUAUCCGGAUGGCUCAUGCUGAUUAUCCGGAUGUGUUGUGGAGACUAUCCGGAUGUCUACGCUCUGCCAGCGUCGUUUGCUCUUCCUUGGAUAGGAGAAGCUGAAACGUCGUUUGCCUUUCCUUGAGGCGGUUCGGAUAGGAUAACUGCACCAUGCAUAUCCUUAGGGGAAUCCGGAUGAUGAUGGUCCGGCUAAUAACACGUGCCACGCGUCACCAUGAGCUGCGUGCCACGUGUUUCCCAAGGGGAGGGGUCCCUACAAUUAUAUCAUAGGAAGUUAGGGAUAAUCAUCUUGCUAAGUUGUCAACCGAUUGAAGAAAUUGUAGUAUUUGUUUUCAAAUCCCUUCCUUCAAGGGUCAAUUAGGAUUUUAGCCUUAGAAAGUAAUAUAUAUAUAUAUAUAUAAAGAAAUUGAAUGAGAAAAAAUAUUCCCAUUUUAUCACAUCUCUUAACUUCCUAUAAAAGAGGGAGACUUGUUAAUGACAUAUUAUUCAAUUUCUUUGUUAGCAUUUUAUUUCUCCUUUCUAAGUUUCUUCUCUUUCUACUUUCUUUUCAACAACAUGUUAUCAACACAAGCCUAUAACAACCGGUUUGAAACAUCAUUCUUUUUUUCUUCUUCUAAGAUUUCUACAUAAAACAUUAUGAGAAGGUAUUUCACAAUGUAGUUUUUUUUUGUGAUUAUUAUAAUUAUUCCUUGUCUCGUGUGAUAUAGAAUAUUACUUAAAUUUUAAUUAUUCAUAGACUUAAGUUAUGUAAAAUAUUUGUUAAAAUUCAUAUAGUAAAAAACUAUAUGAAAAUUAUUGUGUUUAUAGAUAACCAAAAGUUAUGUAAACUAUUAAUAUUAUUCAUAACUAGAGGUUAUGAGAAGUCAAAAGCUAUAUGAAAAUAUUAUAUUAUUAUACAUAGUCAAUGCAUUAUUAUUCUUAUUCAUAAUAAGAAGUUAUAAUAUGAGAAUAGUAAUUUAUAAUGUUUAUAUUAGCUAUAGAGUAUGUCAAAAUAAAAUAAAAUAAAAGAAUUGUGUCUUGGAAGUAUUAAAUUUUUUCAUUGUUGCAUGAUGUCUAUCUAAAUGAUAAUAGUAAUAAUUAAUUAAUUAAUAGACAUCCAUGCUUACCGUAUGUGCAUACAAGUCGGAACGAGUUUUAUGCACUGGCAAAGCCAGCCAAGGCCUAGGAGGGGUGCAUAACCCCAUUAAAAAUUAAAAUCAUAAUAAGGGUUUUGAACACCCUUAAUCUUCUAUUUAAGGGGAAAGCAUGCUUUCCACUGCACUAUAUAUAAUUGUCUCUCCAUAUUCCCCCCCCCCCNNNNNNNNNNNNNNNNNNNNNNNNNNNNNNNNNNNNNNNNNNNNNNNNNNNNNNNNNNNNNNNNNNNNNNNNNNNNNNNNNNNNNNNNNNNNNNNNNNNNGGGUUUGGACCCCCCUUUUUUUUUUUUUUAGGGGGAAAGCACCUUUUCCCCCGCCCAAAAAAAUAUGUUUUUCCCAUUUCCCCCCCCCCCCCCCCCCCCCCCCCUAAAAUAAUUCUUUUAUUUGUACCCCUCCUAGAGCAUAUUCUUAGCUUCACCACUAGUUUUAUGUAUGAAUUAUAAUACUUCUAUUUUAUGUUUGUUUCAUUUUACACUCAAAACUAUUAGUGGGAAUUCAAAUAUAUAUAUAUAUUCAUAAUUCAACGAAUCAAUGAAAAUGAAUAUUUUAUUUUUGUGAAAACUAUACCCAAAAGAAAGCUUUUUAUUAUUAUCUUACUUAAAAUUUUUUUUUUGGAUGGUUCAUGAGAUUAAGGUUUGGGUAUAGGAAUUUUUUUUUAACCCUACCCAAUCAUUAGAAAAAAAAGAAAAGAAAGGUUUAUUGCUUGUUUAAUUUGACCUUAUUCAACCACCUAAGUCAUUACUUGAAUUUUUCCCAUCAUGCUACUCUAGUUAGGAUUAUUUAUUUAUUUAUUUUGAAUGGUGUAUGAUUUCUUUUAUUUAUCAUAACGAGUUUAAACCAGUAGAGGAUUAAAAAUCCACUAUUAGAUAGACUUUUAUAAUUUUAUUUUUAUUUCAUUAUCUAUGAGAUUUUUCAAUUGUUAAUUAAAUUCGUCUUAGGCAUUAAUCUUCUUUUGAGGACUUCUAUGUUUGUUGGAUCAACAUCAUACAUGGGGUUUUCUAGUACUUUUCUUUUUAGAAACUUCACACUUGUUUAACACUAUAACAUUCUUAUAAACAGUCCUACUAAAUCAUGUAGCAUAGUCAUUGGAUACUUACUAUAGUAAUAAUAUAUGUAAUUUUAGGUUACUUACAUGUUUAUUUUGGGUUUAAUAAAAUGGGAUAUGGUGAAACAUUUUUAUGCACUCUUUUGAUCUACAAUAACAUUGGUUUAAGCUAAUUUUAUGUUAUAGUCAAUCUAGCUUUGGCUAUUGUGUGUGUGUAUAUAUAUAUAUAUAUAUAUAUUAAAUUAUAUUACUCUUCUAUGAAUUUGGGUUUUUUUGUUUGAAUAUCUUCUUCUUGAAAUAUUUCAUACAUAGUUCUCUAAUAAUGUCAAACCUCAUCAAACUGGGGUUUGGCACCCUUGAUAUCUUAAGAAAAAGCUACUUGUUAUGGAUAUUAGAUAUCAAAAUCCACCUUGAUAUCAUAAACCUUGGGAUAACCUAUAAGGAAAUAAAUGACACACCUUACAAGAUCACGUAAAAGCCUUAAUAUUCCUUUGCCAUCAUAUUGAUCAAGGGUUAAAAGGUGAUUAUGUCAUGCUAAAAGAGACUCUCAUUCUUUGAAGCAAUUUGAGAAAACAAUAUGACUACCAAAAUAUUGUGAUCUUGCCUAAAGCCCAUUAUGAUUGGUUGUAUUUAAGAUUACAAGAUUUUAAGUUUGCCAACAAAUACAAUUGUAAUAACCUUGAAGUAUUAAAAUAUAUAAAAAUAUUAAAAACAUUGAUAUUAGUAUGUUAAAUUAUGAGAGUUGGAAGUAGAGAUUUUGUAUAAAAGUUCCAACUAAAUUUGAGGAUUUAUAACUUGUUUAAUAAUUUUAUCAGUAGAAUGAUUAACCACAGAAUGAGAAAAUGAUAAUUAAUGAUUUAUCUAUAAUAGUGAUCUAUGGGGAUGGUUAUGGAGGUUUGGAGUUAGUUAAAUUUGAUAGAGAAUUGUUGGGUUUCUUAAAAGAGAUUAAUGUUCUCAUAAAUAUGAAGAAGAUAGUAGUUGAAAUUCUUGGAUGAAUUGGGGAUAUAAUUAGCCAUGUACUUAGGAUGAUCAACUAGUUGUGAAGUGGUUUAAUGAUGUACUAAAUGUAGUGAAAUUUUUUUGUAAAGGAAUUGCUAGCAUCAACAAUUAGGAUAACUAUGAUCCUAUGAGUUAGUUGAAAUAUUGUUUGAACUAUUGAUAGUUGUUGCUAAUAGUAGAUAUGUUCUUGGUUGUGAUAUUCUCUAUUAUUGAGACUUACUGAAAUUUGCACUAUGAGCAACAUGGAGAGUGUUAUAGGCACUUAUAAUUCAAAUUUAAAGCACCAUGAUAGGUGUCCUUAUAAAAAGUAAUAGAGGGCAAGGUCCCUCGGUGAGAGUCCUUAAAAGAAACAUUGUAAAGUAACCUAGGGUGAAAGACCCAAAAGAUCCUUAGAAGAUCCAUGUGUUGAUAUAAUAUGGGACAUGCAUAGACAUAUAUCCCUUAGUGAGAGUCCCUAAAAUAUAGGUACCCAUGGCUAUAGACAAAUGAUGUGCUACCUAAACAAUAUAUUAAAGUCUUAUGAAAGACAUAUGAUAAACUGGAAAUGAGUGAUUUUAAAAAUAUAUGUUUAUUUGGGUGAUAAUACAUACUUUUGAAUGAGUUCUUGUUUGGUGUUACUAAAAAGCAUGAAGAUGACAUUUUGUAUGAUCCAUUUUGUGAACAAAUCCUUUUCUACUAAGCUAUGAUUCACCUUUAUUUAAAAGUCUAUUUAUCAAACAUAGCUUAAGGGAUUAAGAAAAAAAAAAAAGAAUAGUUAAAGUAUUAUGCAAAGCUUGAAGAUUUUCUAUCGUUUGUGUUCAGUGUAAUUUUCUAUUGUAAAUGUAUAUUAAAAGCUACUUGGUAUCGUACAUGGUAGGAAAAUGAGAGUUUAGAAGUUGGUGAAGUAUUGUACAGUUGUGUGUAGGAACCUAGGUUGAAGGUUUUUAUUUUAAGGUUAAUAAAAUUUGAUUUUGAUUGCAUAAACUCAAGAUUUGCAAUUGUAAAUGAGUUUUUAGUGUUUAUAAUUUUUCAAUUGAAAUGUAUGGAAAUUUAAGAAUGAUUUUUUAGAAUUUUUGAUAUGUUGAAAAAUGGAGAAAAUAUGAAAGUGGGGAAAUCUUAGGGGGUCUAGUGGAGGUGUUGGAGGUACGCAACUUAAGUGGCAUACCUCUUUUCCCUUGUGUUAUAGGAGUGCAACUUAAAUGGUGUGUAAUUUAAGUGGCACACCUCUCUUCCCUUAUGGUUGAUGCACCUUUCUUCCCUUAUGUUCCAUAGGUGCACAACUUAAGUGGCACACCUAUCUCUUUUGCCUUAAAAUGGUUAUUUUUUUACCUUAACAUAGUUGUUUUACCCUAGCAUAGUUAUUACACCUCUCUAUUUUACUUCAACAUAGUUAUCUUUUUACCCUAGCGCAAUUAUUGCACCUCUCUGUUUUACCUCAUCACAUGUAGUUAUUUUACCUCAACAUAGCUAUUUCCUUAAUACUAUAUUUCUAUUUGAAAACUUAAAGUAAAUGGAGAGAUAAAUGAUAAAAUAAUAAAUUUUAAUUACAAAUUAACAAUAUUUUUUUUUUCAAAUUUUCUUCAAAAUAAAAUUCUCCCAAGUAAAAUUGUUGAAGAUAAAAAUCCCAUAAAUUUAAUUUGAGUAUCACCAAUAUGAAAACAAUAAAAUUUGUCAUUUUUUUAAAAUCUUAAACUGCAAAACUUUUAAAAAUGAAAUAUUUCUCAUACUUAGUCAAAUUUUCAACACAACAAAGUCCAUAAAUAAGAAAGACUUGAUGUUUUUCCAACUCAACAAGCUUUAUUUAAAAAGCUUUUAAAUGAUAAAAAUUUGGUCUCAAACACUAAAAUUCCCUUCUUAAUUCACAUCUCAAGUUCUAAAAUUGUAGGUUAGUCUUUAAUAAUAUCUUAAAACCAUAGUUUUAGACUUUAGGGCAUGAUAACCACUUUGCAUGAUGAUUCAAAAUUAACACUCAAUUGAAGCUAUGUGGAGAAAAGGUUAUUGAAAAAGACAUGAUAAAAAAGUCAUUUAUUACUUUUCAUACUUCAAAUAUGCUCUUAUAGAAGCAAUAUCAACGUAGAUUUACCAAAUAUUUAAAAUUAAUUUCAUGCUUUCUAGUUGUAUCCAUUUUUAUCCUUCAUAAUAUUUUCUACCAUAUAGUAUAAUGUUCUUUCUUAUCCUUGGAGGUAAGCAUGGUUGGUCGAACCACACUAAAACCUUGUGUACUUUUUGUGUGAUUGCUUUAUUUUUAUGCUUCUCUAUUAAUAUGUUUGCAUAAGAACUUUUUGCAUACCUAAUAAGUGGUAUUAAAGCUUCCACACAAGGAUGAAAAUAUCGGUUUUGAUGGAUAUAUCGGUAACUCGAUUUUACAGAUUUAUCAGGAAAUAUUGGCGGAUAUUUUGACACAAAAUAUUAAUAAGAUGAAAAUUGAUCAAAAUUCAUGAAAAUGUUGGAAAAAAAUCUAAAAAAUAAUAAAAGAAGUAACAAUAGACAUUUUGAAAUUAUUUUAUUGAAAGAAAUUGAUAUAUAUAUAUAUAAACAAAACCUGACUUCCUUUCCCGUGGCUCUGAUACCAUAGACACCUCGGAUGAGGUAAUAUGCAAUAAAAACAUGAAUUAUGCCAAAACUCAAAAUCAAAUAAGAGAAAUCGGAAACACACAAAGAUAUUUAAUAAAGAAAUUUAAAAAAAAACAUCAAACUUUAUAUUACAUAACUUGAAAAACAUACUUAUAAGGAGAAACGGAUAUAUAUAUAUAUAUAUAUAUGAUAUAAUUUGUCAUAUUCAAUAAUAAUAACGUAUGCGUUAAUAAAAAAUAUGAAUUUUUUAAGUGCACAUUUAUUAUUAAGUUACAUUAAAUAUUAUUUGACAAUAAUAUUAUAACAUUGAUACUAAUAUGUCCAACUUGAAAAUAUAUUUAAUUAAUAUUAAAACUAUAAUUUAUUUAAUUCAAAUGUAUUCAAUAAUAUAAAAUAAAUGGUGAUACAUGUAUAUUUUUUUUUUAAAUUUAUUUUUUAUACUAUCAUAUAUGAUAUAAAAAAAGACUAGUUAAGAAAAUUAUAAUGUUGAUUUUUAUAUUUUUAGUAAUUAAUUAAUUUAUUAAAAUAUUCUUUUAGUAUUUUGGUUUUAUCGAUGGAUUUUAAUAUCUUAAUGUUUGUGCAUAUAUACAAUCAAGGGUAGCUUUGCCUUGGUGGUUACCCAAGGUUAGUUUGAGCCUUUUGACUUGAGUUCAUUUUUGGGUUUGCUCAUGUUGACUAGCAAGAGAAGCAUCUUUUGAUUGCAUUAAUGGAUUGGAAAUAUCAAGAAAUUCCAAAAAAAGUUGGCAAAAAAAACGGGUAAAUGCCAAAGUAUCGAUGAUAUUUCCGAAAAAAUAACGAAAAAUCUUUCAUUUGAAAUUCCGAUGGUGGAUAUCGUGUCAACCCACAUCAUUCCACGAAAUAUCGAUGAUAUUUCGUUGAUAAAUCCCAAAAUUCAAACCUUGCUUCCACAUGCACGACAUAAUAAUGUAGUGUAUUAAUUUCUUCCUCCAUGAUAUAUGACCACGUUAAAUCCUUGUUUCUCAUUUUUUAUUUAUUUUUUGCUCCCUCAAUUAUGGAUAAGAUAUUUUAAUAAUAUGACAAGUUGAGCUUCAAAUCAAAUUGUUUAAAAAGCAAAUUUCAUUACAAGAUGACACAAACGAAAAAAAACUAGACCCCUCCUAACUAGUUCUAAGUGGACAACUUAGUUGAUUGCAAACCUCCAUUUAAUUCAUAACAAAUAUUCAUAUUUUUCUAAGUGGACAAUUUAGCUUAUUUCAAACUUCCAUUUAAUUCAUCUAAGUGGAUAACUUAGUUGAAGUUAAAUCUCCAUUUAAUUGAAAGUAAAUAUUCAUAUUUUGACGAGGAAUAACUUAGAAUAGUUACAAGUGAAAUAGUUAGUUGAUUUGAAGACUUCAACUAAUGCAUAAUAAACGUUUAUAUUCUCUGUUAGGUCCACAAGAAUUAGAAUAGUUCAAAGUGGACAAAGGAUAUUUCAAAUCUCCACCUAAUGUACAAUAAAUAUUCAUAUUUCUAAUACAUAAUAAAUAUUCAUAUUUUCUCGACAGCAUAGUUGAAUUUAAAUCUCCAUCUAUUGCACAAAAGAUAUUCAUAUGUUCUAAGUGGACAAGUUUGUUGAUUUGGCAUCUUCAUCUAAUUCAUAAUGAAUGUUUAUAUUUUCUAUCAGGCUACACGCAACUUAAAAUAAUACUAAGUAGGCAAGUUGGCUUAUUUGGAGUCUUGACCUAAUACAUAUUUUUUAUUAGGCCCAUGUGAUUUAAAAUAAUCCAAAGUGGACAACUUGUAGAAUACUUCUAAAUUGACAAGGAUUUAAUAUUACAAUACAAACAUUUACCAUUAUAAAAUUAAGUUGUAAAACAAAACUUAGUUAUCACUAUCUUAAUAAAUUAUCAAAUCAAGUUAGAUAAUAUAAUUAUCAAAGUAAAAAUAUCGAGAAAACUCUAAAUUUUAAUUUAUAAAAUUACAUAUCUCUUCCUUAAUACACUUGAAAUAUAAGUUAAUUAUCACUAUCUUGAUUAAUUAUCAAAUCAAGUAUAGAUGAUAUAAUUAUCAAAGUAAAAGCAUCGAGAAAACUAUAAAUUUUAAUUUAUAAGAGUACAUAUAUCUGUUAAUAUACCUAAAGCCUAUUUGAUAAUGAUUUUAGGAAGCACUUUUAACCUAAAAAAUAUUUAUAAAAAAAAAAAAUUAGGUGUUUGCCAAAAUAUAGAAAACAUUUUUAAAAGUCUAAAAAAAAUCUCUUAUAAUGUUGGAAAAUCACCUAUAGUAUUUUCUAAAGAAACACUUUAUAGGUGAUUAUUCUAAAAUAUUUUCAGAGAAAAUACUUCUACUAAAAAUACUUCAAAUAAAAACACUAUUAAACAUACUCUUAAGUCUUAAUAACAUACAAAAGUGUUCUCUACAACAAAUGAAAAUGAAAUUUGAUAUGUUUAUAAAGAAAAUCCAAUGUUAAUUUCAUCUUACAUUUUAAAUACAUAAAUAUCUUUACUUGAAAUCAAACUAGUUAACAUUCUUACUUAGCUAGGUUUCAACUUGAACAAUUAAUUGUGAGAGGUGCUUAUUAAUGAUGCUUGUUAGCUUUGCAUAUUUUUAUAAAUGUCUUUUAUUAAAAUUUUCAACUAUUUUACAAAGAAUAUGAACAAAUUAGGUGAUUUGAAUUUUUAUUAAUAUGAGCUUGCCCAUUUGGUUUUCUUCCCAAGUUUCACUUACAUCCUUGUGCUUUAUGUAAGAAGUAAUUCAUUGAUUAUAUCUUCUCAUCCAUUAAUUUUCUCUAAAAUAUUUGUAUGCUUCCAAAUUUCACAUGAUAAGAAAAAAGACAUCCAUUAUGCACCAUUUAAACCAAACCAAUAUUUUAAAUUAUGAAAACUUUGAAAUAUUAAUUUUUUUUUUCUUAUUUAGUGCUUAGGUUAUAUGUUUGGUUCCCAAAAAAUAUUAUGGAAAGAAAAAAAAAUUAAGAAAAUUUGUUUUCUCAUAUUUGAUUCCACCGUAAAAAAUGUAAAAGGAAAUAAAAUAUAAUUAAAAUUUAUAUACUUUUAAAUUAUUUAGUACUUAGAGUUAAAUAAAUAAAAUGAGUUUAAACAAGCAUAUACAAAUAAUUUAUAAUUGACUUUAAAGUUAUUUUUUUAUUUUCCUUUAAUAUUUCUUUCUUCUACUUUGAUUUGCAUUUCCCCUCAAAUUUUUUAAGAACCAAACAUAGCCUUAAUAAAUAAAAAGAAUUUGGCCAAUUCAUUUUUGUAAUAAAUUUAUUAUAUGGUUUUCUUUUAGUUGAAGUAAUAAAUGGUAUUUUGAUUUUACGAUGGACUUUAAUAUCUUAAUGUUUGUGCAUAUAUACAAUUAAGGGUAGAUUUGCCCUAGUGGUUGCCUAGGGUUAGUUUGAGCCUUUUGACCUAGUUCAUUUUUGGGUUUGAUUGUGUUGACUAGUAAGAGGAGUGCCCUUUGAUUGCAUUGAUGGGUUGAAAAUAUCAAGAAAUUCCCAAAAAAUGUUGGCAAAAAAACCAAUAAAUGUUAAAGUAUCGAUGAUAUUUUUGAAAAAAUAACAAAAAGUCUCUCAUUUAAGAUUUCAACGGUGGAUAUUGUGUCAACCCACGUCGUUGCACGAAAUAUCAGUGAUAUUUUAAUGAUAAAUCCCAAAAUUCAAACCUUGCUUCGACAUGCACGACAUAAUAAUGUGGUGUACUAAUUUCUUCCUCCCUAACAUAUGACCACAAUAAAUCCUUGUUUCUCAUUUAUGAUUUACUUUUUGCUCCCUCAAUUAUGCAUAAGAUAUUUUAAUAAUAUGAUAGUUGAGCUUGAAAUAAGAUUGUUUAAAAAACAAAAUUCAUUAAAAGAUGACACAAAACGAAAAAAAACUAGACCCCUCCUAGUGCACAACUUAGUUUAUUUCAAAUCUCCAUUUUAUUCAUAACAAAUAUUCAUAUUUUCUAGGUAGAUAAUUUAGCUUAUUUCAAAUCUCCAUUUAAUUCAUAAUAAAUAUUCAUAGUUUCUAAGUGGAUAACUUAGUUGAAGUUAAAUCUCCAUUUAAUUGAAAGUAAAUAUUCAUAUUUUUACGAGGAAUAACUUAGAAUAGUUACAAGUGGAAUAGUUAGUUGAUUUGGAGUCUUCAACUAAUGCAUAUAUAAUAAAUAUUUAAAUUCUUUGUUAGGUCCACACGACUUAGAAUAGUUCUAAGUGGACAAAGGGUAUUUCAAACCUCCACCUAAUGCACAAUAAAUAUUCAAUUUUUCUAAGAAGAUGUGUUAAAAUAAUUCUAAGUGAACAAAUUAGCUAAGUUGGAGUCUUCACCUAAUAAAUAAUAAAUAUUCAUAUUUUCUAGGCGGACAACAUAGUUGCAUUUGAAUCUCCAUCUUAUGCACAAUAAAUAUUCAUAUGUUCUAAAUGGACAAGUUUGCUAAUUUGGCAUCUUCAUCUAAUUCAUAAUGAAUAGUUAUAUUUUCUAUCAAGCUUAUUAGAAAUCUCAACCUGAUACAUAUUUUCUAUUAGGCCGGCCCAUGUGAUUUAAAAUAAUCCCAAGUGGACAACUUGUAGAAAUAAUUCUAAGUUGGCAAGGAUUUAAUAUUACAACACAAACAUUUACCAUUAUGAAAUUAAGUCAUAAAACAAAACUUAGUUAUCAUUAUCUUAAUAAAUUAUCAAAGCAAGUAUGGAUAACAUGAUUAUCAAAGUAAAAAUAGGGAGAAAACUAUGAAUUUUAAUUUAUAAGAGUUCAUAUCUCUUGCUUAAUAUACUUAAAAUCAAAGUUAUCAUUGUCUUAAUUAAUUAUCAAAUCAAGUAUAGAUGAUAUAAUUAUCAAAGUAAAAAUAUCAAGAAAAUUAUAAAUUUUAAUUUAUAAGGGUACAUAUAUCUAUUAGAGUCCAUUUGAUAGUGACAAUGAUUUUAGGAAUCGCUUUUACCGUAAAAAGUGUUUUUGGAAAAAAUUAGGUGUUUGAAAAAAUUUAAGAAACACUUUAAAAAAAUCUAAGAAAUAACUUGUAGUGUUGGAAAAUCACUUAAUGUUUUAUGGAGAAACAUUAUAAUUAUAUGUAGAAAAAAAAUAAUAGAGUUAUUGUGAACUGAUUUUUUAUCCAUAAAUUUUUUGUAUUAAUGGGUUCACUAUUUGAGUUUCAAAUACUUUUUAAAUAUUACUAGACUCAUUAUUGAAUCCAAUGCAUUAAGUCUUGUUUAAUUUGGAGUUUAUUUGCUUAGCGAAAAAAAUUUGAAAAAUAUAAUUCUAUAUAGAAGAAAAAGAUAGAGUCGUUCGAUACCAAUUUUUGUUCAUAAAUUUCUAGUACUAUUUGAGUUUUAAGUUAUCUUUAAAAUUAUUAAACUUAUUAAUGAAUCAAACACAUUAAGUCUUACUUAAUUUAGAAUUUAUUUGUCUAAUGAAAAAUUUUUCAAAAAUAUGAUUAUAAGUAAAGAAAAAACUAGACAAGUCAUAUGGUCUUCCUUUAAAUUGCAUUUACUUAUCUGAAUUUUUUUUUUAAUUUCUUAAAAAAAAUUCAUUAAAUAGAUAAAUUUCAAAUCAAAUUAUACUUGAUACAUAAAAUUGAUUAAUUUUCUAAAAUAAAUUGAAACUUAAAAAUUGAUUUAAUUAGCACUAAAAAUAUAGAACUUAAUAACAUUAGAAAGUCAUAAACCAAAAUUUAUUUUAAAUGACUUUAGUUAGUUUUUUCUUUAUAUAUAUAGCAAAUAAACUUCAAAUCAAGCAAGACUUGAUGUGUAAGAUUUAUUAACGAGUUUAGUAAUUUUUAGAAAUAAUUUAAAACUCAAAUAGUGAUCUUCCAACAAUUUAUGGACAAAUAUUGGUAUAGAACGACUCUAUUGUUUCUCUUCUACGUACAUAGAAUCAUAUUUUUCUGAUUUAUUUUCACUAGACAAAUAAAUUUCAAAUUAAAUAACACUUAAUAUAUUAGAUUCAUUACCAAAUACAUUAAUUUUUAAUUUAUAACUCAAACAAUAAUUCAAUUAAUACAAGAAAUUUAUAGAUAAAAAUUAGUCCAACUAUUAUUUCUUUUUUACAUAUGAUUAUAUUUUUAUAAAUUCUUUUAUUGGAUAAAUGAACUUUAAAUCAUGUGACACUUUGUAUUGAAUUUAAUAAUCUUUAAAAAUAAUUUAAAAUUUAAAAAAUUGAUCAAUUAAUUGCAAAUCAAAGCAAAAUAUUUUAGAAUACUUUGUUUCUAAUUGAGUUCUAAAUGUGUGUAUGCAAUAAGAAAUUUAAAAUAGUUUAAAAAAUAUUUUCAAAUCCAUUAGUUAUCCCAAACUUUUCUCAUCAUUUUUUAAAAGAAAAGAAAAUGAUUUUUUAAUGUUUGGUUUUCACAUGGAAGAAAUUGAAUAUAAUUAAAAUUAGUUCAAAACUUUUGUAUUUUCAAAUUAUUUAUUUUUUAUGUAGAAAAAUUAAAAUAAAUGAAAUGAAUUUAAAGAGCAUACUAAAUAAUUUAUUGAAUUUAAAACUAUUUUUAAUUUUCAUUCACUUUUUUUCCUCACAUUUUCUGUUAAAUUUAUAUGAGAAACACACAAAAUCUUAGUAUUUGCCUUUUUUUUUUUUGUUAGUUAAUGUUGUUUUCCCUUGUCUUUUUCCGAUGGUAUUUAAAAAUAAUAAAUUUGUUCCCUUUCCUCGGUAUUUUUCCAAAUUUCGGAUUCGUACGUUGGAAUAAUCAGCCUAAUGUCCAUCCACCCCUAUAAAGAUAUCUCUUACUUUGUUCCAUAUUCUCUCACAAUUCCCUCAGCUUCUCAUCUUGUACGUGCUGUAUUUUCUUCGCUUUCUGCUACUUUGAGUUGUUCCAAAAUGGCUGACCAAAUUCCAUUCGGUGUUGUGGAGCACAUUUUGACCAAGUUGGGGUCCAAGGCGUUUCAAGAAAUUGGAUCCAUGUAUGGUGUUCCAAAGGAGAUGACCAAGCUCAAGGACAACCUGGACGUCAUCAAAGGUGUACUUCUGGAUGCUGAGGAACAGCAGCAGCAGAAAACUCGUGGAAUAGAAGCUUGGGUCCAGAAGCUCAAAGGCGCCGUGUAUGACGCAGAUGACUUGCUGGAUGAUUAUGCAACCCAUUAUCUACAGCGAGGAGGAUUCGCAAGGCAGGUCAGUGACUUCUUCUCACCUGUAAAUCAAGUUGUUUUUCGCUUUAAGAUGAGUCAUAGACUCAAGGAUAUCAAUGAAAGGCUGGACGCUAUCGAAAAAAAAAUCCCCAUGUUAAAUCUCAUUCCACGGGACAUAGUACUACACACACGGGAAGAGAGGAGUGGGAGAGAAACCCACUCAUUCUUGUUGCCGUCUGAUAUUGUAGGAAGAGAAGAAAACAAAGAGGAGAUAAUAAGGAAGCUGUCAUCUAACAAUGAAGAAAUUCUUUCCGUUGUUGCCAUUGUUGGCUUUGGGGGAUUGGGUAAGACCACCCUCACUCAAUCGGUAUACAAUGACCAAAGAGUAAAACAUUUUCAGUAUAAGACAUGGGUUUGCAUUUCUGAUGAUUCUGGUGAUGGUCUUGACGUCAAACUGUGGGUCAAAAAGAUUUUAAAAUCUAUGGGAGUUCAGGAUGUGGAGAGUCUGACCUUGGAUGGUUUGAAAGACAAGCUUCACGAAAAAAUAAGUCAAAAGAAGUACUUGUUAGUACUUGAUGAUGUUUGGAACGAAAAUCCUGGAAAAUGGUAUGAACUGAAAAAAUUGUUGAUGGUUGGUGCUAGAGGAAGUAAAAUUAUAGUAACCACCCGAAAACUUAAUGUUGCAUCCAUUAUGGAAGAUAAGUCUCCCGUUAGUUUGAAAGGUCUAGGAGAAAAGGAGUCUUGGGCUUUAUUUUCAAAAUUUGCAUUUAGAGAACAGGAGAUUUUGAAGCCAGAAAUUGUAGAAAUUGGAGAAGAAAUUGCAAAAAUGUGCAAGGGAGUUCCUCUCGUUAUUAAGUCUUUAGCAAUGAUAUUGCAGUCUAAAAGAGAACCGGGGCAGUGGUUGUCUAUUAGAAACAAUAAAAAUUUGCUGUCACUUGGAGAUGAAAAUGAGAAUGUUCUAGGGGUGCUGAAAUUAAGUUAUGAUAAUUUGUCAACUCAUUUGAGACAAUGUUUUACAUAUUGUGCUUUAUUUCCAAAAGACUAUGAGAUUGAGAAAAAGUUGGUGGUACAUCUAUGGAUAGCACAAGGUUAUAUUCAAUCUUCAAAUGAUAAUAAUGAGCAAGUAGAGGAUAUAGGGGAUCAAUAUGUUGAGGAAUUAUUGUCAAGGUCAUUGUUGGAGAAGGCGGGAACCAAUCAUUUUAAAAUGCAUGACCUUAUACAUGAUCUUGCACAAUCAAUUGUAGGAUCUGAGAUCCUUGUUUUAAGAAGUGAUGUAAAUAACAUUCCAGAAGAAGCUCGUCAUGUAUCAUUGUUUGAAGAGAUAAAUCCUAUGAUAAAGGCUCUAAAGGGAAAACCCAUAAGAACCUUUCUUUGUAAAUAUUCUUAUAAAGAUAGUACAAUUGUAAAUUCAUUUUUUUCAUGUUUUAUGUGUUUACGUGCAUUGAGUUUAAGUUGUACGGGUAUAAAGGAGGUGCCAGGGCAUUUAGGCAAAUUGAGUCAUUUAAGGUAUCUUGAUCUUUCCUACAAUGAGUUUAAGGUACUUCCGAAUGCUAUUACAAGGUUAAAGAAUUUGCAAACACUAAAACUCACCAGCUGUAAGAGAUUAAAAGGAAUUCCAGACAAUAUAGGAGAAUUGAUCAAUCUUAGACACUUGGAGAAUGAUAGUUGUUAUAACUUGGCUCAUAUGCCACAUGGAAUCGGCAAGUUGACUUUACUUCGAAGUCUACCAUUGUUUGUGGUUGGGAAUGACAUAGGGUUAAGGAAUCACAAAAUUGGUAGCUUGAGUGAAUUGAAAGGCCUUAACCAACUAGGAGGAGGGUUAUGCAUAAGUAAUCUUCAAAACGUGAGGGAUGUUGAACUGGUAUCCAGGGGGGAAAUUUUGAAAGGAAAACAAUAUCUUCAGUCCUUGAGAUUGGAAUGGAAUCGGCGGGGCCAAGAUGGGGAGUAUGAGGGUGAUAAGUCAGUGAUGGAAGGCCUUCAACCACACCGACACCUAAAGGAUAUCUUUAUAGAAGGUUAUGGAGGUACGGAGUUUCCAAGUUGGAUGAUGAAUGAUGGGUUGGGUUCCCUGUUUCCCUACCUAAUUGAAAUUGAAAUUUGGGAAUGUUCAAGAUGCAAAAUUCUGCCACCCUUUUCUGAACUCCCUUCUCUCAAGUCUUUGAAGCUUGAUGAUAUGAAAGAAGCGGUGGAGUUAAAGGAGGGUUCAUUAACAACGCCACUCUUCCCAUCUCUUGAAUCGCUCAAACUCUGUUCCAUGCCAAAGUUGAAGGAAUUGUGGAGGAUGGACUUACUAGCAGAGGAGGGUCCUUCAUUUUCUCAUCUUUCGAAGUUAUAUAUUUAUAAAUGCUCUAGUUUGGCAUCACUGCAUCCGUCUCCUUCUCUUUCUCAAUUAGUGAUCAGAAAUUGCCAUAACUUGGCAUCACUGCAUCCUUCUCCUUCUCUUUCUCAAUUAGAGAUCGGACAUUGCCGUAACUUGGCUUCCUUGGAACUGCAUUCAUCUCCUUGUCUUUCAAAAUUAGAGAUCAUAUAUUGCCAUAGCUUGGCAUCCUUGGAACUGCAUUCAUCUCCUUGUCUUUCAAAAUUAAAGAUCAGCUAUUGCCAUAACUUGGCAUCCUUGGAACUGCAUUCAUCUCCUUGUCUUUCAAAAUUAGAGGUCGGAAAUUGCGAUAAUUUGGCAUCCUUGGAACUGCAUUCUUCUCCUUCUCUUUCUCAAUUAGAGAUCGAAGCUUGCAGUAACUUGGCUUCCUUGGAACUGCAUUCAUCUCUCUCUCCUUCUCGAUUAAUGAUCCAUAGUUGCCCAAACUUGACAUCCAUGGAACUGCCGUCAUCUCUUUGUCUUUCUCAAUUAUAUAUCAGAAAUUGCCAUAAUUUGGCAUCCUUGGAACUGCAUUCUUCUCCUUCUCUUUCUCAAUUAAACAUCCAUGAUUGCCCAAACUUGACAUCCAUGGAACUGCGGUCAUCUCUUUGUCUUUCUGAUUUAGAAAUCAGUAAAUGCCCUAACUUGGCAUCCUUCAAAGUGGCUCCAUUACCUUCUCUUGAGACACUAUAUCUGUUCAGAGUUAGAUAUGGUGCGAUAUGGCAGAUAAUGUCUGUCUCUGCUUCUUCUUCGUUGAAGUCUCUGCAUAUUGGAAGCAUAGAUGAUAUGAUAUCUCUCCCGAAGGAGCUACUUCAACAUGUUUCUGGCUUGGUAACGUUAGAGAUCCGUGAGUGUCCUAACUUGGCAUCCUUGGAACUGCCGUCAUCUCCUUCUCUUUCUGGAUUAACGAUCCGUGAUUGCCCAAACUUGACAUCCAUGAAACUGCCGUCAUCUCUUUGUCUUUCUCAAUUAGAGAUCAUCGAUUGCCAUAACUUGGCAUCCUUGGAACUGCAUUCUUCUCCUUCUCUUUCUCAAUUAGUGAUCAGAAAUUGCCAUAACUUGGUAUCCUUGGAACUGCCGUCAUCCCAUUGUCUUUCUAAAUUAAAGAUCAUAAAAUGCCCUAACUUGGCAUCCUUCAAUACGGCAUCAUUACCUCGUCUUGAGGAACUAAGCCUGCGUGGAGUCAGAGCAGAGGUACUGAGGCAGUUCAUGUUUGUCUCUGCUUCUUCUUCAUUGAAGUCUCUGCGUAUACGGGAGAUUGAUGGUAUGAUAUCUCUCCCAGAGGAGACGCUUCAAUAUGUUUCCACUCUCGAAACUCUCUACAUUGUUAAGUGCUCUGGUUUGGCAACAUUACUACACUGGAUGGGCAGCCUUUCCUCGCUUACGGAACUUAUUAUUUAUGACUGCUCUGAAUUGACAUCACUGCCAGAAGAGAUCUAUUCCCUAAAAAAACUGCAGAAAUUUUAUUUCUGUGAUUAUCCACACCUACGGGAAAGAUACAACAAGGAAACAGGUAAAGACCGGGCCAAGAUUGCUCAUAUCCCACAUGUUCGUUUCUACCUUGAUUCCGAUAUGGAAUGGCAGGUAGGUCCGAAAUCCCUAACCUUUCUUCCCAUUUUUAUUAUUUAAGAAUCAAAAUGCUAUGUUUUCAUUUUGUCUCUGGUAGUUCUUUUAUGUUGGCACCUCAUAUGUUUGUUUAAAUGCUCACAUCAAUAACUUUUUGAAAAAUUUUCCAGAUUAACAUCAUUUGCUGAUGCUGUGCACUAAACUAAUCAUUUUACUUGGGAGUUGUACAUUCUAAGAGUUUGAGGAAAUAUUGAGGUCUGGUAUGAUAACUCUCAAUCCUUGGAACUGCAUUCAUCUCCUUCUCUUUCUCGAUUAACAAUCCAUGAUUGCCCAAACUUGGCAUCCUUCAAUGUGGCAUCAUUACCUCGUCUUGAGGAACUAAGCCUGCGUGGAGUCAGAGCAGAGGUACUGAGGCAGUUCAUGUUUGUCUCUGCUUCUUCUUCAUUGAAGUCUCUGUGUAUACGGGAGAUUGAUGGUAUGAUAUCUCCCAGAGGAGCCGCUUCAAUAUGUAUCCACUCUCGAAACUCUCUACAUUGUUAAGUGCUCUGGUUUGGCAACAUUACUACACUGGAUGGGCAGCCUUUCCUCGCUUAAGGAACUUAUGAUUUAUGAAUGCUCUGAAUUGACAUCACUGCCAGAAGAGAUCUGUUCCCUUAAAAAACUGCAGAAAUUUUAUUUCUGUGAUUAACCACACCUAGAGAAAAGAUACAACAAGGAAACAGGUAAAGACCGGGCCAAGAUUGAUCAUAUCCCACGUAUUAAUUUCCAAAGUGAUCGAGUUAUGGAAUAUAAGGUCCGAAAUCCCUAACCUUUCUUCCCAUUUUUAUUAUUUAAGAAUCAAAAUGCUAUGUUUUCAUUUUAUUAUUAUGUUUUCAUUGUAUCCCUGGCACCUCAUAUGUUUGUUUUUACUGCUCACAUUAAUAAUUUUGAAAUUUUUUUCCAGCUUGGAUACGCUUUCCGAUGAUGUGCACUAAACUAACAAUUUUACUUGGAGUUGUACAUUCUAAGAGUUUGAGGAAAUACUGAGGUCUGAUAUGAUAACUCUCAAUCUUAAACGUUGUUUUGUGUUUGGAACGUUACUACACUUGAUACAUACCCUCACCUCACUUACAGAGCUUGGAAAUCGUGGCUGCCUUGAAUCGACGUCACUGUCAGAAUAUAUGUUCCCUCAAAAACCUGCAGACACUAAAUAAUCUGCAUCUGUUCACAGAAAGAUGCUGAAAGGAAAGGUGAAGACCAACCCAAGAUUGCUCAUAUGCCACAAAUUGAUAUCAUACAUCCAUGAAGAUUGAACUGAUACACAAUGCCUUUCAGGUCUGAAAUCCCUAACUUUUCUUCUCAUUUUCUAUGACUUCAUUUUCAUUAUCUUACUUUUAAAAUGCUCUGUUUUCAUUUGUUUUGGUAGUUCUUUGUAUUUGUGCCUUACUUGUUUGAUUAAAUGCUUACAUCUUCAAAUUAUUUUAUUCUAAGUGUUUUGCAUUCUAAGAGUUUGAGGAAAUACUGAGCUCUAAUAUAACUAGUAGAGUCCACCAUUCCUAAGAAGCUUACCAUUUCCUAGUGCCCAAAGGAUCCCGAAAGGAGACAACUUUGGAUUGGCUUGAAGAUUUCCCAUGGUCCAAAAAUUUGUAUUUACUAGACGCUUGAUACAAAAAGUAGUUUAAAUUUAGCCAUUAAUAUAACUUUUUUAUUAGAGAAAUAAUUGCCAAACAAAUGCAAAAUAGAAAAUGGUGUUAAUGAAUUCAGUCCUUCAUCUAUAUUGCAGUUUAGCAGCUUUUGUUAGAUAACAGGUAUGGGGUUGGGUUUAUUAUGUUACCAUUCCAAAUAUUCUUAAAAAAAUCAUCAAGGCUUUGUUUGUUUUCUUGAAAAUUUGAAGGAAAAAAUAAAGAGAAAAAGUGGAAGGAAAAAAAAAAGUGGAAGUCAAUAAAUUAUUUUUAUAUUAUACUUUAAACUCAUUUCACUUUUUUUUAACUCUUUGAUUUAAAGAUUAAAUAAUUUGAAAAUGUAUAAAUUUAUAAUUAAUCUUAAUUAUAUUUGAUUUUCUUUGGUAUUUUCCAUAGGACAAUUAAACUUGAGAAAAUCAUUUUCCUUAACAUUAUUUUCUUAGUACUUUUCGGGAACCAAGCAUAACCUAAAUGUUCUAGUUUAGUUUAGCAGCUUCAUCAAAUUAGAUAGACAACCUCACAUCUCUUAUUCAGCUGAGGUGUUAUGUUAGUUAAUGUUUUGUCUCUGCUUCUUCAUUGAAGUCUGUCUAUUGGAUGCACAGAUGAUAUGAUCCAAACUUAAAUUGAACGUUGCUCUUGUUUUGCAACAUUACUGUACUAGAAAGGCAACUUGAACUCACUUAUAGACCUACCUAUUGGUGACUGCAUUGAAUUGACAUCACCUUAGAAGAGAUGUGUUCCACAUGGAAAAUCUUUCAUUAUAUGCACCUACUUGCAAGAUACCAAAAGGAAACGGGUGAAUACUUGCCCAAGAAUACAAAGGGCCACACUUGGUGAAGGUUUCAUCAGUAAGGAGAACCAUUUCAAGUAUGAAAUCCUCCAUUCUCAUUUUUUGAUGACUUCAUUUUUAUUCAAUAUCCAUUUGAAAUAAUUUAAGUUCAUUUUCUUUAGAUAUUAUAUUUUCUUGCUUGCUCAAUAAUUUCAUUCAAGUAAGUUGUUUGGAUAUCACAUUUUCUUUGGGUUUUUUUCUUUUUAGAAUAAUUUCAAAAUGUCAUUUUUUACUAUUCACAAAAUUUGAUCAUAGUUGAGUGAUUAAAAUUCAAGUUUAUUCUUAUUAUCAUUAGUAGUUAUUUGAUAUAUUUGUUUGCUAAUACAAAAAUAAGACUAACAAGUAAUGUGCAUAGAGUUUGUAGAAGAGAAGAAAGAUUUGAUCCAAGAUAUUCCUAAAGAUCGGAAACUUUCAAAGCCACCCAAGAUCCCACAGGUUGAAUUCAGAUUCAUUCAGUUUACAAUCCAUUAAUUCUACUUAUAUCAUCUUUGUUAUGUUACAAUUUGCCUUUACUUGUUAUGCAGCCUACCUUAAUAAUUUGGGGAGACCAAGAUAAGGUAUUCCUAGUAGAAUUGGCUCACAAAUUGAAAAGGUAAACUUGUAUCACCUACCUACAUACCUACAACAAUACAAACACUAGCUCAUGUCUUUCUCACUAUUGAAAUUGUUAUUGCAUGCAGACAUUUCAGGUGAGGAGGCCCAACUUGUGAUCAUAGAGCAUACUUUUAUUAUAGAGAAGCCCAAGGAAAUAUUUAAGCACUUGAAAUCCUUUCUCAUUGAUUUGCUUCCACCUCCCAAGCAACACCUAGAACCACUCGCACCAUGACGAAGUUAAAAGGAACUAAUGCAACAUUCUCAAUAUAUUAGAAUAUAUCGAAGGAAGGGUGGCCACAUAUGAAGACCCUAUUCCAAGGUCAAAUUUUAGAUUUUUGUGUUUUUCUUAUCACUAUUCCUAUACUAUUACUAGUGCACCUUAUUUGUCAAGAUGAUUAAAAGGGAAUUCCCUAGGAUAACUAGUGUCUCAAGUGAUCUUGAGGUUCAUAAAUUUUUGGUUUCCAUAAGAUAGGUGCCAACUAUUUUUAUUUUUUUUACACCCAUGCAAUAUUCCGGUCAUCUAUUAACAAAGGCUAAAAUUUCUUGUAGAGAAUAGAAUAAAGAACUAAAUUACAUGCAAAUAGGACAUUAUUAUUCUAUUUACAAGUAAGGGCCAAAAAUUAUUGAGGGCCAUCAAGCACAUUGUUCCUAAAAUAAUAGCAUCCAUGUUGUUGAGCAAAAGUUUUUUUAUAUUGGCACCUCAUAUGUUUGUUUAAAUGCUCACAUCAAUAACUUUGAAAAUAUUUUCCAGAUUUUCAACAAAUUGUAAUGUUGUGCACUAAAUUAAUCAUUUUACUUGGAGUUCUACAUUCUAAGAGUUUGAGAAAAAACUAAGGUCUGAUAUGACAACUCUCAAUCUUAAAUGUUGUUUUGUGUUUGGAAUAUUACUGCACUUGAUAGAUGCCCUUACCUCUGUUACAGAACUUGGAAUUCAUGGCUACCCUGAAUUGACAUCCCUACCAGAAGAUAUGUUCCCUUAAAAGCUUGCAGACACUAAACAAUUUGCAGCUGUUCACACUUAGAGGAAAGUUGCUGAAAGGAAAAGUGAAGACUAACCAAAGAUUGCUCAUAUCCCACAAAUUGAUAUCAUACAUCCAUGAAGAUUGAACUGAUACAGAAUGUCUUUUAGGUCCGAAAUCCCUAACUUUUCUUCUUAUUUUCUAUGACUUCAUUUUUAUUAUCUUACAUUCAAAAAUCUUCUGUUUUCAUUUGUUUUGGUAGUUCUUUUUAUUUGCACCUUAUUUGUUUUAUUAAAUGCUUACUCCAGUAAGUUUGAAAAUUUUUACAUCUUCAAAUCAUUUUGCUUGAGUGUUUUGCAUUCUAAGAGUUUGAGGAAAUACUGAGCUCUAAUAUAAAUAGUAUUGGUCAUAGAGUCUUCCUUUCUUAAGAAGCUUACCAUUGACCUAAUGGCCAAAGGAUCCCAAAAGGAAACGACUUUGGGUUGGCUUGAAAAUUUCACAUGGUCCAAACAUUCAUAUUUACUAGAUGCCUGAUAUAAAAGAACUUUUGUUCUCUUUUCAAUUUAGCCAUUGAUGUAGUCUAAAUGUUUUAUUAGAGCAAUAAUUGUCGAGUAAAUGCAAAAUAGAGAAUGGUGUUAAUGAAUUCAGUACUUCAUCUAUGUUGUAGACUUGUAGUUUAGCAGCUUCUGCUGAUAAUGAGUGUGGGGUUGGCUUUAUCAUGUCACUGUUCCAAAUAUUCUUUAAAAAAUCAUUUAAGCUCUGUUUGGUUCUUAGAAAAUUUGAGGGAAAAUGUGAGGAAAACAAAAUAGAGAGGAAAAGUGGAAGGAAAAAAAAAGUGAAAGUCAAUAAAUUAUUUUUGUAUGCUACUUCAAACUCACUGCACUCUUUUUAACUCUUUAAUAUAAAAAUUAAAUCAUUUGAAAAAUGUAUAAAUUUCUAAUUAAUUUUAAUUAUAUUUGAUUUUCUUUGGUAUUUUCCAAAAGACAACCAAAUAUGAGAAAAUCAUUUUCCUUAACAUUUUUUUUCUUAGUACUUUUAGGGAACCAAACAUAACCUAAAUGUUUUAGUUUAGUAGUUUCAUCAAAUUAGAUAGAUAACCUCACAUCUCUUAGUGAGCUGAGGUGCUAUGUUAAUUAAUGUUUUGUCUCUACUUCUUCAUUGAAGUCUCUAUCUAUUGGACGCACAGAUGAUAUGAUCCAAACUCAAAUUGAACACUACUCUUGUUUUGCAACAUUACUUUACUCAAUAAUUUCAUUCAAGUUCUUUGGAUAUCGCAUUUUCUUUGGUGUUUUUUUUAGAAUAAUUCAAAAUGUCUUUUUUAACGGUUCACAAAAUUUGAUUACAGUUGAGUGAUUAAAAUUCAAGUUUAUUAUUAUUAUUAUUAUUAUUAUUAUUAUUAUUAUUAUUAUUAUUAUUAUUAUUAUUGGUUAUUUGAUAUAUUUUUUUUCUAAUAGAGACAAAAGACUGGCAGCUAAUGUGCAUAGAAUUUGUAGAAGAGAAUAAAGAUUUGAUCUAAGCUAUUCUUAAAGACCAGAAACUUUUAGAGCUACCCAAGAUCUCACAGGUUGAAUUUUGAUUCACCUAGUUUACAAUCCACUAAUUAUCCUUAUAUCAUUUUUGUUAUGUUACAAAUUGCCUUUACUUAUUAUGCAACUUGUCUUAAUAAUUUGGGAAGACCAAGAUAAGGUCUUCCUAGUAGAACUGGCUUACAAAUUGAAACGGUAAACUCAUAUCACCUAUCUACAUGCCCACAACAAUAUAAACACUAGCUCAUGUGUUCCUCACUAUUGAGAUUGUUGUUGCAUGCAGGCAUUUUGGGCGAGGAGGCUCGACUUGUGAUCAUCAAUAACACAAGGCAUGUUUUUAUACAGAGAAGCCCAAAGAAACUUUUAAGCAUUUUGUUAGCCCAAGGGUUCUCCUAAUCAGGUUUUGAUGAUAACAAACCAUGGUUAAGUGACUAAUUGGUUUGAAUGGUAAAGAAUCUUAGGUAUAAAUUUGGAAAUUCAUCAAAUGACCAAAUGGAUACAAGAUCGAGACUUUUGGAAGACUUUUGAUUAUAGGAAACAAAUGUAAGAUGAAUGCAUGGGUGCACUUAGGUUUUACAUAUCUUUUUAUGCAUCUUUGAAAACUCGGUUUAUUCCUUAAAAUUACGAUUUCAUUAAAACCCAGGUUUUAUCAAAUGUAUCUUAGGCAAAACGUUUCAAAAUUGGCAUAUCAAUUUACCUAAAGACCUUGCCUAAGUGUUAGAAAGGAAAAGAAUUGAAAAAUAUAGGUUUUCGGGGCUAAAAGACUGAACCGAUCGAGGCACAGUCAAUCGGCUCAACCAACCAGGGAACCGAACGAUCGGUUGCUCUUGUCCGACCGAGAUCUGGUCGAGGAGUGUCAAAAACACACUCUCUCAUCCAGUAGCCUUCUCUUCCCAGUCGAGGUACUCUCCUUCCCGAUCGACCUCUAGUCGAGGUUCAGUCGAGGCAACGGUAACCUACCAAAGCAUUAAAUGCUCCAACGGCUAGUGAACCAAUCGACCCCCAGCUCGACCGGUUAAGGCUGUUUUUUGCUUUUUUUGGCUCCCAAGCUUAGAAACCUAUAAAUUGAGAGCUCCACUUCAUUUAUGACAUAAAGAACACUUGCAAUCAAUUUUCUACCCACUUGUUCUUGCCUUAAAAGCUCUCAUUUAUUUCUUAGUGCAUUAAAUCCUCACUUGCAUAUCCUUUAGUGCACCCUUGUGAAUCAUCCUAGCUUUGAUUUGUAUUUGAGCUAUCAUUGAGCUAGAUUGAGGGCUUCAUUCUUGUAAAAAUUGAGUGUUAAAGCCUUCAAGAGGUUUGAAUCUUGAAGAGAUUAUGUAAGAGCCCAUUGGAGCCAGAAUCCAAGUUUAAAGGAGAUUGGAAGCUUUGUUGAAGCUUCAAGUUAGUGGAACCCUCACUCGGUUAGGAGAUUGAGGAGAGUGGACGUAGGCAAGGAAAUGUCGAACCACUAUAAAAUCCGAGUGUAAAUUUUCUAACUCUAUCUCUUUAUUUUUUAUUAUAUUGUGAUUGAAUUUGUUGUGUUGAAAAAGUUUUUGAAAAACCCAAUUCACCCCCCUAUUAGGUGUUUUUCUCAUUAAUUUGCUUCCACCUCAUAAGCAACCCUCAGAACCACUUACACCAUGACAAGGUGAAAAGAAACUAAUGCAACAUUCUCAAUAUAUCAGAAGAUAUCAAAGGAAGGUUGGCCACAUAUGAGGACCCUGUUUCUAAGGUAGAAUUUUAGAUUUUUGUGUUUUUCUUGUCACUGUUUCUAUACCAUUACUAGUGCACCUUAUUUUUCAAGGUGAUUAAAAGGGAAUUCCCUAGGAUAACUAAUGUCUCAGAUAAUCUUGAGGUUCACAAAUUUUUGGUUUCAACAAAAUAGACGUCAAACCAUUUUUAUUUUUUUCUACACCCAUGCAAUAUUCCAUUCAUUUAUUAAUAAGGACUAAAAUUUCUUGUAGAGAAUGGAAUAAAGAACUAGAUUAAAUGAAAUAAGACAUUAUUAGUCUAUUUACAAGUAAGGGCAAAAAAUUCUUAAGGGUCAUUAAGCACACUGUUCCUAAAAUAAUAACAUCCAUGUCAUUGAAGUUUAUUGCAAUUACAUUAGCAUAUAAAACAAAACUAUUUUUUUUUUCUUUAUGUUCACACCUUAUCCAUUUGAUAAAAUGCUUAAACAAGUAAGUUUGAAUUUUUUUUUUUUUUUUUUUUGUUUUCAAAUCAAUUUAAAUUUUACAUUCAAAAGUUGAAUUAUUAUUAUUUUUUUUGGAAAAUUUAACCGCACUUUAGAAGUUUGUGAUUAUUCUUUGGUCCAUCUUAAAAUGAGUUCCUGCAUUCUUCCAUUCCUCAAAUUAAAAUCACAAUAAAAAGUUUUAGAUUGACCUAAAAUUUUCUCAUGGCUUAGAAAUUCAUAUCUACUAGAUGGCUAAAGCAAAAAACACUUUUGCCUUGUAUUUUAAGUAAUCCUUGCCUGCUAUUUGUUUAUUGAGAGCAUCAUACAAGUUGUGAUUAUAUUUCUUAAUUUUUUUAUAUGAUAAGACAGUAAUUGGAUUGAGAAAGAUGCAACUUGUGGAGCAGAAAAUUUCUUAACUACUUCCCUUGUAUUUGCUUUGUGUGUAUCAACUGUUCUAUUAAUUAUUUUUUAAAAAUAUCACUAAAACAAACCUAUUAUGUCAGUGCUCUCUAUUGUUAUGUAUCAUAAUUUAGCUAUUUUUUCCCUAGAAAUCAUGCUUGUUAUUGUGUUAAUCAGUAGGUAGCAUAAGAACUAUUUUGUUCAAGUUAUUUUGUAUUGGCAUUCUUCAUGUUUCAAAAUAUUGUCAGACUAGCAAUUUUACUGCAGAUAUAAUGUUCUCAAAUCAAUGCAAAAAUGGACGAUUGUGGGUCUUGGGCACAACCUUCCUUGAAGAGUUGAAUUGAGGGUUUCUAUAAACUAGGUCUCUAUAUCAAUAGAUUCUACAUUUCAUCACUAUGGAGACCUUACAAUAAAUAUCGCAAAAAGCUUCAUUUACUACAUAGUAAGGAUAAUCCUAAGGACUUAAAAGUUUGAGUUGUCUCUUCCAUGGCAGCUUCAGAUCUCUUAAUGAGCUCCCAGUCAUUGCCUACCUUGAAUAUAAAUCACUGCUAGAAGUAUGUGCCCUCAACAUUCCCAUGUUCCCGAUAUUGACUAGAUAUUUGUUGCUAAUUCAUGAAGAAUUGAAGGGAUCUUUGAUAAUGACAUCUAUAAUGUACUUCAAGUUCAUGAUCCAAACUCUCUUCUUGCUUUCAAUAACUUCAUUUUUUUUUAUAUUACUUUAUGGUCAAUGUUAUAAGAAUGUUGUAUUUUGUUUACCUGAUUCUCAUCCAUCAGCACACAGGAAAGGAAAAGUUUUACAUUGCUUUCCUUCCCUUUGCUCUGUGUUUAUAUAUGUUUAUGCAGCUAAUGUGAACUUCCACCAUAACUUUUUAAGUUUUUUUCAUUCUCGAGUUUGGGAAACAACUAGAUUUGAUUGUAAUAUUUUCUUGUAGAUAUCACCUUUCUUAAAAAGCUUGCAUUUAUUCACAUUUUCAAGAUGACUAAGUCAUCUGAUUAUGCUUAGAACUAUUGGUUUCUAUUAAAUUCAGGUAUGAUGUUUGCAAUUUUAAGCCUCUUACUCCUCUUGAAGACUACAUAAGUUUCUAGUGCUUUUACUUUAAUGGUUAUGGUCAAUGUAUCCUCUUGUUACUUCCUGUUUGCAUUCUAUAUGUUCAAGAGCUUUAUUAAAGUAAUUAUUUUAUUGAAGAUAUAAUUGUUUUCAAGUCAAAGAAAAAUUGAAUAAUGACGUGGUUUCAACAACUUCUCAAAAGUAAUUGGAAAGUAAGGAACUUUGUGGUAGUAUUCUGAUAUCACAUUGGGCUUUCAAAUCGUUGUCUUGAAUUGACAUAAAUAACAUAAUUUCUUUUCUAGUUGAGCUACUUCAACAUGUUAUUAUGCUUCAUACUCUUUCAAUUAUGUUUUGUUUAGGUUUGGAAACAUUAGUACAUUAGAUAUGUUGCCUCGAGUUACUUACACGACAUAAAAUUCAUCUUUGUUGUUAACUGGCAUCACUACCACAAGAUGAGUUCCCUCAGCAUUCUACAGACAACUAUAAUUUGGGACAAUUCUGGUUUGGCAACAUUAUCGGAGUUGAUAGACAACCUAUCUUCAUUAACAAAAACCUUUAAAUUUAUAUUUAUCCCGAACUAGCAUCACUGUUGGAAGACGUGCAUCCUUAACACCCUAUAACCACUCAUAAUUGGAGACUGUUAUGGUUUGUAAACAUUCAACAAACUUGAUAGGUAACCUUGCACCACUUACAGAGCUUCAAAUUCAUGGCUAUCUUGAAUUGACAUCACUUUCAAACUAGAUGGUUCAUCCAAACCUCAAUUAACACCCACAAUUCAGGACUUCUCCAUUUUGGCAAUGAUAGCAUAUUUGAUAAGCAUCCCUACUUCACUUACAUACACUAAAAUUGAUAGCUACCUUAGAUUCACAUCAUUAUCACAAGAGAUUGGUUCCUUCAUAUCCCUGCAGACACUUGUGAUCUUUUAUCGUCCAUGUAUAUUAGAAAGACUUAAAAGGGAAAUAAGUGAAGAUUGGCCCAAUAAUCUUCAGUCCUAGAUAUUCAUAUUUGGUGAAGAUUGGACUAAUAUAGAGUUAGUUUAGGUUUGAAAUCCCAAUCUUUCUUCUCAUUUUUUAUGGUUUUGUUUUUAUCAAUAUGCUCUGUUUACAUUCUAUAUGGUAAUUUUUGUAUGUAUUAGCAUAUAAAUAAAAAAGGACUUAGAUGAUUAAUUUGAAAAGUUUGCAUCCUCAAUUAAUUAGUAAUUAAAGACCAAACUGAUCAUAUUACUUUAAGUCUUGCAUUGUAAGAGUUUGGGAAAAUGUUAGGGUUGACUGAACUACUAUUUUAUAAUAGAUUUUGCCUUACUCAAGAAUCUUGUGAUUAUCCCUUGGCACAAUCAUUUCUCGUGUCUAAGAAAUUCAUAUCUACUACAUGACCAAAGAAUUUAGUAGCAUUCAAAAUUUCUGUUUUCUUUCAAGUCAGGUGUAUUGCUUGCAAUUCUAACAUGUUUCCUAUUUUGAACGUUGUAUUGUUAUUUUACUAUCAAUGUGUUAAGAGCAUUAUACUCUAUUUUCUAUAAUGUUGUUUACUUGUCAUAUGUAUUAAUUAUUUUAUUGCAAAUGUACUUGUUGCCAAGUUAAAGCAAAAUAGGAAAGUGAGGAUUUUUCAUGGACCAAUGCCUCUCUCAGUUGCUGCCACACUUUACUUCUCUCUAAGUUGUUGAAAAUUUAGAAGUGUGGUAGCAUAAAGUAUUCAACUCAAGUGCUUUAGUGCCUCACUACCCUUGAAGCUUUAGAAGUUGUCAAUACAAUUGGGGUUUCAACAUGUAACCAUUUUGGAAAUUCUAAGAAGUGUAAGUAUUAUGGUUUUGCAACUUUAUUCUACUAUAUAGGCAACUUCAAAUUGCUAAAUGCCCUGAAUUAAAAUCACUACUAGAAGGAACCCAUGAGACUAUAGAAACUCAUAAUCUACUACUCUUGCCACUUAUUAAGAAUGCUAAAAGGAAAAAGUGAAGAUUGGCCUGAGCAUGAUUGAUUAAUAAACCACACAUGGUCUCUUUAAUUCAAGUGUGUCAUAUGUUAUAUGUUUCAUGUCAGUAAUCCUACAUUUCUCUUGUUUCUAUUGGCUCUAUUUUUUUUGAAUUAUUUUACAAUCAAUCUUCUAACAAUGUUCUACUUUUUUUACAAUUUUUUAUUAUUCUAAAAUGAAUUAAGACAUAUAAAGAAAAAAAUCACCUUGUUUGAUUUUCAUAUACUAUAUGCUUAAAUGUACAUGUUUUUUUUUUUCAUAUGUAAUAAGAUACCAACAAAUUGAGUGAGGAGCACAUCUUACUAAGUCGCUUGUCAAUCUAUUCACCUUCCUAAUCUCAAGAUUCUUCAUGUUUGAAUUAAAAUACCAUGAAGUACAAAAACAAAAAAUGAUGAAAAGUAUUUCUCAUCAUCUUUAUUUUUAUUAGAAGGCAAUUUGUAGCAUCCUCUUUCCCAUUCCUAAAAAAUACUACAGCUUUGUAGGUUGAGAAAUUAGACAUGUUUUCUUAAAUGAUCUUCUUGGUCCAUGCAUGCUUAUAUUUGGAAGAUUUUUAAACCAAGUAUUUUAUGACAUAUAUGAUAGCUUUCAAGUUAAUGCAUAAAUGGUGAUGGUUAGGAUGCAAAAUAUAGUCUAUGCUCAACCUAUUUAUUGACAAACUACCAAGGGCUAAUGCUAAGGUAAACACCCAGCACUUGCAUCAUACUCGCUCUUCUCUGCCCUCUUUAUUUGUUUUCCAAAGUUCAUAUAUAAUGUCUUUAUCAUUCAAUUUUUCAUUUUCAACCACUUUUUAAACUUUUGUCUUUUUAUGGUUUAUUACACGACGAUCCAUUUCUAAGAAAUUGUUGUACUCUAUUUAUAAAUCUUAUCUUUUUGUUCUUAUAGACAAUAGAACAACGUGGUAAUUGCAUGACAUACAAUUUGUAAUAGAUGUUCAACUAUAUAUUAGGUAAUCUUUAAUUGCCUUGGAGUUGAAACGUUUGAUGUUGAUAAGGUUUGAUAAUUCUCGCUUUGGUGCUUUGUUGGAUUUCAAUUUAGGUAAUUAAUUGAUCUUGUUAUGAUUCUUUGAUUGUUAUUAUAACUAUUGUGAUAAUCAUUCUUAUUUUAUCGUGGUAAUUGACUUCACUGACUUUUUAACAAUUAUAUCAUGAGUGAAAUGCCCAACCUAUUAUUGUUAGUAUUCCAUUAACAUACCUCUAAUGCCACCACUAAUAAACAUCAUGUAUUAAUAUUUAUAACACGUUUCAUUACUGAAAUAAUUUAAUAUUUUCAAAUUUCUUUUUAGAGUGUGAGAAAUAACCAUUAAUCUUUACAACAGCAUAAGUAUCAUUGAUUUGAUAUUGCUUUCUUGAGUAAUUUGGCAAUUUAAUUAUGAAGUUUAGUUGGACAUUACUUGAGAUUCAUGUCUUAUGUAUAUGAUCUAUUUUCCAAGCUUCAAUUAUAUUUAGUAGACUUGUAAGUGGUGUUUGUCUUUGAGUUUCAACUCUUGAAAACUACUAUUGGAGCCUAAGUUCACUUUCAGUAAGGAAAAAAAAAAAAAAUCAACCUUUUCCUCAAUUGUGUAAUUUUAUUCACUAUUGACAUGCCCUUAAAUGGCAUUGCUAUUAUUUGUAGGGAACAUUGUCAAGUUCUAUAUUUGUCUAGAAAGUUAGAAGAAGUAUUUAAUUUGAUAUGGUUUGGACAUCUUGCUACUAUCUUUUUAAAUUAGUUAUCAAUAAUUUUUCAAAGUUGACCUUUUUGUUUAUCUCAUACUCCUUUUAUAUUAAAAGGUACCGCAUGGGUAUUGUGUAGAGGAAUCAUGCCUUCUUUAAUUGAGGUGAGCCUCUUGCAAAAUAUUUCAAGUUUGCUCUCAUUCCAUUUGUUACUUCAUGUCUAUUUUUUUGUAAUCAAUCAAGCAAGAGUUUCUUACUUGUACAAUGGUGAACUUGCUUGCAUGAAUAAUACUCUUUUUACUAUUUUUUUUCUUUCUUUAUUAUAUUCAUUGAUAUGCUUAGAAGUUAAUAGUGAAUCAGGUUUUUUGUUAAAAGAAAUCAAAUAUUGGUAAUUAUUUAGUAUGAUGUUUGUAAUAAUCAAUUAUUGAUUGUCAAGAUACUUGACUUAAUCAAUUAUUAUAUUGAAAUCAAUUUAGUACUAUGACUAAUACCAAAAGGAUAAUAUUUAGUCUUGUUUGACCAUUAGUCACUAUUCUAGAGACAAAUGCUCACAAGUUUUACAUCUUUGAAGCAUAUGAGAAAAGUUGGCUCAACUGUAUCACCAACUUACAAGCUCCUUAUAGUGUCCAUAUAUAUAACCUUCGUUGUUCAGGUUUAUGAUUCCUAUCUCAUUUUCUUUUUUCAUCUUUUUAUUGUUUAUAAUUUUUUAAUUGAUUUGUUUAUAAAUUUUUAAACUUUAUUAGCAAUACUAUUUUUUUUUUUUUUAUUCUCAUCUGCAAUAGAAUAAUAAGUUGAAUAAGAAGCAUAAACUACUUAAUUGGUAUAACCGUUUACUCAAUUCUCUUCUCAGAUAUUUUUGUUCAAGGUAAUCAAAGUAUCAUUCUUUUUAUUUUUAAAGGUACUUGAACUCAGUGAGGACCAUUCCCAAAACAAGCAAUAACUACAGUUGGAUUACUGAUAUCAUAUCCUUGAUUGACAUCUAUGCCAUUACAUUUGCAUCUAAAGGAUUUAUGAUGAAAAAAAUAUUUUCUUUAUUUCCAUUUUCCUUCCUUCUUUUGAUCAUAAUUUGUGUGCUUAUUGAUAGCAUUCAUACCCUAAUAUAUUUGCUAGCAUAUAUAUGCAUGUCACAAUCUAUUGAAUUUUUUAGCAUAAGGUCUUAGAGUAUUCACAUAUCUCUAGGUUCUAUAUAUUUAUAAUUUUUCAACAUCAAAUGAAGUAUAUGAACCUUAUCCUGAAGGUGAAGUCUCUUUAAAAGGAGUUUCAACAUGUUAGCAAUUACCUAACUUAAUAAUCUAACAAUUUGGCACUAUAUAUAAUUUUGCAACUCUUUCAUAAAGUAAUUGUGUUACCUUUAUUCACAUUUUCUAUCUUUAUUUAAAAAAAAAUGAAUUGGUAAUUGUGUGUCAAAUCUUGCUUACAAUCAUUAAUAGGUACUUAUAUGCUAAAUGGAUAAAGUUAUUUUACAAUUGUUUCAACAUAUUUGACACACAAGUACCUAUUAAUAAGUAUAUAUUUAUAGAUGUAAUCACUACCAAGCCAAUGCGAAAAGCUAUAACAAUGAGGAUUACAACGCUUCAAUUAUGUCUUGGAGAUUCAUAUUGAAAAGUUGUAAAUGGUGGGUGAAGUCUCUUUAAAAGGAGCUUCAACAUGUUAGCAGUUACCAAACUUAAGAAUAUAACAACUUGGCACAAUAUAUCAUUUUGCAACUUUUCAUAAAGUAAUUGUGUAACCUCUAUUCACAUGCUCUAUUUUUUAUUUUUUUUUAAAAAAAUUUGAAUUGGUAAUUGUGUGUUGAAUCAUUCUUACAAUAUUUAAUAGGUACUUAUACACUAAAUUGAUAAAGUUAUUUUACAAUUGUUUCAACAUGUUCUGAAAACAAAAAAGAUUUAUAAGUAUAUUUUUUUCUAGAUGUAAUCACUAGCAAGCCAAUGUGAAAAGCUAUAACAAUGAGGAUUACAAAACUUCAAUUAUGUUUUGGAGAUUCAUAUUGAAAGUUGUAGAUUAUGGAUGUAUAGUACAGGAGUUAGAUUGAGUUUAUCAUUCUAUCUUUGACAUCUUAGUUUUCUAUGUAUUGUCCAUCAUAUAUAUUUGUCAUCUAUUCUUUACAACCAAUUUUUUAAGGACUUCUAUGAUUUGUUUAAAUUUAUAUAUUUGUUUUUAUUUGUACUAGAACUUCACCAAGCUACAAAAGCAUCACAAGUUUUGCAAUUGGAGUUCAUGGAUCAGGUAUUUUAGUAGUUUUUGUACCUGAAAUUUUUUUAUGAUACUAAUGAGGAUGUUUACCUUGAUUAAUUUAACACUUAUAUUGCAAAUAUCUAUAUAGGAGUUCUAUACAUUUAUUUAAACAUUUAUAGACAUAUUUAUCCUCUUUCUAGCACAUUCUAAUGAUAUUUUUAACAUUGAUAUAAAUUGUUUGCUUGAAGGUUUCAACUAUUGAAAAAUUAUUAUUCAAGCCAAAUGUUAAUCUUUUUCUAUAGUGGAUUUCAAAUAAUAAAUUCUUAUUUGAUUAUUUGUAGGGAAAAUAAACAACUUCUAUGUUUGAUAAGAAAGAAGAUAGAGUAGAUCAAUUUCACAAUAUACGAAUGCUACGCUUUCUAUACUUUUAAAGAUGCUUACAAUUGGCUUUCUAUACUUAACAAGUACAUCUUAGCUAAAAGUGAAAAAAUGUUUCUCUUUGCACAUGCCUUCACUACUAUUUUAAUUGCUAUCUUAAUAUGUUAUGGAAAAACCACGACAAAUAACAAUAAUAAGGAGAAGAAAUAAAAGAACAAAAAUAUAAAACUUAUAAAGUAGGACGAUCUAUGUGGUUUGGCCUAAACCUACAUUUAUAUGUGAAAAUGAAGAAGAACUUCCACUAUUAUUAAAGGAGAUUAAAUUCCUAAAGCUUUCAAAUCUCAUGAUUACACUAAAAAUGGACUUUUUUUUUUCAAUCAAAAUCUCUUCCUUUAUUUUCUUGAUUAUAUAAGAAUAUUCCAUAGAGAAUUAAUUGUGUAAUUAUCAAAGAUAACUAUUCCUAAAAGAAAAAUCUUAUAAUAUGAUAUUUCCUUUAGAAUAAAAGAAAAAUCUCUUAUAUAAAUAUAUCAUAAUAGGAAAAUAUUAAAGACUUAUAAAUUGACUCAAAACAAUUUGAAAUAUUUUUCAACAAUCUCCACAUUGGCUCAAAUUCUCAAUAUUCAAAUAAACUCAAAAGUCUUCUAUGUUACUUUGCUCUUAUACACCCUUGAGGGGACUUCAAGUAAUGUCAAUACCAAUUAAGUCUAAGCAAUGCAUGAACUUAAUCAUAGAAAUAAGUUUAGCCAUCAUAUCUAUAACUUUAUCAACUAUAAUAAAGUGCUUUCUAACAUCAAUAUGUUUGGUGCUCUCAUGUAAUAUAUGAUUUUUAGUCAAAAGUAUGAGACUUGGCUACCAUGAUAACAAUAAUCAAUGAUUGGAAUCAAAUAAGUACAUUUUGUGUGCCUAAACUUAGGCAUUCAUAUUUAAUAUCCAAUUCUAGUUUCAUCCCUUUACUCAUUUUAUUCCUAAGUCCUUAAUUUUGGGUUUAAUGUAUUUUUUAAAUAUUUUCCUUCUUUUUUGGUAUAUUUAUAUCACAUUUUUGCUAGCCAUUAUAUUUUUCAUGUAUUGGUUGCUAAUUUUACACUCCAUAGUUGUCACAUCAUCCAACUAAUGGUUGUUACAUUAUCCAACUAUGGGCUACCACAUGCUCCAGCUACCUUAGCCUCCUUGCCAAGUAUUUUCCAUGCCAAAAAAAGAUUGACAACUAUUUCAAUUGGUUGGUAAAGUUGAGAAAAGCUUCCACCAACCUCGCCAUUAAGUUGUGCUCCUUGCUCCAAUUUCUAAUUUUGCUUCCUACCCUCUUGUGGAGUUAGUGUGGAAAUGACUUUAUACAAGGGAGAUGAAGGUUGGUUUUGUAAGGUAGUUUAUUUGUAAACUUGUAUUUCCUUUAUUCAGACGAUAGUUCUCAUUUCUUAGCCUUGAUUUUCAAUUUUGAUCCUCUUGUCUUGCCACUAUGAGUGGCCAACAUCCAAACCAAGGAAUAAUUUUUAAUAAAAUAUUAAUAUUAAUAUUCAAAUAAAAUCAUAUAUUUAUAUUCCUUAGCACAUUUAUAGGAAGAGAAAUAUUUGGGCACUAGGCCCAAUUCACUUUUUAUCAUAAAAAUAUGAAUAUUAAUAUCCUUAUCCUCAUAAAAGCAUAAUUAGCUUAUUUUCUAAAAAAUUGAUAAUAAUAAUAAUAAUAAUAAUAAUAAUAAUUACUAGUACGAUUUUAUUUUAAAUGGAUUUAAAAAUAAAUAAAGUUUAAUUUUUAAGGUAUACGUGCAUAAGUUUUUCAUUACAUAUACACAUUUAAUACUUAAUUAGUAAUAAUGUAUUCUAAAAUUUUUUUAUCUAGCCUAUAACUAAUUAAUCACUUUUUUGGAAUUCUAAAUUGUUCUUAAAAAUUAAAAUAUUCAUUAAAGAAUUGAAAGUGUUUAUUAUGUUUAACUUAAUUUAAAUUUAUUUAUCUAGUGAGAAAAUUCAUAAAAUAUAGUUUUAUGUAUAAAGGAAAUAGUAACGACUUUACAUUUAAUGAAUCUUUUAUUUUAUUUUGAUUCAUUUAAUAGUCUAUUAUCUUGUAGUGAUUAUAUAUAUAUAUAUAUAUAUUUAAAAUUUAUUAAACUCAUUAAUAAAUUCAAUACAAAGUUUUACUUAAUUUGAAACUCAUCUCUCUAGUGAAAAAAUUGAAAAAAUAUUAUUUUGUGAAAAAAAAUACAAUAAAAUCAUUUUAAACUAAUUUUUAUCCAUAGAUUUUUGUAUUUAUUAGUUUAUUAUUUAAUUUUUAAAUUAAUUUAAAAAAUUAUUAGACUUAUUAAUGAAUCCAAUACAUUAUUUUUUUUGUUUAAUUUAUUUAUCACACUAUCAAACAAACUUUUAUUAUUUAGUAAAAGACCUCUUAAAAGAUGUUUUUUUUUCUAAAUAAAAAUAAAAAUAAUAUUCUAAACGAUGUUUGAUUUGAGAGUUUUUUAAAAAUAAAAAUAAAAAUUAUUUUAAAUUAUGUGUACAUAAUUGUUGCAAAUUUAUUUCUUUUUCCAUUAUCAUUUUCAUUCUUACCUAACAUUGAAAUGGAAACAAAUAAUCAAUCAAACCUUACAUUUAUUCUUGAUGCCCUCUGUGAAAAAAAAAAGUGCAAAACAUUUAUUUUUUCUAAUCAUCAACCAUCCAUACAUAGAAAAACUACGUGUGAUCUUAAGCCAAAAAAGAUAUUGCAUCUAAUCAAAUUCAAUAGACAUGAUGAUAUCUAUACUAUUUUUUUUUUAAUUAUAUUCAUAUUUAUGUCAGAAAAUAAUUUUUUUAUUUUUAGAACAUUAAACUUUUUAAAAGUCCUUUCUAGGAUAUUUUCUAGCUUUUUCCUUUUGCUAAUUUUUGCUAUUCAAACAAAUCUUAAGAAAUGAAUCAAACCUGGACACAAUUGAAGAGUUUGGCAUCCUUGUUUUUAUAUUCCAAAGCAUAUAUAGAGAUUGGGGUAAAACAACUUGUACCUAAGAAAAAAAAAGGAAAAAAAACCACAACAAAAAAUUAACCAAAAAUCAGAAAAUUAACUAGAAUAAAAAAUCAAGAAAAUAUUUUUCUGGGUUAAUAAUUAAUUAUAAUGAAAUCAAAAUCAAAAGAAAAAAUACAUACUUCCUCCUGGCUUUGCUUACACUGAAAGCCAUGAAAGAAUUGGGAAAGUAGUAAAGAAUAAGAACAAGAACCACAUCCAUAUUCUGGGGAAAGCAAAUCCUCUGCUUUGCUGCCUUCUUCAGAUUGAAGGCAACUAUUAAACGGGUUGAGGGGUUAUGAGUUUGACUUGGUUGAGUUUGAAGCUACAAAAGUAAGAAGAAUGGUAGUAAUUUUGGAAGCAUUUCUAACUCUUCUAUAACUUGAAAGAUAAAAAAUUUUAAGUGUUAAAAAUGUUAAAAGAGCUUUUUAGAAUCACCCCCAAAUGUACUCUAAAUUAUUUAUGACUUGAUGUCACCUUCACACUCAUUUUCCAGUGUCAUUUAAUUUUGUUGUUCCCAUAUUGAAGAUUUAGGGUAAUGUAAUGUUCAAGCCUUCACAUUUUGCCUUCACAUUUUGCCUUCACUAACCUUUGAAUUUUAAUUAAAUUCUUUGAAGGAUAUUUGACCACUUCAUUGUCCAAAAAUGCUUAUAUUGCCAUUUUUUUUGUCUUUUUCUACAAUUCCAAUUUUACUAUUUUUCUUUUAUUUAUUCCUAUUAUUAUUUAGGCUAUUAUUUAUAAUAUUCUAAAUAUUAUAUUUAUAAUUGUUAAUAGUAUAAUUACUAUUUUUCAUUUAUUUGUCAUUUAUAUUGCUUAUCUUAUCUUUAUUCAUGUAUAAGACUCAAAAACUGCAAAAAGCAUUAAUAAGUAACAACUAAACUUCAAAGUGAUAAUAAAAUUCAACUACAUUGAUAUUACAAUAAUACAAAUGAAAUAUAUAGCAACCAGCCCUUAAAGGGGCUUUUAAGAGAUAAUGAGUCUACUUGAGAUUGAAAUUUAAAGUAGAAUCACCAUCUCUAUAGAUAAAUAUAAAGCCUAAAAAGAAUAGAACAUCACUAAAUAAUAUUAAUAAAGCAACAACUAGAUCAAUGGAUAGUGAAAAUAAAGGUUUACAAAAUGAGUCACAUAAGUAAGAACAACUAAAUUAAGAAAUGAAUUACAUGUCUGACAGAUCUAAUGAGGGAAAACAUUGGAUCUAGGUACCCAUGAUUGGCUCCUUGAAGUUGACCUACCUCCUCAAGAGGUACAUAGGAGUCCUUACUUGAAAAAUAUUAAAAUCUAUAGGGUGAACAUAAGAUCUAAUAAAUAGGCACGAUAUGCAAAUGUUAGGAUGGUUAGUCCAAGGUAAAAAAAUAGUUCUAAAACAUAUCACGUAAUAAUUUUGGUGUAUUAUGAGAGGAAAAUUGAUUUGUGAGAACUAUACUUUAUGAAUAGAAAUGUGAGGAAGAGUGAAAAACACUUAGUAGAGUAAGAGGGCUAACAGUUCAGGGUAGUCAUACAAGUAGUCAUACAAAGUGUGGGGAAAUAGAUGUAUCUAUUUUUGUCCCUUACAAUAUUUUUUAUUGUAUAGUGAAAUAUUAUCUUUCAAAUAUGGAAAUAAGCAUGGUUAGGUGUACCAUGUUAAAAUCUUAAGUAUUUGUUUUAUUUUGUGUUCUUCCAUUAAUAUAUUUCAAUAUUAGAGCUUCCAUUGACUCAACAAUUUAUUAUACUAUGAAUCGUCAUAAGUGAAUAUAUUUUUAUAUUAGAAUAAACCAUUUUCUUAAUUAUAAGUAUAUUUGAAUAUUUUACUAAACUAUUUUAAAAUAAAAAUAUAGUAAAAAAAAUUUAAUAUAUAUAAUAAUAACAUGAUAAAUAACAUAUCCCAAACCAAAUGCAACAUAAAUUUCUAAAUUGUCUCUUCUUCUUAGUUCUCUAUAAUAAUAUUGUCAUACCCAUUGUUUAAGCUAUAAAUUAACAUUUUAUGUUCUUUGAAACAUAUGUAUUACCAACUCAAUAUAAAUAGCUACGAAGACAUAUUUCUCAUUUUCCCAAUCAAAAAGCAUUGUGAGUUGAAACCUUUUUGUUUAGAAAGUUAACUUGCAAUGUUAAUAUUCUUUUUUUAUAUUAGCCCCCUAGGAAUGCCAUUGCCUUUCACCACACUUUUAGUUUUUUUUUGUUUUUUCAAUAUUCUUUUUUACUUCUACACUAGAAUUUAUGUAACUUCUUGUUUUUUAUUAUUAUUAUUAUUUUGCAAUAUUUUCUCUUAAGUCUACCUUACACUUCUUAUUACCUCUCAUAUAUAUAUAUAUUUGUCUUUUUCAAGUACUUGGUUGCUUCUCUAUUACAAUUCAUUAACUUCCUAUCCUUUUAUUUAUUUUUAUUUUUUGCAAAAUUCUUUCUUAAAAUACAUAAAUCCAUAGUUUUUAUUUUAAAAGUAUCAAGUAAAGAACAUAUACCUACUCAAACACCAUUGUAUAAUACCCCUAAAAUUUCCAAAAAUCCUUAAAAUUUCAUAAAUUCUCUGCAAACUUAUCCCUAAUUAGAUGCUAUUACAUUAAAUAUAUCUAAUUCACUCUAAACACAUGAUUGAUAAUAAUACAAAAAACUAAAACAAUAUUAAUAUGCAAUUUAUUAUUUUUCAACACACUGUAAUAGUUCCCAAAUAUUUUCAAACAUCAACUAACAAACCUAAAUUUAUUCACUCAAAAUACAUAAUUGAUAACAAUGGAGAACUAAAAAAAAAAUUAUAAAUAUAACAAUUUUAUACUUUGAAUACAAUUCAAUAAAUCCUAAAUUUUUAAAAACAUUUAACUAAUAAACUUAACCAUACUCAAAUAUUAUUGUAUAACAUCUAUAAAAAUUUCAAUAAUUUAUCAAAUGUGAAGACUACACUCACCGGUUUAGUAGAAUCACUUGCCUCUUCUAUUGGUAAUUGGGAUUUUUGUUCAGUAGCUUCGCUUUCCUUUGCUUCACUUUCUUUUGCUUCACUUUUUUCUUCUGUUCGCAAUUGGCAUUUUUGUUUUUUCGUCACUUUUUUUAAUCUUUUUAUAAAAUCACUCUUCAAUGAACUCAUUGUUUCCUUCGUGCUUGAAGAUACAAUAUGAGAUAACUUGAAAAAAACAGAAUAACAAUUUUUCUAAGGAUUCAGAAUGAAACAAAGGAUGAAAUGAUAGACGAGAAAUUUUCUAGGGUUCUUGAAGGAAAGAUGAGAUUUUCAUUUUGUGCAUUAAAGGAAGAUAAUGAAAUAGAAGAAGACGAUGAAAGAUGAAGACUCGUUCUAUAAAUGAAGCGAAAGAGGAUUAGAGUUUUCCUUUUUGUGCACCAAAGGAAGAUAAUGAAGUAGAAGAAAAUGAUGAGAAAUUUUUUUUGGAAAAUAUGAGGAGUCAUUCUGUAAAUGAAGCCGAAGAUGAGAAGGUGUAAGUGUUGGAGAGAAAAAAGAAGAAGGGCAUUUUUGUCUCAAUCAACAAUUUUGUUUUAUUUUUUAACCGGUGGGUUAUAUUUACAAAUAUGAGGGUUAUUUUGACCCCUUUAACCAAAUAGCCUUAUUUUUUUAUCGAGUUACAACUUUAAAUUAGGUGUAAAAAGAAAUUUUGAUAUGGUAGAUAUUGUACAGUUAUAUAUUGAAAUUCCAUGGUUCAUUAGAUAAACCAUCCUUGAAUUUCUUCGGUUUCAAUCAAGAUGAUAGAUCAUCCUUCCACAGAGUGUGACCUGAUAUGACAUUGAUUUUCUAGGGCUUCAAACACGAAGGGUGUCAAUGACUAAGAACUCCAUUUGAUUACCGAGAAAAUGAGGAAAAAACCCCUCAAAUAAAAUAUAAAUACAAUUCAGAAUUUCAAUUUUACUUUGUUAGGGACCCCAAAAAUGGGAAUAUUCACUUAACUAGCCUAAUCCAACCACCUACCUUAGUUCAAUUCAGUCCCCACUUUCUAGAGACCAAAACAAUAUAAACAUUCAUGUGUUUGGCUGCUCAGAAAGCAUAGGAUAAGCAAAGAAAAGGACGGUGCCUCCUCGAUCAAAUAGUCUUUUUUUUUUUUUCUUUUCUUGCAUUUUCUUUUUUCAGCAACCAAAUAGAACUUUUUAAUUGAGCAUUGUUGUAUACAAUUUAGAUUUCUUUCCCUCGGUUUCUCCGCAACCAAAUAGAAUUUUUCUCAAUUGAGCGAGGGUCUAGUAUAUCCUUUGUUUUCCUGUAACCAAACAGAACUUCCCUUGUUAUUUUUUUUAUCUUUUCUUUGAAUUUCUCAGAAACCCAACGGAGUUUACUUCUGGUGCAACCGUGCAAGAAAAUGGUUUUACCUGAUCGCAAUUCACUGGACUAGCCGAAGCAACAGAGGCUUAAGAAAAAAAGACUGAGCUUUGUUUGUUAGACCCCCUCUGUGAGUACGCAAAGUAAGAAGAAUUGAAGCUGAAAUUAGGCGGCUUCCAAACACGUCCUAGGAGUUGGUUUUAAAACCCAUUUUUCCCCUUUUUGGUUGCAAUCGGUCUGCAAAGAUGCCAUUAAAAGGUAACUACAGUUGGUUGCAUGAACAAGAAAAUGAAAAAAAAAAGUUAAAAUUAAUUAAAAUUCUAUGUAUUUUAAAAUUAUUUAAUAUUUACAUUGAAGAGUAAAAAUAAUUGCAAUAUAUUUAAAUAAACACAUAAAAAUAAUAAUUUAUUAAUUUUAAAUCUAUUUUUAAAAUUUUCAAAUUUUCAUUUAUUUUAUUCCCUCUAAGCUUUCUAACUAAGGUCAUAAUUUGGACAAAUUGUUGGGUUCAUAGUAGAUCUAAAUAAUCUAAUAGGGAUAAAUAAUUGAUUAAUUUAAGUUCAACCCAACCUCUAAGCUUUCUAACUAGGGUCAUAACUUGAACAAAUUGGAUGGUUAACAUACAACUUGGACAAAUUGGUGAGUUCAUAGCUAAUCUGAAAAAUUUAAUAGGGAUUAACAAAUAAUUAAUUUAAGUUUAGCCCAACCUCUAAAUAGAGGUAUUUAAUUCAAGCUCAACCAACUUCAUUUCUUUGAGCUCUGGUUGAUGAGGUUAAACUUGGGUUAACCCCUGAUUGUAUAAUUCAAAAUACAUAUAGAAUGUUUUUCAAUAAAAAAAAAUUAUGUACUUAUAUCAAAUUUUAAAUAGUAAGUAGGACAAAAUUUUAAAAUAACAAAAAAGAAAAAAAAACAAAAAUAAAAACAAAGUUAUGUAUCUUUUUUAAAAAGUGAAAAAAUAUAUUAUAUAAUAUAAUUUGAUUUUUUUUUAAUAAAAAUUUAGAAAGAAUAAAAUUAUUAUAUAAAAUAACAUAUAUUGGAAAUAUUAUAAAAACAUUAAAAGUUUAUUAAGUAGUUAUUCAAAUAAGUGUUUCUAUCCCUAAUUUAAACUUUGGUUUCAAUCUAACUCGAAUUGAAUUUGAGUUGAAAAAGUUUAAUUUGAAUAUUAAAAAUAAUUGUCUAAACACGAUCAAAUAUCGGAUUGGAUUCGACUAAUCUGCCAAAGUUGCACUCCUACCAAGAACCAUACACAAUAAAAAAAAUUUAAGCUAUUUUUUGUUCUAGGAAAGUACUCAAAAAGGAGAAAUAAAGAAAAAAAAAAUGAUUUUAUAUGUAUAAUUAAAAUUAGUUAAAUUUUAUAUAUUUUAAAAUUAUUUAAUUUUUUUAUAUGGAAAAGAAAAAAAAAGAGUGAAAUAAGUUUGAAAAAACAAGUAAAAAUGAUUUGUUAACUUUAAUAUUUUUUUCUUUUCUUUUCUUUAGUUUAUUUUUCUCAAAAUUUUCAAAAAAUAAACAUAGAAUUAAAAAUAAUAAUAAUAAUUAUAGAUUAGGAAAAUCAAUUUUAGAACUUGCUUAUAUGAUUGCAUUAUUUUUUGUAAAUAAUAAUUUUAUUGAAUGUUAAGAGAGUGGUAUUAAAUGCACAUUAUUUAAUAUUUUUAUAUGGAUAUUUUUAUUUCUAAAGAAAGUAAUCUUUACAUGGAUUGGACCACUGUUUAUUUAUCCAUGUGGGCCAGCCUAUUAAAAACCAUCAAACCAACAACCCAAGGGGCGACCCUGAUCAUUCUCGGGGGCCCACAACCUUCAUCUCUAACAAAAGCUCUUACUCACUGAAACAUGGGCAGGAUCACCUUCCACACACAUCUUCAUACCAGUCACCACGCUACCGCAACAAUCCUCCUCCAUGAAAGCCCACCUCCAUCACAGCAAGCAGAAAAUCCAUCACGUCAACCAUCAACCUCCACACAGACCUAACACUGCAUAGCCGUGUUUUGGGAGUGUUAGAACGUGAUUAAAGAUGAUUUAAUUUGAGUGUUCAUGGAGUUUCGCUAUAAGAGGGUGAUAGACCAGAGUAUCAAUGCUCCCUUUGUAACUUUAGGGCCAAAGAGGAGUCAGUUUACCAAAAAUUCUUCAUGAAACCAUCCAUUUAUCUCAGGGAACAUUUAUUAAGUAGAGUCAAAUAGAUUUACAGAUAAGAGACGAUUUAUUCCUUUGAAUGAAAUAACCUUAUUUCAAAUUGCCCUAAUGUGGCCUAAUAAGCAAAAUUACUGGUUAUAUUUUGGACACAUCUCAGUAGAGGUUUGGGGGAGAAAAUAGAAGAAGCAGAGAUGCUUACUUACUUCAGAGGGGCCACUGCUCGCCACCACCACUUCAUGGCUGUGCCCAUUUCACUUGCCCAAGUCACUCUCUUCUCCAAACCCUCCAUUUUACUCCACAGAAAUGCCAUCAUUGGCUUCUCCUUUUCCAUUCCUUUCUCCUCUUCUUCUGCUCACAAGAUUCAGACUCACAAGUGGAGGCAACCGGUGGUCUCGCUUCUGGAGCUUGGUGGAGUCAAGAUUGGCAGAGAUGGUAACAUACCCACAUCCCAAAAUUGCGUUUAAAAAGGAUCUUUAGCUUGAAUUUCGUGUGCCCAAUUUGCGUUUUUGCAGACAUUUGCACUCAAGUCGUGUCGUUUGUUUGCAAUUUCACAAUCUGAUUUCUUUUCUAUUGUGCGUUUUUUUUCUCCUGCUAGGUUCGAAUUCAAGCAUCCAAUUUGCGUUUUUGUGGGUAGUCUUAUGCCCAACUUGUGUAUUCAAUUUGCAAUUGUUGUUAUCAGACUUCCUUCUCUCUUUUGAGACUUACACAGUUAGAGACGUCAUUUCUGUGAAAUUAAGAAUGCAUGUUCCAACUUUCACUUCUUUCUCUCUCUCCCUCUUUUUUUUUUUUUUUUUUUGUGAAAUUGGAAUUCAAGAACUUAUUUUGCGUUUUACAAGCUUAGCGGGUUACGUUUCUGUUCUAUUUGUUGUGCUGUUGGAGGUGUUUGGUGCAUUUAUAUAACUAGGCUUGCAAUUUCGCCCUCUGAUAAAGGUUAAAUUUUCUCCCUUUUUAUUUUUUAUUUUUUUAAUGGUGUAUUUGUUUUGGGUAUUUGGUGAAAUGAGGAUUCUGUACUGGGUUUAUGGCAUUUUUUCAAUUGGUUUGAUAUAUGUGAAUGUGGGUUUUGUAGGGAAGAUAUGCAAAUUUUUUGAAAGAAGCAUGCAAUUACAACUCUGAUUUCCUUUAUAUUUAUAUUUUUUUAUGCUUAUUUGCAUAUUGGUUGAUGUCAAAAUUCAUCUAAUGGGUUGUUUUUUAUUGCUUUGGAUUGGUUUAAUGUAGUUGAAUGGUGGAUUUUGUUUCUAAAACUUAGGGUCAAUUUCAAUUUUUUUUUCUUUUUUUCAAUUUGAAGACCUGGGAGUCUAUGUGAUUGGAAUUGAUGUACUCGAGUUUUUGGAUUUUGCUGAUUGCUUGAUAAACUUGGGAUGCAGAGCCUUAAAAAAUAAACUAUAUUCACUAAACUAUAUCUCUGAUUAUACUUCGUCAAAGCGUGAAAUGCAACUUGGAGUCUUUGUAUUUUUAAAAUUUUUUGGGUUAUUCUAUUCUGAAUAUUUGGUAAAAUUAGAACUCAUGUACUGAACCUUUUUCAAGUUCUUUUGGUUGGCUUGAUAUAUUUGGUUGUGGGGUUUGUAGAUGUGGUGAGGGAUGAUCCUACAAACAAUGUCCCGGAUGCAAUUUUUUUGAAACUUGGAAUGCAGCUUCACAGGAGGGAUCAACACCCAAUUGGAAUUCUGAAGAAUGCAAUAUAUGAUUAUUUCAAUGCCAAUUACUCUAACAAAUUUGAUAAGUUGGAUGACCUUUGCCCAAUAGUCUCCACAAAAGAGGUUUGACAUUAAGAUAUAAAAUAAAAAUUGUAUGCAUGUUUUUUUUUUUUCACUGUUUUGAGCUAUACAUUGCACUAUUUGGAACUUGUAUUAUCUUGCUAUGACUGGUGCCUGACAUUUUGUUGCGGUUUUUAUUUAUUUUGCUGCCCAUUUCCUGUUGGUUUUUGUCCUGUCCUAGGUCUUUUAACAUUUAAGAAUCCAUGAAAGUGGUAUUUGCAUAUGUUGCCAAUUAUUCCAUUGACGAUGUUCUAAGUAGGGAACCUAGUAUCCAAACUUCCAUCCAAACUUCCAUAUAAAAAAAGUCCAGAACAGGCAUUCGGUUUACCAGGUUUAUCAGUUCUCUCCAGUGUUUAUUCAACUCUUAAAUGCAGUAUUCUGGACAUACUCCAAAUUUGAAAUUCCUUUGGUAAAAUAAAGGCAUGGUACUUAUAGUGGUCUAUUAAGGAAAAGGUUUGUUUGACCUAGCUUUUGUACAAAAAAUUCAAGGAUAGUCUUGCAGAUAUGUAUUGUAUAGGUGUAUAUUUCUCUAUCAUGACACAAGUGAGAAAAAAUUCACGAAAGUUGUUUUGUUUUAAUAAAAAAUUGAAAGUUAAUUUAUGUUUUGAGAGGGACAUUAGACAACCUAGGAUUCAAAGGGACAUGUUGUCUCUUAGGAAAAUAUAAUUCAUAGCAUUCUCAAUCACUUACAGGUUAUUUUAAUCCUUUUAAAUUGAUUUAUUUAAUUUUUUUCUUUAUAGUAGGCAAGCAAAAAAUAUAUUUACAACACCUACUAUUAUCAUUAUUUUGGUAAUUAGCAUUGAUGGAGAUUGUAAAAAUUCUCUAAUAGUAUUGCAGGAGAAAAAUAAUAUUUAUGAAUUUUUGUUAAACGCAAUUGUCAUAAUGAUAAUAGUUAAUUAGAAUAAUAUAAGUUUGUAAUUGGAAAAAUUUUAAAAAAUAAUAGCUUUUGGAAAUAGUUUGAAUAGGAGUACAAAAUUCUUGGAUUUCAUGGAGAGCUUAGGUGGGAUCUAAAGCAUGGGGCUGUUUGCUAUCUAUUUUAGUAUUUGCUGCUCUUCUCUCUUAUAGGUGUUCAGUUGCAGCUUGUAUUCUCUGAGCGUACUUGGGUUGUGCCCCCUUUUGUGUUCUUCAAUAUAAUCUUCAGGCUCAUGACUAGUGCAAUUUCUACUAAUUGAUCACUUUUCACUUCAAAUAAUAUUCAGUAAUCCAAAUAGCAUUUAUCAAAUUAUUUUUAACUGCCAUUAGAUUUAUAAAGAACCCAAAAUGUGAAAAUUUCUUCUUAGGCAUGAGAAAUUGUCAUUGUUAUAAACCCCAUGUUUGUCUUGUACUUACAAGCAUAAUUAUAAAGCAUGAUCUGCAUGUCUUAUCAUGAAAUAUAACAAUGUCAUAAAAUAGAUGAUUGAUAAAAUAUUAGAAGUCCAUUACAAAUGCUUAAUGGAACUGAAAAUUAUUACAGAGCAAGUGCAUAUUUCAGUCAAACUUUUAUGCAGUAGUGGUAGCUUAUAAACUCACAACUUUGUAAUCAUGUGCUUGAAUCAAGUAAACUUAAUGGAUCUCAGCUACAUCUGCUCUACAUUUUAACCAUUGUUUUAUGUUAUGGGAAUAGUGACUGAAUUUCACAGUCCCAUCAUUAUAAUUUAUGCAUGUAAAUUCAUUUGGGACUUAGUUUUCACAUGUGUUCACAUGUCAUAACUGUAAUUUCCCUAAUUUUAUGAGUAAGAAAAACUCUUUAAUUUUCCCUAUUUUGACUGAAACUUUAGGAACUUGGACUUUAUUUGGUGCAAAUGUAUGUUAUCAACUAUUGCUUUUGACCAGUCAUGAGUAGAUGCUAUUUAUAAAAGGACACAAAGGAGGAUAUAAUCCAAGUGCACUUGUAGUCGACAAGUUACUCUGGGCAUCAAAAUUGAAAGAAACAACAAUGAAGAAAAGCAUCAAGAAAGUGCCCCUACCUCCCAAACUGUCAAUGAACUACUGGAAGGAUCUACUACUAUUCAAGAUAACUUCUUCUAAGCACAACUACAUGUAACAGUACUUAGCCUGCGCUAUGGUGUCAAAAGGUAGGCUCAUUGGAACAUGCCUAUUUUGAUGGAUUUUAGUUUGUGGGGAUAGUUAAAGUGUAAAGUGUAAAGUGUUUGAUAAAAUAAAUUUGCUAGUUUUAAUAAAUUGGAAUUACUACUGAAUAAAAUGUGAAGCUAGGUAUUAGGAGGAGAAAGAAAGGUAAUUAAUUUAUUUGUAUGACACUAUGACUUACACACUGUGAAGCUUACUGGUUGGGAAUUGUUGAACAGGGGAACUUACUUAAUAGGGGAGAAAGAAUCACACAUAUUACUUGAUGAGAAAAUAUAAUUACAUUAGCCAAAGGCCAAAAAUAUAUGAGUGGUUCACUGAUUGCAUAUUAUUGGAAAGAGAGCUGAGCAUCAUAUGAUUCAUAAACUUUUUACAAUUUAAAGGCCUGGGUCCAAUGAGAUAUGUUGCAUCAUAUUACCUAAUGAACCAAUGAAGUUUAUGGAUUUCCAAAACUUCUUGGAGAGGUUCACUAUUUUAUGGUUCUUUUUUUUGAUAAGUAAAAGUAUUGUAUAAAAACCACCAAUGCAGUGGAAAAAUAAAUACAAGAAAGAACACACUCCCCACUCCCUAGCUAAAAGCCAAGGACAGAGGAGCAGCCCAACACACACCCUUAACGGGUUCUCACCCAACCAACAAAAUCAACUAAGGUCGAGGGACCAUCUUUUAUAGACAAUUUCGUCUCCGACCAAAGAAAAUAUACAAACGAAUACUUAAGCCUUUGAAUAGACAACUCUUCUUCCUCAAAGGCAAUUUUGUUCCUUGCCUUCCAAACCAUCCAAAAAAGACACAAAGGACUUGCUCUCCAAACACCCUUCCUCUUUUUUCCCACAAAAGACCCAUUCCACCCCAACAACGUCUCCUUAACAAUUUUGUUCUUUUUUUUUUAGGGUUCUUUAUUCCAAAACUUUUUGCUCCAUACCUCUUUGGAGCUCAAUUCUUUGGCAAAGCAGGAAGAAAACAAAUUAGCAUCAACUUUAGCUUGACUUGAGAUCACAAAUCCGACUAGAGAUUUUGCAGUAGUGUGUUGAGGUCUAAUCCGAAUCCAGGUUGUGAUGUGUGCAUCAAAGAGUCUUUCCAUAAGCCAUGAAGCUUUGAGGUGUUUUGUGAUGGCAUGACUGGAUAAUGAGAUGCAUUUUGGUCUGAAAUUUGGAGUUCGGUUAUGCAUUUCUGUAUCUAUAUCUCCAAAAUUAUUAACUAAUUUUAAUCAUUUUAUCUAUUUUUCAAAAUAAACAUUCAAAAUUGAAAGUUUGUGUCACGAGUCUUCAGGCUUAUCCGGAAUAGAAUGUCCUGCAUUAACUCUUGCUGUUAAUGCAUAUAAUACCAGGCGAGUCAACACAGCCAUUUGCUUGCUUAUGUUGACUUUCAAUGGGUUAAAAUUUAUGGCUUCAAUGGUUAUUACCAUGCUAACACUAAAACUAUUUUUUUGUUUUUGAUAGGUGUUGAAAUAAUGCCAAAGUUAGGACUUUAAUUUAGGAAUAAAAAAGGAGAGAUCAUUUAGGAUAUUUCCUUAUGAUUUAGUUUCCUAAUUUUAGGAGAGAAUUAAGCUAGAUUGAUUUUUUCUUAUUCAGUCAUUUGUGUAUAUAUAUGUGUAUGGUGUGUACCGAUUAAUCAUCAAUAAAGGAGUUCAGAAAUUCUUCAUGGUAUCAGAGCCAGUUUUCUGAAACCCUAAUCCCUUCUGGCCACCUCUUAUUCAGGCCAUCACUCAUUCCGGCCAAAUCUCUCUAGCCAUAUCUCAAUCCGAUCAUCUCUCUCUCUCUCAUUCCGGUCAUCAGUCCCUGUUCUCAGAGCCAAGGGAGAAAACGCUUUCUGGUCAGUCGAAUCGUCGUCAGAAAACACUCACCGCCGGCAACUUUUCCGGCGAACUUUCCGGCGACUGUUUUUUUUUUCUACACCGCAAGGAGCGCCUGGAGGAGAUCUCCAAUUUGUCCCAAAGCACCGGAACCAGAAACCCAUCCACGCGCCACCCACGCGCGUUUUUCCGCCCGGCGACUGCAUCUCACGCGCCGGCGCGUGAGGGCGCGUGAGCCACUUUCCGACGACGCGCUUCCUCCUCCAGGCUCGCCUGACGCCGACCAGCCACCCUUCUUACCUGUUUGUGCAAUCCGAGCCCUGCACGUGCCUCUUUUGGGGUUCUUUUGCUUCCGCGGGCCCUCUGAUCAGAUUUUCCGGCGUCCUCCGGCUAUUUUUUCACAACUCCAGUCCCUGCACGUGCCUUGGGAAGUGUUCUUCUACCUUUCCGGUCCAUGACAAAAUACGGAAUGGCAUCAUCACAAGUAUCCAGCGUCACGUCACCAGAAUCAGGGGGCAGAUCUGAAAUUCCAAACCUUGGUGGCAAUGAUUCCUCUCCUAUUCUCAUCACAGGACACAAAUUAAAUGGCCAUAACUAUUUACAGUGGUCACAAUCUGUGUUGCUGUUCAUUUGCGGUAAAGGAAAGGAUGAGUACCUCACUGGAGAAGCAGUCAUGCCAGAAACUACAGAACCGGGUUUCAGGAAGUGGAAGAUUGAAAACAGCAUGAUCAUGUCAUGGCUUAUCAAUUCCAUGAACAAUGACAUAGGCGAAAAUUUCUUGCUGUUUGGGACUGCAAAGGACAUAUGGGAUGCAGCCAAAGAAACUUACUCAAGUUCUGAAAAUACUUCAGAACUGUUUCAGGUUGAAUCAACUCUACAUGACUUCCGCCAAGGAGAGCAGUCAGUUACUCAGUAUUACAACACACUCACAAGGUAUUGGCAGCAACUUGACUUAUUUGAGACUCACUCAUGGAAAUGUUCGGAUGAUGCAGCAACAUACAGGCAAAUUGUGGAACAAAAGAGACUGUUCAAGUUUUUCCUAGGACUAAACAGGGAAUUGGAUGAUGUUAGAGGCCGAACCAUGGGCAUUAAACCCCUGCCAAGUCUCAGGGAGGCUUUUUCAGAGGUUAGGCGUGAAGAAAGUAGAAAGAAAGUGAUGAUGGGAUCAAAAGAGCAACCUGCCCCGACAUUGGAUGCCUCUGCCCUUGCUGCUCGGUCAUUUAAUAGUAGUGGUGGAGAUCGUCAGAAACGGGAUAGGCCUUGGUGUGAUUAUUGUAAGAAACCAGGCCAUUAUAAGGAGACUUGCUGGAAGCUUCAUGGCAAACCGGCUGAUUGGAAACCAAAGCCACGGUUUGACAGAGAUGGCAGAGCACACGUGGCUGCCAACUCUGAGAGCACAUUUGUUCCCGAGCCGAGUCCAUUCAACAAAGAGCAGAUGGAGAUGCUACAGAAAUUAUUAAGCCAAGUUGGCAGUGGCAGUACUACCGGUGUAGCCUUCACUGCUAAUCGAGGAGGAAUGAGGCCGUGGAUAGUAGACACAGGUGCUUCUGAUCACAUGACAGGAGAUGCUGCCAUUCUUCAAAAUUACAAGCCAAGUAAUGGUCAUUCAUCCGUCCAUAUUGCUGAUGGUUCAAAGUAAAAAAUUGCCGGGACAGGUUCUAUAAAACUUACUAAAGACUUAUAUCUUGACUCUGUCCUCCAUGUUCCAAACUUGGAUUGUAAUCUUUUGUCCAUUAGCAAAUUGGCUCGUGAUCUCCAAUGUGUUACUAAAUUCUAUCCAAACUUGUGUGUUUUUCAGGACUUGAAAUCGGGGAAGAUGAUUGGCAGUGCUGAACUGUGUUCCGGGCUCUACCUCCUUUCAUGUGGCCAAUUCUCAAACCAAGUCUCUCAAGCAAGUUGCGUACAGUCUCAGAGUAUGUCAGAGUCUUUCAAUUCUGUGUCAAAUUCUAAGGUCAAUAAAGAUAGUGAGAUUAUAAUGUUACACUAUCGCCUUGGUCAUCCUAGCUUUGUUUACCUUGCAAAAUUGUUUCCCAAAUUAUUUAUCAAUAAAAAUCCAGCAUCUUAUCACUGUGAAAUUUGUCAGUUUGCAAAGCAUACUCGAACAGUAUAUCCUCAAAUCCCAUACAAACCUUCGACUGUUUUCUCUCUAGUACAUAGUGAUGUGUGGGGUCCCUCCCGGAUAAAAAAUAUUUCUGGCACUCGAUGGUUUGUGACAUUCGUUGAUGAUCAUACUCGGGUAACAUGGGUUUUCCUUAUGAAAGAAAAGUCAGAGGUCGGACACAUUUUUCAAACCUUCAAUCUUAUGGUUCAAAAUCAAUUCAAUUCCAAAAUACAAGUCCUCAAGUCAGAUAAUGCAAAGGAAUACUUUACUAGUAGUCUCAGUACUUAUCUUCAAAAUCAUGGCAUUAUCCACAUAAGUUUUUGCGUUGACACCCCACAACAAAAUGGGGUGGCUGAACGCAAGAAUAGACAUCUCUUGGAGGUUGCCCGGUGCCUUAUGUUUUCCUCUAAUGUUCCAAACUAUUUCUGGGGGGAAGCUAUUCUCACAGCUACCUAUUUGAUUAACCGUAUGCCAUCCAGAGUGCUUACCUUUCAAUCCCCACGUCAACUUUUCUUAAAACAGUUUCCUCACACCCAUGCCGCCUCUUCUGAUUUACCACUCAAAGUAUUUGGUUGCACGACAUUCGUUCAUGUGUAUCCUCAAAAUCGUAGCAAAUUUGCUCAUCGAGCAAAUAAGUGCAUUUUUCUAGGGUAUUCUCCAACCCAAAAAGGGUACAAAUGCUAUUCUCCAACCAACAAAAGAUUUUACACCACCAUGGACGUCUCUUUCUUUGAACAUGUCUUCUUCUAUCCCAAAUCUCAUGUUCAGGGGGAGAGCAUGAAUGAACAUCAAGUUUGGGAGUCUUUUCUUGAGGGUGUACCUUCUUUUCAUUCAGAGUCACCAAAUCCUUCCCAAUUCGUGCCCACUGAGUUGUCCACACCCAUGCCGCCAUCAGUUCAGCCAGCCCAGCACACAAAUGUUCCUUCUCCCGUGACCAUCCAGUCUCCCAUGCCUAUUCAACCUAUAGCCCCACAACUUGCUAAUGAGAACUUACAAGUUUACAUCAGGAGGAGGAAAAGACAGGAAUUAGAGCACGGAUCACAGUCAACAUGUGGCCAAUAUAUUGACUCCAAUUCAAGUCUUCCUGAAGAGAACAUAGGUGAGGAUAGGGCUGGAGAGGUGUUAAUUCCCAGCAUUGAUGAUUCUACUUUGCCAAUUGCAUUGAGGAAGGGUGUUAGGAGAUGUACAGAUCAUCCAAUUGGGAAUUAUGUUACGUAUGAAGGGUUAUCACCAUCUUACAGAGCAUUUGCCACUUCUCUUGAUGAUACUCAGGUUCCCAACACAAUACAAGAGGCAUUAAAAAUUUCAGAAUGGAAGAAGGCAGUACAAGAUGAGAUUGAUGCACUUGAGAAGAAUGGGACGUGGACUAUCACAGAUUUGCCGGUUGGGAAGAGGCCUGUGGGGUGCAAGUGGAUUUUCACCAUAAAAUACAAAGCAGAUGGAUCAGUCGAAAGAUUCAAGGCUCGUUUGGUAGCUAGAGGGUUUACACAAUCCUAUGGGAUAGACUAUCAGGAGACUUUUGCUCCUGUUGCAAAACUGAACACUAUCAGGAUCCUUCUCUCAUUGGCUGUCAAUCAAGAUUGGUGCUUGCAACAACUGGACAUAAAAAAUGCGUUUCUAAAUGGGGACCUAGAAGAGGAAGUCUACAUGGAAAUACCACCUGGUUUCGAAGAAAGUAUGGCAAAGAAUCAGGUUUGCAAACUCCAAAAAUCCUUGUACGGCCUUAAACAAUCUCCUCGAGCCUGGUUUGAUAGAUUCACAAAAGCAGUCCUGAAGUUGGGCUACAAACAAGGUCAGGCUGAUCAUACUCUAUUUGUCAAGAAGUGUCAUGCCGGGAAAUUGGCCAUAUUGAUAGUCUAUGUCGAUGAUAUUAUUCUAUCUGGGAAUGAUAUGGGGGAGUUACAGAAUUUGAAGAAGUAUUUGUCAGAAGAGUUUGAAGUUAAAGACCUUGGAAAUUUGAAAUAUUUCCUUGGUAUGGAAGUGGCGAGAUCAAGGAAGGGAAUCGUAGUCUCUCAAAGAAAAUACAUACUCGAUCUUCUUAAGGAGACCGGUAUGCUUGGAUGCAAACCAAUUGAUACUCCUAUGGAUAGUCAGAAGAAACUUGGUAUCGAGAAAGAAAGUACACCGGUAGACAGGGGGAGAUAUCAGCGGCUUGUCGGGCGCUUGAUUUAUCUCUCACACACUCGGCCAGAUAUUGGCUUUGCAGUGAGUGCUGUAAGUCAAUUCAUGCACAGCCCCACUGAGGAACACAUGGAAGCAGUCUACAGAAUUCUUAGAUAUUUAAAAAUGACACCAGGGAAAGGCCUAUUCUUCAGAAAGACAGAGAACCGUGACACUGAAGUAUACUCAGAUGCGGAUUGGGCAGGAAACAUCACUGACAGGCGGUCCACUUCCGGAUAUUGUUCUUUUGUCUGGGGAAAUCUUGUUACCUGGAGGAGUAAGAAGCAAUCAGUUGUAGCCAGAAGUAGUGCAGAAGCUGAGUACAGAGCUCUUGCACAGGGAAUCUGUGAAGGGAUUUGGAUAAAAAGGGUUCUUAGUGAACUGGGACAAACGAGUUCAUCUCCAAUUCUGAUGAUGUGUGAUAAUCAGGCAGCUAUAAGCAUAGCAAAGAACCCCGUGCAUCAUGACAGGACCAAGCAUGUUGAGAUUGACAGACACUUUAUCACAGAGAAGGUGACUAGUGAGACGGUCAAAUUGAACUAUGUUCCUACCAAGCACCAAACCGCAGACAUCCUCACCAAAGCUUUACCUAGGCCUAACUUCGAAGACUUAACUUGCAAGCUGGGAUUAUAUGAUAUAUAUUCUCCAGCUUGAGGGGGAGUGUUGAAAUAAUGCCAAAGUUAGGACUUUAAUUUAGGAAUAAAAAAGGAGAGAUCAUUUAGGAUAUUUCCUUAUGAUUUAGUUUCCUAAUUUUAGGAGAGAAUUAAGCUAGAUUGGUUUUUUCUUAUUCAGUCAUUUGUGUAUAUAUAUGUGUAUGGUGUGUACCGAUUAAUCAUCAAUAAAGGAGUUCAGAAAUUCUUCAUGAUAGGUAAAUAAGAGCUUGUAUUAGAAGGGCCCAAGAAACUAGGCAAAGAAGACAAAAAACUUUUCCCCUAACUAGACAUAUGGCCACUCUAUAAAAUCAAUCAUAGACAAAGUAUGAUCCUCCAUAAACACUCUAACCCAAUUUACAAACGUAUACAAAAAGAAAUGUUUUAAAGGUUGGUCGGACUGUUCGAUAUCAUUAAAUGCUCUUUCGUUUCUUUCCUUCCAUAAAGUCUACAUUAAGCAUAAAGGGGCAACCCUCCAAGACUUCUCCCUUCUCUUACCCACAAAGGCACCAUGCCAACCAAGCAAAUCCCUUUUAAUCGAAGAAUGCAAAACCCACUGCACACCAAAAAGGGAGAAAAUCAAACUCCAAAGCAUCGUAGCCUUUCUGCAAAACAAGAUUAAAUGGUCACUGGUUUCCUCUUUCUCUUUACACAAGCAUAUUCAAACUAAUAACUAAUAGUUAUUGGAUUUAAAGCUUGUUUGUUAACGUUCUUCAUGGUUGUGCUUCUAUUUUUAAUCAAUUCUCUUGGCCAUCACCGUUUCCCCCUUAUUAAGAUUGGGUAUUUAAGUUUCAACGAAACAGCCUACUAAAUCCUCAAGAUAGAUCCUAUUUAUAAGGCAUGGGAGUUUUGGUCAAUGUCUGCUUCCAAAAUUCUUAUCCAUAUUUCUAUGAAUUCUUAUGCCAGAAAGUCUACUUCUUGCAGAAUUUUGAUGAUGUCUUGGUUCCUCCUGAUCACAUCAGUAGGAGUUACAAUGAUACAUACUACAUUGACUCUCAAACUGUCUUGAGGUGCCACACUAGGGCUCAUCAAGCAGAGCUGUUGAGGAGGGGACACACUCAUUUCCUUGUGACUGGAGAUGUUUAUCAUAGAGAUUUCAUUGAUUCAACUCACUACCUGUUUUUCAUCAGGUUUCUUAUUUCUGAUUUUAUCAAUGAUUGUUUUCUAUUAACAAGUUUCUUAUGUUUUCUUCAGUUCAAUAAUUUUGCUUCCUGAUCAUGCAGAUGGAAGGUGUUCGUGUCUUCUUUCCAGGUGAUUGGGAGACAUCUGGAAUGGAUGGCACAUCUUAUGUGGUUGAGGAUUUAAAGAAAUGUCUUGACGGUUUGGCGCAGCACUUGUUUGGUAAACUUAGAUCAGGAGAUUGUCUUAAUCAGAUACAAACUUAAUACUAUCAGUUGAUGCUGCAGUGAGAAAUAUGGGUUAAGGAAUUAUUUACCAGGUCUCAUAAUUCAAAAUCUGGGAAAUACAUCAAGUAAAAGGGGAGGAAAAUAAUGAAAUAAUAAAAUAAUAAAUUUAAGUGGGGGAAAGCAAUUCAUGUUAUGCAAAAGCAGUACAGGUUGGUCAUUUAGAAGUCAAAUCAAGAUAGUCCAGAAUAAUAUAGGGAAUUAUUUGUGAUUCUCAAGGUACUUGUUAAGAAUCAUUGACAAAUUACCUAAAGAAACAUUUAAGAGUGCUAUUAUUCUUGAAAUUUCUGAAAUCUAUCAGAAAGGUAGUUUUCAUCUUGGGGUUUACCAUAUACUGUAUAGAAUCUGCGUGGGCUAAAUCUGUUGAAAUUUGCAGGUAAUGUAGAAAUGCACUGGAUUGAUACAUAUUUCCCUUUCACCAACCCAUCAUUUGAACUUGAGAUAUAUUGUCAGGUAUGCUUUUGAUCUAGGUGGUGGUUACAUUUUAGCACUAUAUACUUUGAAUUUCUUUAAAACUUUGUUUUUGAACUAAUUUUCACAGAAACAGGCUCCAUUUCAUUUUUCUGUUUUCACCUUUUGCAAGAAAGGGUAAAAAUCAUUUCAAAAAUGUGAACUUCAGUUUAUUCCAUUGCUGGCAUGUGUGGCUUUCAUCUGUUAUUGAAGACACUAAGAUUCAUAGACUGAUAAUAUUCCAAUGCUUAUAAUAACAGUAAUGUUGGUGAUAAAAUAAUAUAAAAGUAGAAACAAAAUUAGUUGUCUCCCUUUUUUUUCGUUUAGUUUCUUUGUUCUUCUUACCCCUCUGAUGUGGGGAGGGGGUGUGGGGCUCUUUGUUGUCGCCAAAUGUGAAAAAGAAGAGGCAUUAUGUCCUUUUAUUUUGGAUUUACAGGACCUAUUAUGAAGGCAUUUAUGACUUCAAGACUUUUUUGUAUUUUAUUUUAUGGAAGCAUUUUUUUAGCGUCACUAGUGAAGGAGAAAUUCAUAAACAUAUAUACACACAUGCUAGUGGGCAUACACAAACACUGAUGUUCCACACAGUAAUUAAAAAAUUCUUGCUUUGAGGAGUAUCUUUUUCCUGAACUCAUGUCCAUGUCAAAUGGCAACAUGCCAAUGACUAUUUGCCAGCAGAUGGAAUGCUGGCAACACUUUUAUGGAUUGAAUGUUUUCCUUUCCCCUUUCUUUGUAGUGAAUGAUGUGUACUCUUUAGUUGCUCUUACAUAUUUGAUGCAUUGUGCUUCAUGCCCUAAUUGAUGCAGAACAGAAAAGUACCAGAAAAAAUGAUGGGAGUCUAGGAAUUACUUCCAAAAACCUUAGGCUUCGCAUAUAGGUUUAGUUUGCAUCACACAAAAAAGAAACAUUGCAAGCUGGAAGGUUUUGUGUUUUCAUUCAUUGAUCCUUUUAGAAGAUAGAGUGAUCAGCUUUGUAAACUACAACCCUAAGACCCCUAAUACUCUUUGGAACCAAUCACAGUAAUAAUAAAGCUGAGAAAUCAGAAACUUGAACUGAUAAAUAAAAAUUAAAAGGCACUUGCAAAUAUAAAGCAUUAAUGACUUUGGAAAUAAGAACACUCCAAUACCCCCCAUGCCCUUCGGAAAACUCAACCUUGACAAGUUAAAGUCAUGAAAUUUCUCAUAACGAUCACAAUUCAACUGCUGAAAUUCAUUGCUUGUGAUCCACAUACAAUCUCAAAGUGGCCUUUCUCUCCAUUCCACAAGAUGCUUUUGAUAACCUCCUCUUCUGGUUGAAACAAUUUAGUGACCAACAACUUUUCAAUCUUCUCUUUCAAUCAAGGGGCUGGUAGAAGAUGACCAUUUGGACCAUUAAUUGAUGUAGCAGCUUUAGGAUUAGGAAAAAGGGUGUGGUCUUCAAUAUUAGAGAUCUUAUUAAUGCCCAUAUUUUCUGGCAAGUCAAGUACAUAAGCGUUGGGACUUGUUUUCCUGAGAAUUUUAUAGGGACCAACAUUCUUUGAGUGGAGUUCUUAUAGGCACCUCUAGGAUAUUGUUCAGGCCUUAUUCACACAAUAACCAUAUCACCUUCAAUAAGUUCAGCAAAUUUUCUUUUCACAUCAUCGUAUGACUUAUUUAUUUAUUUGAUAGGCAAGCGGGAAAAACAUGUAAUCAUAUGACUUAUAAUUUCAUUGAUGAAAACAAGUUUCAUUGAACAUGAUAAUGUAUGCCAUCUAUAUGCUCACUAAAAGCAUCAGAUUCAAUGCUAGGUCAUGCAUCCAUUGGUAAAGGAACCAAAUCCAUAGGCUUUCUAGGAAGUGAUUCAGUCACAAUCUCAAAUGGACUGUGACCAAUAGACCUGUUCAGGGAGCUAUUAUUUGCAAAUUCGGCCAUUGAUCUGAUCUCCAGCUAGGCAGUGAAGUAAAUGAUCCAAGCUUCAAUUAACGACUUCUAUUUAGCCAUCUGUUUGAGGGUGAAAAGCAAAAGAAAACUUUAGUUUGGCAUUCAGUAUUUUCCAUAAAGUUCACCAGAAGAAACUCAUGGACCUACCAUCCAGUUUAGGAAAAUCAUGAAGGCGAACAAUUUCCUUGAAGAAGAGGUUUUUUUUUUUUUUUGAUAGGUAUUCCUUGAAGAAGAGUUUAACAAUUAGGCAACAUCUUUAGUCCUUAAGCAUGGGAUAAAUUGUACCAUCUUGGAGUAAUGAUUUACCACUACACGUAUGCAAUCAUGUCUCUGACAGUUUUCGGCAAACCAGGGACAAAAUCCAUGCAUAGGUCUAGCCAUGGCUCAUGUGGCACAGAAGUGGCAUGUAUGGAUCUGUAUUCUUCCUUUUCCUCUUUGAUAAUUUGCAGGUUCGAUGUCUGGAGACAUUCUUAGCCACAUCUUUUUCAGACUUGGUCAAUAAAAAUGAUUUUCCACCAUUGUAAUGGUUUUAUCUCUUCCAAAAUGACCAGUUGUUUCUCCAGCAUGAAGUUCCAAUAUUACUUGCUCAUGAAAUGAUGUUUUGGGUAAGCAAAGCCGAGUCCCUUUGAAGCAAUAUCAAUCAUGUAAAAAAUCACCAUAUUCUCCCGAAUUUCUAGGCACUAAAGCAACACAUAUAGUGCUAAAAUCUUUGCAAGAAGGAUAAGGGCUCUUAAACGAGUCAAAUCCAACAACUUGUACAGCAAUAGAAGAAAGAGUGUAUGCCAAUUUGCUAAGAGCCACUGCAAAGAAUUCUUUGUCAUAGAUACAAUAUUUCUGCUUUGCUUCAUUAAGAUUUUUGCUGAGAAAUGCAGUAGGGACACCUCUAACUCUUAUAUUUGAUGCAUUGCAUGCCGCUUCUAACACCUCCCGGAAAAUUGGAAGCUGCAAAACCAGUGCUUCAAUUAACGUUUUUGCCUUGGUCCAAUUCAACUGAUUUUUCUUCAUAGAAUAAGUUAUAGGGGCUGUAACAUUGCUGAAACUUAUGAUGAAAUGUCCAUGGAACAUUUCUAGCCCAUAGUAACUUUGUACUUAUUGUGAUGUGUUGGGAAUUAGGAUGGCUUUUACUUCAUUCAUACUUCCAAUCCUUUUGCCAAAACAAGAAGCCUAAGAAUACUACUGCUGAGAUCAUGAAAGAGCAUUUCUUCAAAUUUAUGUAGAGCUUUUCUUGGGGAACAACUGUCAUAACUUGCGAUAGAUGAGAGAUGUGAUCUCCUUUGGUCUUGCUGUAAUUAAGAUGUCAUCAAAGUAAACAACCAGGAACUUUUCAAUAAAUGGCUGAAGUACUUGAUUUAUGAAGCACAUGAAUGUGCUAGGGGCAUUUGAAAGGCCAAAAGGCAUGACUAGCCACUCAUAGAGGCCAUCUUUUGUUUUAAAGUCCGUCUUCCAUUCCUUUUCCAGUGUGCUGCUUAUUUGAUGAUAUCCACUCUUUAAAUCCAUCUUUGAAAAUAUGCAAGAGCCAGCCAUCAUGUCAUAUCUAACAUGUGAUUGAAUCAAGGGAUAGGAAACUGAUACUUGAUGGCUAUCUUGUUAGUAGUGUGACUGCCAACUACUAUCUUUUUUUGGUGUUAGCAAGGCAGGGACAGCACGAGGGCUUAAACUUUCAUGAAUAGUUCCCUUGGGCAGCAGCUACUCCAAUUGUCCUUUUAGUGCUUCAUGCUCACUUGGAUUCAUAUGAUAGGCUGGAAGAUUAGGCAGUUGAGGCCUUGCCAUAAAAUCUAUAAGCAUGCUGGAUGUUGCACAGAGAGGAAAGUUUUUGAGCAACAUCUAUGGUAGGUCUUUUCGAGCAACAUCUAUAGUCAUCAGGAUCAUAGGCUCUAUAAUCAAAUGAAUUUCGGUUUCUUCAUCUUUUUGUUGUUCUUGUUGUUCUUGUUGUUCUUCAUGCUCCAUUCCGAUGUACAAAUUGUUCUUUGGACAAUUUAGGUUAUUUGGCCGGGUUGUUGACACUUAAAACACCUAUUAACCUUACCCUUAGGGUUAGCGGCAUUAGAAGAAUACAACUUAGACCCUGUAGGUUGGACAAAUGGCUCGGAUUGGCCUAUUCUUGCACUGCAACCUACAUCAGUGAACCUCCUCUGCACUGGUUCUAUGGAUGAAACUCACAUCCCAGGUACGCCUCCAUAUCUAAUGCAAAUUGAAAAGCUUUUUCUAGGCUGUAUAAUGGAUGAUGCAUCAACUCUCUUCUCAUUUUAGGUCUCGAUCCAGCUUUGAAUCAUGCAAGAGUUUGCCCUUGGGUCUUCUACUAUUUGACUCCAAGUCUUUAGCUCAUGUAAUCUUUGCAUGUACUUUGGUCUCUGCAACAGACAUGUUGUUUUGAUUCAUAGUAAUGAGGUGAUUACAUAACUUAUUACAAUAAUUGGUCCUGCAUAUAUUUUUCACAUAGCUUAUCCUUCAUCUCCUGCCAUGUGCUGACAGGUGGUAGCCUCAUCUUCCCAUCUUCCUAGUAUCUCUUUCAACAUCUAUCCACUAAUCUUUUGCUAGGCCUACUAGUUUCAUUUUAGUAAACCACCCUCUCUGUUCAUCAUUCAUACAUACCAAUCAAAACAGUCCUCAAUUGUAGCUAGCCAAUCAACAAAUUGAGUAGCAUCGCCCUUCCUUCAAGUUAGGAACUUCUCCUUUUACUUUCCUUGUGAUAUCUUCAGCAGUUUCACAAGGUUUACACCUUGUUUCAGGUAGUCCUCUAGCCCAUUCAGAUAUAGGAUAUUGUGGUGCAUGUCCGAUGUUCCUCCAAGUUUUUGUUGUUAUUAAUUUGAGAUAAUUCUCCUUGCACAACACGUGCUAAAUCAUUAGUGGGCUGAGAUAUUUGUGUCUCAAUGUUGCUUAGUUGAAUAUGCAGGCUAUCAAGCUGUUCCAUCACCAAAAUAGUAUCUCAUCAUGUUGAUUAUUAGAUAAAUCUAUUUUGAAACUCCUCCUAGGUCUUGUAAUCAUGAUCUCAGCUUGCUCUGAUGCCAAAAUUGAUGCCAAACAGAAAGGUAAUAGAAAACAUGUUGGGACUCUAGGAAUCACUUCCAAAUCUUAGGCUUCACACUUAAGUUCAGUUUGCAUCACACAAACAAGUUGAACUGUCACAGUACGAUUGGUUCAUAAUAAGGUGUCAUCUGAUUGGUUCUCGUGGAGGCAACCUGUGAUUGUUCAAACUGGAGGCUGCACCUGAUUGAUUACAUUGAAAGUUGGAAGGUUUUGUAUGAGAUAAAUGAACCAACUUUAUCCACUAUAACUCUAGACCUUAGACUCUUUUGGAGCUAAUGGCAAUACUAAUGAAGUUGGAAAAUCAACAAUGUGAACUGAUAAAAAAAAUUGAAAGACUCUUGAAAAUGUAAAGCAUUAAUGAUUUUGGAAAUAAGAACACUUGUGAUCCUUUGACUAGACUCAUAAACAAAACUUAGACUGAAAUCCACAUUGAAGUAUAUAAAAUCCCAACUGGGCCUAUUAUCAUCCUAAGUAUACCAAAUCAUAAUUUGGGCCUUAAGAGUCCAAUCUCUAUGCAUUUGUUAACCUUUCACAGGUGAUUGCCACUUGUCUUCAUCGCUAACAAACACGAUUAUAGCAUCAGAGAAGAGCCAUGUCCCCAAAUCUGGCAGUAAAAGUUCUUUUUACAAGCUAACCUCAGGGAUCCAAUUACUACAUUAUUGUGUUAACCAUGAGCAUUGGUGCUCCUGUUCUGCUUGCAUGGUUACACUGAACCUGCUAUCCAAAUGUGUUGGUUGACCGAAUGAGAAACUCUAGGAAAAUGAAUGAAUUCAUAGUGACAUAGCAACAUUGAAUGCAACUUGUGUGUUUGUGUGAACAGGAUUGGGCGAGUUAAAGAGAGUUUUUAGAAGGGAUAAUACCUUUUUAAUUGGUCUUAGUGUUCAGUAUGCAGCUGGUUCAGUGAUCAGGAGGCCAGUUUAUAAUACAAUUUUCUUGAGAUUUUUAUUGAAGUGAUCCCUUGAAAAGUCAGGCUACUUUUCCAAGAAGUAAAUAUUUUAUCUUGUAGGUUGUAAAAGAUGCAUUCUCAGAAUAGGUGCCUUGAUUAUGUUUCUUCAGCAGAAGAACCUACAAUUAGGAUCCUGUGUAUAUCCUUUCUUGGAAUUUUCAUAAAUUUACCAGUAUUAACUUCCUAUUUUAGGACUAACUGUUCAGAAAAUCUAUGGAAAAGACUAAAGAGUAAGUACUAAGUAGAACCUCCAAGGGCUGCUAAAAAGCACUUCCCAGGGCCAUGAGCCAAAACUGGGCCAUUUGGAAAGGGGUUGUAACAAGUCACUUGACUAGGGGUUGUUAGAGGCCAUCAUUAGCCAAGAUUGGUUUUAGAUUCAACUUUAGGAAUUUAUUUAUUUUUCCUGAUUUCUCUUUUAUUUUUAGUUACAUAAUCAUAUUUGACUCUUGCUUUCCACUCUAAAUUCACAAUAUGUGAACCUUAUGAUAGAAAUUUUUAACUUCAGAACAUGAGUUGGGAUGUAUCAGAGAAGAAAGUUUCAAAUCCCUGGACUAGCAUUUCUGUAAUGCCUCAAUGAAAUUUUAUUGUAUGAUUAUCUACUUGAAGUAGCAAACCAUUAUCCUUUUAUUGCCAUUGAAUUGUGAAACCAUUAUGCCAUUACAUUGACAUCUCCAAAUGAAUUAUUUUAAUUUGAAUAGUUUUGCAUUAACUUAUUAUUUGACAAUCAUUGCCUAUAGUUUUUUGGCAGAACACUAUGAUCUCACUAAGCAACAUCCAUUGAUAAUUUAUCAGGAGAAAUGGUUAGAAGUUUUAGGUUGUGGGGUGACAGAGCAAGAAAUAUUACAGAAAAGUGGUAAAACAGGUAAUGUUGCUUGGGCUUUUGGGCUUGGAUUGGAACGGCUAGCAAUGGUUCUGUUUGGGAUACCUGAUAUUCGGCUUUUCUGGUCAACUGAUGAGCGGUUGACCUCUCAAGUAAUUCCCCAAUUCAGUAAAUGAUACUGUAUUUUAUUUUAUUCUCCUUUUCUGUCUUUGUGGUUAAGUAAUCAUUACCAAAAUUGAUAUCCUUAGGAAAAUAAAGCAUGCUGAAAAUUGACCUUGUUGACAUUCUUAAUGUCUGAUUUAGGUUCCCUGAAUGUUUAAUUUAAAUGCUUUGUAUGCAGUUCUCAAAGGACCAGCUUGGGGUCAAGUUCAAGCCAUUUUCAAAGGUAUUGCUUAUAUUUUUCUCAGUUUGAUAAUAGUAGUAUCUUCUUCUGAUGUUGUGUUAAUUGAAACUGUUGCAUAAUUUUCAUGCAAAAGGAUCCAAGACAUUUUGGGGGCCGGCAUUUCUAAGUAUAACCAGAAAAAGUCCUUUAUGCAAAUAUGUCUUUUACAUUCUGAAAUCGAAAAAAUUAAUUACACACAACAUAAUAACUAAAUAUUUAUACCUGUUAGAGCCCCUUGUAACCUUCUCUAUUGGCUGCUAGAAACUGACUAUUGUCUUUUUGCAGUAUCCUCCUUGUUACAAGGGCAUGAGUUUUUGGAUUAAUGAGUCGUUCACAGAAAACAAUUUAUGUGAGGUUGUAAGAGGAGUUGCUGGAGAUUUUGUCCAGGAGGUAUGCCUUUUUAUGUUUCUUCUUGUAAAUUGUUCAUUAGCUAUAGAUCUCUUCAUGGUUCACUUGGUAGAAUUUUCCUAACCAUUUGUAUAGUUACACUGAAAGCACCGAACCAAUUUGUGUUUUAAUUAGGGGUGUGCAGGGUUUGGUUUGUUUAGUUUCGAACUUUAAAAUAAAACCAAACCAGUCUAAUUGGUUUUAUGUAUUAGGAACCCAAGCUGGCCUAAUCGGUUUUAUGUAUUAGGAACCAGACUAAUUGAACUGAAAGAGGGAACUGAUCGGUUCAGUUCAGUUUAAUAGCAAUAAUUGAUAUAAGUUAAUUUACUAUAUUUCGGUCAAGAAAUAAAAUAAUUUUUUUUUUUUUAAUCAAUUUGGGUCGAAACCAAAAAGCUCAUAAUAGGACAUUGUUGGUCAAAAAGCUUAUAAUAGUUUAUUACAACAAGUUGCUUUAGAGUUUGCUCAAAUUACAUCAUUGUAACUCAUUUCAAAUCAUAUUAUUGUAACACAGCCGCAUGAAUAACUGUUGUUAUAGUCUAUGCUUAUCAUACUAAGUUUGGUUUGGGAUUCUAUCGAGUGUGAAAGAAGUGCACCAAAUUAAUAAGGUAACCAAUGGUUAUUGUAUAUUAUAGGUGUAUGUAUAUAACUUUUGAUUUGGUUUGGUUUAUUAUUUGUUUUCUAAAUGGCAUAGUUCAGUUUUUUUUAGAAAACCAAAAUUGUUGAAAAAUCUUUAAAAAUUGAUUGGUUCAGGCCAGUGUGGCUCAGUUCUAUCAUUUUUGUCCAUUUAAUCGGUUUUUAACACACCCCUAGUUUUAUUUCACUUUUCAGUUCUUGGACUUUCCAUGAAAAUAAUAUUGUUGUCAUGAAGCUACUGAGGCAGUUAUGGACCAAUUCCAUCCUCUGAAUUUGCUCAUAAAAGAGAUCCUCUCUCUUCUCUUCUUUUCUAUCUACCAUCAGUUGCAAUAAUAGAUCCAGUUUGCACAAAGCCAAGCUUAGAAAAUCUGGUCAUUGACAACCUGAAUAGUCUCUGGGAGCAUCCAGUAUCUUUUCUCCUUUGUGAGGGUGGAUAACUGGUCUGGGUCCCCUGCAUCAUUUUUCAUAGGUUGCAGAGCUGCUGUGUCCGUAUAGGAAAUAACAUGUUCUUCCUUCAUAGCUUUAAGUGCCAUCAGGAAUUGGAUAUGCUAAUAUGAGUGGGAGGACUCCAGAUGGUGGACUUACGAAGACCUCCACUCUGAUUCAUUGAUGCCAAACAUAUAAUUGUGAUAAAGAGAGGCUUCGGAAGUUGAUAUUCUUUUAAAGUGUUUCCAAUAUUGAAGGUUUAUAAAGAGGUUCAAAUUGAGAAAUUACUAUUCUCUAAAUAAUAGGAUCGUAGUCGGUUUUUCGUUCAAAAUUUGUCCUAUAUUCCAAGAUGAUUGUUGACAAUCUGAUCUAUAGUUAAACAGUGGCCAUAAUAAGUCCCUAUUUUCCUAGUGCCUGAAAGUGAAGCUCCAUUCUGAAGUUUUCUAAACUAUAAGAUACAUUUUUGACUUCCAGGUGCAAUUGAUCGACAAUUUCACCAACAACAAAGGAAUGACCAGUCAAUGUUAUCGGAUAGCAUACCGGUCCAUGGAGCGUUCACUUACAGAUGAGGAGAUAAAUGAGUUGCAGGUAUUUCAUGUUUAGGGGAUUUUGUACAAGUGAUUAAUAUUUCGUCUUGAUUACAGGUAAUGACUAAUAACCUGGAAUUUGGCUAUGAUUCUGGGGUGCAGUGGAAUGUUAGGGAGCAAGUGCACAGCAAGUUGAAGGUUGUUCUUAGAUGAGAUUUCUGAUGCUGGGAACCUAAUUUUUCUAUCUCACUCUGAUAAGUCUCCUUGUGAACAUUUUCUAUUAUUAUUCUUUUUGUUCCUACCUUUUACAUUUUGAACUAGGUACAGUUGGGAAAUUAGGCAUUCAAAACCAGCUUUAAUGGGAGAAACACUUUAGGAAAAUAAGGAAAAUGUACUAGAAAGAAUAAUGCAUACGUUGAUCAAUGUGAAAUUUAUUUUUGUAUACAAUGUUUCUCUAAUAAUUUUAACAAUGCCUGACCUUAAAUAUAGUAAUUAAUUGCUCUUUUGCAGUUGUAUUCCCUUUUAUUUUAAUUUUUAAAUUUUUUUUUUUUUUUUAAGAACAUCACAAACAACUAUUUUAUUAUAUUAAAAUAGUAGGUACAAAGCAAGAUGAGAAAUCUUCCCAAUUAGUAUAAAACACCCUUAUGCAAUAUUUAUGAAAAUAGGUGUAUAGUGUCCAAAAAGAUCAAUUUAUCUUAUAGGCCAAACUGGUUUGGACAAUGCUCACUAUAGAUCCAUAAGGUAAAAAAAUCUCUUAUAGAAGAAACCGAAUGUCUUCCUCCAUGCUUUGCUAACACUCCCAGCACAAUUGCUUUAGCAAUGAACAGCAAUGAACCUAAUAAAAUGGCCAUAUCAUUUCUGAUCUAAUAUCAAUGAUUUGAAGUUAUGACCCCUCAAACUUCUAGGGUUCUCUUUUUUUUUUCCUUGGUCAUCCGUGAUAUUAGAAUGGUAGAAGCUACUUCUAAUAGGAGAUUGGAGAGGCCUAAAGCUUUUGCUUGCAAUAAACUCUCUAGAAAGGUUAGGAUCUUUGCCUCAAUGGCUAAACUCUGACUUGCAUAUAUAGAGAAUUCUCUUAUUAUUAUACCAAAGUGGUCAUUGAGUAACUCUCUAAUCCCCAACUCCCCUAGUUACCCAAAGAACCCCAUUAACAAUUAGCAUAUAACUUAUGCAGCACAUGCUACACUGAUGGAGCCUUUAGGAACUAUUUUCAUGUUUGUUAGGCUAAUUCAUCCUCAAUAUUAUGUCAAUGCCAACUUUUAGCUUGAGUUUGAAUUGCCUAUAUUAUGGAAAGAAAAUAAGAUAGGAAGAAACAUGAAAUUCUCUUGUUUGAUUUACUAUAAAAAAAUAUGAAGAAAAAUAAAAUAUAGUAGAAAUGACUUAAAACCGUUAUACGUUCAAAUUCUUUAGUUUUUCUAUGAUAGAAAAAUAAAUUUGAAGAAGCAAGUAACUUUAGUUCAAAUUCAUUUUAUUGGGUAAUCAUUGUUUUUAUUACCCAUCUCAAGUUGUUAAGUCUUUCAAGCCUUAAAACUGAUUAGAGGUGAUUGUGAUAUCCUACAUGGGAUAGGGAAAAAAGUUUAUGACAUUAUACAUGUAUACAUUUCUUUUAAUAAUAUAGACACAUUUAAAGUCACGAGGGAUCAAAAUGAACGAUAUCAAUAUAAAAUGAGAACAAUCUAUUACAAUUAUACUUGCAAUAACCUUAAAAAAUUUGGAUACAUAAAACUACAAUCAUGUUUUUGUUGGGAAAAACGGUGUAGUAAAUACUUUUUUGUUGUUAUAUUAUAAAAACCAUAAAUUUCUAAAUUUCCGUUUCCUUUUCAAUUCUUUAUAUGUUUAAAAUUUUCAUCCAAACCAAGAUCCAAGAAAAACUUAAAACAAAGAAAAAAUGAAAAAUUAAUUUAACAUGUAUAAUUUUUUAAUAAGAAUUUAUAAUUCAUAAUUCAAACGAUAUUGUGAAUUGUAGACACUGGAUUAUACUUAGAGAAUCAUUCAAAGAAUGACGGUCAUGUGAAUGACAUAGGAUACCCAUUGCGUGCAUGUGACAUCUACUUCAUUUAGAGUCAGUUUGACAAUUAUUCUAAAAAACGUUUUUAGUGUAAAACAUGUUUUUGAAAAAAAAAAUUAGAUGCUUGACAAAAUUUAUGAAACACUUUUAAGAAUCUAAAAAAUCACGUAUAGUGUUUUAUGAAGAAAAACUUAAUAAAAAGUGAUUAUCCUCAAAAUACUUUCAAAGAAUACUUUCAUUAAAAAUACUUUAAAUAAAAACACUACAAAACAUACCUUUGAUUCAUUAUAAAGUAAUUUUCAUAUUUUAUAUAAUUAGACCCAUGCGAUUUGUCCACUAUUCAUGAUGAAUUUCCCUAUUUUAUAUAAGAACCCAUGAGAUUUGUCCACUGUUCUCUUUUCCAACUCUUCCAACUUCUUAUCUAAUAUUUAAAAUUGAUAAAUAUGAAUCCCUUUACCCUAGAGAAUAGUUCUAAGUGAACAGCUUAGCUUAUUUCAGUUUUCAUCUAAAGCAUAAUAGGUAUUCAUUUUACAUUCUAAUUCAUCUCCAUUCUCAUCCUAUUCUUCUUAGUCGGACAUGCCAAACACAUCCUUAAGCCAAGGAUGAACUUAUCGGUUAUGACUAAUAUAUCGAUAAUUUAAUUUUAUGGAUGUAUUGAGAUACAUGGAGAAAUAUCGGUGGAUAUUUUGAUAUAAAAUAUAAGUAAGAUAAAUAGAUUAAAAUUCAUGAAAAUGUUAAAAGAAACUUUAAAAAUGAUAUAAUAAAUAACAAUAAAGAUUUUAAAGUUGGUAUACUAACGAAAAUGAUAUAUGUAUGAUAUAGUUUAUCAAAUUUGAUAAUAAUAUAUGUGUGUUAAUAAAAAAUUAUUAUUUUGAUAUGUCAAAUAUUAUUCGAGAAUAAUGUUGCAACUUUUGUUUAUAAUACAAGUAAUUUUAAAAUAUAAUUAAUAUUAAAAUUGUGAUCUAUUUAAUUCAAUUAUAUAUAUAUAUAUAAAAUUUCUUUAACAUUUAGUAAAUAUAUUAAUGAUAUAAAAAAAGCUCUGUGAAGAAAAUUGUCAUCAUAAUUUUUAUGCCUUUUGUAUUCAAUUAAAUGAAAACUUUCAUUUAAUUAUCAAAUGAUUAUAAUUAAUUAAUUUAUUAAAAUAUUCUUAUAAUAUUUAUUUUUAUAAUGGCUUUUAAUAUAUAUAUAUAUAUAAUUGGUCGUCUUUUGUCUAGAAUUCGAAUUUACCGUGUUGACCAUGUUUGAUCAAGAAUAUUACUCGAGUUUUGACCACAUUUGAUGAUUGAGAAUGUCAUCGAUGUUUCGUGAUUUUUUAAUCCUUACCUAAAACAUGACAUUUUAUUUCGUUUUUAUUCUCAUCCUAUUCUAAUUUCUAAUCUGACAUACCAAACACAUCUUACGGUCUUCAAAGGUUUUGUCCAAGGUCUAACUCCCAAAGAAUUGGUGUGGUGAUCAUUAUUUUUGUUAGCCAUCAAAAGUCGUUGGAUCUUUCAAGUCCAAGGGAAAAAAAAAUUAAGCAUUUUUUAAAUAAACAUACCAAUUUAAACAUUUUUUUAAUAUAUAUAUUUUGGUAGCUUUCGUAUCAUGAUGUUGACAUCGUUUAAAAUUGGGAAACUUGUGUUUUGGUCCUCUGAUAUAAAAAAUAUAUGCUUUUGGAAACUAAAAUAUAUGAAAUAUGAAAUCCAACUAUUAAUGGGAAAAAUGAUAUCGGAAACGUGCACUAUGUCCUGUUUACUUUUCCUCUUCCCAUAUUGCCCCUAAAUUUCCCCAUGUCAUUAGCAAGUCCUCUCCAUGUUAGCAGAAUAAUCUGAAACUUGAACUAAUUCUCAAAGUUGGAACAUAAAAAAACCCAACCCUAGAACCAAAAGUAUGGAAACUCGUCUACGUUACUGAACAAGGAAGUGUCAAAAUGUGCCUUUUAUUGUGCCUUUGCCUGAGACGACUUAGUAGGCGCUUGCCUUAUGCCCUAAAAAUGAAUAGAAAAGAAUUAAUGGCUUGGAUUGUGUACCAACAACCAAUCUCCAUAAAAGUCAUUUGCCUUGAGUUGGUAAGGGAACUUGCUGCAAUUCAAUCUAGGGUUAUCAUAGAUCAUCUAUUUUAGCUCUCAAUGUUGUUUCAGGUAACAUAUUUGAAUGAUAUUUUAUGAAUUUCAUUUAAUACAAUAUGUGUUCUAAAUGAUGCUUCUUUUUUUAUAAUUAGAGUUAAUCUCUAUUUACUUUUCUUAGAUUUUACCAACUGUAGUUAGAAUUCCUCCAGUUCAUCUUUUAAAGAAAAAACAACAUUCGGUUGAUUAUGGGUGUUGCAAUUUCUAUUGGAUGUGUGAGCAUCAUACUAAUAUGUGAAGUUUUUUACAUAAAAAGGAAAUCUUUAGAUGUUAAUGAGGAUGAAGGCACUUCUUUUGCUCAAUAUUACUAAAUUUAAGCUUCAGAUGUCAAUGAGAAUGUCAAUGGGCUUUUUUCUACAGAUGUCAUGGUAGCAUCUUUAGUUAGUAUUAUUUGCUGCCCAAUUAUAGAAGACCCAAGAAGCUGGAUGGGCUUGAGAUGCAUGGAGUGGUAGUUGAGUGAUUUAUCUUAAUGUUCUUGAUUCAACUUUUUGCCUGUAAUAUAGCAAUGACAUUUCCCUAAGAAUAAAGUCAUCUCCAAAGAAUCUUUGCACAAAUACACAAUGAUCAUAAGUUGUCUUGUUGUAUCCUUGCUUCUCCAUAAUUGACUCAAACUUCUUGUAUCAUUGCCUAGGUGCCUGUUUCAUGCCAUAAAGACUUUUCUUCAAUCUAUAAAAAUAAUCUUCUUGUCCUUUUACUUUGAAUCCCUUUGAAGGCUCCAUGUAUAUCUCUUUCUCCAAGUCACCAUGGAGGAAAGCAAUUUUCAUAUCCAUUUGUUUAAUCUCUAAGUCAAGACUAGCUGCAAGACCAAACACUACACAAAUGGAUGACAUUUUCACAAUUGGAACAAAGAUUUCUUCAAAGUCAAUGCCUUUCUUCUAGCUAAAUCCCUUGACAACUAGUCUAGCCUUGUAUCUUGGGUAUGAAGUGUGUUCUUCUUGCUUCACCCUGUACACCCAUUUGUUUUCCAAGGCUCAUUUUUCCUUUGUGCAGCUUCAUUAACUCAAAAGUGUGAUUAGCAUGCAAGGACUUCAUCUCAUCUUGUAUAGCCUCAAUCCACUCUCUCUUCUACUUACUCUCUAUAGUUUCUUCAAAGCUCUUAGGUUCUUCCCCAUCAAUGAAUAUGACAUACUCUUUUAGGGAGCAUCUUGUGGAAGACUGACGAUUCCUGGUAGACCGUCUAGAUGAGACUAUAGGAGUAGCUUGUGGUACUUGUGGCUAGUCAAUAACUUCAGAAUUUAUAACCUCUAUAGGUUCUAAAUCAUCACUUGCACCAUGUGGUCAUUUUGUGUCUCAACAUCAAGUUGAUUUGCCAUUGGUGUUAAAGAAAUUAUUUCCAAGUCAAUCAACUUGUCACUACUAUCAAAUUUUGCUUUCUCCACUUCAUCAAGGUCUAUUAUUGUCUAGUCUUCCAUAAAUACAAUGUCUCGACUUCUAAUCAACUUAUUCUCAACUGGAUUAUACAAUCUGAACCCAAAUUCAUUUUGGCCAUAACCCACAAAUACACACUAGCGUGUCUUCACAUCAAGCUUGGACCUUUCAUCUUUAGGAAUGUGCAUAAAGGCCUUACAUCCAAAGACUUGCAAAUGAUCAUAGGAAACAUCUUUGCCUAUCCAAACUCUAUCUAGCACAUCAAACAACAAAAGAAUAGAAGGUGAGAAAUUCAACACAUGAACCACUAUAUUUAAAGCCUCACCCUAGAAAGAUUUAGGCAACCUUGCUUGUGAAAGCAAACAUAUCACUCUCUCAACCAAUGUUCUAUACAUCCUUUUAGCCAAACCAUUCAAUUGCGGUAUCUGUUAGCCUAAGGGCUCCUAAUCGGGUUUUGAUGAUAACAAACCAUGGUUAAGUGACUAAUUGGUUUAAUGAUUAAGAAUCUUAGGCAUAAACUCGAAAAUUCAUCAAAUGACCAAAUGGAUACAAGAUCGAGACGCUUGGAAGACUUGUGAUCAUAGGAAACAAAUGUAAGAUGAAUGCAUGAGUGCACUUAGGAUUUUCACACGUUUCAUGCAACUUAGAAAACUCGGUUUAUUCUUUAAAACUUUGAUUUCAUUAAAACCCGAGUUUUUAACUAAUGUACCUUAGGCAAAAUGUUUUAUAAUUGGUUUAAUAAUUCACCUAUUGACCUUGCCUAAGUGUUAGAAAAGAAAGAAAAUAAAAAAAAUAGGUUUUCGAGGCCAAAAAGGCUCAACUGGUCGAGGCUAUGGCCAAUCGGCUCAACCGGUUAAGGAACCGCUCGACUGGUUGUGCUCGUCCGGUUGAGGGAUGCGAAAAACUUUCUCUCUCUCCCAGUGGCCUUCUCUUUCUAGUCGAAGUGAUUCUCUUCCCGAUCGAUGUCCGAUCGAGGAUCGGUCGAGGUUCGGUCGAGGCAACGGUAACCUAUCAAGCAUUAAAUUCUCCAACGGCUAGUGAACCAGUCGACCCCUAGCUCGACCGGACGAGGUUACCUUUUGCUGUUUUUGACUCCUGAGCUUAGAAACCUAUAAAUUGAGAGCUCCACUUCAUUUAUUGAUAAGAGAACACUUGCAUUCAAUAGUCUACCUACUUGUUCUUGAUCAAAAAGUUCUCAUUUCUUUCAUAGUGCAUUAAAUCACCACUUGCAUAUCCUUUAGUGCACUCUUGUGUGUCAUCCUAGCUUUGUCUUAUAUUUAAGCUAUCCUUAAGCUAGGUUGAGGGAUUAUUUCUUGUAAAAAUCUGGGUGUUAAAGCCUUCAAGAGGUUUGAAUCUUGAAGAGAUUGUGUAAGAGCCCAUUGAAGCCGGAAUCCAAGUGUAAGAAGAUUGGAAGCUUGGUUGAAGCUUCAAGUUAGUGGAACCCACACUUAGUUAGGAGAUUGAGGAGAGUGGAUGUAGGCAAGGAAGUGCCGAACCACUAUAAACUCGAGUUUGAAUUCUCUAGCUCUAUCUUUUUAUUUUGCUUAUAUUGUGUUUGAAUUUGUUGUGAUUGAAAAGUUUUUAAAAACCCAAUUCACUCCCCCCCCCCCCUCCCCCCUCUCCCCUCUCCCUUUUGGGUGCUUUUCUUAAUUAAGCAUAGCCUUUGUUUUCUCAAUUGGAAUUAGAGCUAGACCUCUUGUUUUUUAAAGACUUAAUCAUCUAAGAGGAAAUGGCUAUUCCAUCAAGCUCAUCCCAAGCUGAAAAUUUUUCAAAACAUAGAGCUCCAUUCUUUACGGGAACCGACUAUCCCUAUUGGAAAACUAGAAUGACUUGGUAUUUGCAAUCUACAAAUUUAGAUGUAUGGGAUGUCAUUGAAGAUGACCCAACUUUUCCCACUAAAUUAGUUGAUGGAGUUUUGGUUCCAAAACCCGAGUAAGAAUGGAAUGAGCUUGAUAGAAGAAACUUUCAAUUAAAUGUUAAAGCCGUUUUUACUUUGCAAUGUGCUAUGGAGGUUGCUUGAAAUAACUCAUGAAGGAACUAAUCAAGUGAAAGAGUCAAAAAUUAAUUUACUUGUUCAUAAGUAUGAAUUGUUUUUAAUGAAAGAAAAUGAGACUACUAUUGAGAUGAUUACUAGGUUCACUGACAUUGUCAAUGGUCUUGAAACUUUUGGAAAAACCUGCAAGGAAUCCGAGAAGGUGAUGAAGAUAUUGAGGUCUCUCCCAUCAAAGUGGCAUACCAAGGUCACCACAAUUCAAGAAGCAAAAGAUUUGACUAAGCUACCUAUGAAAGAGCUCAUAGGGUCAUUAAUGACAUAUGAGAUCAAUUUGACAAAUAAGCUACAAGAGGGUGAAGAUAAAAAGAAGAAGAUCAUAGCCCUCAAAGCUACAACCAAGGAAGAAGAAGAUGUUGAAGAAGAAAAACCAAGUGAUGAAGAUGAUGAUUUAGCCCUCAUCACAAGAAACCUCAACAAAUACAUGAGAUGUGAAAGGUUUCGAGGAAGGAAGUUCACCUCUAAAAGAGAUCCUCCUAAAAAGGAAUCAUCCCAUGGUGAAAAGGAGAAAUGAGAAGAGAAAAGAGAUUUGAUAUGCUUCAAGUGCAAAAAACCGGGACACAUUAAAUAUGAUUGUCCUCUAUACAAAAGUGAAGCCAAGAGAAGAAUGAAAAAGGCAAUGAUGGCCACUUGGAGUGAAAGUGAAGAAUCCUCCGAAGAAGAAAAGGAGAAGGAAGUGGCAAACAUGUGCUUCAUGGCAAUAGAUGAUCUUGAUGAGGUAAACUCUAAUUUUAUUGAUGAAGAUAUGCAUGAUGUUUUUGAAGAAUUAUAUGAGGAUUUUGAAAAACUUAGUUUGAAAAAUAAUUCUCUUAAAAAGAAGAUUCAAGAACUUGAAGAAGUCAAAGAAAAAAUUUCAAUUAUUGAAAUAUCUAAAACUCAUCUUGAAAAAGAAAAUGAGAUUUUGAGAAGUGAAAAUGAGAUUUUGAAAAAGAAAAAUGAAUGGUUGACCUCAUUUCUUUCAAUUUUCUCUUGUGGACAAAAAUAUUUUGAAAUGAUCUUAGCUAGCCAAAAAUGUGUCUUUGAUAAACAAGGGUUAGGAUUCAAAUCUUCAAAAAAUCAAAAGUAUUUUAAAAACUACUUUGUAAAAGAAUCCACAAGUGCAAGUCCUUCUACCAUUUGCAACUUUUGUGGAAGAGGAUGACACAUUAGUAGUACAUGUCCCCUAAGAAAUGGUUCUUAAAAGAAUUCAAAUGCCAAGCUAAAAAGGUUUGGGUUGAAAAAUCCAAAAUCACUAACCCUCAAGGACCCAAAAAAAUAUGGGUACCUAAAUCAAUUUAAAUUUUGUUUUGUAGGGUUUAAAAAAGGAUAAAUGGUUCUUGGAUAGUGGAUGCUCAAGACACAUGACCGGGGAUGAAUCCAAGUUUGCCUUCCUUACAAAGAGAAAGGGAGGAUACGUUACCUUUGGAGACAAUGCAAAAGGAAGGAUCAUUGGUCAAGGUAACAUUGGUAAUGGCACAUCCUCUCUUAUUGAAAGUGUUUUAUUAGUGGAUGGUUUAAAACAUAAUCUCUUGAGCAUAAGUCAACUUUGUGACAUAGGUUUUAAAGUGAUUUUUGAAGCAUCUCAUUGCAUCAUCAAAGAUAUUCAAAAUGAUAAAACCAUCUUCAUGGGCCAUAGGUGUGACAAUGUUUAUGCUAUAAAUAUUUCAAAAUAUGAUGGCCAUGAUAGAUGCUUUUCAAGCAUGCAUGAUCAAAGUUGGUUGUGACAUAGGAGGUUGGGACAUGCUAACAUGGACUUCAUUUCCCAACUCAACAAAGAUGAACUUGUUAGAGGCCUUCCCAAAAUAAAUUUUCAAAAAUACAAAGCUUGUGAAUCUUGUCAAAUGGGAAAGCAAAUAAAAAACUCUUUUAAAAACAAAAAUUUCAUUUCAACAUCUAGGCCUUUUGAAUUGUUGCAUAUGGAUUUAUUUGGUCCCUCUAGGACACCAAGCCUUGGAGGAAAAUCUUAUGCUUUUGUUAUUGUGGAUGACUUCUCUAGAUACACUUGGGUUUUAUUUUUAAGUCAAAAGAAUGAAGCCUUUUAUGAGUUUUCAAAGUUUUGCAACAAGGUUCAAAAUGAAAAAUGUUUUACAAUUACUUGUAUAAGAAGUGAUCAUAGGAGAGAAUUUGAAAAUAUUGAUUUUGAAGACUAUUGCAAUGAGCAUGGUAUUAACCAUAAUUUUUCGGCUCUUAGAACUCUUCAACAAAAUAGGGUAGUUGAAAGGAAAAAUAGAACUCUUCAAGAGAUGGCUAGAACCAUGCUUAAUGAAAACAAUUUACCAAAAUACUUUUGGGCCGAAGCGGUUAACACUUCUUGUUAUGUUUUAAAUAGAAUUUUAUUAAGGCCUAUUCUUAAGAAAACUCCCUAUGAGCUUUGGAAAAACAAAAAACCCAACAUUAGCUAUUUCAAAGUCUUUAGGUGCAAAUGCUUUAUAUUAAACACCAAAGACAAUCUUGGAAAAUUUGAUGCAAAAUCGGAUGUUGGAAUUUUUCUUGGUUACUCAACUUCAAAUAAAGCCUUUAGAGUUUUUAACAAAAGAACCAUGGUUGUUGAGGGGUCCAUCCAUGUUAUUUUUUUAUGAAUCUAACAAUUCUCUCCAAAAAAAGAGAGAGCUUUGAUGAUGAUUUAGGCUUGGAGACCUCCAUGGGAAAAUUACAAAUUGAAGAUAGAAGGCAACAAGAAGGAAUUGUUGAGGAUCCCAAGAAAGAAGAAUCACCUUUAGCACUACCCCAUCCUCAACAAGUGCAAGGUGAAUCAAGCCAAGACCUUCCUAAAGAUUGGAAGUUUGUCAUUAACCACCCACAAGAUCAAAUUAUAGCUAAUCCAUCUAGUGGGGUAAGAACUAGAUCAUCUCUUAGAAAUAUUUGCAAUAAUCUUGCUUUUAUCUCUCAAAUUGAAUAUAAAAAUAUAAAAGAUGCUCUAGUUGAUGAAAAUUGGAUGAUUGCUAUGCAAGAAGAGUUAAACCAAUUUGAAAGAAGUGAAGUAUGGGAAUUAGUGUCAAGACCUCAAAAUCAAAGUGUUAUUGGAACUAGAUGGGUCUUUAGAAAUAAAAUGGAUGAAAUGGCAUAAUUAUAAGGAAUAAAACAAGAUUGGUAGCCCAAGGUUUUAAUAAAGAAGAAGGGAUAGAUUAUGAAGAAACCUUUGCUCCCGUAGCUAGAUUGGAAGCCAUUAGGAUGCUACUUGCCUUUGCAUGUUUUAAAGACUUUGUUUUAUAUCAAAUGGAUGUGAAAAGUGUUUUCUUAAAUGGCUUUAUAAAUGAAGAGGUAUAUGUUGAACAACCACCCGGCUUUCAAAGUUUUAACUUUCCUAAUCAUGUCUUUAAACUUAAAAAGAUACUUUAUGGUUUGAAACAAGCACCUAGAGCAUGGUAUGAAAGAUUGAGUAAAUUUCUUAUGAAAAAGGAUUUUAAAAUGGAAAAAAUUGAUACAACUCUUUUCAUAAAAACCAAAUAAAAUGACAUGCUCUUAGUGCAAAUAUACGUUGAUGAUAUCAUUUUUGGAGCUACUAAUGUCUCUCUUUGUGAAGAAUUUUCUAAAUGCAUGCAUAGUGAGUUCGAAAUGAGCAUGAUGGGAGAACUUAACUUCUUCCUUAGACUUCAUAUCAAGCAACUAAAGGAAGGAACCUUCAUCAAUCAAGCAAAGUAUAUAAGAGAUCUCCUCAAAAGGUUCAAUAUGGAGGAAGCCAAAACAAUGAAGACUCCAAUGAGUUCAUCCAUCAAGCUUGACAUGGAUGAGAAAGGUAAGUCCCUCAACUCAACUAUGUAUAGAGGCAUGAUAGGUUCUUUGCUAUAUUUGACUGCUAGUAGACCCGACAUCAUGUAUAGUGUAUGCUUAUGUGCUAGAUUUCAAUCUUGUCCUAAAGAAUCCCACUUAAGUGUUGUAAAACGAAUCCUUAGAUACUUGAAACGGACAAUGGACAUAGGUUUGUGGUAUCCUAAGAGUGAUAACUUUGAAUUAAUUGGAUUCUCGGAUACCGACUUUGCCGGUUGUAAAGUUGAAAGGAAAAGCACUAGUGACACUUGUCAUUUCCUAGGACACUCACUUGUUUCAUGGUAUAGUAAGAAAUGAAUUUUGGUAGCUUUAUCAACGGCGGAAGCCGAAUACAUAGCAGCCGGUUUAUGUUGUGCACAAAUUCUUUGGAUGAAACAAACACUUAGUGAUUUCAAUUUGAUUUUUGAGCAUGUUCCUAUUAAAUGUGAUAACACUAGUGCCAUAAACAUUUCAAAAAAUUCAGUGCAACACUCUAGGACUAAGAAUAUAGAGAUAAGACACCAUUUUCUUAGAGACCAUACACAAAAGGGUGACAUUACACUUGAAUUUGUAAGCACAAAAGAUCAACUUACUGAUAUUUUUACAAAACCUCUAAGUGAAAAACAAUUUGUUGAUAUUAGAAGACAACUAGGGGUGAUUUCUUUAUGAUCAAAUGAUUGCUUGAUGAAUUCUUGAUUGAAUAUACCUUAUGAUUACGUGAAUUUCAUAUCAUAUAGAAAUAAUCUUAGGAAAAAGGUCAAAUUUUGACCAAAAAUCAAAAUUCCCUUGGCAUUGGACAUAAAAAAUUGGGGAUUUCAAUUGAAAAGGGUAGGGGGAGGAUCACAAGACAAGAAAAUACCAAAAAAUUGGAGCAUUGACCGUUGACCAUUGACCAAGCGGUUCGUCGAGGUUGGGAAUUUAAAAAGGCCCCCUGCGCUUCAUUUUUCACAUGUUAUCCUCCAUACCUUGAAGACUCUUCACAUCCAUGCUUCUAGAAGUCAAUUUUGGCAAGAUCUUGGACUGUUUGCAGGCUUUGGAGUGGAUUUUGAGACGUUUUGAGGCUAGGGUUUUGAUUUGAAACCCAGAGUUUCAGUUUUUGGGGGUGAUUUCUCUCUAUACCACGAACCUCAGGCUUGGUUCAACUUCUUCUCCGUGCGCCUAGGGCUUUAGGUUGGUGUUUUCUCUCUCUUGUUUGAUUUCCUUCUCCUUUUGGACUUCUCCUUCUCCCUAUUCCAUUCGUUGGAUGGCUCCUAGGCGAGAGACGGGCACCUCUAGGGCUCAAGGCAAGCGCCCUACUGAGCCAUCUCAGCCUGAGCAGACGGAGGCUCACCGAAAGGCGAGGUAUGAUACGACCCUCUUCAGUUCCGUUGAAGAUCUUAAUUAAGCAUAGCCUUUGUUUUCUCAGUAUCUUUGGAGGAGUCUUUUGAUGGCGGAUACCUUGCUAUUUGUGGUACUCAUCAAAUGACCUUGAAUAUUCUCCUCUAUUAUCAGUUCAGAUACAUUUAAGUUUUCUUCUAGUUUAUCUCUCAAUUGAAGCCUGAAAUUACUUGAACACACCCGAUACCUUAUCUUUAUGCUCAAUGUGUAUGCACAAAUCUUCUUUGAAUGAUCAUCAAUAAAAGUCACGAAGUAUAGUGAACCACCAAGGGUUUUUACCUUCAUUGGACCAUAUAAACUAGAAUGGACUAAGUCAAGCAAAUUCUCAUUUCUUGAAGAAGAAGGGCGUGUCUUGAACGCAACUCUAUUUUGCUUUCCUACCAAGCAAUGAGCACACUUUUGUAGACAUGUGUUUGUCAUCCCAAACAAGUGAUUUUUUCGGAAUAGUACCAUCAUUCAUUUCUCACCCAUGUGACCGAGUCUCUAGUACCACAACUCAAUUGUAUCCACAUUUUCAAUAGCAUGAAUGACAUCUUUAGAAAGUCCAACUUGCAUUAUGUACAAAUUAUGAUUCCUUUUACAUCUUGUUAUGACCAAAGAACCCUUAGUAAGCUUCCAUUGACCAUUACCAAGACCACUAUAGUAGCCACCAUCAUCAAGCUUGCUAGUAGAGGUAAGGUUCAACCAAAUGUCUGGAACAUGCUUUACACCUUUGAAAAGCAGUUUCAUACCAUUACGGGUUUCUAAUAAAAAAUUACCUAUGUCAAUAACCUUAGCCACACCAUUGUUGCCCAUCCUUACAACUCCAAAGUCAGAUGUGUAAAAAUCCCUACAAAAUGUAACAUGAAUAGUAGCACCACUAUCAAUUACCCAACUAGUCUCAUCAAAUGCUGAAUUGAUCAUAUCAUCAUCAUACAUUAGUAAAAAGUCUUCUAUAGUGGUGGCAACUCAAUCUUCAUCACUGCUCUUAUUGCCUUUUUCUUUCCUGUUGUUCUUCUUAUUUUCUUUCUUCAACUUUCUACAAUGUUUCUUGAUAUUCCCCUUCUUACCACAAUGGUAACACUCAACAUUAGCAAAUUUGCCUUUGGACUUAUUUCUACUACUUUCCCUGUUUUUCGGAAUCCUACUCUUGUUUCCCCCUCAUGGCUCAGUAACUAUCAUAUCUGACUAUGAGGAGGAACGAUGUGACUUUUUUCUCAUCUUUUCAUUUAGAACAUUGCUCUUAGCAAUUUCCAUUGUAAUCUCACCAUCUAGAGUUGAAUUAGACAAUGACAUUUUAAAUGUCUCCCAAUAAUCUGACAAAGUGCCCAAAAGCCAUAAACCCUAUACCUCUUCAUCAAAUUUUACCCCCAUUACAUCCAACUAAUUUAUCAAACCUUGGAAUGAAUUCAAGUUAUUGGUCAUAGGAGUAUCCUCACGAUAUCUCAAAAGAAUAAAAUAUUUCAUCAAAUACAUUUUGUUGUUUCUGGUCUUUUGAGCAUACAACUUUUCAAGUUUGAUCCACAAUGUACAUGCAUUCUUCUCACCACUAACAUGGUUUAACACACUGUCAUCUACCCAUUGUCGAAUAUACCAACACACCUGCCUAUAAAGUAAUGUACAUUCCUCAUCAGUUUUGCCAGUGGGUUUUCCUUGGACAAACAUAGGGUGAUGGUAACCCUUCUCAUAUAAUAAAUCCUCCAUUUUAUCCUUUCACAAGGCAUAAUUUGAGCCAUUUAAGCUUACCAUUCUGUUUGCACUAACAUCCAUUCUUCAACACAACACAGGCAGCCAAAGCUCUAAUACCACUUUGUUGGGAGAAAGUUGAACACAGUAUCACAAUUAAAAUCAACCAUGCAUGCACUGGAAUUUUAAUGUGGAAAACAUCUUCAAUGUGAGAAGUAAAAACCACAGGACCAGAGUCCACUCAGAAAGGGUUCACUAUCAACCUAAGUGAGAGUACACAAUUUGUCCCAACAUUAAUUGGGGACUAUCAAUAGCAACAACCAUCAAGAAAAAUCUUAGCUUCACAAGCAUAAACACCAAAUAUUAAAAGAAUAAUAGAAAAAGAUCACAAAUUUGGUGUUCUGUCCGAAUAUACUAAUCUGUCCUGAAAACUCCAAUCAACGAUCCAAUCGUUAAAAUUUAAUUACCAUAAGUUUUGAACCUCCUAUUAAAAUUUCACUUCAAUCAGACCAAAGAUCAAAGAAAUACCACUCUUUGAUGAAGACUGCAUAGAACCGAGAUUUUCUCCUCUCAUUUUCUGUCCUGUUUUAUUUGAAUGAUUAUAUAUUAUAGUCAACUACUCUGAUCGACGAGCGAACCGACCAGAAUUAAGAGACAUAAGAGACGAAGAUACUAUACAAAUUUCAACACGAUCCAACGGUGUAAAAUAGAGAUCAAGAAGAUUGAUUAAAAUUGCUCUAAAAUGAUUCUAUUUAUGACCAACUCUGUUUAGGCGGCUAUAGAGUGAAAUAGAAAAGUUCAACUAGAAUAAGGAGUUGCUUGUGAUAAACCAACUGACCAAGUUUCAGUUUAAACAAGCCUUAGACCAUCAAGAUCUAUUACUUGGAUGAAAAUAGCUCUUUCACCUCUUCAAUUUCUUAUUAUUUUUUUUUCUCUCUCAAAAUCAUCAGUUGCACUCUUCUCACUGUAUAUUUCAAGAAGUGAAUCUUUUUUGGGGUUUUCAAAAAAACCUUACACCGAAAGACAAAAAUGCCCAUAUAAUAUGGGAUUUGUUGGGUUUGACAUAUAUGGGUCAUCCUCCACAUGAGAGGGAAACCCAACCCAACAAUAGUUUAGUACCUCCUAAUUGGAAGGAUGACUUGUUUUUGUCAUCACGAUGAGUUUUCCAUGGUGAGUGCACUAAUGUAUAUGGUUACACAUUGGACAGGACCUAUGAUGAGUCAUGAUAUUGGCUAUCAAGUAGUCAUCAUCUUAUAAAGCUACUAUAUUGUAUGAGCUCUCAACCUUGAGAAGAUAUUAAGCUAGUAGUAAAAUUUUUAAUGACUUUAACAUAUAGGUAAGAUCCUAAAGUGGUAAUAUAUUCCCUAUGGAUUGAGAUAUUAUUGAUAGAGGUUGGUGAUAACAUGUAUACUCAAGAUAGACACCAUGAUAUCUCCUAGGUUUUAGAUAAUAUAUCCAUUUGAGUGAUCCUAAGGACAUGUGAUUAGGAAAUCCGUGGUCAUAGUAAUUCUUUAAUUGGAAUUUGACAUAUGCUUCUUAUGAAAUAAAGUAUGUCGAUUUAUCACAUAAGAAGAGGAUUAGAGACUCAAGGACUCUAAAGGAAAUUUUAUAAGGUAGAUAACAUUCACUUUAUUAGACUACGAUCAAUAGCUUAUGAGAAGUUUGCAUAUAGUAGACAAUGGAUCAUAGACUAGAGGUUUGUAUCUCAUAGUUAUAAUAUCAUACGAUAAUGGAGUAUAGUUAACUCUAUGUAGUAGGAUAUUAAGUCAAUUUUAGAAUUGAAAUAUGAGGUAGCCAGUAUUUUCUUAUGAGUCUUAGUGGUCCUCACUUAAAAUCAUAUUCCAUGGUGGCAUGAUUUUUUUAAGAGAUUAUGAGUUUUAUAUUCAUAUGUAUGCAUACAGACAUUUUGGUAGACACGAAACGUUGCACAAGAGUUUAUGAAUGUUUUUGGGUUGAGUUAAUUAAUUAAUUAGAACCCAAUUAAGUUAGUUAAUUAGGACUCAUUGGGCUAAAUUAAGUGACCCAACUCAAUUCACUUAAACUUAGAAGUAAUUCUAUAUAAACCUCCUUAAGUUUUAGGGCUUAUAUUUUGAUUCAUUCUAUCUUUCAGAAUGAGAGAAUCCCAUUCUUCAUUCCCAAGUGAGAAUUCCAUCAUUUUUAAGUGACAAGGUCUAGGAAAGAGCUAUUGGGUGGAAGAUCAUGAGGUUUUCGAGAUCCAUACCAUCAUUUUCUUUGAUUGGAACUAAUCUAGGCACAUCUAUUAGUUUAUUGGCCAUUGAAUCAACAAAGGACUAUAAUGCAAAAUUGUUUCAUGCAGUACCUUAAAAUAAUUAUGAAGGGCUGUAAAAAAAUUGAACCAAUGGUUGUUACUUUCUACAAACAAUAUAAGGCGUAAAAACCUAAAGCUUAGUUGAUUUUGUGAGAGCCAACUAGUCCAAAAGAUCAGUUAUAGCGGAAUAGAACUCUUGAAUACUCAUGUUCUUAUGUUCAAGAGCUCAAAUAUCAAUCUUUAAAUAAUAUUGAUUUGCAAAUGUUGCUAGAUCUUGUUGACAAAUUCAUACUUUGCCAACUACGUACUUAUCAAAUUCUCAAUAAAUUUGUUGAUCCAAUUGAUAAUUUUUGAAUUGUUUACUGCUCAAAUGUUUAACUGUUCUAUAUAUUUUUCAUCAUCUCCAUUUCUAGGUUUGUGUAGAGUUAACCCCACAUCUUUUUUACCUUUGAAAAAUUUCCCAUUGCAUAACUCCAAUGUUAGGAUAGAGCCCUUAAAAGCAUAGUAUGAUAUAACAAAUUCAAAUUUAUUAUUCAUUUAAUAAAAUUUUAGUUUCCUAUUUCUAUCUAUCUUAUUACAUGCAUUAUAACUUAUAACCAUUUUAGCCUAACAUUUUUUGCAUUGUACAUACUUUGGGUGCAUUAGGAGUUACACAGAAGAUCCAAGUCAUGAGUUGCUUGCAAGUAGAUGAUUUGUUCACAACUAGUUCAUAGAAUUAGGUAAUUCAUUGAAAGUUGUAGUACACUACCUACUAAUGGAAUGGAUGACUAGUCUUGGUCAUUUGGGAUGAGUUUCCCAUGUUAAGUCCAUUAGUUUGUACAAUUCAACAUUAAAUAAGGCCCAUAGUGAGUUAUGAUGUAAAGUUAUUGAGUAGUCAUGACCUCACCAAGCUGCUAUACUAUAUGGUCUUUUAACCUCGAGAGAAUAUUUAGUUUGUGCCAAAGUUUAUAAUAGCUUUGACCUAUAAGUGAGAUCCUAAGAUGGUCAUAUAUUCCCUAUAAAUUAGGUCAUUAUUGAUGGAGGCUAGUGACGGCCGGUAUUCUCAAUAGAGAUACCAUGAUAUCUUAUGGAGAUUGAGACAAUAUGUCCCAUUAGGUGAGCCUAAGGAAGUCUUGAUAAGGAAAUUAAUGGUCAUAAUAGUUUUUUAAAUUAGAACUUGACAUAUGCUCUUUAUGAGAUAAGAUAUGUCACUUCAUCUCAAAAUAAGAGAAUCUGAGACUCAAGAAUCAUAAAGGUAAUCUUGAAAGGUUGAUAACAUUCAUCUUGUUAGAUUAUGGACACUAUUUCAUGGGGAACUUGCAUACAAUGGAUAGUAGGUGUUAAUGGAAACCCUAGAUUUCUUCGUUCGUAAACCCUAGAUCGUAUAGGUAUAUGCAAAUCUACCUAGGCUUCUCUAGAAACUAACAUAAGUGGAAACAUGGCUUUUAAAAACCAUUUAGAUUAAUAAAACUAGAGAAGAAUGAAUUAUACCUAGAUUUAGAUGUUCCUAGAUCAAUUCAUUGCGAUGAAGAUGUUUCAAUGUUCUAGAGGUCUUGUACACCCAAAGUCUUCUGUCUAAUUACUCAAUCCAUGACCUUGGCACUCUAAAGAGUGGACUUUGAAAAAGAGAUGCCUUGGCUCUCUCUCUUUCUCUCUAUUUCUCUCUGGAAGUGGAAGACGACAAGCAAAAGCCUUAGAAACCCUAACCCCUAAGGGGAUAUGUAUAGGGUUCCCCUACUAGGCUUAAGUGACUUGAGCCUACCAAGGAUUAGGUCACUUAAUCUAGCCCAAAAUAGAUCUUGAUUUAUUAAUCAACCACACAGGGUCAUCUAAUUAAUCAAUUAGCUCAAUGAAGAGAACUUGUUCUCUAUUCCCCUAUGCAACCUUGCGUGAUUGCUAAAACACCUUUAUACACAUCUAAUCCUUAGAAAUCGUGUCAUCAUGGUAUAUGAGCUCAAAGUGAGGACUACUGGGACAAAUAGGCAUACUAACUCUCUCAAAAUCGAAUUCCAAAGUUGAUUCACUAUCCCACUAUAGAAAAUCAAUUGCACUCCAGUACCUUAUGUAGAUAACAAUAAGAUGAAGUUUGGGUCUGUGACCUACUAUCUACUACAUGCAAUCUCUUCAUGAAUUGGUGUCCAUAAUCUAACAAGGUGGUGUUAUCACAUAAUGUAUGAUAAGAAAUAUGAAUUUGUUACAUUAGAUAAUAACAUAAUGUAUCCUGGUAGGAAAUAUGAAUUUUAAAAAUGCAUCCUCUAUAUUAAGGUAAAGUUAAUUUUUUUAAACAUAAAAUAAUAUAUUUAUAACAAAGUUAGUAAUAUGGAUGAGAUAUAAAUUAGUAUUGGUAUCAAGUAUUUCAAUAUGUAAACCUAAAACAUAUUACAUUUAUAAUAUUAUUGAAAUUUUACCCAUAAUAUAUCUUUAUUAAAAAAGUCAAUCUAAAAUUUUUCAAAUUUUUAUUACUCAACUAUAUCCAUAUAAUUUUCUAUUAGAAUCAUCUAAAAUUUCUUUAAUAUCUUUAUAUUCAUUUACUUGAAAAAUGAAAAAUAACCAAUAAAAUUGUUCAUUUUAUUAAGAUAUUUUUAUUAAAUUUUGUUAAAAAAAAAAUAAAUCAUUCAAAAUUUUAAAUAAGAUUUCAUGUGAAAUAUUUUAUUUGAAAGUUUAUUUGGUUUCAUUAACAAAUUUAUUUGAUAUUUUUUUUAUUGUAAAUAUAUUAAAUUAUUAAAAUUAUAGUAUUUGUCCUAUAAAAUUAGGGUUGCAAUUUGGACGAGCUAACCCAAACCAACAUAAAACCAACCCAAUGUUUGGGCGGGCUUGGGCACCAUUUUUUGUAACUUGGGUUGGGCUUGGAUUCAUUUUUAUCAACCCAAAUUAAAUUCGGGUUGGGCUUGGUCAGAUGACUUGGGCAACCCAAACUAACCCGAACCUGACUAUAUAUAUAACUUUAAGAAAAUAAUACAUUGGUUCUUUCCAUUCUAUUCUUUGAUAGAGAAAAAACCUUCAAGCCCUAGUCCAAGGUUCUUCCAUUAUUCGAUAUUGUUCAAAUCCUCAAGCCCUAGUUCAAGAUUCUUUCAUUUUUUGAUGUUGUUGUCUCCAUUCAAGGUCAUCUGACAGAAAGCAAAAACCAUCAGGCCUUAGGUUAAGAUUCUUCAUCAUCAUAUAAUGUUACAAUCGUCGUUCAAUACCACUGUUGUUCACAUUAUAUUACUAGGUUUUUGAUUGCCAACAAUUUAGUUAAUAAAUCAUGGAAAUAAUGGAAAAGGUUGAUUUGAAAAUAAUUCUAAGAUAUCCCUUUUUGGUUUUAAAUUUAUCUUCCUUGAGUGAUGAAUAAAGAGGACAAGGCAAGUUAUUUAAGGCAAUGGUGAAGCCCUUAUCCUUUAUAUGGAAGAAGUGUAGAAUUGUUACCUAUACAUAAAUUAUAUUAUAAUGGUCUACUGUAAUAUGCUUGGCUUAGCAUCCCUCAUCAGGGGCAUGCCAUGGGAGAAAAGUCUUCCUUUUGUAAAAGAAGGGUUGUGCAAUAAAUGAAUGUUGUGUGUUUGCUUUUUGAACUAAUUUUUAUUGGCCUAACUCAACCCAACUUAGCCAUCACAUAAUCAACUCGAGCUCAACCUAUGUUAAAUAAUUUCAAUUCGAGUUGAGUGCAUAAGAUUGGAAGUCGAGUUAGGUGAUCCUUUGGGUUGAUGUAUUUCAAGGUAAGAUUGAGCUUGGGUUGGCCAACUUGCCGAGUUGCAACCCCAUAUAAAAUUAAUUUUUCUUUAACAUUUAUAUUUUAUGAAAUAUUAAAAAUUAUAUAUUUUAUUAAUUGUUUUCCAAAAAUCGCAAUUUUGGUGAUUUAGGUCUUGUUUGGUAAUUGUUUUUGAAAACAUUUUUGAAAAAAUAGUUUUUAAGAACAGUUUUUGAAAACUGUUCUCUGAUGUUUUUUAGAACAAAAGUCUAUUUGGGAACCUAAAAUUAUUUUUAAUAUUUUUAAAUACGUUUUAAAAAUAAUUUUUAUAUCCAUAACUUUAUUUUUAUUAAUCAUUAUAUAUAUAUUUGUAUAAUUAUUCUUUAAAAUAACUCUCAAAAAAUAAGUGAAAACAACUUAAAACAAUUAAAAUAUAUUAUUUGAAAACACCCUGUUUUCUAUUUUUUAAUAAUAUAAAACAGAAAACAGUUUUUAAUUGUUAAACGUGUUUUUAAGUUUUUUUUUUCUAAAAAACAAAAAACUGUUUUUGAAAACAGUUUCCAAACAUAGCAUUAAUGCAAAGCCAGCCAAUUUUUUGUGCUGCCAACCAUACUGGAAACCCAUCUUGUUGGCCACCCAGAGGAGCUCAGUUUUUUUUAUUUUUAUUUGUUAGAGGAGUGGGGGACGAUUUCUAUGAACGAGCUACAUGGGACAUGUGGAAAAAAAAAAAAAAAGAUGGCCACCUUGCCAUGGUGGUGGUUGAAGAUGGAGACUUGCUAAGCGGUGAACAGUGGAACGAGUAGAAGCUUAUAAGAGAAAAAAAAAAACAGAGCAAAGGGACUGGGAGGGUUGAGUUGUGGGUGAGCUGAUUCAAGAGGAAGGAAAAAAAAUGAAGCUGAAACAAAGGGAGGUUUUUAAGAGAAAGUGAAAACAACGAGUUAAUUUGGAAACAACUAGGAUGAGAGUUGUAGGUCGGCUGAUUAGAGGAGGUUUUCAGCAAGAGCUAAAGAAGAGGACCUUUAAACUCUACCGGAAAAGUUCUCUCGUCUCACCGGUGACUACGGAUCUGGAAAACUAAAAUGCGCAGGUGGUGGCGUUGCUCCCCCUACUAUACUUACGGAUUUUAAGCUCAAUGGCUACGGAAACCUCGAUUUCUACAACGUGUGCUUGGUUGACGGGUAAAACCUUCCUUUGAUGGUGGUGCCACAGGAUGGCACCGGGGGGAACUGUACCAAAAUCGGGUGCUGCUCUAGACUUGGGAAAUGAACAGGUUUGUUCGUUUGUCUCGUUACAACUUCUUUCUGAAUCUUUCUUUGAUUAAGACAAGUAUGUUUUUCCAAGUUUUGGUUUUUGCUCUCAAAAAGGGUCUUUUUGAUGAUUCUACUGUUUUUUUUAGGAGUUGAAAUGGGUUUUUGAUGAAUUCAAGUGGGCGUCUUUUGUUUGUUAAUGGAACGGUUUUGUUUUUGGUGGUCAAAACAUUUUUUUUUUAUAAUGAUUUUGUAGUCAUUUUAAGGAGCUGUGAAAUGGGUGUUUGAUGAAUUCAACUGGGUUUCUUUUACUUGAUGAAAUGCCACCAUCCGUGGGGUUUGGUUAUGUAAACAUGAAUUUUUUUUUUUUUUUUAUGAUUUUGAAAGUGAUUUUAAGGAGCUGUGAAACGGGUAUUUGAUGUGUUGAACUGGGUCUAUCCUAUUUGCUAAUGGAAUAGGUUUUAGUUUCUGAACUUGGAACAUGAAUUUUUUUAUUUUUUAUAUGAUUCCGUGUAUAUUUUGAUGAGCUUGACAUUUUGUAUGAUGAAUUGAACUCAGUUUUGACUAAAUGGGAUAGGUCUUGGAUUAUGGUUCAUGGUUUAUUUUGAUGAUUUAUUGAACCGGAUUUCCUCUGUUUUGGGACCCACUCCACUCCUGCAUGGCCAUUUUUGACAUGCAAUUCCAUCGAACACGUGUCAUCCUCUUUGAUUUUUCAUCCUCAUAUGUUAAAAUAUGAUUUUCAAAACUCCAAUUUUCACGUUUAAUUUUUAAAACUUUAAUUUUUAAAAUUCCAUUUUUUUUUAAUUUAAUCUUCAAAACUCUAAUUUUCAAAUAAUCUUCAAAGUUCCAAUCAUCGAAAUUUAAUUUUUAGAACUUCAAUUUUCAAAUAAUUCUCCAAAAUUCCAAUUUUCAAAAUUUCCAUUUUCAAAAAUAAUUUUCCAAAAUUCUAAUUUUCAAAAAUUCUAAUUUUUCAAAAUUUCAAUUUUCAAAAAUUCUAAUUUUUCAAAAUUUCAAUUUUCAAAACUUACAUUUUCAAAAAUAAUUUUCCAAAAUUCCAAUUUUCAAAACUUCCAUUUUCAAAUAAUUUUCCAAAAUUCAAGUUUUCAAAUUUAAUUAUUAAGAAAUCCCAUUCUCAAAUAAUUCUCCAAAAUUCCAAUUUUCAAAAUUUCCAUUUUCAAAUAAUUUUCUAAAAUUCCAUUCUAAAACAAUUCUCCAAAUUUCCAAUUUUCAAAACUUGAAUCAUUUUCUAAAAUUCCCAUUUUCAAAUUUAAUUCCCAUAAUUUCCAUUCUCAAAUAAUUUUUCAAAAUUCCAAUUCUCAAAUUUAAUUUUUGAAACUCCCAUUUUUCGAAUAAUUUUUCAAAUUUUCAUUUUUUUUAAAUUUAAUUUUUAAAAUUUCAAUUUUCAAAACCCUAGUUUUCUUUCAAAUAGUUUUAAUCCCACUUCAGUUUUCAAAUAUUUUUAAUUUUACAACUUUUCAUCAUUCAUUAGGGUUUUAAGUCACUAAAAAUCAUAUUUUUAAAUAAACUUGCUACUUUUCCUUUCAGGUAAGCACUUUCACAAAUUUUCUUUGUUUUUAAAAUAAUAUUUUGUUUCUCUUAAUUUUAAAUAAACAUGAAGGCAAUUUUCAUAAUUUCAAAAUAAUGGAAUUUAUGGAAUUAAUUCAUGCAAAAUAAUUGGGCUUUGGUGGGAGCCUAACAUUCAUGACAUUUCUUUCAAAAAUAAUUCAAGUGAAUUGCAUUAUCGAUAUUGUUUGAUUUUGAUUGGUUUUGUGUGAGAUAUUUUACACUUAAUAUUGUGCACUAAUUCUGUUUCAUGAUAGCGCUUUAUUACCUCUAGUCAAGGUACGCUCUCACUCUCAUUUUGUUUAUUUAUUCGUUAUCAUAACUUGCUUUUGAUCUAUUAUCUUUUUGGUAUUCAUUGAUUUUUCUAGUUAAUUGUCAUGUUUGCUUCACCUUAUUUAGUAGAGACCCAUUUUUCAGGGGCUUAGAGGGGUGCUACGGUCUUUACCGUACUUUUCCAAUAAGUAACCUAACCCUCGAAUCCGACUUUGGUCUUCCACAAACUAUCUUUUCCAAAUAAGGAGUCACACUUAGAGUUUUCUUUCUUAUUUUGUUUUCCCUUAAAAAUAAAAUAAAAAUAAGUGGUGACUCCAAGUAUUUUCUAAAAAUCAUUUUUUUUUUCAAAUAAAAAAAGCGAGUUUUGCCAUCAAGUGGAAACACAUCUUGCGAAAAUGUGGGGUCCACAUAUCCCCUUCCAUUCCUUCAUACCCAAUGAAAUCUAAAUAAAUCGCCAGCCUAUUUUUUCAUUCUUGCUUCCAACCUCUUUUUUAAUAUUUAAAAUUGAUAAUAUAAAAUCUCUGCACAUGAUAUUGCCCACUUUGUCAUGGAAUUGAGAACAAUGAUAAAUCACAAUUUUCACACAAAUGAAAGUCUGUAUACUUUUUUUUUUUUUUUUUUGUAAGGAAUAAUAUUGUGUAAGGAACCAUUAAUGUAAACAUAUUGAAGGAAAAACAUAAAAAAUAAAACAAAUAUCACAAAAGAUAUAUAGGUUUAUCUCCACUUUGAACCAUGAAUUCUUUUGAUCUACUAGAUGUUUUUCACUUUAGGUGUUUCUUACUCCUCUCAUAAUUUUUUCCUUUCAUAAUUUAGAAUAUUUAUAGAAAUAUUUCCACUGACUUUCCUUAUUCUAUAACGAAUUUAAUUACAAUCACCUAAAAUUAGAAAAUAUUCAUAACUUUAUGAUAUUCUAAAUAGGAAUUUAAGACACCUUCCUAACACAUAAUCAUUUAAAUUUAUUUUUUUCACACAUUAUACAUUUUAAUUUUUCAAUAACAAUUUCCACACAAAUAAUUAUUUUUAGAUUUUUCUUUUUAAAUUUUAACAACAUUAAUAAUUUAAUAUUUCAUCCAAAUAAAAAAUAGUGAAAUUAAGAAAAAUUAAAAGAAAGAUAAAUAAAUAAACUAGUCACAUAAUAUAUAAUAGUUUUUCAUAAAAAUUGUGAAUUAAUAAUCCAACCAGAGCUCUGGGCCCACAUGUUAUAUAUACUGAGAAUCCACAUGUUAUAAUGAGAAAAAAAAAUGGAUUUAAAAUUUAAAAUUAUUUGAACAUGUUUCUUCUAACUCGUUGUAUAUAUUUUCCUUAUUUAUAUAAAGAUUAAUUAUUUUAAUUAAUUUUGAUAAUAUUUGAUUUUGUUUUUCAAUGAUAAACGAAAUAUGAUCAAAUGAAUAAACCACUGAAGUAUACUAUGCAUUUUAUAUAAAGUUUUUUUAUAUUAGUACCCAUGUGAACUGAUCAUAAGAAACUGGGUACCAUCAAAACUGUACAUCUGGAUACUGAGGAUCAGCAGAACAGAUGUAAUAAAUGUUCAUAUUUUCUAUAAUGUCACAUGGGACUUAGGAUGGUUCUUGGUAGAUAAGUUAAUUGACUUGGAAUCUUAACCUAAUCUAUAAUUUAAAAAAUGGAUAAAUUAAUUAAUUUAAGAAUAGUAACGGUCCAUAUUUUGUCAGGCCACAUGGGAGUUAGAAUAGUUUAAAGUGAACAUGUGACCUGAUGUAUAAUAUAAAGUGGAAAACUUGUCCAUCGAAUCCAUAAAUUAUAUUAUAAUGGUCUACUGUAAUAUGCUUGACUUGGCAUCCCUUAUAGGGCUAUGCCAUGGGAGAAAAGUCUUCCCUUUGUAAAAGAAGGGUUGUGCAACAAAUGAAUGUUGUGUCUUUGCUUUUUGAACUGAUUUUUAUUGGCCCAACCCGACCUAACUCAGCCAUCAUAUAAUCAAUUUGAGCUCAACCUAAGUUAAAUAAUUUCAAUUCGAGUUGAGUACAUCAGAUUGGAAGUCAGGUUGGGUCAUCCUUUAGGUUGAUGUAUUUCAAGGUCGCACUGAGCUUGGGUUGGCCAACUUGCCGAGUUGCAACCCUAUAUAAAUUGUUUUACAAAAAUCGCAAUUUUGACGAUUUAUACUUUAUUUGAUAACUGUUUUUAAAAACAUUUUUAAAAAAAUAGUUUUUAAGAACAGUUUUAAAAAAUUGUUCUAUGAUAUUUUUUAAAACAAAAGUUUAUUUGGAAACUUAAAAUUGUUUUUAAUCUAUUUUUAAUAUUUUUCAAUGUGUUUUAAAAAUUUUUUUUAUAUCCAUAGCUUUAUUUUUAAUCAUUAGAUAUAUAUAUAUGUAUAUAUAUAUAUAUAUAUAUAUAUAUAUAAUUUUUAAAAAUAACUCUAAAAAAAAAAUUGAAAAUAAUUAAAAGAUAUUAUCUAAAAACACCAUAUUUUUUAUUUUUUAUUAUCUAUUUUCUAAUAAUAGAAAAUAGAAAAUGGUUUUUUAUUAUUAAAUGAAUUUUAAAAUUCUUUUAUUCUAAAAACCAAAAAUUGUUCUUGAAAACAAUUGCAGGGCAUUAAUGCAAAGUCCAAGGCAUUAAUGCAAAGUCGCCCAACCAUCCCCUUCCAUUCCUUCAUACCUAAUGAAAUCCAAAUAAAUCACCCUUUUUUCAUUCAUGCUUCCAACGUCUUUUCUAAUAUUUAAAAUUGAUAAAUAUAAAAUCUCUCCAUAUGAUAUUGCCCACUUUGUCAUAGAAUUGAGAAUAAUGAUAAAUCACAAUUUUCACACAAAUGAAAGUUGUAUACUUUUUUUUUAUAAGGAAUAAUAUUGUGUAAGGAAGUAUUAAUAUAAACAUAUUAAAGGAAAAACACGAAAAAUAAAACAAAUCAUAUAAAAGAUAUAUAAGGUUUAUCUUCACUUUGAAUCAUGAAUCCUUUCGAUCUAUUAGAUGUUUUCACUUUGGGUGUUUUUUUCUCCUCUCAUAAUUUUUUUUCUUUAUAAUUUAGAAUAUUUAUAAAGAUAUUUAUACUAAUUUUCCUUAUUUUAUAAGAAAUUUAAUUACAAUCACAUCUAAAGUUAGAAAAUAUUCAUAACUUUAUGAUAUUCUAAAUAGGAAUUUAAGACACCUUCCUAACAAAUAAUUAUUUAAAUUUAUUUUUUUCACACAUUAUACAUUUCAAAUUUUCAAUAAAAAUUUCCACAUAAAUAAUUAUUUUUAGAUUUCUCUUUUUAAAUUUUAACAACAUUAAUAAUUGAAUAUUUCAUCCAAAUAAAAAAUAGUGAAAUUAAGAAAAAUUAAAAUAAAGAUAAAUAAAUAAAUUAGUCUCAUAAAUAUAUAAUAAUUUUUCAUAAAAAAUUAUGAAUUAAUAAUCCAACCAAAGCUCUGGGCCCAUAUGUUAUAUAUAUUGAGAAUCCAUAUGUUAUAAUGAGAAAUAAAAAAUAAAAAAAUGGAUUUAAAAUUUAAAAUUAUUUCAACAUGUUUCUUCAAACUCAUUGUAUAUAUUUUCCUUAUUUAUAUAAAGAUUAAAUAAUUCAAAAAUAUACAAGUAUUUUAAUUAGUUUUGAUAAUAUUUGAUUUUGUUUUACAAUAAUAAACGAAAUAUGCUCAAAUGAAUGAACCAUUGAAGCAUACUAUGCAUUUUAUAUAAAGUUUUUUUAUAUUAGUACCCAUGUGAACUGAUUAUAAGAAACUGGGGACUAUCAAAACUGUACAUCUGGAUACUGAGGAUCAGCAGAACAGAUAUAAUAAAAAAUGUUCAUAUUUUCUAUAGUGUCACAUGGGACUUAGAAUGGUUCUUGGUACAUACGUUAAUUGAUUUGGAAUCUUAAUUAACCUAAUCUAUAAUUAAAAAAUGGAUAAAUUAAUUAAUUUAAGAAUAGUAACGGUCCAUUUUUUGUCGGGCCACAUGUAGCCCUUACCUGAUAUAUAAUAUAAAGUGGACAAGUUGGAGCAUGCUUCCCAGAGUGAUUUAAAAAUUGUUGAAAAUUAAUGUAGAUGGCACCACAUUUUAUAUUAUUGAAUACAUCCACAACCUUUAAUUACAACUGGCAUGGCCUGGCAUGACUUGUCCACGGAAUCCAUAUUAUUAAUCAAUACCCAUGUGACCUGGCCUAUCCCAUCCACCAUAAAGAUAUCUCUUACUUUGUUCUCUAUUCUCUCACAAUUCCCUCAGCUUCUCAUCCUGUACGUGCUGUAUUUUCUUGGCUUUCUGCUACUUUGAGUUGUUCCGAAAUGGCUGAUCAAAUUCCAUUCGGUGUUGUGGAGCACAUUUUGACCAAGUUGGGGUCCAAGGCGUUUCAAGAAAUUGGAUCCAUGUAUGGUGUUCCAAAGGAGAUGACCAAGCUCAAUGGGAAACUGGGCACCAUCAAGGCUGUGCUUUUGGAUGCUGAGGAGAAGCAGCAACAGCAGAGCAAUCGUGCAGUCAAAGAUUGGGUCCGGAGGUUCAGAGGUGUUGUUUAUGACGCAGAUGACUUGGUGGAUGACUAUGCAACCCAUUAUCUUCAGCGAGGAGGAUUGGGAAGGCAGGUCAGUGACUUCUUCUCAUCUGAAAAUCAAGUUGCUUUUCGUUUAAACAUGAGUCAUAGACUCGAAGAUAUCAAAGAAAGGAUAGAUGAUAUUGCAAAAGAAAUCCCCAUGUUAAAUCUGACUCCACGGGACAUAGUACUACACACACGGGUGGAGAAUAGUGGGAGAGACACCCAUUCAUUCGUGUUAAAAUCUGAAAUGGUAGGAAGAGAAGAAAACAAAGAGGAGAUAAUAGGGAAGUUAUUGUCGUCCAAGGGUGAAGAAAAGCUUUCGGUUGUUGCCAUUGUAGGCAUUGGGGGGUUGGGUAAGACCACCCUUGCUCAAUUGGUAUACAAUGAUGAAAGAGUGGUCAAUCAUUUUGAGUUUAAGAUAUGGGCUUGCAUUUCUGAUGAUUCUGGUGAUGGUUUUGAUGUUAAUAUGUGGAUCAAAAAAAUUUUAAAAUCUCUGAAUGAUGGGGGUGCUGAAAGUCUGGAGACUAUGAAAACUAAGCUUCAUGAAAAAAUAAGUCAAAAGAGGUACUUGCUAGUCCUCGAUGAUGUUUGGAAUCAAAAUCCUCAACAAUGGGAUCACGUGAGAACUUUAUUAAUGGUUGGUGCUAUAGGUAGUAAAAUUGUAGUAACCACCAGAAAACCUAGAGUUGCAUCACUCAUGGGAGAUUAUUUUCCAAUUAAUUUGAAAGGUCUUGAUGAAAACGAUUCUUGGAGGUUGUUUUCAAAAAUCACAUUUAAAGAUGGAGAGAAGGAUGUGCAUACAAACAUCACCCAAAUUGGAAAAGAAAUUGCAAAAAUGUGUAAGGGAGUUCCUCUCAUUAUUAAGUCUUUAGCAAUGAUAUUGCGGUCUAAAAGAGAACCGGGGCAGUGGUUGUCUAUUAGAAACAAUAAAAAUUUGCUGUCACUCGGAGAUGAAAAUGAGAAUGUUGUAGGGGUGCUGAAAUUAAGUUAUGAUAAUUUGCCAACUCAUUUGAGACAAUGUUUUACAUAUUGUGCUUUAUUUCCAAAAGACUAUGAGAUUGAGAAAAAGUUGGUGGUACAACUAUGGAUAGCACAAGGUUAUAUUCAAUCUUCAAAUGAUAAUAAUGAGCAAUUAGAGGAUAUAGGGGAUCAAUAUUUUGAGGAAUUAUUGUCAAGGUCAUUGUUGGAAGAGGUUGAAGAUGAUUUUGCUAAUACAGUAAUGUAUAAAAUGCAUGACCUUAUACAUGAUCUUGCACAAUCAAUUGUAGGAUCUGAGAUCCUUGUUUUAAGAAGUGAUGUAAAUAAUAUUCCAAAAGAAGCUCAUCAUGUAUCAUUGUUUGAAGAGAUAAAUCUUAUGAUCAAGGCUCUAAAGGGAAAACCCAUAAGAACCUUUCUUUGUAAAUAUUCUUAUGAAGAUAGUACAAUUGUAAAUUCAUUUUUUUCGAGUUUUAUGUGUCUACGUGCGUUGAGUUUAGAUGAUAUGGAUAUAGAGAAGGUGCCAAAGUGUUUAAGUAAAUUGAGUCAUUUAAGGUAUCUUGAUCUUUCCUACAACAAUUUCGAGGUACUUCCAAAUGCUAUUACAAGGUUAAAGAAUUUGCAAACACUAAAACUCACAAGCUGUCGAAGAUUAAAAAGAAUUCCAGACAAUACAGGAGAAUUGAUCAAUCUUAGACACUUGGAGAAUGAUAGCUGUUAUAACUUGGCUCAUAUGCCACAUGGAAUCGGCAAGUUGACUUUACUUCAAAGUCUACCAUUGUUUGUGGUUGGGAAUGACAUAGGGUUAAGGAAUCACAAAAUUGGUAGCUUGAGUGAAUUGAAAGGCCUUAACCAACUAAGAGGAGGGUUAUGCAUAAGUAAUCUUCAAAACGUGAGGGAUGUUGAACUGGUAUCCAGGGGGGGAAUUUUGAAAGAAAAACAAUAUCUUCAGUCCUUGAGAUUGGAAUGGAAUCGGUGGGGCCAAGAUGGGGGGGAUGAGGGUGAUCAGUCAGUGAUGGAAGGCCUUCAACCACACCAACAUCUAAAGGAUAUCUUUAUAGACGGGUAUGGAGGUACGGAGUUUCCAAGUUGGAUGAUGAAUAGCCUGCUUCCUAACCUAAUUAAAAUUGAAAUUUGGGGAUGUUCAAGAUGCAAAAUUCUGCCACCCUUUUCUCAACUCCCUUCUCUCAAGUCUUUGGGGCUUCAUGAUAUGAAAGAAGUGGUGGAGUUAAAGGAGGGUUCAUUAACAACGCCACUCUUCCCAUCUCUUGAAUCGCUCGAACUCUCUUUCAUGCCAAAGUUGAAGGAAUUGUGGAGGAUGGACUUACUAGCAGAGGAAGGUCCUUCCUUUUCUCAUCUUUCUCAAUUAAAGAUCAGUUAUUGCCAUAACUUGGCAUCCUUGGAACUGCAUUCUUCUCCUUCUCUUUCUCAAUUAGAGAUCCAUUAUUGCCCAAACUUGACAUCCUUGGAACUGCCGUCAUCUCUUUGUCUUUCUAAUUUAUAUAUCGGAUAUUGCCCUAACUUGGCAUCCUUGGAACUGCAUUCUUCUCCUUGUCUUUCUCGAUUAGAAAUCAGGGAAUGCCCUAACUUGGCAUCCUUCAAAGUGGCUCCAUUACCUUAUCUUGAGACACUAUCUCUGUUCACAGUUAGAUAUGGUGUGAUAUGGCAGAUAAUGUCUGUCUCUGCUUCAUUGAAGUUUCUGUAUAUUGAAAGCAUAGAUGAUAUGAUAUCUCUCCCGAAGGAGCUACUUCAACAUGUUUCUGGCUUGGUAACGUUACAGAUCCGUGAGUGUCCUAACUUGCAAUCCUUGGAACUGCCCUCAUCUCCUUCUCUUUCUGAAUUAAGGAUCAUAAAUUGCCCUAACUUGGCAUCCUUCAAUGUGGCAUCAUUACCUCGUCUUGAGAAACUAAGCCUGCGUGGAGUCAGAGCAGAGGUACUGAGGCAGUUAAUAUUUGUCUCUGCUUCUUCUUCAUUGAAGUCUCUGCGUAUACGGGAGAUUGAUGGUAUGAUAUCUCUCCCAGAGGAGCCGCUUCAAUAUGUUUCCACUCUCGAAACUCUCUACAUUGUUAAGUGCUCUGGUUUGGCAACAUUACUACACUGGAUGGGCAGCCUUUCCUCGCUUACGGAACUUAUUAUUUAUGACUGCUCUGAAUUGACAUCACUGCCAGAAGAGAUCUGUUCCCUUAAAAAACUGCAGAAAUUUUAUUUCUGUGAUUAUCCACACCUAGAGAAAAGAUACAACAAGGAAACAGGUAAAGACCGGGCCAAGAUUGAUCAUAUCCCACGUAUUAAUUUCCAAAGUGAUCGAGUUAUGGAAUAUAAGGUCCGAAAUCCCUAACCUUUCUUCCCAUUUUUAUUAUUUAAGAAUCAAAAUGCUAUGUUUUCAUUUUAUUAUUAUGUUUUCACUGUAUCCUUGGCACCUCAUAUGUUUGUUUUUACUGCUCACAUUAAUAAUUUUGAAAUUUUUUUCCAGCUUGGAUGUGCUUUCCGAUGAUGUGCACUAAACUAACCAUUUUACUUGGAGUUGUACAUUCUAAGAGUUUGAGGAAAUACUGAGGUCUGAUAUGAUAACUCUAAAUCUUAAACGUUGUUUUGUGUUUGGAACGUUACUACACUUGAUACAUACCCUCACCUCACUUACAGAGCUUGGAAAUCGUGGCUGCCUUGAAUCGACGUCACUGUCAGAAUAUAUGUUCCCUCAAAAACCUGCAGACACUAAAUAAUCUGCAUCUGUUCACAGAAAGAUGCUGAAAGGAAAGGUGAAGACCAACCCAAGAUUGCUCAUAUGCCACAAAUUGAUAUCAUACAUCCAUGAAGAUUGAACUGAUACACAAUGCCUUUCAGGUCCGAAAUCCCUAACUUUUCUUCUCAUUUUCUAUGACUUCAUUUUCAUUAUCUUACUUUUAAAAUGCUCUGUUUUCAUUUGUUUUGGUAGUUCUUUGUAUUUGUGCCUUGUUUGAUUAAAUGCUUACUUCAAUUAAGUUUGAAAAUUUUUACAUCUUCAAAUUAUUUUAUUGUAAGUGUUUUGCAUUCUAAGAAUUUGAGGAAAUACUGAGCUCUAAUAUAACUAGUAGAGUCCACCAUUCCUAAGAAGCUUACCAUUGCCUAAUGCCCAAAGGAUCCCGAAAGGAGACAACUUUGGAUUGGCUUGAAGAUUUCACAUGGUCCAAAAAUUUGUAUUUACUAGACGCCUGAUACAAAAAGUAGUUUAAAUUUAGCCAUUAAUAAUAUAACUUUUUUAUUAGAGAAAUAAUUGCCAAACAAAUGCAAAAUAGAAAAUGGUGUUAAUGAAUUCAGUACUUCAUCUAUGUUGCAGUUUAGUAGCUUUUGUUAGAUAACGAGUAUGGGGUUGGGUUUAUCUGGUUACCAUUCCAAAUAUUCUUAAAAAAAUCAUCAAGGCUUUGUUUGGUUUCUUGAAAAUUUGAGGGAAAAAAUAGAGAGAAAAAGUGGAAGGAAAAAAAAAAGUGGAAGUCAAUAACUUGGCAUCCUUGGAACUGCAUUCUUCUCCUUGUCUUUCUCGAUUAGAAAUCAGGGAAUGCCCUAACUUGGCAUCCUUCAAAGUGGCUCCAUUACCUUAUCUUGAGACACUAUCUCUGUUCACAGUUAGAUAUGGUGUGAUAUGGCAGAUAAUGUCUGUCUCUGCUUCGUUGAAGUCUCUGUAUAUUGGAAGCAUAGAUGAUAUGAUAUCUCUCCAGAAGGAUCUACUUCAACAUGUUUCUGGCUUGGUAACGUUACAGAUCCGUGAGUGUCCUAACUUGCAAUCCUUGGAACUGCCCUCAUCUCCUUCUCUUUCUGAAUUAAGGAUCAUAAAUUGCCCUAACUUGGCAUCCUUCAAUGUGGCAUCAUUACCUCGUCUUGAGAAACUAAGCCUGCGUGGAGUCAGAGCAGAGGUACUGAGGCAGUUCAUGUUUGUCUCUGCUUCUUCUUCAUUGAAGUCUCUGCGUAUACGGGAGAUUGAUGGUAUGAUAUCUCUCCCAGAGGAGCCGCUUCAAUAUGUUUCCACUCUCGAAACUCUCUACAUUGUUAAGUGCUCUGGUUUGGCAACAUUACUACACUGGAUGGGCAGCCUUUCCUCGCUUACGGAACUUAUUAUUUAUGACUGCUCUGAAUUGACAUCACUGCCAGAAGAGAUCUAUUCCCUUAAAAAACUGCAGAAAUUUUAUUUCUGUGAUUAUCCAGACCUAGAGGAAAGAUACAACAAGGAAACAGGUAAAGACCGGGCCAAGAUUGCUCAUAUCCCACAUGUUCGUUUCAACAGUGAUUUGGAUAUGUAUGGGAAGGUAGGUCCGAAAUCCCUAACCUUUCUUCCCAUUUUUAUUAUUUAAGAAUCAAAAUGCUAUGUUUUCAUUUUGUCUCUGGUAAUUCUUUUAUGUUGGCACCUCAUAUGUUUGUUUAAAUGCUCACAUCAAUAACUUUUUGAAAAAUUUUCCAGAUUUGCUGAUGCUGUGUACUAAACUAAUCAUUUUACUUGCAGUUGUACAUUCUAAGAGUUUGAGGAAAUACUGAGGUCUGGUAUGAUAACUCUCAAUCCUUGGAACUGCAUUCAUCUCCUUCUCUUUCUCGAUUAACGAUCCAUGAUUGCCCAAACUUGGCAUCAUUACCUCGUCUUGAGGAACUAAGCCUGCGUGGAGUCAGAGCAGAGGUACCGAGGCAGUUCAUGUUUGUCUCUGCUUCUUCUUCAUUGAAGUCUUUGCAUAUACGGAAGAUUGAUGGUAUGAUAUCUCUCCCAGAGGAGCCGCUUCAAUAUGUUUCCACUCUCGAAACUCUACAUUGUUAAGUGCUCUGGCUUGGCAACAUUACUACACUGGAUGGGCAGCCCUUCCUCGCUUACGGAACUUAUUAUUUAUGACUGCUCUGAAUUGACAUCACUGCCAGAAGAGAUCUAUUCCCUUAAAAAACUGCAGAAAUUUUAUUUCUGUGAUUAUCCAGACCUGGAGGAAAGAUACAAGAAGGAAACAGGUAAAGACCGGGCCAAGAUUGCUCAUAUCCCACGUGUUCGUUUCAAGUGUGAUUUCAAAUUGAAAUGGAAGGUAGGUCCGAAAUCCCCAACCUUUCUUCCCAUUUUUAUUAUUUAAGAAUCAAAAUGCUAUGUUUUCAUUUUAUUAUUAUGUUUUCAUUGUAUCCCUGGCACCUCAUAUGUUUGUUUUUACUGCUCACAUUAAUAAUUUUGAAAUUUUUUUCCAGCUUGGAUGCGCUUUCCGAUGAUGUGCACUAAACUAACCAUUUUACUUGGAGUUGUACAUUCUUAGAGUUUGAGGAAAUACUGAGGUCUGAUAUGAUAACUCUCAAUCUUAAAUGUUGUUUUGUGUUUGGAACGUUACUACACUUGAUACAUACCCUCACCUCACCUCACUUACAGACCCAAGAAUACAUAGGGCCACACUUGGUGAAGGUUUCAUCAGUAAGGAGAACCAUUUCAAGUAUGAAAUCCUCCCUUCUCAUUUUCUGAUGACUUCAUUUUUAUUCAAUAUCCAUUUGAAAUUAUUUAAGUUCAUUUUCUUUAGAUAUUAUAUUUUCUUGCUUGCUCAAUAAUUUCAUUUAAGUAAGUUUUUUGGAUAUCACAUUUUCUUUGGGGUUUUUUUUCUUUUUAGAAUAAUUUCAAAAUGUCAUUUUUAACUAUUCACAAAAUUUGAUCAUAGUUGAGUGAUUAAAAUUCAAGUUUAUUCUUAUUAUCAUUAGUAGUUAUUUGAUAUGUUCGUUUGCUAAUACAAAAAUAAGACUAACAAGUAAUGUGCAUAGAGUUUGUAGAAGAGAAGAAAGAUUUGAUCCAAGAUAUUCCUAAAGAUCGGAAAAUUUCAAAGCCACCCAAGAUCGCACAGGUUGAAUUCGGAUUCAUCCAGUUUACAAUCCAUUAAUUCUACUUAUAUCAUCUUUGUUAUGUUACAAUUUGCCUUUACUUGUUAUGCAGCCUACCUUAAUAAUUUGGGGAGACCAAGAUAAGGUAUUCCUAGUAGAACUGGCUCACAAAUUGAAAAGGUAAACUUGUAUCACCUGCCUACAUGCCUACAACAAUACAAACACUAGCUCAUGUCUUUCUCACUAUUGAAAUUGUUAUUGCGUGCAGGCAUUUCAGGCGAGGAGACCCAACUUGUGAUCAUAGAGCAUACUUUUAUCAUAGAGAAGCCCAAGGAAAUAUUUAAGCACUUGAAAUCAUUUCUCAUUGAUUUGCUUCCACCUCCCAAGCAACACCUAGAACCACUCCCACCAUGACGAAGUUAAAAGGUACUAAUGCAACAUUCUCAAUAUAUUAGAAUAUAUCGAAGGAAGGGUGGCCACAUAUGAAGACCCUAUUCCAAGGUCAAAUUUUAGAUUUUUGUGUUUUUCCUAUCACUAUUCCUAUACUAUUACUAGUGCACCUUAUUUGUCAAGAUGAUUAAAAGGGAAUUCCCUAGGAUAAUUAGUGUCUCAAGUGAUCUUGAGGUUCAUAAAUUUUUGGUUUCCACAAGAUAGGUGCCAACUAUUUUUUUUUUUUUUUUUUUUACACCCAUGCAAUAUUCCAGUCAUCUAUUAACAAGGGCUAAAAUUUCUUGUAGAGAAUAGAAUAAAGAACUAAAUUACAUGAAAAUAGGACAUUAUUAUUCUAUUUACAAGUAAGGGCCAAAAAUUGUUGAGGGCCAUCAAGCACAUUGUUCCUAAAAUAAUAACAUCCAUGUUGUUGAGCAAAAGUUUUUUAUAUUGGCACCUCAGAUGUUUGUUUAAAUGCUCACAUCAAUAACUUUGAAAAUAUUUUCUAGAUUUUUGAAAAAUUGUAAUGUUGUGCACUAAACUAAUCAUUUUACUUGGAGUUCUACAUUCUAAGAGUUUGAGAAAAAACUGUCUGAUAUGACAACUCUCAAUCUUAAAUGUUGUUUUGUGUUUGGAAUAUUACUGCACUUGAUAGAUACCCUCACCUCUCUUACAGAACUUGGAAUUCAUGGCUACCCUGAAUUGACAUCCCUGGCAGAAGAUAUGUUCCCUCAAAAGCCUGUAGACACUAAAACAAUUUGCAUAUGUUCACACUUAGAGGAAAGAUGCUGAAAGGAAAAGUGAAGACUAAGCGAAGAUUGCUUAUAUCCCACAAAUUGAUAUCAUACAUCCAUGAAGAUUGAACUGAUACAAAAUGCCUUUCAGGUUCGAAAUCCCUAACUUUUCUUCUUAUUUUCUAUGACUUCAUUUUUAUUAUCUUACAUUCAAAAAUCCUAUGUUUUCAUUUGUUUUGGUAGUUCUUUUUAUUUGCACCUUAUUUGUUUUAUUAAAUGCUUACUCCAGUAAGUUUAAAAAUUUUUACAUCUUCAAAUCAUUUUGCUUGAGUGUUUUGCAUUCUAAGAGUUUGAGGAAAUAUUGAACUCUAAUAUAAAUAGUAUUGGUCAUAGAGUCUUCCUUUCUUAAGAAGCUUACCAUUAACCUAAUGGCCAAAGGAUCCCAAAAGGAAACAACUUUGGGUUGGCUUGAAGAUUUCACAUGGUCCAAACAUUCAUAUUUACUAGAUGCCUGAUAUAAAAUAAAUUUUGCUCUCUUUUCAAUUUAGCCAUUGAUGUAGUCUAAAUGUUUUAUUAGAGCAAUAAUUGUCCAGUAAAUGCAAAAUAGAGGAUGGUGUUAAUGAAUUCAGUACUUCAUCUAUGUUGUAGACUUGUAGUUUAGCAGCUUCUGUUGAUAAUGAGUGUGAGGUUGGCUUUAUCAUGUCACUGUUCCAAAUAUUCUUAAAAAAAAUCAUUUAAGCUCUAUUAGGUUCUUAGAAAAUUUAAGGGAAAAUGUGAGGAAAACAAAAUAGAGAAGAAAAGUGGAAGGAAAAAAAAGUGAAAGUCAAUGAAUUAUUUUUGUAUGCUACUUCAAACUCACUUCACUUUUUUUAACUCUUCAAUAUAAAGAUUCAAUCAUUUGAAAAAUGUGUAAAUUUCUAAUUAAUUUUAAUUAUAUUUGAUUUUCUUUGGAAUUCUCAUUUCUUCUCAUUUUCUUAUGACUUCAUUUUUAUUCAAUAUCUAUAUGAAAUUAUUUAUGUUCAUUUUCUUUAGAUAUUACAUUUUUUUGCUUUCUCAAUAAUUUCAUUCAAGUUCUUUUGGAUAUCACAUUUUCUUUGGUGUUUUUUUUAGAAUAAUUCAAAAUGUCUUUUUUAACGGUUCACAAAAUUUGAUCAUAGUUGAGUGAUUAAAAUUCAAGUUUAUUAUUAUUAUUAUUAUUAUUAUUAUUAUUAUUAUUAUUAUUAUUAUUGGCUAUUUGAUAUAUUUGUUUUCUUAUACAGAUAAAAGACUGGCAGCUAAUGUGCAUAGAAUUUGUAGAAGAGAAUAAAGAUUUGAUCUAAGUUAUUUCUAAUAGGUUGAGGAAUUCAUUCUUGUAAAAUUUGAGUGUUAAAGCCUUCAAGAGGUUUGAAUCUUGAAGAAAUUAUGUAAGAGCCCAUUGGAGCCAGAAUCCAAGUGUAAAGGAGAUUGGAAGCUUGGUUGAAGCUUCAAGUUAGUGAAACCCUCACUCGGUUAGGAGAUUGAGGAGAGUGGACGUAGGCAAGGAAAUGUCGAACCACUAUAAAAUCCAAGUUUAAAUUCUCUAACUCUAUCUCUUUAUUUUUUUUUAUUAUAUUGUACUUGAAUUUGUUGUGUUGAAAAAGUUUUUGAAAAACCCAAUUCACCCUCCUCUUAGGUGUUUUUCUCAUUUAAGCAUAGCCUUUAUUUUCUCACACUUGAAAUCCUUUCUCAUUAAUUUGCUUCCACCUCAUAAGCAACCCUCGAAACCACUUACACCAUGACAAGGUGAAAAGAAACUAAUGCUGCAUUCUCAAUAUAUAAGAAGAUAUCAAAGGAAGGUUGGCCACAUAUAAGGACCCUGUUUCUAAGGUAGAAUUUUAGAUUUUUGUGUUUUUCCUAUCACUACUCCUAUACUAUUACCAGUGCACCUUAUUUGUCAAGAUGAUUAAAAAGGAAUUCCCUAGGAUAACUAGUGUCUCAAGUGAUCUUGAGGUUCAUAAAUUUUUGGUUUCCACAAGAUAGGUGCCAACUAUUUUUUUUUUUUUUACACCCAUGCAAUAUUCCAGUCAUCUAUUAACAAGGGCUAAAAUUUCUUGUAGAGAAUAGAAUAAAGAACUAAAUUACAUGAAAAUAGGACAUUGUUAUUCUAUUUACAAGUAAGGGCCAAAAAUUGUUGAGGGUCAUCAAGUACAUUGUUCCUAAAAUAAUAGCAUCCAUGAAGAUUGAACUGAUACGAAAUGCCUUUCGAGUUUGAAAUCCCUAAAUUUUCUUCUUAUUUUCUAUGACUUCAUUUUUAUUAUCUUACAUUCAAAAAUCCUCUGUUUUCAUUUGUUUUGGUAGUUCUUUUUAUUUGCACCUUAUUUGUUUUAUUAUACUCCAGUAAGUUUGAAAAUUUUUACAUCUUCAAAUCAUUUUGCUUGAGUGUUUUGCAUUCUAAGAGUUUGAGGAAAUAUUGAGCUCUAAUAUAAAUAGUAUUGGUCAUAGAGUCUUCCUUUCUUAAGAAGCUUACCAUUGACCUAAUGGCCAAAGGAUCCCAAAAGAAAACGACUUUGGAUUGGCUUGAAAAUUUCACAUGGUCCAAACAUUCAUAUUUACUAGAUGCCAGAUACAAAAGAAAUUUUGCUCUCUUUUUAAUUUAGCCAUUGAUGUAGUCUAAAUGUUUUAUUAGAGCAAUAAUUGUCCACUAAAUGCAAAAUAGAGAAUGGUGUUAAUGAAUUCAGUACUUCAUCUAUGUUGUAGACUUGUAGUUUAGCAGCUUCUGUUGAUAAUGAGUGUGGGGUUGGCUUUAUCAUGUUACUGUUCCAAAUAUUCUUAAAAAAAAUCAUUUAAGCUUUGUUUGGUUCUUAGAAAAUUUGAGGGAAAAUGUGAGGAAAACAAAAUAGAGAGGAAAAGUGGAAGGAAAAAAAAGUGAAAGUCAAUGAAUUAUUUUUGUAUGCUACUUCAAACUCACUUCACUUUUUUUAACUCUUCAAUAUAAAGAUUAAAUCAUUUGAAAAAUGUGUAAAUUUCUAAUUAAUUUUAAAUAUAUUUGAUUUUCUUUGGUAUUUUCCAAAAGAUAAUCAAAUAUGAGAAAAUCAUUUUCCUUAACAUUUUUUUUUUCUUAGUACUUUUAGUGAACCAAACAUAACCUAAAUGUUUUAGUUUAGUAGUUUCAUCAAAUUAGAUAGACAACCUCACAUCUCUUAGUGAGCUCAGGUGCUAUGUCAAUUAAUGCUUUGUCUCUACUUCUUCAUUGAAGUCUCUAUUUAUUGGAUGCACAGAUGAUAUGAUCCAAACUCAAAUUGAACACUACUCUUGUUUUGCAACAUUACUGCACUCGAAAGACAACUUCAACUCACUUAUAGACCUUCUUAUUGGUGAUUGCACUAAAUCGACACCACUUUGGAAGAGAUGUGUUCCACAUAGAAAAUAUUUCAUUAUAUGCACCUACUCGCAAGAUACCAAAGGGAAACAAGUGAAUACUUGCCUAGGAAUACAAAGGCCAUACUUAGUGAAGGUUCCAUCAAUAAGGAGAACCAUUUCAAGUAUGGAAUUCUCAUUUAUUCUCAUUUUCUUAUGGCUUCAUUUUUAUUCAAUAUCUAUAUGAAAUUAUUUAUGUUCAUUUUCUUUAGAUAUCACAUUUUUUUGUUUUCUCAAUAAUUUCAUUCAAGUUCUUUGGAUAUCACAUUUUGUUUGGUGUUUUUUUUAGAAUAAUUCAAAAUGUCUUUUUUAACGAUUCACAAAAUUUGAUCACAGUUGAGUGAUUAAAAUUCAAGUUUAUUAUUAUUAUUAUUAUUGGUUAUUUGAUAUAUUUGUUUUCUAAUACAGACAAAAUACUAGCAGCUAAUGUGCAUAGAAUUUGUAGAUAGAAUUUGUAGAAGAGAAUAAAAAUUUGAUCUAAGCUAUUCCUAAAGACCAUAAACUUUUAGAGCUACCCAAGAUCUAACAGGUUAAAUUUUGAUUCACUUAGUUUACAAUCCACUAAUUAUCCUUAUGUCAUUUUUGUUAUGUUACAAAUUGCCUUUACUUGUUAUGCAACCUAUCUUAAUAAUUUGGGAAGACCAAGAUAACAUCUUCCUAGUAGAACUGGCUCAAAAAUUGAAAAGGUACACUCAUAUCACCUAUCUACAUGCCCACAACAUUAUAAACACUAGCUCAUGUGUUCCUCACUAUUGAGAUUGUUGUUGCAUGCAGGCAUUUUGGGCGAGGAGGCCCGACUUGUGAUCAUCAAUAACACAAGGCAUGCUUUUAUACAGAGAAUCCCAAAUAAACAUUUAAGCACUUUGUUAGCCCAAGGGUUCUCCUAAUCAGGUUUUGAUGAUAACAAACCAUGGUUAAGUGACUAAUUGGUUUGAAUGAUAAAGAAUCUUAGGUAUAAAUUUGGAAAUUCAUCAAAUGAUCAAAUGGAUACAAGAUCGAGACUUUUGGAAGACUUUUGAUCAUAGGAAACAAAUGUAAGAUGAAUGCAUGGGUGCACUUAGGUUUUACAUAUCUUUUCAUGAAUCUUUGAAAACUCGGUUUAUUCCUUAAAAUUACGAUUUCAUUAAAACCCGAGUUUUAUCAAAUGUACCUUAGGCAAAACAUUUCAAAAUUGGCAUAUUAAUUUACCUAAAGACCUUGCCUAAGUGUUAGAAAGGAAAAGAAUUGAAAAAUAUAGGUUUUCAGGGCCAAAAGGCUGAACUGAUCGAGGCACAUGCCAACCGGCUCAACCAACCAGGGAACCGGUCAAUCGGUUGCUCUUGCCCGAUCGAGAUCUGGUCGAGGAGUGUCAAAAACACUUUCUCUCAUCCAGUAACCUUCUCUUCCCAGUCGAGGUACUCUCCUUACCUCUGGUCGAGGUUCGGUCGAGGCAACGGUAACAUGCCAAAGCAUUAAAUGCUUCAACGACUAGUGAACCAAUCGACCCCCGGCUCGACCGGUUGAGGCUAUUUUUUGCUCUUUUUGGCUCCCGAGCUUAGAAACCAAUAAAUUGAGAGCUCCACUUCAUUUAUGACAUAGAGAAAACUUGCAAUCAAUUGUCUACCCACUUGUUCUUGCCUUAAAAGCUCUCAUUUAUUUCUUAGUGCAUUAAAUCCUCACUUGCAUAUCCUUUAGUACACCCUUGUGAAUCAUCCUAGCUUUGAUUUGUAUUUGAACUAUCAUUGAGGUAGAUUGAGGGAUUCAUUCUUGUAAAAAUUGAGUAUUAAAGCCUUCAAGAGGUUUGAAUCUUGAAGAGAUUAUGUAAGAGCCCAUUGGAGCCAGAAUCCAAGUGUAAAGAAGAUUGGAAGCUUUGUUGAAGCUUCAAGUUAGUGGAACCCUCACUCGAUUAGGAGAUUGAGGAGAGUGGACGUAGGCAAGGAAAUGUUGAACCACUAUAAAAUCCGAGUUUAAAUUCUCUAACUCUAUCUCUUUAUUUUUUAUUAUAUUGUGCUUGAAUUUGUUGUGUUGAAAAAGUUUUUGAAAAACCCAAUUCACCCAUUUCUUAGGUGUUUUUCUCAUUUAAGCAUAGCCUUUAUUUUCUCACUCUUGAAAUCCUUUCUCAUUAAUUUGCUUCCACCUCAUAAGAAACCGUCAAAACCACUUACACCAUGACAAGGUGAAAAGAAACUAAUGCAACAUUCUGAAUAUAUCAGAAGAUAUCAAAGGAAGGUUGGCCACAUAUGAGAACCUUGUUUCUAAGGUAGAAUUUUAGAUUUUUUUGUUUUUCUUGUCACUGUUUCUAUACCAUUACUAGUGCACCUUAUUUGUCAAGGUGAUUAAAAGGGAAUUCCCUAGGAUAACUAAUGUCUUAGAUGAUCUUAAGGUUCAUAAAUUUUUGGUUUCAACAAGAUAGGCGUCAAACCAUUUUUAUUUUUUUCUACACCCAUGCAAUAUUCCAUUCAUUUAUUAAUAAGGGCUAAAAUUUCUUGUAGAGAAUGGAAUAAAGAACUAGAUUAAAUUAAAUAAGACAUUAUUAGUCUAUUUACAAGUAAGGGCAAAAAAUUCUUGAGGGUCAUUAAGCACACUAUUCCUAAAAUAAUAACAUCCAUGUCGUCGAGCAAAAGUUUAUUGCAAUUACAUUAGCAUAUAAAACAAAACUAAUUUUUUUAUUAUUUAUGUUCACACCUUAUCCAUUUGAUAAAAUGCUUAAACAAGUAAGUUUGAAUUUUUUUUGUCUUCAAAUCAAUUUAAAUUUUACAUUCAAAAGUUGAAUUAAUUUUUUUUUUUGGAAAAUUUAACUGCACUUUAGAAGUUUGUGAUUAUUCUUUGGUCCAUCUUAAAAUGAGUUCCCGCAUUUUUCCAUUCCUGAAAUUAAAAUCACAAUAAAAAGUUUUAGAUUGACCUAAAAUUUUCUCAUGGCCUAGAAAUUCAUAUCUACUAGAUGGCUAAAGCAAAAAAACACUUCUAUCUUGUAUUUUAAGUAAUCCCUGCUUGCUAUUUGUUUAUUGAGAGCAUCAUACAAGUUGUGAUUAUAUUUCUUAAUUUUUUUAUAUGAUAAGACGGUAACUGGAUUGAGAAAGAUGCAACUUGUAGAGCAGAAAAUUUCUUGACUACUUUCCUUGUAUUUGCUUUGUGUGUAUCAACUGUUCUGUUAAUUAUUUUUUUAAAAUAUCACUAAAACAAACCUAUUAUGUCAAUGCUCUCUAUUGUUAUGUAUCAUAAUUUAGCUAUUUUUUCCCUAGAAAUCAUGCUUGUUAUUGUGUUAAUCAGUAGGUAGCAUAAGAACUAUUUUGUUCAAGUCAUUUUGUAUUGGCAUUCUUCAUGUUUUAAAAUAUUGUCAGACUAGCAAUUUUACUGCAGAUAUAAUGUUCUCAAAUCAAUGCAAAAAGGGACGUUGUGGGGCUUGGGCACAACCUUCCUUAAAUAGUUGAAUUGAGGGUUUCUAUAAACUAGGUCUCUAUAUCAACAGAUUCUACAUUUCAUCACUAUGGGGACCUUACAAUAAAUACCGCAAAAAACUUCAUUUACUACAUAGUAAGGAUAAUCCUAAGGACUUAAAAGCUUGAGUUGUCUUUUCCAUGGCAGCUUCAGAUCUCUUAAUAAGCUCCAAGUCAUUGUCUACCUUGAAUAUAAAUCACUGCUAGAAGUAUGUGCCCUCAACAUUCCCAUGUUCUCGAUAUUGACUAGAUAUUUGUUGCUAAUCCAUGAAGAAUUGAAGGGAUCUUUGAUAAUGACAUCUAUAAUGUACUUCAAGUUCAUGAUCCAAACCCUCUUCUUGCUUUCAAUAACUUCAUUUUUUUUUUAUAUUACUUUGUGGUCAAUGUUAUAAGGAUGUUGUAUUUUGUUUACCUGAUUCUCAUCCAUCAGCACACAUGAAAGGAAAAGUUUUACAUUGCUUUCCUUCCCUUUGCUCUGUGUUUGUAUAUGUUUAUGCAGCUAAUGCGAACUUCCACCAUAACUUUUUAAGUUUUUUCAUUCUUGAGUUUGGGAAACAACUGGAUUUGAUUGUAAUAUUUCUUGUAGAUAUCACCUUUCUUAAAAAGCUUGCAUUUAUUCACAUUUUCAAGAUGGCUAAGUCAUCUGAUUAUGCUUAUAACUUUUGGUUUCUAUUAAAUUCAGGUAUGAUGUUUGCAAUGCUAACCCCCUUACUCCUCUUGAAGACUACAUAAGUUUCUAGUGCUGUUACUUUAAUGGUUAUAGUCAAUGUAUCCUCUUGUUACUUCCUGCUUGCAUUCUAUAUGUUCAAGAGCUUUAUUAAAGUAAUUAUUUUAUUGAAGAUAUAAUUGUUUUCAGGUCAAAGCAAAAUUGAAUAAUGACGUGGUUUCAACAACUUCUCAAAAGUAAUUGGAAAGUAAGGAACUUUGUGGUAGUAUUCUGAUAUCACAUUGGGCCUUCAAAUUGUUGUCUUGAAUUGACAUAAAUAACAUAAUUUCUUUCCCAGUUAAGUUGCUUCAACAUGUUAUUAUGCUUCAAACUCUUUCAAUUAUGUGUUGUUUAGGUUUGGCAACAUUAGUACACUGGAUAUGUUGCCUCGAGUUACUUACACGACAUAAAAUUCAUCUUUGUUGUUAACUAGCAUCACUACCACAAGAUGAGUUCCCUCAGCAUUCUACAGACAACUAUAAUUUGGGACAAUUCUGGUUUGGCAACAUUAUCGGAGUUGAUAGGCAACCUAACAAAAACCUUUAAAUUUAUAUUUAUCCCGAACUAGCAUCACUGCUGGAAGACGUGCAUCCUUAGCACCCUAUAACCACUCAUAAUUGGAGACUGUUAUGGUUUGUAAACAUUCAACAGACUUGAUAGGUAACCUUGCACCAGUUACAGAGCUUCAAAUUCAUGGCUAUCUUGAAUUGACAUCACUUUCAAACUAGAUGGUUCAUCCAAACCUCAGUUGACACCCAUAAUUCAAGACUUCUCCAUUUUGGCAAUGAUAGCAGAUUUGAUAAGCAUCCCUACUUCACUUACAUACACUAAAAUUGAUAGCUACCUCGGAUUCACAUCAUUGUCACAAGAGAUUGGUUCCUUUAUAUCCCUGCAGACACUUGUGAUCUUUUAUCAUCCAUGUAUAUUAGAAAGACUUAAAAGGGAAAUAGAUGAAGAUAGGCCCAAUAAUCUUCAGUCCUAGAUAUUGAUAUGUGGUGAAGAUUGGACUAAUAUAGAGUUAGUUCAGGUUUGAAAUCCCAAUCUUUCUUCUCAUUUUUUAUGGUUUUGUUUUUAUCAAUAUGCUUUGUUUACAUUCUAUAUGGUAACUUUUGUAUGUAUUAGCAUAUAGAUCAAAAAGGACUUAGAUGAUUAAUUUGAAAAGUUUGCAUCCUCAAUUAAUUAGUAAUUAAAGACCAAACUAAUCAUAUUACUUUAAGUCUUGCAUUGUAAGAGUUUGGGAAAAUGUUAGGGUUGACUGAACUACUAUUUUAUAACAGAUUUUGCCUUACUCAAGAAUCUUGUGAUUAUUCCUUAGCACAAUCAUUUCUCGUGUCUAAGAAAUUCAUAUCUACUACAUGUCCAAAGAAUUUAGUAGCAUUCAAAAUUUAUGCUUUCUUUCAAGUCAGGUGUAUUGCUUGCAGUUCUAACAUGUUUCCUAUUUUGAACGUUGUAUUGUUAUUUUACUAUCAAUGUGUUAAGAGCAUUAUACUCUAUUUUCUAUAAUGUUGUUUACUUGUCAUAAGUAUUAAUUAUUUUAUUGCAAAUGUACUUGUUGCCAAGUUAAAGCAAAAGAGGAAAGUGAGGAUUUUUCAUGGACCAAUGCCUUUCUCAGUUGCUGCCACACUUGACUUCUCUCUAAGUUGUUGAAAAUUUAAAAGUGUGGUAGCAUAAAGUAUUCAGCUCAAGUGCUUUAGUGACUCACUACCCUUGAAGCUUUAGAAGUUGUCAAUACAAUUGGGGUUUCAACAUGUAACCAUUUUGGAAAUUCUAAGAAGUGUAAGUAUUAUGGUUUUACAACUUUAUUAGACUAGAUAGGCAACUUCAAAUUGCUGAAUGCCCUGAAUUAAAAUCACUACUAGAAGGAACCCAUGAGCACUCUAUAGAAACUCAUUGUAAGAGUUUGGGAAAAUGUUAGGGUUGACUGAACUACUAUUUUAUAACAGAUUUUGCCUUACUCAAGAAUCUUGUGAUUAUCCCUUGGCACAAUCAUUUCUCGUGUCUAAGAAAUUCAUAUCUACUACAUGGCCAAAGAAUUUAGUAGCAUUCAAAAUUUAUGUUUUCUUUCAAGUCAGGUGUAUUGCUUGCAAUUCUAACAUGUUUCCUAUUUUGAAUGUUGUAUUGUUAUUUUACUAUCAAUGUGUUAAGAGCAUUAUACUCUAUUUUCUAUAAUGUUGUUUACUUGUCAUAUGUAUUAAUUAUUUUAUUGCAAAUGUACUUGUUGCCAAGUUAAAGCAAAAGAGGAAAGUGAGGAUUUUUCAUGGACCAAUGCCUCUCUCAGUUGCUGCCACACUUGACUUCUCUCUAAGUUGUUGAAAAUUUAGAAGUGUGGUAGCAUAAAGUAUUCAGCUCAAGUGCUUUAGUGCCUCACUACCCUUGAAGCUUUAGAAGUUGUCAAUACAAUUGGGGUUUUAACAUGUAACCAUUUUGGAAAUUCUAAGAAGUGUAAGUAUUAUGGUUUUACAACUUUAUUAGACUAGAUAGGCAACUUCAAAUUGUUGAAUGCCUUGAAUUAAAAUCACUACUAGAAGGAACCCAUGAGCACUCUAUAGAAACUCAUUGUAAGAGUUUGGGAAAAUGUUAGGGUUGAUUGAACUACUAUUUUAUAACAGAUUUUGCCUUACUCAAGAAUCUUGUGAUUAUCCCUUAGCACAAUCAUUUCUCGUGUCUAAGAAAUUCAUAUCUACUACAUGGCCAAAGAAUUUAGUAGCAUUCAAAAUUUAUGUUUUCUUUCAAGUCAGGUGUAUUGCUUGCAAUUCUAACAUGUUUCCUAUUUUGAACGUUGUAUUGUUAUUUUACUAUCAAUGUGUUAAGAGCAUUAUACUUUAUUUUCUAUAAUGUUGUUUACUUGUCAUAUGUAUUAAUUAUUUUAUUGCAAAUGUACUUGUUGCCAAGUUAAAGCAAAAGAGGAAAGUGAGUAUUUUUCAUGGACCAAUGCCUCUCUUAGUUGCUGCCACACUUGACUUCUCUCUAAGUUGUUGAAAAUUUAGAAGUGUGGUAGCAUAAAGUAUUCAGCUCAAGUGCUUUAGUGCCUCACUACCCUUGAAGCUUUAGAAGCUGUCAAUACAAUUGGGGUUUUAACAUGUAACCAUUUUGGAAAUUCUAAGAAGUGUAAGUAUUAUGGUUUUACAAAUUUAUUAGACUAGAUAGGCAACUUCAAAUUGUUGAAUGCCUUGAAUUAAAAUCACUAUUAGAAGGAACCCAUGAGCACUCUAUAGAAACUCAUUGUAAGAGUUUGGGAAAAUGUUAGGGUUGAUUAAACUACUAUUUUAUAACAGAUUUUGCCUUACUCAAGAAUCUUGUGAUUAUCCCUUGGCACAAUCAUUUCUCGUGUCUAAGAAAUUCAUAUCUACUACAUGGCCAAAGAAUUUAGUAGCAUUCAAAAUUUAUGUUUUCUUUCAAGUCAGGUGUAUUGCUUGCAAUUCUAACAUGUUUCCUAUUUUGAACGUUGUAUUGCUAUUUUACUAUCAAUGUGUUAAGAGCAUUAUACUCUAUUUUCUAUAAUGUUGUUUACUUGUUAUAUGUAUUAAUUAUUUUAUUGCAAAUGUACUUGUUGCCAAGUUAAAGCAAAAGAGGAAAGUGAGGAUUUUUCAUGGACCAAUGCCUCUCUCAAUUGCUGCCACACUUGACUUCUCUCUAAGUUGUUGAAAAUUUAGAAGUGUGGUAGCAUAAAGUAUUCAGCUCAAGUGCUUUAGUGCCUUACUACCCUUGAAGCUUUAGAAGCUGUCAAUACAAUUGGGGUUUUAACAUGUAACCAUUUCUUUUUGUUCUUAUAGACAAUAGAACAAUGUGGUAAUUGCAUGACAUACAAUUUGUAAUAGAUGGUCAACUAUAUAUUAAGUAAUCUUUAAUUGCCUUGGAGUUGAAACGUUUGAUGUUGAUAAGGUUUGAUAAUUCUUGCUUUGGUGCUUUGUUGGAUUUCAAUUCAGGUAAUUAAUUGAUCUUGUUAUGAUUUUUUGAUUGUUAUUAUAACUAUCGUGAUAAUCAUUCUUAUUUUAUCGUGGUAAUUGACUUCACUGACUUUAUGCCCAACCUAUUAUUGUUAGUAUUCCAUUAACAUACCUCUAAUGCCACCACUAAUAAACAUCAUGUGUUUAUAUUUAUAACACGUUUCAUUACUGAAAUAAUUUAAUAUUUUCAAAUUUCUUUUUAGAGUGUGAGAAAUAACCAUUAAUCUUUACAACAGCAUAAGUAUCAUUGAUUUGAUAUUGCUUUCUUGAGUAAUUUGGCAAUUUAAUUAUGAAGUUUAGUUGGACAUUACUUGAGAUUCAUGUCUUAUGUAUAUGGUAUAUUUUCCAAACUUCAAUUAUAUUUAGUAGACUUGUAAGUGGUGUUUGUCUAUGAGUUUCAACUCUUGAAAACUAUUAUUGGAGUCUAAGUUCACUUUCAAUAAGGAAAAAAAAAAAUCAACCUUUUCCUCAAUUGUGUAAUUUUAUUCACUAUUGACAUGCCCUUAAAUGGCAUUGCUAUUAUUUGUAGGGAACAUUGUCAAGUUCCAUAUUUGUCUAGAAAGUUAGAAGAAGUAUUUAAUUUGACAUGGUUUGGACAUCUUGCUACUAUCUUUUUAAAUUAGUUAUCAAUAAUUUUUCAAAGUUGACCUUUUUGUUUAUCUCAUACUCCUUUUAUAUUAAAAGGUAUCGCAUGGGUAUUAUGUAGAGGAAUCAUGCCUUCUUUAAUUGAGGUGAGCCUCUUGCAAAAUAUUUCAGGUUUGCUCUCAUUCCAUUUGUUACUUCAUGUCUAUUUUUUUGUAAUCAAUCAAGCAAGAGUUUCUUACUUGUACAAUGGUGAACUUGCUUGCAUGAAUAAUACUCUUUUUACUAUUUUUUUCUUUCUUUAUUAUAUUCAUUGAUACGCUUAGAAGUGAAUAGUGAACCAGGUUUUUUGUUAAAAGAAAUCAAAUAUUGGUAAUUAUUUAGUAUCAUGUUUGUAAUAAUCAAUUAUUGAUUGUAAAGAUACUUGGCUUAAUCAAUUAUUAUAUUGAAAUCAAUUUAGUACUAUGACUAAUACCAAAAGGAUAAUAUUUAGUCUUGUUUGACCAUUAGUCACUAUUCUAGAGACAAAUGCUCACAAGUUUUGCAUCUUUGAAGCAUAUGAGAAAAGUUGGUUCAACUAUAUCACCAACUUACAAGCUCCUUAUAGUGUCCAUAUAUAUAACCUUCGUUGUUCAGGUUUAUGAUUCAUAUCUUUUUUUUUUUCAUCUUUUUAUUGUUUAUAAUUUUUUAAUUGAUUUGUUUAUAAAUUUUUAAACUUUAUUGGCAAUACUAAUUAUUUUUUUUUAUUCUCAUGUGCAAUAGAAUAAUAAGUUGAAUAAGAAGCAUAAACUACUUAAUUGGUAUAACCGUUUACUCAAUUCUCUUCUCAUAUAUUUUUGUUCAAGGUAAUCAAAGUAUCAUUCUUUUUAUUUUUAAAGGUACUUGAACUCAGUGAGGACCAUUCCCAAAACAAGCAAUCAUUACAGUUGGAUUACUGAUAUCAUAUCCUUGAUUGACAUCUAUGCCAUUACAUUUGCAUCUAAAGGAUUUAUAAUGAAAAAAUAUCUUUUUUAUUUCCAUUUUCCUUCCUUCUUUUGACCAUAAUUUGUGUGCUUAUUGAUAGCAUUCAUACCCUAAUAUAUUUGCUAGCAUAUAUAUGCAUAUCAUAAUCUAUUGAAUUUUUUAGCAUAAGGUCUUAGAGUAUUCACAUAUCUCUAGGUUCUAUAUAUUUAUAAUUUUUACAACAUCAAAUGAAGUAUAUGAACCUUAUCCUGAAGGUGAAGUCUCUUUAAAGGGAGUUUCAACAUGUUAGCAAUUACCUAACUUAAUAAUCUAACAAUUUGGCACUAUAUAUAAUUUUGCAACUCUUUCAUAAAGUAAUUGUGUUACCUUUAUUCACAUUUUCUAUCUUUAUUUUAAAAAAAAUGAAUUGGUAAUUGUGUGUCAAAUCUUGCUUACAAUCAUUAAUAGGUACUUAUAUGCUAAAUGGAUAAAGUUAUUUUACAAUUGUUUCAACAUAUUUGGAAUAUAUAUAUAUAUAUAUAUAUAUAUUUAUAGAUGUAAUCACUACCAAGCCAAUGCGAAAAGCUAUAACAAUGAGGAUUACAAAGCUUCAAUUAUGUCUUGGAGAUUCAUAUUGACAAGUUGUAAAUGGUGGGUGAAGUCUCUUUAAAAGGAGCUUCAACAUGUUAGCAGUUACCAAACUUAAGAAUCUAACAACUUGACACUAUAUAUCAUUUUGCAACUCUUUCAUAAAGUAAUUGUGUAACCUCUAUUCACAUUUUCUAUCUUUAUUUUAAAAAAAAAAAUGAAUUGGUAAUUGUGUGUCGAAUCUUGCUUACAAUCAUUAAUAGGUACUUAUAUGCUAAAUGGAUAAAGUUAUUUUACAAUUGUUUCAACAUAUUUGACACACAAGUACCUAUUAAUAAGUAUAUAUUUAUAGAUGUAAUCAUACCUAGCCAAUGCGAAAAGCUAUAACAAUGAGGAUUACAACGCUUCAAUUAUGUCUUAGAGAUUCAUAUUGACAAGUUGUAAAUGGUGGGUGAAGUCUCUUUAAAAGGAGCUUCAACAUGUUAGCAGUUACCAAACUUAAGAAUCUAACAACUUGGCACUAUAUAUCAUUUUCCAACUCUUUCAUAAAGUAAUUGUGUAACCUCUAUUCACAUGCUCUAUCUUUAAUUUUUUUUUUUUUUUAAAAAAAAUGAAUUGGUAAUUGUGUGUUGAAUCAUUCUUACAAUAUUUAAUAGGUACUUAUACACUAAAUUGAUAAAGUUAUUUUACAAUUGUUUCAACAUGUUCUGAAAACAAAAAAGAUUAAUAAGUAUAUUUUUUCUAGAUGUAAUCACUACCAAGCCAAUGUGAAAAGCUAUAACAAUGAGGCUUACAAAACUUCAAUUAUGUUUUGGAGAUUCAUAUUGAAAGUUGUAGAUUAUGGAUGUAUAGUAUAGGAGUUAGAUUGAGUUUAUCAUUCUAUCUUUGACAUCUUAGUUUUCUAUGUAUUGUCCAUCAUAUAUAUUUGUCAUCUAUUCUUUACAACCAAUUUUUUAAGGACUUCUAUGAUUUGUUUAAAUUUAUAUAUUUGUUUUUAUUUGUACUAGAACUUCACCAAGCUACAAAAGCAUCACAAGUAUUGCAAUUGGAGUUCAUGGAUCAGGUAUUUUAGUAGUUUUUGUACCUGAAAUUUUUUUAUGAUACUAAUGAGGAUGUUUACCUUGAUUAAUUUAACACUUAUAUUGCAAAUAUCUAUAUAGGAGUUCUAUACAUUUAUUUAAACAUUUAUAUACAUAUUUAUCCUCUUUCUAGCACAUUCUAAUGAUAUUUUUAACAUUGAUAUAAGUUGUUUGCUUGAAGGUUUCAACUAUUGAAAAUUAUUAUUCAAGCCUAAUGUUAAUCUUUUUCUAUAGUGGAUUUCAAAUAAUAAAUUCUUAUUUGAUUAUUUGUAGGGAAAAUAAACAACUUCUAUGUUUGAUAAGAAAGAAGAUAGAGUAGAUCAAUUUCACAAUAUACGAAUGCUACGCUUUCUAUACUUUUAAAGAUGGUUACAAUUGGCUUUCUAUACUUAACAAGUACAUCUUAGCUAAAAGUGAAAAAAUGUUUCUCUUUGCACAUGCCUUCACUACUAUUUUAAUUGCUAUCUUAAUAUGUUAUGGAAAAACCACGGCAAAUAACAAUAAUAAGGAGAAGAAAUAAAAGAACAAAAAUAUAAAACUUAUAAAGUAGGAUGAUCUAUGUGGUUUGGCCUAAACCUACAUUUAUAUGUGAAAAUGAAGAAGAACUUCCACUAUUAUUAAAGGAGAUUAAAAUCCUAAAGCUUUCAAAUCUCAUGAUUACACUAAAAAUGGACUUUUUUUUUUAAUCAAAAUCUCUUCCUUUAUUUUCUUGAUUAUAUAAGAAUAUUCCAUAGAGAAUUAAUUGUGUAAUUAUCAAAGAUAACUAUUCCUAAAAGAAAAAUCUUAUAAUAUGAUAUUUCCUUUAGAAUAAAAGAAAAAUCUCUUGUAUAAAUAUAUCAUAAUAGGAAAAUAUUAAAGACUUAUAAAUUGACUCAAAACAAUUUGAAAUAUUUUUCAACAAUCUCCACAUUGGCUCAAAUUCUCAAUAUUCAAAUAAACUCAAAAGUCUUCUAUGUUACUUUGCUCUUAUACACCCUUAAGGGAACUUCAAGUAAUAUCAAUACCAAUUAAGUCUAAGCAAUGCAUAAACUUAAUCAUAGAAAUAAGUUUAGCCAUCAUAUCUAUAAAAUUAUCAACUAUAGGGAUCUUUUUCAUUACAUUAGUACCUUGUUCAAUCACAUCUCUAAUAAAAUGCAUUCUAACAUCAAUAUGUUUGGUUCUCUCAUGUAACAUAUGAUUUUUAGUCAAAAGUAUGACACUUGGCUACCAUGAUAACAAUAAUCAAUGAUUGGAACCAAAUAAUUACAUUUUGUGUGCCUAAAAUUAGGCAUUCAUAUUUAAUAUCCAAUUCUAGUUUCAUCCCUUUACUCAAUUUUAUUCCUAAGUCCUUAAUUUUGGGUUUAAUGUAUUUUUUAAAUAUUUUCCUUCUUUUUUGGUAUAUUUAUAUCACAUUUUUGCUAGCCAUUAUAUUUUUCAUGUGUUGGUUGCUAAUUUUACACUACAUAGUUGUCACAUCAUCCAACUAAUGGUUGUUACAUUAUCCAACUAUGGGCUGCCACAUGCUCCAGCUACCUUAGCCUCCUUGCCAAGUAUUUUCCAUGCCAAAAAAAGAUUGACAACUAUUUCAAUUGGUUGGUAAAGUUGAGAAAAGCUUCCACCAACCUCGCCAUUAAGUUGUGCUCCUUGCUCCAAUUUCUAAUUUUGCUUUCUACCCUCUUGUGGAGUUAGUGUGGAAAUGACUUUAUACAAGGGAGAUGAAGGUUGGUUUUAAGUAAGGUAGCUUAUUUGUAAACUUGUAUUUCCUUCAUUCAGGCGGUAGUUCUCAUUUCUUAGCCUUGAUUUUCAAUUUUGAUCCUCUCAUCUUGCCUCUAUGAGUGGCCAACAUCCAAACCAAGGAAUAAUUUUUAAUAAAAUAUUAAUAUUAAUGUUCAAAUAAAAUCAUAUAUUUAUAUUCCUUAUCACAUUUAUAGGAAGAGAAAUAUUUGAGACUAGGCCCAGUUCACUUUUUAUAAUUAUAAAUAUCAUAAAAAUAUGAAUAUUAAUAUCCUUAUCCUCAUAAAAGCAUAAUUAAUUUAUUUUAUAAAAAAUUAAUAAUAAUAAUAAUAAUUACUAGUACGAUUUUAUUUUAAAUAGAUUUAAAAUUAAAUAAAGUUUAAUUUUUAAGGUAUACAUGCAUAAGUUUUUCAUUACAUAUACACAUUUAAUACUUAAUUAGUAAUAGUGUAUUCUAAAAUUUUUUUAUCUAGUCUAUAACUAAUUAAUCCAUUUUUUGGAAUUCUAAAUUGUUCUUAAAAAUUAAAAUAUUCAUUAAAGAAUUGAAAGUGUUUAUUAUGUUUAACUUAAUUUAAAUUUAUUUAUCUAGUGAGAAAAUUCAUAAAAUAUAGUUUUAUGUAUAAAGGAAAUAGUAACGACUUUACAUUUAACGAAUCUUUUAUUUUAUAUUGAUUCAUUUAAUAGUCUAUUAUAUAUAUUUAAAAUUUAUUAAACUCAUUAAUAAAUUCAAUACAAAGUUUUACUUAAUUUGAAAUUCAUCUCUCUAGUGAAAAAAUUGAAAAAAAAUAUUAUUUUGUGAAAAAAAAAUACAAUAAAAUCAUUCUAAACUAAUUUUUGUCCAUAGAUUUUUUGUAUUUAUUAGUUUAUUAUUUGAUUUUUAAAUUAAUUUAAAAAAUUAUUAGACUUAUUAAUGAAUCCAAUACAUUAUUUUUUUGUUUAAUUUAUUUAUCACACCAUCAAACAAACUUUUAUUAUUAGUAAAAGACCUCUCAAAAGAUGUUUUUUUUCUAAAUAAAAAAAAAUAUUAUAAACGAUGUUUGAUUCGAGAGUUUUUUAAAAAUAAAAAUUAUUUUAAAUUAUGUGUACAUAAUUGUUGCAAAUUUAUUUCUUUUUCCAUUACCAUUUUCAUUCCUACUUAACAUUGAAAUGAAAACAAAUAAUCAAUUAAACCUUACAUUUAUUCCUAAUCCAAUGACAAGAAUUGGUAUCACCGAAUUCAUUCCAUUCUCUAGUCUCAUGUAUCAAACAUAGUCGUAUAGUACCAAAAACUUCUUCUAAGUAAUGUGGAAUAUCACAUUCACUUUCAUACAGAUACAGUUUUUAUUGUAUCACAUGGAAUUGUGAGGCCUUUUAGUACCAUUUGUAAUGACCCACCUCCAAUUAUAUAAAUAUUAUUUGGUCUAAGUCCAAUGGACUCUAAUCGGUUUUAAAACUUGGCUAUACUGUUAAGAGAAGUCUACUAUGUAUACAAUCUUCUCCUAAUAAACAUGUGACAUAACAAAUGGUGGGACUCAAACUAAAGCAAGGCCUUUCAAACUGUCUACCAUCUUAGUUUCAGCAUGAAUUCAAUUUGUUCCAAACAACAUAACUCUGGAGUAUUUUAAACAAACGAUUUCCAUUUAAAACACAUUAUUAAAGUAUAAAGAAAACAAACCCGAUCUUCAAGCGGUUUUGGGGAUCACCUGUGGAAGAGCAGUGAAAUAGAAAUAUCCACUAAGUGUAUAGGGACCCAAGAUCAACACAUGCAACAGGAUAUCUAAUUCCUCCUAAUAUCAUCAGCAUGAAGAAAAUUGGCAUCAUUUCCACUGAGUUCUGAUGCCCUCUCUGAAAAAAAAAUAAAUGCAAAACAUUUGUUUUUUCUAAUCAUCGGUCAUCCAUACAUAGAAAAAUCUAUGUGUGAUCUUAAGCCAGAAAAGAUGUUGCAUCUAAUCAAAUUCACUAGACAUGAUGAUAUCUAUACUUUUUUUUUUUUUAAUUAUAUUCAUAUUUAUGUCAGAAAAUAAAUUUUUUAUUUUUUAUUUUUAGAACAUUAAACUUUUUAAAAGUCCUUUCUGGGAUAUUUUCUAGCUUUUUCCUUUUGCUAAUUUUUGUUAUUCAAACAAAUCUUAAGAAAGGAAUCAAGCUUGGACACAAUUAAAGAGCUUGGCAUCCUUGUUUUUAGAUUCCAAAGCAUAUAUAGAGAUUGGGGUAAAACACCUUGUACCUAAGAAAAAAAAAGGAAAAAAAAACACCACAACAAAAAAUUAACCAAAAAUCAGAAAACUAACUAGAAUAAAAAAUCAAGAAAAUAUUUUUUUCUGGGUUAAUAAUUAAUUAUAAUGAAAUCAAAAGAAAAAGAAAAAAUACAUACUUCUUCCUGGCUUUGCCUACACUGAAAGCCAUGAAAGAAUUGGAAAAGCAGUAAAGAACAAGAACAAGAACCACAUAUGGGGAAAGCAAAUCCUCUGUUGCCUUCUUCAGAUUAAAGGCAACUAAUAAACGGGUUAAGGGGUUAUGAGUUUGACUUGGUUGAGUUUGAAGCUACAAAAGUAAGAAAAAUGGUAGUAAUUUUGGAAGCAUUUCUAACUCUUCCAUAACUUGAAAGAUAAAAAAAUUUAAGCGUUAAAAAUGUUAAAAGAGCUUUUUAGAAUCACCCCAAAUGUACUCUAAAUUAUUUAUGACUUGAUGUCACCUUCACACUCAUUUUUCAGUGUCAUUUAAUUUUGGUGUUCCCAUAUUAAAGAUUUAGGGUAAUGUAAUAUUCAAGCCUUCGAAUUUUGCCUUCACUAACCUUUGAAUUUUAAUUAAAUUCUUUGAAGGAUAUUUGACCACUUCAUUGUCCAAAAAUGCUUAUAUUGCCAUUUUUUUGGGUCUUUUUCUAUAAUUCCAAUUUUACUAUUUUUCUUUUAUUUAUUCCUAUUAUUAUUUAGGCUAUUAUAUAUAAUAUUCUUAAUAUUAUAUUUAUAAUUGUUAAUAGUAUAAUUACUUUUUUUUCAUUUAUUUGUCAUUUAUAUUGCUUAUCUUAUCUUUAAUCAUGUAUAAGACUCAAAAACUGCAGAAAACAUUAAUAAGUAACUACUAAACUUCAAAGAGAUAAUAAAAUUCAACUACAUUGAUAUUACAAUAAUACAAAUGAAAUAUAUACCAACCAGCCCUUAAAGGGGCUUUUAAGAAAUAAUGAGUCUACUUCAGAUUGACAUUUAAAGUAGAAUCACCAUCUCUAUAGAUAAAUAUGAAGCCUAAAAAGAACAGAACAUCACUAAAUAAUAUUAAUAAAGCAACAAUUAGAUCAAUUGAUAGUGAAAAUAAAGGUUUACAAGAUGAAUCACAUAAAUAAGAACAACUAAAUUGAGAAACAAAUUACAUGUCUGACAAAUCUAAUGAGGGAAAACAUUGGAGCUAGGUGCCCAAUGAUUGGCUCCUUGAAGUUGACCUACCUCCUCAAUAGGUACAUAGGAGUCCUUACCUAAAAAAACAUUAAAAUCAAUAGGGCGAACAUAAGAUCUAAUAAAGGAUAUGAGUUUUCCUUUUUGUGCACCAAAGGAAGAUAAUGAAGUAGAAGAAAAUGAUGAGAAUUUUUUUUUUGGAAAAUAUGGGGAGUCGUUCUGUAAAUGAAGCAGAAGAGGAGAAGUUGUAAGUGUUGGAGAGAAAAAAGAAGAAGGACAUUUUUGUCUCAAUCAACAAUUUUGUUUUGUUUUUUAACCGGUGGGUUAUAUAUGCAAAUGUGGGGGUUAUUUUGACCCCUUUAACCAAAUAUCCCUCUUUUUUAUCGAGUUACAACUUUAAAUUAGGUGUAAAAAGAAAUUUUGAUAUGGUAGAUACUAUACAGUUAUAUAUUGAAAUUCCAUGGUUCAUUAGAUAAACCAUCCUUGAAUUUCUUUGGUUUCAAUCAAGAUGAUAGAUCAUCCUUCCACAGAGUGACCUAAUAUGACAUUGAUUUUCUAGGGCUUCAAACACGAAGGGUGUCAAUGACUAAGAACUCCGUUUGAUUGCCGAGAAAAUGAGGAAAAAAACCCUCAAAUAAAAUAUAAAUACAAUUAAGAAUUUCAAUUUUACAUUGUUAGGGACCCCAAAAAUGGGAACAUUCACUUAACUGAGCCUAAUCCAACCACCUACCUUAGUUCAAUCCAGUCCCCACUUUCUAGAAACCAAAACAAUAUAAACAUUCCUGUGUUUGACUAUUCAGAAAGCAUAUGAUAAGCAAAGAAAAGAACGGUGCCUCCUCAAUCAAACAAAUUUUUUUUUUUCCUUUUCUUUUCUUGCAUUUUCUUUUUUUCGGCAACCAAACAUAACUUUUUAAUUGAGCAUUGUUGUAUACAAUUUAGAUUUCUUUCCCUCGGUUUCUCCGUAACCAAACAGAAUUUUUCUCUAUUGAGCGAGAGUCUAGUAUAUCCUUCGUUUUCCUAUAACCAAACAGAACUUCCCUUGUUAUUUUUUUUAAUCUUUUCUUUGAAUUUCUCGGAAACCCAACGGAGUUUACUUCUGGUGCAACCGUGCAAGAAAAUGGUUUUACCUGAUCGCAGUUCACCGGACUAACUGAAGCAACAGAGGCUUAAGAAAAAGAGACUGAGCUUUGUUUGUUAGACCCCCUAUGUGAGUAUGCAAAGUAAGAAGAACUGAAGCUGAAAUUAGGCGGCUUCCAAACACGUCCUAGGAGUUGGUUUUAAAACCCAUUUUUCCCCUUUUUGGUUGCAAUCGGUCUGCAAAGAUGCCAUUAAAAGGUAACCGUAGUUGGUUGCAUGAAUAAGAAAAUGAAAAGAAAAGAAGUUAAAACUAAUUAAAAUUAUUUAAUAUUUACAUUGAAGAGUAAAAAUAAUUACAAUAUAUUUAAAUAAACACAUAAAAAUAAUAAUUUAUUAAUUUUAAAUCUAUUUUUAAAAUUUUCAAUUUUUCAUUUAUUUUAUUCCCUCUAAGCUUUCUAACUAAGGUCAUAAUUUGGACAAAUUGUUGGAUUCAUAACUAAUCUAAAUAAUCUAAUAGAGAUAAAUAAAUAAUUAAUUUAAGUUCAACCCAACCUCUAAGCUUUCUAACUAAGGUCAUAAUUUGGACAAAUUGUUGGAUUCAUAGCUAAUCUGAAUAAUCUAAUAGAGAUAAAUAAAUAAUUAAUUUAAGUUCAACCCAACCUCUAAGCUUUCUAACUAGGGUCAUAACUUGAACAAAUUGGAUGGUUAACAUACAACUUGGACAUAUUGGUGGGUUCAUAGCUAAUCUGAAUAAUUUAAUAGGGAUUAAUAAAUAAUUAAUUUAAGUUUAGCCCCACCUCUAAACAAAGGUAUUUAAUUCAAUCUCAACCAACUUCAUUUCUUCGAGCUCUGGUUGAUGAGGUUAAACUUGGGUUAGCCCUUGAUUGUAUAAUUCAAAAUACAUGUAGAAUGUUUUUUAAUAAAAAAAAAUUUAUAUACUUAUAUCAAAUUUUAAAUAGUAAGUAGGACAAAACUUUAAAAUAACAAAAAAAAAACAAAAAAAAAAAACAAAAGCAAAAACAAAGUUAUAUAUCUUUUUUAAAAAGUAAAAAAAUAUAUUAUAUAAUAUAAUUUGAUUUUUUAUUUAUAAAAAUUUAGAAAGAAUAAAAUUAUUAUAUAAAAUAACAUAUAUUGGAAAUAUUAUAAAAACACUAAAAGUUUGUUCAGUAGUUAUUCAAAUAAGUGUUUCUAUCCAUAAUUUAAACUUUGGUUUCAAUCUAACUUGAAUUGAAUUUGAGUUGAAAAAGUUUAACUUGAAUAUUAAAAAUAAUUGUCUAAACACGAUCAAAUAUCGGAUUGGAUUCGACUAAUCUGCCAAAGUUGCACUCCUACCAAGAACCAUACACAAUAAAAAGAUUUUAAGAUAUUUUUUGUUCUAGGAAAGUACUCAAAAAGGAGAAAUAAAGAAAAAAAAUGAUUCUAUAUGUAUAAUUAAAAUUAGUUAAAUUUUAUAUAUUUUAAAAUUAUUUAAUUUUUUUUAUAUGGAAAAGAAAAAAAAAGAGUGAAGUAAGUUUGAAAAAACAAGUAAAAAUGAUUUGUUAACUUUAAUAUUUUUUUUCUUUUCUUUUCUUCUAUUUUUUUCUUUUUAGUUUAUUUUUCUCAAAUUUUUCAAAAAAUAAACAUAGAAUUAAAAAAUAAGAAAUAAUUACAGAAUUGGAAACCAAUUUUAGAACUUGCUUAUAUGAUUGCAUUAGUUUGUGUAAAUAAUAAUUUUAUUGAAUGUUAAGAGAGUGGUAUUAAAUGCACAUUAUUUAAUAUUUUUAUUUCUAAAGAAAGUAAUCUUUACAUGGAUUGGACCAGUGUUUAUUUAUCCAUGUGGGCCAGCCCAUUAAAAACAUCAAACCAACAACUCAAGGGACGACCCUGGUCAUUCUCGGGGGCCCACAACCUUCAUCUCAAACAAAAGCCCAUGGGCAGGAUCACCUUCCACACACAUCUUCAUACCAGCCACCACGCUACCAACAAUCCUCCUCCAUGAAAGCCCACCUCCAUCACAGCAAGCAGAAAAUCCAACACGCCAACCAUCAACCUCCGCACAGACCUAACACUGCAUAGCCGUGUUUUAGGAGUGUUAGGACGUGAUUAGAGAGGAUCUACUUUGAGUGUUCAUGGAGUUUCGCUAUAAGAGGAAUCAGUUUACCAAAAAUUCUUCAUGAAACCAUCCAUUUAUCUCAGGGAACAUUUAUGAAGUAGAGUCAAAUAGAUUUACAAAUAAGAGAUGAUUGAUUCCUUUGAAUGAAAUAACCUUAUUUCAAAUUGCCCUAAUGUGGCCUAAUAAGCAAAAUUACUGGUUAUAUUUUGGACACAUCUCAGUAGAGGUUCGGGGGAGAAAAUAGAAGAAGCAGAGAUGCUUACUUACUUCAGAGGGGCCACUGCUCGCCACCACCACUUCAUGGCUGUGCCCAUUUCACUUGCCCAAGCCACUCUCUUCUCCAAACCCUCCAUUUUACUCCACAGAAAUGCCAUCAAUGGCUUCUCCUUUUUCAUUCCUUUCUCCUCUUCUUCUGCUCAGAAGAUUCAGACUCACAAGUGGAGGCAACCGGUGGUCUCGGUUCUGGAUCUUGGUGGAGUCAAGAUUGGCAGAGAUGGUAACAUACCCACAUCCCAGAAUUGCGUUUAAAAAGGAUCUUUAGCUUGAAUUUCGUGUGCCCAAUUUGCGUUUUUGCAGACAUUUGCACUCAAGUCGUGUCGUUUGUUUGCAAUUUCACAAUCUGAUUUCUUUUCUAUUGUGCGUUUUUUUUUCCUGCUAGGUUCGAAUUCAAGCAUCCAAUUUGCGUUUUUGUGGGUAGUCUUAUGCCCAACUUGUGUCAUUCAAUUUGCAAUUGUUGUUAUCAGACUUCCUUCUCUCUUUUGAGACUUACACAGUUAGAGACGUCAUUUCUGUGAAAUUAAGAAUGCAUGUUCCAACUUUCACUUCUUUCUCUCUCUCUCUCUUUUUUUUUUUUUUUGUGAAAUUGGAAUUCAAGAACUUAUUUUACGUUUUACAAGCUUAGCGGGUUACGUUUCUGUUCUAUUUGUUGUGCUGUUGGAGGUGUUUGGUGCAUUUAUAUAACUAGGCUUGCAAUUUCGCCCUCUGAUAAAGGUUAAAUUUUCUCCCUUUUUAUUUUAUAUUUUUUUAAUGGUGUAUUUGUUUUGGGUAUUUGGUGAAAUGAGGAUUUUGUACUGGGUUUAUGGCAUUUUUUCAAUUGGUUUGAUAUAUGUGAAUGUGGGUUUUGUAGGGAAGAUAUGCAAAUUUUUUGAAAGUAAGAAUGCAAUUACAACUCUGAUUUCCUUUAUAUUUAUAUUUUUUUAUGCUUAUUUGCAUAUUGGUUGAUGUCAAAAUUCAUCUAAUGGGUUGUUUUUUAUUGCUUUGGAUUGGUUUAAUGUAGUUGAAUGGUGGAUUUUGUUUCUAAAACUUAGGGUCAAUUUCAAUUUUUAUUUUAUUUUUUUAUUUUUUCAAUUUGAAGACCUGGGAGUCUAUGUGAUUGGAAUUGAUGUACUCGAGUUUUUGGAUUUUGCUGAUUGCCUUGAUAAACUUGGGAUGCAGAGCCUUAAAAAAUAAACUACAUUCACUAAGCUAUAUCUCUGAUUAUACUUCGUCAGAGCGUGAAAUGCAACUUGGAGUCUUUGUAUUUUUUAAAUUUUUUGGGUUAUUCUAUUCUGAAUAUUUGGUAAAAUUAGAAUUCAUGUACUGAACCUUUUUCAAGUUCUUUUGGUUGGCUUGAUAUAUUUGGUUGUGGGGUUUGUAGAUGUGGUGAGGGAUGAUCCUACAAACAAUGUCCCGGAUGCAAUUUUUUUGAAACUUGGAAUGCAGCUUCACAGGAGGGAUCAACACCCAGUUGGAAUUCUGAAGAAUGCAAUAUAUGAUUAUUUCAAUGCCAAUUACUCUAACAAAUUUGAUAAGUUGGAUGACCUUUGCCCAAUAGUCUCCACAAAAGAGGUUUGACCAUUAAGAAAUAAAAUAGAAAUUGUAUGCAUGUUUUUUUUUCACUGUUUUGAGCUAUACAUUGCACUAUUUGGAACUUGUAUUAUCUUUCUAUGACUGGUGCUUGACAUUUUGUUGCUGUUUAUAUUUAUUUUGCUGCUCAUUUCUUGUUGGUUAGUGUCCUGUCCUAGGUGUUUUAACAUUUAAGAAUCCAUGAAAGUGGUAUUUGCAUAUGUUGCCCAUUAUUCCAUCGACGAUGUUCUAAGUAGGGAACCUAGUAUCCAAACUUCCAUCCAAACUUACAUAUAAAAAAAAAGUCCAGAACAGGCAUUCAGUUUACCAGGUUUAUCAGUUCUCUCCAGUGUUUAUUCAACUCUUAAAUGCAGUAUUCUGGACAUACUCCAAAUUUGAAAUUCCUUUGGUAAAAUAAAGGCAUGGUACUUAUAGUGGUCUAUUAAGGAAAAGGUUUGUUUGACCUAGCUUUUGUACAAAAAAUUCAAGGAUAGUCUUGCAGAUAUGUAUCAUAUAGGUGUAUAUUUCUCUAUCAUGAUACAAGUGAGAAAAAAUUCAGGAAAGUUGUUUUGUUUAAAAAAAAAAUUGAAAGUUAAUUUAUGUUUUGAGAGGGACAUUAGGCAACCUAGGAUUCAAAGGGACAUAUUGUCUCUUAGGAAAAUAUAAUUCAUAGCAUUCUCAACCACUUACAGGUUAUUUCAGUCCUUUUAUAUUGAUUUAUUUAAUUUUUUUCUUUAUUGUAGGCAAGCAAAAAAGAAUUUUACAACACCUACUAUUAUCAUUAUUUUGGUAAUUAGCAUUGAUGGAGAUUGUAAAAAUUCUCUAAUAGUAUUGCAGGAGAAAAAUAAUAUUUAUGAAUUUUUGUUAAACACAAUUGUCAUAAUGAUAAUAAUUAAUUAGAAUAAUAUAAGUUUGUAAUUGGAAAAAUUUUAAAAAAUAAAAGCUUUUGGAAAUAGUUUGAAUAGGAGUAGAAAAUUCUUGGAUUUCAUGGAGAGCUUAGGUGGGAUCUAAAGCAUGGGGCUGUUUGCUAUCUAUUUUAGUAUUUGCUGCUCUUCUCUCUUAUAGGUGUUCAGCUGCAGCUUGUAUUCUCUGAGCGUACUUGGGUUGUGCCCCCUUUUGUGUUCUUCAAUAUAAUCUUCAGGCUCAUGACUAGUGCAAUUUCUACUAAUUGAACACUUUUCACUUCAAAUAAUAUUCAGUAAUCUAAAUAGCAUUUAUCAAAUUAUUCUAACCCGCCAUUAGAUUUAUAAAGAACCCAAAAUAUGAAAUUUUCUUCUUAGGCAUGAGAAAUUGUCAUUGUUAUAAACCCCAUGUUUGUCUUGUACUUACAAGCAUAAUUAUAAAGCAUGAUCUGCGUGUCUUAUCAUGAAAUAUAACAAUGUCAUAAAAUAGAUGAUUGAUAAAAUGUUAGAAGUCCAUUGCAAAUGCUUAAUGGAACUGAAAAUUAUUACAGAACAAGUGCAUAUUUCACUCAAACUUUUAUGCAGUAGUGGUAGCUUAUAAACUCACAACUUUGUAAUCAUGUGCUUGAAUCAAGCAAACUUAAUGGCUCUCAGCUACAACUGCUCUACAUUUUAACCAUUGUUUUAUGUUAUGGGAAUAGUGACUGAAUUACACAGUUCCAUCAUUAUAAUUUAUGCAUUGUAAUUUCAUUUGUGGGACUUAGUUUUCACAUGUGUUCACAUGUCAUAACUGUAAUUUCCCUAAUUUUAUGAGAAAGAAAAACUCUUUAAUUUUCCCUAUUUUGACUGAAACUUUUGGAACUUGGACUUUAUAUGGUGCAAAUGUAUGUUAUCAGCUAUUGCUUUUGACCAGUCAUGAGUAGAUACUAUUUAUAAAAAGACACAAAGGAGGAUAUAAUCCAAGUGCACUUGUAGUCAACAAGUUACUCUGGGCAUCAAAAUUGAAAGAAACAACAAUGAAGAAAAGCAGCAAGAAAGUGCCCCUACCUCCCAAACUCUCAAUGAACUAAUGGAAGGAUCUACUACUAUGCAAGAUAACUUCUUCUAAGCACAACUACACAUAACAAUACUUAGCCUGCGCUAUGGUGUCAAGUGGUAGGGUCAUUGGAACAUGCCUAUUUUGAUGGAUUUUAAUUUGUGGGGAUAGUUAAAGUGUAAAGUGUUUGAUAAAAUAAAUUUGCUAGUUUUAAUAAAUUGGAAUUACUACUGAAUGAAAUGUGAAGCUAGAUAUUAGGAGGAGAAAGAAAGAUAAUUAAUUUAUUUGUAUGACACUAUGACUUACACAUUGUGAAGCUUACUAGUAGGGAAUUGUUGAACAGGGGAACUUACUUAAUAGGGGAGAAAGAACCACACAUAUUUCUUGAUGAGUAAAUAUAAUUACAUUAGCCAAAGGCCAAAAAUAUAUGAGUAGUUCACUAAUUGCAUGUUAUUGGAAAGAGAGCUGAGCAACUAUGAUUCAUAAACUUUUUACAAUUUAAAGGCCUGGGUCCAAUGAGAUAUGUUGCAUCAUAUUACCUAAUGAACCAAUGAAGUUUAUGGAUUUCCAAAACUUCUUGGAGAGGUUCAUUAUUUUAUGGUUCUUUUUUUUUAGGGUUCUUUAUUUUCUCUUUGCUGAGAUAUCUAGAAUAUGGCAUGGUAGGUAUUUUUGCUCCAUACCUCUUUGGAGGUCGAUUCUUUGGCAAAGUAGGAGGAAAACAAAUUAGCAUCAACUUUGGCUUGACUUGAGAUCACAAAUCUGACUAGAGAUUUUGCAGUAGUGUGUUGAGGUCUAAUCUGAAUCCAGGUUGUGAUGUGUGCAUCAAAGAGUCUUUCCAUAAGCCAUGAAGCUUUGAGGUGUUUUGUGAUGGCAUGACUGGAUAAUGAGCUGCAUUUUGGUCUGGAAUUUGGAGUUCGGUUAUGCAUUUCUGUAUCUAUAUCUCCAAAAUUAUUAACUAAUUUUAAUUAUUUUAUCUAUUUUUCAAAAUAAACAUUCAAAAUUGAAAGUUUGUGUCACGAGUCUUCAGGCUUAUCCGGAAUAGAAUGCCCUGCAUUAACUCUUGCUGUUAAUGCAUAUAAUACCAGGUCAGUCAACACAGCCAUUCGCUUGCUUAUGUUGACUUUCAAUGGCUUAAAGUUUAUGGCUUCAAUGGUUAUUACCAUGCUAACACUCAAACUAAUUCUUUUUUUGAUAGGUAAAUAAGAGCUUGUAUUAGAAGCGCCUAGAAGUGGCGAAAACAGUACACAUGAAGUAUACAAACAGAUUGCCCAAGAAACUAGGCAAAGAAGACAAAAAACCUUUCCCCUAACUAGACAUAUGGCCACUCUAUAAAAUGGUCAUUGGUUUCCUCUUUCUCUUUACACAAGCAUAUUCAAACUAAUAACUAAUAGUUAUUGGAUUUAAAGCUUGUUUGUUAAUGUUCUUCAUGGUUGUGCUUCUAUUUUUAAUCGAUUCUCUUGGCCAUCACCGUUUCCCCCUUAUUAAGAUUGGAUAUUUAAGUUUCAACGAAACAGCCUACUAAAUCCUCCAGAUAGAUCCUAUUUAUAAGGCAUGGAAGUUUGGUCAAUGUCUGCUUCCAAGAUUCUUAUCCAUAUUUCUAUGAAUUCUUAUGCCAGAAAGUCUACUUCUUGCAGAAUUUUGAUGAUGUCUUGGUUCCUCCUGAUCACGUCAGUAGAAGUUACAAUGAUACAUACUACAUUGACUCCCAAACUGUCUUGAGGUGCCACACUAGUGCUCAUCUAGCAGAGCUAUUGAGGAGGGGACACACUCAUUUCCUUGUGACUGGAGAUGUUUAUCCUAGAGAUUCCAUUGAUUCAACUCACUACCCUGUUUUUCAUCAGGUUUCUUAUCUCUGAUUUUAUCAAUGAUUGUUUUCUAUUAACAAGUUUCUUAAUGUUUUCUUCAGUUCAAUAACUUAUCAUGCAGAUGGAAGGUGUUCGUGUCUUCUUUCCAGGUGAUUGGGAGACAUCUGGAAUGGAUGGCACGUCUUAUGCGGCUGAGGAUUUAAAGAAAUGUCUUGAGGGUUUGGUGCAGCACUUGUUUGGUAAACUUAGAUCAGGAGAUUGUCUUAAUCAGAUGCAAACUUAAUGCUAUCAGUUCAUGCUGCAGUGAGAAAUAUGAGUUAAGGAAUCAUUUAUCAGGUCGAAUAAUUCAAAAUCUGGGAAAUACUGCAAGUAAAAGGGGGGAAAAAUAAUGAAAUAAUAAAAUAAUAAAAUAAUAAAUUUAAGUGGGGAAAGCAAUUCAUUUUUUUUUUUUGAUCAGUAAGUAAUAUGUGUAUUGAAAAGAGGUGCUAAAGAAGCGACUCAAAAGUGGGAAAGCAAUUCAUGUUAUGCAAAAGCGGUAUAGGUUGGUCAUUUAGAAGUCAAAUCAAGAUAGUCCAGAAUAAUAUAGGGAAUUAUUUGUGAUUCUCAAGGUACUUGUUAAGAAUCAUUGAUAAAUUACGUAAGGAAACAUUUAAGAGUGCUAUUAUUCUUGAAAUUUCUGAAAUCUAUCAGAAAGGUAGUUUUCAUCUUGGGGUUUACCAUAUACUGUAUAGAAUCUGUGUGGGCUAAAUCUGUUGAAAUUUGCAGGUAAUGUGGAAAUGCGCUGGAUUGAUACAUAUUUCCCUUUCACCAACCCAUCAUUUGAACUUGAGAUAUAUUUUCAGGUAUGCUUUUGAUCUGGCUGGUGGUUGCAUUUUAGCACUAUAUAUUUCGAAUUUCUUUAAAACUUUGUUUUUGAACUAAUUUUAGUAGAAACAGGCUCCAUUUCAUUUUGCUGUUUUUACCUUUUGCAAGGAAGGGUAAAAAUCAUUUAAAAAAUGUGAACUUCAGUUUAUUCCAUUGCUGGCAUGUGUGGCUUUCAUCUGUUUUUGAAGACACUGAGAUUCAUAGACUGAUGAUAUUCCAAUGCUUAUAAUAACAGUAAUGUUGAUGAUAAAAUAAUAUAAAAGUAGAAACAAAAUUAGUUGUCUCCCUUUUUUUUUCUUUUAGUUUCUUUGUUCUUCUUACCCCUCUGUUGUGGGGAGGGGGUGUGGGGCUCUUUGUCGUUGCCAAAUGUGAAAAAGAAGAUGUAUUAUGUCCUUUUAUUUUGGACUUACAGGACCUAUUAUGAAGGCAUUGCUUUCUUCAAUGUAUAUUUAUGACUUCAAGACAUUUUUGUAUUUUAUUUUGUGGCAGCAUUUUUUAGUGUCACUAUUGAAGGAGAAAUUCAUAAACAUAUAUACACACAUGCUAGUGGGCAUACACAAACACUGAUGUUCCACACACUAAUUAAAAAAUUCUUGCUUUGAGUAGUAUCUUUUUCCAGAACUCAUGUCCAUGUCAGAUGGCAACAUGACAAUGACUAUUUGCCAGCAGAUGGAAUGCUGGCAACACUUUUAUGGAUUGAAUGUUUUCCUUUCCCUUUUCCUUGUAGUGAAUGAUGUGUACUUUAGUUGCUCUUACAUAUUUGAUGCAUUGUGCUUAUGCCCUAACUGAUGCAGAACAGAAAAGUACCAAAAAAAAUGAUGGGAGUCUAGGAAUUACUUCCAAAAACCUUAGGCUUCACAUAUAGGUUUCGUUUUCAUCACACAAAAAUGAAAACAUUGAAAGCUGGAAGGUUUUGUGUUUUCAUUCAUUGAUCCUUUUAGAAGAUAGAGUGAUCAGCUUUGGAAACUACAACCCUAAGACCCCUAAGACUCUUAAGACCCCUAACACUCUUUGGAACCAAUCACAGUAAUAAUUAAGCUGAGAAAUCAGAAACUUGAACUGAUAAAUAAAAAUUAAAAGGCACUUGGAAAUAUAAAGCAUUAAUGACUUUGAAAAUAAGAACACUCCAAUACCCACCCCCCGCCCUUCGGAAAACUCAACCUUGACAAGUUAAAGGCAUGGAGUUUCUCAUAAAGAUCACAAUUCAACUGCUGAAAUUCAUUGCUUGUGAUCCACAUACAAUCUCAAAGUGGCCUUUCUCUCCAUUCCACAAGAUACUUUUGAUAACCUCCUCUUCUGGUUGAAACAAUUUAGUGACCAACAACUUUUCAAUCUUCUCUUUCAAUCAAGGGGCUGGUAGAAGAUGACCAUUUGGACCAUUAAUUGAUGUAGCAGCUUUAGGAUUAGGAUAAAGGGUGCGGUCUUUAAUAUUAGAGAUCUUAUUAAUGCUCAUAUUUUCUGGCAAGUCAAGUACAUUAGCGUUGGGACUUGUUUUCCUGAGAAUUUUAUAGGGACCAACAUUCUUUGAGUGGAGUUUCUUAUAGGCACCUCUAGGAUAUUGUUCAGGCCUUAUUCACACAAUAACCAUAUCACCUUCAAUAAGUUGAGCAAAUUUUAUUUUCACAUCAUCGUAUGACUUAUUUAUUUAUUUGAUAGGCAAGCUGGAAAAACAUGUAUUCAUAUGACUUAUAAUUUCAUUGAUGAAAACAAUUUUCAUUGAACAUGAUGUUGUAUGUCAUCUAUAUGCUCACUAAAAGCAUCAGCUUCAAUGAUAGGUCAUGCAUCCAUUGGUAAAGGAACCAAAUCCAUAGGCUUUCUAGGAAGCGAUUCAGUCACAAUCUCAAAAGGACUGUGACCAAUAGACCUGUUCAGGGAGCUAUUAUUUGCAAAUUUGGCCAUUGAUCUGAUCUCUAGCUAGGCAGUGAAGUAAAUGAUCCAAGCUUCAAUUAACAACUUCUAUUUGGCCAUUUUUUUGAGGGUGAAAAGAAAAAGAAAACUUUAGUUUGGCAUUCGGUAUUUUCCAUAAAGUUCACCAGAAGUAACUCAUGGACCUACCAUCCAAUUUAGGAAAAUCAUGAAGGCGAACAAUUUCCUUGAAGAAGAGUUUUUUUUUUUUUUUUUGAUAGGUAUUCCUUGAAGAAGAGUUUAACAAUCAGGCAACAUCUUUAGUCCUUAAGCAUGGGAUAAAUUGUACCAUCUUGGAGUAAUGAUUUAUCGCUACAAGUAUACAAUCAUGUCUCUAAUAGUUUUUAGAAAACCAGGGACAAAAUCCAUGCACAGGUCUAGCCAUGGCUCAUGUGGCACAGAAGUGGCAUGUAUAGACCUAUAUUCUUCCUUUGCCUCUUUGAUAAUUUGCAGGUUCGAUGUCUGGAGACAUUCUUAGCCACAUUUUUUCAGACUUGGUCAAUAAAAAUGAUUUUCCACCAUUGUAAUGGUUUCAUCUCUUCCAAAAUGACCAGUUGUUUCUCCAGCAUGAAGUUCCAAUAUUACUUGCUCAUGAAAUGAUGUUUUGGGUAAGCAAAGCUGAGUCCCUUUGAAGCAAUAUCAAUCAUGUAAAAAAUCACCAUAUUCUCCCGAAUUUCUAGGCACUAAAGCAACACAUAUAGUGCUAAAAUCUUUGCAAGAAGGAUAAGGUCUAUUGAACGAGUCAAAUCCAACAACUUGUACUGCAAUAGAAGAAAGAGUGUAUGCCAAUUUGCUAAGGGCCACUGCAAAGAAUUCUUUGCCAUUGCAAAAUGUGCACAUAUAUGUUGUUGAAAAAGAUGUUUAGAGCAUGCAUUAAACCUCACAGAUAGGUUUUUUACAAUAUGGGUGUACACAUUGACAUUACUAUUCACAUCAAAAUGAAAGAGAUUAAAAUAUUAAAUAGCAUCAUUAUCAUUUAGAUUCUAUAUAUGUUUUACCUUCAACACACUUAAGUUGUUUGAAAUUUUCAUAAUAUAUCUAAUUUAAUGGUAAUAUAUUAUAAAGACCACACAAAGAAACUUAAGAUGAUUGAAAAUUUCAUAAUAUAUUUGGUUUUAUGACAAUAUAAUAUAAAGACUGAAAAAAUAAAAUAAUGUUUGACGUUCCAACCAUAAUACAUUGCUGUUACUUCAAAAAUUAGAAAAAAAAAACAUUCAUAAUUCAUUGCAAUAAAAACAAAUACAAGAUUCUAAAAACUUUAUCACCUAAAUUCUGCAUGUAGAACAAGAGCAAAGUUAGGAUCUUUCUGUGUGGUUAAGUGAAACUCGGUUUCUUAUCCUACUUUACAAUUUUUGGUUUCUUACUUAUUCAAAACAAAGGUCGAUAAUAUUAAUAGUGUACUUGAUAUAUAUGGAAUUACCAAAGACAACAAGAUUUGCAUAUGGAAUCAUAAAAGAACACUAGAAUGACAAUUAAUAAACAUAUAAAGAUGUACAUUUGAGUUGAGACACACCUUGAGGAGAGAUACAACAAAAAAACAUAAGCAAAUGCACCCAAGGAUUAUGGAAUUCUCCUCCUUUUUCCUCUGGCAAACCUCACUUUUCUACAUGAUAAUGAAUUUAUCAAAAAUACAAAUUGAUACUAAAACAUAAUAAUUAUAGUCAUAUCCCCUUAAGGCAUUAAAAUAUUAGAAAGUCUCUUGAUGAGCACAGAGGGUUAAAAUUAUGUUUAUUGCUUGGAUACAACAAAAUGAAGUUACAAGUAUACUAAAUAAUAUACUAGGAAAUAACAUAUCGACACCAUAUAUAAGAGUAGAAUUGAAGCUAAAACAAGAACUUUGAAUGCAUGUUUUGCACCCUUUGUGUGGCUUUGCCUUAUUAUAUAGUUCUAUACAUCAUGUAUACUUUAAAAAAAAAUUGUUUUGCAUGUUUUUUCUUAGGGGCCUUUUUAUGCAAUUUUAUUUUCUUAUCACAAGAAAGUUGAUUAGAGUUUUUGUAAUUUAUUUUCGUCAUAAUUUCAUUGUAAUAUAAAAAAGAAAAUUUGAGAUUUUUCCUAAUAUUUUUGCUUUACUCGAUACUUUUCAUGAUUUGAAUGGAGUUUUUUACUUUUUUGUGUGAGACUUGGACUCAUCAAUGUCUCAUAGUGUUCAAAAUGGAGCCUUUUGCAGAGGUAGAAGAAGCACCUACAACACUAAUGAUGGAGUUACUUCAGGAAACAUGACUUUCAUUCCUGUAAAAAUGGCUAAGACAUUUCAAUUUUUUGACCACUGCACAAAAACCAUGUUUUCUUAAUUUCUGAAGGAGUUGUAUUUUUUAAAUAAAUUUUAUACAUAAACAACACUUGAUCUCAAGAUCAACUCAAGUAAUCCAUGUCUAAUAAAAGGAUGUGAGAUACACCCUCCUCAACUUGAAGGAGUGUGAGCCAAUUGAAUAAGAGUGUUUUGAACAACUUGAAGACAAGCUAUACUAUAUGUUGUACCAUCCUUUUUGAUGGAACUCAUGAAAGGCUAGUGGAUAUGAGUCUUUGAGGAAUGAAUUAGGCUCAAUGCUGUUGUAUAUAAUUUAGAGUAGAUAUUUGAAAUGUAUGGAUAUUAUUUGUAGUACCAUCAUGGAUAUGAGUUGUGAUGUUUAUUUUCCUUGUAAUUUAUUUUAUGCAUUUAAGUGUCUUAUUUCAAAAAGGUAAAAUUUUUAUAUUUGAUUACAUUAGAGUUUAUAUUUAAUACUUUAAUUAGGAUGACUAAUGAUUAUAUAUUGAUGUAAAUAUUAUUUUUCACAAAGAUAGUUCAAAAGUUAUGUUUGGAACCAAAUCCCAAAGGAAAAGAAUUCUAAAAUUAGAUUUCAGUCUCUUGGUGAUCAUGAUUGGUAUGAGAAGGAAUUGAAAUGAAAACAAUUCUCUCGGGUCUGGUAUUAUAACGAGAAUAAAUAACUUUGGUGUACUAGUUUGACCAUGCUACAACAUAAAUAUGAAUGAUCUAAAUAUUAAUUCUUCUUAACUAAAAUCAACCUAAUUAUAAAUUUAAUUAUAAAAGUAAAUAAAUUUAUCAUAACAAAAGUAAUUAAGAAUGUCAUUUAUAUAAAAAUUACAGAAACAAUCAAUUUCAAUGAUUUAAAAUCACUUCUCAACAUUAAACUUAAAAAUCCCUCUAGCAUGAUCUAAAUUAUCUUAGAAUCGGCUUUUUAAUUCACUUAAAAUGCAAAGUAACUUACACUAGUUUUAAAAAAUUAAAAGAUUAUUAUCAUAAAAGAAUAUUUGUUUUUGUUUAAAUCCCUUUACUCCUCUAUUAAUAAUUAUAAAAAUAGAGAAAUAACUAAAAUAACUAAAAUAACAUGACAUAAAUGAUAAAAAAGAAAAAAAAAAAAGAUAUAUAACCAAUGUUUUAAAAACCGGACCAGUGAUCGAAUCGGAAAAGUUACCGGUUCACGGUUCACUGGUCGGACCGGCGGUUGAACCGCGGUCGAACCGGUGAUGUAAUAAAUAAUUAAAUAUAUAAUUUAUAUAUUAUAUAAAAUUAAAAAUAAUUAUAAAAAUUAAAAAUAUAUAAAAUUGCAAAUUUUAAUAAUGUUUGAUUCUUAUAUAUGGUAUAUUAAAUUAAAUGAUAAAGUUUAAUAUUUUAAAUUUUAUUAAAUAGAAAUAUGUAAUAUUUAAGAAAGAAAAUAUAUUUAAGAUAAAAAAUUUAUAAUAUUUAAUUUUAUCCUUUUGUCUUUGUAUUUUAUUGUUUUUAAAUUAUUCUAUUAAUUAAUUUAUAUUAUUUUUUAUAAUUAUUAUAAAAAUAAAGAAGAAUUAAAAUAUUUACAUUUUUUUAAAAGAUUUUAUAUGAUAAAAUUUUGAAAUAAAAUCAAAGUUCUAUGUGUCCAACCCUCAAGAGGCAAUGUUUUCCUCUAAUAGUCUCAUUCCCAAUCCCACAUCGAAAGCACAAGAAUUUGAUGUGCUCCAUGUGCUCUAUAAAUACCUUCCAACUUGCCUUUAACCCAAACAAGCUAGCAAGUUGGGCGUGGAAGCAUGGCUCAAGUGGAAGUGUUAUUUUAAAAUAAAAAAUGCAGCAAAUUGGGCUUGUAGACAUGGCCCAAAUAACAGUGUUAAUCUUAUCAUUGGACUAGGCCUAGUGGCUUGAACCAAAGAUGAGUUUGUAGGCAUUGGGCCUAGAAUGGGCCUUUUACAUAGUAAACAAAAACUUGUUAUCUAAGGUGUGACCUGCAAACCGGACGGGUUGUCCGAUUCGACGAUUCAACUGUCGGUUUGAACGAUUCAAUGUCGGUUUGAUCACAAAACGAUUCAUUGAGCGGAUCGAACCGGAUAGUUCACCGAUCGAUGGUUUGAUCGGUCGAUUUUUAAAACCAUGUAUAUAACUACAAUGAUAUAAGUGAAAUUAAUUAAAAUUGAGAAUUCACUCAAGUUAGAGAAUUAUUUAUUCUAAUAAAAAUAUUAAAGAAAUACAUUACUUAUUGUAACAAUUUUUUUUUCUUCUUGUAUUCUAUGUGAGCAUCUAUAAUAUUGAAAAUAGAAAUAAAAGAAUCCCCAUUCAUAUUUAAAAUAAUUUAUUUUAGAAGAUUCUACCUUUAAAAAGUCCAUUAAAGUUCAAAAAGAGAAAAAAGAUGAAAUGAAUAGUAUGUAAAGAAAAGAGAGUGAAAAAGACAAAAAUAUAUGUAUUAAUUUAAAUUUAAAGAGAAGAGGUAAGAGUAACAGGGCAACAUCGAAAAAGAGAAAGUUUACUUUAAUAAAAUUGAAAUCUCAUAAAUUAAAAACUCAAUUGCUAUUCGUAAUACCAUUUUUACUAAUGCGACAUUUUACAUUUCUAAACUACCCUCCCUUAUUAUUUCCCCUCUCUCUUUCAUCUCUCAUCUCUCCUCUUUCCCCUUUCUCUUCCCCAACCUCACGUCCCAAUUGCACCAUUUUUUAUUUUCUUUUUAUUUAUUUAUUUUUUCCCAACCCCCACCCCCACAUUUUAGCUUUCUUUUUAUUUUAUUUUAUUUUUAUUUUCCUUUUCAUCUCUACCCACCCAACCCCCCACUCCACGUAAACUUUUAUUUUUCUUUUCAUUUCUUUUAUUUUUUUUCACACUCUAUUGUUUUUCAUAUUCUUCUUAUAUUUUAAAACAAAAUAAUUUCUUUAAAUAAUAAAUUAUAAAAUGAUUUUUUCACCAAAAGUGCGUUAUAUAAAAUGAUUUUAUUAUAUUCAAUAUUUUAAUGUGAAAUUCAUAACUCAAUUUUUUAAAAUAAGAAUUAUUAUUAAAAUUUUAAAAUAAAAAAUAUUUAAUUGAAAUGGUUUAAAAAAAAAUAUUUUAAAAUAUAUAAUUCUUUAUAAAAAAAAAUGAAAGUUAUAAAUCUUAUUUGAAAAUUGUCAUCAGAUAUUGAAUUUCAUUAUUCAUUGUAUUUCGUGUGUGAUUCAUAGCCUUAAUUAAGUAGAAUUUAGGUUCGGUGUUGAAAAGAAGUUAGAGAAAGUUCUUUAUUAAAAAUGGUAUAUGUGGAAAAAAAAGUUUCCUUUAACACAACUUUCCAUUUAAAAUUCUUAAAAAGUUGUCUGCCAAAUCCUUUAAAAUUCUUUCCUUCUAAAAACCUCCACUAUUCCAAAUCCAUUCUUCCCUUUUUCCAUUUAAUUCCCUUGAUUCCAAAUAAAGUAGAAUAAUAACAAUCUUUCUAACAAGUUAAUAUCAUAUAAAAGCAAAUAAUAACAAUCUUCCUAAUAAAAUUCUUUCCUUCUAAAAAUCCCCGUUAUUCCAAAUCGAUUCUUCCCUUUUCCCAUUUAAUUCCCUUGAAGCAAAGUUACGAACAUUUGGAAAUACAUUACAAGAAUUUUGUGGAUUUCUUCAAGAAUGAUUAUAGAAGCAAAAGUUUAGAAACAUUAAAAGGGUAAUUUUUAAAAAUAAAUUAUAGAAAAAUCCAAUAAAUAAUUAUUUUUUUCCUUUAUUGAGGCAUAUUAAAAAAGUACAAUAUUCUAAAAAUAGGUAAUAGAAAAAAUAUUAUAACAAAAAGGUUUAUUUCUUUAGUUAUAUUAAAACAAAAAACAAAAAAUAACAAGGUUAGUUCAAAGAUUGAAAAAAAAAAAUACAUUAGAAAUAUUAUCAAUGUUUUAGUUUUAUUUUCAUACUCAUCUUGGGGUUUAUAUAAAAAUCAUUAAAUGAAAGUGGGUUCUAAAAGUCAAGAAAGGUUUAUUCCCUUAAAUGAAAGUAUUUUUAAAAUAUAAUUCUCAAAUAUAAAAUUCAAUUGCAUAACAAUCGUUAUUACCUUCAUAGAUACUUCUACUAAACAAACAAGUAAACUGCUAUCCUAUUAAAACAUAUGUUUGAAUUUUGUAUAGGCAUUUGAUAAAUAUAUAUAUAUAUAUAUAUAUAUAUAUAUAUAUAUAUAUAUUCACUUUGUGAAUAUAAGCUUCAAUGUUAUUUAAAUUUUCUUUUUUUAAAAAAUAAAUUAAACCCUUAUUAAGAUAUUGAAAACAAUAUUUUUAUUUUUAUUAUUCAUUAAAUCUUAUCGACACUCACUACUUAUUAAUACUCAUAUUUAAAUAACUUUAAAAAUUAUUACCCUUUUUUUUAUAAUAAGUGUCUAGUAAGUUUACAAAAUACAGGAGUUACUAAUUUUUCUAUUUUUCAAAACAAAAGAUAUAUUUACCAAUGGCAUAUUAAAAUUGUAUACCUCUUAACUAGUUUUGUAAGUGCACUAUUUUUUAAUUCCACUUUCAAUAUACUUCUCAUCAUAUAUUUUUAUAGUUAGAAUCAUUUAACAUUGACACAUUCAACAAAUCUUCAUCCAAACAAUGAAUAUGAAAAAUUAUAAAUUGAAUAAGUCUAUAUAUCGCCUAAAAUUGAUGAAAACACAAUAGAAUGGUAAUACUCUCCUCUUUCAUGUUCAUACAAACACAAUUUAACAUUUGGAUUAAACUUUUUGAAAUAUAAGUUUUUAUCAUUAAUUUGAAUUGAAACACCUUAUUGGAAAAUUGGGAGUCCUAUGAAGAAUUUACAAUACAGAAAAUUAUCGGUAAUUAUUAAGUAAUUACAUGGACUUAAAUAAAAAAGAAAAAAUUAGAGACAUGAAAUUGCUUUUAGAACUAAUCCAAUUGGUGGAAAUUUGAGAAAGCCUCCCAAUAGCCAAAGUAACAAACCCUAAACAUAAUAAUUAAUUCUUAGUACUAAGGGUAUGAAGACUUAAACCUCAUUCAAUGCAAACCAAAUCAUAUAGUGAGCUAUACUUUUUGUGGAGAAGUUAUUUUCUUGGACGCUAUAAUAAAAAUAUUUAGAUGGAUGACUUAGUACUUAAGAAAAAUUUUGUUUGUAAAUGUGAAUUCAUGUAAUCCAUAUAUCCUAAUGUUUUUAAUUUUUUAGUUUUAUUUUCAUAUUUAUCUUGGGGUUAUGUAAAAAGCAUUAACAAUAUUAUUUCGGAAUAACUAUUAAAAUGUUAAUUAUUUAUUUGUUGGUAUUAUAAUUUGGGAUGGUGAGAAUAGAGGAGCAAAGUACAAAGAGUCAGUGUAAGUAGGCCACGUGUAAUAUAUCUUUUCUCUUCCAACUUAGGCCCCACCCAAUAAUGGGCUUGGGGCAAAGCACCAACUAUUCAACUUGGAUUGGACUAGGCUAUCUAAGAAUUUGACAAUUUGUUGCUACUGCCUUAAUCUUUGUUUGUGGAUAUUUAAGAAUUUCAUUUUUUUUCCUUUAAAUACAAGAAUUCACCAAUUAAAACUAUGAACAUAUUUAUCUAUAACGAGGAAUUGGAAGAAAAGUGGGUUUAAAAGUCAAGAAUUUAACAAUAUAAAAAAAUUAUCUUUAUUUUUAAUAAAAAUAUUUUUUAAAUAUAAUUCUCAAGUAUAAAAUUCAAUUGAAUAACAAUGAUAAUUAUUACCUAAUCUACUAAACAAACAAUUUAAAUGCUAUCCUUUGAGAACACACAUUUGAAUUUUUUUUUAUAUGUAUUUCGUAAAAAGUUUUUUCUUUUUUACUUUGUUAAUAUAAGUGCUAAUAUUAUUAUUAUUUUUUUUAAAAGAUCAAACCCUUAUUAAGAUAUCAAAAACACUAUUUUUAUUUUUAUUUUUCAUUAAAUCUUAUUCACAUUCACUAUGUAUUCAUAGUAGCAUUUUUUAAGUAGCUUUAAAAAAUUAUUACCUUUGUAAAGUAAGUUUCCAUGAAGUCUGAGUUACUAUUUUUUUUUUUCUAUUUUUAAAAAUAGAAGAUGUAUUUAAAUGACACCCAAUUCAUUAAAAUUAUAUGCCUGACAACUAGUUUUGUCAAUGUGCUAUUUUUAAUUCCAUUUUCAGUAUACUUGUUAUCAUUUUUUUAAUGGUUGAAAUCAUUUAACAAUGAAUACAAAGCUUCACCCAAACAACGAAAAUGAAAAAAUUAACACAAAUUAACAUUUGGAUUGAUUAAACUUUCUCAAAUGUAAGUUUUUGUCAUUAAUUUGAAUCAAGAUGCUUGAUCGAAAAAUUGGGAGUCCUCAUAAGAACUUACAAUACAUAAAAUUAUAGGUAAUCAUUGAGUAAUUCUAUGGACUUGAAUGGAGAGAAAUUUUAUUCUAAAAAAAAAAGAGAAAAAAAUAGAAAAUUAAAGUCAUGUGAUUAUUUUCAAAACUAAUCCAAUUGAUGGAAAUUUGAGAAAGCCUCCUAACAGCUAAAGUAACUAACCCUAAACAUCAUAAUAAAGCACUAAGGGAAUAAGGACUGAAACUUGCUUGAUGCAAACUACUAUCUUUGCAUAUCUAAGUCUUCGAAUGGGCAAUAAUGCUUUUUGUGGAGAAAAUUGGACUUUUGCCCCUUAUGAUACACAAGCCAAGACUAAGAUUAAUUGCUCUCUUUAUUCCAAGUCUUUUGCAUAUCUAAGUCACACUAAGAUUAAUUGCUUUCUUUAUCCCAAGUCUUUUGCAUAUCUAAGUCAUCCAAUGGGCCACACUUUCUAUGGAGAAGACUAAACUUUUGCCCCUUGCGGUACGUAGGCCUCAUCCAAUGGGCCACACUUUUUAUGGAGAAUGCCAGACUUUUGUCCCUAGCAAUAUGAAUGCCAACACCAAUAUUAAUUGCUUUCUCUAUUCCAAGUCUUCUGCAUAUCUAAGUCCAUCCAAUGGGCCAUACUUUUUAUAGAUAAGACUAAACUUUUGCCCUUGUGAUAUGAAGACCAAGACUAAUUGGUUUCUUCAAUAUUCCAAGUUAUGUGCAUACUUCUAUGUAGGGUAAUAACAUAAGGAAGUUUCAUAUGGUUUUAUAAUGUGAGUCUAGAUUUGUUAUUCUGUUUUUUUUUCUUUACAUGCAUACACACACUUUUCCACUUAAAUAACAUAAUUUUUAUUUUUUCAAAUAAUCUUUGACAAAACUUUUAUCAUACCCCUUUUUAACUAUUAUACUAUUUUCCCAUAUCUAAAAUUUUCAAAGUACACAUUUUGUUUUGCAAUUAUUUCUUAACUACGUACAUUCCUUGGACACUACAAAAAUGAUUUUAUUUGAAAAUUAACCAAUAAAUAUAUUUAGAUGGAUGACUCAAAAUUUAAGGAAAAAAUUUGUUCAUCAAUACUAUUUCAUGUAGAAUAUAUAUGCAUAUGUAUCAAAGAAAAAUUUGUGGAUAUUUAAGAAUUUCAUUUUUUUUCUCUAAAUACAAGAAUUCACCUAUUAAAACUAUGAACAUAUUUAUCUAUAAUGAGGAAUUGGAAGAAAAGUGGGUUUAAAAGUCAAGAAUUUAACAAUAUAAAAAAAUUAUGUUUAUUUUUAAUAAAAAUAUUUUAAAAAUAUAAUUCUCAAGUAUAAAAUUCAAUUGAAUAACAAUUAUAAUUAUUACAUAAUCUACUAAACAAACAAGCUAAAUUCUGUCCUUUGAGAACACACAUUUGAAUUUUUUUUAUAUGUAUUUCGUAAAAAGUUUUUUUUUUUACUUUGUUAAUAUAAGUGCUAAUAUUAUUUUUUUUUUAAAAAUAUAGAUCAAACCCUUAUUAAGAUAUCAAAAACAAUAUUUUUAUUUUUAUUUUUCAUUAAAUCUUAUUGACAUUCACUAUGUAUUCAUAGUAGCAUUUUUUAAGUAGCUUUUGAAAAAUUAUUACCUUUGUAAAGUAAGUUUCUAUGAAGUCUGAGUUACUAUUUUUUUUUCUAUUUUUAAAAAUAGAAGAUGUAUUUAAAUGACACCCAAUUCCUUAAAAUUAUAUGCUUGACAACUAGUUUUGUUAAUGUGUUAUUUUUUAAUUCCAUUUUCAGUAUAGUUGUUAUCAUUUUUUUAAUGGUUGAAAUCAUUUUACAAUGAAUACAAAACUUCACCCAAACAACGAAUAUGAAAAAAUUAACACAAAUUAACAUUUGGAUUGAUUAAACUUUCUCAAAUGUAAGUUUUUGUCAUUAAUUUGAAUCAAGAUGCUUGAUCGAAAAUUGGGAGUCCUCAUAAGAACUUACAAUACAUAAAAUUAAAGGUAUUCAUUGAGUAAUUCUAUGGACUUGAAUGGAGAGAAAUUUUACUCUAAAAAAAUAGAGAAAAAGAAGAAGAAAAUUAAAGUCAUGUGAUUACUUUCAAAACUAAUCCAAUUGAUGGAAAUUUGAGAAAGCCUCCUAACAGCUAAAGUAACUAACCUUAAAUAUCAUAAUAAAGCACUAAGGGAAUGAGGACUGAAACUUUGCUUAAUGCAAACUACUAUCUUUGCAUAUCUAAUUCAUCCAAUGGGCAAUAAUACUUUUUGUGGAGAAAAUUGGACUUUUGCCCCUUGUGAUACACAAGCCAAGACUAAGAUUAAUUGUUGUCUUUAUUCCAAGUCUUUUGCAUAUCUAAGUCAUCCAAUGGGCCACACUUUCUAUGGAGAAGACUAAACUUUUGCCCCUUGCGGUAUGUAGGCCUCAUCCAAUGGGCCACACUUUUUAUGGAGAAUGCCAGACUUUUAUCCCUAGCAAUAUGAAUGCUAAGACCAAUAUUAAUUGCUUUCUCUAUUCCAAGUCUUCUACAUAUCUAAGUCCAUCCAAUGGGUCAUACUUUUUAUAGAUAAGACUAAAAUUUUGCCCUUGUGAUAUGAAGACCAAGACUAAUUGGUUUCUUCAAUAUUUCAAGUUAUGUGCAUACUUCUAUGUAGGGUAAUAAGAUAAGGAAGUUUCAUAUGGUUUUAUAAUGUGAGUUUAGAUUUGUUAUUUUGUUUUUUUUUUCUUUACAUGCAUACACACACUUUUCCUCUUAAAUAACAUAAUUUUUAUUUUUUCAAAUAAUCUUUGAAAAAACUUUUAUCAUACCCCUUUUUAACUAUUAUACUAUUUUCCCAUAUCUAAAAUUUUCAAAGUACACAUUUUGUUUUGCAAUUAUUUCUUAACUACGUACAUUCCUUGGACACUACAAAAAUGAUUUUAUUUGAAAAUUAACCAAUAAAUAUAUUUAGAUGGAUGACUCAAAAUUUAAGGAAAAAAUUUGUUCAUCAAUACUAUUUCAUGUAGAAUAUAUAUGCAUAUGUAUCAAAGAAAAACAUGAAAAAUUGAAAACUAUACAUGUAUAAAUAUUAAGAUAAGAUUCAUAUAUUGGUGCAAGUACAAAAGAAACAAUAUUUCAACAAUAAUGCUUUUUCCCUUUGAAACUUUACAUGGCUUUACUUGGAAACAACAUUUGGAUACAAGUACCAUAUACAAUUUUUUAAAAACCGUUCUUCAAAAAAUAAUUCUUAAAUUAAGACCGUUUAUGAUUUUACGUGGAAUUUGUGUUUUGAAAAAAUGGGUUUAAUAUAAUAAAAGUAAGCUUUUUAAAAAAAAAGAAAAAAAAGAAAAGACAAGUUAAGUAUAAAAAGUAGGAAUUACUCAUAUAUUGAAGAGAUAAAUUUAAUGUAAAAAAUAAAAAAAGUAAAAAAUAUUGUAUUCUUGUAUUUAUUUGUCAAACAACCAUUUUUAACAAUAUUCUUUUAAAAUAACAUUUUUUAAGAAAAAAUCCCAUGUUUUUUUUUUUUUUUGCCUCCCAAUUCAAUUUAAUAGACACCUUCGUCCUUUAAAAACUCAACUGCUUUAUAGAGAAGACCAAGACUUCUAGCUCGUGAUGUAGGGUUGUAUUUCGUAUUAUUUCUCAUUAAAAGAUAAGACUAACCCUAGAUGCUACUAACUAUGAAAGUUUUACUUUAGCUUAUGCAGGGACCUAUUUUAUGAUUAAAGAAACUUUUACAAACAAAUAUUCCCUUCUUUUUUUAAAAAAAAAAAAAAGAUUAUAUUUGGUUUCCAUUCCAUCUUUCACUUUAAGCUUAAAACAAAAAAUUAUCCUUAAUGAACCUUCUGCUAUACAUCUAUUCUUCAUAUUCUAAUUGCUUUAGGCAUGCUUAACUUUCUAAUUUAGUGAUUCACAUAGUAGUUAGAAAGCCAAACUCUAUCUUUAGGCUGAUAAGUUGUAAAAUCUAGUAGUCAUAGUUUUCACUUAAUUGUAGAUAAUUAAGAAGGAUGCAAGGUUAACUAAUAGUAAAAGAUAUAAUUGAAAGUGACAAAACUAAAUGGAUAUCAUUUGAGAAAUUAUUGUGGCCAAAGUGGAUAAGAAAUAUGAUCUCCUUUUUCUACUUAGUUGCCCUCCCACUUUUUCCAUGAAAUCUUAGCUUGUGAUUAAAAGUGGGCAAAAUAGUUCGACUCUUGAUCGGACAACCAACCCACGUUGUCAUUUUAAUGUGGAAGUGACUCUAAAUUUUUCUUUGAUUUGAAGUCAAUGGUCCCACAUUUGAAUUGGAAACUUCGAUGAAGUUUCUGAUAAUGAAAAUUUAAACUUAAAUUAUAAGGGAACCUUUGGGUAUAAAUUCAAGUCAUCUAUUAUUAUAUUUUUUCAUCACACACCAGCCAAUUUUUGUUAUAGCUUUUGAAGAUACGAUGUAUCGAAUCCUUUGCUUCCUCUUCUUUCUCUCAUAUUCUCCAGUUAUUUGUUUCUCUUUGUCUAAUUCUACAAAGCUGUGUCCUCAUCACCAGAAUGUUGCCUUGCUUCGACUUAAGCAAUUAUUUUCCAUAGAUGUCUCCGCUUCUUCUUCGGAUGAUUGCAAUUUAGCUUCUUUUGCCAAGACAGACACUUGGAAGGAAGGCACUAAUUGUUGCUCAUGGGAUGGUGUCACAUGCAAUAGGGUUACAGGCCUUAUAAUCGGGCUCGACCUUAGUUGCAGUGGCCUCUAUGGUACCAUUGAUUCCAACAGUAGCCUCUUCCUCUUGCCUCAUCUACGAAGGCUCAACCUCGCUUUCAAUGAUUUCAAUAAGUCAUCUAUUUCAGCUAAGUUUGGACAAUUCCGGAGAAUGACUCAUCUCAACCUUUCUUUCUCUGGAUUUUCAGGUGUAAUUGCUCCAGAAAUCUCCCACCUAUCCAACUUGGUUUCACUUGAUCUUUCCAUCUAUAGUGGAUUAGGACUUGAAACAAGUAGCUUCAUUGCACUUGCUCGAAACCUAACGAAGUUGCAGAAACUUCAUCUACGAGGUAUAAAUGUCUCUUCCAUUUUGCCUAUCUCCCUACUGAAUUUAUCUUCUUUGAGAUCUAUGGAUCUCUCUUCUUGUCAACUAUAUGGGAGAUUCCCUGACGAUGAUCUUCAACUGCCCAACCUUAAGGUUCUCAAGUUAAAGGGUAACCAUGAUCUCAGUGGGAAUUUCCCAAAGUUCAAUGAGAGUAAUUCCAUGCUGUUGUUGGAUCUUUCUUCUACAAAUUUCAGUGGGGAGCUUCCUAGUUCAAUAGGCAUUCUAAAGUCUUUAGAAAGUUUGGAUCUUUCUUCUACAAAAUUCAGUGGGGAGCUUCCUAGUUCAAUAGGUAGUCUAAAGUCUUUAGAAAGUUUGGAUCUCUCGCACUGCAAUUUCUCAGGUUCCAUUCCCUCGGUUUUAGGGAACCUCACACAAAUCACUCACUUGGACCUCUCAAGAAAUCAAUUUGAUGGUGAAAUUUCAAAUGUUUUCAAUAAGAUUAGAAAGCUAAUUGUAUUAGAUCUUUCCAGUAAUAGUUUCAGAGGUCAGUUCAUAGCAUCACUUGACAAUCUAACAGAACUUUCUUUCUUAGACCUUUCAAACAAUAACCUAGAAGGUAUCAUUCCUUCUCAUGUGAAGGAACUUUCAAGUCUAUCGGACAUCCAUUUGUCCAAUAACUUGUUGAAUGGGACAAUACCAUCUUGGUUGUUUAGUCUACCAUCAUUGAUAAGGUUAGAUCUCAGUCAUAACAAACUCAAUGGUCAUAUUGAUGAAUUCCAAUCCCCUUCAUUGGAGUCCAUUGAUUUGAGUAGUAAUGAGUUAGAUGGGCCAGUUCCAAGUUCCAUCUUUGAACUUGUAAAUCUUACAUAUCUCCAACUUUCUUCAAAUAACUUGGGUGGCAUUGUGGAGACAGACAUGUUCAUGAAUCUUGAAAAUCUUGUCUAUCUCGAUCUUUCAUAUAACAUUCUGACAUUGAGCAACUACAGCCAUUCCAACUGUGCGCUACCAUUCUUGGAAACAUUGUUGUUGUCUUCUUGCAACAUAAGUGAAUUCCCAAGAUUUUUAUGCAGUCAAGAGGUGUUGGAGUUUCUGGACCUUUCAAACAACAAGAUUUAUGGACAACUUCCGAAAUGGGCAUGGAAUAUGGGUACGGAGACACUGUCUUACUUCAAUCUUUCUCAAAACUUGCUAACCAGGUUUGAGAGAUUUCCAUGGAAGAAUAUGCUAUUUCUCGACCUUCAUUCCAACUUGCUUCAAGGACCACUUCCAUCAUUGAUUUGUGAAAUGAGUUAUAUUAGUGUUCUGGAUUUCUCUAAUAACAACUUGAGUGGAUUAAUUCCACAAUGUUUGGGAAACUUCAGUGAGUCUCUCUCUGUUUUGGAUUUGCGAAUGAAUCAGCUUCAUGGUAACAUUCCUGAAACGUUUUCGAAGGGCAAUUUUAUCAGGAAUCUUGGCUUCAAUGGAAAUCAAUUGGAAGGGCCUCUACCACGAUCUUUGAUCAAUUGUAGAAGGUUGCAAGUUUUAGACCUUGGAAAUAAUAGAAUAAAUGAUACAUUCCCUUAUUGGUUGGAAACUCUUCCAGAGCUACAAGUUUUGAUCUUGCGUUCUAAUAGGUUCCAUGGUCACAUAAGCGGUUCAAAUUUCCAAUUUCCAUUUCCCAAGUUACGAAUAAUGGAUCUUUCACGCAAUGAUUUCUCUGGUAGUUUACCGGAAAUGUAUUUGAAGAAUUUCAAGGCAAUGAUGAAUGUCACUGAGGAUAAAAUGAAACUGAAAUAUAUGGGGGAAUACUAUUAUCGAGAUUCGAUAAUGGGAACAAUCAAAGGAUUUGAUUUUGAAUUUGUAAUUUUGUCUACCUUCACAACAAUUGAUUUGUCCAGCAAUAGAUUCCAAGGAGAGAUUCUAGAUUUCAUUGGAAGUCUUAGUUCACUUCGAGAACUCAACUUGUCUCAUAACAAUCUUACAGGGCAUAUUCCAUCAUCAUUGGGGAAUCUAAUGGUGCUUGAAUCAUUAGACCUCUCUUCAAACAAGCUUAGUGGGAGAAUUCCAAGGGAGUUGACAAGUCUGACAUUUCUUGAAGUCUUAAAUCUUUCGAAAAAUCAUCUCACUGGAGUCAUUCCUCGAGGCAACCAAUUUGAUACAUUUGCAAAUAAUUCAUAUAGUGGGAAUAUAGGAUUAUGUGGACUUCCCUUGUCUAAGAAAUGUGUAGUUGAUGAAGCACCACAACCUCCCAAAGAAGAGGAGGUGGAAUCCGAUACUGGAUUUGAUUGGAAAGUCAUAUUGAUGGGGUAUGGUUGUGGACUAGUAGUUGGAUUGUUUAUGGGGUGCCUCGUCUUCUUAACAAGAAAACCUAAAUGGUUUGUAACAAUGAUUGAAGGAGAUAGACAUAAGAAGGUUAGAAGGUCAACAAGGAGCACUCGCAGGCAUGGAGCAAGAAGAAGUUAGGCCAUUUCUAUGAUAUCGUAUUUUGUGGUGAAUGAUACUAAUGAAUGUUGCAUUCUUAUGUAAACAAAUAACAUGUAUUGUGAUUAAUGAAGUAAGAGUCUUUGAAGUUGUAAAAAUAUUUGUUUUUAUUUUUUCUUUCUUGAAAUGGAAUAAUAUGUAGUAACAAUAUUUUCAAAUCAUCACUACCAUUUAACUUAUUUAUAUAUCAUGAUCGAAAGUAUUUUUAAAUGUUGGGUUAUGUAAUUAGUAAAGGUAGAACUCAUAAGGUUUUGCAAAGAAUUAGAAGCAAUUGAUUGCUUAUCACUAAAAGACUAACGAAUUUUUGUUAGGAACAAAGGGUGAUUUUUUACAAGAAUGAUAUUGAAAGGGUUGUAAAUUAAUGAAAUCCAAAUUCCAAUUUUAGGUUACAAAUGUUCACUAGACUCUCCUCCACAUAAUACAUUUAUCUUAACAUGAAACAUUUAACUGGUCUUUACUACGAGUCUUGCCUAUGGAAGACUAAUUAAGCAUUCAUAAAACAUUAAUUAAUUCAUGCUCAAAUUGGAUUAUGUUAUUAUUUUAGAGGUUACUUGCUUAUCACUUAUCUCACGAUUUAAAUGCAUUCAAAAGUUAUUUUCUUUUACUUCAACUCAAACUCUUCCCUAUCAAAAUAAUAUGAUCUUAUAUUAAAAAUAAUAUUUUUAUUAUAUAUUUAUAGUUAUUUAUUAGAUAGAAAAUUCCUUCUUUCAGAAUUCCUGAAUCUCUCUCUUAUAGGCUAGGUGGAGUAAUUUAAGAGCCCUUUUUUUCCUCUCUUUUUUUUUGUUGGGCUCCAGCCAGCCCAUCAGACAAUGAAUUCAAGGAUUGUUGGGCUCCUUUUGAGGGCCAAAGUUGGCUUUAAUGCUUGGAAGAGGACUCAAUCAGUUCCAUGCCAAUGAAUUUAUAUCAAGCUCUUGACUUUUAUCUCAUACGUACACAAAGCUUCUGUCAUUCAAACUUCUCUUUUUUAUUUAUUAUUAUUAUUAUUAUUUUAAUUUAAGUGUGUUUUAGCUUAUUCAUAGUCAAAUAAAAGAUUUUUAUUUUAAAAUAAAAUAAUGUGUCUUUCAAUUUUUAAAUUUUAUCUUUUAAAAAAUUGUUUAUCAUAUCAUCAUCAACAAAUGAGUGAGUGACAGGCGGACAGUUGAGGCCCAAAGGGGGUGCAGUGGGUUCUUUGGGCCCAGAUUCUGGCACAAGAGAGCACAUGCUAGCCCAAUCAUGAUUUAGCUAAACCCAUGAAAGAAGACUCUAUCUUACCUUAAGUUUAUUACUAUCUACCCAAUAACAUGGUGUGCUGGAUUUGGCAUCUUGAGUUGGAUUCUAAGCAUUAUUUUAAGGCUAUGUUGCUCGAAAGUGUUAAACAAAGGAGAAAAAUUUGCUAAAAAAAUAAAAAAAAGUAAUAAUAUACAUAUUAAGUUGUUUUAUUGAAAAAAUCAAUAUAUGUAUAAUAAAAUUUAUGAUAAUCCAUAAUAAUUUACAAUAUUUGAACUCAUAUUUAAUAUUUAGUUUAUAUAUAUUUAUGAUAAUGCAUAUAUAAUAAUCUUUUUUGAAAUAUAGAUUCAUUUAUUGUUUGAAAUAUUAUAUGGAUUGCUUUAUAAUAAUUUUUUUUUUUUUUUUUGGGGGAAUCAUUCAAUGAAUUUUUCUACUUUGGGGCAACGUUACCACACUGGAUAGGCAGCCUCAUCUCACUUACAGAGCUUGGAGUUCAUGAAUGCCGUCAAUUGAAAUCACUACCAAAAGAGAUGCGUUCCCUUAAAAACCUGCAGAAAUUCUAUAUCUGGGAUUGUCAACAUCUAGAGAAAAUAUGCCGACAGAAAACAGGGGAAGACUGGCCCAGGAUUGCUCAUAUCCCACAUAUUGAUUUCUACACUGAUCAGUGAAUAACAAGGGAGGUCCGAAAUCCCUAACCUUUCUUCUCAUUUUUAUUAUUUUUUCGAUCAAAAUGCAAGGUUUUCUCAUUCUCUCUUGGUAAUUCUUUUAUAUUGGCACUUCAUAUGUUUGUUAAAAUGCCCACAUCAGUAAAUCGAUUUUUUUUUUCCAGACCACAUAUACAGUCGAUGAUGAUGUACAUGAAACUCAUCAUUUUACUUGGGGUUGAGGCGAGAUUUGAUAUGAUAUCUCUCCCAGAGGAGCUGAUUCAACAUGUUUCCAUGAUCUAAAGUCUCAACAUUAGACAUCGCUCUGUUUUUGAAACAUUACAACACUGGAUAGGCAGCCUCCCCUCAGUUACAGAACUUGGAAUUCAUGGCUGCCAGAAGGUACGUUCCCUCGAAAACCUGUAGAUGCUCAAAAUCUACAUUGAAGUUAAUGAGGGCUGAGGUGCUGUGUCAGUUAAUGUUUCUCUCCCCUUCAUUGAAGUCUCUGUCUAUUGGAUGCUCAGGUGCUAUGAUGUCUCCCAGAGGAGCUGCCUCAGCAUGUUUCCAGGAUCCAAACUCUCAAAAUUGAAUUCUGCUCUGGUUUUGCAAUAUUACUGCCCUGGAUAGGUCGCUUCACCUCACUUAUGGACCUUCAUAUUUGUGACUGCGCUGAAUUGGCAUCACUUUCAGAAGAGAUGCAUUCCCUCAAAAACCUUCUGACACUAAAAAAUCUUUCAUUGUCGGCACCUGCUUGAAGAUGCCAAAAAGAAACAUUUCAGGUUCAAGAACACAGAGAGCCAUACUUGAUGGAGAUUUCAUCAAUAUAGAGAGGCAUUUCAAGUCUGAAAUCCACCCUUCUCAUUUCUUAUGGCUUCAUUUUGAUUUAAUUUCCUAAUUACAUGAAUUCUAUAUCUGUAAUCCCAGUAUGUAUUAGCACAUAAGUCAAAAGUGAUUUUGAUUUUUUUUAUGUCCACACCUUAUUCAUUUGAUGAAAUGCUUAAACAAGUUUGAAAUUUUUUCCCUUCAAAUCAAUUUCUAAUGCACCAUGAAUUGGUAAUUGAAGUUUGGAAAGAUGUUGGGUUGAUUUAAUUAUUAUUUUGUUGCAGAUUUCAACUUGCUUAAGACGCUUGUGAUUAUUUCUUCUUGGCUCAACUUGAAAUCACUGCCUACGUUCUUCCAUUUCCUACCUCAAAAUCACCUACCAAAAGUUUUGGAUUGGUUAAAAAUUUUCUCAUGGCCCAUAAAUUCGUAUCUAUCAGAUGGCUGAUAUACAAAGGUCCUGCUUUCCUUAGAAAUCAGGUCUACUCUCUGCCAUAUUUUUCAGGUAAUCUGUUGCCUGCUUUUAAUCUCUACAUCAUCUUUCGUUUUGAUAUCAAUUUUUGUCAGGAGUGUCAUACAAGUUGUAAUUAUAUUUGUGAACUUUCAUAUGCACUAUCAUUUUUUAUUGUUUUUUAAUAUAUAACUCCAACCAAACAUAUCAUAGACCAAAAACUUAUUAUGUCUGUCAAGUAGUUUGUUUUUUUCCCCCUUCAUUUGGUGAUGUUGUUUUGGGCCUAGAUAAUUUUUUAGAUUAAUUAAUGCAAAUGUAAUGUUGUCUAAUCAAUACAAAAACUAAUAGUUGUGAGGCUUGGAUACGUGGCUUCCUUGAUCAGUAACUGAAUUGAGUGUUUCUGUAGGCUGGUGUCUCUAUAUUUGGAAAUUCAGAGAGUUGCAAAUUCCAAGGAAUUGGAAGAUUGAGUCGCUGUCUCUACCAUUAGGGCUUCAAUGAGUUACCAUUCUGGAAAUUAUAAAAAAAAAACAUCAGAUUGCCUCAUAUCUUUGAAUCGAAAUCACUGCUAGAAGGAUGUGCUUCCCAACACUCUCAUGGGCUCUUUGACUUUGCCAUCUACAAUACAUCAGAGGUUCAUGAUCCAUCCUCUAUUCCUGCUUUGGGGGGCUUCAAUUUUUAUAUUAUUUUUCCGUUAAUACUCUAAAAAUGUUAUAUUCUAUUUUUAAUUCUUUUUACCUGAGUCUUAUGCAUUAGCACACAAGAGAAAAGUCAUAUAACACUUUCAUAAUGCAAUCAUUUUCCAUUGUUAGCCAUAUACUAUUUUUCUUAUAUAUAGCUAAGGCAUCCAAUAAAUAUGCCUACACUCACCAGAAAAAUACCCAUCUCGUCAUCUCCAACUCUGCUCUUUUGAGUUGCUGCUCAUGGCUCCAAAAUGAUGGGUGUUUUUCCAUUUUGUUUUUGUCUUCAGUGAGCUUAGAAGACGAGAUUUGAAGGACAGUGUUAGUGGGUUUUGGUGGGAAUGUAGAUUUGGUGGACCUAAUGCUACUGCUGUCUGGUUUUAAGAAAAGAGGGUUGCGGUGACGAGAAUGAGGUAAUUUUGGGUCGUGAAUGGAGAAAGAGACGAAUUUGAGGUUGAGGGUUUGAUGAAGGAAGCUACGUUGUGUGAGAUUAUGCUCUGAUCCUUGUUUAGAAUUUUGGGUCUAUUAAAUUCACGUAUAUUGUUUGCCAUUCCAACCCUCUUAUUGCUUUUGAAGACAAUAUUAUUUUUGUAAAAUCCUACCUUCAAAGAUACCAAUUCCUUGUAUUUUUACUUUAAUGGUUAUAAUCUGUAUGUGAUCUUCUUAUUUUAUAUUUGUAUUUUACAUGUUCGGAAAUUUUAGUUCAGGUGUUUAAGUGUUGCCAAGUCAAAGCAAUGCCAGAUAGUGAUGUACUUGUGACACCUUACUUCUCUAAAGCUACUCGAAAGUGGGGAUUGUUGCCUACCACAUCUCAUUUCUCUCAAGUCGUCGAAAAUUCAGUGAUGUGUCAAUAGCCUAAUGUCUUUGUCACAAGUGAUUUAGGGAUUCAGAUUGUUUCUCUGAAUUGACAUAAAUAAUAUGUUCUGGUUUGGUAACAUUAUCACACUCAAUGGACAACCUCCAUUUACUAACAUCUUCAAGUUUUUUAGGGAAAAAAACUGUGGAAAACUGUGUUUUGGCUCGCCCAUUUGGGCCUAAUAGCUUUUUGGUAACCCAACUUUCCAUAACCCAAAAAAUGUCCACUGUUGCCCAAAAAAAUAUCCCUUUCAUGCACUAUCCACUGUUUUAUAAUUUCAUUUCCAAAAUUACCCCUCCAGCCUUCCAUAUCAGCAGCCAUCUCCCUCUCCAUGUCACGGGUUGUGCUUUUAAAUAAACACAAAAAUCUUAAACAAGUUAGCAAAACCCACGCAAGACCCGACUCUGAAAUUUGGGGAAACCAGGUUAGGGCAAAAGGAGAGAAAGUCACAGAGAGUCCUUAGCUCCUUUCUCUUCUCUCUCUUUUCUCUCUGUUGUGUGAAUUUUUCAGUGAAAAAUCGAAAGCUUGUAAGCUGUAAUCGAAAGUUAGGUUCAGUGCUUUUUUGGUACUUUGUCGGAUGGCCCAAGCAGCCAGUAGCAGAUACUCAAAUUUUAUGCUUGGGUUUUACUUGAAUGCUCAUACAUUAGCUGUCAUCUUCAAGGUCCAUUUGGUUUUAAUGCAUCUGGAUCACGCAGCUGAGCAGAGGAAAGAGGAAAUGAAUCUGUUACUGGUUUGAUAUUUUUGGGGCUUAGGUGCUUACGAGUUGUACGGUGUAAGCAAAAUCCUCGUUAAAAGUCUAACUUAAGACAACUGGCUCUAAAUAGCAUAUGGCCUGGCGUUGAAAGUGGCUGUAGCCUACAAUCUCAAAUCAAGGGGUGAGUCCCGUACCAUUUAAAAGAAUUGUGACCUUCAGUGUCAGAAAUUUUCAGUUAAAUACAAAUGAAUUGCAUCUUCUUCACUGAAUUUUCAGCCUCCGGUUUCAUCUUUGCGAGGUGAGAUUCACAUUCAUUUUCCAUUGAUCGAAUUCCCCCUCCUCUGCCACAGCCUGGCUAGGGACUCGGUUAAGUUAAGAUGCUAACACUGAAUGAAAAUUGAUUCCAACAAUUUUCAUCAAUCAAUUCCUCAAGUACAAAAGCAGAUGGUGUAUGGUGGAUUGCAGUAAUAGACGAAGUUGGUUUAGUUUAUCCCUCCUUUGAUGGGCACAAGGAUAAAACCAUCUAUUGCUGGGCAAGGUAGCUAGAUGCAGCUUUCCCCAGAAGGCUCGAGGUAGCAGAAUGUCCAUUUUGGUCUCAAGUCGCUCAACAUUGCUGAAGUUCCUUUGCAAUCCUAAUGGAGACUGCCAUUGGGCAGUUUGUCUUAAUUGCGUUGGAGGCAAUGUGUGACCUGCUAACAGCAUAUCCCUCCUGCAACAACCAAAUCCAACAGAUGGACUGCAUCAGUUUCUGUAAACCAUUUGUUGGAGCUCCAGACCAUAGCAAAUAUCUCCAACUUCAAUUGGGAGUGAUCAGCUUCUAUAGAACAAUAAAAUGCCAUACCAUAUUAUAAUUUCCCCUUAUAUUUUUCCCAUUCUCCUAAGCUGGGGCUUGAUGAGUUUUUAGACCAAAAGACUUGUGCAAGUAAACAUCAUCUGGAUCAGGCAACAAAAAAAAAAAUUACCUGACUCUGUUUCUUGGCUAAUGACAAUUGAAAAGCCUCUAAAAGAGAACACUAGGAGGAUACCUUGUUCAGGGCGCUCAUCAUGGUCAUGAGGGGAGGAGAGUUUAUUUUUGCACGGCUUGCUACCUAGGAACAUAAGAGGAAAAUCAAUAAUGAAAUUGCAUUCAAUUUCCAAGCCAUGCAACAGAGCUUGAGAAUUAAUUCACAACCAAAUCAAGAAUCUAAAACACAAAAUUAUGUUAUUUGCAAGUAAACCUCAUCCAAUUUGAUGUAUCCAAAUGGUAAUUUAGGGUCACUCUCAUCGAUCAUUUGCUUCAGAAGUUUUCCCAGAUGAGUUUCAGUGUCAUUGCCAGUCCAUCCCCAUUGUUCAGCUAAAUUUAGCAUUUCUGUAAGGUAGGAAGCAUUAUGGCAGAGAUUAUCAAAUACAGUGGUUUUGCUUUUAAGUUGCUUAGGUACUACCUUAAUGACCUUUAGGUACUACCUUAGUGGCCUUCAGGUACUACCUUAAGGGACCCUAGGUACUACCUUAGCUAAACUUCAACCCAACCUCUCCCAAGCCUUUGUUCUUCAUUUGUGACCCUUAGACCAUGCCAUUAUAUGCUUCUCUUGAGUCCUCAAGUGGUCCACCAAUGGUUUUUUGCUACUGUUCCUUAGGUACUACCUUAGUGGCCUUAAGGUACUACCUUAAUGGCCUUCAGGUACUACCUUAAGGGACCUUAGGUACUACCUUAGCUAAACUUCAACUCAACCUCUCCCAAGCCUUGGGUCUUCAUUUGUGACCCUUAGACCAUGCCAUUAUAUGCUUCUCUUGAGUCCUCAAGUGGUCCACCAAUGGUUUUUUGCUACUGUUGCUUAGGUACUACCUUAAUGGCCUUUAGGUACUACCUUAGUGGCCUUCAGGUACUACCUUAAAGGACCCUAGGUACUACCCUAGCUAAACUUCAACUCAACCUCUUCCAAGCCUCGGGUCUUCAUUUGUGACCCUUAGACCAUGCCAUUAUAUGCUUCUCNNNNNNNNNNNNNNNNNNNNNNNNNNNNNNNNNNNNNNNNNNNNNNNNNNNNNNNNNNNNNNNNNNNNNNNNNNNNNNNNNNNNNNNNNNNNNNNNNNNNNNNNNNNNNNNNNNNNNNNNNNNNNNNNNNNNNNNNNNNNNNNNNNNNNNNNNNNNNNNNNNNNNNNNNNNNNNNNNNNNNNNNNNNNNNNNNNNNNNNNNNNNNNNNNNNNNNNNNNNNNNNNNNNNNNNNNNNNNNNNNNNNNNNNNNNNNNNNNNNNNNNNNNNNNNNNNNNNNNNNNNNNNNNNNNNNNNNNNNNNNNNNNNNNNNNNNNNNNNNNNNNNNNNNNNNNNNNNNNNNNNNNNNNNNNNNNNNNNNNNNNNNNNNNNNNNNNNNNNNNNNNNNNNNNNNNNNNNNNNNNNNNNNNNNNNNNNNNNNNNNNNNNNNNNNNNNNNNNNNNNNNNNNNNNNNNNNNNNNNNNNNNNNNNNNNNNNNNNNNNNNNNNNNNNNNNNNNNNNNNNNNNNNNNNNNNNNNNNNNNNNNNNNNNNNNNNNNNNNNNNNNNNNNNNNNNNNNNNNNNNNNNNNNNNNNNNNNNNNNNNNNNNNNNNNNNNNNNNNNNNNNNNNNNNNNNNNNNNNNNNNNNNNNNNNNNNNNNNNNNNNNNNNNNNNNNNNNNNNNNNNNNNNNNNNNNNNNNNNNNNNNNNNNNNNNNNNNNNNNNNNNNNNNNNNNNNNNNNNNNNNNNNNNNNNNNNNNNNNNNNNNNNNNNNNNNNNNNNNNNNNNNNNNNNNNNNNNNNNNNNNNNNNNNNNNNNNNNNNNNNNNNNNNNNNNNNNNNNNNNNNNNNNNNNNNNNNNNNNNNNNNNNNNNNNNNNNNNNNNNNNNNNNNNNNNNNNNNNNNNNNNNNNNNNNNNNNNNNNNNNNNNNNNNNNNNNNNNNNNNNNNNNNNNNNNNNNNNNNNNNNNNNNNNNNNNNNNNNNNNNNNNNNNNNNNNNNNNNNNNNNNNNNNNNNNNNNNNNNNNNNNNNNNNNNNNNNNNNNNNNNNNNNNNNNNNNNNNNNNNNNNNNNNNNNNNNNNNNNNNNNNNNNNNNNNNNNNNNNNNNNNNNNNNNNNNNNNNNNNNNNNNNNNNNNNNNNNNNNNNNNNNNNNNNNNNNNNNNNNNNNNNNNNNNNNNNNNNNNNNNNNNNNNNNNNNNNNNNNNNNNNNNNNNNNNNNNNNNNNNNNNNNNNNNNNNNNNNNNNNNNNNNNNNNNNNNNNNNNNNNNNNNNNNNNNNNNNNNNNNNNNNNNNNNNNNNNNNNNNNNNNNNNNNNNNNNNNNNNNNNNNNNNNNNNNNNNNNNNNNNNNNNNNNNNNNNNNNNNNNNNNNNNNNNNNNNNNNNNNNNNNNNNNNNNNNNNNNNNNNNNNNNNNNNNNNNNNNNNNNNNNNNNNNNNNNNNNNNNNNNNNNNNNNNNNNNNNNNNNNNNNNNNNNNNNNNNNNNNNNNNNNNNNNNNNNNNNNNNNNNNNNNNNNNNNNNNNNNNNNNNNNNNNNNNNNNNNNNNNNNNNNNNNNNNNNNNNNNNNNNNNNNNNNNNNNNNNNNNNNNNNNNNNNNNNNNNNNNNNNNNNNNNNNNNNNNNNNNNNNNNNNNNNNNNNNNNNNNNNNNNNNNNNNNNNNNNNNNNNNNNNNNNNNNNNNNNNNNNNNNNNNNNNNNNNNNNNNNNNNNNNNNNNNNNNNNNNNNNNNNNNNNNNNNNNNNNNNNNNNNNNNNNNNNNNNNNNNNNNNNNNNNNNNNNNNNNNNNNNNNNNNNNNNNNNNNNNNNNNNNNNNNNNNNNNNNNNNNNNNNNNNNNNNNNNNNNNNNNNNNNNNNNNNNNNNNNNNNNNNNNNNNNNNNNNNNNNNNNNNNNNNNNNNNNNNNNNNNNNNNNNNNNNNNNNNNNNNNNNNNNNNNNNNNNNNNNNNNNNNNNNNNNNNNNNNNNNNNNNNNNNNNNNNNNNNNNNNNNNNNNNNNNNNNNNNNNNNNNNNNNNNNNNNNNNNNNNNNNNNNNNNNNNNNNNNNNNNNNNNNNNNNNNNNNNNNNNNNNNNNNNNNNNNNNNNNNNNNNNNNNNNNNNNNNNNNNNNNNNNNNNNNNNNNNNNNNNNNNNNNNNNNNNNNNNNNNNNNNNNNNNNNNNNNNNNNNNNNNNNNNNNNNNNNNNNNNNNNNNNNNNNNNNNNNNNNNNNNNNNNNNNNNNNNNNNNNNNNNNNNNNNNNNNNNNNNNNNNNNNNNNNNNNNNNNNNNNNNNNNNNNNNNNNNNNNNNNNNNNNNNNNNNACCAUGCCAUUAUAUGCUUCUCUUGAGUCCUCAAGUGGUCCACCAAUGGUUUUUUGCUACUGUUGCUUAGGUACUACCUUAAUGGCCUUUAGGUACUACCUUAGUGGCCUUCAGGUACUACCUUAAAGGACCCUAGGUACUACCCUAGCUAAACUUCAACUCAACCUCUCCCAAGCCUCGGGUCUUCAUUUGUGACCCUUAGACCAUGCCAUUAUAUGCUUCUCUUGAGUCCUCAAGUGGUCCACCAAUGGUUUUUUGCUACUGUUGCUUAGGUACUACCUUAAUGGCCUUUAGGUACUACCUUAGUGGCCUUCAGGUACUACCUUAAGGGACCCUAGGUACUACCUUAGCUAAACUUCAACUCAACAUCUCCCAAGCCUCGGGUCUUCAUUUGUGACCCUUAGACCAUGCCAUUAUAUGCUUCUCUUGAGUCCUAAAGUGGUCCACCAAUGGUUUUUUGCUACUGUUGCUUAGGUACUACCUUAAUGGCCUUUAGGUACUACCUUAGUGGCCUUCAGGUACUACCUUAAGGGACCCUAGGUACUACCUUAGCUAAACUUCAACCCAACCUCUCCCAAGCCUCCGUUCUUCAUUUGUGACCCUUAGACCAUGCCAUUAUAUGCUUCUCUUGAGUCCUCAAGUGGUCCACUAAUGGUUUUUUGUUAAUGUUCCUUAGGUACUACCUUAAUGGCCUUAAGGUACUACCUUAGUAGCCUUCAGGUACUACCUUAAGGGACCCUAGGUACUACCUUAGCUAAACUUCAACUCAACAUCUCCCAAGCCUCGGGUCUUCCUUUGUCACCCUUAGACCAUGCCAUUAUAUGCUUCUCUUGAGUCCUCAAGUGGUCCACCAAUGGUUUUUUGCUACUAUUCCUCAGGUAGUACCUUAGUGGCCUUAAGGUAGUACCUUAGUGGCCUUAAGGUAGUACCUUAGUGGCCUUAAGGUAGUACCUUAGUGGCCUUCAGGUACUACCUUAAGGGACCCUAGGUACUACCUUAAGGUAAACUUAAACUCAACAUCUCCCAAGCCUCGGGUCUUCCUUGGUCACCCUUAGACCAUCCCAUUAUGUGGUUCUCUUCAUUCCUCAAGUCGUCCACCAAUGGUUUGUUGGGACUGUAGCUUAGGUACUACCUUAAGGGCCCUUAGGUACUACCUUAGUGGCCUUGAGGUACUACCUUAAGGGACCCUAGGUACUACCUUAAGGUAAAUUUCAACUCAACCUCUCCCAAGCCUCGGGUCUUCCUUGGUCACCCUUAGACCAUCCCAUAAUGUUGUUCUCUUCAUUCCUCAAGUGCUCCACCAAUGGUUUUUUGGGACUGUAGCUUAGGUACUACCUUAAGGGCCCUUAGGUACUACCUUAGUGGCCUUGAGGUACUACCUUAAGGGACCCUAGGUACUACCUUAAGGUAAACAUAAACUCAACCACUCCAAAGCCUUGGGUCUUCAUUGGUGACCCUUAGACCAUCCAAUUAUGUGGUUCUCUUCAUUCCUCAAGUCGUCCACCUAUGGUUUCUUGGGACAGUAGCUUAGGUACUACCUUAAGGGCCCUUAGGUACUACCUUAGUGGCCUUGAGGUACUACCUUAAGGGACCCUAGGUACUACCUUAAGGUAAACUUGAACUCAACCUCUCCCAAGCAUCAGGUCUUCCUUGGUGACCCUUAGACCAUCCAAUAAUGUGGUUCUCUUCAUUCCUCCAUUAAAGAUUAAACUUGUUAUCUCUAUGAAUGAACUUAAACUUCAUAUGAGGGGGAACGGGUUUGAAGGUGUUGAGCUAAGAAACAUCCAUGAUGCACUAAUUUUCACUAAUUAUUUAAUUUUCACAAUUGUUAAACAUGGUUUUAGGUCUCUAUGAACACGUUGAUUCAUGGUGCUCAAUUUCCUUGAAAGGAAAAAGAAAAAAAUUCAUGGUUCUGUUUGUCUAAGAUUGCAUCUAAGGAUUUCAUUUUUCUUGUGUGCUUUUCGGUAAUUAUUUUCUGUAGAAAUUUGAAGAUCUAGAUAUGUGUACUCUAGAAGAAUUAUAGGAUUCGAUUUGUCCUGAUCAUGAUCAUGUGCAAAUUUUGGUUUACUGAUUUUAGUUUUCUUUCAAAAUUUUCUUGUUAGGAAAUCUCAAAUUUCUCUUUUUCAUGUGCAAGUAUUUCAUAAGCAUUGAGCAAAAGUCAUCAGAAACCCAACUUGUGAAUUGUGAUGGCAGGUACACCCAUACACUUAUCGGAAUGAGAACCAGUUCUUACACUUUAACUUCCAUCAAGACCCAUAUGCAGAAUAUGAUUAUUGGAUAAACAAGAUAGGAGUUGAUGGACUCUUCACAUAUUUCACUGGCAGCCUCCAUGACUUUCAGGAAUGGACCUCUCCUCUCUCUCAAGAUGAUGGUGAUGAUGAUGGCAAUGCUGCUAAAUUGUUUCAUAAGAUUGCAACUUUAGUCUCUCCCUACAAGAAGGGAUGAUAGUGUAAAAUGCAACUUCUCAAGACUGUAGCUUAGGGUAGAAAUCUCUNNNNNNNNNNNNNNNNNNNNNNNNNNNNNNNNNNNNNNNNNNNNNNNNNNNNNNNNNNNNNNNNNNNNNNNNNNNNNNNNNNNNNNNNNNNNNNNNNNNNNNNNNNNNNNNNNNNNNNNNNNNNNNNNNNNNNNNNNNNNNNNNNNNNNNNNNNNNNNNNNNNNNNNNNNNNNNNNNNNNNNNNNNNNNNNNNNNNNNNNNNNNNNNNNNNNNNNNNNNNNNNNNNNNNNNNNNNNNNNNNNNNNNNNNNNNNNNNNNNNNNNNNNNNNNNNNNNNNNNNNNNNNNNNNNNNNNNNNNNNNNNNNNNNNNNNNNNNNNNNNNNNNNNNNNNNNNNNNNNNNNNNNNNNNNNNNNNNNNNNNNNNNNNNNNNNNNNNNNNNNNNNNNNNNNNNNNNNNNNNNNNNNNNNNNNNNNNNNNNNNNNNNNNNNNNNNNNNNNNNNNNNNNNNNNNNNNNNNNNNNNNNNNNNNNNNNNNNNNNNNNNNNNNNNNNNNNNNNNNNNNNNNNNNNNNNNNNNNNNNNNNNNNNNNNNNNNNNNNNNNNNNNNNNNNNNNNNNNNNNNNNNNNNNNNNNNNNNNNNNNNNNNNNNNNNNNNNNNNNNNNNNNNNNNNNNNNNNNNNNNNNNNNNNNNNNNNNNNNNNNNNNNNNNNNNNNNNNNNNNNNNNNNNNNNNNNNNNNNNNNNNNNNNNNNNNNNNNNNNNNNNNNNNNNNNNNNNNNNNNNNNNNNNNNNNNNNNNNNNNNNNNNNNNNNNNNNNNNNNNNNNNNNNNNNNNNNNNNNNNNNNNNNNNNNNNNNNNNNNNNNNNNNNNNNNNNNNNNNNNNNNNNNNNNNNNNNNNNNNNNNNNNNNNNNNNNNNNNNNNNNNNNNNNNNNNNNNNNNNNNNNNNNNNNNNNNNNNNNNNNNNNNNNNNNNNNNNNNNNNNNNNNNNNNNNNNNNNNNNNNNNNNNNNNNNNNNNNNNNNNNNNNNNNNNNNNNNNNNNNNNNNNNNNNNNNNNNNNNNNNNNNNNNNNNNNNNNNNNNNNNNNNNNNNNNNNNNNNNNNNNNNNNNNNNNNNNNNNNNNNNNNNNNNNNNNNNNCAAUGCAACAAAACGCCAUGUAUGUCUGCAAAACAUAUAUUACAAUAAUGGUAUGUGCAUUCCAAGUUAGGAUUAAGCUUCCUCUAUAUUCAAUGGGAUGUGUCUUAAGAUAUAGAGGGAACUGAAGGCAUACUGACUAAAUAUCAUUAUCCAAAGAACAAAAUAAACUAAGGAGCCUAUUGUGAAGUCUUCAUCUUUGAUAUCUCCUCCAACAGUAAUCUGGAUUCAGCUGCAAAAUCAACUGGAACAACAGCCCUGGCUGUUAUCCUCUGCCUUUUCUCGUUCAUGUACUCAUGUUGUGCAACACUAAUCCGGAAAAGCUGAGGGACCCAAAUAGCUUCCUUCAAUUUCUGUUGGAAUAGGUUCUCUUCUCCCUCCUGCAGAGAAGAUUGGGUUUUUUAAACAUCAGAUUUUGAAUGGCAGAAGUUCAUCAUUUAAAAAAAAAAAAAAUACAACCCAACUAGGCUACCAAAUAAGUAACCAACUACAUAUGAAUUAAUGCAUCAAUGAGCAACUCUUUCAAGUUAACUAAGAUUUGGACAAACUCAUAGAUAUUUCAAUAUUGUCAAGAGUUUACCUGUGAUUUCAGCUUAUCAAGCUCAUCAGCAGAGCACCCAAAUAUUCUCUCUGCUUGGUCAUUGAACAGAGAAAGCCAAUAGAAGCCAUUGAAGCUCCUUUACAUUCAGAAUCAUACCUGUGAAGAAGAACAUAUGGUCAGAAACACUUACUACAAGAACUAACAAGGUAAUAGGUCACUGGAUGAUUCCUUACCAGGAUAUCAACUUUUUUUAUUCGCGUGUAUCUGGAUUUACCAGUACAAUACUUUCACUCAAUGUUGACAGUGAUACAACUAAAACAAGAUAUGAAGAGAACAUUACAAAGAGGACUUCUUAUCAUUCUCAUGUUUUUUAGAAUUGCCAUAAUAAUACCAAAAUUCAAGAAAACAAGGGGAAUUACCUUGGAAGUCUCCAACUUUGAGAGAUUUAAUUGCAACAAUUGGAAAUUAAUCAGCAUUAUCCAACAAUUCCUGCCCUACAUUAGUAGCAUGAUCAUUCCACAAAGAGACCACAACAGAGAGAAAAGAGAGAGAAGAGAGAGAAGCUAAGGACCCUCCAUUUGGCACAAAGUAAGAAAACCUUUUUUGCUGUUUGAUGUGAAGCUCUAUGCAUUAAAAAAAGGAAAAACAAAUUAUAAACUUAAUUUUAAAAUAUAUCAUAAAAAACAGCUCUCUAGGUGGCAGGAGAGGUGGGUUUUGGUUCAAAUAGCUUAUACUGCCUCUGGCAUCUGUUCUUGAAUUCUCCAACUUUGUCUCCCAAACAUGUCCUAAUUCCCAAGAGCUCAUAUUGCCACACCUACUCAUUAGGGUUUGCAUCAGUUUCCAUUAACAUUUAACUAAAAAGAGUUUAAAAAUUCAAUCAAGGUCAAACAAAAUCAACCAUCCCACAGAGCAGAAGUUACAUAGAUAUUCGAGAAAAUAAGUCAUGUCACAAACUAAGCAUCUAAUCACACAGCAGAAGUUCAGAAGUUCAGCUUUCCUCAAUCCAACCAGCUUUGAAUACAUGCUUAUAGGCUUCUAUAAUCUGCUCCUUACCACCUUUAAACAAAACCCUUGAACGAAUUAAACCAAAAAACCCAGAAAAAAAGAAAAAAAAAAAAAAAAAGAAGCACAGAAAAUUAGGAUUAAAAUCAAUCAAUCCACACAAAGUGCUAAAAAAACAUUAAUAAACAAACACCCAACAUAAAAACAACAAGCUUUUAUUAAAAGAACACAAAAACAAAUAAAAUAAAAACAUACCCACAACUUUAUCUUACCUCAAGAACCAAAUCCAAGAGCAAAAAAAGAGUUUAAAAAUUCAAUCAAGGUCAAACAAAAUCAACCAUCCCACAGAGCAGAAAUUACAUAGGUAUUCGAGAAAAUCAGUCAUGUCACAAACUAAGCAUCUAAUCACAGAACAGAAGUUUAGAAAUUCAGCUUUCCUCGGGUGCUAAAUUGCAAUUAAAAAUAAAAACACUAAUUAAUUGUCAAUCUCAAGAGAACCUAAAUCCCAAAAAUUAGGCCAGAAACCUAAAUUACGUGCAUUGAAUAGUUCCAGAUGCAUGAAAUCAAUGAAAAAAAUUACCAAACAAAAAUAGUAAUCAGGAAAGACCAAGUAAAGAAUACACAAAAAUGUACAUAUUUAUCGUUCAUUCGUGUGGUCGCCGGAAGAAAAAAAACGGGAAUAAAGAACAAAGCUCGAGAUUUACAGCUGCGCCUAAACAUUUGCUCUCUUUCAUUGCAAAGAAACCAACAACAAUAGAAAAAAAAAUAAUCAUAUAAGUUUCGCCUCAUAUUUUCCUCAUUUACCUCAGUUUUCUGAGCAACCAAACAAAAACUAAAAGAUGGACUAGAAAGCGAAUCUAACUUGAAUAGUGUAAGAGAGCUCAUAACAGAGUGGAAAUCUCUAAAUGAAGGCGAGAACCUGGAGAUGAAAUCGCUUUAUCUGAAGAAAUUUGCGGAUCAGUAGUACGGCGACACGCGUGAAUCGAUUACAGCUUACAAGCUUUCAAUUUUUCAUUGAGAAAUUCACACAACAGAGAGAGAAGAGAGAGAAGAGAGCGAAGCUAAGGACUCUCUGUGACUUUCUCUCCUUUUGCCCUAACCUGGGUUCCCCAAAUUUCAGAGUCGAGUGUCGCGUGGGCUUUAUCUGAAGAAAUUUGCGGAUCAGUAGUAUGGAGACACGCGUGAAUCGAUUACAGCUUACAAGCUUUCGAUUUUUCACUGAGAAAUUCACCCAACAGAGAGAAAAGAGAGAGAAGAGAAAGAAGCUAAGGACUCUCUCUGACUUUCUCUCCUUUUGCCCUAACCUGGUUUCCCCAAAUUUCACAGUCGGGUGUUGUGUGGGUUUUGCUAACUUGUUUAAGAUUUUUGUGUUUAUUUAUUAAAAGCACAACCCGUGACAUGGAGAGGGAGAUGGCUGCUGACAUGGAUGUGGAGGGGUAAUUUUGGAAAUGAAAUUAUAAAACAGUACAUAGUGCAUGAAAAGGAUAAUUUUUUGGGCAACAGUAGACAUAUUUUGGGUUAUGGAAAGUUGGGUUAUGAAAAAGCUAUUAGGCCCAAAUGGGCGGGCCAAAACACAGUUUUCCCUAUAUUGUAUCAUAAGAAAAAGAAAGGAAAAAAAAAGAGUGGAGGGGGAGGGGGAGAGAUGGGGGGCUAUGUUGUAAACAACAGGGUAGCCUGUGUAAAGCCCCCAGUUUUUACUUAGAGACCUCAUUACCCAUUAGGAAAAGGGUCAGUGACCUAUUAUUAAUAAUGCAAAAUUACCCAAAGAUGGAUAUUUGAAUUUUUUUUUUUUUUUUGGAGAAUUUAAGAAUUGUUGACACAAUAUAGUGAAACUGCAUAUACAAAUAUUGGGGUCAUUAGUUCACAUGACUUAAGCGAUUAAGAACAUUGAAGAGGAGACAUGUUGCUUGAUAAGCCCACCUGUCUACAUCUUGAGCAGCCACAGUUUGUUGCUCAUGAGACUUUUUGGAAGACACCUCCAGGGAUAAGAUUGAGUAAUUUAAAUUCCAUUAACAGAGUUCCUCUCUUUCAUUAGCCUUUAGGCCCUUAGGAAUCAAGCUUAAACUCGAAAGAUUCUAAAAUCUUACUCCCUUCUAACCUCAGGAAAGUUUUGAGAGCUUAGGUAUCCACAAAUAUCUUGGUACAUUCUAACAAGUCCUAUACCACUUUCCACCAUUCAAUUUAUCCCAAAAUAGCAUAAAUGUCAAGGGGAUACAGGAGACCAGAACUAAUAAAGGCAAUGACAUUAAACGGGAGAAAAAAAUAUCAAAGCAUGAUAGAAGAGUUAAAUACUUAAACAAGUUAGUGUUGGUAUUUUAAUUAUAGUAUUCCAUUAAUACAGUACCAAAAUACUGGAUGCCAUAUACUUUUGUCUAACAAUGGAUGGAAUAAUAGAUAUACAAGCACAAGAAAUAUGUUUCACUAACAUGAAAAUGAAAUUUAUGAAAGGUGGCUAGAUUCGAGAAAUACAAACAGGAUAGAACACCUAUGAAGCAUGAAAUAUUUUUGAACACAAACUUUAACAAAUCCAUAACAUGAAUAAAUGUUUGGAACCACCACACUAGAUCAGCAAUCUGUAGCUUCUCAAUAUCAUAACUGUUACAGCUAUAUUCGACUUCUAACCAUAUAAGCUAAGCCUAUGUUUUGUUUCUAGAAAGUUUUAAGGAAAAAAAAUAGAGCAGAGAAAUAUAAGAAAAAAUUAUAAAAGUUUUCUUUUAUUUGAUUGUCCAUUGAAAAGUUGAAGGAAAGAAAAUUAAAUUGCUAAAGAAUGUAAUUUCCACUAACUUUCCUCAUUUUUUGUUAAGGAAAAUGGACACCACCACCACCCCAACCCUUUUCUUUCGUUUUUUUUUUCUUCAUCUUUCGCAUGGUACCCAAACAUGAGAAAACCAUUUUCACUAGCAUUUUUUCCUUUCCUUUUCUUAUUACUUUCCAAGAACCAAACAUAAGGUAAGUUUAUGACACCCUUUCUAACACAACCAUUAAUAGACGGCUCAAGGUACUUCUAACAGUGAAAGAAGAAUUUCACAAAUACUUAUAGUAAAUUACAGAAUAAGCCAAAAGUGAAGAUAACAUCUAUUAAUACCUGCCUUCUUCAUCUUCCAAAUUCUGAAGAUGUUGUUUUUCAUCUUCACUUAAGUCCAAUGCAACUUGGACGUAGGAAAAAUUAGAACAAAAAAAUAAUCAAGCAUUCUUUUCUCAGCAUCAUCAUGCAAAAUUUUCCACCAUAGCAUAAAAGGAAAUCAUGAAGAAAAAUAAAAAAUGAAAAAAUAAUACGCAUGCUCUCUACAAUAAUAACAAUAAAGGCAAACUACUCCAACAAAUUAUUAGAAAAAAUUGGAAAAAAUAAAAUUCAGAGAAUGGAAAUCCAUUUUCACCUCCAUAUAAAAUACACCAUGAAAAACAUUGGAAUCUAGUAAAGCUCUAGGUAAAAGAGGUAUUUCAGGCCAAUUUAAGAGCUCUAUCAGAAAUUCAAAUGCCCAUUCUGAAAUAGAAAAUUUAAAAUCUAAUUGAAACUUAACUUUGCAAUCCGAGUACCAUAAAAACAUUGAAAAAGUCACACAAAUACUCGCAUAAUCUUAUCAAUCGAAAGGUUAUAAUACAAGGUGCAAAACACCAGAAUCAGAAAUAAGUUUCACAUUCUACAAAACUUACACUAAAAAGAGAAAGUUAAAAGGUCACAGACAGUCGAAAAUAACCAGAAAAUAAAGGAAAAUAAAAGAAAAGGGACCUGUUUGGCGAUAAGUUCUCUCUUAGAGUGGGAUGGGAGUUGGGAGACACUCAUCUAAUAUAUAGGGAAAGUUGUGUUUUUUUUCCCUCCCUCUGUUUUCUGGAUCUAGGGGUCUCUUUGCUUUUGUGCCAUUUGAAUUAAAUUUCACAAACCCUAAACCCACGAUUUUUUUAGCCAGGCUGAAAAAUACCACCUUUGCCUGCAAAUCGUGAUCAGAUUACCAAAUAGCAUCUUAUUGUGCCAUUGGAAUUAAAUUUCACAAACCCUAACCCACGAUUUUUGAACCAGGCUCAAAAACACCACAUUUGCCUGGAAAUCGUGGUCAGAUUACCAAAUAGCAUCUUAUUGUGCCAUUGGAAUUAAAUUUCAAAAACCCUAAACCCACAAUUUUUGAGCCAGCCAGAAAAAUACCACCUUUGCUUGCAAAUCGUAAUCAGAUUACGAAAUAGCAUCUUAUGUUUUAAAUAAAAAAAAAAAUCAAAAAGCUUGGACAGCUCGUGAACAAUGCAAAACAACAUUUAGCCCAAAUUUUUUCUCAACAGCCAAACAAAUUGUUAAAUGGAAACUCACCUGCGAUUACUCCAAAAGGAAGACGAAGCUCCACCGCCGAUUCCAGAAACCACCCAUGAAAAUGCAGGCAAAAGGAGAGAAUAGGGCAAAAAGCGAGGAAGUCAGCGUUUCCCCAAAUUUUUGAGUCGGGUCGUGGGUUUUGCAAAUCCUAACUCUAAAGCUUAAUAUUUUUGUGUUCAAUUAUUAAAAACACAACUUCCCGUGCUGACACGGAUAAGGAGAUGGCUGCUGACAUGGUAGGCUGGAGGGGUAAUUUUGGAAAUGAAAUUAUAAACAGUGGAUAGUGCAUGAAAGGGAUAUUUUUUUGGGAGAAUUGUGUUUUGGGCCCAGCUGGGCCCAAAAAUUAACAAAUGGUCCAUCUAACUGACCUAAUUAAUGAUAAGGAUAUCAAAUGUUAACAGACGAAAAUGCCCUUUACAUUUCCAACUCAAAUUGUUGUAAAAUAAUGGGUUUUACAGCUGGUAAACGUGAAAUGCCAUGUCACCAGAGUGAAAAUUCUGAAUCUUCCUAAAAACCACUCACAUAUACCCUCUCCUUCUACUCUCUUUCUCGCCGGAGUUUCAGUUUCUCCGUUCAACCCCAACUCUUCUCCGGCCAAUUCUUACUCGUCCCACCAUUCUUUCCUUCAAUUCUCACCAGAGUUUGCCCCUUUUCCACCAAAGUUCACUCCUUUUUCACCAAAGCUCACAACUUUUUCCCACCCAAGAAACCAUUUUCCGCUCAAACAAACAGGAUUUUCUCCUUUUCUGGUUUAUGGGAUUUCGACAUAGUUCCUAAAAAGAGACACUUGAGAGGGAACUAAGGUUUUCUCUGUAUACACAAAAGGGUUUUUAGAGAGAGAAAACAGAGUGCAGUUUCACUGAGCCAUUUUUGUUUGCUUUGAAGGAAAUUUUUUAUGUGUUUUGGUGAAGAUUUUAGGGCCUAAAGCUUCAGAUUAUUUGUUUGGCAAUGCAGAAAAUAUAUUCUGGGUGAGUUUUUUCUCAUCUUCAUUUUUGAGAAAUUUUUUUCUCGUAUAUGGCUUUGAUUCUCAGAAAUUUAUUCUAAGGUUUGGAUUAUGUUGAUGAGAUUACCUUGAAGAACUAUGCUUAAUUACUGAAUAUUUUUAUGAAUUUAGGUUGUAAAUAUAUAAAUAUAUCAGUGAUUGAUUAAUUAAUUAAUUAAUUGAUUGAAUGAAUGAUUAAUUGACUGAUUGAUUAGGGGCUAGUUGUUAGAUUGUGUAUUCAAUGGGUGGAUUCAUGCAUGAUUUAAAUUUAUGAAAAAUGGGCCCACCAAAGUCAUUUCUUUAAUUCUUAGUUUUCAAUCACAUUCACCAUUGAUUAUGAUCAUUUUAAGAUCAUAUAUGCAUGGCAUACCCAAAAUUUUCUAUCCAAUUCUACCCAUUUACAAUUAUGUUUAUGGAAUCUAAUGAAAUUGAUGUAUUUGUUCAUGAAAAUGAGCUCAUUUGGUCUGAUUUGAUUCCAGGUCAUGGCAUUGCAGUGAGUUUAGGUGUGUUAUUGGUAUGAUUAUGUUAAUCAAAGAUUCGAAAUGGCCGAUUUCUUCAUGAAAAUGAGCUCAUUUGGUGUGAUUUGAUUUUGGGUCAUGGCAGUGUAGUGAGUUUAGAUGUAGUAAACAAACAAUUUGUUUGUGAAAAUGAACUCAUUUUAUUUGGUUUGAUUCCGGGUCAUGGCAUUGCAAUGAGUUUAGGUGUAUUAUUGAUUAUUUGAAUGAGGGCGAUUUGUUAUGGGAAAAUGAGCUCAUUUGGUGUGAUUAUGUGAAUCAAAAGGAUCUGAAAAUGCUCAGAUUGUUCAUGAAAAUGAGCUCAUUUGGUCCGAUUUGAUUCCGGGUCCUGGCAGUGCAGUGAGUUUUGGUGUAUUAGCAUGAUUGUAAUUUAUAUCAAUUAAACUAUUAGAAACACUAGAUUUCUUCACGAAAAUGAGCUCAUUUUAUGUGAUUAGGUUUCGGGUCACUGCAAUGCAGUGAGAUUUGGUGUAUUAGCAUGCGAUUGGAAAAAUGAUCUCAUUUCAUUUGAUUGAUCUCCGGCCAUGAUAUCACAAUGAGUCUAGGUCUACUACUGUGAUUAUAUCAAUCAAACGACUAAAAAUGCUUGAUUUAUUCAUGAAAAUGAGCUCAAUCCAUGUGAUUCCAUUUUGGGUCAUGACAAUGCAGUCAGUUUAGGUGUACCGUUCAUGCAUUGUGUAAUUAGUAGGUGAUUGGGUUUUUGAUUAAUUAAUCAAGCUUGUGUCAUUCNNNNNNNNNNNNNNNNNNNNNNNNNNNNNNNNNNNNNNNNNNNNNNNNNNNNNNNNNNNNNNNNNNNNNNNNNNNNNNNNNNNNNNNNNNNNNNNNNNNNNNNNNNNNNNNNNNNNNNNNNNNNNNNNNNNNNNNNNNNNNNNNNNNNNNNNNNNNNNNNNNNNNNNNNNNNNNNNNNNNNNNNNNNNNNNNNNNNNNNNNNNNNNNNNNNNNNNNNNNNNNNNNNNNNNNNNNNNNNNNNNNNNNNNNNNNNNNNNNNNNNNNNNNNNNNNNNNNNUAAUUGAUGUCUACCAUGUUCAUUCAUCCUAUUAGCUUCCCUAGUAAUGAUGAAUAUGAACCGAAAUUAGGGUCACCUUUUGUGUCAUUUUCCCUAGUCCAUGGUAAUGGAAACAUUGGUUACCCACCCAUAUUCACUUGGAAAUAUGUACCUAUUAGGGAUUUGGUGACUGGACAAGGCAUUUACACUAAGUGUACAAGGCCAAUGUACUAAAUGUACAAGGGUGUACAAGGGUGUGCAUCUUACUUUUUCCAAACGUGGGGAACAAUCCUCACACAUGUUGCUUGAUAACACACGCAUUGCAUGCAAUUUAAUUGAUGUCUACCAUGUUCAUUCAUCCUAUUAGCUUCCCUAGUAAUGAUGAAUAUGAACCGAAAUUAGGGUCACCUUUUGUGUCAUUUUCCCUAGUCCAUGGUAAUGGAAACAUUGGUUACCCACCCAUAUUCACUUGGAAAUAUGUACCUAUUAGGGAUUUGGUGACUGGACAAGGCAUUUACACUAAGUGUACAAGGCCAAUGUACUAAAUGUACAAGGGUGUACAAGGGUGCCUAUCUUGAAGGAUUUCAAAUGCAAAUGGUGGUUGCUCAUUGUGGCCGAUGUGCUGAACGUGUUGUGUUUGGCGAUGAGAUAACUGAUGGAGGAAGGGAUGACCUAGAAAAGAUCACGAAGGUAAUUGUACUUAACAUCAACUUGUUAUAAGUUCAAACUGAUCCUUCGAGGACAUGCUCCAUUGAUUAAAAAAAAUUAUAUUUAGCAGACACAAUACUAUUUGAGGCAGCACUUAAGGAGUUGCAUGCUUUGGUGCAUGAUUAUUUGCAUUUAUUAUGUGUUUGCUUUAAAAUGAACAAAUGGGGAAAAUAAGCUUCACUCAGGAAAGCAAAAUUCAUCAGGAUAAAAAUACAAAGUACAAAUAAAAGGAGGAAAUUUAUAAUAGAAGUGAAGACAGUUGCAUUUUGAACUUGGCUGUCUGUCAGUAGACUUAAGGUUCCUAAACCUCGCCCUUGAUAUGAGCUGGAAGCAAGGCUUACGAAAAUUCUUUGGGACAUGGAAUUCAAAUCUAGUAAUGCUCAUUCCAUGAUACUUGUUUUACCUUUAUGAUUUGCACUUUAUUUAGACACAUUGUUAUGAUUUUCAACUAACCCAUUACAUGGUUUCAUUACAUGUCAAUGUGGUUGAUGAUGGGAAACGGAUUUCCACAAUCCUCAAGGACCAUGUGGGAAGGAUUAUGUUGGGUUUUUUUCUAUUUAUAAAUCAAGUGUUUAUAUUCAAGAGAAAAGGCUUUCAUACUUGGUAUGUACCCAUAAGCAUCACUGAAAAUUCAACUUCUCUUUCUAUCUAGAUUGAUUACAGAAGCAGGCUACGUUUUUUUUCUAAUAGGAUCACAAUGUAAAUUAAUCAUGAAUGCACUUUAUAAUUUGAUGUGUUUAGAUUUAUGUACAAAACGGAUUUUUAUGCUGCUAGUAACUUCUGUUGGUGUUUAAAACAAACAUGGAAUUAACCAUAAUGUUCUCUGUGCUCUUUGCAAGAUACUGGUAUAUUGAGUUGUGGAUGAUCUUAUUUGGUUUAUAUGCCUUUCCAAUCCCUCAUGCUACUUGUUUUCUCACUUUGCAUGGUGCUUGUUUCUGUUUCUGAAACCUUCUUCCAUGGAGUUUGGCUCUAUUGUUAGUAGUGAUGGUAAUAAACGUCUAUUUCCUUGCAAUUUCUUCAGGAGGGACCCUUGCCUCACAACGAUCGGGUGAGAUAUCAGCCACUGGACCUAUAUCCUGCUCCACUCCACAUAUGUUAAAAGUGUUAACGGAACGACGCAGGGUUCUCCCUUCCUACCAUGUUGUCUUUGAUCCUAGUUUGGCUGCCAUCUAUCUGAGUCCAAGUUAGACAUUGAUUCGGGCUCCUGGGAGAAGAAAGAAACCCGGCUUUUGACACCAAUGCUCUGGUUCUUAGAUGCUGAAGCUAUUGAAUAUUGUCAGCUGACUCUUGAGUAGAAGGGUGAAAUGCCAAUGGAAUGUAUCUUAAGAUGAGGCUUAGGACUGUGGUUUACAACAGUUUUGUUGGCUUAUUUAUUACUGUUUUGAUGUUUCUGUACAAUGAAAUUGAAGUUAUAAGAAGGGUCGAUCUGUCUUCGUGUACAGAGAAAUCUGUAAUGAAAAUACUUUUUGCCCAUUAAUGUAUUGAACAUAGAAAAAUUGUGAAAUCUCGAGUUCUAGCGAACCCAUCCCUGUUGAAGUGAUCAAUACAGAAGUCCAAAGAGGAAACACCAGGAGUUUCUGAAAAUGUUUUUUAAUGUUUUGUAAAACAUUUUGUUUGAUAACUUGAAAUUUUUUUAACUUUUUUUUUUUAAAAAUUUUAAAUAUAUUUUUUUUAAAAAAUUUAUAUGUAAUGUUUUAUUUUUAAUAUUUUUUAUAUUUAUAUAAUAAUAUUUAAAAAACAAGUAAAAACAAUUAAAAUAUAUAAUUUAUAACUUUUCUAUCUUUAAACAUCUAAGAGUAUAAAAUUAUUUAUUGAUUGUCAAUUUUUUCCUAGAAAAUAAAAAAUUGGUUUUGAAAACAAUUAACAAAUAGGGUUUUAGAGUGAAUUUGACAACUGUUUUGAAAAACAAAAUUCUAAAAAAUAUAAAAUAGUUUUUCAACUUCAAAAACAACUAAUUAAAGAGUAAUACAUGUAACCGGUCGACCGGACAAUGAUAGGGGGUCGACCGGUUGUUGCAAAAACUCCUCAUAUAAUGUAGACCGGUCGCUGGCAACCGGUCGACCGGAUUACUUCAAAAAUUUUAUGCCAUCUCACUAUUACAAGAGACACAAAAUAUGCAAAUAUGUAAAUUUUUUUCAAAGUUAUUACUUCAAAAAUUUUAUCAGUUCUAAAACUAUUUUGAGAACUAACAUUUCAUGAGAGAAUGGAAUAUUUUUUCUUAUAUUGGAUGUUCUAAGAAAAUCAACUUGUUAAACAAUGCAAUGACAUGACUAAUAUUGGUAAUGUGGGAUUAGUUCAAACUUAUCUAAUACAUCAUUACAAUGUAGCCUUGAAAAACAUGACAUUAUGAAACAGUAUAUUAUUUCAUUUAUAUUUAUGCUUUUGGUAACCCUUUACUAUUAUAUUUAUGUGUCUUAAUUAUUUUGAACAUUCAAGUCUACUUCACUUACAUUACACAUUUGGGUGCGUGAUAAAUUGCAUAAAAGGUCUAACUCCUUCCAAGUUGAUGAGUUGUUCAUUGCUUACUCAUGGACUUAGGUAAUUUGCCGAAUGUUAAAGUUCAGUACCUCCUAAUAUGGAUGAGAUGACUUGGCGAUCUUGUAAAUAUUACUAAACAACAUAUAAUAAAGUAAAUAGCUGCUUAUAUAUAUAUAUAUAUAUAUUGAAUCCAAAUUAAAACGAAAUCAAAAACAUUUGCAUGCUGACACAACUCUAAAUAUACGUAUGCUAAUACAAAAUAUAUAUGUCCCAGUUUUGCAAGCUAAACAAAAUAACGACGUGGUCUCAAUGCAAUCAAGGUGCAGCGGGUGGCGGUGGGAACACGGCGCGGAGGUACGCCAUUAACUCCUCAUGCUGACGCUCUUGGCGAUCAAGCCUCUGUAGGAUAUGCUCAUGCGUAGCCUGCUGCUGAUCCAUGCGCUCCUCAAUACGAGUCCCAAGUGAGGUAAUCUGCGCAGACAACUCCAUCCAAGGCGCAUGCGCAGCGGCGUCAGGAGCCUGGCCAGGUGAUGUAUGGGUGUAAUGAGGCUCAGUAAAUGAUGGCUGACCAGAUGGUCCCGCUGUGUAACCCGUCUCAGUCAUCACCGCAUCUGAAAUAGUCGGGUCAAUGUGGCCACCCUUAGACUGGCGUGGAGGGAUAUCAAACUCAGCCUCUCUAUGCUCAAAAUCGGUCUGAGGGUGUACCCCACCCUCCAUCUCCCUAAUCUCCUCCUCUUCGUCUUCCUCUGCCUGUGGAUGUGGUACUGGUCGGUCCGCCCUCCUAAUCCAUGACCCAUCUGGGGCCUUCUCCAACUUCAUCCGCGCCAUCGACUGCUCAUCAUAUGUGUCAUAACUGCUGGGCGCCUCGACCUCCUGCUCCCUGCUCAAAUCCACCCCCGCAUCCUUGAACACUCGUGUCAUGAAGCGGCCAUAUGGGAGAAUGCGUUUGGGCCUCUCGCAGCAUGCCAUCAUGUGCAUCAUCAUGACAUACCCGACGUCAAUACGUCUCCCCGUCAUAAUCGAAUCAAUCAGAAAUGCCUCCAGAUAGGAAACCUCAUCUCGAUGACCGCCACGUGGUAGGAGGAUGUACGCUAUCAUGUGGUGAAGGACUCGGCAGGUCACUGUCAGGCUAUGGGCCGAUGGUUUGCCCAACCCCGGGGCAUCUGCAAGGCCGUAGAUCCUCUGAAUCGCCUCUCUCGGAUCGAAACCCGGCACCGUCGGCCAGGUCUUGGCAUCAUAUACUCGGAGUCCACCAGGAGGAAUGUCCAAAAUGCGGCAGAUGCUCUCCGGGUCCAGAUGGAUCUGAACCCCUCUAACGGUCGAAGUGAUCGGUCCUCCAUGUCCAAAUGUCACACGGGAAUAGAAUGCCCUGACUAAUGUCGGAAAAAUGGGCUCUGAAAUAGUGACUAAGGGCAGCCACCCCAUGCAUGCAAAGAGGCUCUCAAACCCGAAAUGUUGUAGAUGGGCGAAAUUUAUAUUUCUCCCUGCAACCACCUUCCUCUGGACGAAAUGCUGCUUGUACCUCUGGUAUUCGUCGACCGAAGUGAAAAGGCCGGUGUCGAACCUCGCCUUUCGGCGAGCCUCCGCCUGACCGUCCUGAGAAGCCUGAGCAGGGCGCUUGCCCAGUGCCUUCGACGCACCCCUAUCUCUCCUAGGCGCCAUGAAACACUACAAAGGGCUACCCCUAUGUCAAAACAAGGCCAAUGAAAGAGUCUGUGACGCGCGCGGGAAGAGAAGAGAACCCGCCUGUGACGCGCAAUGAAGGAGGACCAUUGCCAAACCUCACUCCCUAGGUCCGAAAUGUGAAGCCGCACCCCUCAAAACUCACUCCGAAGGCUUGCAACAGCUGGAAUCGCGUCCAAAGUGGGUGUGUGGCAGCUCAAUCGGUGGAUCCCUUCGACUGCCAGAGGAUAACACUGAAGAAAUUAAGCGCGGAAUGGUUUUUUAAACGUCACCCCGGCCGACCGGAUAUGAACCGGUUGACUCAGUAACAUGUUCCAUGGUGUUUUGCACUUUUUAAUAGGUAUAAUGCAAAACACUUGUGAUAUUCACUUUUUGUGGGGUUGCCUUAAAUAUUUUCUCCGUAUAUUUUAAAUAUUUUUAUAAAAUAGUUUUUAUAAAAACAAUAUAUGCAUUUUCUAUAAAAUAUUUUUAUUCUUAAAGGUAAAAAAUAAAAAUAUAUAUCCAAGUGCUACCUUAAUAAUUUAUUUUCUGUCCUCAAUUUUUCCACAAACAACCAUAUAAAAUUUCUUUAACUUUUUCUCUUUCCUUAUAUUUUCUUUUUUAAUUUUUUGGCUUCAAACUUUUUAGGAAUCCAACAUAAUAAAAGAUGGCGCUUUAAAGGUUUUUUUAAAGCAAUCCUAAAAACUUCUUAUUUUUUUAAGUGAGUUUUAUUAGCUUGAAUUUUAAAAUUUUUAGAAAUAAUUUUUGAAAAUAUAAGGUUUUUAAGUUAAUACCUUUUAUAAAAAGUUUCUAUUUUGUACAUAAAAAAAUUUUAUUUUGAAAAUUAGAAAUCAGAAAAUAUAAGGUUUUUAAGUUAAUACCUUUUAUAAAAAGUUUCUAUUUUUUACAUAAAAAAUUUUUAUUUUUAAAAAUAGAAAUCAGAAAAUAUAAGGUUUUUAAGUUAAUACCUUUUAUAAAAAGUUUCUAUUUUUUACAUAAUAAAUUUUUAUUUUUAAAAAUAGAAAUCAGAAAAUAUAAGGUUUUUAAGUUAAUACCUUUUAUAAAAAGUUCCUAUUUUUUACAUAAAAAAAUUUUAUUUUUAAAUAUAGAAAUCAGAAAAUAUAAGGUUUUUAAGUUAAUACCUUUUAUAAUUCCUUUGUCUAUUUAGCCUAUUUGAUUAUUAAUAUUUGUAUAUGAAGAAUUUAUUCGAUUUAUAAAAAAUAAAUAUGAAUAUAAUUAAAAUGUAAAUUCAAGAAAAAAAGAUAUUUAAUUAAAAAAUGAAAACAAAUCACAACAAAACAAUAUCACACAUCAAGAACAUGUUACUUUGUCAUAAUAUUUAUUGUUUUUGUUUUAGUUUUCAUAAAUUGAAUGGUUUUGGGUUUGGAAAAAUAUAAAUUAUGGUAAUAUAACUAAAAAGAUAAUUUUUAUCAAAAUAAUUUUUAAGGCUUGAAUGUUAUAUUAAUUGAAUUUAGGUGUUCUCCCACUGAGUAAUUUAUCCAAUAAGCAACUUGGCUUGGGUUUUGCUUCUGGUUUUUUUCAUUGACUUGAGGUUGACUUGAGGUACCAUUGCAACCCCUUCCCUGUAGGUAGGAAGCGGUCGCAGUAUAACACUAACACAAAUGUCCAUAUCUCUAUCCCAAUCAUUUACAUCUUUCAGAUCAUAUGAAAAAUUGCGACUAUAUGAAAAAAUCAACAUUAAAGGAAUGCGGGAGUUGGAAGAAUUACAGGAAUUGGGGGAGUACCCUUCCCUAGUUUUUUUAAAGAUCAGUUACUGCCGCAAUCUGAUGAAGUUGCCAUCCCACUUUCCUUAUUUAGAAGAUCUAAAGAUCAAACAUUGCGUCUCUCUCAACACCCUUGUUGUGACCCCACUUCUGAAAGUUCUCGUGCUAGUUGACAAUAUUUUUCUGGAAGAUUUGAAUGAAGUGAAGCAGUCAUUCUCUAGUCUUUUGGUAUUGAGAUUAAUUGUUGCCCAAAGCUGAAGGUAUUACCUCAAAUAUGUACCCCAGAUAAGAUGGAGAUUGGUGGGUCUAAUUUACUGGAAGCUCUCUCAGCCCGAGAUUACUCCCAACAUCUUGAGCACUUGAUCGUGGAUGAAUGCGAGGAUGAAACACUGGUAGUGGGGGCAAUACCAAGGAGGACUUCUCUAAACUCUUUGGUCAUUUCAAACAUCUCAAAGGCAACCUGUUUCCCCAAGUGGCCUCAUCUUCCUGGUCUCAAGGCUUUGCACAUCUGUCAUUGGAAAGAUCUGGUAACUUUAUCCCAAGAAGCAUCACCAUUCCAAGAUUUGACCUAUCUCAAACUGUUGUCAGUUGUCAAGUAUCUAAUCUAAAAUAGGUUCCAGCAUCGGAAAUUUGGCUGAAAAUUGUCCCCUUAAUUUAUAUAUAACCAUACUAUCCCAAUCAUUUAUAUUUUUCGAAAGUUAAAAAAUCCACUAUAUGAAAAAUUAGCAUUUAAGAAAAGAAAUCAUUUGUUUUCUAAAAAAAUUAAGUACUAAUAACUUGUAUAUUGUUUUAUCAUUUCUUAAAAUUUUGUCCAAAUUUAAAAAUAACCUCUUACUUUAAUUUGAGCCCCUUCUUAAUUAUAUUACAUUUUGAUUUUUUAAAUAAAACUAAGAAUUAUUUAAAAAUUUUAAAAUUUUGUCCAAUUCUCCAGGAACCGGUCGACCGAAACUGAUCGACCGGUCUAUAUCCGGACGAGGGUGCCAAAAUGCACCCUCUCUCAUCCAGUAGCUUGUCCAAACCUCCAAGAACCGGUCGACCGAAACUGAUCGACCGGUCUAUCUCCGGACGAGGGUGCCAAAAUGCACUCUCUCUCAUCCAGUAGGGUGUGCGCGACCGGCUGAAGAAAGGUUCGACCGGUUUACCAAUGGCUGAAGGACAAUAUCGACCGGUCGAACACUUUAUGCUUUCCGAUCCACGGGUCCAUCUAGACCGGUUCCUGGGUUGGCCAUAUAUACACCUGCAUUGUACUGUAUAAAUUGUAAACGAUAUGUACGAGAUUGUUGAUGAAAAGGUUUGUUAUAGGUUGUAAUGCCGGUGCCUUUUAUUAGAUGUUUUGAGAUAGUGAGGGAAAAUGCGACUUCAUCACAACCUUCAUUAAAUAUAUAAGCCAUAAAAUUGGCAAUACAAUGUCAGGAGUUGGUUUUUCCUGUAUAAUGUACAAUCAUCUUUAAUUCGCCCUAUUUACUUACAAUGCAUUGACAAGCAACUUAAGUAAAAAAACAAUCAAAUUCUGACUAAUCCCAUAAUCCCAGUGUUCAUUUCCGCAUAUGUCCACCAUAAAUUACAUACAAAUGUGCUAAUUUUAUACAGUUUUAUCACAAAUUACAAUCCCCUUUAAUCUCUCCGGACACGGUCUCGGUGUGCAUUUUGUGCUGAGAACAACAUACUCCCCAUGAUCUUCAACCUGUAAUGUUUCAAUUUCCCCUGCGUUCAUUCACGUUGAUAGCAACAAAUCAGCAAAUUAAUUAAUUAGGUUUUUCUAACUAUUUUAACAUUAAUGAGAUAGUCAUAGAUAAUUCCUCCUACGUACCACAUCGAUUGAUUUGGAGAACCCCCCCAUUGACCACAAUUCCAUGAAUUUCAUUACAAAAACUCCACAAUCGUGCCUACGUCAAUAUAAUUACCAAAACGUUAAUAAGUGUGGAAUUAUAAAUAAGAGAUGAACUUCAAAUAAAUUGCAAUCUUAUACAAUAUCCCGGACUGCAAGGUCAACACUCACUCAUUAGUUUGGAGGGGUACAUCAGGUGUUAUGAAAUUGAAUGUCCUCAAAUCAUAAGGUGAUACCUCUUUUUUGUGGGCAGCCAACCACAGGACAACCUUGGCCUGAAACAUUUAGUAACACAACAAUUGAAAUUUUAAUGGGAAGACAUACCUAUCAAAUUAUUACUUGUUGCUUGUUACUUUACCAGAUUUUGUUGGACUCCACUCAACAUUGUCUUCUUUCUACCAGGACGAGAAUCUAGCAGUUGGAUUCUCCUGUUUUCUAGGUCAUAUACAUACAAUGUCCAAUGGUUCUUUAUGAGAACCGGUAAGAAGACCUGCACCAAUAGACUGCCAUUAAACAUACAUCUAAAUAUUGUACAUUCAUGCAAUAAAAAUACAAAUCCAAGCAUUAAACAUAUGAAUCCACCUCGUUAACAUUGACAUAUGGAAUAUCAAUCUGAUACAGAUGUGGUUCAAAGCGUCUAAUAACUGCCUCCCUAACUAAGUUUUUUGCCUGGGAGUGGAUUACCAUUUCCUGCAUGUUAGAUACGGGAUAAUAUCAGGUUUCUCAUUGUAGGUGAUGCCUGGUUCAAGACAAAAAAUAAAGAUAAGCAAGGAUUUAAUGGAAUAGUCAUCAUUAUAGCUAUGUAGGGGGAUAGAAAAAGUUUCGACUUCGGUUCAUGUUGAUACUGCAACAAUCUACAGUAGGAAUCGACGACCUGAUUUCGUAUAUCAUAAAAGUGUAAGCAACAAAUUAAUUUAGAACCACACUUUCAUUUUCAAACUUAAAAUAAUGCAUAAAGAGGGAUAAGAAAUGAUAUGCACGUCGUUUCCUAUCCACCCAUUCCCUUGGAAGCAGCCCAAAUUGGCUCUGGUUAGAAUAGUGUCAUGCAUAGACACUAGUUCCUCACUGUUACAAAAAAAUACAAUUUAGUUUUUGUGUUUUAACUAUCAUACAAUGAGAGGAGUGUCACUCAAGUAUGUUACCUUGCAUCCAAAUCGUCUCCAAAUACCAGUGCAGCUCCUUGUUUUAGGUCGAUUUUGAUGGCAGAUUGUUUGGUUUGUGGUUGGGAUAUGUAUGGGGACAACAGGUUUGGAGCCAUGCGACGCACUCGACAUCUCCGGACGUUUCUAUUUGUGGGGACAACAUUACCUUCUGGUUGUUCUUCAGCAUCUGCAAUACGAGAUUUAGAACUAGUCAGCAAAGGUAUACAUUAUGAUUGGGUACAUGGGUUGUUAACCAUAUGGGUGUUUGCAUAAAUUUGAUCACUUACCGCUUACUACAUUAAUGGGUACACUGGGCUGCAACUCAUACUCAGGGGCGACAACGCGAUCUGGUGUGUCUAGCACAUGGUAUGCAGCAUGCGAAGCCAUGUACUCAUCACCAGGAAAUGCAUGGUCAUCGGCUGUGGGAGGGCUGGCUGGUGCAUAGCUAGAGUGACCACCCGCAUCUGAAUUUACCCCACUAUGUCUGCGAGUCCCUAACUUAUGCAUAAGGCCAUGCAUUAUUCUCAGCUGCUGCUGAAUGCCCCUUUGAUAUUGGUCGAUUGCUCGUUCUGCAUCAUGAUAUUGAUGCCAUAUUUCCUAUGACAUGAUAUUGUUGUCAAUCUUUGAGAACAGAAUGUGACAACAACAUAUUUCUUUGUAGUUAAGAAGUAAAAAUAAAUUACAAUGACAAUGAAAUGAACAUUUAUUAAGUUUUUGAAAAAUUCACAGCUUACAUCACUAUUUUCAGCAUCAACAUUUGUGUCAUGGUCCACAUUAGUCUCUGGCUCCAUAGUUCUCUCUACGGUUGGAGAUCUCUGGGACGCCUAUAAUUAGCACUGAAGAUUAGUACUUAAAUAAUGAGUGUUAUGCUAGUAAUGACAAUAUAUUUAUGCAUGCAUAACUUACAAAAUCACUCUCAGCAUGUCCGAAUGCUCCAAACUCCUUUAUCUCAGCGACUAGUCGUCGCUUAAUCAAAUCAUCAGUCCAUGCCAAUGCUGGGGGCACUGUAAUGGGGACUUGGACUGAAGGAAUUUGGAAUUUAAUGACAUAAUGCAGCUGCAAAAUAAAUAGAAACAUCAAUAAGCAAAUGUGAAUAUGUUGUGCAAUAAAAUUAGAUAAGAAAAUGGAAGACAAAGACUGAAUAAGUUCACUACCUGAAGAAAUAAAACGCAGCCAUGUACCCAAGAGGUCUUAGAUUGUUGGAAUCGCCUAAUUCCCUCAACCAGUUGGUCAAGCACAAACUGGGCCCAAUUAACAUCAUUUCGGAAUCCAUCCUCAUGGAUGGUAUGCCACAAGUUACGGCAACCAUUGAGCCUAGACGUGGGGGCCAACAAUGUGGCACAUGUGUAGUAAAUGAAUGCUCUACGGAACUCCUCGCCUACAGGUAAGUCUAGGAGUUUCUCCUCGCAUGCCCGAAUAGUCCCAAAUGGAUGAUCUGAUGAUGUGGAGGUCACCUGCAAAUUCCGUCCUUCUGUUGGGAGGCCUAAAAUGAGGCCAACAUCGGUGGCUGUAACAGGAUAGUGUUUAUGGGCUGAGAACUCUAUCCGUCUAAAUCCAACAUUGAAAUGUUGGAUUAGAAAGAUACAGAGGUUGUGGCGUACCUCUGUGCAGUUUAAGUUUAAGAGACCUCCAAAUUGGAGGUCUCUUAUGGCUUGAAUUUUUGCCUCUGGUAAUCGGUUGCACAGUUUCUUAAAUCUUGCAGCUGAGCAUCGUGUAAACAUUGAUGUGCCCUGCAUGCAAUGUUAGAAAACAUGGACAUGUUAGGAAUAGCAACAUUCUUGCAGUUGGUAAUGCAAUAAAAUAAGUGAAAAAGUAAAGCUGUCAUUUCUCAAAGUUACAAAGAUUUGUCUGCUUGUAUUUAGAAAUAAUAUACAGCAGGGUAAGACAUUAGAUGGGGUUGGGUGCUACUAACAGUGAGAUAUCCUGUAAGAGGGAGGAUUGAAAAUUUAUGAAUAAGGCUAUAUAGAAUAGGCAAUAACAGUCAAAAUGUACAGAAUAGACUAUAAAAGAAAAAAAUAAAUAUGAGAAUACUACAUGAUAUAUAAAAGAAAGAAAUCAAAUCAAUUUAUGUAAAUAAAUUGACUAAUUAUAUUAGAGAAAGAAACCAUCAACAAAUCAAUGAAUAAUCCUAUUUAACCUGCUCCUUUUGAUACUUCUGACAUACACAAAAUCUAGAGGAACUGCUAGAGCAAGCACUUUGCUACUGCCAUUGAACAUGGACAAGGUUUGGAAUCCAAGUUUCUGUUGAGAGUAUUCCCACAUGGUACUAACUAUCAGUGAAGAAUUGUACACUAUCAUUUGAUACCACGAAUCAUGUGUUUGACCAAAGUUCAUGCAUACCUAAGUUGUUAGCUGAGUGAGGAUUCAUGGGAAAAUAAAUGUAACAUAGGACUAUUAAUCUAAACUUGUGAAAGUUUUGAGGCUUGAAUCUGAUUCAAUGGCCAUAAUAAUCUAAAAUUUGCAGAAAAGAGGAAGUGGGCAUUUAAAAUAAGGUAAUGAUACACUAUGAAAUGCUACUACAUACUUUUUUGUAGAAUAGUAAACAAAGAGUAUGUUUACGCUUGAAAACAAGAAUAAAUAAGAUGAAUCCAUGAGUGUUGGAGAAUUAAAUGAAUGAAGAGGAGUUUGGAAACCAUACUUUAUGUUGGAGAAUAAAAGUUAUGUGCUAUGACUUUAUGUUUUUUUUUUCUGUUAACUUAUAGAAGUAUUUUCAUUGUUGUAAGGAUUCUGCAAGAAGAUAUACAUGAGCAAUUUUAAAUGUCUGUACUGCUCCUGGCAAAAGCCACAUUGGGUACAAGUUUGCCACAUCAGUUUGCUUGGUCAGUGCGUGAAUCACCGUAAAUGAAUUUAUGUAACUGGUUCAAAAUACUGGUAUAUGAAGUGUGUAGAGAGCUAUGCACCUUGCUUAAGUCAAUUGUUUGAAUCUUAGAGACAAAAAAUAAUACAGAAUUUGCCACCCGAAAAAAAUGUAUGUCCAGAGUCCAAGGCACUGAGAAAUUGGCAAGGCAUGGCUCUCCACCUUCAUAUUUAAAUCACUUAGAAAGUGAAGCAAAAAGAAGCCUAAUGUCUCAAUACCAUUGAGGUCCCCAUAAAUAAUUGUGAUCAUUUAACCCUGGGGACCUGGCUAAAGUGGCUACAGAGGUAAGGGUUACCUAUAACUCAAGUGGCUAAAGAGUUAAUCCCAUCCCCAUCACCAUUCCUACCAGAACACCUCUCUUUAUCCCUUCCUCUACCCUCCUCCCUCAUCAUAGAGGACAUGGUUUUUGCCUAUCCCCAUAGCUGUAUAGCGAAGACCAUUAGAUCCCUAAAGCAUAAUUGUAUAUGGUGUUAGUGAACCACAUUUUCUAUAUUACCAAAUUGAACACAAAUAUUACCCGACAACUUACAAAGCUGAUAUAAUAGUAUUUAAUAAAUAAACGUUGAAUUGUUAAAACUUCAAUAUUAGAGAACUUUCCAACAUAACUGAUACAUGGUAACUAUAAUAAGGGACAUGAAGAAAUCACUUAAAUUUAAUGCAUAAUAUAUAUAUAUAUACUAACUUAAAAGGUANNNNNNNNNNNNNNNNNNNNNNNNNNNNNNNNNNNNNNNNNNNNNNNNNNNNNNNNNNNNNNNNNNNNNNNNNNNNNNNNNNNNNNNNNNNNNNNNNNNNNNNNNNNNNNNNNNNNNNNNNNNNNNNNNNNNNNNNNNNNNNNNNNNNNNNNNNNNNNNNNNNNNNNNNNNNNNNNNNNNNNNNNNNNNNNNNNNNNNNNNNNNNNNNNNNNNNNNNNNNNNNNNNNNNNNNNNNNNNNNNNNNNNNNNNNNNNNNNNNNNNNNNNNNNNNNNNNNNNNNNNNNNNNNNNNNNNNNNNNNNNNNNNNNNNNNNNNNNNNNNNNNNNNNNNNNNNNNNNNNNNNNNNNNNNNNNNNNNNNNNNNNNNNNNNNNNNNNNNNNNNNNNNNNNNNNNNNNNNNNNNNNNNNNNNNNNNNNNNNNNNNNNNNNNNNNNNNNNNNNNNNNNNNNNNNNNNNNNNNNNNNNNNNNNNNNNNNNNNNNNNNNNNNNNNNNNNNNNNNNNNUACCCCAAACAACUCCGAAACACUACGCAAUAUCCCUUAAUGUCUAUCUGAUAUAAUAAUUACUUCUUGACCAUCUAGGAUCCCCUUCAAUUUCUCCAAGAACCAAUACCAAUCCUCAUAAUUUUCUGAACCAACCACACCCAAGGCUAGAGGGAACAUUCCAUCAUCUGCAUCAUAUGCAAUGGCAGACAAAAGAGCUCCUUUGUAUGGACCACUUAGGUGGCAAGAAUCAAUAGCCAAUACCGGUCGACACCCCAUGGUGAACCCUUGAAUUGAAAAUGCGUGGGCAAUGAACAAUUGCUUGAAGUGACCUUCAUGAGAAGUGUACUCGGCAAUAGUUCCAGGGUUAAUUUCCCUUAGUCUAUGGCAUAACCAAGGCAAAUACGCGUAGGACGCACGUGGAGAUCCAUAUACACGCUCUUUUGCCUUCUCUUUAAGAUGCCAUGCUUGGUUAUAAGUCAAUUGAACUCCAUGAUCACUUUCAAAAUCCUUGCAAAUUUGUCGAGGAAGGUAUUCUGGAGUUGUUCUAAACACGUCUUCAACAACAACAACACCUCUCUUGGAAGAAACCCGUACCUUAGAUGAACACUCAUCUUGAGCUAUAUGAUUAUGAUUAACUUGGUAAGUAUAAACUCGCAAUAUUUCAUUUCCUUCAACAGCAUGAGCUGUUAUCUUCCAAGGACAAUCCUCAACCGAACACUUUACUGACAUAUGAGUGGGUGAAUUUUUCUUGUACUUGUAUUGAAACCUUCCAGCUAAUGACAUUUGGUAUAUUGCAUUCCGAAACUCAUCUACAUUCUUAAAUGUAUGUCCGGAACCUAAUAUUGCCUCACGAAACCGAUUCGAUUCCAAAGGGGUGUACUCACUAUAUGCACAACGCGAUGCAAAACCUCUUGAUAACAUCAUAGUAUUAGGAUUUGCAUCGCAUGAUGCAUUAGACGAAGGAAACGUAGGAUGUGGACCUCUGCAUUUACAUUCAUAACCAAAAUUAGACUACAUAAUGCGUAAAAUUGAUAUUCAUAAAAUUUUAAAUAGACAUCCAAGUGAAAACGCAUUACCCAAGUGCCAACUGUGUAUUCGGUAUAUUUGCCUCUAUGGCUUCCACACCGGGUGACUCGACUAUGUACACAUUUGCAAAGUCAUCAUUGUGGGAAACCACGUUAUCCAAGUCAUCCUCAUCUUCUAAAUCUUGGAUGACUCUAGGGUUAAACUUGAGGGUGUAGUGCAUCCUCCUCACAUGAAGGGAAAUGUCGAAUUUUUCUAAGACCUUCUGAGUGAAUUCUUCAAAUGUCAUUCCUUUAUAAAUGUGAAUACCUUUGCUUCUUCCACCAACAUAUUCCCAAACGCCAUCAUUUUUUUGGACAAGUUUCCCUCCCACGAAAAUAUAACAGUAUAUUCUAUUUGUGGCAUCCAUCAACCUAUUGAAAUAAAGCACAAAUUUAUAUUGUUGAACAAACAAUAAUGCAUAUUCAAUGUGAUCUUAAAAGUUUUUUCAUUUCACAAUAUACUAUGUUCCCAUACGAAAAAGUUAUAUUUUAAAAAAUGUAUAUACAAAAAAAUGUAACUUUAAAGUCUUAAAAAAGAAUUUUUGUUGCUCUUUUUGAUUAUUCUAACCAUUGUCAACGGUAAGAUUAUUUUAAGAUAGGCACUAAUAAACAAACGCUGAGUUGAACUAAGAUAUGAAGACCGAGCUUCUCUCUUCUCUUGGACUAAUAAAUACUACCUAACCUAAACAAAACUAAAAAUAAUAAUAAAAAUAAAAAACAAAAAUGAGAAAUGUAAAACUGAAAUGGAAAUUAAAAGAUUGAAAUUAAUAGAUUAAAAAAAAUCAUUAAAUUAAAAACUAAGAAAGGCUAUAAAAGGAAAAAAAACAAAUCUCUAACUUAUUUUCCCUAUCAUUCCCCUUUACUUAUAUAUUCAUAGUUCACAUUUUUAUAAGCAAAAACCUCUCUCUCCAACUACUUUAGUGCUACCCAAUUUGACACUACUACUUACCUAUGCUAAUAAUCUAAUCGUGUCAAUACUUGGAACUUUAAGACAGAACAUCACAACAAUAUCUACUAAAGUAGGAGGAUUUUGUGUCUGAUUCGACUUAAUACUCCAGAACAUAUAUAUAUAUAUAUACACCAAAAACAUUGGAAUUAUGGAAGUAUAAGACAUUCAAUAGGAAAUAAUCCCCCACGUUUUAUUAAGCUCUGGCCUAUACUUACACUAGGUAGAAAACAAAUUCUCAUUCUCACUCAAACCCUUAGACAAUUUCUGUUGGUACUACUAUAUUAGACAUGCCUACAAACUUAUUCAAAGAGAAUGGAGAUAUUUAAAUAUUAAUUAUAAAGCGUUGCUUUUCAAAAUAAUAUGAAGAGAUAAUAGCCUAAAAAAUGUAACAAAUACAGAAUUCUCUUCUAAACUAUCAUGUCCUACUUUAGAUGAUUCAUACAAAACCAUAAGCAAUAGUUUAACACAUUUAAGGUUUAAGGGUCAAAAAAACUAAUAGAUAAAACGAGAUAAAUCUGUUACUUGUGCCUACAUCUCAAGCCAAUGCACCAUAAGAAAACUUUAGGGUUUUUAGGUUUUCCAUUUCCCCUUUCCAUUUUUCCUCUCCUGCUUUUCUAGCAACCAAUUAAACAAUUAUAAAUUAUUUUCAAGUAUAUAUGACAAAUUUUCACAAAUAUUUUUUUGAAUUUAAAAUAUACAAAUAGCAUGAAAAAAAAAAUCUAAAAAAAAUUACAAAAAUAUAAUCAGAUCGAUUAAGCCAUGAAUUAUGAGUUGCAGGUAAAGUGCAUUUUCUGUAUUCUCAAGGCUUAAAGAAAAAAUUAUGGUUCAAAAUUUUUCCUUUCUUUUUCUCAUUAUUUUCUCAGCAUCCAAAUAAUAGUAGCAAACCAAGAAGUCAAUUAUUGAAUGGAAACAGUAACUUGAACUCCGGAGAUCAAGUUGAACACAGUUUAGAGAUUUGGACUAAGAAAAUUUAGGUCGAGAUUUAGGCAAUCUACUAACCUCAAAUAUGCAACAACAGAGACCCAACUGAAAUCCAUACCUUAUUCAAUUUUUCGAGAGAGACGAAUGCGAGAAAAAAUGAAAGAGCCGCAGAGAUUGAGAUGCAAGAAAGCGAUGGAAGUGCUCGGGAGGAAGAGAAGAAAACGGUUUCUAGCCUUGAAAUGCUGAAGAGAGAACAAAAUUAGGGCAAAAUUCCAAAAAGCCACAGAGAUUGAGAUACAAGCGAUGGAGAAACUCGGGAGGAACAGAAAAAACGGCUUCUAAGCAGAGAAGAAAAUGACUUCUAGGCAGAGAAGAAAACGGCUUCUAGGCAAAGAAGAAAACGGCUUCUAGACAGAGAAGAAAACGACUUCUAGGCAGAGAAGAAAAUGGCUUAUAGGCUUGAAAUGCUGAAGAGAUCAAAAUUAGGGCAAAAUUCCCAAGAGCCGCAGAGAUUGAGAUGCAAACGGCUUGUAGGCUUGAAAUCUGAUGGAGGAACUCGGGACGAAGAGAAGAGACACCGACGCAAAGAUUGAGAUGCAAACGGCUUGUAGGCUUUAAAUCUGAUGGAGGAACUCGGGAGGAAGAGAAGAGACACCAAAUUUAGGGCAAAAUUCCAACCUGGAUUUUUUUGUUUAUUAUUAUUUUUUUUUCAUAAUCAGCAAAGGUUAUUUUUGGAAUUAAUAAAAGUGCAUAUCCUUCUUUUUAAUUUUGACACUUCCUAUGGGUUUUCAACUUAAAUGGGUCGGUUAGAUGGACCAUUUGUUAAUUUUUGGGCCCAGCUGGGCCCAAAACACAAUUCUCCCUAUUUUUUUGGGCAACAGUGGACAAUUUUUUGGGUUAUGGAAAGUUGGGUUACCAAAAAGCUAUUAGGCCCAAAUGGGCGAGCCAAAACACAGUUUUCCCAGUUUAUAAUUGUCCUGAACUGACAUGGCUGUCGGAAAACAUGCAUGUCCUCAACACCCUCUGGACACUCGUAAUUGAGUACUUUUUGGUUUGGCAACAUUAAUAGACUCAAUAGGCUUCCUUGCGUCACUUCAGAACUUCAAAUUCAUGAGUGCCUUUAAUUGACAUAACUUCUAGAGGAGAUGGCUCACUCAAUUCUCUACAAACACUUACAACAUUAACGGACUUUAUAGGCAGUCUUACCUCACUUGCAUGCCUUGAAAUUGAUAGCUACCCUGAAUUGACAUCAUCUCCUAAAGAGAUUAGUUUCUUCAGAUCCAUAUUGCCACAAUCUCUUAUUGUCCAUGACUAUUGGACAGAUAUGAGAGUGAAACAAGUGAAGAUUGGUCAAAGAUUGUUCACAUUACAGAAAGUUAUUCAGGUUUCAAAUCCCUGUCUUUCUUCUCAUUUGCUAUGGUUUCAUUUUAUCAAUAAGCUUUGUUUACCUUCUUUUUUGACAAUUCUAGUAUGCAUUAACAUAUAAAGCAAAAAAAAAAAAAAAAAAAGGCUGAGAUAAUAUUAAACAUAGUUGUUAUUUGGUUAUUAAAGACCAAACUAUUCAUGUUACUUUAAGUUUUGCACACUAAGAGUUUGGGAAUAAGCUAGUGUUAUGAAAAACGAGAAUAGGCAACAAAAAAUAAAUAAGAACACACACAGAUUUACGUGGAAAACCGUAGGCAGGAAAAACCACGAACAAAGGAGAAGAAUAAUCCACUAUGUCAAAAAUUGGUACAAAAGGGGAGAACAUUAAGCGGCUACAAUAUAAAUCCCUUAGAACCUAUACACCAUCCCCAUAUAUAUAUGGGAGAGAAAAAAAAAAAAUAAAGCUGAAGAAAUCUAUAAUUUUUUCUUCACCAUAUAUAUUGCAUCGUGAAGAUUUCGGGUUGGACCAAUAAAGGAAAUUAGGUCACCAAGCUCUAACUAUCUCCACCUUGACAUGAAUUCCAAUGUAAGGAAUAGGAAAAACAAACUCCAAUCUUCAACAAAAAAAAACUCUUCACCUCUUCCACAAACCCCAAAGGGUAAUUCAACAACGAAUACUAACCAAGUCCAAACAAUGCUCAAACUUGGAAAGAGGGAGUAUCUUCAUCAUCAUAUCAGUAGGAUUAUCAUGGGUGCUAAUUUUGGCCACAACAAUAUCACCAUGAGCAAUGAUAUCACACACAAAAUGAUACCACACAUCAAUGUGCUUUGUCUUCUCAUAAAACAUCUGAUCUUUUGUGAGGAAAAUAGCACUCUCUGACAAUCACAAAAAACUAUGGUAAUUUUCAAGUUGUCACUAAGUUCACUAAAUAGUCCUUUUAACCAAAUAGCUUCCUUACAAGCCUCUAUAAUAGCCAUGUACUCAGCCUCGAUAGUAGACAAAGCAACUAUAGUCUACAAAGUAGCUUUCCAACUGAUAGCACAACCACCAAUAGUAAAAACAUACCCUACAAGAGAUCUUCUUUUAUCAAGAUCACCAGCAAAAUCAUAAUCAACAUACCCAACAACUCCAUCUCUAGUUCACCCAAAAUGCAAAGAAACAUCAGUAGAACCACACAAGUAUCUAAAAAUCCACUAAACCGCUUUCCAAUGUUCUUUACCAGGAUUUGUCAUGUAUCUAUCGACUGAACUGACUGCAUAUGAUAAAUCUAGACGUGAACAAACUAUAGUAUACAUGAGAGACCCCACUACACUAGAAUAUGGAACUCGUGACUUAUAAUCAAUGUUAUCAUCUGAUUAUGGAGCUAAAACAGAUGCAAGUUUGAAAUGAGUCGCUAAUGGAGUACUAAUAGGUUUAGCAUUCUACAUAUUGAACCUGUGAAGAACUUUCUCAAUGUACCCUUUUUGACUUAGGUAUAAUUUACUUGUCUUUCUGUCUCUUAGAAUCUCCAUUCCAAGUAUCUUCUUUGUUGCUCCUAAGUUUUUCAUCUCAAACUCCUUAUUGAGUUGGACUUUUACCUUUCUUAUAUUUUCCUUAUCCUGGGCUACUAUUAACAUAUCAUCAACAUAUAAGAGGUUUGACUCAUUCAUGACCACUCAUGAUAUUAAUUAUUGUUUAUACCUAUUCCCUGAUGAAGUACAAAAUUUUGAUAUUAUGAAGUGAUGGAAAUCUCAUGAAUCCACUUUUUCUAAACUAUCUAAAAUGGAAUGUGAUUUACUAACCCCACCGGUGUCUACUGUAACUUUGGAAUAUUCUUUUUUUAUAGUAGCAAAUGUAAUAGGAGACAGGAGGACAACUCUUACAACAAAGAUGCUAGAAGUUUUGACAUGUUUGAAGGAUUAGGAAGAUGGAAGCAUGAGACUUCAAACUUUAGAGGAUGAAAUUAAAGAAGCCUUCGAGAAAUUGCAUCUCAAUGCAGACAAUGAUGUUUAAGAGAUUGAUGAUGAUUGAAGAUGUAAAAAAAGGAAUGAAGAUUGAAUAAGAAGACAAAAGUGAAUAUGAUAAUAGAAGAAUUAUAUGUUGUUCGUUUCUUUUAAAUCUAUUAAAUGUAACUAAUUUUUAAAGGUUGAGUAAUACAUAUGAUUGAUAGUUGGGUGGGUGCCAACCUAGUUGGGACGUGGUCAAACUAUAGUGAUGCAAUUCUCGCCUUUUUAUUUCUUCUUAUUUUUUAAUGUAAUUUGUUGAAAUAUUGAAUAAAAGAAUUAUUUUUUAUAUUUCAUUUCCUUUUAUAUUCCAUUAUUUUAAAUUUAUUGUUAUUUUGAUAAAAAAAAAUUCAAAUAUAACUUUUUUACUAUUUUUAAAAACAAAAAACUAACAUUUCUAUAAAUUUUACAAUUACAAUUAAAGAGUUUGAACUAUUAUACUGUGGAUAUGAACAAAUUAGCUGAUUUAAAUUUUUAUUAAUAUGAGCUUGCCCAUUUGGUUUUCUUCCCAAGUUUUAUCUGCACCCUUGUGCUUUAUGUGAAGAACUAAUUAAUUGAUUACAUCAAUAUGUUGUUUCUUCUCAUGCAUUAAUUUUCUCUAAAAUAUUGAGUGGUUCUAAAUUUCAUAUGAUAAGAAAAAAGAGAUCGACUUAUGCANNNNNNNNNNNNNNNNNNNNNNNNNNNNNNNNNNNNNNNNNNNNNNNNNNNNNNNNNNNNNNNNNNNNNNNNNNNNNNNNNNNNNNNNNNNNNNNNNNNNUGAAAGUUAGAACCACUCAAUAUUUUAGAGAAAAUUAAUGCAUGAGAAGAAACAACAUAUUGAUGUAAUCAAUUAAUUAGUUCUUCACAUAAAGCACAAGGGUGCAAAUAAAACUAUUGAGUGGUUCUAAAUUUCCUUACAAACUAAUAUUUUAAAUUAUGAAAACUUUGAAAUAUUAAUAUUUCUUUUUACUCAACCCUUAAUAAAUAAAAAGAAUUUGGCCAAUUUAAUUUUUGUAAUAUAUUAUGUUAUGUUUGAUUUCAGAAAAAAUACUAAAGAAACAAUAUAUAUAUAUAUAUAUAUAUAUAUUUUGAGGAAAAUAAUUUUCUCAUGUUUUUUUUUUGUUUUUUUAUGGAAAAUACAAAACAAAAUAAAGUAUUAUUCAAAUUAAUUAAUAAUUUUAUAUUUUAAUUUUUAAAAUUUUUGUAUGAAAUGAGAAAAAUAAAUUUAAUAAAUUUGAAGAAGUAUAAAAAAAUUAUUUAAAUCUUUAUUUUAUUUUCUUUCAAAUGUUUUCUUCAUGUAAAAAUUAAAUAUAAUUAAAAUUAGUUCAAAAUUUAUGUAUUUUCAAAAUUAGUUUAUUAUUAUUGAAAACAAAAAAAGAAGUAAAAUGAGUUUAAAAUGGUAUGUAAAAAUAAUUUAUUAAUUGUAAUUUUUUUUUUUAUUUGUCACUUUUUUAAACGCAUGCAAUAACUGGUUAGAGUCUCCUCACUUAAGGUCCCUGAAUAAUUUAUUAUUUGUCACUUUUUAAAAAUUUAUUUUUCUAUUUUUUCUAUGGCAUUUCUCUUAAAUCUUCCAACAACAAAACCUAACUUGGGGGUUUCAAUUUUUGCAUCAUAGCAUGUGUUUGAAUCGACCAAACAUCCAUCACAAAAUACUGAAUGUAAAGAAAAAUAAAUGAAAGAAGGACAAAAGUUAUAUUACAACUUGCAUGGCUUGUUGACUUGUCCGCCUAUUAAUCCAUAAUAAUAAUAAUUCACAUUUUAUAUUAGUACCAUGUGAUUUCCCCAAUGCUCACAAGCCCUAUAUAUCACUACUUUGCCCAGUAUUCUCCCCUCACAAUUCUCUUUUGAGUUCUCCUUUUCUUACUAUAUUUCCUUGCUCUUCUGCACUUCGAAUUCUUCUAACAUAUGGCUGACCAAAUUCCAUUCGGUGUUGUGGAUCACAUUUUGAUCAAGUCAGGGUCCCUGGCUGUUCAAGAAAUUCGAUCCAUGUAUGGUGUUCCAAAGGAGUUAACCAAGCUCUGUGGGAAACUUGGCACCAUCAAGGCUGUGCUUUUGGAUGCUGAGGAGAAGCAGCAGCAGAACAAUCAUGCAGUCAAAGAUUGGGUCUGGAGGCUUAAAGGCGUUGUGUAUGACGCAGAUGACUUGCUGGAUGACUAUGCAACCCAUUAUCUUCAGCGAGGAGGAUUGGCAAGGCAGGUCAGUGACUUCUUCUCAUCUGAAAAUCAAGUUGCUUUUCGUUUAUACAUGAGUCACAGACUCAAGGAUAUCAAAGAAAGGAUAGAUGAUAUUGCAAAAGACAUCCCCAUGUUAAAUCUUAUUCCACGGGACAUAGUACUACACACACGGGCAGAGAAUAGUUGGAGAGACACCCAUUCAUUCGUGUUAACAUCUGAAAUUGUAGGAAGAGAAGAAAACAAAGAGGAGAUAAUAGGGAAGUUGUUGUCGUCCGACGGUGAAGAAAAUCUUUCGGUUGUUGCCAUUGUAGGUAUUGGGGGGUUGGGUAAGACCACCCUUGCUCAAUUGGUAUACAAUGAUGGAAGAGUGAAAGAACAUUUUGAGCCUAAGAUAUGGGCUUGCAUUUCUGAUGAUUCUGGUGAUGGUUUUGAUGUUAAUACGUGGAUCAAAAAAGUUUUAAAAUCUGUGAAUGUUCGGUUUGAGGAAAGUCUGGAGGAUAUGAAAAAUAAGCUUCAUGAAAAAAUAAGUCAAAAGAGGUACUUGCUAGUCCUCGAUGAUGUUUGGAAUCAAAAUCCUCAAAAAUGGGAUGACGUGAGAACUUUAUUAAUGGUUGGGGCUAUUGGUAGUAAAAUUGUAGUGACCACCCGAAAACCAAGAGUUGCAUCAAUCAUGGGAGAUAAUUCUCCCAUUAGUUUGGAAGGUCUGGAACAAAAUCAGUCCUGGGAUUUAUUUUCAAAAAUUGCAUUUAGAGAAGGCCAGGAGAAUUUGCAUCCAGAAAUUCUAGAAAUUGGAGAAGAAAUUGCAAAAAUGUGCAAGGGAGUUCCUCUCAUCAUUAAGACUUUAGCAAUGAUAUUGCAGUCUAAAAGAGAACAGGGCGAAUGGUUGUCUAUUAGAAACAAUAAAAAUUUGUUGUCACUUGGCGAGGAAAAUGAGAAUGUUUUAUCUGUGCUAAAACUAAGUUAUGAUAAUUUGCCUACUCAUUUGAGACAAUGCUUUACAUAUUGUGUUGUAUUUCCAAAAGACUAUGAGAUUGAGAAAAAGUCGUUGGUACAACUAUGGAUAGCACAAGGUUAUAUUCAAUCUUCAAAUGAUAAUAAUGAGCAACUAGAAGAUAUAGGGGAUCGAUAUUUUCAGGAAUUAUUGUCAAGGUCAUUGUUGGAGAAGGCGGGAAACAAUCCUUUUACUGCUACAUUAAGGUAUAAAAUGCAUGACCUUAUACAUGAUCUUGCACAAUCAAUUAUAGGAUCUGAGGUCCUCAUUUUAAGAAAUGACAUAACAAACAUUUCAAAAGAAAUUCGUCAUGUAUCAUUGUUUAAAGAAACGAAUGUUAAGAUAAAAGAUAUAAAGGGAAAACCCAUAAGGACCUUUAUAGACUGUUGUGGACAUUGGAGAAAGGAUUCAUCAGCUAUAAGUGAAGUUCUUCCAAGCUUUAAGUCCCUACGUGUGUUGAGUGUGGAUAAUUUGGCUAUAGAGAAGGUGUCAAUGUGGGUAGACAAAUUGAGCCACUUAAGGUAUCUUGAUCUUUCUCUUCGUGAUUUUGAGGCACCUCCAAAUGCUAUUACAAGGUUAAAGAAUUUACAAACACUAAAACUCAAUGAGUGUUGGAGUUUGAAGAGAUUUCCAAAAGAUACAAGAAAAUUGAUCAAUCUUAGACACUUGGAGAAUGGUGGGUGUGCUAAUUUGACUCAUAUGCCACAUGGAAUAGGAGAAUUGACAUUACUUCAAAGUUUACCAUUGUUUGUUGUUGGGGAAGAGAAAGAGUUGUCCAGGGUUCAUACAAUUGGCAGCUUAAUUGAAUUGAAGAGGCUAAACCAACUAAGAGGAGGACUACUCAUAAAAAAUCUUCAAAAUGCACGGGUAUCAGAAGGAGAAAUUUUGAAAGAAAAGGAAUGCCUUGAGUCUUUGAGAUUAGAAUGGGCCCAAGAAGGUAACUGUGAUGUGGAUGAUGAGUUGGUGAUGAAAGGCCUCCAACCACACCGAAACCUAAAAGAGCUCUAUAUAGGUGGCUACCGAGGUGAAAGAUUUCCAAGUUGGAUGAUGAAUAGCCUGCUUCCUAACCUAAUUAAAAUUAAAAUUGCGGGAUGUUCAAGGUGUCAAAUUCUACCACCCUUUUCUCAACUCCCUUCUCUCCAGUCUUUGGAUCUUUGGAAUAUGGAAGAGGUGGAGGGCAUGAAAGAGGGUUCAUCAGCAACAAAUGCCGAAUUCUUCCCAGCUCUUCAAUUCCUCAAACUCAACAGGAUGCCGAAGUUGAAGGGAUUGUGGAGGAUGGAGUCAGGAGCAGAGCAAGGUCCCUCAUUUCCUCAUCUUUUCAAAUUAGAAAUUGAAGGAUGCCAUAACUUGACAUCCUUUGAAUUGCAUUCAUCUCCUUCUCUUUCUACUUCAAAGAUCAAAAAAUGCCCUCACUUGACAUCCUUUAAAUUGCAGUCCUCUCCUCGUCUUUCUACUUUAAAGAUUGAAGAGUGCCUUCUCUUGUCAUCCUUUGAAUUGCAUUCAUCUCCUUGUCUCUCUGAAUUUGAGAUCAGUGAUUGCCCAAACUUGACAUCCUUGGGACUGCAGUCAUCUCCUUCUCUUUCUAAAUUAGAGAUCCAUAGUUGCCCAAAUUUGACAUCCUUGGAAAUGCCUUCAUCUCUUGGUCUUUCUCAAUUACAGAUCAGAGAUCGCCGAAACUUUAAAUCCUUGGAACUGCAGUCAUGUUCUUCUCUUGCUAUAUCAACCAUACAGUCUUACGAUAAGCUGAAAUCCUUGGAAAUGCCUUCAUCUCUUGGUCUUUCUCGAUUAGAGAUCAGUGAUCGCCGAAACUUGAAAUCCUUGGAACUGCAGUCAUUUUCUUCUCUCUCUAUAUUAACCAUACUGUCUUGCGAUGAGCUGACAUCCUUGGAACUGCCUUCAUCUCCUCAUCUUUCUAGAUUACAAAUCAGUUUUUGUUGUAACUUGAAAUCCUUAGAACUGCCUUCAUCUCCUGGUCUUUCUCAAUUAGAGAUCGAAUAUUGUGAUAACUUCACAUCCUUGGAACUGCAGUCAGCUCCUCGUCUUUGUCAAGUACAGAUCAGACAUUGCCAAAACUUGACAUUCUUAAAAGAGGUUUCAUUACCUAGUCUUGAGAAACUAUUCCUAUCUACAGUCAGAAGGGUGGUGCUCAUAAUGUUUGUCUCUGCUUCUUCUUCACUGGAGUCUCUGUUUAUUAACAACAUAGAUGAUAUGGUAUCUCCCCCAGAGGAGCUGCUUCAACAUCUUUCCACUCUCCACAAUUUGAAGUGCUCUGGUUUGGCAACAUCACCACACUGGAUAGGCAGCCUCACCUCACUUUCUGAAUCAGAGAUCAGUGAUAGCCCAGACUUGACAUGCUUAGAACUGCCGUCAUCUCUGUGUCUUUCUAGUUUAAAGGUCAAUGAUUGCCCAAACUUGACAUGCUUAAAACUGCAGCCAUAUCCUUGUCUUUCUAGUUUAAAGAUUGGAAAAUGCCCGAAGUUUGCAUCCUUUGAAGUGGCUUCAUUACCUUGUCUUGAGGAACUAAGCCUGGGUGGAGUUGGAGCAAAGUUACUGUCAAAGUUAGUGUCCAUCUUUGCUUCUUCUUCAUUGAAGUCUCUGUAUAUAUGGGAGAUACAUGAUAUGAGAUCUCUCCCAAAGGAUCUGCUUCAACAUCUUUCCACUCUCCAAACUCUCCACAUUUUGAAAUGCUCUCGUUUGGAAACAUUAUCACACUGGAUAGGCAGCCUCAUCUCACUUAGAGAGCUUGGAGUUCAUGAAUGCUGUCAAUUGACAUCACUGCCAGAAGAGAUGCGUUCACUCAGAAACCUGCAGGAGUUAUAUCUCUGUGAUAGUCUAAUUCUACGGAUAAGAUGCAGUGUGACAACAGGUGGAAACUGGUCCAGGAUUGCUCAUAUCCCACAUAUUCAUUUCUUCGAUGAUAAGGGAAUAAAGUUUAAGGUCCGAAAUUCCUAACCUUUAUCCUCAUUUUUAUUAUUUUACGAUCAAAAUGCAAUGUUUUCCCAUUUGGUUUUGGUAAUUCUUUUAUAUUGACACUUCACAUGUUUGUUAAAAUGCUCACAUCAAUAAAUUUGAUUUCUUUUUGCAGACUAUAUGAUAGAUGAUGUGCACUAAACUGAUCAUUUUACUAGGUUCUACAUUCUAAGGGUUUGAGGAAAUACUGAGAUCUGAUAUGAUAUAUCUCCCAGAGGAGCUGCUUCAACAUGUUUCCAUGAUCUAAACUCUCACCAUUAGACAUUGCUGUUUUUGCAACAUUACAACACUGGAUAGGCAGCCUCCCCUCAGUUAUAGAACUUGGAACUCAUGGCUGCCAGAAGGUAUGUUCCCUCAAAAACUUGCAGAUGCUCAAAAUCUGCAUUGAAGUCUUAAUGAGGGCUGAGGUGCUGUGUCAGUCAAUGUUUCUCUCCACUUCUUCAUUGAAAUCUCUAUCUGUUGGAUCCUCAGAUGCUAUGAUGUCUCCCAGGGGAGGUACCUCAACAUGUUUCCAGGAUCCAAACUCUCAAAUUGAAUUAUGCUCUGGUUUUGCAAUAUUGCAGCCCUGGAUAGGCAGCUUCACCUCACUUAUGGACCUUCAUAUUUGUGACUGCGCUGAAUUGACAUCACGGUCGGAAGAGAUGCAUUCCCUCAAAAGCCUGCCAACACUCAAAACCUUUCAUUGUUGGAACCUACUUGAAGAUGCCAAAAGGAAACAUUUCAAGUUCAAGAAUAGAGAGAGCCAUGCUUGGUGCAGAUUCCAUCAAUAUAGAGAGACAUUUCAGGUCUGAAAUCCACCCUUCAAGUUGUAUUAGCAUAUAUAUCAUGAGUGAUUUUGUUAUUUAUGUCCACACCUUAUUCAUUUGAUGAAAUGCUUAAACAAGCAAGUUUUAAAAAAAAAAUUCUUCAAAUCACUUAUCAAAGAAAAAAAAAAAAAAGUUUCUCUUCAAAUCAAUUCUAAUGCGCCAUGAAUUGGUAAAUGAAGUUUGGGAAGAUGCUGGUUUGAUUUAAUUAUCAUUUGGUUGCAGAUUUCAUCUUGCAUUAGACGCGUGUGAAUAUUUCUUCUUGGCUCAACUUGAAAUCACUGCCUACAUUCUUCCAUUUCCCAGCUCAAAAUCACGUGGCAGAAGUUUUAAACUGCCAAAAAAUUUGUGAUGGCCCAUAAAUUCUUAUCUACCAGAUGACUAAUGGAGGAAGGUCCUGCUUUCUUUAGAAUUCAGGUCUACUCUUUGCCAUAGAUUACAGGUAAUCUGCUGCCUGCUAUUAAUUUGUACAUCGUCUUUCAUUUUGCCAUCCAUUUCUGUCAAGAGUGUCAUUCAAGUUGUGACUAUAUUUGUUGACUUUCACAUGCACAAAACUAGUAAACAGAUUGAACAAGUAAGCAAUAUGUGUCACUGUGAGUUUCGUUGUUAUUUAAAAUCACUCCAACUAAACAUGACAUAGACCAAAAACUCAUUAUCUCAGUCAAGUAGUUUAUUUUUUGUCCUUCAUUUGGUGAUGUUGUCUGGGUUUUUUAUUUUCUCUCUCUUCAUUGAUAGGCUUGUCCUCUCUGCAAUAUUAAUCACUGCAGAUGUAAUGUUGUCUAAUCAAUACAAAAAGCGAUAGUUGUGGGGCUUCCUUGAUCAGCAACUGCAUCGAGUGUUUCUAGACACUAAUGUCUCUAUAUUUUUGAAAAUUCAGAGAGUUGCAAAUUUCAAGGACUUAAAAGCUCGAGUAACUGUCUCUACCAUUAGGGCUUCAACAUGUUACCAUUCUGGAAAUUCUAAAAUACGUCAGAAUGCCCCACAUCCCUUAAUCGAAACCACUGCCAACACACUCAUGGGCUCUUUGACUUUGCCAUCUACAAUAUAUCAGAGGUUCAUGAUCCAUCCUCUAUUUCUGCUUUGGGUGGCUUCAAUUUUUUAUCUUACUUUUGUGUCAAUAUUCUAAAAAUGUUAUAUUCAAUUUACAAUUUUUUUUUAUCUGAUUCUCAUGCAUUCGCACAUGCUAAGAGACAAGUAAUAUAACACUUUCAUAAUGCAGGCCUUUUCCAUUGUUACUUCAUGUUUUUCACUUUACGAAUUUGAGAAAAUUUUGGGGUUGAUUUAAUUACUAUUUUCUCACAGAUUUCACCUUGCUUAGAAAGCCUAUGACUAUUCAUAUCUACUAGAUGGCUAAGGCAUCCAAUAAAUAUGCUUCACUCACCAGAAAAAUACCCAUCUCCUCAGCUCCAAACCCCUCUUUCUUCUCCUUCUCUUUUACUGUUUGCCAUUAUACCCUCUUACUGCUUUUGAAGACUGUAUUACUUUUGUAAAAUCCUUAGAUUAGUAAAAUUUGAAAUUGUAUUUUUAGUUUAAUGAUUAUAAUCUAUAUGUGAUCUUGUUAUUUCAUAUUUGUAGUUACAUGUUUCGAAAUUUUAUUAGGUUAACUACUUUGUUACAGAUGCAAGUGCUGCUGGGUCAAAGCAAAAUACCAGAUGGUAAUGUAGUUGUGACACCUUAUUUCUCUAAAGCAACUCAAAAGUGGGAAUUGUCAUAGAUUAAUAUUCUCUCAGUGGCGGCCACACCUCAUUUCUCUCAAGUAUUGAAAAUUCAGUGAUGUGCUAGUAGCUUAAUUAAUGUCUCUGUCACAAGUGAUUCAACAUCUCAUCCCACUUGAAGCCUUGGAAGCUAUCUCUAUAUUCAGGGACUCAGAUUGCCGCCCUAAAUUUGGUAACUUUAUCACACUCAAUGGACAACUUCCCUUUACUAACGUCUUCAAAUUUAUUGUUGUCCUGAAUUGAAAUCAUUGUUGGAAGAAGUGCAUGUCCUCAGCAUCUUUUGGACACUCAUAAUUGGGUACUUUCUUGUUUGGCAACAUUAACAGAUUCAUUAGGAAUCCUUACAUCACUUCAGACCUUCGAAUUUAUGAAUGCCUUGAAUUGACAUCACUUCUAGAAGAGAUGGUCCACUCAGGUCUCUGCAGACACAAUUCAGGACUUUUCUUUUUUGGCAACAACAAGAGACUUUAUAGGCAGUCUCACCUCACUUGCAUACCUUGAAAUCAAUAGUUGUCCUGAACUAACAUCAUCUCCAGAAGAGAUUGGUUCCUUCAGAUCCAUGCAGCCACCCAUAAUCUCUUAUUGUCCAUUGCAAUUGGAAAGAUGUCUAAGGGAAACAAUUGAAGAUUGGUCAAAGAUUGCUCAUGUUAUAGAAAGUUGUUUCAGGUUUGAAAUCCCUGCCUUUGUUCUCAUUUGCUAUGGUUUCAUGUUUAUCAAUAAGCUCUGUUUACCUUUUGUUUCGACAAUUCUGGUAUGCUUUAGCAUAUAAAGAAAAAAAGAAAAAAAAGAAAAACUGAGAUAAUCUUUUAAAAUUUUUUUCAUCUUCAAAUCAAAAUUGUUAAUUCCAUGUAUUAUUAAAUAUAGUUGUUAUUUGGUUAUUAAAGACCAAACCGAUCAUGUUACUUUAUGUUUUGAACACUAAGAGUUUGGGAAUAAACUAGGCUUUAUUUAAUUUCUGUUUUUAGCAUAUUUCACCUUGCUUAAGAAGCUUGUGAUUAUUCCUUGGACCAAAGAUUUCUUAUGAGUCAGAAUUUUUGCUCUCUUUCAAAUUCAGCUGCUUUGUUUGUAAUUCCAAUCCUUUUCCUGCCUUUGAACACUAGCACCAUUUUUAGUUAUUUAUCAAUGUGUUAGGAGCAUUAUCCUCUAGUUUUUAUAAUUUGUUGCCAAUUAUCAUAUAUAACAACACAUUAACCAAGUAGUGCAAAUGAACAUCUAUAAAGAGUCCAAUUAUGUUAAUUAGCAACUAUUAGAUAAAGUAGUUAUAGUAUUAUUUUUUUUGUUUGCUUCACAUGCUCUAUAAAAUCCAUAGAUUAGUAAUGUUUGAAUUUGGUAUCUUCAAAGAUAUCAAUUGCUACUUUGAUGGUUAUAAUCAAUGAUUUAACUGUCUGCCAAAGUGAUUAUAUUGUUAAUAACUUCGUGUUUCCAUUUUACAUGUUUGAAAAUUUAUGAAGUUAACUAUUUUAUUGCAAAUGUAAUAGUUGCUAAGUUAAAGCAAAAGUGGUAGUGAUGUGGUUGUGACACCAUACUCAUAUGAAGUAAUUGGAAAGUGAAGAUUGUCAUAGACUAAUGUCUAUUUUGGUGGCUACCACACCCUCGCUUCUCCUAAGUUAUUGAAAAUUCAUAAAUGUGGUAGCCAAAUGUCUCUCCCUCGUGUGAUUUAGCACAUUGCCCUCGAAAAUUUGGAAGUAUGUAAAUUCACUUUAGUGCCCUUGAAGAUUUAAAAGUUCUCCAUAUAGGUAGGGUUAACUGUUUUGGUUUUGCAACUUUGUCAAAUUAGAUGAGUUAACUUCAGAUCGAUAACUACCUUGUGUUGAAAUUAAUGCUAGAUGGGAUGCACCCAUGAGCACUCUAUAGAAAGUCAAUAACUUUCACUCCCAAAUCUUAUUAGAGAAAUGCCAAAAAGGAAAAGGUGAAGAUUAGCCAAAGAUGAUUUUAUGGUUGAUUCAUGCACUACUAUUGCAAUCCUUAAUUCAAGCAUGCAAUCUACAAUAUGUUUUAGGCUUGAAAUCCAACCUUUCUCUCAUUUUUUUUAUGGCUUUGGUUUAUUUUUAUACAUUGUUUAUGAUUCUAUUUUCUUGAUUCUCAUGUGCAUUAAGAUAUAUAAAGAAAAAAAAUUUCAUUGUUUGCUUUCUAUCUACUAUGUGUCGAUACAUAUAUGUUUUAAAAACCAAUUUCUAAUAGCGGUGCAACUUAGGCGAGUUGGCCCAACCUAGCUAGACCUUUGAGUGAGUUUGGACGAUCAUUUUUAAUGUUCGGAUUGAGUUUAUCUUAAGUGUUUUUUCAACAUAAAUUCAAUUUGGUUGGGCUUAAGCCAAGGUUUAGACAACUUAAGCCUAACCUAAACCUAAUUUAAUCCUUUUAUAAUACUUAUAAUUUAUAUUAUCCUAUAUAAUAAUAUUUAUAAUUUUUAUUUAUUUAUUGUUAUAAUUAAAAAAAAUCAAAAUAUAAUUGUAUCAUAUACUUUUUUGUUUCUCCAAAAUGAUAUAUUGAUUGACUUAUUAUUAUUAUUAUUAUUAUUAUUAUUAUUAUUAUUAUUACUAUUAUUGUAAUCUUGAAAAUUUGUCAUAUUUACUACUUAAAUUUGUGUGUGUGUGUGUAUGUGUAUGUGUAUAUAUUAAAAAAUAUUGUGAAUGCAUUUUGAAUCUGUUAGCCCAAAGGUUCUCCUAAUCGGGUUUUGAUGAUAACAAACUAUGGUUAAGUGACUAAUUGUUUUAAAUGAUAAAGAAUCUCAGGUAUAAAUUCGGAAAUUCAUUAAAGGACCAAAUAGAUACAAGAUCAAGACUUUGGGAAGACUUUUGAUCAUAGAAAACGAAUGUAAGAUGAAUGCAUGGGUGCACUUGGGAUUUUCAUACCAUUUCAUGCAUCUUAGAAAACUCGGUUUAUCCUUUAAAACUUCGAUUUCAUUAAAACUCGAGUUUGAUCAAAUGUACCUUAGGCAAAACGUUUUAAAAUUGACAUAUUAUUUCACCUAAAGACCUUGCUUAAGUGUUAGAAAAGAAAGGAAUUGAAAAAAAUAAGUUUUCGGGGCCAAAAGACCGAACCGAUCGAGGCUCUGGCCAACCGGCUCAACCGGUUGGGGAACGGUCGAGGAGUGCCAAAAACACUCUCUCUCAUCCAGUAGUUUCCUCUUCCCAGUUGAGGUUCACCCAUUCCCGGUUGAGGUCCAGUUGAGGCAAUGGUAACCUGCCAAGCAUUAAAUGCUCCAACAGCUAGCGAACCGGUCGACCCCUAGCUCGAUCGAUCGAGACUCCCUUUUGCCUUUUUUGACUUCCGAGCUUAGAAGCCUAUAAAUUGAGAGCUGCACUUCAUUUAUGAACAAGAGAACACUUGCAAUCAAUUGUCUACCUACCUAUUCUUGACCAAAAAACUCUCAUUUCUUUCUUAGUGCAUUAAAUCAUCACUUGCAUAUCCUUUAGUGCACCCUUGUGUGUUAUCCUAGUUUUGUCUUGUAUUUGAGCUAUCCUUAAGCUAGGCUGAGGGAUUCAUUCUUGUAAAAACUGAGUGUUAAAGCCUUUAAGAGGUUUGAAUCUUGAAGAGAUUGUGUAAGAGCCCAUUGGAGCCAGAAUCCAAGUGUAAGAAGAUUGGAAGCUUGGUUGAAGCUUCAAGUUAGUGGAACCCUCACUUAGUUAGGAGAUUGAGAAGAGUGGACGUAGACAAGGAAGUUUCGAACCACUAUAAAACCUGAGUUUGAAUUCUCUAACUCUAUCUCUUUAUUUUUGUUUAUAUUGUGCUUGAACUUAUUGUGUUUGAAAAGAUUUUUAAAAACCCAAUUCACCCUCCUCCCCCCAUUUUUGGGUGUUUUUCUUAAUUAAGUAUAGUCUUUAUUUUCUUAAUUGGUAUCAGAGGUAGACCUCUUGUUUAAGACCUAAUAGUCUAAGAGGAAAUGGCUAUUCUAUCAAGCUCAUCUCACACUAAAAUUUUUGCAAAACAUAGAGCUCCAUUUUUUAUGGGAACCGACUAUCCCUAUUGGAAAACUAAAAUGACUUGGUUUUUACAAUCAACCGAUUUAGACGUAUGGGAUGUUAUUGAAGAUGGCCCAACUUUUCCUACUAAACUAGUUGAUGGAGUUUUGGUUCCAAAACCCAAGCAAGAAUGGAAUGAGCUUGAUAGAAGAAAUUUUCAAUUAAAUGCUAAAGCUGUUUUUACUUUGCAAUGUGCUACAGAUAGAAAUGAAUAUAAUAGAAUAUGUCAAAUCAGCUAAAGAAAUUUGGAGAUUACUUGAGCUAACUCUUGAAGGAACAAAUCAAGUGAAAGAGUCAAAAAUUAAUUUACUUGUUCAUAACUAUGAAUUGUUUUCAAUGAAAGAAAAUGAGACUAUUGUUGAGAUAAUUACUAGGUUCACCGACAUUGUUGUGUUUGAAAAGAUUUUAAAAAACCCAAUUCACCCCCUCCCCCCAUUUUGGGUGUUUUUCUUAAUUAAGCAUAGUCUUUAUUUUCUUAGAAUCAUAUAAUGAACCAACCCGAACCCAACAAAAUGAGAUUAUGUUGGGCUUAGGUUAAGUAAAUUGGAUUAGAGGUUGGGUUGGGUUGGGUUGGUUUGGCUUAGGGUUAAGUGUUUCUUAGGUUUGGCUCGGAUCAAGUUGACCAUCAUCCAAACUCAACUCACCCAACUUGCAACCCAAAUUUCUAAGAAUAUGAUAUAUAUUCCAUUUACAAAUCUUUUUUUUUUGGUUCAUAUGGCUACUAGAACAUCAUGUUAAGUGCCUGAGAAACAUUUCCUAGUUGAUAUUUAGUUGUAGGUUAAUCUUCAAGUACCCUAGAGCUAAAACAUUUUAUAUUGUUAGGGUUUGAUGAUUCUUGUACUAGUGGUUGGGUCUCAUGUUGGAUUUCAGUUCAAGCGACUAAAUAAUCUUUUUCAAAUUAUUUGAUUGUAAUUAUGAUUACAUUUAUAAUUAUUAUUAUUUUUUAUUUUUAUAUCUUGGUAAUUGAUUUCAAUACCUUUUUAAUUAUUUUAUGAAAUGUCUAGCCUGCAUUUAGAGUCAAGGAUGUGUUUGUUUUGCAUGUUGGAUUGGAUUUAACUUUUCACUACUAGUAUUCUUUUAAUAGAGCUUCAAUGCUAAAAGCCUAAAACUAAAUCAUUUUGGUUGUUGAUAUAAGUUUACAAGAAGUACAAUACCUUUUGCAAGUGACACUGCCUUCAAGCCCUUUGAAAAUUUUGUGUAGUUACUAAUUAACUCUUUGUUGCUAAAAUAUAAUAUGUGAAGUUAUCUUAUAGUCAUAUAGCUAAUAAAAUUUUAAUGUUAUAUUACUUGAUUUAGUAUUUAAAAUAUUUAAGGUUUUGUGAAUUAAAGACCACCAUGUUAUCCAUAACAAAAGUUUUCUAUGGUUAGAUUGUAAUUGUUUUCUUGGUUAAUUUGACAAUUUAAUUGUGGAGUUCAAUUGAAUAUUCCUCGAGUUUCAUGCCUUAUGUAUCUGAUUUGUUUGUCAAGCUUCAAUGAUAUUCACUACACUUGCGAGUUGUGUUUGUUUAUAGUCUUCUACUCUAGAAAACUGAUAUUAGGGCCUAAGUUUAUAUUAGAUAAGGAAAUCAACCUUUUAUCAUUAAGUUUAGUGAUUAAAUGUAUUUCUUUUUACUCCACCCAUAAAGUUUCUAAGUGUUGCCUUGGACUUCCUAACUCCAUUACUGUUUGUAAAGAAAAUGGUUAAUUUUUUCAUUUUAUGUAGAAGUUAACAAAAGUGGUCAUUUUGACAUGAUUUGACAUUGUUAUUAUUAUCUUUUUAAAUUAGAUAUAAUAAUUUUCCAAAGUCAAUAUUUUGUUUGCAUGAUGCUCUUUUUAUAUUGAUAUGUAAUGGAUGGCUAAAGUGGAGAAAACUUACUUUAUUUAAGUCAAAUGUGUCUUCCACCAAAUAUUUAAGGUUUGUGUGGCAACCUCUCUUUCUAUUUGUUGCUUCAUCUUUACUGUUUUGAAGUCAAAGAAAGAAAAUGCUAUCUUUAAUACUCUUCAUGCAAAUAGGCUAGACAUGCAUGCUUGAAUACAAUAUUUUCUCUAUUGUUUGUUUAUUUUCUUGUCUUUAUUCUAUUCCACUUGUUAAUGUUAUUUAAAAUGACUAUCGUGAUGAUUAAUUGCAUAUUGUGAAAGUACUUGGCUUAACCAAUUAUUAAAUUGGAAUUAAGUUAAUAUCAUGACAAAUACCAAAAGAAUAAUUUUUAGUCUUACUUGAACAUUAUUCACUAUUCCAAAGUUAAGUAAUGUUGUCAAACAAGUUAUGGAUGGUUGAUGGAUAUGCAUCACCAAUAUUUGUUUAUAUUGAAGGGAUGGUGGAGGAGAGAUGUUGCAACUGCAAAGUCCUUGUCUUUCUCAAUUAGAUAUUAGUUAUUGUCAUAUGUUAACACAUUUUGCACUGCAUUACUUAACAUCCUUUUCCAUUAAUUACAUCUCAUUUUUCUAAAAUAGAGAUCAAAUACUAAGGUAAUUAGACAUACUUAUUUAUGCCUUCAUUUCCUUGCCUUUCUCACUUACUUAUCAAUGGAUUCCCUAACUUCAAAUCCUUCCCACUGCUUGUAGCUCAUUGUCUUGUUCGCAUAGAUAUUAGUAAGUGCCCUAACUUGAUAACCUUCAAAGUGCAUUUAUUAAUAUAAGUUGUUGGCUUUUUUGUUCUUCAUUGAAGUCUCUAUUUGGGACAUUCAUGAUUUGAUAUCUCUUCUAAAAGAAGGCUUGGCUUCAACAUUUUUCCAAUCUCCAAACUCUCACAAUUAAGAACUAUCAUGGUUUGGUAACAUUAUUGUGUUGGAUCUACAACCUUCAAUUACUUACCAAGCUUCAAGUUGAUCACUAUCUAGAAUCGAUAUCAUUGAUAGAAAUGAUACAUUCUCUCAAAAACCUUUAAAGACGCAAAAUCUAUUGUUGUCCACACCUAUUAGAAAGAUAUCAAAAGGAAACAAUUGAAGAUUAACCCAAGAUUGGUUGUCUCACAAAAUGAUAUUUAGUUGAGAUUAGAUUGAUAAAGAAUGUCAUUUUAGGCAUGAAAUUCCAAUCUUUCCUUUCAUUUUUUUAUGGAUUUAUUUAUUUUAAAAUUAUAUAUAAUCCUUUGUUUUCAUUUUGCUUUGGUCAAAUGCUUAGAUCAUUAAGUUUUUAAAGUUUUGUAUCUUUAAAUUACUAACCGCUAAUGAUGUGUAGCAACUUGAUUAUGUCUGUUACUUUCAAUUUUGCAUUCUAAGGGUUUGAGACAUGCCAAGGUUUGAUUUAAUAAUUAUUUUUUCAUGGUUUUUAACUUGAAAUCAUUGUCUAUUCAGGUUCAUUGCCCAGACUUAAAGUAACUGUCAUAAGAAACAAACUUCUAAUAGGCCUAAUGAUUUCUCAUGGCUAAUUCACAUCCAUUAGAUGCUUGAUAAUGAAAACACUUUUGCUCUCUUCUAAUUUCAGGUUUCUCUGCCUUAUAUUUUAUGUUCCAACUUUACACAUUUAUUAAAAUUAUUAGACUAGUUGAAAUUUAUAAUAUAUUUGUAAUAAUUCUAAGAGUUUGGGACAUGCCAAGGUUUGAUUUAAUAAUUAUUUUUUUCAUGGUUUUCAACUUGAAAUCAUUGUCUGUUUAGGUUCAUUGCCCAAACUUAAAGUCAUUGCCAUGAGGAAACAAACUUUUGAUAGGCCUAAUGAUUUCUCAUGGCUAAUUCAUAUCCACUAGAUGCUUGAUAAUGAAAACACUUCUGCUCUCUUCUAAAUUCAGGUUUCUUUGCCAUAUAUUUUAUGUUCCAACUUUACACAUUUGUUAAAAAUUUAUAACAUGCUUGUAAUAAUUCAUUGUUGACUAUUUGCACUCAUUAUGUUACUUGAUAUUUUGUUCUCAUACCAAGCUUAUACUAAAACGAUAAUGUUGAGAAUUGACUAAAUACGAUUCAAUAUUCCCACUAUAAAUGUUCACAAGUUAUGGAAAGUUGAUGCAUAUGGAAAGAGUAAUAUCAAUUUCCUGUUGUCUAUAAUAUGAUUACUUCAUCUCUUUCUUCGUUUAGUGUCAUGCUCAAUAACUUAUAACUUUCCAUUCAAUUUGUUAAGAAAUAUUGUACUCUAUUUGGAGUUAUGAUCUUAUGAUUCCAUAAUAUAGAAAACCUUGAACAUAAAGUAAUGGGUUAAGUUCGUAUAAGUUAUAGUGCACCUUAUCAAAGGGAAAUUCAAAGUCUUUAGUUGAUAAAAAGAAAUGGAGUUUGUAGCUCUUCCUUAUUUGACAAAUACUACAUAUUGAUUUACCUUUUGUCUUAGAUGAUACCAUUAAUAAUUGUUCUAUCUCUUCUAGAAAUUUUAAAUAUUUUACUUACAUCAUUUAUCAUGUUCAUCAUGACACCUAAAUUAGCAUAAAAGGCGGGGUCAAUUUUAUCUUCACUUAUUGUAGCCAAUGCUUAAGGAAUUUCUUUUGUGUGAUGUAAAUAGUCAAACAUGUUUUAACUAUCUUUUGGAAAUGAUUAGUCUUGUUAAAAAUUUGACAAACGAUAAUACCUCCAACUUUUGAGAGUUGUCACUUCUAUCAUUCUAGUUGAUUUGUUUUUCCAUUGAUUGUUGUCACACCAUUUGUUUUUGUUAUUCUAGUUUCCUCAAUCAUUGCCUCAAGAUCUUCUUGCAGGAGUGAAAACUCUUCCUCUCUAAUUAAAAUUAUUAUCAUGAUUUCUUCUACCAUGUUUGCUUAGAAAAACUUGCUCAUGAAUAAUUUGAUUUUUCCUAUCUUCAUCUUCAUUGAUUAGAUUUCCUAAUGUGAUCAUUAGAAUGAAUUAAUUGAAAGAUAGAGAAGGUGGUUUUGCAAGCAUGAAAACCCGAAAAAAGUAGUAUUUUGGUCGAAGUCCUCGAGGGAGUCGAAGCACCUUCUCAACAUUUUGCAUUAGAUUCUAAAUAAGUACUAAGUUAUCACUUAUGCCUUUAAAUUUUCAAAGAUUUUCAUCUAUAGAUAGAACCUCAUGAGGAAUCUAUUAUUUAAAAGGAUUUCCUUUUCAUAGGUAGCAAUCAUUUUGAGUCUAACAAGCCUCUCUAAGACUUCCUCUUUCAUAUUCCAAGAAGCUAGGGGUAAGAAGUCAAUUUGAUUGAGAUAUUGUAUAUCUUAUUGACAACCUUUUUUUUUUAUUCUUUUGAAUCUUAAGUUUCUUUUGGUCAUUUUCUACAUUCAGGGAGAUGAUGGAAUAUGUCAAGAUUCUAAAAUGAAGGAAGAACUUUCAAGCACCCAAACAUAAACUUUCAAGAUUUGUUCAUUAAUCAAAAGAUGAAAUGCUAGCAGUAUACCAAAAAGAGGUUAUUGGAUUUCUAUAUUAUUUCAUUAUUUUUAUAUAGACACUUUUCACUCAAUUCCUAGUCCUUGCAUUUUUCAUGUUUAGAAAUUUUCUUAGGUUAGGCUAUUUUGCUAUAGAUAUGAUUGUUGCUAAGUUUAUGCAAAAAAGCAUGCAAUAAUUUCUUCCAUAGUGAUCUUGUUGCCUUCUUGAAUAAGUGGAUGUUUGAUUUAUGUGGAACUGUUGAACUCUUUAAUUCAAGCAUGGUAUCAACAAUAUAUUUCAGGUUUUACAUCUAACUGUUAUCUCUUUUUUAUGACUUGGUUUUUUAUUUUCUUAUAUGGAUAUUGUAAGAGGUUAUGCUCCUUUUUAAUUCUAUUUUCAUGAUUCUCAUAUGAAUUAACACAAAUGAAGGAAAGGUUUUUUUAAUUAAGUUAAUUUAUUGAUGUUGGAAAAAUUAAUUGUUAGUUAUAUUCUAACUUUACAUGCUUGUUAAAAUGAUUAGACUAGUUAAUUUAAAAAUAUAUAUCAUUCUUGUAAUAAUUCACUAUUAAUUGUGUGGCUAAGUGAUCAUGUUCUUUCAUGUUUUCUUUUCAUAUCAGGUUGAUACUAAAGGGGUAUUAUUGAGAAUGAGUUGAGCAUUGUUCAAUUUCUCAAGAUAAAUGUUCAUAAGGUAUGGAUGUCUGAUGCAUAUAGAAAGAGUUAGUUCACUUGCUUAGUAUCUAUAAUAUGUACUCAUUCUUGAUGUUUGUGAUUACUUAAUUUCUAUCUUUCAUCUUUUGGUGUCUUGCUUGUUAAUUUAUACCUUUACAUUCAAUUUGUUAAGAACUAUUAUACUCUAUUUGAAGUUUGAUUUUAUGAUUCUCAUACACAAAAGAAUACCAACAAUUUGGGCAAGGACAUGAUACUAAAUCAUUUAUCAAUUUGGUUAUCUAUCUUUUCUCUAAUUUCUUAAGCUUGGGAAUCAAAAUGCUUUGGAAUACCAAGAAACAAUGGGGAUGAGUCUUUUCUUCAUCAUCUUGAGUUUUAUUGAUAGUCAACUUGUAGUAUCAUCCUUCAUAUUCCCUAAAGUACUCAAACUUGAUAGUUUGAAAUACUUAACUUGUUUACAAAAAUAUUCUUACUUCAUGUUUAGGUUUUGUAUAUUUGAAAAUUUAGUUAUGUUAAUUAUUUUAUUAUAGUCAUGACCAUUUUCAUGUCAAUGCAAAAGAGAUAGUGGUGAAGACUAGCAAAAUGUUACUCAUACCUUGAACAUAACUAUAAGUUAUUAACGGCUGGUGCACUGGAAAUGUCUCUCCCUCCUCUACUGUCUUUAGUUAGAAUAAAGGGUUCAUAUUAUGUUUUCAUUAUUUAGUUUUGUAAUUUCUACUUAUCAUCCCACUUUUUGUCUCUUAAUGAUUUAUCACUUAACAAUCAAAUUUUAAAAACAUGUUCUUAUAGGUGAUAGUGCAAUAACAUGUUAAAUUCAUGAAAAUUUUUCCAAAUUGAUAUUCAAGGUUUAGUUUAUCUUCAAGUGCCUUCUAGAUGUGGCUUUUGUGUUUUAUAAACCAAAACAUUGAUCUAUGUUCUUUGUGGCUAAGGCUUGGUGUAUUUUCAAGUACCUUGUGGUAGAAGCUUAGGCUUUCCUUCUCUUUCUUUUUGAGAAAAUAUAUUGAUGAUUGCUAGAGGAUUAGGUUGUCAAAAUUCAAUAUUGUAGAAAAUGUUUGGCGUUUUAAAAUUAUUUAAUGAAUUUGGUUGAGAAGUUACUUAAUAUAGAAAAACAUAUUUAUUUGAGAAACAGGGAAAUAAAAAUAUUUUUUGCACUACUUGCCUUAUGUUUGCAUGAUGUGUGCACACAAACAAAUCAUAGAAUUAAGAAUACAAAUUGUUUGCUCUCAUUUUUAUAAAUUAAUAAAACUAUAACCAAAAUGCAAUGUAGCCAAGUCACAUUUAUUGUAUUAGUCCUAAAAUAAUGUUUGAACUAUGUUAACUAGUAAGUAUUGGAAAAAGGAAUUAUGCCAUCUUUAUUUUCUAUUUACCUGGUUUAUAAAAUCCUUAGAUCAAUAAAGUUUGAAAUUUGUAUGCAGUUAAUUGCUAGAAUUAUAAAUUUUUGUAAUUAUAAUUAUUUUUAUGAUUUUAUUUUAUUUUAUUUAUGUUUACAUUUUUGUUUGAAAGUUUCUCAUAUAUGUUAGUCUUUCUAUCAUUAAUAUAAUAAUUAUCAAGAUUAUUCAAAAAGGAUAGAGGACUAGUGGUAUAUUGUUCACAUUUUAUAAAUAUAUGUUGACAAUGUGGUCUUUAGGUUUACAUUUUAAACUUUUUUCCUCACUAUUUAUCUUUUUAUCAUUUAUUACAUGGCAGUCAAUUUCUAAUACACAAUGAGUCUUCUCUUCCCUUUUUCAAGACCAUUCUUCUCAUUUUCAAAGGUACUUACAUUUAAAAAACUUAAGAUAAUGUUGAAGGGAGUUUCAUUAUGAGGACAUAUUACAACAACACUUGUUAAUAAUAUUGUUUUAUGAGUUGACAUCCAUGUCUAUGCAUUUACACUUAACAGGAUUCAUUAUACAAGAGUAUCUUAUACAUUGAACUCAAUGCAAGUUUAGAAAAAUGAUAUUAGGUUGGGUUUAGGUUGAGAAUUAGGUUGGGUUUGGCUAUGGUUAAGUGUUUCUUAGGUUUGGUUUGGAUCAGAUUGAGCAUCAACCAAACUCAACUCACCCAAGUUGCAACCUUAAUUUCCAAGAAAUUGAUAUAUAUUCCAUUUACAAAUAUUAUUUUUUUUGGUUCGUAUAGGCACGAGAACAUCAUGCUAAGUGCAUAAGAAACAUUUCCAAGUUGAUAUUUUGUUGUAGGUUAAUCUUCAAGUGCCUUAGAGCUAAAACAUUUUAUAUUAUUAGGGUUUGAUGAUUCUUGCACUAGUGCUUGGGUCUCAUGUUGGAUUUCAAAUCAAGUGACUAAUUAAUCUUUUGAAAAUAUUUGAUUGAUAUUAUAACUAAAUUGAUAAUAUUUUUUUAUAUAUAUUGGUAAUUGAUUUUAAUGUCUUUUUAAUUGUUCUAUGAAAUGUCUAACCUAUUCUUGUUAGGGUCAAGGAUGUGUUUGUUGCACAUGUUGGAUCAUAUUUAACUUUUCACUAUUAGUAUUCCUUUAAUAGAACUUCAAUGCUAAAACUAAAUCAUUUGGGUUGUUGGUAUAAGUUUACAAUGAGUACAAUACCUCUUGCAACUGAGAUUGCCUUCAAGCCCAUUGAAAUUUUUGUGUUGUUACUAAUUGAUUCUUUGUUGCUGAAAUAUAAUAUGUGAAGUUAUCUUAUAAUCAUAUAACUAAUAAAAUUUGAAUGUUAUAUGACAUGUUUUAUUAUUUUAAAAAAUUUAAUGUUUUGUGAAUUAAAGACCACCAUGUUAUCCAUAACAAAAGUUUUCUAUGGUUAAACUGUAAUUGUUUUCUUGGUUAAUGUGACAGUUUAACUGUGGAGUUCGGUUGAAUAUUCUUGAGUUUCAUGCCUUGUGUAUCUGAUUUGUUUGCCAAGCUUCAAUGAUAUUCACUACACUUGUGAGCUGUGUUUGUUUAUAGUCUUCAACUCUAGAAAACUGAUAUUGGGGCCUAAGUUCAUCGUAGGUAAGGAAAUCAACCUUUAUCAUUAAGUUUAGUGAGUAAAUGUAUUCCUUCUUACCCCAUAAAAUAAAGUUUCUAAACCUUGCCUUAGACAUCAUAACUCCAUUACUAUUUGUAAAGAAAAUGAUUAAGUUUUUCAUUUUAUGUAGAAGUAAAAAAAAAAAAAAAAAAAGUGGUCAUUUGGACACGAUUUGACAUUGUUAUUAUUUUCUUUAUAAAUUAGAUAUCAAUAAUUUUUCAAAGUCCAUAUUUUAUUUCCAGGAUGUUCUUUUUAUAUGGAUAGGUAAUAGAUGGCUAAAGUGGAGAAAACUUACUUUUUUUUUAAUUCAAGUACCUUCCACCAAAUAUUUAAGGUUUGUGUGUCAACCUCUCUUCCUAUUUGUUGCUUCAUCUUUACUAUUUUGAAGUCAAACAAAGAAAAUGCUAUCUUUAAUACUCCUCAUGCAAAUAGGCUAGACAUGCAUGCUUGAAUGCAAUAUUUUCUCUAUUGUUUGUUUACUUUCUUGUCUUUAUUCUAUCCCACUUGUUAAUGUUAUUUAAAAUCAUUUUUGUGAUGAUUAAUUAUCGAUUGUAAAAAUACUUGGCUUAGCCAAUUAUUGAAUUGAAAUUAAUUUAAUAUCAUGAAAAAUACCAAAAGAAUAAUGUUUAGUCUUACUUAAGGAUUAUUUACUAUUUCAGAGUUAAUUAAUGUUGUCAAACUUGACAAGUUAUGAAUGGUUAACGGAUACACAUCACCAAUAUUUGUUUAAAUUGAAGGGAUUGUGGAUGAGAGAGGUUGCAACAACAAAGUCCUUGUCUUUCUCAAUUAAAUAUCAGUUAUUGUAUAUGUUGACAUAAUUUGCACUGCAUUACUCAACAUUUUUUCCAUUACUUCCAUUUCCUCAAUUUUCCUAAACUAGAAAUCAAAUACUAAGGUAAUUAGACAUACUUAUUUAUGCCUUCAUUUCCUUGUCUUUCUCACUUACUUAUCAAUGGAUUCCCUAACAUCAAAUCCUUCCCACUGCCUUUAGCUCCUUGUCUUGCUCACAUAGACAUCAAUAAGUGCCCUAACUUGACAUCUUUCACAAUGCAUUCAUAAUAGAAGUUGUUCUAUUUUUGUUUUUCAUUAAUGCCUCUAUCUAUUUAGGAUAUACAUGAUUUGAUAUCUUUUCUAAAAGGAGGCUUAGCUUCAAUAUUUUACCACUCUCCAAACUCUCACAAUUAGGAACUAUCAUGGUUUGGUAACAUUACUAUAUUGGAUCUAAAACCUUCAAUCACUUACCGAGCUUCAAACUUAUCACUAUCUAGAAUUGAUUUCACUAACAAAAGUGAUACAUUCUCUCAAAAAUCUUAUAAGACUCAAAAUGUAUCAUUUUCCACAUCUAUUAGAAAGAUACCAAAAGAAAACAAUUGAAGAUUGGUCCAAGAUUUCUUAUGUCCCACAAAAUGAUAUUUAGCUAAGAUUAGAUUGAUAAAGAAUGUCAUUUCAGGUAUGAAAUUCCAAUCUUUCUUUUCAUUUUUUAUGGAUUUAUUUAUUUUAAAACCAUAUAUAUGUUGAAAGUAAGAACUAUAAAGCUAUGAACUCAUACAAAUCUAGAAUAACAUUCCCAGUUUUAUUGAACACUUAUUGGUGGCUUAUAUAGCCUUACAAGACAAGGAAUUAGAAAAACAUUGCAGCCCACAUCUUAUACCUAAAGACAUGGUAUUAGUUACUAAAAGAAUCAAAACCUAUCUACUGGUUCCUAACUAAUAGGAACUUAUCAACAGAACUUUCACAAAGCCAAACUUAAUAGAAACAAAUAAAUCCCAACAAUAAUUCCUCCCAUAAACUAAAACAAUAUGCAUUCAGUUUAAGUUUGGUACCUCACAUACCCCAAGCUUCUCACGCAACUUCAAGAACACUUCAAGCUUCAGUGGCUUUGUCAGGAUAUCAACCACUUGAUCAUUGGUGCCACAAUGAACCAACUUCACUACUUCCUCCUUAGUGAGGUCCCUCAAGAAAUGGAACCUCACAUCUAUAUGCUUGCUCCUACCAUGCAUAACCGGAUUCUUGGAUAACUUGAUCAUUGAACUGUUGUCACACAUAAUAGUAGUACACUUACUCUGUGAGUGCCCAAUCUUUUCUAACACUCUCCUCAUCCAUAUACAUUGACAAGCACAGAAAGCUGUUACCACAAAUUUUGCUUCAGUGGUACACAAAGUCACCACUGGUUGCUUCUUUGAGGCCCAAGAAACUGCUAUGCCACUCAAUAAAAACACAUAACCAGAUGUGCUCUUCUUAUCAUCAGUGUCUCCAGCAUAAUCGCUGUCAGUGUAAGCCAAUAGUUCUUCAACAUCUUCUCAUCUCUUAUAAAACACACCCAACUCCACAAUUCCUUUUAAAUAACGAAGAACUCUCUUUGUUGCUUGCAUAUGUAGGUCAGUAGGAUUGGCUAUAUACCUGCUCAAGAGACAUACUACGUACGUUAAAUUAGGUCUUGUUGUAGUAAUGUACAUGAGACUCCCAAUUAAUUGCUUAUAAACUGUAGCAUCAAUCCUAGCACCUUCUCCUUCCUCUGAUAGCUUGAAACCGGGCACAAUAGGAUUCUCCACUGAAUUGGCAUUUUGUAAACCAAACUUCUCAAGUAAUUCACAAGCAUACUUCUUCUGACUUAAGAAGAUACCCUCUGAAGUUUGCAAAACUUCAACACCAAGGAAGUACUUCAUCUUCCCUAAAUCUAUCAUAUCAAACUCAUCCUUCAUGGAACUCUUGAAGCUUUCAAACAUGCAUGCAUCAUUCCCAAUAAAGAUUAAGUCAUCCACAUACAAACUCACAAUUAAGAACCUCUUACCUCCUUCUUCUAUUUUGACAAAGAGAGUGUGCUCGUAAUCACAUCGUUCAAAUCCCUCAUUAACAAAAUAAGCUUCAAUUCUGCUAUACCAAGCACGUGGUGCUUGCUUCAACCCAUAUAAUGCCUUCUUAAGCUUGUAGACCUUUUUUUCUUCACCCUUUCGAAUAUAACCUAGUGGUUGCUCCACAUACACAUCUUCUUUCAACUCACCAUGAAGAAACACACUUUUGACGUCUAAUUGAUACACACUCCAUCCCUUUUGUGCUGCUAGGGCUAGAACCAUCUGAAUUGUGUCCCACCUUGCUACUGGAGCAAAGACUUCAUUAUAAUCAAUUCCUUGUCGCUGAGCAUAACUUUUAGCUACCAACUGGGCUUUGCACUUAUCAACCUCACCCUUUUCAUUCAAUUUGGUCUUAAAAACCCACUUCACACCAAUCUUCUUAGCACCUUUAGGCAAAGUAGUAAGCUGCUAGGUUUUAUUCUUCUCAAUUGCUUCAAUUUCCAAGUCCAUGGUCCUUCUCCAUUUCACAUCCCUCUUAGCUUCUUCAAAAGAUCCCGGAUCUUCAUGAGAGAUAAACAUUGCAAGAUUAUUCACAUCUGCAUCUUCUGACAGUUCUUCACCUGUUACAUAGUCCUGCAAGUAAGGAGGUGCUCUUCGAAUCCUUGUUUCAUCUUGAACUGGUGCAACUUCAUUGGAUGAUUCAAUCGAUGUUGGAGUUGUUGCUUCUGCUUCUUGAUUUGUAACCACUACUUCAAUACAUUCCACAACUUAUUCUUCACUCUCAGAGAAAGCAUCUUCACCUUCAACACUAUCUUCCCAGACCAGUAUAUCACGCUUCACUUCUUUAGUUGUCCUCCCCCAAUUCCAACCUUUAUCCUCUUCGAAACUCACAUUUCUGCUCACUAUAAUUCUUCUAGUAGCUGGAUCAAACAACCGAUAAGCUUUAGAUUCAUGACUUACUCCAAGUAAGACACACUAAAGACUUUUAUCAUCCAAUUUUGUUCUCUUCUGAUCUGGCACAUGUACAUGAGCUAGGCACCCAAAAACCCUUAAGUAGUCCACUUUGGGUUUAACUCCACUCCACAUCUCUUCUGGGGUCUUGUCUUUCACUACCAAUGUUGGACUCCUGUUGAGAACAUGCACUAUCCAUCUUGCAGCUUCUAGCCAGAAUGCUUUUGGCACUUGUUUGUCACAAAGCAUGCACUGAACCAUAUUCAUGAUAGUUUGAUUUUUGCGUUCAGCUACCCCAUUUUUUUGUGGGGUAUAAGAUGUUGUCAGCUGCCUGCUUAUACCAUUGAUUCUACAAAACUCAUUAAACUCAUUGGAGGUGAAUUCUCCUCCUCUAUCAGUGCUUAAACAAUAGAUAAGUUCACUCGACUCCUUCUCAACCAAGCUCUUACAGUUUUUGAAAGUUGUAAAUGUUUCAGACUUUGCAACCAAAAAAUAUAUCCAUACCUUUUUACUAAAAUCAUCGAUGAAGGUUAUAAUAUACCUUUUGCUACUGUUGGAUUCAGGAGUAAUAGGGCCACAUAUAUCAGCAUGAACGAGCUGCAAUUUUCGGGAAGCUCUCCACUGACUCUUCUUUGGAAUAGCAUUUCCGUGUUGCUUUCCCACAAAGCAUUCAUUGCAAGCUAUAGUUGACGCUCUGAGAAGUGGAAGACCCUUCACCAUCUCUUUGUAUUGCAAAGUCCUCAACCCUUUGUAACUCAAAUGCCCAAACCUACGGUGCCACAACUUUGAAUUAUCUUCUGUGACUGUUUACAGGCAUGUCGAGGUCUCAAGCACCACAUUAGCCAAUAACACAAACAUCCGAUUUGUUGUCAUUUUUGUCUGCAUAAUCAAUCCUCUUCUAGGGUGGUAUAACUUACAUUCCCCAUUUUGUAUAAUUAUAGCUAAACCCCUUUCUUGAAGUUGCCUUAUACUCAGCAAAUUAUUCUUCAAAGCAAGAACAUAGUAAACAUCAGUGACUACCUAAGUUGAGCCAUUAAUCUCAAGUCGGAUGUUGCCUUUGCCCAUCACUCCCAUCCUUGUAUUAUUGCCGAGCUUCACAGAGUGUUUGAAAGCCUCAUCAAUGUUAGAGAACCACUGCUUGUUCCCGCACAUGUGAUUGUUGCAACCUGAGUCGAGGAACCACACAUCUUCUCGUUUCGAGUUGUUGACUUCAACAUAAGACAUGAGGAACAUCUCUUCUUCUUCAUCUAACUCAGUAUAGUUUGCACUCUUCUCCCAACUAGGACAUUCGUAUUGGAAGUGCCCUAGUUUGUGGCAUUUAAAACACUCCAGUGUGGCCUUGUUUGCAAAGUAACUUCCUCUGCCUCUCCCGCGGCCUCGAACAUAACUUUGACCUCUGCCUCUUCCUUCAUACCUUUCUCCAUACAAAACCUUUAAAGCUUGUUCAUCCCUUGCAUUUCCAUUAUGACAAUUCAUUCUCUGUUCAUGAACCAAAAGGCUGCUUUGAAGCUCGUCAAUGGUCAUCGUGUCCACAUUAUUGGACUCUUCUAUUGAGCAUACCUCAUAGUCGAACCUGGGAGUCAUCGAUCUCAAGAUUUUCCCCACAAUCACGUUUUGCCCCAUUCUUUCUUCAUGUACUUUCAUCUUGUUUGCAAUAGUCAAAGCUCUGGCAAAGUACUCAUCAACCUUCUCACCCUCUUUCAUCUAUAGGAUCUCAAACUCUUUUCUAAGGGCUUGUAGUUGAGCUCGUUUAACUCUGGUGGAGCCCUGAUACUUCUGCCUCAUUGAAUCCCAUGUACUCUUUGUUGUGUUCUUAUCAAGAAUUGUCUCCAUAAUGGUCCUAUCAAUCGAUUGAAACAUGUAGUUCUUGAUCUUCAUAUCAUUUAGCCUCACCUCUUCAACUUCUUUUCUUUAUGCUUGAGUAGGCGUUGAUCCUUCGACUAUUGAAGGAAUUCCAUUUUCUACUAUGCUCCAGUACUUCUUUGAAUGGAGAAAAUUCUCCAUUAACAUGGCCCAAUGGUCAUAAUAAUCAUCAAAUCUUGGAAUUGCCGGAUGAGCAAAGUUUUCUGUCGCCAUGUUCACUCACUCCACCUUCCUUUCUUCUCUAUUCUCUCUUCUCACACUCUGUAAGAAAUCUGUAGUUUCUUACUUUCUUCAAUCAGGCCUCUUAGCGGAGCUCUGAUACCAGAUUGUUGAAAGCAAGAACUAUAAAGCUAUGAACUCAUACAAAUCUGGAAUAACAUCCCCUGUUUUAUUGAACACUUACUGGUGGCUUAUAUAGCUUUACAAGAUAAGGAAUUAGAAAAAUAUUGUAUCCCACGUCUUAUACCUAAAGACAUGGUAUUAGUUACUAAAAGAGUCAAAACCUAUCUACUGGUUCCUAACUAAUAGGAACUUAUUAACAGAACUUUGACAAAGCCAAACCUUAACAGAAACAAAUAAAUCCCAACAGUAUAAUCCUUUGUUUUCAUUUUGCCUUGGUAAAAUGCUUAGAUCAAUAAGUUUUGAAAGUUUUGCAUCUUCAAAUUACUAACUGCUAAUGAUAUGUAGCAACCUAAUCAUGUAUGUUACUUUCAAUAUUGCAUUCUAAGAGUUUGGGACAUGCCAAGGUUUGAUUUAAUAAUUAUUUCUUUCACGUUUUUAAAUUGGAAAUCAUUGUUUGUUCAGGUUCAUUGCCCAAGCUUAAAGUCUUUGCCAUAAGGAAACAAACUUUUGAUAGGCCUAAUGAUUUCUCAUGGCUAAUUCAUAUCUACUAGAUGUUUGAUACCGAAAGAACUUUUGCUCUAUUAUAAAUUUAGGUUUGUUUGCCAUAUAUUUUAUGUUCAAAUUUGUUAAAAUGAUUAAACUAGUUAAUUUUGAAAUUUAUAACAUGUUUAUAAUAAUUCAUUAUUGAUUGUUUGCACUCAUUAUGUUACUUGAUGUUUUCUUCUUAUACCAGACUUAUACUAAAAGGAUAAUGUUGAGAAUUGGCAUAAUACAAUUCAAUAUUCCCACUAUAAAUGUUCACAAGUUAUGGAUAGCUAAUGCAUAAGGAUAAAGUUAUUUCAUUUGCAUGUUGUAUGGAAGGUUGAUGCAUAUGGAAAGAGUAAGAUCAAUUUGUUGUUGUCUAUAAUAUAUAUGAUUACUUCGUCUCUUUCUUUGUUCAGUGUCAUGCUCAAUAACUUAUAAUUUUUCAUUUAAUUUGUUAAGAAAUACUAUACUCUAUUUGAAGUUAUGAUCUUAUGAUUCUCAUAAUAUAGAAAACCUUGAACAUAAUGUAAUGGGUCAGGUUCCCAUAAGUCAUAAUGCACCUUAUCAAGGGGAAAUUUGAAGUUUUUAGUUGAUAAAGAAAAACAAAAUUUGUAACUCUUCCUAAUUUGACAACUACUACAUAUUGAUUUAUCUUUUGUCUUUACUAAUAUCAUCGAUAAAUGUUCUAUUUCUUGUAAAAAAUUUAAAUAUUUUACCGAUAUCAUUUAUCAUGUUCACCUUGGCAUAGGCAAGGUCAUUUCGUCUUCAUAGACUUAUUGUAGUCAAUGCUUGGGGAAUUUCUUUUAAGCUAUAUGAAUAGUCAAACAUGUUUUAACAAUCUUUUGGAAGUGAUUAGUUUUAUUAAAAAUUUGACAAACAAUAAUACCUCCAGCUUUUGAGAGUUGUCAAUUCUAUCAUUCUAGUUGAGUUGUUUUUCCAUUGAUUGUUGUCAUGUCAUUUGUUUUUGUUAUUCUACUUGCCUCAACCAUUACCUUGAAAUCUUUCGCAUGAGUGAAAACUCUUCCUCUCUAAUUAAAAUGAUUGCCAUUAUUUUUUCUACUGUGUUUGCUUAGAAAGACUUGCUCAUGAAUAAUUUAAUUUUUCCUAUCUCUAGCUUCAUUGAUUAGCAUUUCUUAAUGUGAUCAUUAGGAUGAAUUAAUUGGAAGAUAGAUAAGGUGGUUUUGCAAGCAUGAAAACCUGAAAAAACUUGUAUUUCGGUCCAAGUCUUGAAGGGAGUUGAAGCACCUUAUCAAAAUCUUGCAUUUGUUUCUAAAUAGGUACUACAUUAUGACAUGUGCCUUUAAAUUUUGAAAGAUUUUCUUUUAAAGAUAGAACCUUAUGAGGAAUUUAUCAUUUGAAAGGAUUUCCUUUUCUUUCUUUUUUAUAUAGGUAGCAAUCAUUUCGAGUCCAACAAGCCUCUCUAAUUCUCACUCUUUCAUAUUCCAAGAAACCAGGGGUAAGAAGUCGAUCUAAUCAAGAUAUUCUACAUCUUAUUAACAACUUUUUUGCCUUUUGUAUUUUAACUUUCUUUUGGUCAUUUUGUGUAUUUAGGGAGAUGAUGGAAUAUUUGAAGACUCUAAAAUGAAAGAAGAACUCUUAAGUACCCUAACAAAAACUUCCAAGAUUUGUUCAUUGGUUCAAAGAUUAAAUGUUGAUAGUUGGUUCUUUGUUAAACAUGAUUGGUUGUUGAUAUCAAAAAGAGGUUAUUGGAUUUUUUAUAUUAUUUCAUUAUAUUUAUAUAGACACACCUCACUCAAUUCUUGGUGCCUGAAUUUUUCAUGUUUGGAAAUUUUCUUAGGUUAGGCUAUUUUGUUACAGAUAUGAUUGUUGCCAAGUCAAUGCAAAAUACAUGCAAUAACUUCUGUUACAAUAAUUUUGUUACUUUCUCGGGUAAAUGGAUGGCGGAUUCAUGUGGAGUUGUUGCACUCUUUAAUUCAAGCAUGAUAUCUACAAUAUGUAUUUUAGGUUUGUCAUCUAACUUUUAUCCUUUUUUUUAUGACUUAGUUUUUUAUUUUCUUAUAGGGAUAUUGUAAGAGGUUAUGCUCCUUUUUAAUUCUAUUUUCAUGAUUCUCAUAUAUAGUAGCACAAAUAAAGGAAAGGUUUUUUUUUAAUUAAAUUAAUUCAUCAAUGUUGGAAAAAUUAAUUGUUAGUUAUGUUUUGACUUUACAUGCUUGUUAAAAUGAUUAGAUUAGUUAAUUUUAAAACAUAUAUCAUUCUUGUAAUAAUUCACUAUUAAUUGUGUGGCUAAGUGAUCAUGUUCCGUCAUGUUUUCUUUUCAUAUCAAGUUGAUACUAAAGGGGUAAUAUUGAGAAUGAGUUGAGCAUCGUUCAAUUUCACAAGAUAAAUGUUCAUGAGGUAUGGAUGGUUGAUGCAUAUAGAAAGAGUUAGUUCACUUACUUAAUAUCUUUGAUAUGUACUCAUUCUUGAUGUUUGUGAUUGCUUCCUAUCUUUGUUAAUUUGGUGUCUUGCUUGUUAAUUUAUACUUUUACAUUCAAUUUGUUAAGAACUAUUAUAUUAUGUUUGAACUCAUUCUUGAUGUUUGUGAUUACUUCCUAUCUUUGUUCUUUUGGUGUCUUGCUUAUUAAUUUAUAACUUUACAUUCAAUUCAUUAAGAACUAUUAUAUUUUGUUUGAAGUUUUGAUUUUAUGAUUCUCAUACACAAAAGAAUGCCAACAAUUUGAGCAAGGAGGACAUGAUACUAAAGCAUUUAUCAAUUUGGUUAUUUUUCUUCUCUCUAAUUUCUUAAGCUUGGGAAUCAAAAUGCUUUGGAAUACACAAGAAACAAUGGGGAUGACUCUUUUCUUCGUUAUCUUUAGUUUUAUUGAUAGUCAACUUGUAUUAUCACCCUUCCUAUUCCCUAAAGUACUCAAACUUGAUAGUUUAAAAUGUUUAAUGUUUACAAAAAUAUUCUUACUUCAUGUUUAGGUUCUAUAUAUUUGGAAAAUUUAUUAUGUUAAUUCUUUUAUUCUAUUCAUGAUCAUUUUCAUGUCAAUUCAAACAAAAAAAAAGAUAGUGGUAAAGAUUAGCAAAAUGUUGCCCAUACCUUGAACAUAGGUACAAGCUAUUAAUGGUUGGUGGACGGAAAAAGUCUCUCCCCACUCUUCUACUAUCCUUAGUUAGCAUAAAGGGUUCAUAUUAUGUUUUUAUUAUUUAGCUUUUAAAUUUCUACUUCUUAUCCUACUUUUUGUCUCUUUAUGGUUUAUCACUUGACAAUCAAUUUUUAAAAACAUGUUCUUAGCAUCCAUAUAUAUAACCUUCGUUGUUCAAGUUUAUAAUUGUUCAAGUUUAUAAUCCCUAUCUCAUUUUUUUUUUCUUUUCAUUUCUUUAUUGUUUAUAAUUUUUGAAUUGAUUUGUUAAAAAUUUUUAAACUUUAUUUGCAAUACUGAUUUUUUUAUUCUCAUGUGCAAUAGAAUAAUAAGUUGAAUAAGAAGCAUAUACUACUUAAUUGGUAUAACCGUUUAGUCAAUUCUCUUGUCAAAUCUUUUUUGUUUUCAUCAUUUUUCUUCAAGGUAAUCAAAGUAUAAUUCUUUCUAUUUCUAAAGGUCUUGAACCCAUCUUUGAAAACUUAAAGACAAGUUAAAGUACUGGAAAACCAUUCCCAAAGCAAGUAAUAACUAUAGUUGGGUUCUAAUAUCAUAUCCUCGAUUGACAUCUAUGUCAUUGCAUUUGCAUCUAAACGAUUUAUGAUGAAAAAAAAACUAUCUUCUUCAUUUCCAUUUUCCUCCCUUCUUUUGACCAUAAUUUAUGUGCAUAUUGAAAGCAUUCAUAGCCCAAUAUAUUUGCUAGCAUAUAUAUGCAUGUCAUAAUCUAUUAAUUUUUUUGGCAUAAGAUCUUAGAGUAUUCACAUAUAUCUAGGUUCUAUAUAUUUAUAAUUUUUCCAACAUCAAAUGAAGUAUAUGAACCUUAUCCUAAAGGUGAAGUCUCUUUAAAAGGAGCUUCAACAUGUUAGUGGUUACCAAACUUUAUAAUCUAAUAACUUGACACUAUAUAUCACUCUGCAACUCUUUCAUAAAGUAAUUGUACUACCUCUAUUUACAUUUUCUAUCUUUAUUUAUAUAUAAAAUAAAAUAAAAAAUUGAUUUGGUAAGUGUGUGUUAAAUCAUGCUUACAAUCAUUAAUUAAUAGGUACUUAUAUGCUAAAUUGAUAAAGUUAUUUUACAAUUGUUUCAACAUGUUCGAAAAAAAAAAAGAUUAUUAAGUAUAUUUUUCUAGAUGUAAUCACUACCAAGCCAAUGUGAAAAGCUAUAGCAAUGAAGAUAUAAGCUUCAGUUAUGUUUUGGAGAUUCAUAUUGAAAGUUGUAGAUUGUGGAUGUAUAGUAUAGGAGUUAGCUUGAGUUUAUCAUUCUAUCUUUGAUAUCUUAGUUAUCAUCUAUUCUUUACAACCAAUUUUUUAAGGACUUCUAUGAUUUGUUUAUAAUUUAUAUAUUUGUUAUUUGUACUAGAACAUCCUGAAGCUACUAAAGCACCAUUACAGUGUACCCACCACAAGUCUAAUGGAGCAUGCUUCUCAACCUUCACAAUUACUUGUAAGUUGCUGAUAAGAUAAUUUUCUCUAUAAUUAGGAAAUCUUUGUUGCACUUAAAUCUUUUUACUGAGUCAAGCAUUAAAAGGUUGUGUUUGGUUAAAAAAGAAAAAGAAAAACUGAAUAAAGGAUUUAGAGUAAUAAGAGUUUGCCACAUAAAGUUUAUGAAGGUGAAGGCUAAUAAUAGGAGGGAAGUUAAAACUUCACAACCUAUUUGAAAUUAUAAAACAUGAUUAGCUAACAAUUCGUUAAAGGUUGUAUUCAUCUUGAGCUUCUCCAAUUACACUAUAAAAUGGCUCGAGAAGAAUGAGGUUUCUCCAUUGUUAAUUGCUUACGAGUUUUACCAAACAAAGCAGAAGAGAGGGACAAGGCAAAGAUGGGCCUAAAAAUGAAUAUCACAGCAACCUCUCUUCUGCUAUUGCUAGCAUCUUCUACAGAAGUGUUCGGUGAUACCAUUUUUUACGUUACCAAAUAUGAGGCCAAGGCUGAUGGAAACACUGAUAUUACCCAGGUGAGGGCAAUGCAAUUAUAAUAUUUGUAAGAUGUUAAAAUUGAAUUUUUGCUUAAUGGGUUCUCUGUGGAAUGUUUUCUUAGGCCUUACUUAAUGCUUGGCGAGAUGCUUGUGCGUCGCCUGUGGUGAGUACAGUUAUGAUUCCAGAUGGGACAUAUGCCCUAGGGCAAAUAACCAUUGGAGGCCCUUACAAGGCUCCUAUCAAUUUCAAUGUCCAAGGCACUGUGAAGUCCUCGAUGGAUACCAGCAGGUUCAAGGCUGAAGCUGGUUGGAUUGCUUUCCAACAAAUCGACCAGUUCAUAUUGUCUUAUGGUGGAGUUUUUUAUGGCCAAGCAAAACCUGUAUAGGGUAGAAAAUGCCCCAUUUCUGCAUAUUGCAACCAACUUCCCAUCGUAAGUUCAUGUGUAUAUAUAUAUAUAUAUAUAUAUAUAUAUAUAUAUAUAUAUAUGCUUACGUAAUUCUUUCAUUUUGUGUUCGUAAUGAGGACACUAGCUAACAGUAUAAGCUUUGGUGUCUUUUUUUUUUUUUUUUUGUUAAUUCAAAUAUCUAUAACAGAAUCUGAGAUUCAACUUCAUCACCAAUAGCAUGGUCAAGGACAUAACUUCAAGAGAUAGCAAACAGUUUCAAAUGAAUCUUUUGGGGUGCAAGAAUUUGACUUUCUACAACGUUGGAAUUAGUGCACCAGAAGUGAGCAUUAAUACAGAUGGAAUUCACAUUGGACGGUCCUCAGGGUUCAAUAUAACCAAUUCAACUGUAGAGACCGGAGAUGAUUGUGUCUCAAUUGGUGAUGGCAGUGAGCAAAUUAAUAUCCAAAGCGUAACCUGCGGACCCGGCUAUGGCAUCAGUGUGGGAAGUCUAGGAAAGUGCCCCAAUGAAGAACCUGUGGUUGGCAUUAGUGUCAAGAACUGUACCUUCACCCCCAGAAUGGCAUGAGAGUGAAGACAUGGCCUACGUCCCAUCAAGGCACUGCUUCUAAAAUGCAUUUUGAAGAUAUUGUCUGAAUGAUGUUGCCAAUCCCAAAAUCAAAGAUCAAGAGUACUGCCCCCAUAACCAAUGCAACUUGAAGGUACAUUUAAAGGAAACGAAAAAUUCCAUUUUUAUUGUUUACUUUCCCUCUUUUUCCCUUCAUUUUCAUUGGUCUGGAACUUAACUUUCCGUUGUUUUCAGAGUCCAUCACGCAUUAAGCUCAGUAAGCUUCAGAAACAUCCGGGGCACUACCUCAACUCAGGUUGUUGUCAAGCUUGUUUGUGAUCAGGGAGUCCCAUGCCAAGACGUGGAGCUUGGUGACAUCAACUUGAAAUACAACGAAAAUGAAGGCCCAGCCAUGUCAUAAUGCAAGAACAUUAAACCAAAUCUACUGGGCAAGCAACUGCCAAGGACUUGUGCCUAAGAUGCUUAAUCUUCUUUCGAAGUCUGAAAAAUUGUACUGCUUCUAUUAUAUAGCUACCUCUUCAUGCUUACGCGUCUGCUAGUUUAUUGGUGAAUAAACUACAAUGAACACACAAAAAUACAACACUCGUCUAUUUUGGAAGGUAUGUGCAGUUUGAUCCCAUGAGAAAAAACAAAUGUCUAUUCAGUCGUUUUUUACAUAAGCAUCCAAGUUUAGAUGAGGAUUGAGCUGCCGUAGUACAAAUUGUAGCUCCAAAGAAUAAUCUUAAUGUUAAUGCAGUUUGGAUUACCAAAUGUAGUCAAGUGAAUUAAAAUUCCUUUAGGGUGUAUUAUUUGAAAUUUAAUCUUUGGAUUACUAGAACCAAGAAAAAACUAUAGAUUGGUAUUUGGUGUGUUGGAAAUGCUUGAUGGUCAGUGAUCGAACUAAUGACUUCGAGAAAAGCUAAGAAUGAUAAACACAAUAGUAAUAAAUGGCAAGAACCGACAAAAAUAUUGAAGUUGUAAUUCUCUCAAGGUGUGUAGUUUGGGAUUUGAAUUAUAUGUAAAGAAGAAAUGCUCUUGGAAACUGCAGCACGAUGAAUCUUGAAUGGUUUUCCAUCAUAUGGCUUUGUUGUUUGGAGAUGACUAAGUAAUAUUAGUUUUACCAAUCCUCCGGCCUUAAGCUAGCAUGUGAAAGUUGUAGCAUUAGCGGAGAGUUGAUAACAGUUUCUCGGUAGUUGGAAGCUUGAACCCUGACAUAUUAGUGCAAGGACAUGAAGAUAUUAAAUCAUUCAUACAAUUUAUUGUCUGAGAGGAUAGAAAAAAUAUAUAAAACCACUUAAGAUCUUAAAAACAUCCUAUAUUUCUCCAUUUUUUGUAUUUACACUCUGAUCCAUGGACUUUCACCCCACAAAAUGUCUCACAUUCUUUUUCAAAUUUCUACCUACAUUUAAACUUCUCAUGUCUAUUUUCAUCUCAUAACUUUUUUCUCCUCAUGACCUAAUUAAAAUAUAUAUAGAGAUAAUCCUACCAACUUUUAUUUUAUACGCAAACCUAUUUAUAUAAGGAAUUAAUUGUAAAAUAUCCUAUAUAAGCUACCUUAGCAUAGUUGAAUUAGGUUAUAAAUUUUAUUUUGAUACAAUAAAUAACAAAAAUCCAUUUAUAAAAAUAUAUAAAAAUCCAAUAAUUGUAUAGGAGAAACCACACUUAUUUUAAAUAAAUAAUAAAGUACAUGCUCCAAGUAUUAAAAGGUUAUCUUUGGUGUGUAUGAUUUGGAGAGUCCCAGAUAAUGUGCAAGUAGAUGAGACCUUGAGUGAGAUGUUUUCUCUUUCAAAUCAAUUUCAAAGUUGCGAAAUCCAAAAUUUCAAGCUCUUUUUAGAAGUGUUUUAGAAAAUAGUUCAAAAAAAACACUUCUUGAAAAUAGCUUUUGAAAAUUAUUCUCUAAUAUUUUAUACCACAUAUGUUUGUUUGAGAACCUACAAUAUUCUUAACUUAUUUUGUAUAUUUUUAAAUACAUUUUAAAAAUAAUUUUCAUAUGCAUUGCUUUAUUUUUAGUCGUUCUCCAUAUUUGUAUAAUUAUUUUUAAAACAACCCUAGAAAAAAGUAAAAUGAAAUGAAAAUAACUAAAAGAUGUUCUUUUGAAACAUUGUAUUUUCUAUUUAAAAUCUUUUUUUUUCUAGUUGUUAAACAUACUUUCUUGUUUUUUUUUUUUUUAUAUAUUCUAGAUAAUUAAAAACUAUUUUCAAAGCAAGACCUGAAUUUUUACUAUGAAAAAUCGAAACGGUGCUCAAACUUAGACUUCAAAUUGAUUUUAACCAAAAUAUGUUUUUUCUCUUUUUUUUCCUAUCAAAUCAAAACUCCAAUUUCUAUCGUUGGACUAAGAACUUUAAAUCAUUUUCUAUUGGCAAUAGAGUCUUUGAUUUAAGGACACAAAAUACACAUGAAAAAUCUCAUAGCUAUGUCUGUGCGUGUACAUAACUCUGUGUGUGUGUGUGAUAUAUAUAAAAAAUGAUGGAUGAGGAAAUUGUGGAUAUGGCCAAAUCUGAAUCACUUGUAUUUAACAAUAGCAUGUGAUUUACAUGGAAACCUGUUGGUGGAAAGAGCCUAUAAAUAAAGGCCUUCUCUCCUCAUUCUAUUUAUCCUAGAAUUGAAAGAAAAAGAGUGGUCUAACUUUGAGUGAAAAAGUGAGGUUCUCUUGAGAAUUAAAGAAUUAUUAUUCUCUCGGGUGUAAUAGGGAUUUGGAUUGUGAGAAGUGAGUGCUUAUAAACACUUGUAGGGAGAAAAAUAACUACGUAAAUUUCGUGUUUUGUUUUGUCUACUCUAUUUUAUUAUCAUUUCCAUGUUUUUUUUUUAUUAACGACAUGUCCUAUGGUGUUCUAGGAGCUUAGUGGUACUAUAAGGAGGUUUUGUCUAAGGAGGUUGGAAUUUAAGAGGAACAAUUGUGACCCCUCCAAUUUUUCUUAGGAACUUUUAUUUAUGUCUAAGGAGACUAGGUCUUAAAUGGGAUCAUUGUGAUCCUUCCAAUCUUUCUUGGGAACUUUCUUACUAGUUUAAAGCUCUAGGUAGAAGUUUUUCUAUAAUUUUUAAUAGGUAUAAAGGUACUGUAAAAAGUACACUUUUUGUUGAAUUCCUAAGGAACCAGAUUUGAGUGGGAGUGAUGGCAACAGAUGAAGAAAGAACAUCAUAAUUGAGAAGUUCGAUGGUGAACAUUUUACCUUCUGGAAAAUGCAAAUUAAAGAUUAUCUAUAUAUGAAAGACAUGCAUUUCCCUUUUUUUUUUUUUAUGAGAAAAGCCAACCGAUAUGAAAGAUAAAGAGUGGGCUUUACUCGACAAACAGGCACUUGGAGUUAUCCAAUUAACGUUAUCUUGGAAUGUCGCUUUCAACAUAAUGAAGAAGAAGACCAUGACGGGUCUUAUGGCAGUUCUCUCUGACACGUAUAAGAAGUCAUAUACUUCAAAUAAAGUGCACUUUAUGAGGUUGUUAUUCAAUUUGUGAAUGACAUAAGGUGCAUCUGUAGUAGCUCAUAUCAAUGAAUUUAGUACAAUCACAACACAACUAAGUUUAGUGGAAAUCAAGUUCAAUGAUGAAGUUUGAGCUUUGAUCCUCCUAUCCUCUAUCUAAAAGUUGAAUCGCAAUGGUAACAAUAGUGAUCAAUUCUUUUGCGAGGAAGAAGAUGGUAUUUAAGGAUGUUCAAGGUCUAAUUCUAAGCGAAAAAAAUACACCAAAGAGAACUAGGGGAAACAUUAAGUUCCACCUUAAACAUCAAAUCUAGAGGUAGACACAAUGAUAGAAACUUAAAUCGGAGCAAAUUAAAUUCAAGAUGAAGCAAGUAUAGAUCUAAGAAGAAAGAGAAUAGCUGCUAGAACUGUGGUAAAAUGGUCACUUGAAGAGAGAUUGCAGAGCACCAAAAAAGAACAAUGGCAGUGCAAAGGAAUCCGUGAACGUGGCCGAAGAUACUGGCGAUGCUCUAAUCCUAAGUGUCAAUAGUCUAGUUGAAUCUUGGAUUUUGGAUUAUAGGGCAUCAUAUCACUACACCUCACAUUACGAAAUCAUGGAGAACUACAUCAAUGGUGAUUUUGGGAAGGUUUAUCUGGUUGAUGAUGGGACCAUGAAGAUUAUGAGGAAAGACGAUAUUCAAGUGAAGCGACCAAAUGGGACUGUCUGGAAGUUGAAAGACAUGAGAUUAAUUCCUAGUCUAAAAAGAAAUUUAAUCUCAGUGGAUCGACCUGAUCAAGAAGGUCAUCAUACAACCUUCUUAGGGAGUGAAUGGAAGAUCACCAAGGAAACUAUAGUCAUAACUUAUGAAAAGAAGAAUGGUACUCUCUAUGUUACUUCUAGCAUGGAGAAUAUUGUUGCAAUUGUAGAAUCAUAUGAGAAAUAGAAAAUCUAGCAGUAGAGACUCAAUCAUAUGAGCGAGACAAGGAUGAAGGUUCUUGUUUCAAAGAGGAAGCUGCCAAAUCUAAAAUCAGUAGACAUCGGUCUAUGCAAGGAUUGUAUUUUCGGCAAACAGAAAAUGGUCAAUUUCUCAAAGAUAGGCAAGCCACCCAAAGUAGAGAAGUUAGACCUAGUUCACACAGAUGUGUGGGGGUCAUCACCAAUUUCAUCUAUUGGAGGCUCAUAUUACUACGUCACCUUCAUUGAUGACUUUACUUGGAAAGUAUGGGUUUAUUUUCUGAAAAAGAAAUCAAAAGUUUGUGAUGUUUUCAAGAAAUGGAAAGCCAUGGUAAGAGCAAGACGGGCUUGAAAGUGAAGCAUUUGAAGUUCAACAAUGGAGGAAGGUACGAAGACGAGAAUCUUAAUGAGUUUUGUGUAGCCAAUGGAAUUAAAUUGGAAAAAACUAUUCCAAAGACACCUUAGCAUAAUGGUAUAGUACAACGCAUGAACAAAACUCUCAAUGAACAUGUUAAAAGCAUGAGAAUACAUGCAGGCUUACCUAAGAUGUUUUGGGCUAAAGUUGUUAGCAUAGCGACCUACCUUAUCAACCAUGAGCCUUUAGUGCCUUUUGGAGAAAAGUUACCUAAGGAAGUAUAGAGCGAUAAAGAGGUGAAAUUUUCACUUUAGAGAUUAUUUGGUUGUAUUUCUUUUGUGCAUAUUGACUUAUCUAAAAGGAGCAAGCUCGACACAAAGUCUAAGAAAUGUGCUUUUAUUCGAUAUGGCAUUAAUGAAUUUGGCUACUGAUUUUGGGAUUUUGAAAAUAAAAAAAUCAUCAGAAGCAGGGAUAUCAUCUUCAAUGAGAAAGCAAUGUACAAGGACAAGUCAUUUGUAGAAUCUAUCAACACAAAAGUCAAAACUGAAAAAAAAAAAAAGAGUACAUUAAGUUUGAGGAAAAAUCUAAGAAGGAAAUACAAUCAGGGGAUCAAAAGAAUCCUAUAAAUGAAGUAUCUCAAGAAAAACCACACACUCCUGUAGCAGAAGUGAGACACUUCUUGAGAACUCCUAAAUUGAUAUAAUGUUAUUCACCUUCUUUGCAUUAUUUAUUGUUGACUAACAAUAUAGAACUAGAGUGUUAUGAUGAAGUAAUUUAGGUUAAGGAUUCGGUCAAGUGGGAUUAUGCCAUAAAAUAUGAGAUGGACUCCCUGAUGUCAAAUAAGACAUAGGAUUUGAUUGAACUACCAAAAGGAAAGAAAGCUUUACGUAACAAAUGAGUUUUCAAGAUCAAAGAAGAGCAUGAUGGAAGCAAGCGUUACAAAACUAGGAUGGUAGUUAAAGGAUUUCAAUAGAAAGCAAGAAUCGAUUAUGCUGAGAUUUUCUCUCCAAUAAUGAAGUUGAUGACAAUCAGAUUGGUGCUAAAGAUGGUAGCUGUAGAAAAUUUGCAUAUUGAGCAGUUAGAUGUGAAGACAAUGUUCCUUCAUGGUGAUUUAGAGGAAGAGAUUUAUAUAAUGCAACCAAAAGGCUUCAUGAUCGUAAGCAAAAAAAGCUUUAAGUGCAAGCUGAAGAAGAUUCUAUACGGUCUGAAACAGGCUCCAAGAUAGUGGUACAAAAAGUUCAAUAGCUUCAUGAGUAGCAACGGUUUUACAAGAUGUCAAGUAGAUCAUUGUUGUCAUAUAAAAAAGUUUGACGACAACUUUAUUAUUUUACUUUUGUAUGUAGAUGAUAUGCUCAUUGCAGGUUCUGAUAUGCAAGAGAUAAAUAACUUAAAAAGAAAAUUAUUGAGGCGGUUUGCAAUGAAAGAUGUAGGUGCUACAAACUAGAUUCUUGGAAUUAAUGAGGAUUAGCAGGGACAAAGUAGCAAAGACUUUGAUGUUGUAACAAGUAGAGUACAUCAACAAAGUACUCUCUAGGUUCAACAUGUAGAAUGCUAAAUCAGUGAGCCUGUCUUUAGGUGCCUAUUUCAAAAUUUCCAAAGAGCAAUCACCAAAAAUAGAGGAAGAACGUGAUCACAUCAAAAAAGUUCCUUAUGCUUCAACCAUUGGAAGUUUGAUAUAUGUUAUGGUUUGUAUGAGACUAGAUAUUGUGCAAGUAGUAGGAGUGGUGAGCAGGUACAUGAACAAUUAUGGUAAGAUGCACUAGGAAGCGGUUAAAUGGAUCCUUAGAUAUUUUCAAAAUACCUAAAAAAUGUCACUCUAUUUAAGAAGUGGGGAUAUGAAAUUGGAAGGCUUUGUUGAUAGUGACCUAGGUGCCGGAGAUGUCGAAAACAGAAAGAGCACUAAAAGAUAUGUGUAUACUCUUAAAUGAACUAUAAUGAGUUGGGUUUCUCAAGAAAGUUGCAACUCUCUCCACUACCGAAGCAGAAUAUAUUGUUACUACGAAAGCCAAUAAGGAGAUGAUUUUCUCUUCAAGGUUUCUUGGAAGAGCUAGGAGAAAAAUAGGAGAACAAUGUCUUUUAUUCAAAUAAUCAGAGUGUGUUUCACUUGUGAAGAACCAUCCUUCCAUGCCAGAAUGAAGCAUAUUCAAACAAAGUAUCAUUUCAUUUGAUCUCUUUUGGAGGAAAAAGUUCUUAGACUUGAGAAGAUUGAUGGAAAUGAAAUCCCAGAUAUAUGCUAACAAAGACGGUGACAAUUCACAAACUAAAGUUAUGUUCGAUUUCAAUUGGCCUACAAACAUAGAAGAAGAAAGAUGAGUUGUUGCAUUGAUCUUGUGUGAAGACAUAAAGUAAGUACUCUUCAAGUGAGAGAACCACGUAAAGUUUGAGUGAACCAUGUAAAUUUUCAUAUGUUAUUUUUUCUACUCUAUUUUGUUAUUAUUUCCACAUUUUUUUAUUCGCUUCAUUAAUUUGGUCUUUUGGAAGGUUUAUUUCCUAACAUUUUUCAACUCAAUUUCUUAUCUAAAAUUGAAAUGGGAAUUGGUUUCAUCCUCAAUUCAAAUAGAUUUUUGGAACACUUCACCAUUCCCCUUCCACACUUUCCACCAUCCAAACAAUAAAUAUAAUUACUUAACUCAAUUACAUAUUUUUGCUUAUUUUCAUUUACAUUCAAAACUUGUUAGAAAGGAACCUUGAGUUUAGGAAGUUCCCAAUUAUUAGGAUUUGAUUUUGUUUUAUAAAAGUAAAUUAGAAUAUUUACAAAUUUGAGUGGUUGAUUUAAUUAUAUGUUUAUACAUAAGUCCUGCAAGUUAUUUUUUAUACUUUUUGUUAUUAAGAGUCUAUUUGUUAGAUAAAGGUGUCCAUAAAAAAAAAAAAAAAAAAAAAAGGAGUUAGUAUGAUAGUUGAACAAGAAUGGUGGAAAGUAAUGUCAUUUUCUUGAUUUUUCUCCAUUACUUAUUUCUCUCUAUGGAUUUGUUUAUGUGUUCUCAACUUUAUUCCUUGAACAAAUUAGGUCGUGAGAAAAAAAUGACAAGUAGGAUAUAUUUGUUAUAAGUCUUUUAGCUCAAUAAAAAUAAUUACAAUAAUUGGAGUAUGAAGAUAAAGACUUUACUUGAUUCACAAGAUGUAUGAAAGGUUGUAGAUGAAGGCUAUAAACAAAGAGCCUUGACAUAAAACCACUAUUCUAAAAUCAAAGUAAUUUUUUGAAAGGUAUAUGGAAAACAAAAAAAAAAAAAAAUGCCAAAAGGGAGGGAAGAAGAAAGCUCUUACCCUUAUCUAUCAAGCAAUAGAUAAAGGCAUGUUUGGAAAUUUUCCAAAUGCAACCAUGCACUACCAAGAAAGCAUGGACGAUAUUAGAAAAUGCACAUAAAGAAAUUGAUUAAUUAAGAAAAGUAUGUCUUUGUACCCUUAGAGGAGAAUUUAAAAGUUUGACCAUAAAAGAAGUAGAAUCAAUCUCCCAUUAAUUUUUCAAGAGUUAUAGUGAUCAGCCAUGAAUCAACUAAAAUGAAACAAUUAAAAUUUUAAAUCAUACUUGUGUGACUGAACAAAUAAUUCAGUCUAUUAGAUUCAAAGUUUGGUUGUUGUGCUCAUUAGAUAGUAAAAUGAUUUUCAUUGUAGCAUGAAGACAGAUUAAAAAAGAACCAAGAAAAAGUUCUUCAAACAAAACUUAAAUGACAAGAAACUGAAGAAAAUCUUAAUAAUAAAAGAAGUCAAAACGAUCGUGGAGUGGUUAUGACCAAGUAAACAUAGAAAGAUGUGGUUUUAUUUCAUCAAAUAAUCAAGAACACUAAUGUCAAAACCCAUAUUUUUUAAGAAGAUGUGAAAGAGAGCACAACUAAAGACAAAAUGAAAGGAGAAGUUAUGAGAAAUCUCAAGUUCAACCUUAUAACUAUAAAAAAUUUGGUCAUUAUGUGUAUGAAAUAAAAAGUACUACUAGCAAUAUGGAAAGAAAAGCCAAUCAUGUUAAAACAAAUAGGUAAAGAAAAACCUAGCCACUUUAUUUUUGGCAUAUAAAACACAAAGUAAUAAGGAGAAAAAUACAUGGUAUUCACUCGAUGGUGAAAACAGCCAUAUAUGUAGCUUCAAAAGUAUUUUCUUUGAAAUUGAUCAAUAUUCAAACACUAAUAAUGUUACUUUUGAAUCUAUUCAAAAUUCUCAAAAAAGGCAAAGGUAAAAUCUUAAUUUGUUCAAAAAAUGGAAGAUAUUAAUUUAUUUCAAAUAUCUAUUAUGUGCAGAUUAUGAAAAACAAUUAAUUAAGUUUGGAUUAACUUUUAAAAAAGAUAUAAUAUUCAUAAGAAAAAUCAAGUUCUCUCAAUAAGAUAUCAAUAUGUUGACUUCCUUGCAAAUGUAGUCAUGACAAGAAAUAUAAUGUUUCUGUAAUUAAAAUUGCUAAAAUUUUGUGUCAAUGUUCCCAUCUAGAUUUUCCACUUAAGAUAUCAACAUCUUAAUUUAGGAGGAUUGAAAUUGUUGAUCAAGAAAAAAAUGGUAUAAGGAUUGCCCUCUACAAAUCAUUUGGAUCAAUUAUAUAUGUGAAGGAUGCUUACUUGGAAAAUAUUCCUAUGAAAGUUUUCCAAAAGUUGGAAUUCAAGGUUUGGUAACUCCUUGAGGUUGUAAUGAUUUGCAGAUCCAGAGUUAUAGAAGAAAUUAAGAAAAUUUGGGAGAAAAAUGCAAAAUGUAUGAAGAAUAAAUUAUAUCUUCUCUCUCUCUAAUACAAUUGGAACUUAUCACAUUAUAUGGUACAAUGCAGGUUUUAAAUGGCAUGUAUGCCUAGACAUUGUUUUUACUUGGAACCAUUAAAAUAUAGUAUUACUAAUAGCAUUGUAAUAAAAUGGCAGAAGAUAGAUAUCAAUACAAGUCUAAUUAAGAAAGUUUCUCAAAGGCCACCUUCACAAUUACUUGUAAGCAGCUAAUAAGAUUUCCUCUAUAAUUAGGAAAAAUCUUCAUAUCAACUAUUCUUUGCACUUUAAUCUUUUUACUUAGUCAUUGAGAGGUUGUGAUCAGCCUUAAAAAAACUCGUCAAAAAAGGAUUUAGAGCAUAAAAUUUGAGACAGUUAAGGCCACUAAUAAGAGGGAAGUUGACCCAAACAUCACAACCUAUUUGAAACUAUAAAACUUAAUUAGAUAGUAAUUGUUUAAAUGUUUUAUUGGUGUUGAGAUUCUCCAAUUACACUAUAAAAUGGUUUGAGAAGAAUGAGGUUUCACUAUUGUUAAUUGCUUACAAGUUUUACCAAACAAAGGAGAAGAGAGAGACAAGGAAAAGAUGGACCUAAAAUUGAAUAUCACAGCAACCUCUCUUCUGCUAUUGCUAGCAUCUGCUGCAAAAGUGUCUGGUGAUAUCAUUUUUGAUGUUACCUGUUGGAAAUCAAGCCAGCAUCCUCUGUUUACUUCCCUAAUUAGUGUAAUGUACAACCUUUAUUAUAAUUGAUUUAGGAGUAAUUCUAGCAAGGUAGUUUAUUCACUUUCCAUGUAAGAGUAGUUUAUUCACUUCCCAUGUAAGAGUAGUUUAUUCACUUCCCAUGUAAGAGUUUAUUCACUUUCCAUGUAAGGGAAAUUCCAUUCCGGAAUUGUCUCAUAUCCGUAGGCUAUUUAUUUAUGCUUUCAUUCAUUGUAAAGUGAGGUAUCACAGAAUGAAUUGAGGUGUUCCUCCAUAUUUUGUCUUCAAAUUCUUCAUAUUUUUCUUCAAAUUCUUCAUGGUAUCAGAGCAGGUUUAAUCCUGUCUCAUCGUCUUCAUCUUUAAUGGAGAUGCUUCAGAAACUACUGUCUCCUCUUUUGUCAGUACAGUCACAAACUGGCUCAUCUUCCAACCAGGUCAUUGGUUCCGGAACCUUGGCUCACAAAGGUAAUUUUUUGAGUGCCUUCACUGCUGGUAAGAAACGUAAAAAACCUUGGAUAGUGGACUCAGGAGCAUCUGAUCAUAUGACGGGAGAUGCGACAAUUUUUGAUACAUAUAGCUCAUGUCCAAAUAAUUUAACAGUCCGAAUAGCAGAUGGUUCACUAUCAAAGGUUGUCGGAACAGGUUCAGUUGUGCUAUCAAGGGAUCUUACUCUCAACUCUGUUCUCCUUGUUCCUAACUUGGACUGUAAUCUAUUGUCAAUUAGUAAACUCACUAAGGAAAAGAGGUGUAUUACUAAUUUUUCCUCCACUCACUGUGAAUUUCAGGAUUUGGAUUCAGGGAAGACGAUUGGCAAUGCUGAGGAAUGCUCUGGACUCUACAUCCUUAAGGAGCGCCACGAUCCACAAGAACAACCUCAAAUGACAGUUGGUAGUAAUUCUUUUUCGGUUUCAUGUCAAAAUAACGAUAGUGCAAUUAGGUUGUGGCACUAUCGCUUAGGUCAUCCAAAUGUUAUGUAUCUCAAGCAUUUAUUUCCUUCAUUAUUUAAUAAAAAUCCAAAAUCCUUUGAGUGUGAAAUCUGUCAAUUAUCAAAGCAAGUCCGGUCUCAUUUUCCCAUUCAACCCUAUAAAGAGUCUAGUCCAUUCUCAAUGAUUCAUAGCGAUAUCUAGGGUCCGUCAAGAAUAAAAAAUGUAACUGGUACUAGGUGGUUUGUCUCAUUCAUAGAUGAUCACACUAGAUUAACUUGGGUAUUCCUCAUGAAAGAAAAAUCUGAAACGAGUCAAAUUUUCAAAAAUUUUAAAAAUAUGAUUCAGACCCAAUUCCAGUCAAAAAUACAAAUUCUAAAGUCUGAUAAUGCUAGGGAUUAUUUCAACUCCAUUCUAGGAGAAUUUCUAGCACAAGAAGGGAUAGUUCACUUAAGUUCAUGUGUUGAUACCCACAACAAAACGGAAUCGCUGAAAGGAAAAAUAGGCAUUUGUUAGAGGUGGCUAGAUCACUAAUGUUCUCCAUGAAUGUUCCAAAAUUAUUCUGGGGGCAAGCUGUCCUUACGGCAGCCUACCUCAUCAAUAGGAUGCCGUCUAGGGUACUAAAAUUCCAAACACCUUGUCAAACACUCCUAAAAUCCUUUCCGACUACUCGUCUCAUCUCCACCGUCCCACCCAAAAUUUUCGGGUGCUCUGUCUUUGUUCAUAUCAAUCAACAACAUAGAAGUAAACUUGAUCCUAGGUCACUCAAGUGCAUCUUUCUUGGAUAUUCUUCAAAUCAAAAAGGGUAUAAGUGUUACUCUCCGGUCACAAGAAAAUUCUACAAUUCAAUGGAUGUCACCUUUUUUGAAACCCAGCCUUACUAUCCCAAAAACGAUAUUCAGGGGGAGAAUUCAACCCAGGAAUAUCAAUUUUGGGAUCUUGAGUCAUUCAGUGAGUCACCCAUCACCACUGAAAAUCACAUUCCUCCAGAGUCAUUUAAUCAACCCGAGUCCAUUGUUGACUUGUGGGAUAAGGAGCACAUCCAAGAGGAAACGGAGGAAAGAGCACUUUCUCAACAAACCCAUGAGGCAGAACCGGGUCCUAAUCCAAGCAAACUUCCAGGUAACAACGCUCCUGAUGGUACUGUUGAUUCCGAGUUAGAAAAUGAUAUUCUUAAUAUGCCCAUAGCUUGGAGGAAAGGAGUUAGAUCAUGCACUCAGCAUCCCAUUGGAAAUUUUAUUUCUUAUGAUAAGUUAUCACCUACGUUUCGUGCAUUCACUUCUAGCAUCACAGAGAUACAAGUUCCUCAGAAUAUUCAGGAAGCUUUCAAGUAUCCUAAGUGGAAGGCGGCAGUCGAUGAGGAAGUUUGGGCGCUAGAAAAGAAUGGUACGUGGGAAAUUACUGACCUCCCAAGAGGUAAGAAACCAGUUGGGUGUAAGUGGAUUUUCACAGUAAAGUACAAGGCAGAUGGUAAUGUGGACAGGUAUAAGGCUCGGUUGGUUGCCAAAGGAUUCACCCAAUCUUAUGGCAUUGACUAUCAAGAAACUUUUGCUCCAGUUGCCAAGCUCAAUACUGUUCGUGUACUUUUAUCCUUGGCAGCUAAUCUCGAUUGGUCUCUUCACCAACUUGAUGUGAAGAAUGCCUUCCUCAAUGGUGACUUAGAGGAAGAAGUUUACAUGGACAUUCCUGCUGGACUUGAGACGACAUCAAAUUUCAACAAGGUUUGCAGACUCCGAAAAUCCUUGUAUGGUCUCAAACAAUCUCCCAGGGCCUGGUUUGAACGGUUCACUAAGGUAGUGAAAGGGUACGGAUUCGUUCAAUGUCAAUCCGAUCACACAUUAUUUGUGAAACACUUCCCAAAAGGGAAACUGGCAAUUAUCAUUGUAUAUGUGGACGACAUAAUUUUGACAGGUGAUCAUGAAGAGAAAAUUGACUUACUUAAAAAAUUACUGACAAAGGAAUUUGAGAUCAAGGAUCUUGGAAACCUCAAGUACUUUCUCGGAAUGGAGAUUGCUAGGUCAAAGAAAGGUAUAGCAGUCUCACAACGCAAAUACGUUCUGGACUUAUUGAAUGAAACAGGAAUGCUAGGAUGCAAGCCGGCAGAAACACCUAUGGAUACAACUGUCAAACUGGAAGAAAGUGAUGGAAGUGCGCCAGUUGAUAAAGGAAGAUAUCAACGUCUUGUGGGGAAACUCAUCUAUCUUUCUCAUACAAGGCCAGACAUCGGCUUCUCCGUUAGUGUGGUAAGUCAAUUCAUGAAUAAUCCAACCGAAAAACACAUGACUGCUGUGAUCAGAAUAUUGAGAUACCUCAAGAUGACACCGGGAAAGGGUCUCUUCUUUCAAAGAACAACAAAUAAAGAGAUUGAGAUUUUUUCAGAUGCAGAUUGGGCAGGUUCAGUGACUGAUCGGAGAUCAACUUCAGGCUAUUGUUCAUUUGUCUGGGGGAACUUGGUUACAUGGCGAAGCAAGAAACAGUCAGUGGUAGCCCGUAGCAGUGCUGAGGCAGAAUUUCGUGCUAUGGCACAAGGUAUCUGCGAAGGAAUCUGGUUGAACAGGCUGUUAGAAGAAUUACGGGUUCCAUUGAAGCAUCCCGUGGUGUUAUACUGCGACAAUCAAGUUGCCAUCAGUAUCGCUAAGAAUCCGGUUCAUCAUGAUCGAACUAAGCACGUGGAGAUAGAUCGACACUUUAUCAAGGAAAAGAUUGAAGAAGGAGUUUUCAAAGUCAGCUACACUCCGACAAACUGUCAAACGGCUGACAUUCUCACAAAAGCUCUUGCUCGAGUUAACUUCGAAGAUCUGACAGAAAAACUUGGAAUGAUCAACAUCUACAACGCGGCUUGAGGGGGAGUGUUGGAAAUCAAGCCAGCAUCCUCUGUUUACUUCCCUAAUUAGUGUAAUGUACAGCCUUUAUUAUAAUUGAUUUAGGAGUAAUUCUAGCAAGGUAGUUUAUUCACUUUCCAUGUAAGAGUAGUUUAUUCACUUCCCAUGUAAGAGUAGUUUAUUCACUUCCCAUGUAAGAGUUUAUUCACUUUCCAUGUAAGGGAAAUUCCAUUCCGGAAUUGUCUCAUAUCCGUAGGCUAUUUAUUUAUGCUUUCAUUCAUUGUAAAGUGAGGUAUCACAGAAUGAAUUGAGGUGUUCCUCCAUAUUUUGUCUUCAAAUUCUUCAUAUUUUUCUUCAAAUUCUUCAUUACCAAAUAUGGUGCCCGGGCUGACGGAAACUCCGAUAUCAGCCAGGCGAGGACAAUUCAAUUAUAAUAUUGUAAGAUAUAUCUUAAACUUAAAUUUCUGCUAAAUGGGUCCUCUAUUGAAUGUUUCUUAGGCCUUACUUAAAGCUUGCGGAAAUGCUUGUGCAUCGCCUAUGGCAAGUACAGUUAUGAUUCCAGAAGGGACAUAUGCACUAGGCCAAAUAACCAUUGGAGGCCCUUGCAAGGCUCCUAUCAAUUUCAUUGUCCAAGGCACUAUGAAGGCCCCGGUGGAUACCAGCAGGUUCAAGGCUGAAGCUGGUUGGAUUGCUUUCCAACAAAUCGACCAAUUCACGUUGUUUGGUGGUGGAGUUUUUUAUGGCCAAGGAAAAACUGUAUGGGGCAGAAAAAGCCCCCGUUCUGCAUAUUGCAACCAACUUCCCAUUGUAAGUUCAUGUAUAUAUAUUCUUGUGUAAUUCUUUCAUUUUGUGUGCAUAAUGAGGACAUGACAGUAUAAGCUUUGGUGUCUCUUUUUUUGACUUGAAAUAUCUAUAACAGAAUCUGAGGUUCAACUUCAUCACCAAUAGCAUGGUCAACGACAUAACUUCAAGAGACAGCAAACAGUUUCAUAUUAAUCUUUUAGGGUGCAAGAAUUUGACUUUCUACAACAUUGCAAUUAGUGCACCAGAAGAGAGCCUUAACACAGAUCGAUGGAAAUCACAUUGGACGUUCCUCAGGGAUCAAUAUCACCGAUUCAACCAUAGAAACCGGAGAUGAUUGUGUCUCAAUUGGUAAUGGCAGUGAGCAAAUUAAUAUCCAAAGUAUAACCUGUGGGCCUGAACAUGGCAUCAGCAUGGGAAGUCUUGGAAAGUACUCCAAUGAAGAACCUGUGGUUGGCAUUAGUGUCAAGAACUGUACCUUCACCAACACCCAGAAUGGCGUGAGAGUGAAGACAUGGCCUGCUUCCCAUCAAGGCACUGCCUUUGAAAUGCAUUUUGAAGAUAUUGCUAUGAAUAAUGUUGGCAAUCCCAUAAUCAUAGAUCAAGAGUACUGCCCCCAUAACCAAUGCAACUUGAAGGUACUUUUAAAGGAAAUGAAAAGUGUCAUUUUUAUUGCUUAUUUUUCCCAUUUUUCCCAUUUUUCCCUUCAUUUUCAUCGGUCUAGAAAUUAAGGGUUCAUUUGGUCAUGUUUUCUAAAACUUAUUUUUAAAAACUGUUUUUAAGUUAAAGAACAAAAAAUAGUUUUUCAAACUAAUGAAAACGAUUUCUACUUGUUCUCUAAAAAUUGUUCUCUAUCUCAUUUUAAAAAAAAAAAAUUAUUUCUAGAAAACAAUAGCUAAACAAUAUUAGGAAUUUUUCAAAACAUUUUUCUAUUUUUAAAAACAAAAAACUGUUUUUAAAUCACAUAGUCAAACAGGCUGUAACUUUCCAUUGUUUCUAGAUUCCAUCACGCAUUAAGCUCAACAAUGUUAGCUUCAGAAACAUCUGAGGCACUACCUCAACUUAGGUUGCUGUCAAGCUUGUUUGCAGCCAGGAAGUACCAUGCCAAGACGUCGAGCUUGGUGACAUCAACUUGAAAUACAAUGGAAGCGAAGGCCCUACCAUGUCACAAUGUAAAAACAUUAAGCCAAAUCUACUCGGCACGCAACUGCCAAGGACUUGUGCCUAAUUAAGCUACUUAAAUCUUCUUUCAAAGUCUGAACAAAUUGUACUGCUUCUACGAUUUUUAUAUAGCUACCUCAUGUGUUUUCUAGUUGAUUGCUGAAAAACCACCUCCACAUAGUAAAAGUAAAACACAAUAAAUAGGGAUUUAUAAAUUAUUAAAGAUUAUUUUUCUCCAAAAGAGGUUACAUUUUAUGUUUUUAAAAAAGGUUAGUCAUUCUUCCGAAUUUGGUUUUCUAUAGGAAUAUUUAAUUAAAAGGGGUAAGUAAAAUAACCCAUAAUUUGUAAAAGUAGCCUUCAUUAUCUCUCAAAUCAAAUAGAAAAAAUAUAUAUAUAAUAAAGAACCUUCUAAAUUCAAAUCCCUUUCUUCUUCUCUCUCUUCACCACCUUUGAAAUCUCUUUCUUUCUUUCUCUUCAUUGCCUUUUUUUAUUUCUGUGUGGUAGCCACAUCCUGCCACAUCCAAUUCACCUUCCAUUGAUGCAAUGACUCCUUUGAUUCGUCACAAUUAGUCAAAGCGCUUGGCUAAUGUACUCCACUUGGAGGCUAUUUAACCACAUCCUUCAUACCAUGGCAUCAUACUAUUUAACCACUUCAUCUUUGCCACAUUUCAAAAUCACUAUAUAUGAGAAAUAACACUUAUUUUGAAUAAUAAUGGACAUACUCCAUAUAUCAAAUUAUCACAAACAAACAAUUGACCUCAUAUUUCUAGACCCCUAAUUUUGUUCUCUAGUAUUACAAUACAUACAUACUCCACAUUUAUCCCCAUGUAUUUGAGUUGAUGAGGAAUAUUGAUCAUAUAUUUCAAGUGUUUUGAAGUUUUAAAAGGUUCUAGAUAAUUUGGAAAAUAAAAAUGAACUCGAGUUUCAAAUUUGAGAAAAUAAAGGCUAAUAUUAAAAGAGAAAAACACCCAAGAGAGGGGUGAAUUGGGUUUUUCAAAAUCUUUUUCAACACAACAAAUUCAAGCACAAUAGAAGAAAAUAUAAAGAGAUAAAGUUAGAGAUAUCAAAGUAAGAUUUUAUAGUGGUUCGGCACUUCCUUGCCUACGUCCACUCUCCUCAAGCUCCUAACUGAGUGGGGGUUCCACUAACUUGAAGCUUCAACCAAGCUUCUAAUCUCUUUUACACUUGAAUUCCGAAUCCAAUGGGCUCUUACACAAUCUCUUCAAGAUUCAACUCACUUGAAGGCUUUAACACUCAAUUUUACAAGAAUGAAUCCCUCAACCUAGCUCAAUGAUAGCUAAAAUACAAAUCAAAGCUAGGAUGAAUCACAAAGGUGCACUAAAGGAUAUGCAAGUGAAGAUUUAAUGCACUAAGAAAGAAAUGAGAGUUUUUAAGGCAAGAACAAGUGAGUAGACAAAUAAAUGCAAGUGUUUUCUAUGUCAUAAAUAAAGUGGAGCUCUCAAUUUAUAGGUUUCUAACCUUGGGAGCCAAGAAAAACAAAAAGCAGCCUCAACCAGUCAAGUUGAGGAUCGAUCGAUUCACUAACAGUUGGAACAUUUAAUGUUUUGGCAGGUUACCGUUGCUUCAACCGGACCUCAACCGGAGGUCGACCAGGAAGGGAAGGCUACUGGAAGAGAGAGAGUGUUUUUGCACUCCUCGACCGGGCAAAGGGAACUAGUCGACCGGUACCUUGGCCGAUUGAGCCGAUUGGCUCAGUGCCUUGAUCGGUUCAACAUUUUGGCCUCAAAAACCUAUUUUUUUCUAUUCUUUUCUCUUCUAACACUUAGGCAAGGUCUUUAGGUUAAUUAAUAUGCCAAUUUUGAAACGUUUUACCUAAGGUACAUUUGAUAAAACUUGGGUUUUAAUGAAACUGUAACUUUAAAGAACAAACCGAGUUUUCCAAAUAUGCAUGAAAUGAUAUGUAAACCCUAAGUGCACCCAUGCAUUCAUCUUACAUUUGUUUCCUAUGAAUAAAGGUCUUCCAAACGUCUUGAUUUUGUAUCCAUUAGGUCAUUUGAUGAAUUUCCAAAUUAAUACUUGAGAUUAUUUACAAAUCAAACCAAUUAGUAACUUAACCAUAGUUUGUUAUCAUCAAAACCUAAUUAGGAAAACACUUGGGCUAACAAAAUUGAUUAUCAAGUAGAUUCUCGAUUAGAAAUCAAAAUCCAAAUAUGUUUUUCUCUUUUACCCUGACAAAUCAAAAUUCCAAUUUAUCUCUUGUACAAAUAUGAAAUUUAUGCUAUUCGAAUCAAAACUCCAAAUCAUUUUCUAAGUCAGAUUCUCUUCUAAAAUUAAAAUGGAAAUCUAUUUCAUCUUUGUGGUUCAAAUUGAUCUUUGGAAUACUUGCACAUUCGAAAGGAAAAUAGUGUCACGAGUUUUGCAGUUGGAGUUCAUGGAUCAGGCAUUUUAGGAGUUCUUGUACCUAAUGAGAACGUUUACCUUGAUUAAUUUAACACUUAUAUUGCAAAGAUCUACAUAGGAGUUCUAUAGAUUUAUUUAAACAUUUAUGGGCAUAUUUAUCCUAUUUGUAGCAUAUUCUAAUGAUAUUUUUAAACAUUAAUAUAAAUUGUUUGCUUGAAGGUUUCAACUAUUGAAAAUUAUUGUUCAAGCCUAAUGUUAAUCUUUUUCUAUGGUGGAUUUCAAAUAAUUAAUAAAUUCUUAUUUGAUUAUUUGUAGGGAAAAUAAAUACCUUCUAUGUUUGAUAGGAAAGAAGAUAGAGUAGAUCACUUUCACAAUACAUGGAUGCUACUCUUUCUAUACUUUUAAAGAUGGUUACAAUUGGCUUUAUGAGGGAUAAUGAUUUUCUAGUUCUUUUAAUACUUACUAGUAAAGGCUCACAUGCCAUGCACAUACAUUGAGUAUAAUUUCUCAAUAGAUGUAGGGAACCUUGCAAUCAUGCUUAAAAUAUAAAAUUAACCAGUAUAUUAAAUGAAAUUUUUGUUUAGGAAAUAUGAUUACACAAGAAAAGGAAAUAAGAUUGUUAAAGUGUUGGAAACCUCUCUGGUUCAAAGCCCUAAGCAUCAAAUGGAUGAUAAUAACAAUUAUCAUAGGAAAAAUAGGAAAGGAAAAGAAUAUAUAAAUAUUUUUUUUUCCUAAACAAGGGAUUUCCCAUUUUAUAAGAAUGACCAAUAUAUAUAUAUAAAAGAAUUGUUUAAAUUACUAUAAAAAAUUUAUGUACUUUACAAUAAUUAUGUAAUCUAUAACUAUGCGUUAAAAUAUAAAAUUAAUAUACUUAUAAUGUAAAAUUAAUGUCCUUAUAUAAAACAUAUCACUCAAACUAGAUUAAAAAAAAUUCAAAACAUAGACAAACCAUUUAAAGAAAAUACAACAUUAACAAACUAAAAUAAUGUUCUAUGGAAUAAUAUUGAAAAAGCAACAUCCCUGAUAAAAUAGGUUAUCUCUAAACAUGAAGAUUAUCAUAUUUCUCAAAUUUGAAGAUGGUCAAGAAAAAUUUUCUGUAGACCCCUUUUGCAGACGACCUGGGAAUUGAAAAUUUUUCAUUUUUUGAAGUGGGGGGACCUCUUUCUGGAGGGGGCGAGCCGCAUGGGACAUGUGGCAAAGAUGGCAUGGUGGUAGCAGGGAGCAGGUGAAGACUCGUGGGAGAAGAAAAACAGAGGGGAGUGUCUUCAUGUUUUUAGGGGGGUGAGCUAGUUUUCGUGGGGGAGGGGGUCCGGAAACAGAGAGAAGAAAGAAGAAAGGAUAGGAGGUUUUUCUGGCGUUUAAGAGGAUUCCGAAAAUUUUUCGGGGCUUGGUUGGAGAAGCAAUCUUGCCUGGAGGAAAAUUUGAGGAGCUUGAGAAGAAACUAGUGAGGGUGGAUAGCUUGGGGAUAGAGGAUUUCCUGGAGGGAGCAGAAAACAGAGCUCAGAGUCAGGCGAGCUUUCCUUUGAAAAGCUGCCCUUCAGGUGAGAUUAGUUUUUGUUGAAUUUGAUAACUUUUCCAGCGCAAUACAUCCCGAUAUUUUAUUUCGAUUCGCUGCAUCGAUUGCCUUGCCGGUGAAUUUUACAUUCGUAGCCCCUUUUGUGCACUCAAUUUCCUAUAUUUUUAUUCCCUCUGAUGCUUUCUUUAUAUGUUUCUUCAACUGUAUGUGUUUUUGCCUGAAGAUUUGAUUGUGCCAGUGAAAUUUGUGGCUCAUCUGUGUCUCUAAAGUGUCGGGUACCUUAAGUGUCUUUCUUACUUCGACCUGUGAAAAUAUAUACUCUGGAGUUUACACAUCUUGUAUGCAUAUACUAUUAUAGUAUCAUAAAAUGAAAAAUUAUGUAUAUCCAAUUUUAAUUGAUCUCAAUUGAUUCUUCGUUACUGCUCAGAGGAGAAGUAAUAGGUAGGGAUGACAGGAUUUGAACCCGUGACAUUUUGUACCCAAAACAAACGCGCUACCAAGCUGCGCUACAUCCCUUUCAAUUGGUCUACAGUGUCAUUGUAGAGAAUACCUGUCUUGUUUUCCACAUCCUAGCAUUGAAUAGACUGGGUAUUCACCUUAUCAAUAUCUCAAAAUGAUGGGUUCUAUUUGGCGCUUAAAUUAAAUGGGCACCCAAAUCGGACCGAAUCAGUUCCGAUACGUAGACCAAAUGAUACAAUGCAAGCAAAAGUUCCUAGAUUCAUGGAGAUAUAGAACAGCAUAUAAGUUAUCAUGCUUGCAUAUCCACCAUUUAAGUCUCCAACAAUUAUUCCAAAUUGAGGCUUUUUUACAGUGAAAACCUCAAAAGGGGGAUUUUGGGGAAUAAGUGUUUGUGUAUUUUUUUUUUUCUUCCUAUGGAGAAGGAAGAGUGAAGAAUUUGUGAAAUGGCAAACCGUUAUUGGUCUGUUUCUAUUGAGCGGCGUUUCAGCUAUGUGGUUCUCAUCCCAUUUAUGCAGCAUUGAGUUUGAAUGCCGAGAAAUAUCUCUUUGAUCGGUGUGGGGAAAAUAGGAAAGGGGUUAGAUGGCCCCUAAUUGGUCAUUGCUCCUCUUUCUACUCUCUCAAACUGGGCAAAUGAAAUAGCAAGGUUUGUGCCUUCAAUAAUUGCAAUCAUCUACCAUGGCAAUAGGAAAGAAAGAGAUCAAAUACGAAUGAAGUAUAUGCCAGGAAAAAUUAGCCCCAAAUUUCCUAUAAUUCCGACUUCUUAUGAGGUUGCAUUAAAUGAUGCUAGAAAAUAUCUAAGGCAUUACAAUUGGAAAUAUCUUGUAGUUGAUGGUGGGGCCACGGAUGUAAAUUCAUGAUGUGCACCUUGCAACACUCUGUUUUAUUUUUCUUUGGGCUGCCAGGAUGUUCAAACAUCAUUUGAAAACCUUUUUUUUUUCACUUUGGCCACCUCUAAGUGUGGUCACUUUGGCACAUGGCCCUAGUAAGUUUUUGACUUUUUAUUUAUUUUCUUAUGAUUUUAACAGUUUUCCUUACUCCAAUUUUCCAAAAUUCAUUUCAUGAUUCCACUUUUCAAAUAAUUUUUAAAGCUUUCAUUUUAGAUUAGUCUUCCGGAAUUCCCAUUUCCAUAUUUAUUUAUUUAAUCAUUAUUCUUUUUUUAUUAUUAUUAUUUUAUUUAUUCACUUUUAAAAUUCUAUCUUUAAGUAAUUCUUAAAAUUCCGAUUUCCGAAUUUAAUUUCCAAUCAUUAAAAUUCAAUUCUUCAAAAGUCUGACUUCCAAAUUUAAUUUUCAAUCUAAAAAAUUUCACUAUUCACGUUCAUUCGUUUAAAUAUUAUUUUUGUUAUUAUUAUUAUUAUUCCAUAUUUAUUUAUUUAUUUUUUACAAAAGUUCCAAUCAUUAAAGUUCAAUUCUUCAAAAAUUUGACUUCCAAAUUUAACUUUCAAUCUCAAAAAUUCCACCAUUCACGUUCAUUCGUUUAAAUAUUAUUUUUUUUAUUAUUAUUAUUAUUCCAUAUUUAUUCAUUUAUUUAUUUUAAAAAUUCCAAUCAUUAAAGUUCAAUUCUUCAAAAAUCUGACUUCCAAAUUUAAUUUUCAAUCUAAAAAAUUCCACUAUUCACGUUCAUUUGUUUAAAUAUUAUUUUCGUUAUUAUUAUUAUUCCAUGUUUAUUCAUUUAUUUCUUUUAAAAAUUCCAAUCUUUAAAAUUCAAUUCUUCAAAAAUCCGACUUCCAAAUUUAACUUUCAAUCUCAAAAAUUUCACUAUUCACGUUCAUUCGUUUAAAUAUUAUAUUCGUUAUUAUUAUUAUUAUUCCAUAUUUAUUUAUUUAUUUAUUUAUUUAUUUAUUUUAAAAAUUCCAAUCAUUAAAGUUCAAUUCUUCAAAAAUCCGACUUCCAAAUUCAAUUUUCAAUCUCAAAAAUUCCACUAUUCACGUUCAUUCAUUUAAAUAUUAUUUUUGUUAUUAUUAUCAUUAUUUAAUUUAUUUAUUUGUUUAUUUCCUUUAAAAAUUCUAAUCAUUAAAGUUCAAUUUUUCAAAAUUCCGUUUUCCAAAUUUCAUUUUCAAUCUUAAAAAUUUUACUAUUCAUGUUCAUUCGUUUAAGUAUUAUUUUUUAUAUUAUUCUUAUUAUUCCGUUCACUUACUUAUUUAUUUCUUUUUAAAAAAAAAAAUAUCCGUCUUUAAACAAUUCUUAAAAAAUCUGACUUCCAAAUCUAAUUUCCAAUCUCAAAAAUUCAACUAUUCACAUUCAUUUGUUUAAUGAUUAUUUUCGUUAUUAUUAUUAUUUCAUUCAUUUACUUAUUCACUUAUUCACUUAUUCAUAUAUUUAAAAUCGCAUCUCUAAAUAAUCCUUCGAAUUUCCAAUCUCUAAAUUCAAUUUCCAAUUUCUAAAAUUCUAACUUUCGCAAUUAUUUAUCCAAUCAUUAUUAUUUUCGUUAUUCUAUUCAUUUAUUUAUUCAUUUGUUCGUUUAUUUAAAAUUUCAUCUCUAAAUAAUUCUUUAAAUUUCCAAUCCCUAAGUUCAAUUUCCAAUUUCCAAAAUUCUAACUUUCACAAUUAUUUAUCCAAUCAUUAUUAUUUCGUCAUUAUUAUUAUUUCAUUCAUUGAUUUAUUCACUUAUUCAUUUAUUUAAAAUUCCGUCUUUAAAUAAUUCUUCAAAAUUCCAAUUUCCAAAUUUAGUUCUCUGAAAUUCCAAUUUUCUUAUCACCGAACUUAAUUUUCAGUUUCCAAUAUUUCAAUUCUCGCAUUUAUUCGGUUACUCAUUUAUUAUUAUCAUUAUCAUUUUAUUCAUUCAUUUCUAAAAAUUCCAUCUUCGAAUGAUUUCCAAGAUUUCCAAUUUUUAUAAUUCAAUCUUCAUAGUUUCUACUUCUCAAAUAAUUUUCAAUUCUAAUUUCUUUCAAAAUUUAAUUUCCAAAGUCCCAAUUUUUGUAAUUUAAUUUUUUUAAAAUCCCAAACUCUCAAAUAAUUUUCAAAAUUCCAAUUUCUUUCAAAUUUAAUUUCUAAAUUUCUCAUUCUUACAUUUAAUUUCUAAAAAUCCUAUUUUCAAAUAAAUUUCAAAAAUCUAGUUUUCCCUCGAAUAGUUUUAAUUUCUAUUUGGUGAUGCAUGUGAUAUUUUUUGUGCUCUUUAUUGUACAUUGACCCCAUUUUUAUGAUAGCGCAUUGCUUGUUCGUGGCCCAGGUACGCAUCCAUUCCCAUUCUAGUCAUUCUCUAUGCAUGUUUUGAUUCCCAUAUGUGCAUGAUCGAUUUGAGUAUCCAUUGAUUUUCCUAUUGAUUGUUACGUCAGCUUCAUUUUAUUAGUAGAGACCCGACUUUAAAGACUUAGAGGGGUGCUACGGUCUUUACCGUACCUUCUUGAUAAGUAACCUAACCCUUGAGCCCAAUCCGGUUUUUCACAGACCAUAUUUUCCAAAAUAAGGAGUCACACUUAGAGUUUUCUUUUUUAUUUUGUUUAUACCCUUUUAAAAAUAAAACAAAAAUAAGUGGCGGCUCCAAGUCAUUUUUUUUAAUAAAUAAAAUCAUUUUCAAAUAAAAAUCGAGUUCGUCAUCGAGUGAAAAAUGCAUGAGCCGAAAUGCGGGGUCCACAAAAUGGCGACUCCACUGGGGAACGUUUAGAGGGUCAAGCUUGAACUUAAGAUGAAGUAAAUGUGGCAUUUGAUGAGUCGAUUAGUGGGCACCUAUCUCUUGAUUACAUAUUGAGAGUUCCCGAUACCAUUGGAUGCAUGCUUGGUUGUUUGUUUUCAUUUGGGACAUUGACAUGUUGAUUGUGUUGGUUGAUUAUCUUGGUUGGGGACUUUAAUAUAGUGAUUUUCUCUAUGCUUCAUUGGUAUAUUUGUUUGAUAUAUUUGACAUGCUGAUUGUGAUGAUUGAUUUGUCUUGAUUGAGGAUUCCGAGAUAGCUAUUUCUUCAGUACUUCAUUGUUAUAUUUGCUUGAGAUAUUGACAUUCUAAUUACAUUGAUUGCUUAUCUUAUUUUGCUUGGCAUAGUAACUCUGAUUUUGACAUGUUUAUUCUCAUCUCUUCCCAUAUAUAGACUCACCAUUGCAUAUCGCUUGACUUGCCAUAUUGUUUCUUUGUAUUGUAUAUUCUCUUGAUUGUCUUCGAGCAUGAUAUCUGCAUCAUUUCUCAUCUAAUUUUCAUAGUUUGUAUGUGGAUAUGAGCUAUAUAUUCUGUACUCUACUUGACUGUAUGUCACAUGACUGCCCUUCUUAUGCGUGAUUGUAUGUCGUUUGUCCGUGUGGGCCGCACAUCUAUCCCCUUACCUCCAACUCUCUUGGUUUUGGUCAUUCCCUUCAUUCUAGUUUUCACUUUUGCAAGUGUGAGGUCUUUUGUGUGUUUGUUUCUUUAACCGAGAUAGCGAUUAGGAGUAGGGUCUAGUGACGGGCUAUACCGAUGUUUGGGAGCAUCCUGUAAUUGAUCGACACUUUGAUGUCAAUUAGAGUUCGAUUGUUGAAAACUUGUAUAGCCCAGAGCUAGGUUUCAUGGAUAUUUGUACAGCUAGUAUGUUUCAUAUUCUGUAUUAGCUUCAUAGGGUUAUCGGAUGCACCCACACCGUUUAUUGUGCACUCUAAUUGACCACUGAGCGUUGAGAGUUCGAGAGGUUUCACCAUAGGAAACCCCCAUGGGAUGCCGAGAUAGUGUAUGUGUGGAGAUGAUGACCACCUUGCAUGGAAGCGCCCCGUUUCUUCAGAGGCGUGCAAAGGGUUGCAUACCACGGGAGGGUAUGAUCACUUCUGCUAGGGAUCCUUUAAAGUCCACAAAAUUUCUUUUUAGAGUCACCUUGACAUUGUAGGUUAAGCCUUAGAUCCUUCGAUCAAGACUUUCUUCCCUACACAUGGGUGCAUCUGAGGGCCUUUAGAGUCUCUUUAGUUACAGUUUGGAUCCCAAACUCCAUCUUUUGGUCUCCAGUUGAGAGUGCUUAGAUAUUAGUGCGAGUUUGAGUAUUAAUUGGACCACCUCUUGUUGUAUGAUUUUGGUUUCUUCCUGUCACUCAUCGAGUUUGCCACACUUUCUUCUUAGGGGUUUUAGAUAGAUUUCCUUUCUUGAGUUAGCAUUAUUUCCAUUUGUUGUCACUUUCUACUUGACGUUUUGGGAUAUGCUCAUUGAUUAUGCUCACUUUUUCACAUUCUCCACAUGUCAUGCGCUCAAUACUUCAUUCUUUGGUUGAUUUGCCUAUUUCAAUUUUCAACCCAAUAUUUUCAUUACAGAGAGGUGAAAGGCAUGUUUUCACAUUCACACCAGUUUUGAGAGGUUCGCCUUUGUCACCUUAUCAUUUUUCUUUAUGGAGCUCGGGUUGAAAGUGAAUCAAGGAUAUUUUGUUAUAGAUGGAAUAUCGAUCUAAUGACAGUGUUGUUUUUUCACGCCUCAUUCAUUUUCUGGAUUACUGAUAAAGAUUAUUUACUCACAUUUGUAGCCAUCUCACAAUGGACACCUCUAUGACUUUAGAGUUUUUGUCAUUUAUCCAGUUUUAGAUUGCUACCACAGGACCAUAUAUCAUAUGAUGUGUUGUACUUUUGAUUUGAGACAUCUCUUCACUUGCACCUUGAGGUCUUAAGGUUUGACCUAUCAUGGAGGACAUUGAGCCUAUUAACCUAGGAUCGGAGAUUUGACUUAGGAAGUUUCAGACUAUGACCCAUCUUCUUAUGAUCAGAGCAGUGUCUUACCCACUCUCACACCUUGACUUUGUUUUGACCUACAUCCAUCCAUUGUGAGCGUUACACAGCGUCACCCUUGAGACCAUUACAUGACCUUUCCAUCCCUAAUUGUUCUAGCUUUGUAUAUUAUUUCUUUGAUCCAACCAGGUAGAGUGUGAGGAGUUUGAGCCUAGGGUUGAUCUCGCGUGGCGAGGGAUGGCUUACGAUUUUUGGGUGGCUUACGACAUGAGGAUUGGUCGAUUACUUGAUGGACUGUCACUUAUUCUGCCAUGAGUAUAGAGAUUGAUAUUGUAUGAUGAGAGUUAGCUUGUGAUGAGCAGUUGUGCUUGAUGAGAUCGUCAUUUACUUUGCUUUGAGAGGAUUACCUUUGAGAUUAUUAUGGAGCAUUUGCAGUAUGGUUUGGCACAUGAUUCUAGAGGGUUGAUGUGGUUAUGUCAGAUGGAUAUUGAUCUUUAGUAUAGAUCAUUUAAGGGUUUGAGAGCACAAUGUUUGAGACUAUGGUUGCAAGAUGUGUGGCCUGUAUUUCGGUUAGCCAUGUACCCUUUCACCCUUUUGAUAUAUAUAGUCUGUUGCUAGCCCAUUGAGCCUCGCACGUGCAUUAUAACCUUUCUUUCUUAUCGCCUUGCUCACAUUUUUCACACCGGGAUAGGGGCCUUUUAGUAUAUGCAUUCAUUGUUUGGGAGUUCCAUGAGCCUUAGACCUAAGGGUGCAUUCUUCUCAUUAUCUCUUCUCAUCAUUGCAUCACUGCAUUCCAUUGUAUCUCAUUGUUUGUGUUCUUCGUCUCUUCUUCUUUAUUUUAUCUACUACUUGUUUUGCUUCAUAUUCUUUUCACCCUGAGAUGGUGUCUAUCCAUUAUCGACAUCAUCCUUGGGGUUCAUUUGUUCAUGUUCAGGGUAUGUACAUCUGUAUGUUAAAAAAAUGAAGUGAAAAAAAAAAUGAAAUGAAAAAAAAAACGCAUGUGUGUAUUAUUUUUUAUCAUUGAGUGUGUAUAUCAAUAUUCUAGGGUCACUUGAUUGAGUAUGUUUGUUGAUGGGAGUUCGUAUGUAAGCUUUCCGAGACCCUUCAUGCUUUGUAUUCAUCUUAUUGUAUAUUUUGAGAGCGAGAUGAGUGACCUUCUCUUAAGAGUUCUAGGUCAUUGUCCCUUCCAUCAUUACGUUCAUUGUUGAUGUGACUUCACUCCAUGUCUGAUUUGAGUUGAUCACUACUCCUCUUUAUGUUAUUUGUUUCAUCAUUAUCCUCGUUUUCGCUUCUGAUUCAUCAUUUUCACUUCACGUCUUAUUCUUUUCUUACAGCAACCCAUCUAGGGUUUGAUACUCUCUUCGCGUCAUCAUUACACAUAUCACUAUCAAUUCAUUUUGCUUCAUUGGUCUCCUCAUCGACAUCUUAUUCACGUUAGGCAUCCUCAUGUCCAUGGCUCACGGGAUUUACUAUACAUGGUGCAUUUCAUAUAUGAGGGCAUGGGUUUCUGAUCAUUGGGUAUUUGAGCCCUGUUUCCUUUCAUUUCUUUCACCUUAUUACCUUAGCCUACAUUACGUCCUAGGUCUUAAGAGCACCCUGAGGCCAUGAUAUCAUGCAUCGUGUUUUGAUAGCUCUCAUGUGGGCGAUACUUGGAAUUGGUUGGAGAGCAUUUUGAUUAUGAUAGGCCAUGAGUUGUGGUAUGACCCUAUACUGGGGCAUAGCCACCUCAGAGAGUUUUUUUUUUAUCGGGUAUGCAACCAUUCUGUUUGAUACAUCGCAUUGGGGCACACCUUUCUUGGUUGAGGUUUGAUUUUUUAGAUGGCCAUUAUGCCAGGGCAUACUUCUCUCAGUCGAUGAUGGAUUUUUGAGUCAUGGCCACCCUUCAGAGGAGAUCAAACAUCAUUUUUCACAUUGGAGCAUGAGGCAUGAUUGGUAUAUUUCAUCUGGUGUACUUUGCAUAGGGGCAUAUUUCUUAGUCGAUGAUGGUUUUUGAGGCAUAGCUGUUCCUUGGGGGUGAUUAGAUUCCUUUCACAUUGGGGUAUGAGAUAUGAUUGGGUGCUUUGAAUAGAUGUGUUUAUAGGAGCGUAACCUUCUCAUCGUUGUUGACAAAUGUUUGAGAUGAUUGGAUCAAGAUACUGACACUUAUGAGAGCAUGCAGCGGAGUUUAGUCAUUUUAGAGAUUGCAUUAUACUGGGGCAUAAUCCUUUCAUUGGUGAUUGAUCUUAGAGAUAUCAACUUACAUUUGGGCAUGAUCAUGUCAGAGCGCAUUUUGUUGAGGCAUGUCACUUUGAUUGAUCUUUUUCAUAUUGGGACAUGCUCUUUCUUUAGAUGAGGUCGGAUACUCUCUUUAUACCACCACGAUGACUUUGAGGAGUGGAGAUUCAUUUUGAUUAGAUGAUGUAUGAUUGGUUGUACUCCUCUCAUCGAUGUUUUAUUACAUUGGGGCAUUGCCCACCCAUCGACGAUGGAUUUUGUGAGAUGACGGUUUAUGCCAAACACAUGUUAUUCGGAUAUUAUCUUGCAUUGAGGGCUUACCCAUUUUGAGAGAAUGCAUUCAUACUGGGGCAUAGCCACCUUGCUGAUUUUGACAUUGAGACUCCACCUCCUAUUUAUGAUAGCUAGUUUUGAUGGAUCGUAGAGUUGUUGACACUUUGGGUUCAGACUUCUUAACAUACUUGGUUCGACUUGGAUACCCACUUUCCUUUGUUACACACUCAUACAUCUUACAUCCAGCACCAUUAUACCUGCAUCCAUCUUGUCAGAGUCUCACAUCUUUUGAGUUUCAUCUAGGGCAUACCCCAUUUCCAGAGAUAGUUGUGUCCUCAUUUUUUAGUGAGUUGAUCAUCCUGAUUUUAGUCACCCUUCAGUGGUUUGACUUAGAGUCAUAGACUACAAUCUCCCAUUUUGGGCGUACAAUGCCCCUCUUCAUGGAGUCACAUGACUCUCAUCACUCACGAGAUCAUGUCGAGUUGAUAGCCAAUUGUUAUCUUAUCAUGAUCCCCUAGUGGAGUCUUUCUUAGGCCAUUUAGUCAGACUCACACUUUUUAGCAUUUAGAUAUCAUCAUGCUUUUUCUUCUGGGAGACGUUUAUUUGAUCUACAAAUUCGAUUAAGUUGUGGACGUGGGUGGUUAGGAUUACACACUUGGUGAUGGAUGAUUUGAUGACAUCUAGUUUUCUGAUCUACCAUGCAUUUGAUGCCAUACUGGGGCACAUUCUGUUUCGGAUGAGAUUUAUGGAUUUUCAUGGAAGUUGCAUGCUUAUCUCCACUUUUGAGUUAUGGACGUGGAUGACCGGGAUUGCAUAGUUGAUGAUUUGGUGUCACCUGACUUUUGGAUCUACCACACAUUUGAUGCCAUACUGGGGCAUAUUCCAUUACAGUUGAGAUUCGUAGAUUUUCAUGGAGUUGCGCGAUCAUCAUCACUUACUGGUCGCACACUGAGAUGCUGACAUGUUCGUUACCUUAUCAUGAUACCUCGGUGGACCCUCUUUGGAUCCAUUUAGUCGGACCCUCAUUUUUUGACAUUUGGUUUCCGGCAUGAUACUUAUUCCGAGAGACAUUCCCUAGAUAUAUGGAUUUGAUUUAUAUCACAGAGAUCACAUGUUCGAUGAUAGAUAGUCUCAUGUCAUCUGAUUUCCGAUUCGUCAUACAUCUGAUGCCAUACUAGGGCAUAUUUCCAUUUUGGGUGAGGUUUACAGAUCUUCAUGGGGUUGUAUGAUCACCCCCACUUACGGGAUGCGCACCGAGGCGAUGACGUGCUCAUUAUUUUUACGAGGAUUUCUCGGUGGAGCCUCUCGGGAGUCAUCCAGUUAAGCCCGCACUUCUUGGCACUUAGAUUUCAUCAUGCUUCUCCAUCCGAGAAAUACCUCUUGGAUUUGUGGGUUUGAUUCUGUUAUGGACAUGGAUGACUAGGACCGUGCAUUUGAUGACAGAUGAUUUGAUGUCAUCUGAUUUUUCGACCCGUCACACAUUUGAUGCCAUACUGGGGCAUAUUUCCCUUUCGAUUGAGAUUUGUACAUCCCCACCGAUUCGCAUGAUCAUCCCUAGUUAUGAGAUACGCGCUAGGUUGAUGAUUCGAUUUCAUUUUGUCAUGACACUCUGGGGAGCCUUUCUUGAGUCAUUCAGUCAGGCUCAUACUUUUUGAUAUUGUUGUGAUUCUUAGACAGAGUUAUCUCAGACGCAUGGAUUCCCACAUCACCAUUUCAGUGGAGUACAUGUUAGAUCUCUUGCGCAUCCCCAUUGAGUUAUUUGCGAGUCAUCAGGGCAGACCUGGUACAUCUGAUGCCAUACUAGGGCAUAUUUCCCUCAUUCAGCUGUAGAGAUGAUGGUUUUCUCAUAGAUCUGAUGCAGCCGCCUUCAUCGCUCCACCGAGAAAUAUUUUAUUUGCUUUAUUGGCCACUAUUCCCGUGAUUUUCGUCGAGAUAAGCCUUCAGUAGAGCACAACAUUCAGGUUUUGACUGUCUCGCUAUCCAUGAUUCUUUAGUAGAUUGUUGUGAUGAGAUCAUGGUGGUUACCCCAACAAACUAUUCUCUUGAGACUCCCUAGUGGAUCAUUCGUUUCAGAUGACGAUGGACUCCUACAGUAGAGUAUUUCGAGUUAGAGUCAUCUAACUCGUCAAGCAUCGCGGUCCAAUCAGAUGGGUUGUGAGACUAUGUUCACAGUCGAUUUAAUCAUUCUAACUCGCUAGUAGAGCAUAUUUCGAGACUCAUGGAGUCUUUUUCAGACCUUUCUAGUGGAUUGAGAGUUAUGACGACAUGCUACACUGGGGCAUAUUCCCCCUUCAUCAUUUCCUUGCAAUUCUGGCGUUCAGAGCCACCAUACAUGCUCGGUUACGACAUUCAGAGUCGCCCUUUUUUAGCUUGGCAUUCAAAGCCACCAUGUCUUCUCGUUUAUGACCUUCAGAGUCGUAUCUCUCGGCUUGACUUUCAUAGCUACUGUUUCAGUUUGGUGCUUAGAGCCACCAUGUCCUCUCAACCAUGACGUUCAGAGCCUUUCUCAGAUUGGCAUUCCUAGUUAUCAGUUUAGUUUGGUGUUCAGAGCCGUUGUUUCUGCUUGGGAUUCAUAACUAUUAUCUUCGGUUUGGUGUUCAGAGCCACUUUCACAUUUCGACGUUCAUAGCUGUUGUUUUAGUUUGGCAUUCAGAGCCAUGGUUUAGGUUGACAUUUAGAGUUGUCAUCGUCUUUCCAUUCGGUGUUCUGAGCCACAUUUUUUGUUUCGGCGUUCAGAGUCAUUCUUCAUUUUCAUUUUGGCGUUCAGAGCCAUUGUUCAUUUUUCUUUUGCCAUUCAAAGCCACAUUUUCGUUUCGGUGUUCAGAGCGAUCGUUCAUCUUCCGUUUGGCAUUCAGAGUCAUUGUUCGUUUUCCGUUUGGCGUUCAAAGCCGUAGUUCAUCCUCAGUUUGGUGUUUAGAGUCGUUGAUCAUUUUUGUUAGGCGUUCAGAUUCAUGUCGUCAUCUUGGUGUUCAGAGCCGCAUUGUCAUCUUGGCAUUUAGAGUCGUAUCUUCAGUUUGGCAUUUAGAGUCGUAUCUUCAGUUUGGCAUUCAGAGUUGUUGUUUAUCUUUAGUUCGAUAUCUAGAGCCAUUUUCAGAUUGGUGUUCAGAGUCGUUAUUCCCUUUAGUUCGAUAUUCAGAGCUACACCUUCAAUUCAAUGUCUAGAGUCACAUUUUUUUCGUUUGGUGUUAAGAGUUGUUGUUCACUUCAUUUUGGCAUUCAGAGCCACAUCUUCAUUUUGGUGUUCAGAGUCGCAUUUUUAGUUUGGUGUUCAGAGUCGUUGUUCAUCUUCAUUUUGGCGUUUAGAGCCGCAUUCUCAUCUUGGGAUUCAGACCCACAUCUUCUUUCGGUUUGGCGUUCAGAGCCGCAUUUCCAUUUCGAUGUUUAGAGCUACCAUCAUUCUCAGUUUCGGCAUUCAGAGCCACUGUCUCUUCUCAAUUCGCCGUUCAGAGCCAGAUCUCCAGUUUCAGCGUUUAGAGCCACUAUCCCUUCUUAUUUUGGCAUUCAGAGCCACCAUUUCUGCCCAAUUUCAGCGUUUAGAGCCACCAUCCCUUCUUAUUUUGGCGUUCAAAGCCACCAUUUCUACCCAGUUUGGCGUUCAGAGUCACCAUCCCUUCUCAGUUUGGCUUUCAGAGCCACCGUCUCUUUUCAAUUUGGCGUUCAGAGUCACAUCUUCAUUUGGCACUCAGAGCCAUUACUUGUCUUCUAGUUUGGUGCUCAGAGCCACAUCAUUCAUUUCAGCAUUCAGAGUCACAUCUUUAGUUUGAUGUACAAAGUCGAUGUCUUCUAGUUUGGCGUUCGGAGCCACAUUCUCAGUUUGACACUCUAAGUCCUCAUGUCUAUCUUUCAUUCAAUCCAUCACCACUUCCCUCUAUUCUGGCAUUCAAAGCCAUUAGGCACACUCUUUCGGGCCUUUUUGAGUCAUUUCUUUUUUUUAAUUUUGGUGUGCAGAGCCGUUUUUUAUACCCAUUCAUGCAUCUUGAGUAAUUUCUUUUCUUAGUUUUGGCAUUUAGAGCCAUUGUUUUGUUUAGCAUUCGACGCCACCAUCUUUCUUCAGUUUGGUGUUCAGAGCCAUUGUACAUAUCCGUUCAGGCACCUUGAGUCACCAUCUUUCUGUGUUUUUGAUGUUUAGAUUUCCCCUCAACUGUCCAUGGCAUUCAUAUUCACUGGCAUUACACAUCUUGCCUUCAUAGGUUUGCAUUUAUCCUUAUUUUUCUCACCUUGUUACCCUGUGCUUAUCGUUCAUUCGUCAUUGCUUUUCUAGAUUUCCCUUUUCACUGCCCAUGACAAAGUCCUUUGAGUUCACGACACAUACUUCAGUCAUGUUGUUGGGCACCCUGCACUUAGCAUUCUCAUGUGGUUCACAUAUGAUAGUCUCAUUUAGGCACAUUCGUUCUUACACUCCAAAGUGGUUCGACCAUUACUCAUCUGUGAUAUGGUUUUCCAAGUCACUUUUGGAGACGUCUUAGAGGGAGUCUAGAUCCUUAGUGUGGCUUCAGAGGCACUUUGAGAUAUCAUUUUCUUUUAGGAUUAGAGCAUUUGUGUUCAUUCCUUGGUUUGGGCGAGUUCGUGUUCUACUUGUGCACCUUUAGGGGUCUUUCUUUUUCUUUGGUAGAGUUUACUCCAUUCCACUCACUAUUCACACUUUCUUUUCACUCUAGUGUUCAUAUUUCUUACGCUCGUGAACUCUACCGAAGAGGGGCAUAUUUGUAGAACCCUUUUGCGGACGACCCGGGAAUUGAAAUAUUUUCAUUUUUGGAAGUGAGGGGACCUCUUUCUAGAGGGGGCGAGCCACAUGGGACAUGUGGCAAAGACGACAUGGUGGUAGCAGGGAGCAGGUGAAGACUUGUGGGAAAAGAAAAACAGAGGGAAGUGUCUUCAUGUUUUUAGGGGGGUGAGCUAGCGGUUGUGGAGGUGGGGGUGUCUGGAAACAGAGAGAAGAAAGAAGAAAGGAUAUGAGGUUUUUCUGGCAUUUAAGAGGAUUCCGAAAAUUUUUUGGGGCUUGGCUGGAGGAGUAAUCUUGCCUGGAGGAAAAUUUGAGGAGCUUGAGAAGAAACUAGUGAGGGUGGAUAGCUUAGGGAUAGAGGAUUUCCUGGAUGGAACAUAAAAUAAAGCUCAGAGUCAGGCGAGCUUUCCUUUGAAAAGUGGCCCUUGAGGUGAGAUCAGUUUUUACUGAAUUUGACGACUUUUACAGUGUAAUUCAUCCCGAUAUUUUAUUUCGAUUCUCUGCAUCGAUUGCCUUGCCGUGGAAUUUUACAUUCGUAGCCCCUUUUGUGCACUCAAUUUCCUAUAUUUUAUUCCCUCUGAUGCUUUCUUUAUAUGUUUCUUCAACUGUAUGCGUUUUUGCCUGAAGAUUUGAUUGUGCUAGUGAAAUUUGUUGCUCAUCUGUGUCUCUAAAGUGUUGGGUACCUUAAUUGAGGCAUUUUUACAGUGAAAACCUCAAAAGGGAGAUUUUGGGGAAUAAGCGUUUGUGUAUUUUUUUUUUUUUUCUUCCUAUGGAGAAGAAAGAGUGAAGAAUUUGUGAAAUGGCAAACCGUUAUUGGUCUGUUUCUAUUGAGCGGCAUUUCGGCUAUGUGGUUCUCAUCCCAUUUAUGCAGCAUUGAGUUUGAAUGCCCAGAAAGAUCUCUUUGAUCAGUGUGGGGAAAAUAGGAAAAGGGUUAGAUGGCCCUUAAUUGGUCAUUACUCCUCUUUCUACUCUCUCAAACUGGGCAAAUGAAAUAGCAAGGUUUGUGCCCUCAAUAAUUGCAAUCAUCUAAGAUGGCAAUAGGAAAGAAAGAGAUCAAAUACGAAUGACGUAUAUGCCAGGAAAAAUCAGCCCCAAAUUUCCUAUAAUUCUGACUUCUUAUGAGGUUGCAUUAAAUGAUGCUAGAAAGUAUCUAAGGAAAUAUCUUGUAGUUGAUGGUGGGGCCACAGAUGUAAAUUCAUGAUGUGCACCUUGCAACACUUUGUUUUAUUUUUCUUUGGGCUACCAGGAUGUUCAAACAUCAUUUGAAAACCUUAAGUGUGGUCACUUUGGCACAUGGCCCCGGUAAGUUUUUGACUUUUUAUUUAUUUUCUUAUGAUUUUAACAGUUUUCCUUACUCCAAUUUUCCAAAAUUCCUUUCAUGAUUCCACUUCUCAAAUAAUUUUUAAAGCUUUCAUUUUAGAAUAGUCUUCUAGAAUUCCCAUUUUCAUAUUUAUUUAUUUAAUCAUUAUUCUUUUUUUAUUAUUAUUAUUUUAUUUAUUCACUUUUAAAAUUCUAUCUUUAAGUAAUUCUUAAAAUUCUGAUUUCCGAAUUUAAUUUCCAAUCAUUAAAGUUCAAUUCUUCAAAAGUCUAACUUCCAAAUUUAAUUUUCAAUCUCAAAAAUUCCACUAUUCAUGUUCAUUCGUUUAAAUAUUAUUUUCGUUAUUAUUAUUAUUAUUAUUCCAUAUUUAUUUAUUUAGUUAUUUAAAAAAAAUUCAAUCAUUAAAAUUCAAUUCUUCAAAAAUCUGAUUUCCAAAUUUAACUUUCAAUCUCAAAAAUUCCACUAUUCACGUUUAUUUGUUUAAAUAUUAUUUUUGUUAUUAUUAUUAUUAUUAUUCCAUAUUUAUUUUAAAAAUUCCAACCAUUAAAGUUCAAUUCUUUAAAAAUCUAACUUCCAAAUUUAAUUUUUAAUCUAAAAAAUUCCACUAUUCACGUUCAUUCGUUUAAAUAUUAUUUUUGUUAUUAUUAUCAUUAUUUCAUUUAUUUAUUUGUUUAUUUCCUUUAAAAAUUCUAAUCAUUAAAGUUCAAUUUUUCAAAAUUCCGUUUUCCAAAUUUCAUUUUCAAUCUUAAAAAUUUUACUAUUCAUGUUCAUUCGUUUAAGUAUUAUUUUCGAUAUUAUUAUUAUUAUUCUAUUAAUUUACUUAUUUAUUUCUUUUUUAAAAAAAAUAUCCGUCUUUAAACAAUUCUUCAAAAAUCUUACUUACAAAUCUAAUUUCCAAUCUCAAAAAUUCCACUAUUCACAUUCAUUUGUUUAAUGAUUAUUUUCGUUAUUAUUAUUAUUCCAUUCAUUUACUUAUUCACUUAUUCAUAUAUUUAAAAUCUCAUCUCUAAAUAAUCAUUCGAAUUUCCAAUCUCUAAAUUCAAUUUUCAGUUUCUAAAAUUCUAACUUUCGCAAUUAUUUAUCCAAUCGUUAUUAUUUUCGUUAUUCUAUUCAUUUAUUUAUUCAUUUGUUCGUUUAUUUAAAAUUUCAUCUCUAAAUAAUUCUUUAAAUUUCCAAUCCCUAAGUUCAAUUUCCAAAUUUCAAAAUUCUAACUUUCACAAUUAUUUAUCCAAUCAUUAUUAUUUCGUCAUUAUUAUUAUUCCAUUCAUUGAUUUAUUCACUUAUUCAUCUAUUUAAAAUUUCGUCUUUAAAUAAGUUUUCAAAAUUCUGAUUUCCAAAUUUAGUACUCUAAAAUUCCAAUGUUCCCAUCACUGAACUUAAUUUUCAAUUUCCAAUAUUUCAAUUCUUGCAUUUAUUCAGCUACUCAUUUAUUAUUAUCAUUAUCAUUUUAUUCAUUCAUUUCUAAAAAUUCCGCCUUCGAAUGAUUUCCAAGAUUUCCAAUUUUUAUAAUUCAAUUUUUGUAGUUUCUACUUCUCAAAUAAUUUUCAAUUCUGAUUUCUUUUAAAAUUUAAUUUUUUUAAAAUCCCAAACUCUCAAAUAAUUUUCAAAAUUCCAAUUUCUUUCAAAUUUAAUUUCUAAAAUUCUCAUUCUUACAUUUAAUUUCUAAAAAUCCAAUUUUCAAAUAAUCUCUAAAACUUCAAUUUUCAAAUAAUCUCUAAGACUCCAAUUUUCAAAUAAAUUUCAAAAAUCCAAUUUUCCCUCGAACAGUUUUAAUUUCUGUUUAGUGAUGCAUCUGAUAUGUUUUGUGCUCUUUAUCGUACACUGACCCCAUUUUUAUGAUAGUGCAUUGCUCGUUCGUAGCCCAGGUACGCAUCCAUUCCCAUUCUGGUCAUUCUCUAUGCAUGUUUUGAUUUCCAUAUGUGCAUGAUCGAUUUGAGUAUUCAUUGAUUUUCCUAUUGAUUGUCAUGUUAGCUUCAUUUUAGUAGUAGAGGCCCGACUUUAGGAACUUAAAGGGGUGCUACAGUCUUUACCGUACCUUCUCGAUAAGUAACCUGACCCUCGAGUCCAAUCCGGUUUUUCACAGAUCACCUUUUCCAAAAUAAGGAGUCAUACUUAGGGUUUUCUUUCUUAUUUUGUUUACCCUUUUAAAAAUAAAACAAAAAUAAGUGGCGACUCCAAGUCAUUUUUUUUAAUAAAUAAAAUCAUUUUCAAAUAAAAAUCGAACUCGUCAUCAAGUGGAAAACACAUUAGCCGAAAUGCGAGGUCCAUAGUUUCCCAUCAUGUUUCUAUUUUGUUGGAAUUUGAAUAAGUACAUAAUAAUUUUGUUUUAUUUUAUGGAUGAUAACUUCAUUUAACAUGUUAGUAUUCAUCAUCUUUCAUUUUGCCAUCCAUUUUUAGAGACUUUAAAUGCUUUCUUUAGAUACCCAUUUUUCAAUUUCAGUGAAUAAAUUGGGUAUAAGAGAUUUGCUAACUUCACUCAACAACUUCUAUUUAAGAUUUAGAAACUUGUGAACCUCAUGUUUUCCCCUUUGAAAACAUUGAAAUUUUGAUAUGGAAAGUUAAAAUAUCACAUAAACAAUCAAUUUUAAUUAUUUAAAUUCACUUCUCAAAAUUAAAAUUAAAAAUCCCUCUUGUAUGAUCUAAAUUAUCUUAGAUUUCAACUUUUUAAUUCACUUAAAGUAUUGAAUAAGUUAAAAAAAAUAAAAUAUUAUUAAUUAUGAUUAUAUAUAUAUAUAUAUAUAUAUAUAUAUUUGUUUUUGUUUAACUAUUAAUAAUUAUAAAAAUAGAGAGAUAACUAAAAUGACAUGACAUAAGUGAUAUAAAAAUAGAUAACAACUACAAUGAUACAAGUGAGAUUAAAAUUGGGAAUUCACUCAAGUUGGAGAAUUAUUUAUUCUAAUAAAAAUACUAAGAAAAUACGUUAAUUAUUGUAGCAAAUUCUUUUUUUCUUCCACUCUAUUUGGGCAUCUAUUAUAUUGAAAAAAGAAAUAAAAGAAACCUCAUACAUAUUUAAAAUAAUUUAUUUGAGAAGAUUCUAUCAUUAAAAAUUCCACAAAAGUUCCAAAAAAAAAAAAAAGAUGCCAGAAAUAGUAUGUAUAGAGAAAAGAGUACAAAAGACAAAUAUAUAUAUAUAUAUAUAUAUAUAUAUAUAUAUAUAUAUUAAUUUAAAUUUAAAGAGAAAAGGUAAGAGUAAUAAGUCAGCAUUGAAAAAAAGAAAGUUUACUUUAAUAAAAUUAUAAUCUCAUAAAUUAAAAACUUCAAAAGUAUCCAAUCAAAUCCUUUAAAAUUCUUUCCUUCUAAAAAUUCCCUCUAUUCCAAAUCCAUUAUUUCCUUUUUCAUUUAAAUCCCUUCAUUCCAGAGUGUAAAAAGAAAUAAUAACAAUCUUCCUAAUAAGUUAUUAAUAUAUAAAAUAAAAAAUAAAAAAUAACACUUUUUUAAUAAUUUAGGAUAUAUUAAUUUUUUUUCUUCAAGAAAGAUGUAAUUUUUUCUUUUAUCUAAAUAUAUUACAUUUAGAAAUAAUUGCUCUUCUAAUAUCGAAAAUUAAGAAAUAUUAGAAGAUCGAGUAAUUUUUUAAUAAAUUAUAAAAAGAUCCAAUAAAAAAAAAAAUUAUUCCUUUAUUCAGGCAUAUUAAAAAAAGACAAUAUUCUAAAAAUAGGUAAUAGAAAAAAUAUCACAAUUAAAAGGUUUAUUUCUUUUAGUUAUAUUAAAAAAAGAAACAAGGUUAUUUCAAAGAUAGAAAAAAAAAAAUACAUUAGAAAUAUUAUCAGUUUUUUAGUUUUAUUUUCAUAUUCAUCUUGGGGUUUUGUGAAUAAUUAUUAAACUGUUAAUUAUUUAUUUGGUGGUAUUAUAAUCUGAGAUGGUGAGAUUAGGGGAGUAAAGCACAGGUCACUUCUGAUGAAAUAUAUCUUUUCUCUUCCAACUAAGGCCCAAAUAAAUAAUGGGCUUGGGGCAAAGCCCUAAUACUCAACUGAAUGGACUGGGCUUGGUUAUCUAAGAAUUUGUUGCUAGUGCCAUCAUCUUUAUUUGUGGGUAUCUAAGAAUUUCAUUUAACCAUGAAGAUAUUUCUUUACAACAAGGGAUUGGAAGAGUUUUUUAAAAGCAAGCCUCUGGUAGUUUUUUCUAAAAUUAUAUACCUUCCAACUAGUUUUGUAUUGUGCUAUUUUUAAUUCCACUUUCAAUAUAAUGCUUCUUAUCAAUUUUUUUUUUCAAAAAAAAAAAAAAAAUUAUGGUAGGAAUCGUUUAACAUUGAAUACAUAUUCAACAAAACUUCAAUUAGGUGAAUAUGAAAAAUUAUAAAUUGAAUGGGGCCUAGAUAUUGUCGAACCCUUGUGAAAAUACAAUAGGAAGGUAAUACUAUUGUAAUCCUCUCCUUUUUAUAGGUCGGAUCAUACUCAUACAAACAUAAAUUAAAUUUGGAUUGGACUUUCCAAAAUAUAAUUUUUCAUCAUUANNNNNNNNNNNNNNNNNNNNNNNNNNNNNNNNNNNNNNNNNNNNNNNNNNNNNNNNNNNNNNNNNNNNNNNNNNNNNNNNNNNNNNNNNNNNNNNNNNNNUAAUCAUUAAUAAAGUGGAAAGAAAUUUUAUUUUUUUAAAAUAUCAAGAUGAGAAAGAGAAAAUUAAAGUCAUGGAAUUACUUUUAGAGCUAAUCCAAUUGAUGGAAAUUUGAGAAAACCUCCUAACAGGCAAAGUAAUCAACCCUAAACAUAAAAAUAAAGCAUUAAGGGCAUGAGGACUUAAACUUCACUCAGGCUACUAUCUAGAUUUUUGUCCCUUGUGAUGUGAUCACCAAGACAAAUUGCUUCCAAGUCUUCUACUCUAAGUCAUCCACUGGCCCACAUCUUUUAUGGAUAAGGCUAGACUUUUACACUUACAAGUCAUGUGCAUACACUUCUAUAUAUAUAUAUAUAUAUAUAUUUCACUUUUCCUUCAAAUAAUCUUUAACAAAACUUUUAUCAUAUUUAUUUUUUCAAGUAUUCUAUCAUGCCCAUUUAUAGUAUACAGUUGAGACAAUGAUUGAAUCACUAUUUUUAAUUAUUUCCUACGAAAUGUUACCUGAAACCCAUCUAAAGUAUUGAAAUUUGUUGGGUGUGGAUCAAUAGUGGGUUGACAUGUGUUUGAUUUUUUAAAUUUUGUAUUUAUUUUUACUAUCUUUAUUGGAUUAGAUAGCUCUUAAGGAUUUUGAAACAUAAGAUGUUGAUUGAAUGAUAAGAAAGUAAUUUUUUUCUUCCACGACUCUGUAUCCCAUAUUUAAUAAAUAUUUGUGUGGUCUAGAUCUAACAAAAUAAUUGAAGUUCCGUGUUAUAAAAGGAAUAAAUAAAUAAAAAGACAAGGACUUGUUGAUAUUCUCGAGGUCUUGAUGUUUGAUUGAUGCAGACUGGAAAGAGAGAAAUAGAAGAACCUUCAAGAUUGUCGAUAAAUUAAAGCUCUUGGUGAAAAAUAUAAUUCUUUACUCGUUGCCACCAUCAAAUAUGCUUAUGAUGUGAUUGGUUUUUAUUUUGUAAAAAAUUACGAUACAUGGCAUUGAAUAAUACUAUGCACAAAAUAUUUUUCUAGCACAAAUACGUAUUUUUGUAUGCAUAAGAUACUAUUUAAGUAUAAUAUAAUUAUUAUUAUUAUUUAAAUAAUUUGCCUAAAUAUAAUAUAUCAUUUGUAGAUAAAGAAUUGAAAUAUCAAGAAAAAGUGAUCCUAAUUUAGGGUUAUAUAAAUUACUCUUUCAUUAAAUGUCUUGAUAAAGAUUGAAUAUUGUUAGGAUUAGGACACCCAACAAAUAUUGGUUCAUACAAGCCCCAAAUCAAUGCCAUUAGUUGGCCUUUGAAAGAUCCAAACAACACUUAUAAUUUUUUAAUUAUAUUUUUAUUUAUCUAUAGGUCAAAUACUUGCUACACAAGUGAUUUCAAAUAUAAUAUUAGUAUGGAAUGGUUUAUAUUAGAAAGUUUACAAUAAAUUUAUUUAAGAAAAUAUAUCUAAAGAAAAAUUAUAAAUAUACAUGAUAAAUGUUAAGAUUCCUACAUCGAUACAAGUACAAAACAAACAAUUCAACAACAAAACUUUCUCCCUUUGAAAGUGAAGAUUAUUUUUACUUGGAAACAACAUUUAUAUACAAUGAAGUUUUUCAACCUUAAGUUUUUGUCUCUCAAUCUAAUCCACUAGACACGUUUGUGCUUUAAAAGUUAGAACUACUUUAUAGGGAAGACCAAGACUUCUAGCUAUUGAUAUAGAGUUUUCUUUAAAAGAUAAUACUAAGACUACAUAAUUCUUACUUGUAGAUUUGUACACAAAUCAAUCACAUGAAAAGGUAGAAUCCACAUUGUUAACCAAACUUUCAUAAACUUUAUAUGAAAAUAAUUAUUUUGAAAAUAAUUUUGGAUACAUAAAACAAAAUAAUUUAUAAGUGCUAAAAUAAUAAUUAUAUUCUUGCAUUAAUCCAUGAAGUGAGAUUGAGUCACCUUGUAAAUUGUAUUGUAAAGGUCUUCAACUCACUACUGUCAUAUAGUGGAUGGGUCAUUUGUGUGGUGUAUGUUGUUAAAAAUAAACAAUAAGAAAAAAAAAGAUAUAAGAAUGAGAGUGUGGCUUGAGACCUCAAUUUAUAAUAAGUUGUACAUCUCUUAGUCUUCCCAUUAAAGACUAUGUGGGAGUUAUACUCAUUAUUUACACUUAUUAUGUAUAAAUUAAUGGGUAAUGGUGGGUUAUGAACUUGAAUACAUCUAUAUAAUUGCAUAGGUUAUACAUUUUCAUUUUCCUCCAUUACUCAUAAACAUAAUGUACAAAUAAAUUUCAUAAUGAUGGGGUUACAAAAGUUGUAACACCACAUUCAUAUGAGUUAAAUUUUAUAACUUUCCAUUUGUAAUUUGAGUCUUCCAUACAUAAGACUUUUGGAUGCCCAAUCAAUUGAUUCACCUACCUAUCAAUUGAUACCCUUAAAUAAUAUUCAUAUAAAUAUAAUUAUAUAUGACCACACAUUAUAGGAAAAAAGCUAACACACACAACUUUGUGGAUGGAAAUCAAGAUUUUCGGCUCCUUUCUUUUUCUUUCUUUUUAGUGUCUAAGGUUUAAGUUUGUGUUUUAGAUACAUAACUUAAAACACAAAAUAAAUGACCAACCAAACUAUGAUUAUCUAGAUAGUAUUUUAAAAAAUAUAUAAAUUUAUAAUUUAAUCAAUUUGAUCUCAAUUAUGUAUAGGCACUUUGAAUCACAUUCAUCUUUGUCAUCCAGAUAAAAAAAAAAAAAAAAUUCAAAUCCAUAAUUAUGCAUCCUAAUCUCUUUUUAAACAUGAGGGAUUUAUAACCCCCACUACUUGAUGGACCCUUUCCUAAAGGUGAUUCAAUGCCACUUUGUUUGAUCUUCACAAUCUUUAUCACAUUCUUUGAUCUUUUGCAUUCUUUGAAUAAUUCAAUAUUAUUGAGGGGUCAUUCUCAUUAAAUGAGAAUAUUGAAAAAUCUAACCCUUUUGGAAGGGUAUGAAGAAGGUUUCAUAUCAGGGGACCCAUGUCUUACUUUUCCACCCAAAGCAUCGUAAUGCAUUCUAACUUUUUUUUGGCAGGAAAAGUAUUUGUAAUGUCAAUCUCUAACCGUGGCCAUAAAAGGGUGAGAUUUAGAGCCACACAAGUCAUAUCAUAUUCUGCAGAUUGUAGCCUCACAAGUCAAGUCCACAGGAUAUAUAUCAUCUAUAUAUUCUGCAGAUUCUGUCAUAUUUUUUUCUUUCGUGGACAGCCCAGUCACCAAUGAGUAUCACACUUUCAUAUCAUAUUUCUUUUUAAGAAUCCAAACAUUUUAAAACGGGUUAUGGGUGAUCCAGCAAAAAUUUACUAUGGUGGCAUUUUUUUUUUUUUUUUUUAAUUUGAAGUUUGAAAUCUAAAUAGAAAAUGAUGGAAAACUGUUAUUUAGACUUGAAAUUUCAUUAAAAAAAAUUAUUUGAACAAAAUAUCUAAAAAAAAAUUAACUUAAAAAGGAAAUGGUUUUGUCAUUAACUUUAAUAAUAUUUAAUUUUAUAUAACUAAUGGUAAUUGGAUCAUGGAUCCCACCAAUCAAAUAAUUUUUUGGAUUCAUUCAUUGUGCUAUUUGAUUAUAAAAAUCAAAUAUUUAAUUUUUUUUAUAUAUAUACUUUUUAUUGUAAUUUUGUAUUACUUUUACAAGGUUGAGUUUUUUUUUUUAGAAACUUUUCAAAAAAUACAAGAGAAAAAAAUAAAAAGAAAAAUAAAAUAUAAAAAAAGUAUAUAAAAGUAAAAAAAAAAAAGAUUUAAAACUAAUAAAUUAUUUUUAAUUGAUUUCUCAAACUCAUUUUAUGUAUUUUCUUUAUUUAUAUAAAAUUAAAUAAUUUAAAAAUAUACAAUUAUUUUAAUUAUUUUGAUUUGAUUUUUCUAUUAUAAAUCAAAUACAUAAAAUAAUUUUUCUUAGUUUCUAUAUAUCUUCCAUGUGUUUGUUCUUUUUUAGAAAUAUCCCAUAAAAUAUGGACCUUUUCUAAUCAACCAAACACCCAGGAGGAACAAAAAGGAAAAGAAUGAGAGAGAGAGAACUUAGAGAAAAAUAAAAUGAAAAAACCGCUAAAGAUAGUAUACAUUUUAUAUAAAGUUGGAAUAUAAAUCAAUGGAGCCACACCCCUUCAACAACCCUAAUCAUGUUGUAUCCAUAAUAAUAAUUCACAUUUUUUUAUUUUUUUUUCAUAUCAGUACACAUUUGACCUGAUCAUGAGCAAUAAUAAAUGUCCACAUUUUAAUAGAUUUGAAAUCUUCACCCAUUAAUUUAAGUUCUUCAUCUAAUGAAUAAUAAAUGUCCAUAUUUUUCUACGAGGCCACAUAGGACUUUGAAUAGUUUAAAGUGAACAUGUUACCUCAUUAAUUUGGAGACUUUACAUACUCUAUAAUACUAUAAAAUGUUGGAUAGAUCACUAACCUCAUUUAAAUAAUAAAAUCUUCUAAUUCUUUUUUUUUUUUUUGUUCUGAUUUUUACAUGAUUGUGCUUUAUUUUAUAAAUUAAUUAAUAAUUAUAUUUAUUUAUCUUGGCUUCCCGUACAUAUUUUACGAAAAUAUUAUCCAUGUAUGUAAUACACAAGAUGAAUGCACCCUUACAACUAAAUUCAUCUUUUAAAUUUGAAAAAAAAAAAACUAAAAAUUAAUAUUUUUUUAAUUAACAUUUAAGUAAUAAAAAUAACAUAACCAAUUUAAUUUUUGGUUUUUCAUUUUUAAAAUAUUACUCUUAUAUUUCAUAACUUUUCAUCCUUAAUGUGCUACAAAUCUUUUUACCACUAUAAGGGUUAUGACAUGAAAAUUAUGUGUAUGGAAUAAAUAAGAAAAAGAAAAUUAAAUUGUCUUAUUAUUUUGCAAUGUAGUUUCGAUUCCCAAACUUUCCUCAAAUCUCUUUGGUUAUAUUUGAUUAUUGGAAAAUGACAAUAAAAAAUAUAAAAAAAAAUAUUAUUCUCUAAUGUUUGGUUUUCAUAUUGAAGAUAUCGGAUAUAAUUAAAAUUAGUUAAAAUUUUUGGUAUUUUUAAAUUAUUUAUUUUUUAUGUUGAAAAGUUAAAAUAAAUAAAAUGAGUUUAAAGAACCUACAAAAUAAUUUAUUAAAUUAAAAACUAUCUUUAAUUUUUAUUCAUUUUUUUCUUCACAUUUUCUAUUAAACUUACGGAGAACCAAACACAUCCUUAGUAUUUUCCUUCUUUUUUUGUUAAUGUUGUUUUCCCUUGUCUUUUUCCAUAGUAUUUAAAAAUAAUAAAUUUGUUCCCCUUUCUUUUACAUGUAAAAAUAUUUACAUAAUCACAUAGAUUAAUCAUACAUGAUUAAAGGAUACUAACAAUAGGAAAUCACUAUAAAGAACAUACCUGUUUGAGCCAUGAUAAAAAAAACGUGAUUGAUUGUUGUAACCAAGUCUUCCUCUCUAUGAUCUUGAUAAUAGCUAUGGUGGCUCUAUGGGAAAACAAAUAAACCCUUUUUAUCUAGAUUAGAGAGGGGACUUAGCAUAACUCAAAUUGGAUUCUCAUUGGGCCCUCCCAUAAUGGGCUUCAAUGAGACCCAUAGCCUACACUUGCCACUCAACUGAGCUUCUACUCAAAAGAUGCAAAACCCAAUCCAAAAUGUGAUCACUAGUUAAUUGGGCACAUUAUAGAAUAUACUAUCCAUUAACCCGUUUUUGCAAAUACAAAUUAUUCAAUUAAUGUUAGCCCAUAUAAAAAAUUUCCAACAUUCUCCCACUUGGGCUACAUUAAUUGUUUUUGAGGAUUCAUUAAAUUCAUUUUGAAAAUAAGACUCUCGGGUUAAGUACAAAAAAGUUUAUUUUGUGUGGCCACACCUUUUUUUUUUUUGAAAGAAAUGAUAGUCUAUAAGUAGCAUCUUGUUAAACUUUUCUGGUCCAACAUAGUCUUAAUAUUAGACUAUAAUGGUCUAUAUGUUAAUCUCAACAAACAUAAUGCCCCUUAUAGUCACGAAUAUUUAUAACCAUAUCGACAUGGAUCGUAAACUCAGUAGUGUAGUAAGAAAUCAAUGCCAACAUGUGAUCAUCAUCUAUAUGCAUUGUUUCUUAUCAGUCCUCAUUACAAUUUACCAACAAAAUGAAAUUGUAAUUACAAUUUCUCAACAAAAUGAAAUUGUUGCAAUUUCUAAACAAUAUGAAAUUGCUUGACUUUAACAAGUCAUAUGUCACCAACAAUGCACCACAAAAUCUCAAAAUAGUGGUAUUUGUGACAUCCAAUAGUAUACAACUGUAAUUCUUAAGGUUCAAUAUCUCAAGAUACCAUGUUGUACGUAAUUCAAUUACGACAUGCUAUAAUAUAAUACUUAAUUAUGAUGAUCAUAAUAAAAAGAUUUUAAUUUUGCAAGUUGCAGAACAAUAAUGAUCAAUGUUUGCAUAAAACAAUAAUUGAAAUAAGGGAAAUCACAAAAGCUCCCACUAAACCAAAGAAUCAAAAGACUUAAUGACACCCAUAUUCACAACAUGUUCCUUGAACGUUAUGGGCUUUAAACCUUUGAUUAGAGGAUCAGCUAGCAUGGACUCAGUUCUUAUGUGCUCAAUCACAAUAUCUCCUUUCUUCACUAAGUCCUUGACUGUAAGGUACUUGAUUUCCAUAUGCUUAGAACCCGUACUAAUCUUAUUGUUCUUAGAGUAGAACACAACUGCAUUAUUGUCACAAUAAAUCACAAUAUCCAUCAUUCCUAAAACAAACUCUAUGUCUAAUCUCCAUCUCUUAUAGUUCGACCCACUUAGAAUUUCAAUUGUAGCAUUAUUGUUGUUCACAGCAAAGGAAACUGAUUGACAAAAUUUUGCAACUAGAUCAAUUAUGGGCAAUAGGUAAAAAAAACUUAAAUAAUCAUAAGCAAUACAAUACAAGAAUCAAUUGUACUAUCAUAAACUCCCCUUUGGGCAGAGUCCACAAUAAACAACUAUUCUCUAAGCAUGAAGAUCAACAAAUAAUUCAUUAAAAUUUAUUUCCUUUGGGCAAAUAAAUUUAUCAAAUUAUUUAUCUCAUUAAAUAUCCUCAUGUUGUUAAAUUAAUUUGCACAAUAACCCCCUUUGGGCAGGCGAUUGUACAAAUUAAUCUAAAAUUUUCCCCAUCAACAAAAUAGGAACUCAUAAACUUGCAAAUUUUGAUGGUUAAAUCACUUUGGUAAAAUAACCUCAACAAUUCACAGGCAACGUUCCAAAAUUGGGUAAAUUAAAAAAAAUUGCCCAACAACAAUAGUGCAUAUUUGCGAUAUAUAUGCAUAUGAUCAAUUAUAGUUGCAAGAAUUUGAACAACAAUUUUUAUUUAUUUAUUACACUUUAAAUUAAUUAUUAACUAGUUUAUGUGAUUUAGAACAAGUAGGAGAGUAUGCAUGAAAAAGUUUCAAUCUAGAGAGAGUGAGUACUACACUCCUAUUCCAUAUAUAUUAGCAUAAUUUCUGGUAAAUUCUCAACAGAAAAUUAUACCAAAAAAUAAUUUUAAGCUAAUUAAAUCACAUAAAUAAGUAAUAAUUAUUUAAUAAAUAUUUUUGACCCCCCAAAAAUAAAAUAAUAUAUCUAGAAAAAUAUAUUACAAAAAAACGAGCGCACAGGAAAAAACGGAGCUCAAAAUGGACACUGGAUGAGGUUAUACGCACCUCACACACUUGACCUGCGAGUGGGGAACGUGUGGCACAUGUGGCAUGUGUGGCAUGUGCUGGAGGUCAUCUUCAACCUCCAGCAUUGGGUCCAAAAUUCUGCAAUACGGGUCAAAUGAGCCGGUUGCAACCUGGAUUGCAAACAAUUGAAAAAAAUGUUUCUUUUGAUCGGGAUCUUGAGGGCUUUUAAACUUUAGGUUGUUUCUAACAAUUUUAGGACAUUUAAUCAUAAAAAAAAAACAACUUAAAGAUCUCCAUAAUUGAUUAACAAAAUUCGGUUUUUCUUACCUCCAUAGCUAAGAUUCAAAAACUCUAUUUUAACACCUAUUUCGGUCUCAUUUUACAUGUAUUUUUACAUUAACAAUAUAAGAAGUCUCUUUACAACAAUUAAUUAAACAAAAAAAAAAAAAAUUCUCAAUCUUGCUCAAUUUUUUUUUUUUUUUUAAAAAAAACGAAUUUUCUAGGGUUCAUACCCAUAUUUUCAAAUUUUCAAUUUUCACCAAAUUGAGCCAAAAAACCGAAAUUAAUGCUACAUAUCAACUAUAAUAUAUGUAAACAACAAAAUCUAAGAGUUUAAUUUGAGUAUAACACAAUAAUUUGAUCAAAUAAAAUUUUUCUUGAAUCUUUAAACAAGAAAAUUCCGAAAAUUUAAAAAUUUAGUUACUCCCAAUUUAAACAACGAAAUUGCACAUAUGAUAUAUCAAUUUGAAGUUUGUGACAAGAGGAACAAAAACCCUAAAGUUUCACAAUCAAAAGAAACUAAAAAAAAAACAUGCACAUUCAUGGAUCACAUAUUUGGCUUCGAAAAGAAAAUAAAAUAAGAAACUAAAAAUUUUAUUUUCGAUUUCCAAAUGUAGAUCCUAAAUCAUGUAAAUCAGACUCUGAUACCACAUGUAAAAUAUUUACAUAAUCACAUAGAUUAAUCAUACAUGAUUAAAGGAUACUAACAAUAGGAAAUCACUAUAAAGAACAUACCUGUUUGAGCAAUGAUAAAAAAAUGUGAUUGAUUGUUGUAGCCAAGUCUUCCUCUCUAUGAUCUUGAUAACAGCUAUGGUGGCUCUAUGGAAAAACAGAUAAACCCUUUUAUCUAGAUUAGAGAGGGGACUUAGCAUAACUCAAAUUGGAUUCUCAUUGGGUCCUCCCAUAAUGGGCUUCAAUGAGACCCAUAGCCUACACUUGCCACUCAACUGAGCUUCUACUCAAAAGAUGCAAAACCCAAUCCAAAAUGUGAUCACUAGUUAAUUGGGCUCAUUAUAGAAUAGACUAUCCAUUAACCCGUUUUUGCAAAUACAAAUUAUUCAAUUAAUGUUAGCCCAUAUAAAAAUUUUCCAACAUUACCAUGUAAAAUAUUUACAUAAUCACAUAGAUUAAUCAUACAUGAUUAAAGGAUACUAACAAUAGGAAAUCACUAUAAAGAAAAUACCUAUUUGAGUCAUGAUAAAAAAAACGUGAUUGAUUGUUGUAGCCAAGUCUUCCUCUCUAUGAUCUUGAUAAUAGCUAUGGUGGCUCAAUGGGAAAACAGAUAAACCCUUUUUAUCUAGAUUAGAGAGGGGACUUAGCAUAACUCAAAUUGGAUUCUCAUUGGGCCCUCCCAUAAUGGGCUUCAAUGAGACCCAUAGCCUACACUUGCCAUUCAACUGAGCUUCUACUCAAAAGAUGCAAAACCCAAUCUAAAAUGUGAUCACUAAUUAAUUGGGCUCAUUAUAGAAUAGACUAUCCAUUAACCCGUUUUUGCAAAUACAAAUUAUUCAAUUAAUGUUAGCCCAUAUAAAAAUUUUCCAACAUUCUCCCACUUGGGCUACAUUAAUUGUUUUUGAGGAUUCAUUAAAUUCAUUUUGAAAAUAAGACUCUCGGGUUAAAUAUAGAAAAGUUUAUUUUGUGUGGCCACACCUUUUUGUUUUUUUUGAAAGAAAUGAUAGUCUAUAAAUAGCAUCUUGUUAAACUUAUCCGGUCCAACAUGUUCUUAAUAUUGGACUAUAAUGGUCUAUAUGUUAAUCUCAACAAACAUAAUGCCCCUUAUAGUCACGAAUAUUUAUAACCAUAUCGACAUGGAUCGCAAACCCAGUAGUGUAGUAAGAAAUCAAUGCCAACAUGUGAUCAUCAUCUAUAUGCAUUGUUUCUUAUCAGUCCUCAUUACAAUUUACCAGCAAAAUGAAAUUGUAAUUGCAAUUUCUCAACAAAAUGAAAUUGCUGCAAUUUCUAAACAAUAUGAAAUUGCUUGACUUUAACAAGUCAUAUGUCACCAACAAUGCACCACAAAAUCUCAAAAUAGUGGUAUUUGUGACAUCCAAUAGUAUACAACUGUAAUUCUUAAGGUUCAAUAUCUCAAGAUACCAUAUUGUAUGUAAUUCAAUUACGACAUACUAUAAUAUAAUACAUAAUUAUGAUGAUCAUAAUAAAAAGAUUUUAAUUUUGCAAGUUGCAGAACAAUAAUGAUCAAUGUUUGCAUAAAACAAUAAUUGAAAUAAGGGAAAUCACAAAAGCUCCCACUAAACCAAAGAAUCAAAAGACUUAAUGACACCCAUAUUCACAACAUGUUCCUUGAACGUUAUGGGCUUUAAACCUUUGGUUAGAGGAUCAGCUAGCAUGGACUCAGUUCUUAUGUGCUCAAUCACAAUAUCUCCUUUCUUCACUAAGUCCUUGACUGUAAGGUACUUGAUUUCCAUAUGCUUAGAACCCGUACUAAUCUUAUUGUUCUUAGAGUAGAACACAACUGCAUUAUUGUCACAAUAAAUCACAAUAUCCAUCAUUCCUAAAACAAACUCUAUGUCUGAUCUCCAUCUCUUAUAGUUCGACCCACUUAGAAUUUCAAUUGUAGCAUUAUUGUUCACAACAAAGGAAACUGAUUGACAAAAUUUUUCAACUAGAUCAAUUAUGGGCAAUAGGUAAAAAAAACUUAAAUAAGCAUAAGCAAUACAAUACAAGAAUCAAUUGUACUAUCAUAAACUCCCCUUUGGGCAAAGUCCACAAUAAACAACUAUUCUUUAAGCAUGAAGAUCAACAAAUAAUUCAUUAAAAUUUAUUUCCUUUGGGCAAAUAAAUUUAUCAAAUUAUUUAUCUCAUUCAAUAUCCUCAUGUUGUUAAAUUAAUUUGCACAAUAACCCCCUUUGGGCAGGCGAUUGUACAAAUUAAUCUAAAAUUUUCCCCAUCAACAAAAUAGAAACUCAUAAACUUGCAAAUUUUGAUGGUUAAAUCACUUUGGUAAAAUAACCUCAACAAUUCACAUGCAACGUUCCAAAAUUGGGUAAAUUAAAAAAAAAAAUUGCCCAACAACAAUAGUGCAUAUUAGCGAUAUAUAUGCAUAUGAUCAAUUAUAGUUGCAAGAAUUUGAACAACAAUUAUUUAUUUAUUUAUUACACUUUAAAUUAAUUAUUUAACUAGUUUAUGUGAUUUAGACCAAGUAGGAGAGUAUGCAUGAAAAAGUUUCAAUCUAGAGAGAGUGAGUACUACACUCCUAUUCCAUAUAUAUUAACAUAAUUUCUGGUAAAUUCUCAAUAGAAAAUUAUACCAAAAAAAUAAUUUUAAGCUAAUCAAAUGACAUAAAUAAGUAAUAAUUAUUUAAUAAAUAUUUUAGACCCCCCAAAAAUAAAAUAAUAUAUCUAGAAAAAUAGAUUACAAAAAAACGAGCGCACAAGAAAAAACGGAGCUCAAAACGAACACCAGAUGAGGUUAUACGCACCUUACACACUUGACUCGCGAGUGGGGAACGUGUGACACAUGUGGCACGUGUGGCAUGUGUUGGAGGUCAUCUUCAACCUCCAGCAUUGGGUCCAAAAUUCUGAAAUACGGGUCAAAUGACCCGGUUGCAACUCGGAUUACAAACAAUUGAAAAAAAUGUUUUUUUUUUAUCGGGAUCUUGAGGGCUUUUAAACUUUAGGUUGUUUCUAACAAUUCUAGGACAUUUAAUCAUAAAAAAAAACAACUUAAAGAUCUCCAUAAUUGAUUAACAAAAUUUGGUUUUUCAUAUCUCCAUAGCCAAGAUUGAAAAACUCUAUUUUAACACCUAUUUCAGCCUCAUUUUACAUGUAUUUUUACAUUAACAAUAUAAGAAGUCUCUUUACAACAAUUAAUUAAAAAAAAAAAAAAUUCUCAAUCUUGCUCAAUUUUUUUUUUUAAAAAAUAAAAUAAAAUGAAUUUUCUAGGGUUCAUACCCAUAUUUUCAAAUUUUCAAUUUUCACCAAAUUGAGUCAAAAAACCGAAAUUGAUGCUACAUAUCAACUAUAAUAUAUGUAAACAACAAAAUCUAAGAGUUUAAUUUGAGUAAAACACAAUAAUUUGAUCAAAUAAAAUUUUUCUUGAAUCUUUAAACAAGAAAAUUCCGAAAAUUUAAAAAUUUAAUUACUCCCAAUUUAAACAACGAAAUUGCACAUAUGAUAUAUCAAUCUGAAGCUUGUGACAAGAGGAACAAAAACCCUAAAGUUUCACAAUCAAAAGAAACUAAAAAAAAUAGGCACAUUCAUGGAUCACAGAUUUGGCUUUGAAAAGAAAAUAAAACGAGAAACUAAAAAUUUUAUUUUUGAUUUCCAAAUGUAGAUCCUAAAUCAUGUAAAUCAGACUUUGAUACCACAUGUAAAAAUAUUUACAUAAUCACAUAGAUUACUCAUACAUGAUUAAAGAAUACUAACAAUAGGAAAUCACUAUAAAGAACAUACCUGUUUGAGCAAUGAUAAAAAAACGUGAUUGAUUGUUGUAGCCAAGUCUUCCUCUCUAUGAUCUUGAUAAUAGCUAUGGUGGCUCAAUGGGAAAACAGAUAAACCCUUUUUAUCUAGAUUAGAGAGGGGACUUAGCAUAACUCAAAUUGGAUUCUCAUUGGGCCCUCCCAUAAUGGGCUUCAAUGAGACUCAUAGCCUACACUGGCCACUCAACUGAGCUUCUACUCAAAAGAUGCAAAACCCAAUCUAAAAUGUGAUCACUAAUUAAUUGGGCUCAUUAUAGAAUAGACUAUCCAUUAACCCGUUUUUGCAAAUACAAAUUAUUCAAUUAAUGUUAGCCCAUAUAAAAAUUUAUGUUUGGUUUUUGGAAAAUUUGAGGGAAAAAAAAUAAAGAGAAAAAAUAAAAUAAAAGAAAAAAUAAAUAAAAAUAAAUAAAUUUAAAAUUAAUAAAUUAUUUUUAUAUGUUUCUUCAAAUUUAUUUCACUUAAUUUCUUUCAAAAUAAUUUUAAAAUGCAUAAGUUUUUAAUUAUAUAUAUAUAUAUUUUUUAAAUUUAUAGUGAAACCAAAGAGAAAACCUUUAUUUAUUUAUUUUCCCUAAGAACCAAACCUAACCUUUGCAUUUUUCCAAAUUUCGGAUCCAAAAGUAACUGAAUGUUACGAAAAAAAAAAAGGAGAAUUGUGUUUUGGGCCCAGAUGGGCCCAAAAAUUAAUAUUUGGUCCAUAUAACUUCCAUAAUUGAUGGAAAUGAUAUAAAAUGUUAAAAGACCAAUAUAUUUUUCAAAUUUCUAUAUAUUAUCUUUUAAGGAUAUAAAAUAGUGAUGGACUAAAAUACCCAAUGACUUUUCACAUAAGCUUUUUUUGUCUUUAUUGUGUCACUAUUCAUGCAACCAUAAUAAUUCUAUUUUAACAAUUUGGAUUUUUCAUUGUUUUUAAUUUUUUUUAUAAAUAAUUGAAAAUCAGCAUUAUUUUCUAUUUUAAAUUAUAAAUAAAGAAAAAUUAUGUUUAAAAACUAUUUUAAAAAAUACUUUCUAAAAAAAUGGUAAUACGAUUUAUAUUUUUUAUAUUUUCUUUUUGAAAAAACAUUUAAUUAAAAAAUGAAAACUAUUUUUAAAAAUAAAAAUUGAAAACCUUGUUUAACACUAUUUUUUAUAUGAAAAUAAUAAAAAGAAUUAAAUUUCAUUAAUUGAUUAUCCAAUUUUUUUUCCAUUAGUUAUUUUAAUAAUAAUAAAAAAUAUAGUAUGUUUACAAUUAAACAAAGAAAUUGAUCAAUUAUGGGUUUUUUGUGGAACUAUCUUUUACAUGAAAAAUAAUUAAAUAAUUAAAUUAUAUAUAUUUAUUACUCUUUUUAACUUUAUUUUCUUUAUUUAUUUUUUGUCUAAUAGAAAAUUUUAAUAUAUCCAUAAUUAACAAAGUAAUAAAUCAAUUUUGCACAUUUUAAUCUAUUAAAAUAAAUUACUUUCUAAUUUAAAUAAAUAAAAUGAAAUAAGUAAAUAAAUUUGAGGUUAUUUCUAUUUUUUAACAUAUCUUAUAUCAAUAUUUUUUAUGGUUAAAUAAAUUUUUUAUUUUUUAUUUCUUUAAUUCCAAAAAUAAAAUGAAAUAAAUAAAUAAAUUUGGUAUUUUCCAACUGAUCUUAUAUUCAUAUUUCUUAUGGUUAAAUAAAAUUUUUUAUUCUUUUUUCUUUAUUUCCAAAAAUAAAAGGAAAUAAAUAAAUAAACUUGGCUUAAAUAAUAGUUUUUAAGUAAUUUCUUUGUCUUAUUUUUAAUUACAUUUUGCAUUGAAAGUAAAAUAAAAUAACGUUUUAUUUGAGUCACUGUACAAGAUAUUUAUAUUAAGUGUACAUGACAAAUAUACUAACUGUACAAGGAUGUACAAGACUAUUAUUUGUGAAGGAUUUUAAGUGAUACUGAAAAAGUUGUUUGUUUAUUUCCCCUAACCGAGGAUAAAUGACAUUCUUUACACACAUUGGUUAAGCAUACAUUCAUCUCAUGCACUUUAUCUAACUUGUAUAUAGUCAUUUGAAUAGGUACCUCACUUAUGAUGAUUGUAAAAUAAAAUUAUACAACAAUUUUUCUUCUUUUUUAAAAUCAAACCAAUGCAACACAUGAUUAACCGAGCUAUUAUUAGAUAUUCAUGAGAUGAUGUAUGAAAUUUGAGUUAUUGUAUAAGGGUAUUACACUAACUGUACAAGAGAAAUUUACUAAUUGUAUAAGGGUGUACAAGACUACUUUUUGUUAAGGAUUUCAAGUGAUUUUGAAAAACUUUCCCAUUUUUUUCCACUCAAAGAUUUUUUCCCCACUCAAAUUCUCUCACUCAAGAAUUGUUUCGAAUUUUAUUUUUAAAUUUCAUCAUCAAAUUUUUGUAAUUGCAUAUUUUGUUUUUGUAGUUUUAGCAAUGUUUUUUCUUUCCACUAUUUUUUUAAAAAAUUUUUAUCCAAAUGAAUCUAUAUUUAAAAUUAUAAUCAUAUUUAUCAAUUUUUUUUUACUAAGAUUAUCUUUAAUUCUUCUAAUAUAUUUAUACUCAUUUAUUUAAAAAAUGAAAAACCAAUUUUUUUUUGUAAACAUAUUCUAUUACGGAAGUAAAAAAUUAGAUAAGUUUGAAAGUCAAUAAAAAAAAAAUUAAAUACCACUUUUAAUAAUUUUUAGAUAAAAUUUUAUAUAAUAUAUUUUAUUUGAAAUUUAAUUUCUAAAGUUUUACUAAAAAAUUGUAUUGACAAUUUUCUUGUUGUGAAUUAAAAUACUUUGCAUUAGUCUAUCUAAAUAAGAAAAAUUAUUAAUAUAAUAUUAGAACUUCAUAUCUUAAUUAUUUUUUUUCAAUAAAUUUAUCUUUUUAAAAAUUUUAAAAUAAAAAUAUUAAAAAUUAAAAAGGUAAAAGGAUAUAUCUAUAUAUAUAUAAUAAAUUGAAGUAAUAGUCAAGUUUAAAAUUUUUUAAAAUAUGGUUAAUGUAGAAAAUAUAAAAAAUAAUUAAAAAUAAGAGAAAAAUAUAAAUGAAAAGGUAAUAUAAAUUUAAAAUAAAAAAAUGAAAAAUUAAACUAAAAGAUAAAUAUAAAAAAAGAUAAAAAAUAUUUGGAUGAAAAAUCCCAAAAUUUUUAUCAUUGCUAAUAAGAGCAAAAAGAUUCAAUAUCUUUAAAAAUGAAAAACAAAAAAACAUUAUUACUUUUUAUUUGAUAUAAAAUAGAAAUAUAGAUUAGAAGAAAAAGAAAAAAAAAGUUAGAAAUGAGUAAUAUUUAAUAGGGAAUAGAAAAAGGAAAAAAAACACAAAAAAAUUAAAAUUCACACUCACUUGUGCUAUGUAAGGAUUAAGGGUAUUUUAGAGAUUAACUAAGGACAAUAUCCUUCAUCUUAAUUUUCAUAUUUUAUUUGAGUCUUAGGCUUAAAUAUGUAUGAUAUAUGUAUCAAAUGUUAAUUUUUGAGUUUAAUUGGAUAACACGAUUCUUCAAAAAAAAAUAAAAAUAAAAUGAAUGAAGUACAGGAGCAUAAAUGGUACAUCAAUUUUAUAUUGACUACCUUCUGAACCUUUAAUUGCAGCGUGUUGACUUGUCCACCGAAUCCAUAAUAUCAGCCAGUACCCAUGUGACUUGGCCCAUCCCAUCCCAUAUCUCUUACUUUGUUCCCUAUUCUCUCACAAUUCCCUCAGCUUCUCAUCUUGUACGUGCUGUAUUUUCUUGGCUUUCUGCAACUUUGAGUUGUUCCAAAAUGGCUUACCAAAUUCCAUUCGGUGUUGUGGAGCACAUUUUGACCAACUUGGGGUCCUCGGCGUUUCAAGAAAUUGGAUCCAUGUAUGGUGUUCCAAAGGAGAUAACCAAGCUCAAUGGGAAACUGGGCACCAUCAAGGCUGUGCUUUUGGAUGCUCAGGAGAAGCAGCAGCAGCAGAGCAAUCGUGCAGUCAAAGAUUGGGUCCGGAGGCUCAGGGGUGUUGUUUAUGACGCAGAUGACUUGCUGGAUGACUAUGCAACCCAUUAUCUUCAGCGAGGAGGAUUGGCAAGACAGGUCAGUGACUUCUUCUCAUCUGAAAAUCAAGUUGCUUUUCGUUUUAAGAUGAGUCAUAGACUCGAGGAUAUCAAAGAAAGGCUAGAUGAUGUUGCAAACGACAUCCCCAUGUUAAAUCUCAUUCCACGGGACAUAGUACUACACACAGGGGAAGAGAAUAGUUGGAGAGAAACCCACUCAUUCUCGUUGCCAUCUGAAAUUGUGGGAAGAGAAGAAAACAAAGAGGAGAUAAUAAGGAAGCUGUCAUCUAACAAUGAAGAAAUUCUUUCCGUUGUUGCCAUUGUUGGCUUUGGGGGAUUGGGUAAGACCACCCUCACUCAAUUGGUAUACAAUGAUGAAAGAGUAAAACAUUUCGAGCAUAAGACAUGGGUUUGCAUUUCUGAUGAUUCUGGUGAUGGUCUUGACGUCAAACUGUGGGUCAAAAAGAUUUUAAAAUCUAUGGGAGUUCAGGGUGUGGAGAGUAUGACCUUGGAUGGUUUGAAAGACAAGCUUCACGAAAAAAUAAGUCAAAAGAAGUACUUGUUAGUACUUGAUGAUGUUUGGAACGAAAAUCCUAGAAAAUGGUAUGAAGUGAAAAAAUUGUUGAUGGUUGGUGCUAAAGGUAGUAAAAUUAUAGUAACCACCCGAAAACUUAAUGUUGCAUCCAUUAUGGAAGAUAAGUCUCCCGUUAGUUUGAAAGGUCUAGGAGAAAAGGAGUCUUGGGAUUUAUUUUCAAAAUUUGCAUUUAGAGAACAGGAGAUUUUGAAGCCAGAAAUUGUAGAAAUUGGAGAAGAAAUUGCAAAAAUGUGCAAGGGAGUUCCUCUCGUUAUCAAGUCUUUAGCAAUGAUAUUGCAGUCUAAAAGAGAACUGGGGCAGUGGUUGUCUAUUAGAAACAAUAAAAAUUUGCUGUCACUUGGAGAUGAAAAUGAGAAUGUUCUAGGGGUGCUGAAAUUAAGUUAUGAUAAUUUGUCAACUCAUUUGAGACAAUGUUUUACAUAUUGUGCUUUAUUUCCAAAAGACUAUGAGAUUGAGAAAAAGUUGGUGGUACAACUAUGGAUAGCACAAGGUUAUAUUCAAUCUUCAAAUGAUAAUAAUGAGCAAUUAGAGGAUAUAGGGGAUCAAUAUUUUGAGGAAUUAUUGUCAAGGUCAUUGUUGGAGAAGGCGGGAAGCAAUCAUCUUACUAAUACAUUAAGGUAUAAAAUGCAUGACCUUAUACAUGAUCUUGCACAAUCAAUUAUAGGAUCUGAGGUCCUCAUUUUAAGAAAUGAUGUAAAAAACAUUUCAAAAGAAGUUCGUCAUGUAUCAUCGUUUGAAAAGGUGAAUCCUAUAAUAGAGGCUCUAAAGGAAAAACCUAUAAGGACCUUUUUAUACCAAUAUAGAUAUAAUUUUGAAUAUGAUAGUAAAGUUGUGAAUUCAUUUAUUUCAAGUUUUAUGUGUUUACGUGUGUUGAGCUUAAAUGGCUUCCUAUCAAAGAAGGUGCCAAACUGUUUAGGUAAAUUGAGUCAUUUAAGGUAUCUUGAUCUUUCCUACAAUACUUUUGAGGUACUUCCGAAUGCUAUUACAAGGUUAAAGAAUUUGCAAACACUGAAACUCAAAGUGUGUCCGAAUUUGAAAAAACUUCCAAAAAAUAUAAGGCAACUUAUCAAUCUUAGACACUUGGAGAAUGAGAGAUGGAGCGACUUGACUCAUAUGCCACGUGGAAUAGGAAAGUUGACUUUACUUCAAAGUCUACCAUUGUUUGUUGUUGGGAAUGAGACAGGGAGGUUAAGGAAUCACAAAAUUGGUAGCUUGAUUGAGUUGGAAAGCCUGAACCAUCUAAGAGGAGGGUUAUGCAUAAGUAAUCUUCAAAACGUGAGGGAUGUUGAACUGGUAUCCAGGGGAGAAAUUUUGAAAGGAAAACAAUAUCUUCAGUCCUUGAGAUUGGAAUGGAAUCGGUCGGGCCAAGAUGGGGGGGAUGAGGGUGAUAAGUCAGUGAUGGAAGGCCUUCAACCACACCCACAAUUAAAGGAUAUCUUUAUAGAAGGUUAUGGAGGUACGGAGUUUCCAAGUUGGAUGAUGAAUGAUAGGUUGGGUUCCCUGCUUCCCGACUUAAUUAAAAUUGAAAUUUCGGGAUGUUCAAGAUGCAAAAUUCUGCCACCCUUUUCUCAACUCCCUUCUCUCAAGUCUUUGAAGCUGGAUGAUAUGAAAGAAGUGGUGGAGAUAAAGGAGGGUUCAUUGGCAACGCCACUUUUCCCAUCUCUUGAAUCGCUCGAACUCUCUCACAUGCCAAAGUUGAAGGAAUUGUGGAGGAUGGACUUACUAGCAGAGGAAGGUCCUUCAUUUGCUCAUCUUUCAAAGUUGCAUAUUCAUAAAUGCUCUGGUUUGGCAUCACUGCAUUCUUCUCCUUCUCUUUCUCAAUUAGAGAUCAGAAAUUGCCAUAACUUGGCAUCCUUGGAACUGCCGCCGUCCCAUUGUCUUUCUAAAUUAAAGAUCGUAAAAUGCCCUAACUUGGCAUCCUUCAAUGUGGCUUCAUUACCUCGUCUUGAGGAAUUAAGCCUGCGUGGAGUCAGAGCAGAGGUACUGAGGCAGUUAAUGUUUGUCUCUGCUUCUUCUUCAUUGAAGUCUUUGCAUAUACGGAAGAUUGAUGGUAUGAUAUCUAUCCCAGAGGAGCCGCUUCAAUGUGUUUCCACUCUCGAAACUCUCUACAUUGUUGAGUGCUCUGGUUUGGCAACAUUACUACACUGGAUGGGCAGCCUUUCCUCGCUUACGAAACUUAUUAUUUAUUACUGCUCUGAAUUGACAUCACUGCCAGAAGAGAUCUAUUCCCUUAAAAAACUGCAGACAUUUUAUUUCUGUGAUUAUCCACACCUAGAGGAAAGAUACAAGAAGGAAACAGGCGAAGACCGGGCCAAGAUUGCUCAUAUCCCACAUGUUCGUUUCAACAGUGAUUCCUAUAUGGAAUUGGAGGUAGGUCCGAAAUCCCUAACCUUUCUUCCCAUUUUUAUUAAUUUAGAAUCAGAAUGCUAUAUUUUCAUUUUGUCUCUGGUAGUUCUUUUAUGUUGGCACCUCAUGUGUUUGUUUAAAUGCUCACAUCAAUAACUUUUCGAAAUUUUUUUCCAGCUUGACUACAUUUUCUGAUGCUGUGCACUAAACUAAUCAUUUUACUUGGAGUUCUACGUUCUAAGAGUUUGAGGAAAUACUGAGGUCUGGUAUGAUAACUCUCAAUCUUAAACGUUGUUUUGUGUUUGGAAUAUUACUACACUUGAUAGAUACCCUCACCUCACUUACAGAGCUUGGAAUUCAUGGCUGCCCUGAAUUGACAUCACUGCCAGAAGAUAUGUUCCCUCAAAAACCUGCUGACACUUGACAAUCUGCAUCUGUUCACACUUAAGAGGAAAGAUGCCGAAAGGAAAGGUGAAGACUAACCCAAGCACAAAUUGAUAUCAUACAUCCAUGAAGAUUGAACUGAUAUAGAAUGCCUUUCAGGUCUGAAAUCCCUAACUUUUCUUCUCAUUUUCUGUUACUUCAUUUGUAUUAUCUUACAUUUAAAAUGCUCUGUUUUCAUUUGUUUUGGUGGUUCUUUGUAUUUGCACCUUGUUUGAUUAAAUGCUUACUUCAGUAAAUUAGAAUUUUACUUGAGUCUUUUACAUCCUAAGAGUUUGAGGAAAUACCGAGCUCUAAUAUAAAUAGUAUUGGUCACAAAGUCCACCUUUCCUAAGAAGCUUACCAUUGGCCUAAUGCCCAAAGGAAACAACUUUGGAUUGGCUUGAAGAUUUCACAUGGUCUAAACAUUUGUAUUUACUAGAUGCCUGAUACAAAAAGUAGUUUCAAUUUAGCUCUUUGAUAUAAAGAUUAAAUAAUUGGAAAAUGUAUAAAUUUUUAUAUUUUACUUCAAAUUCAUUUCACUUAUUUUAACUCUUUGAUAUAAAGAUUAAAUAAUGGGAAAAUGUAUAAAUUUCUAAUUAAUCUUAAUAAUAUUUUAUUUUCUUUGAUAUUUUUCAUAGAACAACCAAACAUGAGAAAAUAAUUUUCCCUAUCAUUUUUUUCUUAGUACUUUUUGGGAACCAAACAUAAACUAGAUGUUUUACUUUAGUAGCUUCAUCAAAUUAAAUAGACAACCUCACACCUCUUAUUGAGCUAAGGUGUUAUUUGAGUUAAUGUUUUGUCUUUACUUAUUCAUUGAAGCCUUUGUCUAUUGGAUGCACAGGUGAUAUGAUCCAAACUCAAAUUGAACACCGCUCUUGUUUUGUAACAUUACUACAUUGGAAAGGCAACUUCAGCUCACUUAUAGACCUUUCUAUUGGUGAUUGCACUAAAUUGACGUCACUUUGGAAAAGAUGUGUUCUAGAUGGAAAAUCUUUCAUUAUAUGCACCUACUUGCAAGAUACCAAAGGGAAAUAGGUGAAUACUUGCCCAAGAAUAUAGAGGGCCAUACUUGGUUAAGGUUUCGUCAAUACGGAGAACCAUGUCAGGUAUGAAAUCCUCCUUUCUCAUUUUCUGAUGACUUCAUUUUUAUUCAAUAACCAUUUGAUAUUAUUUCUGUUGAUUUUAUUUUGAUAUUAGAUUUUCUUGCUUGCUCAAUAAUUUCAUUGAAGUUCUUUGGAUAUCACAUUUUCUUUGAUGUUUUUCUUUUCUUUUUAGAAUAAUUCAAAAUAUCAUUUUUACCUGUUCACAAAAUUUGAUCACAGUUGAGUGAUUAAAAUUCAAGUUUAUUAUUAUUAUUAUUAUUAUUAUUAUUAUUAUUAUUAUUAUUAUUAUUAUUGUUAUUAGCUAUUGGACAUAUUCGUUUUCUAAUACAGACAUAAGACUGACAGGUAAUGUGCAUAGAAUUUGUAGAAGAGAAGAAAGAUUUGAUCCAAGAUAUUCCUAAAGACCAAAAACUUUCAAAGUCGUCUAAGAUCCCAUAGGUUGAAUUUGGAUUCAUCCAAUUUACAAUCCACUAAUUCUACUUAUGUCAUCUUUGUUAUGUUACAAUUUGCUUUUACUUGUUAUGCAGCCUACCUUAAUAAUUUGGGGAGACCAAGAUACGACGUUCCUAAUAGAACCAGCUUACAAAUUGAAAAGGUAAACUUGUAUCACUUGCCUACAUGCCUACAACAAUACAAACACUAGCUUAUGUCUUUCUCAAUAUUGAGAUUGUUACUGCAUGCAAGCAUUUUGGGUGAGGAGGCCCAACUUGUGAUCAUCAAUAACAUAGAGCAUACUUUUAUUAUAGAGAAGCCCAAGGAAAUAUUUAAGCACUUGAAAUCCUUUCUCAUUGAUUUGCUUCCACCUCCUAGGCAACACUUGGAACCACUCACACCAUGACAAGGUGAAAAGAAACUAAUGCAACAUUCUCAAUAUAUCAAAGGAAAGGUCAAAUUUUAGAUUUUUGUGUUUUUCCUAUCACUGUUUCUAUACUAUUACUAGUGCACCUUAUUUGUCAACAUGAUUAAAAUAGAAUUCCCUAGGAUAACUAGUGUCUCAGGUGAUCUUAAGGUUCAUAAAUUUUUGGUUUCCACAAGAUAGGUGCCAACUAAUUUUAUUUUUUUCUACAUCCAUGCAAUAUUCUAGUCAUCUAUUAACAAGGGAUAAAAAUUCUUGUAGAGAAUAGAAUAAAGAACUAGAUUAAAUGAAAAUAGGACAUUAGUAUUCUAUUUACUAGUAAGGGUAAAAAAUUCUUGAUGGCCAUCAAGCACAUUGUUCCUAAAAUAAUAGCAUCCAUGUCGUUGAGCAAAAGUUUAUUGUAAUUGCAUUUAACAUAUAAAGCAAAACUGAUUUUUUUAUUUUAUUUUAUAUUUACACCUUAUGCAUUUGAUAAAAUUCUUAAACAAGUAAGUUUGAAAAUUUUCUCUUCAAAUCAUUUGAUAAUUGAAGGCCAAACUAAUCAAAUUGAUUUAAAUUUUACAUUCAAAAGUUGAAUUUAUUAUUAUUAUUAUUAUUAUUAUUUUUUUUUUUUUUGCAAAAUUUACUUCACUUUAGAAGUUUGUGAUUAUUCUCUAGUCCAUCUUAAAAUGAGUGCCUCCAUUAUUCCAUUCCUCUAUCACUACAAAAAGUUUAGAUUGACCUAAAAUUUUCUCAUGACCUAGAAACUCAUAUCUACUAGAUGGUUAAAGCAAAAAAAGGCUUUUGCCUUAUGUUUUAAGUAAUCUCCCUAUUAUCUAUUUGUUGAGAGCAUCAUACAAGAUGUAAUUAUAUUUCUUAAUUUUUUUUUAUGUAAUAAGAACUAGAUUGAGAAAGAUGCAACUUGUAGAGAAAAAAAUUUCUUUACUACUUCCCUUGUAUUUGCUUUGUGUGUAUCAACUGUGCUUUUCAUUAUUUUAAAAAAUAUCACUAACAAAAAACUUAUUAUUGUUAUAUAUCAUAAUUUAGCAAUUUUUUUAUUAUUUAGAAAUCAUGCUUGUCAUUGUGUUAAUUAGUAGGUAGCCUAAUAACUAUAUUGUUCAAGUUAUUUUGUGUUGGCAUUCUUCAUGUUUCAAAAGCUUGUUAGACUAGCAAUUUUAUUGCAAAUAUAAUGUUCUCAAAUCAAUACAGAAAUGGAUGAUUGUGGGGAUUAGGCAUUGACUUCCUUGAGAAGUUCAAUUGAGGGUUUUUUAAACUAGGUCUCUACAUCAACAAAUGCUACAUUUUAUCACUCGAGACCUUAGAAUAAAUAUUGCAGAAAGCUUCAUUUGCUACAUAGUAAGGAUGAGGUUGGCAUAUAAAUCCUAAGGACUUAAAAGCUUGAGUUGUUGUCUCUUCCAAGGGGCCUUUAGAUUUAUUAAUGAGUUCCAAAUCAUUGUCUACCUUGAAUUUGAAUCACUGCUAGAAGGAUGUGCCGCUAAGCAUUCUCAUGUUCUUGAUAUGGAGUAGAAAUGGACUUCUAAUUCAUGAAGAACUGAUGGGCUCUUUGAUUAUGCCAUCUAUAAUGUACUUCAGGUUCAUGCUUCAACCUCUCUUCUUGCUUUUGAUAACUUCAUUUUAGUUUUACACUGCUUUCCUUCCCUCUUAUCUGUGUUUAUGUAUGUUUGUGCAUAUAAUGUGAACCUUUUCCACUGUUACUUUAAAGUUUUUUCAUUCUUGGGCUUGGGAAAUUACUAAAUUUGAUUUUAAUAUUUUCCUGUAGAUUUCACCUUGCUUAAAAAGCUUUUGAUUAUUCAUAUUUGCAAGAUGGCUAAGACAUCUGAUUGUGCUCAGAACUUCUGGUUUCUAUUAAAUAUAGGUAUGUUGUUUGCAAUUCUAACCCACUUACUCCUCUUGAAGACUACAUAAAUUGCUAGUGUUUUUACUUUAAUGGUUAUAAACAAUGUGUGCCCUUGUUACUUCUUGCUUGCAUUCUAUAUGUUGAAGAGCUUUAUUAGGCUAAUUAUUUUAUUGAAGAUAUAAUUGUUGUCAAGUCAAAGCAAAGCCGAAUGGUGAUGUGGUUUCAACUUCUUAGAAGUAACCAAAAAGUAAGGAACUCUCUCUAUGGUAGUACUUUGAUGUCACAUUGGGCUUUCAGAUUGCUGCCUUGAAUUGACAUAAAUAACAUAGCAUCUUUCCCAAUUGAGUCGUUUCAACAUGUUACUAUGCUUCAAACUCUCUCAAUUAUGUCUUGUUUAGGUUUGGCAACAUUAGAACACUGGAUAGGCAGCCUCAACUUACUCACACAACAUAAAAUUCAUCUUUGUUGUUAACUGACAUCACUGCCACAAGAUGAGUUCACUCAGUAUUUUACAGACAGCUAUAGUUUGGGACAAUUCUGGUUUGGCAACAUUAUUAGACUUGAUAGGUAACCUAUCUUCACUUACAAACACCUUCAAAUUUAUAGUUGUCCUAAACUAGCAUCACUACUAAAAGACAUGUGUGUCCUCAACACCCUAUAGGCACUCACAAUUGGAGAUUGUUAUGGUUUGGAAACAUUCAACAGACUUGAUAGGUAACCUUACACCACUUAUAGAGCUUCAAAUUCAUGGCUACCCUGAAUUGACAUCACUUUCAGACUAGAUGUUCACCCAAACCUCAAUUGACACUCACAAUUCAAGGCUUCUCUAUAUUGGCAACAUUACCAGACUUGAUAGGCAUCAUCACUUCACUUACAUACCCUGGAAUUAAUAGCUACCUCAAAUUCACAUCAUUGUCAGAAGAGAUUGGUUCACUCAUAUCCCAACAGAGAUUCAUGAUCUUUUAUUGUCAAUGUCUAUUAGAAAGACUUCGAAGGGAAAUAGGUGAAGAUUGGGCCAUUAAUCUUCAAUCCUAGAUAUUGAUAUUUUGGUGAAGAUUGGAUUAAUAUAGAGUUCGUUCAAGUUUGAAAUCCUAACCUUCUCAUUUGUUAUGGUUUUGUUUUUAUCAAUAUACCCUGUUUACAUUCUAUUUGGUAAUUAUGGUAUGUAUUAGCAUAUAGAUAAAAAAGGACUUAGAUGGUUAAUUUGAAAAGUUUGCAUCUUCAAUUAAUUAGUAAUUAAAGACCAAACUGAUCAUAUUACUUUAAGUCUUGCAUUAUAAGAGUUCGGGAAAAAUGUUAGGGUCGAUUGAACUAUUAUUUUGUAACAAAUUUCACCUUGCUCAGGAAUCUCAUGAUUAUCCCUUGGCACAAACAUUUCUCGGUGUCUGAGAAAUUCAUAUCUACUACAUGGCUCAAGAAUCUAGUAGCAUUCAAAAUUUCUGCUCUCUUUCAAAUUAGGUGUGUUGCUUGCAAUUCCGGUCCUUUUCCUAUUUCUAAAUGCUAUAUUUUUAUUUUACUAUCAAUGUGUUAAGAGCAUUAUGUUCUGUUUUCUAUAAUAUUGUUUUCUUACUUAUCAUAUAUAUUAAUUAUUUCACUACAAAUGUAUUUGUUGCCAAGUUAAAGCAAAAAUGGAAAAUGACGAUUUUUCAUAGAUCAAUGUCUUUCUCAAUUGCUGCCACACCUGACUUCUCUCUAAGUUGUUGAAAAUUUAGAAGUGUGGUAGCAUAAUGUCUCUGGCUCAAGUGCUUUAGCGCCUCAUUGUCCUUGAAGCUUUAGAAGUUGUCAAUACAAUUGGUGUUUCAACAUGUAACCAGUUUGGAAAUUCUAAGAAGUGUAAGUACUAUGGUUUUGCAACUUUGUUAGAUUGGAUAGGCAACUUCAAAUUAUUGAAUGCCCUGAAUUGAAAUCACUACUAGAAGGGACCCACAAGCACUUUAUAGAAACUCAUAAUCUACUAGUCGUACCACUUAUUAAGAAUGCCAAAAGGAAAAAGUGAAUAUUGGCCUAAGCAUGGUUGAUUAAUAAACUACUCAUGGUCUCCUUAAUUCAAGUGUGUCAUUUAUUAUAUGUUUCAUGUUAGUAAUCCUACAUUUCUCUUGUUUUUGUUGGCUUUAUUUUUUUGAAUUAUUUUACAAUCAAUAUUUUAUCGAUGUUCUUCCUUUUGUACAAUUCUAUUUCUUGAUUCUCAAAUGAAUUAAGACAUAUCAAGAAAAAAAUCACAUUGUUUGCUUUCCAUAUACUAUAUGCUUAUAUGUACAUGUGUUAAAAACUUUUGAUUUUUAAUUGAUUACUUUCUAUUUAAUUUGUUAAAAAUUGUUAGUCUAUUUGGAGAUGAUUUUUUUUUUCAUAUGUAAUAGGAUACCAACAAAUUGAGUGAGGAGCACAUCUUACUAAAUCGUUUAUCAAUUUAUUCACCUUCCUAAUCUCAAGCUUCUUCAUGUUUGAAUUAAAACACCUUGGAGUACACAAACAAAAAUGAUGGUAAUAAGUCUUUCUCAUCAUCUUUAUUUUCAUUAGAAGGCAAUUUGUAUCAUCCUCAUUCCCAAUCCUAAAAAUAGGUUUAGAAAUUAGACAUGUUUUCUUAAAUGAUCUUCUUGGUCCAUGCAUGCUUUCUAUAUAUUUAAAAAAAUUUUAAACUAAGUACUUAAUUGUAGAUAUGAUAGUUUUCAAGUUAAUGCACAAAUGGUGAUGGUGAGGAUGCUAAAUAUAGUCCAUGCUCAGCCUAUUUGUUGACAAACUACCGAGGGCUAGUGCUAAGGGAAACACUUAAUGCACUUGUAUCAUACUCUCUUUUCUUUGCCUUCUCUAGUCGUUAUCCAAGGUUCAUAUAUAAUAUGUCUUUAUCAUUAAACUUUUCAUUUUUAACCUUUUGUCUUUUUAUGGUCUAUUACAUGGCCAUCAAUUUCUAAGAAAGUGGUGUACACUAUUAUAAAUCUUAUCUCUUUGUUCUUAUAGACAAUAGAACAACAUGCUAAUUGCAUGAUAUACAAUUUGUAAUAGAUGUUCGGCUAUCAGGUAACCUUUAAGUACCUUGGAGCUAAAACAUUUGAUGUUAAUAAGGUUUGAUGAUUCUCACUUUGGUGCUUAGGUGCUUUGUUGGAUUUCAAUUCAGGUGAUUAAUUAAUCUUAUUAUGAUUAUUUGAUUGCUAUAAUAACUAAAUAAUCAUUCCUAUUUUAUCUUGGUAAUUGACUUCAAUGACUUUUUAACAAUUAUAUCAUGCAUGAAAUGUCCAACCUAUUAUUGUUAGUAUUUCAAUAACAUACCUCUAAUGCUACCACUAAUAUACUUCAUGUAUUCAUAUUUAUAAAAUGUUUCAUUAUUUUAUAUAAUUUAAUGUUUUCAAAUUUCUUUUUUGAAUGGGAGAAAUGACCAUUAAUCUUGACAACAACACAAGUAUCAUUGGUCUAAUAUUGCUUUCUUGAGUAAUUUGGCAAUUUAAUUAUGAAGUUUAGUUGUACAUUACUUGAGAUUCAUGCUUUAUGUAUAUGGUCUAUUGUCCAAACUUCAAUGACAUUUAGUAGACUUGUGAGUGGCGUUUGUCUAUGAGUUUCAACUCUUCAAAACUAUUAUUGAAGCCUAAGUUCAACUUCAGUAAGGAAAAAAAAUCAACAUUUUCUUCCAUUAUGUAAUUUUAUUCACUAUUGAUCUCCCGAAAUAUUGUUUUUAAAACAUGCCCUUAAAUGGAAUUCAUGGCUUCGCUAUUAUUUGCAGGAGAAAUUGUCAAGUUCUAUAUUUGUUUAGAAAGUUGGAAGAAGUAUUUAAUUUGACAUGGUUUGGACAUCUUGCUGCCAUCUUUUUAAAUUAGUUAUCAAUAAUUUUCCAAAGUUGACAUUUUUGUUUAUCUCAUACUCCUUUUAUAUUAGAAGGUAAUGCAUCGGUAUUGUGUAGACGAAUCAAGCCUUCUUUAAUUGAGGCGGGCCUUUUGCAAAAUAUUUCAAGUUUGUUUUCUUUCCAUUUGUUGCUUCAUAUCUAUUUUUUGUAAUCAACCAAGCAAGGGUUUCUUGUCAUGCCAUAAUGGUGACUUGUAAUAAUCAAUUAUUGAUUGUAAGGAUACUUGGCUUUAUCAAUUAUUAUAUUGAAAUCAAUUCAGUACUAUGGCUAAUGCCAAAAGGACAAUAUUUAGUUUCGAUUGACCAUAAUUCACUAUUCUAGAAACAAGUGCUCACAAAUUUUGCAUCUUUGAAGGAUGUGGGAAAGAUUGGCUUAACUGCAUCACCAACUUACAAGCUCCUUAUAGCAUCCAUAUAUAUAACCUUCAUUGUUAAGGUUUAUAAUUCCUAUCUCAUUUUUUUCAUCUCUUUAUUGUUUAUAAUUUUUGAAUUGAUUUGUUAAAAAAAAUUUAAACCUUAUUUGCAAUACUGAUUUGUUUUAUUCUUAUGUGCAAUAGAAUAAUAAGUUGAAUAAGAAGCAUACACUACUUAAUUGAUAUAACCGUUUAGUCAAUUCUCUUCUCAAUUUUUUUUUGUUUUUCUCCAUUUUUGUUCAAGGUAAUCAAAGUAUCAUUAUUUCUAUUUCUAAAGGUACUUGUACCUAGCUUGAAAAACUUUAAGAUAAGUUAAAGUGGAGAACCAUUCCCAAAACAAGUAAUAAGUACAGUUGGGUUAUUGAUAUCAUAUCCUCGAUUGACAUCUAUGCCAUUGUAUUUACAUCUAAAGGAUUUAUGAUGAAAAUAAAUAUCUUCUUCAUUUCCAUUUUCCUCACUUUUUUUUUCGUAAUUUAUGUGCAUAUCAUAAUCUUUUGCGAGCAUAUAUAUGCAUGUUGUAAUCGCAAUAAUCUAUUGCUAUCAUAAUUCAUAGCCUAAUAUAGUUGCUAGCAUAUAUAUGCAUGUCAUAAUCUAUUGAAUUUUUUAGCAUAAGGUCUUAGAGUAUUCACAUAUCUAUAGGUUCUAUAUAUUUAUACUUUUUAAAACAUCAAAUGAAGUAUAUCAGCCUUAUCCCGAAGGUGAAGUCUCUUUAAAUUGAGCUUCAACAUGUUAGCAGUUACCUAACUUAAUAAUCUAACAAUUUGGUAUUAUAUAUCAUUUUGCAACUCUUCCAUAAAGUAAUUGUGUUUCCUCUAUUCAUAUUUUCUGUCCUUAUUUUUUUUUAAAAAAAUUGAAUUAGUAAUUGUGUGUCAAAUCAUGCUUACAAUCAUUAAUAGGUACUUAUAUGAUAAAUUGAUAAAUUUAUUUUACAAUUUUUUCAACAUAUUUGAAAAACAAAAAAAAUAAAAAAAAUAAAUAAGCAUGUCUUUCUAGAUGUAAUCACUACCAAGCUCAUGUGAAAAGCUAUAGCAAUGAGGGUAUAAGCUUCAGUUUUGUUUUGGAGAUUCAUAUUGAGAGUUGUAGAUUGUGAAUGUAAUUGUGUGCAUAAUGAGGACACUAAUAGUAUAAGCUUUGGUGUCUAUUUUUUUUUUUUACUUGAAAUAUCUAUAGCAGAAUCUGAGGUUCAACUUCAUCACCAAUAACAUGGUCGAGGACAUAACUUCAAGAGACAGCAAACAGUUUCAUAUUAAUCUUUUGGGGUGCAGGAAUUUGACAUUCUACAACGUUGCAAUUAGUGCACCAAAAGACAGCCUUAACACAGAUGGAAUUCACAUUGGACGUUCCUCAGGGAUCGAUAUCACCGAUUCAGCCAUAGAAACCGGAGAUGAUUGUGUCUCAAUUAGUGAUGGCAGUGGGCAAAUUAAUAUCCAAAGAAUAACCUGUGGACUUGGCCAUGGCAUCUGUGUGGGAAGUCUAGGAAAGUACCCCGAUGAAGAAUCUAUGGUUGGCAUUAGUGUCAAGAACUGCACCUUCAUCAACACCCAGAAUGGCGUCAGAGUGAAGACAUGGCCUGCUUCUCUCAUCAAGACACUACCUCUGAAAUGCAUCUUGAAGAUAUUGUCAUGAAUAAUGUUGGCAAUCCCAUAAUCAUAGAUCAAAAGUAUUGCCCCCAUAACCAAUGCAACUUAAAGGUACUUCUAAAGGAAAUGAAAAUUUCCAUUUUUAUUGCUUAUUUUCCCUCUUUUUCCCUUCAUUUUUAUUGGUUUGGAACUUAACUAUCCGUUGUUUUCAGAGUCUAUCACGCAUUAAGCUCAGCAAUGUUAGCUUCAGAAACAUCCAGGGCACUACCUCAACUCAGGUUGCUGUCAAGCUUGUUUGUAGCCAAGGAGUACCAUGCCAAGACGUUGAGCUUGGUGACAACAACGGAAAUGAAGGCCUUGCCAUGUCACAAUGCAAGAACAUUAAGCCAAAUCUACUGGACAAGCAACUGCCAAGGACUUGUGCCUAAGAUGCUUAAUCUUCUUCCAAAGUCUGAACAAAUUGUACUGCUUCUAUUAUAUAGCUACCUCUUCAUGCUCACGCGUCUGCUAUUUUAUUGGUGAAUAAACUACAAUGAACAAACAAUGAUACGAUACUCGGCUAUUAUGGAAGGUAUGUGCAGUUUGAUCCCAUAAGAAAAAACAAAUGUCUAUUUAGUCUUUUGCUGCUAUAGUACAAAUUGAAGCUCCAAAGAAUAAUGUUAAUGUAAAUUAUUUAAUGUUAAUGCAGUUUGGAUGAGAAAAUGCAGUCAAGUGAAUAAAAAUUCCUUUGGAGUGUAUCAUUUGAAAUUUUAUCUUUGGAUUACUACAACCAAGAAAAAACUAUAGAUUGGUAUCUGGUGUGUUGGAAAUGCUUGAUGGUUGGUAAUCGAACUAAUGUACUAAUGACUUCGAGAAAAACUAAGAAUGAUAAAGACAAUAGUAAUAAAUGGCAAGAACUGAGAAAGUAUUGAAGUUGUAAUUGUCUCAAGGAGCGUAUUUUGGGAUUUGAAUUAUAUGUAAAGAAGAAAUGCUCUUGGAAACUGCAACAUGAUGGAUCUUGAAUGGUUUUCUGUCAUAUGUGUUUGUUGUUUGGAGAUGACCGAGUAAUAUUAGUUUUAUCAUGCCCCUUUAAGCUGCCAUGUGGAAGCUGUAGCGUUAGCAGAGAGUUGAUAAUGCUUUUUGGGUAGUUGGAAGCUUGAACACCAACAUAUUAGUGCAAGGACAUGAAGAUAUUAAUUCAUUCAUACGAUUUAUUGUUUGAGAGGAUAGAAAAAAAAAAUAUAAAACUAUUUAAGAUCCUAAAAAUAUCUUAUAUUUCUCCGUUUUUUGUAUUUACACUCUGAUCCAUGGACUUUUACCCCACAAAAUAUCUCAUAUUCUUUUUCAAAUUUCUACCUACAUAUAAACUUCUUAUGUCUAUAUUUAUUAUAUUACUUUUUUCUCCUCAUGACCUAAUUAAAAUAUGUAUAAAGAUAAUCCUAACAACUUUUCUUAUUUUAUAGGCAAACCUAUUUCUAUAAGGAAUUAAUUGUAAAACAUCCUAUAUAAGCUACCUUAACAUAGCUGAAUUAUGUUAUAAAUUUUAUUUUGAUACGAUAAAUAACAAAAAUCCAUUGAUAAAAAAUUUAUCAAAAUCCAAUAACUGUAUAGGAUAAACUACACUUAUUUUGGAUAAAUAAUAAAGUACAUUAUCCAAGUAUUAAAAGAUUGUCUUUGUUGUGUAUAAUUUGGAGAGCCUCAGAUAAUGUGCAAGUAGAUGAGACUUAGAGUGAUAUGUUUUCUCUUUCAAAUCAAUUUUAGAGGGACCAAAUCCAAAAUUUUAGUCUUUUUUUAGAAGUGUUUUAGAAAAUAGUUUGGAAAAACACUUCUUGAUAAUAGCGUUUGAAAAUUAUUCUCUAAUAUUUUAUAGCACAUAAAUUUGUUUGAGAGAAUAAAAUGCUCUUAACUUGUUUCCUAUGUUUUUAAAUAUAUUUUAAAAAUAAUUUUCAUAUGCAUUGCUUUAUUUUUAAUCAUUCUCUAUAUUUGUAUAAUAAUUUUUUAAAACAAUUCUAUAAAGAAGUAAAAAGAAACAAAAAUAACUAAAAAGAUGUUCUUUCGAAACAUUGUAUUUUCUGUUUAAAAGUUUUUUUUUUUUUUUUUUUUCUGUUUUCUAGUUGUCAAACUAUACUUUCUUGUUUUUUUUUUUUUUUUUUUUUUUUUUUAUUUUUUUUUUUUUUUUUAUUCUAGAUAAUAGAAAACUGUUUUCAUAACAUGGCCUCAACUUUUACUAUGAAAAUCGAAAUGGUGCUUAAACUUAAACUUCAAAUUGAUUUUAAUCAAAAUAUGUUUUUUUUUUCUCCUUUUUCCUAUCAAAUCAAAACUCAAAUUUCUUUCUUUUCUAUAAAUACAAAAUUUCAAUUUCUAUCGUUGGACUAAGAACUCCAAAUCAUUUUCAAUUGGCGGUGGAGUCUUUGAUUUAAGGACACAGAAUGCGCAUGAAAAAUCUCAUAGUUGUGUGUGUGCAUGUAUGAUAUAUAUAAAGAAUGUUGGAUGAGGAAAUUGUGGAUAUGGCCAAAUCUGAAUCUCUUAUAUUUUUGCAAUAGCAUGUGAUUUACAUAGAAACUCGAUGGUGGAAGAAGACUAUAAAUAAAGGUCUCCUCUCCUCAUUCUAUUUAUCCUAGAAUUGAAGGAAAAAGAAUGAUCUAACUCUUUGAGUGAAAAAGUGAGGUUAUCUUGAGAAUUAGAGGAUUAUUAUUCUCUUGGGUGUAAUUAGGAUAUGGAUUGUGAGGAGUGAGUGAUUAUAAACACUUGUGGUUAUUUUUCUCCCUAUAAUGAAGAUCUAUAGUAGCUCUGUGGGCGUAGCUUGUUUUGGGUGAACCACGUAAAUUUCAUGUUUUGUUUGUCUACUCUAUUUCGUUAUUAUUUUCACAUUUUUUUUAUUCAUUUCAUUACUCUAGUCUUUUGGGAAGUUUAUUUCCUAACAACUGGUAUCAAAGCGACAUGUCUUGUGGUGUUUUAGGAGCUUAGUGGUAGUUUGAGGAGGUUGGAAUUUAAGAGGACAAUUGUGACCUCUCUAGUUUUUCUUAGGAACUUUUAUUUUUGUCUAAGGAGACUAGGUUUUAAGUGGGAUUGUUGUGAUCCUUCUAGUCUUUCCUGAGAACUUUUUUACUAGUUUAAAGCUUUGGGUGGAAGUUUUUCUAUAAUUUUUUGCAAGUACAGAGGUACUGUAAAAAGUACAAUUUUUGCAGAAGUCCUAAAGAACCAGAUUUGAGUGGGAUUGAUGGCAACAAACGAAGGAAAGAGCAUCAUAAUUUAGAAGUUCAAUGGUGAAGAUUUUAGCUUCUAGAAAAUGCAAAUUGAAGAUUAUCUAUAUUAGAAAGAUGUGCAUCUGCAUUUUUAAUGAAGAGUGGGCUCUACUCGAUAGGCAGGCCCUUGGAGUUAUCUGGUUGACGUUAUCUCAUAAUGUCGCUUUCAACAUAGCAAAGAAGAAGACUGUGAUGGGUCUUAUGGCGACUCUCUAUGACAUGUAUGAGAAGCCAUUCACUUCAAAUAAAGUGCACUUGAUGAGGUUGUUAUUCAAUUUGUGAAUGAUAGAAAGCGCGUCUAUAGCAACUCACAUCAAUGAAUUUAGUACAAUCACAACACAACUAAGUUUGGUGGAAAUCGAGUUUGACGAUGAAGUUCGAGCUUUAAUCUUUGUAUCCUCUCUACCGAAAAGUUGGAAUGCGAUAGUGACAACAAUGAGCAAUUCUUUUGCAAAGAAGAAGAUGGUAUUUAAGGAUAUUCAAGAUCUAAUUCUAAGCAAAGAAAUACACCAAAGAGAACUAAGAGAAACAUCAAGUUCUACCUUAAACAUUGAAUCUAGAGGUAGACAUAAUGACAGAAACUCAAAUCAAAGUAGAUUAAAAUCAAGACAGAGCAAGUCUAGAUCUAGGAAGGAAGAGAAUAGUUGUUGGAACUGCGGUAAGACUUAUCACUAGAAGAGAGAUUAUAGAGCACCGAAAAAGAACAAUGGCAGUGAAAAGAAUCCACGAACAUGGCCGAAGAUAUUGGCAAUGCUCUAAUCCUAACUGUCAAUAGUCUAGUUGAAUCCUAGAUUUUGGAUUCUGGGGCAUUGUAUCACUGCACCUCUUAUUACGAAAUCAUGGAGAACUACAUCAGUGGUGAUUUCAGGAAGGUUGACCUGGAUGAUGUUGAGACCUUGAAGAUUACGAGAAAAAAAGAUAUUCAAGUGAGGCUACCAAAUAUGUGGAAAUUUAAAGAUGUGAUAUGUAUUCCUAGUUUUAAAAAUAAAAAUAAAAAAUCUCUGUGGAUUAACUUGAUAAGAAGCGGAUGAAAGAUCACCAAGGGAGCUAUGGUCAUAGCUCAUGGAAAGAAGAACGGUCCUCUCUAUGUUACUUCUAGAAUGGAGAAUAUUGUUGAAGUUGUAAAAUCAAAUGAGAAGUAGAAAAUUUGGCACGAGAGACUCAGUCAUAUGAGCGAGAAAUGGAUGAAGGUUCUUGUUUCAAAGACAAAGCUGUCAAAUCUAAAAUCAAUGUGAAGAUUGUAUAUUCAAUAAGCAGAAAUUGGUUAAUUUCUCAAAGAUUGGCAAGCCAUCCAAAGUAGAGAAGUUAGAGCCGAUUCACAUAGACACGUAGGGGUCAUCACCAGUUUCAUCUAUUGGAGGCUCAUUGUACUACAUCACCUUCAUUGAUGACUCUACUAGGAAAGUAUGGGUUUAUUUUCUAAAAAAGAAGUUAGAAGUUUGUGAUGUUUUCAGGAAAUGGAAAGCCAUGGGAGAUGCGAAGAUCUACUAGGGGCCUAUAAGUAGAGGUCUCAUCUCCUCAUUUUAUUUGCCUCAUAAUUGAAAGAAAAAGAGUGGUCUAAUUCUUUGAGUGAAAAUUGAGGUUCUCUUAAGAAUUAGAGAAUUAUUAUUCUCUCGGGUGUAAUUCGGAUUUGGGAUGUGAGGAUUCAAUGCUCGUAUACACUUGUGGUUAUUUUUCUCCCUAUGUUGAAGAUCUACAACAAUUUUGUGGACGUAGCUGGUUUUGGGUGAACCAUGUAAAUUUCGUGUGUUGUUUUGUUUGCUCUAUUUUAUUAUUAUUUCCACAUUUUUUUAUUUGCUUCAUUAAUUUGGUCUAUUGGGAGGUUUACUUCCUAAUAUUUUUCAAGUCAAAUUCUUAUCUAAAAUUGAAAUAAGAAUUGGUUUCAUCCUCAAUUGAAAUCGAUUCUUGGAACACUUCACCAUUCCCUUUCCACAUUUCCCACCAUCCAACCCGGCCAAUAAAUACAAUUACUUGGCUCCAUUGCAUAUUUUUGCUUAUCUUUCAUUCACAUUCAAAAAUGGUUAGAAAGGAACCUUGAUUUUAGGAAGUUCCCAAUUAUUAGGAUUUGAUUUAGUUUUCUAAUAGUCAAUUAGAAUAUUUACAAAUUUGAGUGGUUGAUUUAAUUAUAUGUUUAUACAUAAUUCCUACAAGUUAUUUUUUUUUUAAUACUUUUUGUUAUUAGGAAUCUCUAUUUUUUAGGUAAAGGUGUCCAUAAAAAAAAAAAAAAAAGGAGUUAGUGCGAUAGUUGAACAAGAGUGGUGGAAAAUAAUGUCAUUUUCUUGAUUUUUCUCAAUUACUUACCUUCUUACCUUGACUUUCCAUCAUGACUUAUUUCUCUCUAUGGAUUUGUUUAUGUGUUAUCAACUCUAUUACUUGAAUAAAUUGGGUUGUAAGAAAAAGAUGACAAGUAGGACAGAUUUGUUACAAGUUCUUUAGCUCAAUAAAAAAACUUACAAUAAUUGGAGUAUGAAGGUAAAGACUUUACUUGAUUCACAAGAUGUAUGCAAAGGUUGAAGAGGAAGGCUAUAAACAAGGAGUCAUGACAUAAAACCACUAUUUUAAAAGCAAAGUAAUUUUUUGAAAGGUAUAAGGAAAAAAGAAAAAAAAAAAGGAAGAAGAAAGCUCUUACCCUUAUCUAUCAAGCAAUGAAUAAAGGCAUAUUUGGAAAUUUUCCAAAUGCAACCAUGCACUACCAAGAAAGCAUGGAAGAUAUUAGAAAAUGCAUAUAAAGAAAUUGACUAAUUAAGAAAAGUUUGCCUUUGUACUGGGUAUUGUGUAGAGAAAUCAAGUCUUCUUUAAUUGAGGUGAGUCUUUUGCAAAAUAUUUCGAGUUUGCUCUCUUUCCAUUUGUUGAUUCAUGUUUUUUUUUUUUUUGGUAAUCAACUAGGCAAGAAUUUCUUACUUGUCAUGCCACAAUGGUGAACAUGCUUGCAUGAAUAGUAUUCUCUCUACUCUUUCUUUUUUAUUCUUUCUUUAUUAUAUUGAUGGAUAUACUUAGAAGUGAAUAGUUAAUUGGGUUUUUUAUUAAAAGAAAUCAAAUAUUGGUAAUGCUAUUUAGUAUCAUGCUUGUAAUAAUCAAUUAUUGAUUGUAAAGAUACUUAGCUUAAACAAUUAUUAUAUUGAAUUCAAUUUAGUACUAUGGCUAAUACCAAAAGAAUAAUAUUUAGUCUUGGUUAACCAUUAUUCACUAUUCUAGAGACAAAUGCUCACAAGUUUUGCAUCUUUGAAGGAUACGGGAAAAGUUGACUCAACUGCAUCACCAACUUACAAGCUCAAGCUUAUAUACAACCUUCAUUUAUCAGGUUUAUAAUUCGUAUCUUUUUUUUUUCAUCCCUUUAUUGUUUAUAAUUUUUGAAUUGAUUUAUUAAAAGGAAUUUCAACUUUAUUUGCAAUAAUGAUUUUUUUAUUCUCAUGUGCAAUAGAAUAAUAAGUUGUAUAAGAAGCAUAUACUACUUAAUUGGUAUAACCCUUUAGUCAAUUCUCUUCUCAAAUCCUUUUUAUUUUUCUCCAUUUUUGUUCAAGGUAAUCAAAGCAUCAUUCUUUCUAUUUCUAAAGGUACUUGAACCCAAUUUGAAAAACUUUAAGACAUGUUAAAGUGGAGGACCACUCGCAAAAUAAGUAACAUUAGUUGGGUUACUAAUAUCAUAUCCUCGAUUGACAUCUAUGCCAUUGCAUUUUCUUCUAAAGGAUUUAUAAUGAAAAAAAAUAUCUUCUUCGUUUCCAUUUUCCUCCCUUCUUUUGACCAUAAAUUUGUGCACAUUGAAAACAUUCAUAGCCCAAUAUUUUUGCUAGCAUAUAUAUGCAUGUCACAAUCAAUUGAAUUUUUUAGCAUAAGUCUUAUAGUAUUCACAUAUGUGUAGGUUCUAUAUAUUUAUCAUGUUUACAAUAUCAAAUGAAGUAUAUGAACCUUAUCUCAAAGGUGAAGUCUCUUUACAAGGAGCUUCAACAUGUUAGUAGUUACCUAACUUAAUAAUCUAACAAUUCGUCACUAUAUAUUAUUUUGCAACUCUUUCAUAAAGUAAUUGUGUUACCUCUAUUCACAUUUUCUAUCUUUAUUUUAAAAAAAUUGAAUUGGUAAUUGUGUGUCAAAUCAUGCUUACAAUCAUUAAUAGGUACUUACAUGCUAAAUUGAUAAAGUUAUUUUACAAUUGUUUCAACAUAUUCAGAAAACAAAAACAAAAGAAAAGAUUAAUAAGUAUAUCUUUCUAGAUGUAAUCACUACCAUGCCAAUGUAAAAAAAUAUAACAAUGAGGAUUUCAAAGAUUAAAUUAAGUCUUGGAGACUCAUAUUGACAAGUUGUAAAUGGUGGGUGAAGUCUCUUUAAAAUGAGCUUCAAUAUGUUAGCGAUUACCAAACUUAAUAAUCUAACAACUUGACACUAUAUAUCAUUUUACAACUAUUUCAUAAAGUAAUUGUAUUAUCUCUAUUCACAUUUUCUAUCUUUUUUUUUUUUUAAAAAAAUUGAGUUGAAAAUUGUGUGUCAAAUCAUGUUUGCAAUCAUUAACGGGUACUUAUUUGCUAAAUUGAUAAAGUUAUUUUACAAUUGGUUCAGCAUGUUUUGAAAACAAAAACAAAAGAAAAUUAAGAAGUAUAUUUUCUAGAUAUUAUCACUACCAAGCCAAUGUGAAAAGUUAUAAUAAUGAGGAUUGCAAAGCACCAGUUAUGUUUUGGAGAUUCAUAUUGAAUGUUGUAGAUUGUGGAUGUAUGGUAUAGGAGUUAACUUGAGUUUAUCAUUCUUUCUAUUUUCGAUACCUUAAUUUUAUAUGCAUUGUCCAUCAUAUAUAUUUGUUAUCAUCUAUUCUUUACAACCAAUUUUUUAAUGACUUCUACAAUUUGUGUAUAAUGUAUAUAUUGCUUUUAUUUGUACCAAAGCAUCAUCAAGCUACAAAAGCAUCACAAGUUUUUCUAUUGGGUCAAGUAUUUUAGUAGUUUUUGUACUUAUACUUGAAACUUUUUUAUGACACUAAUGAGGACAUUUACCUUGAUUAAUUUAACAUUUAUAUUGCAAGUAUCUAAAUAAGAGUUCUAUAGAUUUAUUUAGACAUUUAUGGGCAUAUUUAUCCUCUUUCUGACAUAUUAUAAUGAUAUUUUUAACAUUGAUAUAAAUUAUUUGUUUGAAGGUUUCAACUAUUGAAAAAUAUUAUUCAAGCCCAAUGUUAAUCUUUUUCUAUAGUGGAUUUCAAAUAAUAAAUUCUUAUUUGAUUAUUUGUAGCGAAAAUAAACAACUUUUAUGUUUGAUGCGGAAAAAUAUAGAGUAGGUCACUUUCACAAUAUAUGGAUGCUACUCCUAUACUUUUAAAGAUGGUUACAAUCGCCUUUAUGAUGGAUAAUGAUUUUCUAGUUCUUUUAGUACUAUUAUAUUAUGUCCAAAUUUUAAUUUUGAUAUGGUCCAUAAUCUCAUCGUAUGUACUAUUGAUAGAUUACAAUGCAACAAACGCAAUGUGAAUCUCAAAGAUGAUUAUUACGUUGAAAAGUAAGUUCCCCAUGUUUUAUUUAAAUUUUUUUUAUUCUCUAAGGAUUGUUUUAUUCUCUUUAUUUUUAAAGGCUCAAAUCAUCUUAAGUUUAUUUUUUCUCUUAUUUCAAUAGUUGUAGCCCAUAUGUAGGAGAAAUUUCUCUAAAUGAAGGGUAAAGAAGAACAAGUGCAUUUAACUUGUUACACUUGCAAACUAGAAGACAACCUCAUAUUUCAGAACCUGCACUACAUGAUUUCAAUAAAAAUUAAGAUUGUUGAUUGAGAAAGGAAUGGUGAAUUCAAAAUUCUCUAUAAUUUCCAUUGUUGGUGCUCUUGAAGAUUUUGGUAAAAGACUGAACAAUUGAGUUUAGCAUGUCCUUGAAAUGUAUUUGUUUUAUGAAUCAAUGCAACUUGGUUAAAGUCUCUAUAUAAGUCAUAUACAACAUAUUUUCCCUUUAAUAUCAGCUCAUCAAUUUUUGUUUCCAAGCUUUUUGUCAAUUAUAUUUUUUAAUCCUUUCUAUUGUUUUUUGGUCUUCCAAUGACUUUGUUUCUAUUUUCAAUACUUGAAUCCAAUGUAAGAUGUUUGCAUUUUAAUUUUAUAAUUUUCUUUAUUAUUUUGCUUUUUGUUUUUUUAUGGUGUUUCCUUUGUAAUCACUUACUAGAUUCAUACUUCUAAGAAAACAUGUUGAUGAUGAUGAAAACAUGUUUCUAUAGAAAUAUAUAUAUUAUGAAGACUUCUUAUGCUUCUAUUAACCUAAAAUGAUGAUAUUGAUAAGAAGUGUAUUUAUUAUCAUAUUGCAUUACAAGUUUACUGGUGGAUCACUCUUAACAAGUACAUCUUAGCUAAAAGUUAAAAAAAUGUUUCUCUUUGCACAUACCUUUACUAUUGUUUCAAUUGCUAUCUUAAUAUGUUAUGGAAAAACUACUACAAAUAACAAUAAUAGGGAGAAAAAAACAAAAAAACAAAAAUAGAAAACUUAUAAAGUAGGACGAUUUAUGUGGUUUGGCCUAAAACCUACAUUUAUCCAUGAAAAUGAAGAAGAAUUUCCACUAUUAUUAAAGGAUAUUGCAUCCUAAAGCUCUCAAAUCCCAUAAUUACACUAAAAAAGGACUUUUUUUUUAAUCAAAAUCUCUUCCUUUAUUUUCUUGAUUAUAUAAGAACAUUCCAUAGAGAAUUAAUUAUGUAAUUAUCAAAGAUAACUAUUCCUAAAAAAAAAAUCUUAUAAUAUGAUAUUUUCUUUAUAAUAUAAAAAAAAAUCUUUUAUAUAAAUAUAUCAUAAUAGGAAAAUAUUAAAGACUUAUAAAUUGACUUGAAAAACAAUUUGAAAUAUUUUUCAACAAUCUCCACAUUAGCUCAAAUUCCCAAGAUUCAAAUAAACUCAAAAGUCUUCCAUGUUACUUUGCUCUUAUACACCCUUAAGGGGACUUCAAGUAAUGUCAAUACCAAUUAAGUCUAAGCAAUGCAUGAACUUAAUCAUAAAGAUAAGUUUAGUCAUCAUAUAUAUAAAAUUAUCAACUAUAGGGAUCUUUUUCAUUACAUUAGAACCUUGUUCAAUCAUAUCUCUAAUAAAAUGCAUUCUAACAUUAAUAUGUUUGGUCCUCUCAUGUAACAUAUAAUUUUUAGUCAAAAGUAUGACACUUUGGUUACCAUGAUAACAAUAAUCAAUGAUUGGAACCAAAUAAUUACAUUUUGUGUGCCUAAACUUAGACAUGCGUAUUUAAUAUCCAAUUCUAGUUUCAUCCCUUUACUCAAUUUUAUUCCUAAGUCCUUAAUUUUGUGUUUAAAAAUGCAUGUACUGGUGGUUAAUUUUUCACUCCAUAGUUGUCAUAUCAUCCAAGUAAUAGUUGCUACAUUAUUCAACAACGGGUUGCCUAUAGACCCACAUUUUUCAUAUGCAUCCCCACUCAAUGGCGUGGUUGACUUUUUAAGUGAAAAACUAUGUUUUAUAAAAACUUGGAGUUGCCACUUAUUUUUAUUUUUUUAAGGGAAAAUAAAAUAAGAAACUAAAUCUUAAAAAAAAACGACUCCUUAAACUUUUGGAAAAACUUGUCUUUUAAAAAUCCAAGUCUAGAUCCAGGGAUUAGGUUACUUAUUGGGAUGGUACCUUAAAAACGGAGCAUCCCUCUAAACCUUCAAAAGGUCUCUAUUGGCUAGGUUGAGGGAAGUGUGACAAUUAAUUGAUAGAAUUAGGGUACAAGAAAGACUAAAGUGUUUAGCUAAAUUCUAACAGCAUAUUAAGUAUGCAGAGCAAUCAUUUCAAGUCAUAAGUAUAAAAAGAGAGAUAGGGUGCGUACCUAGACUAUAACUCAAACACUAUCAUAAGACAUCAAAGUUAGUUCAGAUAUCAUAUCACUCAACACACAUUAUCAUUCACAUCAAAGAAUCAAAUAACAAUCAAAGCAACCAAUAACAACAUCAAACAUAGAGAUGUUCAUACAUGAAACAUACACAUAUGUUGAAUUAAGAGACAAAGGGUGAUGGGUGUAUUUGAAUUGCAUAAAUAAUUUACAAUGCACUUCGAUAAGAUAACAAAGGUUAGAAUAAAUUAUAAUGGAAAAUAAAGAGAUCCUAAAUCCUAGCAUGCAUGGUAUUUACAUGGCAUAAGGACAGAACAUAGGCUCACAAAGACAUCAAUAUUCCUACAAGGCAUGCAUACAACUUCUAGAUGUAUACAUAAGAUAUAAGAAACAAUGAUUAAUUAUAACAAAACAUAUAACCAACUAAUCAAAAUAUAGGCAUCACAAGUAUAAUUCUAAAAUAUUAUGUAAGCAUCACUUGACUAGAUAAUAAAUAAAAGCCAACAUCCAUAUCCAUUAAUCAUGAAUUAAACAAUAUGAGCAACUAGUAUGCAAAAAUCCAACAUAUGAAUAUAACCACACCAAAGCACAGAGGAUAUCUCCUAUACGUUUAGAACAAAUAAAAAAUUCCAAACACUCGUUCAAAUAUCAAUUUUAAUUCAAAAAGACCAAAAGUUCCAGAAGGUCCAAAAUUGAGUAGAACACUGAAUUUUUAAAAAAAUAUCUAGGCCUUCUAAAUUCAUACAAAAAAUAGAAAAUGUCAUUCAAGGUGCCUAAAUUAUAUAAAAAAUAAAUCCAAGACAAGGAAGCACUCAAAAGAAUUUUAAAACACUCCAAUUGAUUAGUUGUCCAAAAUUAGUCAUGUAUAGUAAGUGCAACUUUGAAAAAUCAUAUCUCUCUCUAAAAAAAAUAUAUUUCAAUAUUUUAUAUGUCAAAAUUCAACUUCAUGAAAUCAAUAAUUUUGGAAAAAUAUUUAUCUAAAUUAAAAAGGUAAAAAGGUAAUUUAAUUUUACAAAAUUCUAUCAGAUGUACCAAAACAAAACAUGCUGAAAGAAUAUAUCAUAACUCAACUUUGAGAAAGACUUGUUGACUCAACUAACGUUCCAAAAUCAACUUCAAGAAGUGAACAACAUCAUAAAAGUUUUGGAAAAUUUUUUAAAACACUCCAAAAUUAUCAAAACAUUUUUUUUUUCCUAAAGGGUUAGUAGCUGAGUUGAAAAAUGAGUUUUGAUAACCUUUUUCAUGUAGGUGUUCCAUCAAGUCCCCAUUCAAUAUUCAUAGGUUUAACCCAUGCAUUCCCAACCUCAAAUGAAAAGAUUCACCAAUGCCAAAAAUACUCCCAUUAGUUUGGAAGCACGAGUUCAAACUUAUGUGAAUAAAAAACAAAGUUUUGGAAGACCAAGAAAUAGAUAAUGCAACUUAGAUGAAAUGAGUUGCAUGUUUUUUAACGGAGUAAGAUCUUUGCCUUAAACCUAAAACACAUUUUUUUUCAAAGAUUUUAGAUAGUUUAAAUUCUUUUGAAAAUGAUUAUAGAAGAAGCACAAGGAUCCAACUGGUUUAAGUAAUCCCCGAACAAUCGGAAAAAAAAAAAAUGGACUUUUAGUUUUCUAACUUAAAAGGGAUUUAAAAACAUAAGAGAUAUUAACUUGGAUCCCCUUUAUAGUUGAAGGAGGCACGUGCAUGAUGGAGAAAAUCCAUUUUUGGUAAAAAGAAAUUUUGAAUUAACUCAAAAUAACAACUAAGAAAGUUUUUUUUCUAACAAAAAAGUUUCAAACUCAAGAAUUCUUCAAAGAGUAAACAAAAUAGGUGUCAGGUUAAAGAGAACCUACAAUUUAACUAGAUAUAACAUCUAAUGAAUUUUAAAACAACCAUCCACAUGAAAAUUUAACCAAACACAUAUCUAUAAUUUUUUUUGAAAAACAAUCAAUAUGGAAAAUUAAGCAAACAUAAUUCAAUACAGUUUUUUUAAAAAAAAAAUCUAAAUAACACAUGAACUUCAAUAAUUAAAAUAUCUAAUGGAUUAUUAUUAUUUUUAAAAAAAAAAACCAACAUAGAAAAUUUAACCAAGCACAUAUUUGGAAUUUUUUAAAAAGAAUAAUCAUCACUAAAAAAUUAACCAAACAUAAUUUAAUAAAUUUUUAAAUAUAAAUAACACAAGAACCUAAACAAUUAUAAUAUAUAAUGGAUUUUUAAAAAUACAACCGAUAUGGAAAUUUUAAUCGAGCACACAUUUAGAAUUUUUUAAAAGAAUAAUCAACAUGAAAAAUUAACCAAACAUAAUUCAAUAAAUUUUUAAAUCUAAAUAGCAUAAGAACUUAAUCAAUUAUAAUAUCUAAUGGAGUUUUAAAAAUAUAAUCAAUAUGGAAAAUUGAACCAUACACAUUGAAAAUUUUUUACAAGAAUAAUCAACAUGAAAAAUUAAACAAACACAAUUCAGUAAAAUUUUUAAAUCUAAACAACACAAAAAUCUAAAUAAUUAUAAUGUCUAAUCGAUUUUUAAAAAUACAACCAAGAUGGAAAUUUUAACCAAGCACAUAUUUAGAAUUUUUUAAAUAAUCAACAUGAAAAAUUAACCAAACAUAAUUCAAUAUAAUUUUUAAAUCCAAAAUAACACAUGAACCUAAACAAUUAUAAUAUCUCAUGGGUUUUUAAAAAUACAAUCAACAUGGAAAAUUUAACCAAGCACAUAUUUAGAAUUUUUUUCUAAAAAAAUAAUCAACAUGAAAAAAUUAACCAAACAUAAUUCAGUAAAAUUUUUAAAUUUAAAUAACACAAGAAUCUAAACAAUUAUAAUAUCUAAUGGAUUUUUAAAAAUACAAUCAACAUGGAAAAGUUAACCAAUCACAUAUUUAGAAUUUUAAAACUUUUUUUUUUAAAAGAAUAAUCAAUACGAAAAAUUAAACAUAUAUAACUCAAUAAAAUUUUUAAAUCUAUUAACUAACAAGAAAAAAAUUAUCUAAUCUAACAAUCCAAUGAAUUUAACAUUUAAAAAAAAAAACUAAAAUGAGAUUAUCAACUUCAAGUACCAAUGAUUCAAAAAAAUAAACAAUCAUCAAGAAGAGAUUAAACAAAUAUCUAAGAUUUAAACAAAAAAAUAAUAAAUAAAUAAAUAAACAACUUUUGAUCAUCAACACCAAGAACCAAUGAUCCACAAAAAUAAACAACCAUCAAGAUGAGAUUAAACUAACAUCUAAGAUUUAAACAAAUAAUAAUAAUAAUAAUAAUAAUAAUAAUAAUAUAUUGCUGAAUUCUGAACCGUGAUUGACUUGUUAAUGGGAUUUUAAGGAUUCGUAUGUGGCGGAGGAGUUUUGCACUUGUUUAUCACAGAAUUGCGAGGUUUUCUGUUUAUUAUCUUUGAGCAAAUCGGGGGUUAGAUUUGAGCAGAAAACAGAGGAGGGUGAUUGAGCGGGAGGCUAGUGAUGAGCAGUUCAUCCAACUUCGCAUUUUCCGUGUGAUAGUUUCAGUUCACAGAACAAUCAAGGAUUGAAGUUCUAAUGAAGCCUCUGUCACAACUCUCAGAACCCAACUUCCUUCAUCUUCGACUCUUUGAUCAGAGCUUUCACAUCUAUAGCAGAAUUCUUCAUUCCGCUGGCUAUCUGGCCUCUGAUAAUUACACUUUCAUGUUCUUGGUUCGCACCUCUGCUCAGCUAUUGGCGCAUGUGACUGGUUCGUCUACACAUGGUGCCGUUGUGAAAUAUGGAUUUGAGCAUGAGCCACAUGUUCAAAGUGGCUUGAUUUACAUGUACGCAGGAUUGGGUGGUUUGGUUGCUUGCCAUUGGAUGUCUUCAUCAAUUUGUGAGCCAGAUUUGGUGUGUCAGACUGCAAUGGUCAGUGCAUGUGCCAAGGUGGGAGAUUUUUCUUUUAAGCCGUUUGAUAAAAUGUCCCACAAGGACCCUAUUGUAUAGAAUACAAUGAUUUCGUGAUGCGCAAUGCAGGCAAUCAAAAAAGGGAAUCGAAUUUAUUCAACUUAAUGCAAAGGUCGGGUGUUAUUCUAGGAGGAUGAGUUUCUGAGAUAUUCAUUCAACUCAGAGGCUUCACGUUCUAUAACAAAAGGGAUCGGGUGAUUUAUUUGAGUCUUCGAGGAAUUCUAUCACUGAGUGUGAAAAGCCGCCCUCAACGCAUGCUGGCUCUCCUGUGUGCAGUGGUUCUGGGAGCAUGAAUGAUUAGAUAUCGUAUGUUUCAGGACGUGAAACUUGCUGCAAGGAGAGGAGUGGGGCUUCUCGAGAUGCUCUGUCAUACAACAGAGUUGGUAGUGAAGAAAUCUAAUAUGAAGUAACUGAUUGUGGCACUACAUUUAGUUUUGCUGCAGGAAACUCUUUUGGUGCAACACCUGCAAGCUGAAGUUUAAGGUGUCCUUCUUCCAUUUGCUUCAACAGAUGAAGAUUCUGAUAUAGAAAUACAUGGAUCUAGUUCUGUAAGUAUUGAUGAGAAUGAUGUGGUUGAGGUCAUGUUGCCCAGAACUUCAGGUGUCAGUCAUUGCUUAUCUACUGUAAAUUCUAGUUCUGUAAAUGGCAUUUUGACAGGGACAAUGUCAUUUUCAUUGAAGCUGCCACCAAUUGUUUUCCGGAUAAAUUUGCAGACAAUAAAAGCAUUGUUGGAUCUUUCUACAAGAAAAUUCGACUCGCUCCCAACUCCAAUUCAUAUCCUCUUGAAAGAAUGAAGUUCUCUAUGGGCACCUCAAAAGCAUCCUUCAAGACUGAGAAAUCCAGGAGUCAGUUACAAAACGCAAGACAUGUCAUGCUCAGAAAGUGCUACUGUCAUUUAUAUUUUAUUGCGUCAACGCGGGAACGAAUGGGCAAACUUCGCUUGAGGUGAGAUGCUGAGAACCAAGGUCCUCGAUCAUUCAAAGCCAAAAUGAAAUCACAUCAAAUGCCUGAACAGAUUGUUUUCUGGAAGUGGAUUACCCUGAAGAUGCUGAGCAUAGUCACGUAGACCUCAGUAUAUCAUUGAUCAAUCAAAGGUGAUUCAGAACCUGUAAAAAUGUUUGAGAGAACUAUUAAUUUGAUAAACAAUCAGAUAAUUAACUAUCGAUAUGAUCCGUCUGAAAAGUGGUUGGUUUUGAUUGGAAUUGCUCCGGGUUCACCUGAGAGACCACAGCUUGUCAAAGGGAAUAUGCAGCUUUUCUCUGUUGAACAGCAUCGAAGUCAAGCUCUUGAAACUCAGGCUGUAUCAUUCGCCACAUUUAAAGUUCCAGGGAAUGAUCAAUCCUAUGCACUUAUUGGUUUUGCCACAAUAUCCUUUAAUGCCGGACAGAUUGUCUCAAAGCUACAUGUCAUUGAACUUGGAUCCAACUCAGGGGAACCAGGAUUUAUAGGGAAACAGGCUGAUCUUUUCUUUCCCCCAGAUUUUACUGAUGAUUUUCUAGCUGCAAUGCAGAUAUCGCACAAAUAUGACUUUAUACAUGUGAUUACCAAGCUUGGAUUGUUGUUUGUUUAUGACCUGGAGACGUCUUCUACAGUAUACAGAAAUAGGAUUAGUCCAGGUCUAAUAUUUUCUUACUGCUGAAGUUACAUCUAUUGGAGGUUUUUAUACCAUCAAUAGGCGAGGGCAGGUGCCAAUUGCUACUGUAAAUGAGGCAGCAAUCAUACUUUUCGUCAGCGGCCAAUUGAACAACUUGGAGUUAGCAGUCAAUCUCACAAAAAUGGGGAGUUUCUCUGGUACAGAGAACUUGGUUGUCCAGCAUUUCCAAAAAUUGUUUGCUCAGACAAAAUAUAAGGAGACUUAAGGAAUCCCAUGGUGGAACCAUGUCAACAUAGACUAGAACUGAUGGAAAUUUAUCUUCCUCACUGUCAGAUAUCACUGCUCUUGAGGAGUCUCUUACUGCUGCUGGUGGGAAGUUCAUCUUUGUGCAAAAGCUUCGUGACUUUGUUUCUGUUACAUGUGACGUUUUGCAGCAUAAGGCUUUUCUUUUUAUUGAGGGACUUGAAGAGCAAAUGCAGAAGCUUCAUGAAGAGCGUGCAUCAGCUGUCUUAGAAAGGAGAGCUGCUGAUAAUGAUGAGAUGAUGGGAAACACAAGCAUCCAUUGAUGAUGCAAUGUCGGUUUUCACUAAAAGUGGUUCUAAAAAGGCAAUGGUUGCUGCUGCUGUUCUUCUAAGAGAACUGAACUGAGUAGCACACCAGCAUACUGUUACGGCUCAUGAGCAUCAGAAGAAUCAUAGCAGGGGAGCCAAAUAACCGGGUGGAGACUACCAGAAAUCAUGCUUAAGAUGACAUUGCUCAAUCCUAUGCCAGCGGAGCUGUUUCUAAUGUCCAAAACCAUUGUGUUAGAUGACACUAGUCCAGCCACUCUAAAGAUCAGAAAGCCUAUCGAGGGAGUUGCUUCAUCAGGAAAGGGGUAGAGGAGAUUUAAUUUCUAUUGAUGUUCUUAGUAUCAGGAACUCUUCAUCCUUGAGCGCCAAAAGUUGUAAGUCUAAAAUUUGGAAAGCCAGCUAUUUCUUCUGAACUGCAUCUGUCUCCUAGUACCAUAGGUCAGCUGACCUCAAACGUGAAAUCUAGAAAGGUUGACGCUGCUUGCACAGUGGUAGCUAGCUUCUCCUUUAUGCUGAACAAAUUUUAUUAGGAUUCACGAUCAGUUGAAGCAUCCACAAUUUUUGAUGCUGAAAUGGAAGAAACAUUUAAGGUCAUUAAACUAAGAAGUCUGAUGGCUGGUUCCUCUGCCCAUGCUGUUCCAACUUCAAUUGGUUCCAGUUUGCCACCAAGCUCAUCAAUAGACUCAUUGCCUUCAGAAAAGUCAACACCGAAUCCCCAUGCUGAGGAUUUCAAGUUCAAUCCCAAUAUAAAGGGGUUCAUUCCGCCUCAAGUGCCUCCUGUCAUAUUCAAUCCACAAACUACAUCAAUAUCCUUUUGACAUCCAGAAACCAUUUGGAAAGAUUCUCAAUGAAGAGACAUAUACCCCAAAAAUGAUCCCAAUCAAGGCACUUUCAAGCUUGGUCAAGCUUUAUGGAAGAGUUGCAGCAGAUUGAGAGGCUCAAAGCAUAGUCGUCUUAAAGCAGAGUAGUCUACUGGACACCUUCUUGAUAACCAACAGACUGCAAAGUUCCCAAUAGAAGUUAGUUCUUAAAGUAGCAUUUAUUGGGAUUAAUGUUCCUCUUGAGACCAUACAGGUGAAAGAUAUCAUCUUCAGUUUUACAAGGUGGAAUAAUGCUCAGUGGGCAUAAGAAAUGAAUGAUUCCAGUGAUGAAACCAUGAUCUUCAAUAGUGGUUCUGCUCCACCAGCCUAAAGUGAAUUUCGCCAAGCCCAGAUGGAGAUCCACUUGGUAUAAUAACUGGUUUCAGGCAGAUAGUAGUGACGGCUCAUGAUUGGGAUGAUAUAUGUGCCUUCUUCUCUUGGAUUUUGGGGUUCUGGAAAGCCAAGAAAACUGCAACUGUGGAAGACCGUAUCCUUGAAAGAUCAUUCUGGUGUUAUUGGUGAGAGCAUUAGCUUUUCAGACGAGGUAAUUGGUGUACUACAGCACUUGCUCGCUGUGCACAUAACAGAUGACAUUGAGAACCUGUGCUGGGAUUUCUUGAGUAAUAGAAUGCGGUUGUUUCUGGUACUCUCCUUGCUUCAAACUGGAAUUGGGGAAUAUUGCCUAAAAACAACAAUGUCCCUGGAAUAGGUCCAAUCUCUCCUGACUAUGCAUCCAGUGAUAAUGAAUAUCUUACUUUUGCAGAAGGCCUAAUUUCCAGUUUACUAGAAGCUGGGCAAGUUGCUAAAAUCUCAAGGAUAUUGUCAUCUUUCUUGAACAUAUAUUUACAAGCUUACCAGAAAGCAUUUCUCUCUACAAUUAACAAUGGCCAGCACCAUGGUGAUAGGUUUUCACCUUUAUUGCUUCUCAAACAUACUGGUGUUGACAAAGGCAUACAGGAUGGGUUUCUUGAGAAGAGUGGAAUAAAUCCUUGUCAUCUGGAGUCUGUUUAUGGUCUCUUAUCAAAGUUAGAUCAAAUGGUUAAGAAAAGAGCUUCUGGAUUCCUAUCGAAGGUCUUUUGGGAAUGUAUAUUGCAUGGUUUCCCCUCUCAUCUUCAAGCUCCCAGUGGAACUCUUCUUUCAUGCAUUCUAAGUAUAAGAGGGAUCAUUUGCAUUCUAGAUGAGCUACUGAAAAUCAAGUGAGCGCUUCUUUGGCUACAUAUUUCCCCUUGAUUGGCGAAAAUCAUCUACUGAGGCUACGGUUUCUCUCAAAGAAAAUGAGCUUGCUGGGAAUUUACUUAGGGAAGUUAUUCUUAAAAACAUCAGCUAGAUCCAGAAGUUUUAAAUCUUCUCAUACCAAGGCGAUCUGCAAUGGCAGUAGUCGUACAUCAUCUUCUGAUCAAAUUGGUAAUGAAAUUUGGGAGAAUGACGUUAAUAAAGUUGAGGACCUUGAAGCAGUUCAGAUAUUGCAGGACAUUUUUAGCAAAUAGCAGGGAACUACAGGCAAAAGUGUUAAAUAGGAUGCUUAAGAUUUUCUCAGGUCAUCUUAAAAGCUAUAAAUUGUGUCAACAGCUAAAGACUAGGUCACUCCCUAUCUUAAAUAUGGAUGAUUUUCUUCCAUCAUCGCAAGAGAUCAUCUUGGAAAAUCUUGGAUAUGCUCCGAUUAUUGUGAAAAGCAUUUCUGAGCAAGAAUCGCCUUCACUUUGCUGUUUGUUGCUGUAGCUAAUCACGUCUGAAUUAAAGCACACCAUUCUUUCAUUUUUUGUCAACACAAUGGUAAUCCUGAUCAGUUGGAGAGAAAAUUCAGCUACAGCAGCUUCAAGAAACACUCUGGCAGCAAGGAUGAUAUCAUAUCCUCAUCAAAGCUAAUUGAAUCCGUUUCUGGGAAGUUUCCUUUUUUUGAAAUUAAGAAUAUAGCUGCUGAUGCAUAGGGAAGAGACUCCCAGAUUUAAAAUUUGCAGUCAGGAAAGAAGCAGAGUACUCUCUGAGGAAGAAGUGGAAAAAGAUUGAAAACUUUGAUGCCCAUGAAGAAGGAACCUGAUUCCACUCUUGAAAAAAUAUUAGACAAAUCUACUGGUUAUUUGACGAUUGAAGAGUCGUAGGGUAUUAUUAGUUGCUUAUGAAUUGUUAAAACAGCAAGUUCCUGCAGUGGUCAUGCAGGCUGGUCUACAACUGUGUGCUUGCCUAAUAAAAACACAUUCUCUAGCCUUGGAGUUCCCUGAAAAUGGAGGUGUGGCUGCUCUUUUCUGUCUUCCAAGAAGCUGCUUCUUUCUUGGAUAUGACACGGUAACAUCUGCUAUCAUUCAGCAUCUCCUUGAAGAUCCGUAGACACUUCAAACAGCUAUGGAAUUGGAGAUACGACAAACUCCAAUGGGAACCUUGAAGUGUAUAUUUGUAGAUCAAAGCUUCGCGACCAUUACUGUUAGUAAUGAACUAAGCUUCAAUUUUGAUCUAUCUUCAACAAUAGGAAUUGAUUUAUCCAAAAAUUUGCUACAUAGAGAGAUACCGACAGGAUUUUCUGGGCUGUUGGGUUUGGAAUACCUGAAUUUAUCAUAUAAUUAUCUUGAUAGUCAGCUUCUUACCUUGGAAAAGACGGAGAGAUUGAUGGUACUGGACCUAUCAGACAAAUCUUUGUCAGGUCAGAUCCUAGAAAAUGUUUCCAAUCCAAGAAACGUAAAGAAUCAAGAUAUGUCAAGUGGAGGUUCAAAAUACGGAGGAUAAGGGUCAUAUUCAGAUUCCACCCUUCAAUUCGAUCAUGGUUUCUGGUUGUUCAUUGCAGUUGUUCUACUGAAAGGCACAGACGAGUAAUCAGUGAACUCGAUAAAGCAUUAUCUUCAUUUUCGAACCUGGAGUGCAAUUCUUCGAAGAGCAUUUUAUUGCCAGAUAAAAAGCAAAAAGCAUGAUAGAUGGAGGAAUGGUUCGGUGCCUAACUAGCAUUCUUGAGUGAUGCAGUUUUCAAGUUUGAUGGUCUGAACAAGAAAAAUCCCCAGCUUCAAACCGAAGAUCUGAUGAUCAGGGGAUUGCACCAUUAACUACAGAGAUUGGUGAGAAUAGUCAGAAUAGAAACAACCAACAAGGACUCAUGGAUGCAGUAGGAACAGAGCAGCGACAACGUCAAGGAAUUUUGCAAAGUGAAGGAAAUCAUUCAUUUACAGAUUCGGUCCGAUUAUGGAUGAAAAGCAACAAUUAGGAGUCUGCUUGGUGAUGGCAACGACAAGGAUACCUAUUCUAGUGGAACCAUUGAAUCAAAUCUUGGUGGCGAGAAAUUAACACAGAAUGCAGGAAAUCCGUCAAUACAAAAAACUGGGGAUUUUGAACUUUAUGUUCAGUGUUUGACCAAUAUUGGGGAGAAUCCAUUUGAGCUUACGGACCAAGUUACCUUAUAAAUCGAAAUGCUUCUGACCACUGAAUACUUUGGCAACGAAUUGGGUCCUUCUAUCCCGAAUUUUUAGACUCCACUCCAUCAUGGUUACCUUGCUACACACACCUCCUCCUCUUUUUUGGCUUCUUUGAUUAGGAAUUUACUAUUUUAAAUUGAAUUUUUUAAAUCAUUUUUCAACUAAGCAUUUCCAGCUUUGAAAAAUCCAGAUUUUAAUAAAUUUGCUGCCACUUUCCUCCAGGCAUGCAUUUUCACUAUCUUCUUUUAUUCUCAAUUAUUUUCAUGGUUUUCUCAAUUUUCAACAAGCAUGAACAAACUUCAUGAUUCCAAAUAAUGGAAUUCAUAGAAUCAAUUCAUGCAAAAUUAAUUAGAGCUAUGGUGGGGGCCCAACAUUCGUGAUAUUUUCCUCAAUAUUGUCUGUUUAAUUGUGCUUCCUCUAUGUGGAUACAUGAGAUUGUUUUACACUUAUUAUUGAGCUAAUCUUAUUUCUCAUUUUAGCGCACGGCUUGCUAUCCAGGUACGUUCCCUAAUACCCACUUUCUAAACCCUAUGAAUAUGAUUGUCGUUGCGUACUAUGCCCAUGCUUGCUAUCCUGUUUGAUUGUCUUGAUAUAUAUUUGAUGUUUGUUUGAUUAUCUUUGAUAAAAUGCAUAUUGGGUGAUAUAUUAUCUAAACUAACCAUUGAUGUUUUAUCAUAGCGCUUAAGAAGUGGUCCAGGUACGCACCCUAACUCUCCUUUAUUGUAAUUUGAUCAUGUUUGACAUGUUAUUUUUUAAAUCACCUUAGUCUAUCUAGAUAUCCUUAAUCACUCAAUUAAUUGCCACAUUUCCCCCAAUUUAGUCAGUAGAGACCUCUUUAGGGCUUAGAGGGGUGCUACCUCCUAGAGGUACCUUCGCAAUAAGUAACCUGAUCCCCAGACCUAGACUUGGGUUUUUAAAAAACACGCUUUUCCAAAAAUUAUGGAGUCAUUUUUUUAGGGUUUUAUUUCUUGUUUUAUUUUCCCUUUAAAAUAAAAAUAAAAUGAGUGGCGACUCCGAUUUUUCUUUCCAAAAAUUACUUUUUCAGAAAUAAAAAACGAGUCUCGCCGAUCGAGUGGGGACGCAUGUGAAAAAUGUGGGUCCACAGACAGGUUGGCCUUUGGCAAUUGCAGCAGACCCUCUGAACCAUCAUCAGCUAUCAGACCUAGCAGACCUCCUUGUCAUUUUGCUUACUUGGAGGUUCUUCAAGAUCACGGACCAUGCCGACUCCGUUUUGCAAUCGAUAUACUUUUUUAAGAUCAGCAAAAGCAACAAUCUAAACUCAGAAUCAGAUCACCCACAAUUGUCUAGUCACUGGAUGAGAAAACCUCCAGGUCCUUUUUGAGGAACAUGUAUUAAGGACCCUUCCACAACUUUCUUUAUCCAUUCCUUUGCCAAGUGAUAUGUUCUCUUCUAUCUUGCCACUCUGAAUUCAAGGAAAAUGAGUACCAAAUUAAACAUCAUAACCAACUUGUUCACUAUGGUGGCCUUUAAUUUGAGCUUUACAAUUUCUAGGAAACCCGUGACGGAUCAAAUUCCUAAGUUGCAUUCCUGAACGCACCAAAACUCAUGCUAAUACCUUCAUGGGCACCAAAACUAAUCAAUCUCACCACUAGCAAAACUUCUCCAAAAAAUCGGCAAAACUAUCCAUGCUUCAUCUUUCCUCUGUUCUUUCGCCCCUGUUUUUCUUCCUUCAUUCUCCAGUAAUAGAUACUUUAACCGGUGCCAAACAAUCUUCCUCCUGGAAUGGUAGUUGUACGAGAAACCCUUGAACUUGUUUUCUUAUUCCAAAUUUGGAUAUGGAGUUUUGACAGCAUCAAGAAACCAUUCUUUAGUGCCAUUGAUUAGUGAUGCAGGCAUGGCUGGAAAUACUCGAAAUAUCCACAUAAAACAAAGGAAGACUGGAAAUGGACCAAUAAAAAAUAAACAACAAAAAGGAAGAACCAAUGGAAGCCAAAUUUCAUAUUUUAUUCCAUGGGCUUAGGUUGGUGAGGGGAAUACAAGCAAAUUCCAACAAACAUAUACGACGACUAUUCUCAUGUAAUGCACAGUAAAUAAAAAAGGUAAAGUCUUUUAGCCCUAAACCAAAACUAGAGUACUCCAAAGGGAGAAAUCAACAACAUCUAGAGAAGCAAUCAAGUGCCAAUCCAAACAAACAUAUAGCCUCUAUCAUUCUACACCCAAGCAUCCAAACAAAACUCAAAAUCCCACGAAGAUCAAUACAUAACAAAAGGAUAACGAGAAUGAAGGAAGAGUCAACAAGAGGCAUUCCUGGAAAUGUUCCUCUCUAGUAAGAAAAUCCCUGUUGGUAUAUCGUCUUAGAUCUCUUACUCUGCUUUGUUGUGUUUCCUUCCUCUCCCUAUGAAGACAAUCUCAGAAUUCUCCNNNNNNNNNNNNNNNNNNNNNNNNNNNNNNNNNNNNNNNNNNNNNNNNNNNNNNNNNNNNNNNNNNNNNNNNNNNNNNNNNNNNNNNNNNNNNNNNNNNNUUUUUUUCCGGGGGGUUGGGGUGGGGGGGGGAAAAAAAAAAAAUUCCAAAAAAAAUUUUGGGGGUUUUUUUUUUUUAAAACCCCAAAAAAAAAAAAAGGAAAAUUUUUUUUCCCCAAAACAAAAAAUGGGUUUUCCCAAGGGGGAAAAUUCACAACUUUUGGGGAAGAAAAAAAGGGCCAAUCCAAAAAAAAAUUUUUCUUUUUUUUUUUUCCCCCCAAGGCUUCAAAAAAAAAUAAAAAUCCCCGGGGGUUCAUUUAUUUAAAAAAGGGUUCGGGGAAGGGGGGGGGGGCCCCCCGGGGGCCUCCCGAAAAAUUUUCCUUUUUUAAAAAAAAACCCCGGGGGGAUUUUUUUUUAAUUUUUUUUUUUUGUUUUUGGGGGUUUCCCCCCCCCCCCUAAAAAAAAAAUUUUAAAAUUUUCCCCCCCUUUAAAAACCCCCCCCCCCCCCCCCCCCCCCCCCCUUUCCCCUUUUUCUUUAUUCCUCCAAAAGCCUAAUCUAAACUCAAAGGGCAACCAAGGUCACGAUGAGGGGUCAAGUAAAUCCCCCAACUAAAGUCUCUGAGGUGGCUAAAAAAAAAGUAAAUUGUAUGAGUAGUCAUGGGCCACCAAGAGACUACUAUUAAGUAUCAAAUGAGCUUCUAAUAGGACAUGUGCUAAGAGGACAAAAUGGAGGGUCUACAAUACCUUUUUAGGAUCACAUAAAGGGACACUUUGUCUCAAUUCCAUGAGAUAUCAUGGUGCCUACAUUUAGAAUACCUAUUGUUACUGGCUUUCAUCAACAAUGACCCAAUCCAUAGGAAAUAUGUGAUCAACUUACAAUCUCACCCGUAAAUCAAAGACACUAGUAACUUUAGCAUAAACUCAACAUUCUCUCAAAGUUGAGGGACAACGCAAUGAAGUAGUUUGGUGAGGUCAUGACUACUUGAUAGCCUUAAGUCAUGACUUAUUGUAGGUCCUGUUCAAUGUGUAACCAUACACACUAAUGCACUCACCAUGGGAAACCCAUCUCGAUAGCCAAGACCAAUUAUCCCUCUAAUUAGGAGGUGGUGCACUACAACCCAUAAUAGGUUGCCUAGACCCAUGAAUCGGUUGUGAACAAGUCAUCUAUUUGUAAGAAAUCCAUGACUUGGAUCUUUCUUGCAACUCUUAAAGCACCAAGUCACGUACAAUGCAAAAUAUGCAUGCAAGAAUGCUCAUAAAAGUGUAAUGCAUGGAAUAAAUUAAAACAAAUAAAAGUGAAACUAGAAUAUCAUUAAAUAAUGAAUUCCAAAUUUGUUAUAUCAUUGUCAUGCUUUUAAGGGCUCUAUCUUAACAACAUUAAUUUAUUUUGUUCUAAGAUCAUCAAAUUUUUAUUUAACACAACCUCGUUGAUCUAUAUACAACACAACUUGACUUCUCCUUAAUUUGAUAUCAUAUUUUUUUUUUCUUUUGAAAGUAAAGGCAUCGUAUACCAUGAUCUCUUUGAUUUUCCAUUUUAUUUUUCAUCGUGGUUGCCUUUGUUUCCAUUUUGGAGGUGUUUCCAUAUGUUACAAGUGAGCAACUUAUAUUUAAGAGCAUGAAUUUUGGAAAGUGUAUGAGAGUUUUGCUUAUCUAAAGAUUCAAGUAUAUACUAACUUACUUCGAGAAACAAUUAUAAUGAUCUUAGUCAAACAAGGCAUGUAGACAAUAAGAUUUGAGCAUGAUGUACAAAGGAUCUUUCCAAAGAUAUCAAUGUCUACUUUAUGAGUUAAACUUAAGAAGUCUCCCUCUUGAUCAAGCACAAAAUGUAACUAAGGUUGAAAUUCCACUCUCCAAAGACAUUUAAUUAUCAAGAAUCAUAUCUGCAAUAGUGAUUAACAAAUAUCUAAGAAUCAAUCCACAUCAAGUCUUGUAGAUAUAGUAUAUUUCUCUAGUUCUCAAACUUGAGAUAUUAAAAAUCAUGCCAAUAUAUCAAGUAAAAAAGCAAAAAUCAUAUGCCCAAAGCAAACCAGAAGAAAACCCAAGGAAAAAAGUAGACAAUGAAACAAUUAAGCUCAAAACCUUUCAAGGCCUAUAACAUUAGAUAAUUAGUCAAUUAGGCGUAUGCCCAAGGAUUUCCUAAGGAACUCAAACCUAAGAGAAUUCAAGGGUUUUGUAAAGAUAUCUACCAAUUGAUGUUUCGUGGGGACAAACUCUAGAGAGACAACGUUUUCUUCAACAAAAUCCCUAAUGAAAUGAUGAAAAAUUUCAAUAUGUUUAGUACGAUAAUGAAGAACACGAUUCUUUGAUAUAUUUAUAGAACUAGAGUUUUAAUAGUAUAUGUUCAUGGUCCUUUACUCAAUCCUAUAGUCUUUCAGUAUUUGUUUCAUCCAUAAGAAUUGUGUACAACAACUUUCAGCAACAAUAUAUUCAACUUCAACAAUAGAUAAGGAUAUAGAUUUUUUUUUUCUUACUAAGCCAACCCACAAAACAAUCACCAAUAAAAAAGUGAGCAUCAUAUGUGUUUUUUCUAUCCUCAACAUUUUCGACCCAAUCAACAUCAAAAUAACUAACAAUCAUAAUAGAAGAAUCAUAGGGAUACCAAAAACCAUAGUCAAGAGUCUCACUAAUAUAUAAUGUAAUUCUUUUAACGGAAAUUAAGUGUGACUCUUUGGGGUUUGCUUGUUAGUUAACACAAACACCAACACAAAUGAUAUGUUAGGAUGACUCACUAUGGGGUAUAAUAAGUUUCCUAUCAUACUCCUAUAGAGCUCUUUUUCAACAUCCUUUCUAGAUGCAUCCUUAUUAAGCUUAGUGGUAGUGUUCAUAGGUGUCCUAGAGUGUUUGGUGGAUUCUAGACCAAAUUUCUUCACUAACUACCGAGCAUAUUCAGAUUGUGAAAGAAAGAUUUCAUCUUUUAGUUGUCUAAUCUACAAUCCUAAGAAGAAAGUUAGUUCACCAAUCAUACUCAUCUCAAAUUCAGUCUUCAUUUCCCUAACAAAACUAAAGUCAAGAUCACUAGAGGUGGCUCCAAAAACAAUAUCAUCAACAUAAAUUUAGAUCACUAAUAAUUCAUCCUUGUACCUAUGCGUAAACAAGGUUCUAUCAACUUCCCUUUUCUCAAACUUUUUCUCCAAAAGCUAGGUAGUAAUCAUCUCAUACCAAGCUUUAGGAGCUUGUUUUAAUCCAUAAAAGGCUUUCUUCAACCUAUAGCUAUGAUUGGGGAAUUUCGGAUCCUUGAAACCCUUAGGUUACUCUACAUAAACUUCUUUACUUAGAAUCCCAUUAAAUAAAGCACUCUUGACAUCCAUUUGAUAAAGCUUCAUUCUCAAGGAGCAUACUAUAGCCCAAGUAUCUUGAUUGAUUCUAGUUAGGUUACGGGUGGAGAUGUCUCUUCAUAAUCAAUCUCCUCUAUCUGUGAGUAUCCUUGGGCUACUAAUCUUGCUUUGUUCCUCACAAUGACCUUAUUUUCAUCUUGUUUAUUUUUUAAAAUCCAUUUUACACCUAUGACAUACUUAUCUUUAGGCCUAAGGACUAAAUACAACAUAUCAUUCCUAGUGAAUUGAUUCAACUCUUCCUAUAGUGCGGUAGUCUAAGACUCAUCUUCUAAAGCUUACUCCAUGAUAUUGGGCUUCAAUUGGGAGGUAUAGCAUAUAAGAUCCAUUUCAUUUAAUCUUUGAUUAUCUCCUAGCAACUACACGUUCAUUCACCUUACCUAUAACUUUUGAGAUACAAUAGUUCUUGGGUACUUUGGAUUUAUGCUUAUUCCCCAUUUCUUCAUAAUUGUCUUCUUGAGAUAUAUUCUCAUCCUUGUUGGGGUCAACUUCACUUUGAGGAACAUUAUUUGGGUUCUUUGAUUUCUCCUUAAAAAAACUCACAAAGAAGUAUCUUGAAAAAUCAUCCACAACAACUAGGACAAAUCUCUUACCACUUCUACUCUCAAUAUGCAUGGGACCCAUAGAUCCAUAAAAAGAAGGUCUAAAGGUCUAGUGGUCCUAAUUUCCUUAACCUUUUUGUGUGAACUUUUUUAUUGUUUACCCACCACAAAUGGGUUUAGGUUCACCACUAAGUUUAGGGAUUCCUCUAACUUUUUCACUAUUAACUAAGUGUACAAGAUCCCUAUAGUUUAUUUGACCUAGCCUUCUAUGCCAAAGUUUAGUAAGGUCUAGCUUAGCACUAGUGCACACAAGAGGUGUCUUAGAGUUAGGAUUUAUUGCAUAACAGUUGUCAACUAUCCUAUGUCCUGUGGUAAUGGCUUUUCCUUCUUUGUUGACUACCUUGCAUAAGUCUUAGCAAAAAUUCACCCUAUGAUCUUUGUCAUAGAUUUGACUAAUACUUAGGAGGUUUGCCUUGAGUUCAUCUACAUAAAGAACUCCAUCUAACUUAGGACAAGUAGGGAUAGAUAUACUUCAUUUGUCUUUCACAAGCUAAGUUUCCAUCCCCAAAGGUAAUUGUGCCACCAUUAUAGUCCUUAAAAGAUAUGAAAGAAGGACUUGUCUCUUGUCAUGUGUCUAGAGCAACCACUAUCAAAGUAUCACUCACUAGAAGACCUAACUUUAAGUGCAGUGAAGACUACUUGACAUUUAGGCUUAUUUUUUUUCAUCCAAACUUGUUUAAUCCUAGGUGGUAACUUAGAGAAGCUUUAUUGAGAUAUAGGCUUUUGAUUAGGUUUAUUCCCUUUUCCAUAAUUCAAGAUGUUAUUUUUAAGGGAAUUAAAGUCAUUCAUUAGCCUAUUUAUUUGAGAUUCAAAUCUCUCUAGGAACUUAGUGUAGCACCUAUACUGAGUGUGUCCUAUUUUCUUUCAGUGUAUAGUGAUGGGUUUAUGAGAGAUGCUACUUGGUUGGGGGUUUCAUCUUUUCCUUUAACAAACACAAUUUCUCCACUAGAAAGAGUUUCAUCUUUAUUAAUAUACUCCAAACCUCAUUUAUCACCAUGGGUUUUCAUUUAUCAAGUAUUUCAUUAAGCAUUUUAGUUCUAAGGUGAAAGAUCUCAUUCACAAAUGAAAAAGGCUUACUAUUUUUCAUCUCUUAAGUAGGAGUCUUAUUUUUCUCAAUAAGAGAAUGAUGUUCAGAUCAAGAAAUCUAUUUUUUUUUUCAAGUAUAUUAAUAUUUUUUUCUUUUAGCACAUCAAUCUUAGUUUUGUAAGCUUCAAGUAUAUGAUCAUAUCUUAAAUAAUUCUUAAUAAGUUUUUCAUGCUCAACAACAAGAUUAUUCAAAAAAGUAGCUUUUUGAUCAUUAGUGAAUUCAUUAUCACUAUCACUAUCAUGCACAAAUUCCAUAGAUGCAACAAAAGCUAAAAAGUUAUUAGGAUCAUACCUUGUAUCUUCAGAAGUUGUGGAACCACUUUCUUCAAAAUCAAUGUCACUCCAUGUAGCUUGCGUAGACUUUUUGACAUUUUUUGGGUUAGGACAAUCAGUAGCAAAGUGUCCCAAACCACCACAAUUAAAGCAUUCUACUUUCUUACCUUUGGAGGAACCUUAAUCAUUUUCUUUGGAUGAUUUCUUAAGUCUCUUUCCUUUUCUAGAUUCUUGAUUUUCGCAAAACUUUUUGUUGAAUUUCAUUACCGUUUUAAUUCUUUUAGUCAUAUAAAUCAAUUCAUUCCUAGUUAUAUUAUGUGACAUUUCAGUAUCUUUUUUCUCAUUCUCCGAAGCCUUAAAGACAAAGUCUUGAGGAUUUUGAGAAUUAGGUAAGGGCAUCUCAUAUGUCUAUAUAAAGCCAACAAGUUCACCAACUCUCAUCUAAUCAAUGUCUUUGCUUUCCUCUAUAGCAAUAACUUCAGGUUUAAAUCUCUUUGGGAGAAAACUCAAAAAAUUUUCUUACUACAUUUGAAUCUAGAAUGGGUUUUCCAAGGUUCAAAGAAGAAUUAACUAAUAAUCUCAAAUUUAGUUUUGAUUUUCAUGCAUUGUAAUAAUCUCAAAUUUAGUAGUAAGCAUUUGCAAUUUAGAAACUUUAAUAGUAGGUGUACCUUUAUGAGUGACUUGAAGGAUAUCUCAUGCUUCCUUAGCACGAGUAUGGUUUGUUAUCUUGCGAAACUCAUCUGGACAAACUCUAUUAAAGAUACUAAAUAAAGCCCUAACAUUGGCUUCACUUCCUUCAUUAUCAACUUUGUCCCAAUCUUGUUUAGGUUUUAAUUCUCCAAGUGAUCUUCCACGGACAUCAAGAAACAAUGAGGGCGUUCACCUUGCAUUUUAAGAAAAAACUUCAUCUAGGCUUUCCAAUAGGGAUGGUUACUCCCAUAGAAGCAAGGUAGACUAUUUAGAGGAGCCCUAGUUUUUUAUUGUUUCAUACUAGACUUACAAAAUCAAUAAAAAUUUCAUUUUUAUCCUAUAUAAUUAAUAAAAAUUUGAUUUUUAAUCAAUAUGAAAAAAAUCGAUUUUUAUUUGUUUGUAAUAUCAAUUGAAAAACCAAAAGUCUAUUAGGAUAACACCCAAAGGGAAGGGGGGUACUGAGUGUAUUUAAAAAUUAUUUGUAUAUUAUAACUAACUUUUUCCUUGCAAGAAGUUAGGGAUUAUUAAUUCAUUCAACAAUGGACAAUGUAAUCAAGAUAAUCAAAUAUAUGCAAUGAAGCAUAAGGAUAUUUACAUGGAAAACCCUCACACCAACUAUGGAGAUAAAAAACCACGAGGUCUAAGAUUGUUAAUCUAAAUCCACUAUAUGAGAUCAAGUUACACAAAUUUACUUGACCACUUUACCCUAAAAACUUACUCUCCAAUAUCUACAACUUAAUCCACGUCUGUGAUGCAGCAAAUCCCUAAUUGCUCCAAUGAAUACACUUCAGCCUCGCUAAAGGGAUGAAGAUCUUCAACCCCAAGAUUCAAAGCUUGAAUUCUUUGAAUGAGAGAUCAUGAAUGGUAUGACACGUUAGAAUUUCUCUUAAAGAGACUCUUUUGAAUCUCUCUAAUCUCUUACCCUAUAAGGGUUAUAGAGAGGUAUAUAUAGGCAAAUAACCCGAAGAGAUUUGAUAUGCAUAGGUUUCCAAAUCCAACUUAUGUGAAAUUCUCAAAAUUAUUCUCUAAUUUUUUGCAAGAAAUACAUGAGCGCUUGAGCACACAUAACCACCGCUUGAGUGGUGCUAAGCGCUUAAGCGGUCCCAAUGCUUGAGUGUUGCUGCCUACUCAAUUGUCCCCUAUUUCAUUCACUUUUUUUAAAAAAAAAAAAAAAUCAAUUUUUGUUGAUUUAAAAGAUAUCGUUCCUCUUUAUACCUCAUAAAAGUCUAACUUGCCACAAGUCAAACCUUUUCAGACAUACCUGUGACUUCUCAGUUGAACGAACAACAACCCUUGAUCUUCAAUGAAGAGCAAGUCACUAUUUAAUAGGACUUAUGUGUUCAAACAUUAAAAGAAAUAAAAUUGUCGACAUACAAACAAGACUCAAUGUCCUAACAACAUCUCUAUCAUUUAGAUUCCAUAUAUGUAUAUUACACCCAACAAACUUAAAAUGAUUGAAAAUUUCAUGAUAUAUCUAAUUUAAUGGCAAUAUAAAGACCACCAAAAAGAAUGAUAUUUGACAUUCUAAUCAUAAUACAUUUUUGUUAGUUCACGAUGUAAUUUUUAUUUGUUUUCAUUAAGAUUAUGUUUGAUUUUUGAAAAAUAGUAAAAAAAAAAAAAAAUGUAAUAAAAAAGAAAGAAAAUAUAAAAAAAUAAAAAAAUGAAAAAAAUAAAUUUUAAAUUUUAAAUUAAUAAAUUAUUUUUACACACUUCUUCAAACUUAACUCAUUUAGUUUUUAUCUUUUAUAUAAAAAUUAAGUAAUUUUUUUUUAAAGUUUCUAACUAAUUUUAAUUAUAUUUUAUUUUCUUUCAUAUUUCUUAUAGUAAAAUAAACAUAAAAAACAUUUUCCUUAACAAAAAUUUCCCCUUUUUCCAUAACAUUUUUCAAGGAAGAAGACCAAAAAACCAUAUAUAUAUAGCCUAAUUAUGUUUAAUCUUUUUAGAAAUAUCCCAUAAAAUAUGGAACUUUCCAAGUCAACCAAACAUUGUUUAAAAGAAUGAAUGAAAAGAAAAGUAAAAUGAAUAAAGCAUACACUAAUAAAUUUCUUUGGAUCAAUUUUCUUCUGUACUUUUAUUCUCAUCAGUUGCCAAUAUAUAUACACAGAGAAGAGAUACAUCAAGACUCCUAAAUAAGGUAAAACUAAACAAGGAAGAAAAUAUGUACAAAUUACAAACACAAUAUUUGCCUACCACGCCAAUCAAGGCUUACCAUAAUCGGCUUGCCCAUCAAAGUUUACCAUAAUCACUAAUAUAUGAAGUUGGAAUAUAAUUAAUGCGAGCACAUGAAGCUACAUUUGAUAAUAUCACAUCUCUUCAAUAACCCUUAAUUAUAAUGUCCAUAAUAAUUAUAAUUCACAUCUUAUAUUCAUGUUGCUUGAUAAUAAGAAAAUGGACACCAUAAAAAAUAGGAUAAAAUAAGUAUUGAAAGUCUUCACCUAAUGAAUAAUAAAUGUCCAUAUUUUCUAUUAGGCCACAUGGGAGUUUUCAAUGAACGAAUCAACGUCUCAGUUGUAGCCUUCACCUAACAUAUAACAUAACAUGGGCAAGUUAAUCGUAUUAUAUUAUCUUGAUAAACAUAAGUUUAUAUUUUUUUUUCUUUCUUAUCACCUCUUACUUUUUAAUAACUUUAGAAGUUCAACUUUUGUAUCAAAAUGAAAUUAUUAAAUCAACAAAACUUCAUCCAAAACUGGAAAAUUGAUAAAUUCAACAAUAAUAAAUUUUAUGAGGCACCAUAUUGACCAAAACCUAACCCAACUUUAGAUCUUUCUUCAAAUAUUCACACUUAUAAAUUUUUAUCCUCAAAGAAUUAUCGAUAACAUAUAUUUAUUUACCAUUACUUUGAUAUUUUGGUAAUCUAAUUUAUGGCCAAGCGCGAGCAUAAUUUAAAUUUAAAAUCAUUAUCAAUUCUCUCCCAAAUAUUUUCUUUUGUAGUUGAUAUUUGAACAUUUAUCAAUAUAAAGAUUAUUGUGUCGAUAAUAUUUUCACUCCCAACGAAAAUGAUGGCAUAAGAUGUAAGACUCAAGAUUCGGUAAGCUUGAGAUUUGAUAUUGGUUUUGAGAAAAUAUGUCUAAAAAAGUAAGUAUGAGAUUAUGUGUGCUUAAGAUUUGGUGUUGACUUAAAAUUUGAUGUGAUUUGAAUCACACAAAGAGGAUUAGUUUUAUCUUAUUGAAUUAACUUUCAAUAAUUUCAAGUCUUAGAUUGAGUUUUGUCCAUCUCAUCUAAAAUAUUAAUUGAUGUUUGACGUGGAUAACCUAAACUUUUUAUUACAUUCAAUUACCAUCAUUUAAGUGCUUUAUUCCUAAUAUUAAAGAGUAACAUUGUUGUACACUAACAAUCCUUCCUUUAACACUUCUAUGGAGUGAACCAUAACUAUUAACUCCAAUAUUAAUUCUUGGAUAGGGUAUUUAUCAUUUCUUCUCAAAACCAAUUAUAUUCAAUGAGAAUAAACUAAAUUUUUUAUGGCUUUCAACCACCAUCAUUUUGAUUGCCCAUCUCUAUACUUAAAGAAUGACAUUAUUGUUGCACCCUCAUGAUGAGAAAUAGUUUUAUUCACUACUUUUAACGAAUUUGUUAUUUUGAUUAAAUAUACUUCUUUUUAUUAAAAGUUUUGUAGCAUUCUUCGAACAGAUAACAAAUUAAUCGAUUUCAAUUUUAAUAAUAGUGAGCUUGUAGACUUGUUUUAUUUUCUAAUUUUUAUAUCAUCACACUUUGGUUUAUAAAUUGAUUCGUUAAUUAUAUUUAUGUAUUUGUCGCUUUCCUUUGACAUUUUAUAAAAUUAUUGUUCAUGUAAUAUGCAUGAAGAAUUUACUAAUAUUUUACUUAAAAUAUUAUAAGAAAUAAAAAGUAUUUAAACCACUUCGUUUUGAAAAAAUAAUGUAUUACCAGUGUUGUCAUUUUUAUAUUCACAAAAGUCUACUAUAAAUAUUUUUAUAAAUUCUCUCUUAUUAUUCACAAUUUUCCAUCCUUAGUGGUGUAUUAGGCAAAUAUUUUUUGUUACAAAAGUUACAAAAUAAAAUAUAGUUAUAGUGAAAAAAUUAUUAAAACAAUUAUACAUGACAUAGAAUGUAUAUUAUUAUAAUAUAUUAGCUAGUUUUAAGUUCUAAUAUUUAAUUGUGGGUGAGUGCUUAUUAAUGAAGCUUCUCCAUUUUUUCUCUUUUUAAAUGCCUUCUAAUUAACAUUUUUGGACUAUUUUGCAGAUAAUGAACAAAUUAGGUAACUUGAGUUUUAAUUAAUAUAAGUUUAUCCACUUGGUUUUCCCCUCCUUCAAUGCUUGGUCUCUGUUACAACCUUGUGAUUUGUAUUCAUGAGUAAUUAAUUGAUGGUAUCAUUUUCUAUAAAAUAUUGAAUGGUAGUUUAGGUUCAACUUUUGUAUUUAAAUUAUUUGUAUAUCUUUCUUCUAGAAGGAGUAUUCAAUCUUGUUUGGUAACUAUUUUUUAAAAAUAGUUUUUAAUAAUAGUUUUUGAAAAAAAAUAUAUGAUAUUUUGUAAGAUAAAAAUCUAUUUAAAACUUGAAAUAUUUUUAACAUGUUUUUAAUAUUUUUAAAUAUGUUUUGAAAAUAAUUUUAUGUGUAAAACUGUAUUUUUAUUUAUUAUAUAUAUUUAUAUAAUUAUUAUUUAAAGAAACUUUCAAAAAACAAGUGAAAACAAUUAAAAGAUGUUAUCUUAAAAUAUUCUAUUUUUUUCCUUAAAAAUAGAAAAUAGAAAAAAGUUUUUUUUAUUACCAUACAUGUUUUCUAGUUUUUUUUUUAAAGAAAAAAAUAAAAAAUUGCUCUUGAAAACAAUUGUGAAAUCAAAAAACAAAAAGCUUCUACACUUUUUUUUUCCCUAAAAUUUCUAUAUUUUUAUAAUAUUAGGUAAUGUUUGACUAAAAAAAUUAAGGAUAAAAAUAAAAAUAAAAAUGUAAAAAAAAGUUAUAAAAAAUUAUCUCCUAUUCUUUUGUCCAAGGAAAAACUACAAGGAAAACAAUUAAAAUUACAGAGGAAUACACUUUGGAUUCACAAAAUUUUCUCAUCCUUUUUUUUUUUUUGAAAGAAAUAUAAAAGGGAAAAAUCUUUUAGAUUAUGCUUGAUUAUUGAAAUAUAUUUUUUUUUAAAUAAUCCUUUGAUAUUUAGUUUUACUAUCGAAAAUAAGAAAAACUAAAUAAAUUAAUUAAAAAAUUUGUAUUUUCAAAUUAUUUAAUAUUUAUAUGGGAAUUAUUAACAUAAUUUUUUUAAAACAAAUUAUUUUUUAUUUUCUUCAUUAUUUCUUUCCUUUUUUUUUUUUUUUUAUGAUAUCUCAUAUGGCAUAUAUGAGAAAACUCCUAACUUUGUAUAAGUGUGGGUUCAUAUUAAUAAUAUAGAUAAACUUUAAAAUAGUGAGGAUCCCUUCAAACUCAGAAUAAAUAAUAUGUGUACUGUUGGAUAUGGAUAGUUACAUUCUCUUCUUUUUUUUUCUAUUUGCUUUAUCUUGGCUCCUCAUAAUUAGCCAAAUGUCCAUCCAAAAGACUUGGACGUAAAGGAAAAAAAGUAAAAUGAAUAAAGCAGUGGAGCAUAAAUAAUACAUUGGUUAUAAGGUUGAAUGAGAAGUGAGAACAGAUGGCACCACAUUUUAUAUUGACAACGACCGCAUUUUAUGGGAAGUAUUAUUUAAUACUUGUCCACCAAUUACAUAAUAUUAUUCAGUGCCCAUGUGACUCAGCAACGAUCUAUUUUUUCUAAGUCUCUUAGACUUUUACGUAUUAAUUUUUUAUCAUAUUCAUUGUUUUUAGAUUUAAUAAUUAUACAUUUACAACUACUUUAUAGUAAAAAUAUAAUAUUAUUUAUAAAUUAAUAAAUUAUUUAUUUAUCAAUAAAUUAAUAAUCCUACAAAAAUGAUAAAUUCUCUUGGUUCCAAGAGUAUUAUUUUACUGUAGUUGGAGAGACACCCAUUCCUUUACUGAUAUUAUUGGAAGAGAUGAAAGCAAAAAGGGUGUGAUACGGAAGUUGUUUUCAUUUAAGAAUAAAUCUUAAAGUUGUUGCCAUACUUGGUACUGGGGGCUGGUUAAGGCCACCCUUGCUCUCAAUUGGUCUACAAUGAGAGUUUAAGACCAAAAUAAUCCAUUUGUAAAAAAAAUGACAAUAAUAGUACCGAUCUCAAAAUAUUUGUCAAAAUAAUCUUUUGUAUCCACGUAAGCAUUCACAUGGAUUUUUUUUUAAGUGUAAAAAACCACCGUUGAUAACUAUGGUUUUAAAAGUUUCAAAAAUAUCUUUAAAACCACAGUUUGUAACUGUGGUUUUACAAUUUUUCUUAAAACCACAGUUAGUAACUGUGGUUUCAAAUUUAUUUUUAAUUCACCCCGUUUGAAUGGUAGUGUGAUUUUAAUAUUAUUUUUAAAAUAUUUUUUAUCAUAAUAACCAUAAAAUCACAGUUAGUAACUGUGGUUUUAGAAAUAUAAUAAAAACCACAGUUACAGAUUAUGGUUUCACACUUUACCAAAAUUUCUUAACGAUAUACCAAAUUUCCCUAAAGUUCAUUUAGGAGUAGAGAUAUUUUUUUGCAAUUUUUCAUUGUCAGUUUAAAAUUAUUUUUUUUACAAAUUAUUCUUAAUAAAUUUUUUCUUUACUAUUGUUUUAAAAUUAUAUAUAUAUAUUUUUAUCUUUAUUUUUUUUUCAUAUUUUCCUUGAAAUUUUGAGAAAAUAAUUUCUCCUACAUGCAUUCCCAUAAAAAUUUAUAUAUUUAUGGUAAAUAAAAUAUUUAUUUGUUUUAUGAAUUUUAUCACAUAUGAAUUAAAUAAAAUUAUUUUUUCAUAUUAUUUUUAAAUUUUAAAAUAAUUAAACAAAUUGUUUAUAUUAUUUAAAUUUUAUAUUUUCAAAUAAAAAAUAAUAUCAAUGAUUAUAAUUUUAGGUUAUUUAUUACUAAUUGUGGUUUAAUGGUUAUUAUGAUAAAAAAAAAUAUUUUAUCAUUAAAAUGGAGGUGGAUUAAAAAUAAUUUUGAAACCACAGUUAAUAAUUAUGGAUUUAAGGAAAAUUGUAAAACCAUAGUUACAAACUAUGGUUUUAAGCAUAUUUUUGAAACUUUUAAAAUCACAGUUACCAAUGAUAGUUUUUUACACUUAAAAAAAAAAUUCAUGUGAAUGCUUACGUGAAUAUAAAAGAUUACUUUGACAAAUAUUUUGAAAUGGGUACUAUUCCUACCAUUUUUUUUUACAAAAUGAUUAUUUUGGUUUUAAACUCCUAUGAUGAUGAAAGAGUGGUACAAUACUUGAGUCUAUGCGACACCUCAAACCCUGAGGAUAAGGGUACCGUGGUCAAAGUCAAAAUCUAAAUCAUCAAAUUUAAAGCAGCUUCUAAUGGAAGCAUUCAUCCUACACUAAUACCUCCUCAUUGAUAUCACGUGGGGAAUAAUAUAAAAGAGUUUAACUCCAUAUAUAGUAUCGAAUUAUAUCUUGGGAGAUAUCACCUUUUUUAAUAAAAAUCAAUUAGUAUGUAAGCUUAUUUAAUUCAAUUUCUUUGAAAAAAUUUACACUUUCAAUUUAACGAUAAAACAACAUAAUAGUUGUAGUAGAGUAAUUGAAAUGUUUUACAUAGAUUCACGGGCUGAUCUAAUGGAUUGAAAAAUAAACCUAUUUUUGGGUCUGAUUGAUUUUAUUUUAUUUUUAACAAUUAUGUAAUUGAGUUAUCCUUGUACCAAUUACUCAACCAAUUGGAUUGACCAUCAAUGUGAUUGACUACUUUUGAUAUAAGCGGGUCAAUGCAUCAUCAUCAUGUGGGUUAGGAGUAGUGUUAAAGCCGAAAGUCGUGAAUAAUUGAGUCUAUUACCAUUGAGUUAAUACCUUUAAAAAUACUUUUAGAAUUGGAUCAGUUUUUAAAUCGAAAAAUUUAAUAGUACAUGGUUUAUUGAUUGGACUAAUGGUUAAAUCGUGAUCAAAUAAUUAUAUUAUAAACUAUGCAUCAAUUUUGAUAAACCUUACAAAUGGCUUAGUAGUAGUGUUCCCAUUACUCACAGAUUAGCUAGACAUGUGCACAAAUCUGGCCCUUACAAAAGGGAUUGUGUUUCUUUUUUUUUUUUCACCUUGGUUCAAACUUAGAUAGAUUUAACUUUAAACUGACAAUUUUGAAGUAGAAUUUUUCAAUACUUCUGAAAUAUGAAAACGAACAAUUUUGAUUUUUUUUUUUUUAAUUUUAAAGGGAUAUUUGCAUAAGUAUUCAUAAUUUUUGCAUACAAUUGUGAAGCGUGACACUUUCAAAUUUAAAUAAGUAUUUUUCUUUACAUUUCAAUUUUUUUUUUAAUUAGCUAUUCAUUGACUUUUUAACAAGCUUAAGAGCAAAAUGUUUGAGUUUUGAAUGUAUAAAACAUGUCAAAGAUUAAAGGAGAAGAAAGAAAGUAUUUAAAUCUAAAAUUUAUUUCAAUAUACGUUAUUAAUAGUAAAAUAUCAUAUUUUACUCUUUAAUAAAUUAAAAAAAUCUAAAAACUUAUAUUUUAAAGUUUUUAAGAAUUUUUAUAACUAAUUAUAACUUUAAUAAUAUGUAAAAUUUACAUUUAAUUUUAUAUUGAUAUCAUGAAUUUAUAUUGGUCUCACAAUUAGAUAGUGAUUGAAUCAUGGAUCCAACUAGUCCAAUAACUUUUCGGAUACACUAACCCAUUCGAUUAUAAAAACAUAAUAAUAACUAUAAAAUUUUAUAUAUAUUAUCACAUUUACAAGUAAAAAAUCAUGCACGAUUUCAGACUUGAUUCUUUUAUACAUUUGAGUGAUAUUAGAGGUUGAAUUUUUUAUCUUAAUAUAUAUUAAUGCCUAUCAUGAAUACACAUUUGAGUGAUAUUGGUGGUUGAAUUUUUUAUCUUAAUAUAUAUCGAUGCCUAUCAUAAAUAAAAAGUAUGAAGACAUAAUACAACUGUAUUUGAGUUGUAGAAAGCAUGGUGUUUCCCACGUCCCUACCUAUGGAAUUAUAAAAUUCACACCAAGAAUGCAUCAUCAAAUGACCACAUCCACUGCAUGUGACCCCCAUGUGAUAUGUCACUACACUCUUUCCCAACUCUUCCAACUUCUUCAUCUAUAUUUUAAUCGACAAGUUUAAAUUUCUUUAAAAUGUUGACAUAGAAUUGAGAAUAAUGCUAAUCACAAUUUUCACACAAUUAAAAGUUUUGUACUUUUUUUUUAUUUAAGGAAUAAUCAUUUUUUUUCCUUAUAUAUAUAGCCUUACUCUAUGAAUGGCCCUUUCUCCUCUUGGCCAAAGGAAAUCCAAAUUAGCUUGAAUUUUGAUAUAAAUGAAGUUGUUCAAUUUGCCUAAUUUUUUUUAUUUUUUUAUUUUACUUUUUAUUGUAAUUUUCUAUUGCUUUUAUAAAGGUUGAGUUUUAUUUUGGAAACUUUUCACAAAAAUACAAGGAAAAAAUAGGGAGAAAAAUAAAAUAUAAAAAAGUUAAAAAAAAAAAAAGAGAGUAGAAAAUAGAUGUAAAAUUAAUAAAUUAUUUUUUCAAAUUUAUUUCAUUUAUAUUUUUUUAUUUAUAUAAAGAUUAAAUAAUUUAAAAUAUAUAGUUAUUUUAAUUAAUUUUAAUAAUUUUGAUUAUAAACCAAAUAUCAUAAAAUUAUUUUUCUUAAUUUUUUUCUUUUCUAUAUAUCUUCCAUAUUCUUUUCUUAAUAAUGCUGUAUCCAUAAUAAUAAUACUUCUGGAUGCUGAGGAAACCCAACCAUAUUUUAUAUCAUGUCACAUGGGGCUUGGAAUAGUUCUAGGUAGACGAGUUAACAAUUGAUUUGAAAUCUUCAACCACUAAUUUAAAUUCUUCACCUAAUCAAUAAUAAAUGUCCAUAUCUUUCUACCAGGCCACAUGCAUGGGACUUCGAAUGGUUUAAAGUGAACAUGUUCCCUGAUUAAUUUGGAGCUUUCACAUAAUAUAUAAUAUUUUUUUUAUUUACAUAAAAUUAAAUAAUUAAAAAAUAUAUAAUUAUUUUAAUUAUUUUGAUUUGAUUUUCUAUUAUAAAUCAAAUACCAGAAAAUAAUUUUUCUUAGCUUUUUUUUUUUUUCUAUAUAUCUUCCAUAUGUGUUUGUUCUUUUUUAGAAAUAUCCCAUAAAAUAUGGACCUUUUCUAAUCAACCAAACACCCAGGAGGAACAAAAAAGAAAAGAAAGAGAGAGAGAGAACUUAGAGAAAAAUAAAAUGAAAAAACCGCUAAAGAUAGUAUACGUUUUAUAUAAAGUUGGAAUAUAAAUAAAUGGACCCACACCCCUUCAACAACCCUUAAUCAUGUUGUAUCCAUAAUAAUAAUUCACAUAUUUUAAUAGAUUUGAAAUCUUCACCCAUUAAUUUAAGUUCUUCAUCUAAUGAAUAAUAAAUGUCCAUAUUUUUCUACGAGGCCACAUAGGACUUUGAAUAGUUUAAAGUGAACAUGUUACCUCAUUAAUUUGGAGACUUUACAUACUCUAUAAUACUAUAAAAUGUUGGAUAGAUCACUAACCUCAUUUAAAUAAUAAAAUCUUCUAAUUCUUUUUUUUUUUUUUCUGAUUUUUACAUGAUUGUGCUUUAUUUUAUAAAUUAAUUAAUAAUUAUAUUUAUUUAUCUUGGCUUCCCGUACAUAUUUUAUGAAAAUAUUAUCCAUGUAUGUAAUACACAAGAUGAAUGCACCCUUACAACUAAAUUCAUCUUUUAAAUUUAAAAAAAAAAAACUAAAAAUUAAUAUUAUUUUACUUAAUAUUUAAGUAAUAAAAAUAACAUAACCAAUUUAAUUUUUGGUUUUUCAUUUUUUUUAAAUUAGUCUUAUAUUUCACAACUUUUCAUCCUUAAUGUGCUACAAAUCUUUUUACCACUAUAAGGGUUAUGAAAUAAAAAUUAUGUGUAUGGAAUAAAUAAGAAAAAGAAAAUUAAAUUGUCUUAUUAUUUUGCAAUGUAGUUUCAUUCCCAAAAUUUCCUCAAAUCUUUUUGGUUAUAUUUGAUUAUUGGAAAAUGAAAAUAAAAAAUAGAAAAAAAAAUAUUAUUCUCUAAUGUUUGGUUUUUACAUUGAAGAUAUCGGAUAUAAUUAAAAUUAGUUAAAAUUUUUUAUAUUUUUAAAUUAUUUAUUUUUUAUGUUGAAAAAUUAAAAUGAAUAAAAUGAGUUUAAAGAACAUACAAAAUAAUUUAUUAAAUUUAAAACUAUCUUUAAUUUUUAUUCAUUUUUUUUUCACAUUUUCUAUUAAACUUAGGAGAACCAAACAUAUUCUUAGUAUUUUUUUUUUUUUUUUUUGUUAAUGUUGUUUUCCCUUGUCUUUUUCCAUAGUAUUUAAAAAUAAUAAAUUUGUUUCCAUUUCUUUUAGGUUAUAUUUGGUUUUUGAAAAAUUUGAGGGAAAAAAAUAAAGAAAAAUUAAAAAUAAAUUUAAAAUUAAUAAAUUAUUUUUAUAUGUUUCUUUAAAUUUAUUUCACUUAAUUUUCUCAAUUAUAUAUAGAUUAAAUAAUUUUAAAAUAUAUUUUUAAUUAUAUUUAAUUUUAAAAAAAUUUAUAGUGAAACCAAUGAGAAAACCUUUUUUAUUUAUUUAUUUAUUUUUCCUAAUAACCAAACCUAACCUUAGGAUUUUUCCAAAUUUCGGAUCCAAAAGUAACUGAAUGUUACGAAAAAAUAUAAAUUGAAUGAAGUACAGGAGCAUAAAUGGUACAUCAAUUUUAUAUUGACUACCUUCUGUACCUUUAAUUGCAGCGUGUUGACUUGUCCACCGAAUCCAUAAUAUCAGCCAGUACCCAUGUGACUUGGCCCAUCUCAUCCACCCCUAUAAAGAUAUCUCUUACUUUGUUCCCUAUUCUCUCACAAUUCCCUCAGCUUCUCAUCUUGUACGUGCUGUAUUUUCUUGGCUUUCUGCUACUUUGAGUUGUUCCAAAAUGGCUGACCAAAUUCCAUUCGGUGUUGUGGAGCACAUUUUGACCAAGUUGGGGUCCAAGGCGUUUCAAGAAAUUGGAUCCAUGUAUGGUGUUCCAAAGGAGCUAACCAAGCUCAAGGACAACCUCGACGUCAUCAAAGGUGUACUUCUGGAUGCUGAGGAACAGCAGCAGCAGAAAACUCGUGGAAUAGAAGCUUGGGUCCAGAUGCUCAAAGGCGCCGUGUAUGACGCAGAUGACUUGCUGGAUGACUAUGCAACCCAUUAUCUACAGCGAGGAGGAUUCGCAAGGCAGGUCAGUGACUUCUUCUCAUCUGAAAAUCAAGUUGCUUUUCGCUUUAAGAUGAGUCAUAGACUCAACGAUAUCAAUGAAAGGCUAGACGCUAUCGAAAAAAAAAUCCCCAUGUUGAAUCUGACUCGACGGGAGGCAAUACGCAUAGGAGUAGAGAAUAGUUGGAGAGAAACCCACUCAUUCUCGUUGCCAUCUGAAAUUGUAGGAAGAGAAGAAAACAAAGAGGAGAUAAUAAGGAAGCUGUCAUCUAACAAUGAAGAAAUUCUUUCCGUUGUUGCCAUUGUUGGCUUUGGGGGAUUGGGUAAGACCACCCUCACUCAAUUGGUAUACAAUGACGAAAGAGUAGAACAUUUUGAGCGUAAGACAUGGGUUUGCAUUUCUGAUGAUUCUGGUGAUGGUCUUGACGUCAAACUGUGGGUCAAAAAGAUUUUAAAAUCUAUGGGAGUUCAGGGUGUGGAGAGUCUGACCUUGGAUGGUUUGAAAGACAAGCUUCACGAAAAAAUAAGUCAAAAGAAGUACUUGUUAGUACUUGAUGAUGUUUGGAACGAAAAUCCUGGAAAAUGGUAUGAAGUGAAAAAAUUGUUGAUGGUUGGUGCUAGAGGUAGUAAAAUUAUAGUAACCACCCGAAAACUUAAUGUUGCAUCCAUUGUGGAAGAUAAGUCUCCCCUUAGUUUGAAAGGUCUAGGAAAAAAGGAGUCUCGGGCUUUAUUUUCAAAAUUUGCAUUUAGAGAACAGGAGAUUUUGAAGCCAGAAAUUGUAGAAAUUGGAGAAGAAAUUGCAAAAAUGUGCAAGGGAGUUCCUCUCAUUAUUAAGACUUUAGCAAUGAUAUUGCAUUCUAAAAGAGAACUGGGAUUUUGGUUGUCUAUUAGAAACAAUAUUAAAAAUUUGCUAUUACUUGGAGUUGAGAACGAUAAUGUUGUACGGGUCUUGAAACUAAGUUAUGAUAAUUUGCCAACACAUUUGAAACAAUGUUUUACAUAUUGUGCUUUAUUUCCAAAAGACUAUGAAAUUGAGAAAAGGUUGGUGGUACAACUAUGGAUAGCACAAGGUUAUAUUCAAUCUUCAAAUGAUAAUAAUGAGCAAUUAGAGGAUAUAGGGGAUCAAUAUGUUGAGGAAUUAUUGUCAAGGUCAUUGUUGGAGAAGGCGGGAACCAAUCAUUUUAAAAUGCAUGACCUUAUACAUGAUCUUGCACAAUCAAUUGUAGGAUAUGAGAUCCUUGUUUUAGAAAGUUAUGUAAAUAACAUUUCACAAGAAGCUCGUCAUGUAUCAUUGUUUGAAGAGGUAAAUCCUAUGAUAAAGGCUCUAAAGGGAAAACCCAUAAGGACCUUUCUAAACCUUGGUGAAGAUUCUUUUAAGGAUAGUACAAUUGUAAAGUCAUUUUUUCCGAGUUUUAUGUGUUUACGUGCAUUGAGUUUAAGUCGUAUGGGUGUAGAGAAGGUGCCAAAGUGUUUAGGCAAAUUGAGUCAUUUAAGGUAUCUUGAUCUUUCCAACAACAAUUUUGAGGUACUUCCAAAUGCUAUUACAAGGUUAAAGAAUUUGCAAACACUAAAACUCAUAUGGUGUCGGCGUUUAAAAAGAAUUCCAGACAACAUAGGAGAAUUGAUCAAUCUUAGACACUUGGAGAAUGAUAGCUGUUUUAACUUGGCUCAUAUGCCACAUGGAAUCGGCAAGUUGACUUUACUUCAAAGUCUACCAUUGUUUGUUGUUGGGAAUGAGACAGGGUGGUUAAGGAAUCACAAAAUUGGUAGCUUGAGUGAAUUGAAAGGCCUUAACCAACUAAGAGGAGGGUUAUGCGUAAGUGAUCUUCAAAACGUGAGGGAUGUUGAACUGGUAUCCAGGGGGGAAAUUUUGAAAGGAAAACAAUAUCUUCAGUCCUUGAGAUUGGAAUGGGAUCGGUGGGGCCGAGAUGGGGGGGAUGAGAGUGAUAAGUCAGUGAUGGAAGGCCUUCAACCACACCAACACCUAAAGGAUAUCUUUAUAGAAGGUUAUGGAGGUACGGAGUUUCCAAGUUGGAUGAUGAAUGAUGGGUUGGGUUCCCUGUUUCCCGACCUAAUUAAAAUUGAAAUUUCGGGAUGUUCAAGAUGCAAAAUUCUGCCACCCUUUUCUCAACUCCCUUCUCUCAAGUCUUUGAAGCUUCAUAAUAUGAAAGAAGUGGUGGAGUUAAAGGAGGGUUCAUUAACAACGCCACUCUUCCCAUCUCUUGAAUCGCUCGAACUCUCUGACAUGCCAAAGUUGAAGGAAUUGUGGAGGAUGGACUUACUAGCAGAAAAACCUCCUUCAUUUUCUCAUCUUUCGAAGUUAUAUAUUUAUGCAUGCUCUGGUUUGGCAUCACUGCAUCCUUCUCCUUCUCUUUCUCAAUUAAAGAUCCAUAAUUGCCCAAACUUGACAUCCAUGGAACUGCCGUCAUCUCUUUGUCUUUCUCAAUUAGAUAUCAGAAAAUGCCCUAACUUGGCAUCCUUCAAAGUGGCUCCAUUACCUUCUCUUGGGAUACUCUCUCUGUUCACAGUUAGAUAUGGUGUGGUACGGCAGAUAAUGUCUGUCUCUGCUUCUUCUUCGUUGCGGUGUCUGUAUAUUAAAAGCAUAGAUGAUAUGAUAUCUCUCCCGAAGGAGUUACUUCAACAUGUUUCUGGCUUGGUAACGUUAGAGAUCCGUGAGUGUCCUAACUUGCAAUCCUUGGAACUGCCCUCAUCCCAUUGUCUUUCUAAAUUAAAGAUUGGAGAAUGCCCUAACUUGGCAUCCUUCAAUGUGGCUUCAUUACCUCGUCUUGAGGAACUAAGCCUGCGUGGAGUCAGAGCAGAGGUACUGAGGCAGUUCAUGUUUGUCUCUGCUUCUUCUUCAUUGAAGUCUCUACAUAUACGGAAGAUUGAUGGUAUGAUAUCUCUCCCAGAGGAGCCGCUUCAAUAUGUUUCCACUCUCGAAACUCUCCACAUUGUUAAGUGCUCUGGUUUGGCAACAUUACUACACUGGAUGGGCAGCCUUUCCUCGCUUACGGAACUUAUUAUUUAUGACUGCUCUGAAUUGACAUCACUGCCAGAAGAGGUCUAUUCCCUUAAAAAACUGCAGACAUUUUAUUUCUGUGAUUAUCCACACCUAGAGGAAAGAUACAACAAGGAAACAGGUAAAGACCGGGCCAAGAUUGCUCGUAUCCCACAUGUUCGUUUCAACAGUGAUACCUAUAUGGUAAUGAAGGUAGGUCCGAAAUCCCUAACCUUUCUUCCCAUUUUUAUUAUUUAAGAAUCAAAAUGCUAUGUUUGUUUUUACUGCUCACAUUAGUAAUUUUGAAAUUUUUUUCCAGCUAGGAUGCGCUUUCCGAUGAUGUGCACUAAACUAACCAUUUUACUUGGAGUUGUACAUUCUAAGAGUUUGAGGAAAUACUGAGGUCUGAUAUGAUAACUCUCAAUCUUAAACGUUGUUUUGUGUUUGGAACGUUACUACACUUGAUACAUACCCUCACCUCACUUACAGAGCUUGGAAAUCGUGGCUGCCCUGAAUCGACGUCACUGUCAGAAUAUAUGUUCCCUCAAAAACCUGCAGACACUAAAUAAUCUGCAUCUGUUCACAGAAAGAUGCUGAAAGGAAAGGUGAAGACUAACCCAAGAUUGCUCAUAUGCCACAAAUUGAUAUCAUACAUCCAUGAAGAUUGAACCGAUACACAAUGCCUUUCAGGUCCGAAAUCCCUAACUUUUCUUCUCAUUUUCUAUGACUUCAUUUUCAUUAUCUUACUUUUAAAAUGCUCUGUUUUCAUUUGUUUUGGUAGUUCUUUGUAUUUGUGACUUACUUGUUUGAAAACUUUUACAUCUUCAAAUUAUUUUACUGUAAGUGUUUUGCAUUCUAAGAGUUUGAGGAAAUACUGAGCUCUAAUAUAACUAGUAGAGUCCACCAUUCCUAAGAAGCUUACCAUUGCCUAAUGCCCAAAGGAUCCCAAAAGGAGACAACUUUGGAUUGGCUUGAAGAUUUCACGUGGUCCAAAAAUUUGUAUUUACUAGACGCCUGAUACAAAAAGUAGUUUAAAUUUAGCCAUUAAUAUAACUUUUUUAUUAGAGAAAUAAUUGCCAAACAAAUGCAAAAUAGAAAAUGGUGUUAAUGAAUUCAGUACUUCAUCUAUGUUGCAGUUUAGCAGCUUUUGUUAGAUAAUGAGUAUGGGGUUGGGUUUAUCUUGUUACCAUUCCAAAUAUUCUUAAAAAAAUCAUCAAGGCUUUGUUUGGUUUCUUGAAAAUUUGAGGGAAAAAAUAGAGAGAAAAAGUGGAAGGAAAAAAAAAAGUGGAAGUCAAUAAAUUAUUUUUAUAUUAUACUUUAAACUCAUUUCACUUUUUUUAACUCUUUGAUUUAAAGAUUAAAUAAUUUGAAAAUGUAUAAAUUUCUAAUUAAUCUUAAUUAUAUUUUAUUUUCUUUGCUAUUUUCCAUAGGACAAUUAAACUUGAGAAAAUCAUUUUCCUUAACAUUAUUUUCUUAGUACUUUUUGGGAACCAAACAUAACCUAAAUGUUUUAGUUUAGUUUAGCAGCUUCAUCAAAUUAGAUAGACAACCUCACAUCUCUUAUUUAGCUGAGGUGCUAUGUUAGUUAAUGUUUUGUCUCUACUUCUUCAUUGAAGUCUAUCUAUUGGAUGCAGAGAUGAUAUGAUCCAAACUCAAAUUGAACACUGCUCUUGUUUUGCAACACUACUGCAUUGGAAAGGCAACUUGAACUCACUUAUAGACCUACCUAUUGGUGAUUGCAUUGAAUUGACGUCACCUUGGAAGAGAUGUGUUCCACAUGGAAAAUCUUUCAUUAUAUGCACCUACUUGCAAGAUACCAAAAGGAAACAGGUGAAUACUUGCCCAAGAAUACAGAGGGCCACACUUGGUGAAGGUUUCAUCAGUAAGGAGAACCAUUUCAAGUAUGAAAUCCUCCCUUCUCAUUUUCUGAUGACUUCAUUUUUAUUCAAUAUCCAUUUGAAAUUAUUUAAGUUCAUUUUCUUUAUAUAUUAUAUUUUCUUUCUUGCUCAAUAAUUUCAUUCAAGUAAGUUGUUUGGAUAUCACAUUUUCUUUGGGGUUUUUUUUUUCUUUUUAGAAUAAUUUCAAAAGGUCAUUUUUAACUAUUCACAAAAUUUGAUCAUAGUUGAGUGAUUAAAAUUCAAGUUUAUUCUUAUUAUCAUUAGUAGUUAUUUGAUAUAUUCGUUUGCUAAUACAAAAAUAAGACUAACAAGUAAUGUGCAUAGAGUUUGUAGAAGAGAAGAAAGAUUUGAUCCAAGAUAUUCCUAAAGAUCGGAAACUUUCAAAGCCACCCAAGAUCCCAUAGGUUGAAUUCGGAUUCAUCCAGUUUACAAUCCAUUAAUUCUACUUAUAUCAUCUUUGUUAUGUUACAAUUUGCCUUUACUUGUUAUGCAGCCUACCUUAAUAAUUUGGGGAGACCAAGAUAAGGUAUACCUAGUAGAACUGGCUCACAAAUUGAAAAGGUAAACUUGUAUCACCUGCCUACAUGCCUACAACAAUAUAAACACUAGUUCGUGUCUUUCUCACUAUUGAAAUUGUUAUUGCAUGCAGGCAUUUCAGGUGAGGAGGCCCAACUUGUGAUCAUAGAGCAUACUUUUAUUAUAGAGAAGCCCAAGGAAAUAUUUAAGCACUUGAAAUCCUUUCUCAUUGAUUUGCUUCCACCUCCUAAGCAACACCUAGAACCACUCCCACCAUGACGAAGUUAAAAGGAACUAAUGCAACAUUCUCAAUAUAUUAGAAUAUAUCGAAGGAAGGGUGGCCACAUAUGAAGACCCUAUUCCAAGGUCAAAUUUAAGAUUUUUGUGUUUUUCCUAUCACUAUUCCUAUGCUAUUAUCAGUGCACCUUAUUUGUCAAGAUGAUUAAAAGGGAAUUCCCUAGGAUAACUAGUGUCUCAAGUGAUCUUGAAGUUCAUAAAUUUUUUGUUUCCACAAGAUAGGUGCUAACUAUUUUUAUUUUUUUUACACCCAUGCAAUAUUCUAGUCAUCUAUUAACAAGGGCUAAAAUUUCUUGUAGAGAAUAGAAUAAAGAACUAAAUUACAUGAAAAUAGGACAUUAUUAUUCUAUUUACAAGUAAGGGCCAAAAAUUGUUGAGGGCCACCAAGCACAUUGUUCCUAAAAUAAUAGCAUCCAUGUUGUUGAGCAAAAGUUUUUUUAUAUUGGCACCUCAUAUGUUUGUUUAAAUGCUCACAUCAAUAACUUUGAAAAUAUUUUCCAAAUUUUCAACAAAUUGUAAUGCUGUGCACUAAACUAAUCAUUUUACUUGGAGUUCUACAUUCUAAGAUUUUGAGAAAAAAACUAAGGUCUGAUAUGACAACUCUCAAUCCUAAAUGUUGUUUUGUGUUUGGAAUAUUACUGCACUUGAUAGAUGCCCUUACCUCUCUUACAGAACUUGGAAUUCAUGGCUACCCAGAAUUGGCAUCCCUGCCAGAAGAUAUGUUCCCUCAAAAGCCUGCAGAAACUAAACAAUUUGCAUUUGUUCACACUUAGAGGAAAGCUGCUGAAAGGAAAAGUGAAGACUAACCAAAGAUUUCUCAUAUCCCACAAAUUGAUAUCAUACAUCCAUGAAGAUUGAACUGAUACAGAAUGCCUUUCAGGUUUGAAAUCCCUAACUUUUCUUCUUAUUUUCUAUGACUUCAUUUUUAUUAUCUUCCAUUCAAAAAUCCUCUGUUUUCAUUUGUUUUGGUAGUUCUUUUUAUUUGCACCUUAUUUGUUUUAUUAAAUGCUUACUCCAGUAAGUUUGAAAAUUUUUACAUCUUCAAAUCAUUUUGCUUGAGUAUUUUGCAUUCUAAUAGUUUGAGGAAAUAUUGAGCUCUAACAUAAAUAGUAUUGGUCAUAGAGUCUUCCUUUCUUAAGAAGCUUACCAUUAACCUAAUGGCCAAAGGAUCCCAAAAGGAAAUGAAUUUGGGUUGGCUUGAAGAUUUCACAUGGUCCAAACAUUCGUAUUUACUAGAUGCCUGAUACAAAAGAAAUUUUGCUCUCUUUUCAAUUUAGCCAUUGAUGUAGUCUAAAUGUUUUAUUAGAGCAAUAAUUGUCGAGUAAAUGCAAAAUAGAGAAUGGUGUUAAUGAAUUCAGUACUUCAUUUAUGUUGUAGACUUGUAGUUUAGCAGCUUCUGUUGAUAAUGAGUGUGAGGUUGGCUUUAUCAUGUCACUGUUCCAAAUAUUCUUAAAAAAAAUAAUUUAAGCUCUGUAUGGUUCUUAGAAAAUUUAAGGGAAAAUGUGAGGAAAACAAAAUAGAGAGGAAAAGUGGAAGGAAAAAAAAGUGAAAGUCAAUAAAUUAUUUUUGUAUGCUACUUCAAACUCACUUCACUUUUUUUUAACUCUUCAAUAUAAAGAUUAAAUCAUUUGAAAAAUGUGUAAAUUUCUAAUUAAUUUUAAUUAUAUUUGAUUUUCUUUGGUAUUUUCCAAAAGACAACCAAAUAUGAGAAAAUCAUUUUCCUUUACAUUUUUUUUCUUAGUACUUUUAGGGAACCAAACAUAACCUAACUGUUUUAGUUUAGUAGUUUCAUCAAAUUAGAUAGACAACCUCACAUCUCUUAGUGAGCUGAGGUGCUAUGUCAAUUAAUGCUUUGUCUCUACUCUUCAUUGAAGUCUCUAUCUAUUGGAUGCACAGAUGAUAUGAUCUAAACUCAAAUUGAACACUGUUCUUGUUUUGCAACAUUACUGCACUCGAAAGGCAACUUCAACUCACUUAUAGACCUUCCUAUUGGUGAUUGCACUGAAUCGACAUCACUUUGGAAGAGAUGUGUUCCACACAGAAAAUCUUUCAUUAUAUUCACCUACUCGCAAGAUACCAAAGGGAAACAGGUGAAUACUUGCCCAAGAAUACAAAGGUCAUACUUGGUGAAGGUUCCAUCAAUAAGGAGAACCAUUUCAAGAAUGGAAUUCUCAUUUCUUCUCAUUUUCUUAUGGCUUCAUUUUUAUUCAAUAUCUAUAUGAAAUUAUUUAUGUUCAUUUUCUUUAGAUAUUACAUUUUUUUGCUUUCUCAAUAAUUUCAUUCAAGUUCUUUUGGAUAUCACAUUUUCUUUGGUGUUUUUUUUAGAAUAAUUCAAAAUGUCUUUUUUAACGGUUCACAAAAUUUGAUCACAGUUGAGUGAUUAAAAUUCAAGUUUAUUAUUAUUAUUAUUAUUGGUUAUUUGAUAUAUUUGUUUUCUUAUACAGAUAAAAGACUAGCAGCUAUUGUGCAUAGAAUUUGUAGAAGAGAAUAAAGAUUUGAUCUAAGUUAUUCCUAAUAGGUUGAGGAAUUCAUUCUUGUAAAAAUUGAGUGUUAAAGCCUUCAAGAGGUUUGAAUCUUGAAGAAAUUAUGUGAGAGCCCAUUGGAGCCAGAAUCCAAGUGUAAAGGAGAUUGGAAGCUUUGUUGAAACUUCAAGUUAGUGGAACCCUCACUCGGUUAGGAGAUUGAGGAGAGUGGAUGUAGGCAAGGAAAUGCCGAACCACUAUAAAAUCCAAGUUUAAAUUCUCUAACUCUAUCUCUUUAUUUUUUUAUUAUAUUGUACUUGAAUUUGUUGUGUUGAAAAAGUUUUUGAAAAACCCAAUUCACCUUCCUCUUAGGUGUUUUUCUCAUUUAAGCAUAGCCUUUAUUUUCUCACACUUGAAAUCCUUUCUCAUUAAUUUGCUUCCACCCCAUAAGCAACCCUCGAAACCACUUACACCAUGACAAGGUGAAAAGAAACUAAUGCAACAUUCUCAAUAUAUAAGAAGAUAUCAAAGGAAGGUUGGCCACAUAUGAGGACCCUGUUUCUAAGGUAGAAUUUUAGAUUUUUGUGUUUUUCCUAUCACUAUUCCUAUACUAUUACCAGUGCACCUUAUUUGUCAAGAUCAUUAAAAGGGAAUUCCCUAGGAUAACUACUGUCUCAACUGAUCUUGAGGUUCAUAAAUUUUUAGUUUCCACAAGAUAGGUGCCAACUAUUUUUAUUUUUUUUACACCCAUGCAAUAUUCCAAUCAUCUAUUAACAAGGGCUAAAAUUUCUUGUAGAGAAUAGAAUAAAGAACUAGAUUACAUGAAAAUAGGACAUUAUUAUUCUAUUUACAAGUAAGGGCCAAAAAUUGUUGAGGGUCAUCAAGCACAUUGUUCCUAAAAUAAUAGCAUCCAUGAAGAUUGAACUGAUACAGAAUGCCUUUCAGGUUUAAAAUCCCUAACUUUCCUUCUUAUUUUCUAUGACUUCAUUUUUAUUAUCUUACAUUAAAAAAUCCUCUAUUUUCAUUUGUUUUGGUAGUUCUUUUUAUUUGCACCUUAUUUGUUUUAUUAAAUGCUUACUCCAGUAAGUUUGAAAAUUUUUACAUCUUCAAAUCAUUUUGCUUAAGUGUUUUGCAUUCUAAGAGUUUGAGGAAAUAUUGAGCUCUAAUAUAAAUAGUAUUGGUCAUAGAGUCUUCCUUUCUUAAGAAGCUUACCAUUGACCUAAUGGCCAAAGGAUCCCAAAAGGAAACGACUUUGGGUUGGCUUGAAAAUUUCACAUGGUCCAAACAUUUAUAUUUACUAGAUGCCUGAUACAAAAGAAAUUUUGCUCUCUUUUUAAUUUAGCCAUUGAUGUAGUCUAAAUGUUUUAUUAGAGCAAUAAUUGUCGAGUAAAUGCAAAAUAGAGAAUGGUGUUAAUGAAUUCAGUACUUCAUCUAUGUUGUAGACUUGUAGUUUAGUAGCUUCUGUUGAUAAUGAGUGUGGGGUUGGCUUUAUCAUGUCACUGUUCCAAAUAUUCUACAAAAAAAAAUCAUUUAAGCUUUGUUUGGUUCUUAGAAAAUUUGAGGGAAAAUGUGAGGAAAAUAAAAUAGAGAGGAAAAGUGGAAGGAAAAAAAAGUGAAAGUCAAUAAAUUAUUUUUGUAUGUUACUUCAAACUCACUUCACUCUUUUUAACUCUUCAAUAUAAAUUUCUAAUUAAUUUUAAUUAUAUUUGAUUUUCUUUGUUAUUUUCCAAAAGACAACCAAAUAUGAGAAAAUCAUUUUCCUUAACAUUUUUUUUUCUUAGUACUUUUAGGGAACCAAAUAUAACCUAAAUGUUUUAGUUUAGUAGUUUCAUCAAAUUAGAUAGACAACCUCACAUCUCUUAGUGAGAUGAGGUGCUAUGUCAAUUAAUGCUUUGUCUUUACUUCUUCAUUGAAGUCUCUAUUUAUUGGAUGCACAGAUGAUAUGAUCCAAACUCAAAUUGAACACUACUCUUGUUUUGCAACAUUAUUGCACUCAAAAGGCAGUUUCAACUCACUUAUAGACCUUCUUAUUGGUGAUUACACUAAAUUGACAUCACUUUGGAAGAGAUGUGUUCCACAUAGAAAAUCUUUCAUUAUAUGCACCUACUCGCAAGAUACCAAAGGGAAACAGGUGAAUACUUGCCCAGGAAUACAAAGGCCAUACUUAGUGAAGGUUCCGUCAAUAAGGAGAACCAUUUCAAGUAUGGAAUUCUCAUUUCUUCUCAUUUUCUUAUGGCUUCAUUUUUAUUCAAUAUCUAUAUGAAAUUAUUUAUGUUCAUUUUCUUUAGAUAUCACAUUUUUUUGUUUUCUCAAUAAUUUCAUUCAAGUUCUUUAGAUAUCACAUUUUCUUUGGUGUUUUUUUUAGAAUGAUUCAAAAUGUCUUUUUUAACGAUUCACAAAAUUUGAUCACAGUUGAGUGAUUAAAAUUCAAGUUUAUUAUUAUUAUUAUUAUUAUUAUUAUUAUUGGUUAUUUGAUAUAUUUGUUUUCUAAUACAGACAAAAGACUAGCAACUAAUGUGCAUAGAAUUUGUAGAAGAGAAUAAAGAUUUGAUCUAAGCUAUUCCUAAAGACCAAAAACUUUUAGAGCUACCCAAGAUCUAUCAGGUUGAAUUUUGAUUCACCUAGUUUACAAUCCACUAAUUAUCCUUAUAUCAUUUUUGUUAUGUUACAAAUUGCCUUUACUUGUUAUGCAACCUAUCUUAAUAAUUUGGGAAGACCAAGAUAACUUCUUCCUAGUAGAACUGGCUCACAGAUUGAAAAAGUAAACUCAUAUCACCUAUCUACAUGCUCACAACAUUAUAAACACUAGCUCAUGUGUUCCUCACUAUUGAGAUUGUUGCUACAUGCAGGCAUUUUGGGCGAGGAGGCCCGACUUGUGAUCAUCAAUAACACAAGGCAUGCUUUUAUACAGAGAAACCCAAAGAAACAUUUAAGCACUUUGUUAGCCCAAGGAUUCUCCUAAUCAGGUUUUGAUGAUAACAAACCAUGGUUAAGUGACUAAUUGGUUUGAAUGGUAAAAAAUCUUAGGUAUAAAUUUGGAAAUUCAUCAAAGGAUCAAAUGGAUACAAGAUCGAGACUUUUGGAAGACUUUUGAUCAUAGGAAACAAAUGUAAGAUGAAUGCAUGGGUGCACUUAGGUUUUACAUAUCUUUUCAUGAAGCUUUGAAAACUCGGUUUAUUCCUUAAAAUUACGAUUUCAUUAAAACCCGAGUUUUAUCAAAUGUACUUUAGGCAAAGCGUUUCAAAAUUGGCAUAUUAAUUUACCUAAAGAUCUUGCCUAAGUGUUAGAAAGGAAAAUAAUUGAAAAAUAUAGGUUUUCGGGGCCAAAAGGCUGAACCGAUCGAGGCACAUGCCAACCGACUUAACUAACCAGGGAACCGGUCAAUCGGUUGCUCUUGUCCGACCAAGAUCUGGUCGAGGAGUGUCAAAAACACUCUUUCUCAUCCAGUAGCCUUCUCUUCCCAGUCGAGGUACUCUCCUACCUCUGGUCGAGGUUCAGUCGAGGCAACGGUAACCUGCCAAAGCAUUAAAUGCUCCAACGGCUAGUGAACCAUUUGACCCCCAGCUCGACCGGUUGAGGCUAUUUUUUGCUAUUUUUGGCUCCUGAGCUUAGAAACCAAUAAAUUGAGAGCUCCACUUCAUUUAUGACAUAGAGAACACUUGCAAUCAAUUGUCUACCCAUUUAUUCUUGCCUUAAAAGCUCUCAUUUAUUUCUUAGUGCAUUAAAUCCUCACUUGCAUAUCCUUUAGUGCACCCUUGUGAAUCAUCCUAGCUUUGAUGUGUAUUUGAGUUAUCAUUAAGUUAGAUUGAGGGAUUCAUCUUGUAAAAAUUGAGUGUUAAAGCCUUCAAGAGGUUUAAAUCUUGAAGAGAUUAUGUAAGAGCCCAUUGGAGCCAGAAUCCAAGUGUAAAGAAGAUUGGAAGCUUUGUUGAAGCUUCAAGUUAGUGGAACCCUCACUCGGUUAGGAGAUUGAAGAGAGUGGACGUAGACAAGGAAAUGUCGAACCACUAUAAAAUCCGAGUUUAAAUUCUCUAACUCUAUCUCUUUAUUUUUUAUUAUAUUGUGCUUGAAUUUGUUGUGUUGAAAAAGUUUUUGAAAAACCCAAUUCACCCAUCUCAUAGGUGUUUUUCUCAUUUAAGCAUAGCCUUUAUUUUCUCACUCUUGAAAUCCUUUCUCAUUAAUUUGCUUCCACCUCAUAAGAAACCGUCGGAACCACUUACACCAUGACAAGGUGAAAAGAAACUAAUGCAACAUUCUCAAUAUAUCAGAAGCUAUCAAAGGAAGGUUAGCCACAUAUGAGGACCCUGUUUCUAAGGUAGAAUUUUAGAUUUUUGUGUUUUUCUUGUCACUGUUUCUAUACCAUUACUAGUGCACCUUAUUUGUUAAGGUGAUUAAAAGGAAAUUCCCUAGGAUAACUAAUGUCUCAGAUGAUCUUGAGGUUCAUAAAUUUUUGGUUUCAACAAGAUAGGCAUCAAACCAUUUUUAUUUUUUUCUACACCCAUGCAAUAUCCCAUUCAUUUAUUAAUAAGGGCUAAAAUUUCUUGUAGAGAAUGGAAUAAAGAACUAGAUUAAAUGAAAUAAGACAUUAUUAGUUUAUUUACAAGUAAGGGCAAAAAAUUAUUGAGGGUCAUUAAGCACAUUGUUCCUAAAAUAAUAGCAUCCAUGUCAUUGAGCAAAAGUUUAUUGCAAUUACAUUAGCAUAUAAAACAAAACUAUUUUUUAUUUAUUUAUGUUCACACCUUAUCCAUUUGAUAAAAUGCUUAAACAAGUAAGUUUGAAUUUUUUUUGUCUUCAAAUCAAUUUAAAUUUUACAUUCAAAAGUUGAAUUAAUUUUUUUUUUUUUGGAAAAUUUAACUGCACUUUAGAAGUUUGUGAUUAUUCUUUGGUCCAUCUUAAAACGAGUUCCUGCAUUCUUCCAUUCCUCAAAUUAAAAUCACAAUAAAACGUUUUAGAUUGACCUAAAAUUUUCUCAUGGCCUAGAAAUUCAUAUCUACUAGAUGGCUAAAGCAAAAAACACUUCUACCUUGUAUUUUAAGUAAUCCCUGCUUGCUAUUUGUUUAUUGAGAGCAUCAUACAAGUUGUGAUUAUAUUUCUUAAUUUUUUUUAUAUGAUAAGACGGUAACUGGAUUGAGAAAGAUGCAACUUGUAGAGCAAAAAAUUUCUUAACUACUUCCAUUGUAUUUGCUUUGUGUGUAUCAACUGUUCUGUUAAUUAUUUUUUAAAAAUAUCACUAAAACAAACCUAUUAUGUCAAUGCUCUCUAUUGUUAUGUAUCAUAAUUUAGCUAUUUUUUCCCUAGAAAUCAUUCUUGUUAUCGUGGUAAUCAGUAGGUAGCAUAAGAACUAUUUUGUUCUAGUUAUUUUGUAUUGCCAUUCUUCAUGUUUUAAAAUAUUGUCAGACUAGCAAUUUUACUGCAGAUAUAAUGUUCUCAAAUCAAUGCAAAAAGGGACGAUUGUGGGGCUUGGGCACAACCUUCCUUGAAUAGUUGAAUUGAGGGUUUCUAUAAACUAGGUCUCUAUAUCAAUAGAUUCUACAUUUCAUCACUAUGGAGACCUUACAAUAAAUAUCGCAAAAAGCUUCAUUUACUACAUAGUAAGGAUAAUCCUAAGGACUUAAAAGCUUGAGUUGUCUCUUCCAUGGCAGCUUCAGAUCUCUUAAUAAGCUCCAAGUCAUUGUCUACCUUGAAUAUAAAUCAGUGCUAGAAGUAUGUGCCCUCAACAUUCCUAUGUUCCCGAUAUUGACUAGAUAUUUGUUGCUAAUUCAUGAAGAAUUGAAGGGGUCUUUGAUAAUGACAUCUAUAAUGUACUUCAAGUUCAUGAUCCAAACCCUCUUCUUGUUUUCAAUAACUUCAUUUUUUUAUAUUACUUUGUGGUCAAUGUUAUAAGAAUGUUGUAUUUUGUUUACCUGAUUCUCAUCCAUCAACACACAUGAAAGGAAAAGUUUUACAUUUCUUUCCUUCCCUUUGCUCUGUGUUUGUAUAUGUUUAUGCAGCUAAUGCGAACUUCCAUCGUAACUUUUUAAGUUUUUUCAUUCUCGAGUUUGGGAAACAAAUGGAUUUGAUUGUAAUAUUUUCUUGUAGAUAUCACCUUUCUUAAAAAGCUUGUAUUUAUUCACAUUUUCAAGAUGUCUAAGUCAUCUGAUUAUGCUUAGAACUUUUGGUUUCUAUUAAAUUCAGGUAUGAUGUUUGCAAUUCUAACCCCCUUACUCCUCUUGAAGACUACAUAAGUUUCUAGUGCUUUUACUUUAAUGGUUAUGGUCAAUGUAUCCUCUUGUUACUUCCUGCUUGCAUUCUAUAUGUUCAAGAGCUUUAUUAAAGUAAUUAUUUUAUUGAAGAUAUAAUUAUUUUCAAGUCAAAUCAAAAUUGAAUAAUGACGUGGUUUCAACAACUUCUCAAAAGUAAUUGGAAAGUAAGGAACUUUGUGGUAGUAUUCUGAUAUCACAUUGGGUCUCCAAAUUGUUGUCUUGAAUUGACAUAAAUAACAUAAUUUCUUUCCAGUUGAGCUGCUUCAACAUGUUAUUAUGCUUCAAACUCUUUCAAUUAUGUGUUGUUUAGGUUUGGCAACAUUAGUACACUGGAUAUGUUGCCUCGAGUUACUUACAUAACAUAAAAUUCAUCUUUGUUGUUAACUGGCAUCACUACCACAAGAUGAGUUCCCUCAGCAUUCUACAGACAACUAUAAUUUGGGACAAUUCUGGUUUGGCAACAUUAUCAGAGUUGAUAGGCAACCUAUCUUCAUUAACAAAAACCUUUAAAUUUAUAUUUAUCCCGAACUAGCAUCACUGCUGGAAGACGUGCAUCCUUAGCACCCUAUAACCACUCACAAUUGGAGACUGUUAUGGUUUGUAAACAUUCAACAGACUUGAUAGGUAACCUUGCACCAAUUACAGAGCUUCAAAUUCAUGGCUAUCUUGAAUUGACAUCACUUUCAAACUAGAUGGUUCAUCCAAACCUCAGUUGACACCCAUAAUUCAAGACUUCUCCAUUUUGGCAAUGAUAGCAAAUUUGAUAAGCAUCCCUACUUCACUUACAUACACUAAAAUUGAUAGCUACCUCGGAUUCACAUCAUUGUCACAAGAGAUUGGUUCCUUCAUAUCCCUGCAAACACUUGUGAUCUUUUAUCGUCCAUGUAUAUUAGAAAGACUUAAAAGGGAAAUAGGUGAAGAUUGGACCAAUAAUCUUCAGUCCUAAAUAUUGAUAUUUGGUGAAGAUUGGACUAAUAUAAAGUUAGUUCAGGUUUGAAAUCCCAAUCUUUCUUCUCAUUUUUUAUGGUUUUGUUUUUAUCAAUAUGCUUUGUUUACAUUCUAUAUGGUAAUUUUAUAUGUAUUAGCAUAUAGAUCAAAAAGGACUUAGAUGAUUAAUUUGAAAAGUUUGCAUCCUCAAUUAAUUAGUAAUUAAAGACCAAACUGAUCAUAUUACUUUAAGUCUUGCAUUGUAAGAGUUUGGGAAAAUGUUAGGGUUGACUGAACUACUAUUUUAUAACAGAUUUUGCCUUACUCAAGAAUCUUAUGAUUAUCCCUUGGCACAAUCAUUUCUUGUGUCUAAGAAAUUCAUAUCUACUAUAUGGCCAAAGAAUUUAGUAGCAUUCAAAAUUUCUGUUUUCUUUCAAGUUAGGUGUAUUGCUUGCAAUUCUAACAUGUUUCCUAUUUUGAACGUUGUGUUGUUAUUUUACUAUCAAUGUGUUAAGAGCAUUAUACUAUAUUUUCUAUAAUGUUGUUUACUUGUCAUAUGUAUUAUUUAUUUUAUUGCAAAUGUACUUGUUGCCAAGUUAAAGCAAAAGAGGAAAGUGAGGAUUUUUCAUGGACCAAUGCCUCUCUCAAUUGCUGCCACACUUGACUUCUCUCUAAGUUGUUGAAAAUUUAGAAGUGUGGUAGCAUAAAGUAUUCAGCUCAAGUGCUUUAGUGCCUUACUACCCUUGAAGCUUUAGAAGCUGUCAAUACAAUUGGGGUUUCAACAUGUAACCAUUUUGGAAAUUCUAAGAAGUGUAAGUAUUAUGGUUUUACAACUUUAUUAGACUAGAUAGGCAACUUCAAAUUGCUGAAUGCCCUGAAUUAAAAUCACUACUAGAAGGAACCCAUGAGCACUCUAUAGAAACUCAUAAUCCACUACUCUUGCCACUUAUUAAGAAUGCUAAAAGGAAAAAGUGAAGAUUGGCUUGAGCAUGAUUGAUUAAUAAACCACACAUGGUCUCCUUAAUUCAAGUGUGUCAUCUGUUAUAUGUUUCAUGUCAGUAAUCCUACAUUUCUCUUGUUUCUAUUGGCUCUAUUUUUUUUUUAAUUAUUUUACAAUCAAUCUUCUAACAAUGUUCUACUUUUUUUACAAUUUUAUUUUUUUUAUUCUAAAAUGAAUUAAGACAUAUAAAGAAAAAAAUCACCUUGUUUGAUUUUCAUAUACUAUAUGCUUAAAUGUACAUGUGUUAAAAUCUUUUGAUUUUUUAUUGAUUACUUUCUAUUUAAUUUAUUAAAAAUUGUUAGUCUAUUUGGAGAUGAUUUUUUUUUUUCAUAUGUAAUAAGAUACCAACAAAUUGAGUGAGGAGCACAUCUUACUAAGUCGCUUGUCAAUCUAUCCACCUUCCUAAUCUCAAGAUUCUUCAUGUUUGAAUUAAAAUACCAUGAAUUACAAAAACAAAAAAUGAUGAAAAUGAGUAUUUCUCAUCAUCUUCAUUUUUAUUAGAAGGCAAUUUGUAGCAUCCUCUUUCCCAUUCCUAAAAAAUACUACAGCUUUGUAGGUUGAGAAAUUAGACAUGUUUUCUUAAAUGAUCUUCUUGGUCCAUGCAUGCUUAUAUUUGGAAGAUUUUUAAACCAAGUAUUUUAUGACAUAUAUGAUAGCUUUCAAGUUAAUGCAUAAAUGGUGAUGGUUAGGAUGCAAAAUAUAGUCUAUGCUCAACCUAUUUAUUGACAAACUACCAAGGGCUAGUGCUAAGGUAAACACCUAACACUUGCAUCAUACUCUCUCUUCUCUGCUCUCUUUAUUUGUUUUCCAAAGUUCAUAUAUAAUGUCUUUAUCAUUCAAGUUUUCAUUUUCAACCACUUUUUAAACUUUUGUCUUUUUAUGGUUUAUUACACGACAAUCCAUUUCUAAUAAAUCUUAUCUUUUUGUCUUAUAGACAAUAGAACAACGUGGUAAUUGCAUGACAUACAAUUUGUAAUAGAUGGUCAACUAUAUAUUAAGUAAUCUUUAAUUGCCUUGGAGUUGAAACGUUUGAUGUUGAUAAGGUUUGAUAAUUCUCGCUUUGGUGCUUUGUUGGAUUUCAAUUCAGGUGAUUAAUUGAUCUUGUUAUGAUUCUUUGAUUGUUUUUAUAACUAUUGUGAUAAUCAUUCUUAUUUUAUCGUGGUAAUUGACUUCACUGACUUUUUAACAAUUAUAUCAUGAGUGAAAUGCCCAACCUAUUAUUGUUAGUAUUCCAUUAACAUACCUCUAAUGCCACCACUAAUAAACAUCGUGUAUUAAUAUUUAUAACACGUUUCAUUACUGAAAUAAUUAAAUAUUUUCAAAUUUCUUUUUAGAGUGUGAGAAAUAACCAUUAAUCUUUACAACAGCAUAAGUAUCAUUGAUUUGAUAUUGCUUUCUUGAGUAAUUUGGCAAUUUAAUUAUGAAGUUUAGUUGGACAUUACUUGAGAUUCAUGUCUUAUGUAUAUGGUCUAUUUUCCAAGCUUCAAUUAUAUUUAGUAGACUUGUAAGUGGUGUUUGUCUAUGAGUUUCAACUCUAGAAAACUAUUAUUGGAGCCUAAGUUCACUUUCAAUAAGGAAAAAAAAAAAAAAACUCAACCUUUUCCUCAAUUGUGUAAUUUUAUUCACUAUUGACAUGCCCUUAAAUGGCAUUGCUAUUAUUUGUAGGGAACAUUGUCAAGUUCCAUAUUUGUCUAGAAAGUUAGAAGAAGUAUUUAAUUUGACAUGGUUUGGACAUCUUGCUACUAUCUUUUUAAAUUAGUUAUCAAUAAUUUUUCAAAGUUGACCUUUUUGUUUAUCUCAUACUCCUUUUGUAUUAAAAGGUACCGCAUGGGUAUUGUGUAGAGGAAUCAUGCCUUCUUUAAUUGAGGUGAGCCUCUUGCAAAAUAUUUCAAGUUUGCUCUCAUUCCAUUUGUUACUUCAUGUCUAUUUUUUUGUAAUCAAUCAAGCAAGAGUUUCUUACUUGUACAAUGGUGAACUUGCUUGCAUGAAUAAUACUCUUUUUACUAUUUUUUUUCUUUCUUUAUUAUAUUCAUUGAUACACUUAGAAGUGAAUAGUGAACCAGGUUUUUUGUUAAAAGAAAUCAAAUAUUGGUAAUUAUUUAGUAUCAUGUAUAUAAUAAUCAAUUAUUGAUUGUAAAGAUACUUGGCUUAAUCAAUUAUUAUAUUGAAAUCAAUGUAGUACUAUGACUAAUACCAAAAGGAUAAUAUUUAGUCUUGUUUGACCAUUAGUCACUAUUCUAGAGACAAAUGCUCACAAGUUUUGCAUCUUUGAAGCAUAUGAGAAAAGUUGGUUCAACUAUAUCACCAACUUACAAGCUCCUUAUAGUGUCCAUAUAUAUAACCUUCGUUGUUCAGGUUUAUGAUUCAUAUCUCAUUUUUUUUUUUCAUAUUUUUAUUGUUUAUAAUUUUUUAAUUGAUUUGUUUAUAAAUUUUUAAACUUUAUUGGCAAUACUAAUUUUUUUUUUUUAUUCUCAUGUGCAAUGGAAUAAUAAGUUGAAUAAGAAGCAUAAACUACUUAAUUGGUAUAACUGUUUACUCAAUUCUCUUCUCAGAUAUUUUUGUUCAAGGUAAUCAAAGUAUCAUUCUUUUUAUUUUUAAAGGUACUUGAACUCAGUGAGGACCAUUCCCAAAACAAGCAAUAACUACAGUUGGAUUAUUGAUAUCAUAUCCUUGAUUGACAUCUAUGCCAUUAUAUUUGCAUCUAAAGGAUUUAUGAUGAAAAAAAUAUCUUCUUUAUUUCCAUUUUCCUUCCUUCUUUUGACCAUAAUUUGUGUGCUUAUUGAUAGCAUUCAUACCCUAAUAUAUUUGCUAGCAUAUAUAUGCAUGUCAUAAUCUAUUGAUUUUUUUAGCAUAAGGUCUUAGAGUAUUCACAUAUCUCUAGGUUCUAUAUAUUUAUAAUUUUUACAACAUCAAAUGAAGUAUAUGAACCUUAUCUUGAAGGUGAAGUCUCUUUAAAAGGAGUUUCAACAUGUUAGCAAUUACCUAACUUAAUAAUUUAACAAUUUGGCACUAUAUAUAAUUUUGCAACUCUUUCAUAAAGUAAUUGUGUUACCUUUAUUCACAAUUUCUAUCUUUAUUUAAAAAAAAAAAAUGAAUUGGUAAUUGUGUGUCAAAUCUUGCUUACAAUCAUUAAUAGGUACUUAUAUGCUAAAUGGAUAAAGUUAUUUUACAAUUGUUUCAACAUUUUUAGAAUAUAUAUAUAUAUAGAUGUAAUCACUACCAAGCCAAUGCGAAAAGCUAUAACAAUGAGGAUUACAAAGCUUCAAUUAUGUCUUGGAGAUUCAUAUUGACAAGUUGUAAAUGGUGGGUGAAGUCUCUUUAAAAGGAGCUUCAACAUGUUAGCAGUUACCAAACUUAAGAAUCUAACAACUUGGCACUAUAUAUCAUUUUGCAACUCUUUCAUAAAGUAAUUGUGUAACCUCUAUUCACAUGUUCUAUCUUUAAUUUUUUUUAAAAAAAAAAGAAAUUGAAUUGGUAAUUGUGUGUUGAAUCAUUCUUACAAUAUUUAAUAGGUACUUAUACACUAAAUUGAUAAAGUUAUUUUACAAUUGUUUCAACAUGUUCUGAAAACAAAAAAGAUUAAUAAGUAUAUUUUUUCUAAAUGUAAUCACUACCAAGCCAAUGUGAAAAGCUAUAACAAUGAGGCUUACAAAACUUCAACUAUGUUUUGGAGAUUCAUAUUGAAAGUUGUAGAUUAUGGAUGUAUAGUAUAGGAGUUAGAUUGAGUUUAUCAUUCUAUCUUUGACAUCUUAGUUUUCUAUGUAUUGUCCAUCAUAUAUAUUUGUCAUCUAUUCUUUACAACCAAUUUUUUAAGGACUUCUAUGAUUUGUUUAAAUUUAUAUAUUUGUUUUUAUUUGUACUAGAACUUCACCAAGCUACAAAAGCAUCACAAGUUUUGCAAUUGGAGUUCAUGGAUCAGGUAUUUUAGUAGUUUUUGUAUCUGAAAUUUUUUUAUGAUACUAAUGAGGAUGUUUACCUUGAUUAAUUUAACACUUAUAUUGCAAAUAUCUAUAUAGGAGUUCUAUACAUUUAUUUAAACAUUUAUAGACAUAUUUAUCCUCUUUCUAGCACAUUCUAAUGAUAUUUUUAACAUUGAUAUAAAUUGUUUGCUUGAAGGUUUCAACUAUUGAAAAUUAUUAUUCAAGCCUAAUGUUAAUCUUUUUCUAUAGUGGAUUUCAAAUAAUAAAUUCUUAUUUGAUUAUUUGUAGGGAAAAUAAACAACUUCUAUGUUUGAUAAGAAAGAAGAUAGAGUAGAUCAAUUUCACAAUGUACGAAUCCUACGCAUUCUAUACUUUUAAAGAUGGUUACAAUUGGCUUUCUAUACUUAACAAGUACAUCUUAGCUAAAAGUGAAAAAAUGUUUCUCUUUGCACAUGCCUUCACUACUAUUUUAAUUGCUAUCUUAAUAUGUUAUGGAAAAACCACGACAAAUAACAAUAAUAAGGAGAAGAAAUAAAAGAACAAAAAUAUAAAACUUAUAAAGUAGGAUGAUAUAUGUGGUUUGGCCUAAACCUACAUUUAUAUGUGAAAAUGAAGAAGAACUUCUACUAUUAUUAAAGGAGAUUAAAAUCCUAAAGCUUUCAAAUCUCAUGAUUACACUAAAAAUGGACUUUUUUUUUUUUUUAAUCAAAAUCUCUUCCUUUAUUUUCUUGAUUAUAUAAGAAUAUUCUAUAGAGAAUUAAUUGUGUAAUUAUCAAAGAUAACUAUUCCUAAAAGAAAAAUCUUAUAAUAUGAUAUUUCCUUUAGAAUAAAAGAAAAAUCUCUUAUAUAAAUAUAUCAUAAUAGGAAAAUAUUAAAGACUUAUAAAUUGACUCAAAAGAAUUUGAAAUAUUUUUCAACAAUCUCCACAUUGGCUCAAAUUCUCAAUAUUCAAAUAAACUCAAAAUUCUUCUAUGUUACUUUGCUCUUAUGCACCCUUAAGGGGACUUCAAGUAAUAUCAAUACCAAUUAAGUCUAAGCAAUGCAUAAACUUAAUCAUAGAAAUAAGUUUAGCCAUCAUAUCUAUAAAAUUAUCAACUAUAGGGAUCUUUUUCAUUACAUUAGUACCUUGUUCAAUCACAUCUCUAAUAAAAUGUAUUCUAACAUCAAUAUGUUUGGUUCUCUCAUGUAACAUAUGAUUUUUAGUCAAAAGUAUGACACUUGGCUACCAUGAUAACAAUAAUCAAUGAUUGGAACCAAAUAAUUACAUUUUGUGUGCCUAAAAUUAGGCAUUCAUAUUUAAUAUCCAAUUCUAGUUUCAUCCCUUUACUCAAUUUUAUUCCUAAGUCCUUAAUUUUGGGUUUAAUGUAUUUUUUAAAUAUUUUCCUUCUUUUUUGGUAUAUUUAUAUCACAUUUUUGCUAGCCAUUAUAUUUUUCAUGUAUUGGUUGCUAAUUUUACACUCCAUAGUUGUCACAUCAUCCAACUAAUGGUUGUUACAUUAUCCAACUAUGGGCUGCCACAUGCUCCAGCUACCUUAGCCUCCUUGCCAAGUAUUUUCCAUGCCAAAAAAAGAUUGACAACUAUUUCAAUUGGUUGGUAAAGUUGAGAAAAGCUUCCACCAACCUCGCCAUUAAGUUGUGCUCCUUGCUCCAAUUUCUAAUUUUGCUUCCUACCCUCUUGUGGAGUUAGUGUGGAAAUGACUUUAUACAAGGGAGAUGAAGGUUGGUUUUAAGUAAGGUAGCUUAUUUGUAAACUUGUAUUUCCUUUAUUCAGGCGGUAGUUCUCAUUUCUUAGCCUUGAUUUUCAAUUUUGAUCCUCUUGUCUUGCCACUAUGAGUGGCCAACAUCCAAACCAAGGAAUAAUUUUUAAUAAAAUAUUAAUAUUCAAAUAAAAUCAUAUAUUUAUAUUCCUUAUCGCAUUUAUAGGAAGAGAAAUAUUUGGGACUAGGCCCAGUUCACUUUUUAUAAUUAUAAAUAUCAUAAAAAUAUGAAUAUUAAUAUCCUUAUCCUCAUAAAAGCAUAAUUAAUUUAUUUUAUAAAAAAUUAAUAUUAAAUGGAUUUAAAAAUAAAUAAAGUUUAAUUUUUAAGGUAUACAUGCAUAAGUUUUUCAUUACAUAUACACAUUCAAUACUUAAUUAGUAAUAGUGUAUUCUAAAUUUUUUUAUCUAGUCUAUAAUUAAUUAAUCCAUUUUUUGGAAUUCUAAAUUGUUCUUAAAAAUUAAAAUAUUCAUUAAAGAAUUGAAAGUGUUUAUUAUGUUUAACUUAAUUUAAAUUUAUUUAUCUAGUGAGAAAAUUCAUAAAAUAUAGUUUUAUGUAUAAAGGAAAUAGUAACGACUUUACAUUUAACGAAUCUUUUAUUUUAUAUUGAUUCAUUUAAUAGUCUAUUAUAUAUAUUUAAAAUUUAUUAAACUCAUUAAUAAAUUCAAUACAAAGUUUUACUUAAUUUGAAAUUCAUCUCUCUAGUGAAAAAAUUGAAAAAAUAUUAUUUUGUGAAAAAAAAAAUACAAUAAAAUCAUUCUAAACUAAUUUUUAUCCAAAGAUUUUUUGUAUUUAUUAGUUUAUUAUUUGAUUUUUAAAUUAAUUUAAAAAAUUAUUAGACUUAUUAAUGAAUCCAAUACAUUUUUUGUUUGUUUAAUUUAUUUAUCACACUAUCAAACAAACUUUUAUUAUUUAGUAAAAGACCUCUCAAAAGAGGUUUUUUUUUCUUAAUAAAAAUAAAAAUAAUAUUCUAAACGAUGUUUGAUUCAAGAGUUUUUUAAAAGUAAAAAUAAAAAUAAAAAUUAUUUUAAAUUAUGUGUACAUAAUUGUUGCAAAUUUAUUUCUUUUUCCAUUACCAUUUUCAUUCCUACCUAACAUUGAAAUGGAAACAAAUAAUCAAUCAAACCUUACAUUUAUUCCUAAUCUAAUGACAAGAAUUGGUGGUAUCACCAAAUUCAUUCCAUUCUCUAGUCUCAUGUAUCAAACAUAGUUGUAUAAUACCAAAAACUUCGUCUAAGUAAUGUGGGAUCUCACAUUCACUUUCAUACAGAUACAAUUUUUAUUGUAUCACAUGGAAUUGUGAGGCCUUUAAGUACCAUUUGUAAUGACCCACCUCCAAUUAUAUAAAUAUUAUUUGGUCUAAGUCCAAUGGACUCUAAUCGGUUUUAAAACUUGACUAUACUGUUAAGAGAAGUCUACUAUGUAUACAAUCUUCUCCUAAUAAACGUGUGACAUAACAAAUGGUGGGACUCAAACUAAAGCAAGGCCUUUCAAACUGUCUACCAUCUUAGUUUCAGCAUGAAUUCAGUUUGUUCCAAACAACAUAACUCUGGAGUAUUUUAAACAAACGAUUUCCAUUGAAAACACAUAAUUAAAGUAUAAGGAAAACAAACCCGAUCUUCAAGCGGUUUUGGGGAUCGCCUGUGGAAGAGCAGUGAAAUAGAAAUAUCCACUAAGUGUAUAGGGACCCAAGAUCAACACAUGCAACAGGAUAUCUAAUUCCUCCUAAUAUCAUCAGCAUGAAGAAAAUUGGCAUCAUUUCCACUGAGUUCUGAUGCCCUCUCUGAAAAAAAAAAUAAAUGCAAAACAUUUGUUUUUUCUAAUCAUCGGUCAUCCAUACAUAGAAAAAUCUAUGUGUGAUCUUAAGCUAGAAAAGAUGUUGCAUCUAAUCAAAUUCACUAGACAUGAUGAUAUCUAUACUUUUUUAAAAAAAAAUUAUAUUCAUAUUUAUGUCAGAAAAUAAAUUUUUUAUUUUUUAUUUUUAGAACAUUAAACUUUUUAAAAGUCCUUUCUAGGAUAUUUUCUAGCUUUUUCCUUUUGUUAAUUUUUGCUAUUCAAACAAAUCUUAAGAAAGGAAUCAAACUUGGACACAAUUGAAGAGCUUGGCAUUCUUGUUUUUAGAUUCCAAAGCAUAUAUAGAGAUUGGGGUAAAACACCUUGUACCGAAGAAAAAAAAAAGGAAAAAAAAAACACCACAACAAAAAAUUAACCAAAAAUCAGAAAAUUAAUUGGAAUAAAAAAUCAAGAAAAUAUUUUUUUGGGUUAAUAAUUAAUUAUAAUGAAAUCAAAAGAAAAAAGAAAAAUACAUACUUCUUCCUGGCUUUGCCUACACUGAAAGCCAUGAAAGAAUUAGGAAAGCAGUAAAGAACAAGAAGAAGAACCACAUCCAUAUUCUGGGGAAAGCAAAUCCUCUGCUGCCUUCUUCAGAUUGAAGGCAACUAAUAAAUGGUUUAAGGGGUUAUGAGUUUGACUUGGUUGAGUUUGAAGCUACAAAUGUAAGAAAAAUGGUAGUAAUUUUGGAAGCAUUUCUAACUCUUCUAUAACUUGAAAGAUAAAAAAUUUUAAGGGUUAAAAAUGUUAAAAGAGCUUUUUAGAAUCACCCCAAAUGUACUCUAAAUUAUUUAUGACUUGAUGUCACCUUCACACUCAUUUUUCAGUGUCAUUUAAUUUUGGUGUUCCCAUAUUGAAGAUUUAGGGUAAUGUAAUAUUCAAGCCUUCACAUUUUGCCUUCACUAACCUUUGAAUUUUAAUUAAAUUCUUUGAAGGAUAUUUGACCACUUCAUUGUCCAAAAAUGCUUAUAUUGCCAUUUUUUUUUUGUCUUUUUCUACAAUUCCAAUUUUACUAUUUUUCUUUUAAUUUAUUCCUAUUAUUAUUUAGGCUAUUAUUUAUAAUAUUCUUAAUAUUAUAUUUAUAAUUGUUAAUAGUAUAAUUACUUUUUUUCAUUUAUUUGUCAUUUAUAUUGCUUAUCUUAUCUUUAAUCAUGUAUAAGACUCAAAAACUGCAGAAAACAUUAAUAAGUAACUACUAAACUUCAAAGAGAUAAUAAAAUUCAACUACAUUGAUAUUACAAUAAUACAAAUGAAAUAUAUAGCAACUAGCCCUUAAAAGGGCUUUUAAGAGAUAAUGAGUCUACUUCAGAUUGACAUUUAAAGUAGAAUCACCAUCUCUAUAGAUAUAUAUGAAGCCUAAAAAGAAUAGAACAUCACUAAAUAAUAUUAAUAAAACAACAACUAGAUCAAUUGAUAGUGAAAGUAAAGGUUUACAAGAUGAAUCACAUAAAUAAGAACAACUAAAUUGAGAAACAAAUUACAUGUCUGACAAAUCUAAUGAGGGAAAACAUUGGAGCUAGGUGCCCAAUGAUUGGCUCCUUGAAGUUGACCUACCUCCUCAAUAGGUACAUAGGAGUCCUUACCUAAAAAAACAUUAAAAUCAAUAGGGUGAACAUAAGAUCUAAUAAAUAGGCACGAUAUGCAGAUGCUAGGAUGGUUAGUCCAAGGUAAAAAAAAUAGUUCUAAAAUGUAUCACGUAAUAAUUUUGGUGUAUUAUGAGAGGAAAAUGGACUUGUGAGAACUAUACUUUGUGGAUAGAAAUGUGAGGAAGAGUGAAAGACACUCAGUGGAGUAAGAGAGCUAACAGUUUAGGGUAGUCAUACAAAGUGUGGGUAAAUAGAUGUAUCUAUUUUUGUUCCUAACAAUAUUUUUUUGUUGUAUAGUGAAAUAUUAUCUUUCAAAUAUGGAAGUAAGCAUGGUUAGGUGUACCAUGUUAAAAUCUUAAGUAUUUGUUUUAUUUUGUGUUCUUCCAUUAAUAUAUUUCAAUAUUAGAGCUUUCAUUGACUCAAUAAUUUAUUAUACGAUGAAUCAUCAUAAGUGAAUAUAUUUUUAUAUUAGAAUAAACCAUUUUCUUAAUUAUAAGUAUAUUUGAAUAUUUUACUAAACUAUUUUAAAAUAAAAAUAUAGUAAAAAAAAUUAAUAUAUAUAAUAAUAACAUGAUAAAUAACAUAUCCCAAACCAAAUGCAACAUAAAUUUCUAAAUUGUCUCUCCUUUCUUAGUUCUCUAUAAUAAUAUUGCCAUACCCAUUGUUUAAGCUAUAAAUUAACAUUUUAUGUUCUUUGAAACAUAUGUAUUACCAACUCAAUAUAUAUAUAGCUACGAAGACAUAUUUCUCAUUUUUCCAAUCAAAAAGCAUUGUGAGUUGAAACCUUUUUGUUUAGAAAGUUAACUUGCAAUGUUAAUAUUCUUUUUUAAUAUUAGCCCCCUAGGAAUAUCAUUGCCUUUCACCACACUUUAAGUUUUUUUUUUUCGAUAUUCUUUUUUACUUCUACACUAGAAUUUAUGUAACUUCUUGUUCUUUAUUUAUUAUUAUUAUUAUUUUUUUGCAAUAUUUUCUCUUAAGUCUACCUUACACUUCUUAUUACCUCUCAUAUAUUUUUUUUUUUUGUCUUUUUCAAAUACUUGGUUGCUUCUCUAUUACAAUUCAUUAACUUCCUAUCAUUUUAUUUAUUUUUAUUUUUUGCAAAAUUCUUUCUUAAAAUACAUAAAUCCAUAGUUUUUAUUUUAAAAGUAUCAAGUAAAGAACAUAGACCUACUCAAACACCAUUGUAUAAUACCACUAAAAUUUCCAAAAAUCCCUAAAAUUUCAUAAAUUCUCUGCAAACUUAUCCCUAAUUAGAUGCUAUUACAUUAAAUAUAUCUAAUUCAGUCUAAACACAUGAUUGAUAAUAAUAUAAAAAAACUAAAACAAUAUUAAUAUGCAAUUUAUUAUUUUUCAACACACUGUAAUAGUUCCCAAAUAUUUUCAAACAUCAGCUAACAAACCUAAAUUUAUUCACUCAAAAUACAUAAUUGAUAACAAUGGAGAACUAAAAAAAAAAAAUUAUAAAUAUAACAAUUUUAUACUUUGAAUACAAUUCAAUAAAUCCUAAAUUUUUAAAAACAUUUAACUAAUAAACUUAACCAUACUCAAAUAUUAUUGUAUAACAUCUCUAAAAAUUUCAAUAAUUUAUCAAACGUGAAGACUACACUCACCGGUUUAGUAGAAUCACUUGCCUCUUCUAUUGGUAAUUGGGAUUUUUGUUCAGUAGCUUCGCUUUCCUUUGCUUCACUUUCUUCUGCUUUACUUUUUUCUUCUGUUCGCAAUUGACAUUUUUGUUUUUUCGUUACUUUUUUUAAUCUUUUUAUCAAAUCAUUCUUCAAUGAACUCAUUGUUUCAUUCGUGCUUGAAGAUACAAUAUGAGAUAACUUGAAAAAAACAGAAUAACGAUUUUUCUAAGGAUUCAGAAUGAAACAAAUGAUGAAAUGAUAGACGAUAAAAUUUCUAGGGUUUUUGAAGGAAAGAUGAGAUUUUUGUUUUGUGCAUCAAAGGAAUAUAAUGGAAUAAAAGAAGAUGAUGAAAGAUGAAAACUCGUUCUGUAAAUGAAGUGAAAGAGGAUAUGAGUUUUCCUUUUUGUGCACCAAAGGAAGAUAAUGAAGUAGAAGAAAAUGAUGAGAAAUUUUUUUUGGAAAAUAUGAGGAGUCGUUCUGUAAAUGAAGCAGAAGAGGAGAAGUUGUAAGUGUUGGAGAGAAAAAAGAAGAAGGACAUUUUUGUCUCAAUCAAUAAUUUUGUUUUGUUUUUUAACCGGUGGAUUAUAUUUGCAAAUAUGGGGGUUAUUUUGACCCCUUUAACCAAAUAACCCUUUUUUUUAUCGAGUUACAACUUUAAAUUAGGUGUAAAAAGAUAUUUUGAUAUGGUAGAUACUGUACAGUUAUAUAUUGAAAUUCCAUGGUUCAUUAGAUAAACCAUCCUUGAAUUUCUUUGGUUUCAAUUAAGAUGAUAGAUCAUCCUUCCAUAGAGUGACCUGAUAUGACAUUGAUUUUCUAGGGCUUCAAACACGAAGGGUGUCAAUGACUAAGAACUCCGUUUGAUUGUCGAGAAAAUGAGGAAAAAAACCCUUAAAUAAAAUAUAAAUACAAUUCAGAAUUUCAAUUUUACAUUGUUAGGGACCCCAAAAAUGGGAACAUUCACUUAACUGAGCCUAAUCCAACCACCUGCCUUAGUUUAAUUUAGUCCCCACUUUCUAGAAACCAAAAAAAUAUAAACAUUCCUGUGUUUGACUACUUAGAAAGCAUAGGACAAGCAAAGAAAAGGACAGUGCCUCCUCGAUCAAACAGUUUUUUUUUUCCUUUUCUUUUCUUGCAUUUUCUUUUUUCGGUAACCAAACAAAACUUUUUAAUUGAGCAUUGUUGUAUACAAUUUAGAUUUCUUUCCCUUAGUUUCUCCGCAACCAAACAGAAUUUUUCUCAAUUGAGCGAGGGUCUAGUAUAUCCUUCGUUUUCCUAUAACCAACAUAAUUUCCCUUGUUAUUUUUUUUAAUCUUUUCUUUGAAUUUCUCAGAAACCCAACGGAGUUUACUUCUGGUGCAACCGUGCAAGAAAAUGGUUUUACCUAAUCGCAUUUCACCGGACUAGCUGAAGCAAUAGAGGCUUAAGAAAAAGAGACUGAGCUUUGUUUGUUAAACUCCCUAUGUGAGUACGCAAAGUAAGAAGAAUUGAAGCUGAAAUUAGGCGGCUUCUAAACACGUCCUAGGAGUUGGUUUUAAAACCCAUUUUUUCCCCUUUUUGGUUGCAAUCGGUCUACAAAGAUGCCAUUAAAAGGUAACCGCGGUUGGUUGCAUGAACAAGAAAAUGAAAAAAAAGAAGUUAAAACUAAUUAAAAUUAUUUAAUAUUUUCAUUGAAAAGUAAAAAUAAUUACAAUAUAUUUAAAUAAACACAUAAAAAUAAUAAUUUAUUAAUUUUAAAUCUAUUUUUUAAAUUUUCAAUUUUUCAUUUAUUUUGUUCCCUCUAAGCUUUCUAACUAAGGUCAUAAUUUGGACAAAUUGUUGGAUUCAUAGCUAAUCUAAAUAAUCUAAUAGAGAUAAAUAAAUAAUUAAUUUAAGUUCAACCCAACCUCUAAGCUUUCUAACUAGGGUCAUAACUUGAACAAAUUGGAUGGUUAACAUACAACUUGGACAAAUUGGUGGGUUCAUAGCUAAUCUGAAUAAUUUAAUAGGGAUUAAUAAAUAAUUAAUUUAAGUUUAGCCCCACUUCUAAACAGAGGUAUUUAAUUCAAGCUCAACCAACUUCAUUUCUUCGAGCUCUGGUUGAUGAGGUUAAACUUGGGUUAGCCCCUGAUUGUAUAAUUCAAAAUACAUGUAGAAUGUUUUUUAAUAAAAAAAAAAUUAUAUACUUAUAUCAAAUUUUAAAUAGUAAGUAGGACAAAAUUUUAAAAUAACAAAAAAAAAAAAAACAAAAACAAAAACAAAGUUAUAUAUCUUUUUUAAAAAGUAAAAAAAUAUAUUAUAUAAUAUAAUUUGAUUUUUUAUUUAUAAAAAUUUAGAAAGAAUAAAAUUAUUAUAUAAAAUAACAUAUAUUGGAAAUAUUAUAAAAACAUUAAAAGUUUGUUCAGUAGUUAUUCAAAUAAGUGUUUCUAUCCCUAAUUUAAACUUUGGUUUCAAUCUAACUCGAAUUAAAUUUGAGUUGAAAAAGUUUAACUUGAAUAUUAAAAAUAAUUGUCUAAACACGAUCAAAUAUCUGAUUGGAUUCGACUAAUCUGCCAAAGUUGCACUCCUACCAAGAACCAUACACAAUAAAAAAAUUUUAAAAUAUUUUUUGUUCUAGGAAAGUACUCAAAAAGGAGAAAUAAAGAAAAAAAAUGAUUUUAUAUGUAUAAUUAAAAUUAGUUAAAUUUUAUAUAUUUUAAAAUUAUUUAAUUUUUUUAUAUGGAAAAGAAAAAAAAAAAGAGUGAAAUAAGUUUGAAAAAACAAGUAAAAAUGAUUUGUUAACUUUAAUAUUUUUUUUCUUUUCUUUUCUUCUAUUUUUUUCUUUUUAGUUUAUUUUUCUCAAAAUUUUCAAAAAAUAAACAUAGAAUUAAAAAAUAAGAAAUAAUUACAUAAUUGGAAAAUCAAUUUUAGAACUUGCUUAUAUGAUUGCAUUAGUUUGUGUAAAUAAUAAUUUUAUUGAAUGUUAAGAGAGUGGUAUUAAAUGCACAUUAUUUAAUAUUUUUCUAUGGAUAUUUUUAUGGGAGAAUUGUGUUUUGGGCCCAGCUAGACCCAAAAAUUAAUAAAAGAUCCUCCAAACACCUAUAAUUGAUUGUAAGGAUAUAAGGUUGGAAUAGACAAAAAUACCCCUUUUUUACUUACACCAAUUAUUUUGUCUUUAUACCACCACUCUUUACAUGCCCCAUCUAUAAAAUUCUCCUUUAUUUAAUCAUUUUUUUUAUUUUUUUUUAUUUUUUAAACUCCUUUAAAAAUAAUUGAAAAAUCAACAUUAUUUUCUAUUUUUAAAUUAUAAAUAAAUAAAAAUUAUAUUAAUGAUUCAAAAAUUAUUUUGGAACAUGCUUUUGAAAAAAAAUAUUAAUUUAAAUGAAUAAAAAUUAUUUUUUACAUUUUACAAGUAAAUAAUUUAAUGAUUAAAACACUAUUUAAAAUAAAUAUAUUUACUAUUUUUUUUCUUUUAUACUAAAAAGUAUUUUAAAGUUUAUUUUUUUAUUAUUAUAAAAUAAAAAGUUUAAAGUUUUUUUUUUAAUCUUUUUCUUUCCAUAGUUUAAUAAUUUUUUGAACAUAGACUUUUGUAAUAAGUUAUAUGAAUGUUCCAAAUUUGUUUAUUAAGGAAUUUUUUUAAUGAUUUGAAUUAAUUGAAAAUUUAUUGAAAUGAGAAAAAAGAAAAAGAGAGAAAGAGGAUAGAUGAAGAGUUUUUAUUUUAAAUAUCCAACUAAAAUGUUUUCGUAUUUAGAAAUGGAUUAUAUCAAUACAUAGUAUAGUAGAGAUUGAUUUUUUUCUCAUACAAAAGGGUCAAAUGAUAUGUUUACUCAUUUUAAAUAAAAACAAGUAGCUAAAAAUUAUAUAGAUUAUGUUUGAGUUUGGUUUUAAAAUAUUUUUUCUAGUUUUUAUUAUUUUUUUAUUUUUAAAAAUUAUUUUUAUUUUCUAUAUUAUCUCUUUUUGAAAAUACAUUUAAUUAAAAAAAUGAAAAAUAUUUUUAAAAAUGAAAAUUGAAGACCUUGUUUAAUACUAAGAUAAUAAAAAGAAUUAAAUUUCAUUUAUUAAUUAUUCUUUUUUAUUUUUAAAAUAUAAUAUGUUCACAAUUAAAUAAAGGAAUUGGUCAAUUGUAUAUUUUUUUCACAAAAAUGUAAUAUGUUCAUAAAAAAAUUGGAUUGAAGUUUUUCAUCAUUUUUUUAAUCAAACUACUAGAAUCAUGUUUAAUACAAAUAUAGGCAUAUAUGCACUACGGGAAUAUGAAAUUUGUGUCACUAUACAAGAGUAUUUACUAACUGUAUAAGGGAAAUGUACUAAGUGUACAAGCAGUGUAUAAGAUUACCAUUUAUAAAAGAUUUCAAUCUAUUUUGAACCACUCCUUUAUUUUCCUUGUCACUCAAAAAUUGCAUACUCAUGUCAUGCACUUUAUUUAACUCCCAUAUGGAAAUUCCGAUACUUUCCCCAAUAAUGAUGUUUAGGAAAAAAAAAAAAACUAACCCUAAUUCAUCCAUCCUUUUAUUAGUUAAACCAUUAGAAAUAUGAUUAACACACCUACAUGGACAUAUUACUUAGGAUAGAUAUAUUGUACAAUGGUAUUACACUAAUUGUACAAGGGAAAUGUACUAAGUGUACAAAGAAAAUGUACUAAGUGUACAAGGGUUUACAAGACUACCAUCUAUAAAAAAAUUUAAUCGAUUUUGAAUCACUUUUUCAUUUUCCUUGUCACCCAUAGAUUGCAUACCUACAUCAUGCAAUUUAUUUAACUUUCACAUGAAAAUUUCGAUACUUUUCUUAGUAAUAAUGUUUGGGGAAAAAAAUUUAAUCAUAAUUCAUCCACCAUUUUGUUAGCCAAACCAUUAGAAAUAAGAUUAAUAUAUCUACGUGGACACACAACUUAAGAGGGAUAUAUUGCACCAUUGUACAAUGAUGUUACACUAACUGUACAAGGGAAAUGUACUAAGUGUACAAGGGAAAUAUACUAAGUGUACAAGAGUGUACAAGGCUACCAUUUGUGAAAGAUUUUAGUCGAUUUUGAAUCAUUUCUUUAUUUUUUUUGUUACCCAUAAAUUGUUUAUGAAAUUUGCACUAUUAUAUAAGAGUGUUACACUAACCAUAAAAGAGUAUUCCACUCACUGUGUAAGGCAAUGUACUAACUGUAUGGGGUAAAUGUACUAAUUAUACAAGGGUGUACAAGGUUAUCUUUUAUGCAAGAUUUUAAUCAAUUCUGAACUUUUUUUUUUCUUGUCACCUAAGGAUUGAACACUUUUCCCCCACACAUUCCUUCACCUAAAAAUUGUUUUAAUUUGAAAUUUUAAAUUUCUUCAUCCAAAAUUUGUAAUUGCAUAUUUCAUUUAAGUAGUUUUAACAAUAUUUUUUCUUACUACAUUUACAUCAUAUAUAAAGGAAAAUUAACCAUAAUAUUUAGGUAUUACCUUUUUUUUUUUUUGUGAAAUCAAAUUAAUAUAAAUGGAUAACACAUUAAUGUCAUUGUUUCAAAUAACUUAAGACAAUAUAAACAACAUAUAAUAACUGUUGAGGAAAAAUUAUGAAUAUUUUUUUACCAAACUAUGUCAUUUAGAUCUUCUCUACCAAAAUUAAAACAUAGGAAAUAAAAUUAAAAUUAAUCACAUUUAAAGUGUUUAUUACAAGUAAACCGAAUGAAAUAUAUAUUUUUACUAUUUUACCUUUAUAAACAUAAUGUUAGCAGAUAUUAAAAAAAUCAUAUUUAAAUAGAAUUAAAAAGGAUAAAAAAUUAUCUUUGUAAAAUUUGUAAUUUUUUUUUAUAUAAAAAAUCAUUAUUUUAAAUUAUCAAUUUAAUUUAAAAUAAUUUUUUUGUUGUAAUUAUAGUUUUAAAGAUUCUACUAUUUUUAUAUUAUUACUUUUAAUUUAUUUUCUUUGAUUUUUUAUUUUAAAUUUCAUCUAAACUUGUUUUUUCUUACAUUUAUAUGUUUUCUAUUAUAUCAUUAUUUAAAGUAAUUUUCAUCUAAUUUGUAUUCCAUUAUAUUCUCUUUUCAAUUUUAAUGUGUUGUUAUACCUCUUUACAUAACAAAAGAUUUUAUUAUUUUUCAUCUACAAAACUUUAUACAAAAGAUAUCAUGUACAGGGAAAAAAAAUUAAAAAAAGAGAAAAUUAUGAUAUAAUUUACAUACACAUCUCUUAAUAUGAUACAUUUGCUUGACUUAAUGACAUCAUGCUUUAAUAAUUUAAAUCAUGUCAGUCCACAUCUAUUUUAGAUUUAAAAAGGCAUUUGAAUAUUUUUCAAAUUAUUAAGUUAUAAUACAUUAUUCAAUUAAAAAUUAAGUAUCACUAUUAGUUAAAAGAUGAUUAUUUUAAAAAAUAAUAUAUUAAAACAAUAUCAAUGUGUUGUCCAAAAAAUGGAGAAAAUAUUCAAAUAAUUGUCUACAACCUUAAAGAUAUUUAUAUAUAUAUUGGAUAAAAAAGAAUAAUAAUAUUUUUUAAGGUGUUUAAAAAUUAUUUAUUAUAUAUUUUGUAAGUUUAAAAAAAAUAUUUUAUGAGGUAUUUAAAAAUUUUUUACUUUAAAAAUAUAGUAAUAAUCAUUUUCAACCAUUGAUUACCAAUAUUUAAUUUAUUAGGCAUGGUUUUUGGGAGAAAAAUAAUUGAUGAAAAUAGUAACACCUUUCUAGAAAAGAAUUAAUGAUAAGGUGAAUGAUGAAAGAGAGGGAAAAAAAGAAUGAAAGAGAGUGGGAAGUUAGUUGUUUUCUUUUUCUUUUUGACAAUAAAUGACAUUUUCGGAAAAUUAAAUGUUUCAUAUCCUUCUUUUCAAUUUGUAGACUUUCUUUAGGUGUUGGGUUUAAAUAUGAAACUUAUGAGGAUCUUUUAUCAAUUUUUUGGCCCUGGGCCCAAAACACAAUUCUCCCUAUUUUUAUUUCUAAAGAAAGUAAUCUUUACAUGGAUUGGACCACUGUUUAUUUAUCCAUGUGGCCCAGCCCAUUAAAAACAUCAAACCAACAACCCAAGGGACGACCCUGGUCAUUCUCGGGGGCCCACAACCUUCAUCUCAAACAAAAGCCCAUGGGCAGGAUCACCUUCCACACACAUCUUCAUACCAGCCACCACGCUACCAACAAUCCUCCUCCAUGAAAGCCCACCUCCAUCACAGCAAGCAGAAAAUCCAACACGCCAACCAUCAACCUCCGCACAGACCUAACACUGCAUAGCCGUGUUUUAGGAGUGUCAGGACGUGAUUAGAGAGGAUCUACUUUGAGUGUUCAUGGAGUUUCGCUAUAAGAGGGUGAUAGACCAGAGUAUCAAUGCUCCCUUUGUAACUUUAGGGGCAAGGAGGAAUCAGUUUACCAAAAAUUCUUCAUGAAACCAUCCAUUUAUCUCAGGGAACAUUUAUUAAGUAGAGUCAAAUUGAUUUACAACUAAGAGAUGAUUCAUUCCUUUUAAUGAAAGAACCUUAUUUCAAAUUGCCCUAAUGUGGCCUAAUAAAGCAAUAUUACUGGUUAUAUUUUGGACACAUCUCAAUGCCAUCAAUGGCUUCUCCUUUUUCAUUCCUUUCUCCUCUUCUUCUGCUCAGAAGAUUCAGACUCAUAAGUGGAGGCAACCGGUAGUCUCGGUUCUGGAGCUUGGUGGAGUCAAGAUUGGCAGAGAUGGUAACAUACCCACAUCCCAAAAUUGCGUUUAAAAAGGAUCUUUAGCUUGAAUUUUGUGUGCCCAAUUUGCGUUUUUGCAGGCAUUUGCACUCAAGUCGUGUCGUUUGUUUGCAAUUUCACAAUCUGAUUUCUUUUCUAUUGUGCUUUUUUUUUUUUUUCCUGCUAGGUUCAAAUUCAAGCAUCCAAUUUGUGUUUUUCUGGGUAUUCUUAUGCCCAACUUGUGUCAUUCAAUUUGCAAUUGUCGUUAUCAGACUUCCUUCUCUCUUUUGAGACUUACAUGGUUAGAGACGUCAUUUCUGUGAAAUUAAGAAUGCAUGUUUCAACUUUCACUUCUUUCUCUCUUUCCUUUUUUUUUCCCUGUCAUACUCCUCGGUUCUGUUUGGCGAUAGUAGAAUUCAGGAAUGGUUUCCCUUUUCUUUUUUCUUUUAUUUAUUUAUUUUUCAAUUUUUGGGUUUCUUUUGGUUAUAUGGAUUCUACAUUUUUAUUUUAUUUUUAUUUAUUUAUUUUUUUUGUGAAAUUGGAAUUGAAGAACUUAUUUUGCGUUUUACAAGCUUAGCGGGUUACGUUUCUGUUCUAUUUGUUGUACUGUUGGAGGUGUUUGGUGCAUUUAUAUAACUAGGCUUGCAAUUUCGCCUUCUGAUAAAGGUUAAAUUUUCUCCCUUUUUAUUUAUUUAUUUUUUAAUGGUGUAUUUGUGUUGGGAUUUGGUGAAAUGGGGAUUCUGUACUGGGUUUAUGGCAUUUUUUCAAUUGGUUUGAUAUUUGUGAAUGUGGGUUUUGUAGGGAAGAUGUGCAAAUUUUUUGAAAGUAAGAAUGCAAUUACAACUUUGAUUUCCUUUAUAUUUAUAUUUUAUAUUUUUUAUGCUUAUUUGCGUAUAGGUUGAUGUCAAAAUUCAUCUAAUGGGUUGUUUUUUAUUGCUUUGGAUUGGUUUAAUGUAGUUGGAUGGUGGAUUUUGUUUCUAAAACUUAAGGUCAAUUUCAAUUUUUUUAUUUUUUUAUUUUUUAUUUUUAUUUUUUCAAUUCGAAGACCUGGGAAUUGAUGUACUCAAGUUUUUGGAUUUUGCUGAUUGCCUUGAUAAACUUGGCUUGCAGAGCCUUAAAAAAUAAACUAUACUCACUAAGCUAUAUCUCAGAUGAUACUUCAUCAGGGCGUGAAAUGCAACUUGGAGUCUUUGUAUUUUUUAAAUUAUUUGGGUUAUUCUAUUCUGAAUAUUUGGUAAAAUUAGAAUUCAUGUACUGAACCUUUUUCAAGUUCUUUUGGUUGGCUUGAUAUAUUUGGUUGUGGGGUUUGUAGAUGUGGUGAGGGAUGAUCCUACAAACAAUGUCCCGGAUGCAAUUUUGUCGAAACUUGGAAUGCAGCUUCACAGGAGGGAUCAACACCCAAUUGGAAUUCUGAAGAAUGCAAUAUAUGAUUAUUUCGAUGCCAAUUACUCUAACAAAUUUGAUAAGUUGGAUGACCUUUGCCCAAUAGUCUCCACAAAAGAGGUUUGACCAUUAAGAUAUAAAAUAGAAAUUUUAUGCAUGUUUUUUUUUUUUUUCACUGUUUUGAGCUAUACAUUGCACUAUUUGGAACUUGUAUUAUCUUGCUAUGACUAGUGCUUGGCAUUUUGUUGCUGUUUAUAUUUAUUUUGCUGCCCAUUUCCUGUUGGUUUCUGUCCUGUCCUUGGUGUUUUAACAUUUAAGAAUCCAUGAAAGUGGUAUUUGCAUCUGUUGCCAAUUAUUCCAUCAACGAUGUUUUAAGUAGGAAACCUAGUAUCCAAACUUCCAUCCAAACUUACAUAUAAAAAAAAGUCCAGAACAGGCAUUCAGUUUACCAGGUUUAUCAAUUCUCUCCAAUGUUUAUUCAACUCUUAAAUGCAGUAUUCUGGACGUACUCCAAAUUUGAAAUUCCUUUGGUAAAAUAAAAGCAUGGUACUUACAGUGGUCUAUUAAGGAAAAUGUUUGUUUGACCUAGCUUUUGUACAAAAAAUUCAAAGAUAGUCUUGCAGAUAUGUAUCAUAUGGGUGUAUAUUUCUCUAUCAUGAUACAAGUGAGAAAAAAUUCAGGAAAGUUGUUUUGUUGAAAAAAAAAUUGAAAGUUAAUUUAUGUUUUGAGAGGGACAUUAGACAACCUAGGAUUCAAAGGGACAUGUUGUCUCUUAGGAAAAUAUAAUUCAUAACAUUCUCAAUCACUUACAAGUUAUUUUCUUCCUUUUAAAUUGAUUUAUUUAAUUUUUUUCUUUGUUGUAGGCAAGCAAAGAAUAUAUUUACAAAACCUACUAUUAUCAUUAUUUUGGUACUUAGCAUUGAUGGAGAUUGUAAAAAUUCUCUAAUAGUAUUGCAGGAGAAAAAUAAUAUUUAUGAAUUUUUGUUAAACACAAUUGUCAUAAUGAUAAUAAUUAAUUAGAAUAAUAUAAGUUUGUAAUUGGAAAAUUUUUUAAAAAUAAAAGCUUUUGGAAAUAGUUUGAAUAGGAGUAGAAAUUCUUGGAUUUCAUGGAGAGCUUAGGUGGGAUCUAUGCAUGGGGUUGUUUGCUAACUAUUUUAGUAUUUGCUGCUCUUCUCUCUUAUAGGUGUUCAGUUGCAGCUUGUAUUCUCUUAGCAUACUUGGGUUGUGCCCCCUUUUGUGUUCUUCAAUAUAAUCUUCAAGCUCAUGACUAGUGCAAUUUCUACUAAUUGAACACUUUUCACUUCAAAUAAUAUUUAGUAAUCUAAAUAGCAUUUAUCAAAUUAUUUCUAACUCGCCAUUAGAUUUAUAAAGAACCCAAAAUAUGAAAUUUUCUUCUUAGGCAUGAGAAAUUGUCAUUGUUAUAAACCCCAUGUUUGUCUUCUACUUACAAGCAUAAUUAUAAAGCAUGAUCUGCACGUCUUAUCAUGAAAUAUAACAAUGUCAUAAAAUAGAUGAUUGAUAAAAUAUUAGAAGUCCAUUGCAAAUGCUUAAUGGAACCAAAAAUUAUUACAGAGCAAGUGCAUAUUUCACUCAAACUUUUAUGCAGUAGUGGUAGCUUAUAAACUCACAACUUGGACUUUAUAUGGUGCAAAUGUAUGUUAUCAGCUAUUGCUUUUGACCAGUCAUGAGUAGAUACUAUUUAUAAAAGGACACAAAGGAGGAUAUAAUCCAAGUGCACUUGUAGUCAACAAGUUACUCUAGGCAUCAAAAUUGAAAGAAACAACAAUGAAGAAAAGCAGCAGAAAGUGCCCCUACCUCCCAAACUGUCAAUGAACUACUGGAAGGAUCUACUACUAUUCAAGAUAACUUCUUCUAAGCACAACUACAUGUAACAG